GUUGCGCUCUGCCAAGCCAUCGACCUGCGCCACCUCGAGGAGAAUGUCAAGAACGCAGUCAAAAGUUGUGUCACAAGAGUGGCUAGGAAGACCCUAAUCACAAAUGACAUGGGUGGCCUCCACAACGCUCGUUUUUGUGAGAAGGACCUGCUCCAGACAAUCGACCGCGAGGCAGUGUUUGCGUAUGCAGACGACCCUUGCAGCGCCAACUACCCUCUCAUGAAGAAGAUGCGUGCGGUGCUGGUGGAGCACGCCCUGGCCAAUGGUGAGGCUGAGCGCAACGUGGAAACCUCGGUGUUUGGCAAGGUUGCCAAAUUCGAGCAGGAGCUCUGUGCUACACUACCUCAGGAGGUUGAGGCUGCUAGAGGUGCAGUGGAGAAUGGCACCGCCGCAGAACCAAACCGUAUCGUAGACUGCCGGUCAUACCCUCUGUACCGGUUUGUGCGCGAGGAGCUGGGCACGGUGUACUUGACCGGAGAGAAGACUCGGUCACCCGGCGAGGAGGUGGACAAAGUGUUCGUUGCCAUGAACCAGGGUAAGCACAUCGAUGCGCUGCUGGAGUGCCUCAAGGAGUGGAACGGCGAGCCCCUCCCUAUCAGCUAAUCAAUGAGAUGAAGAGAAGAUGCCGUGCUUCACUAAUUCUGAAAACUGAUAAUACUGUUCUUUUAUUUUAUUUUAUUUUUCCUCUUCUAAAGAGCUGAUGCAUUAACGUUCUUCCGGAGCUAGAGCUUCUGCUUAUGUAAGUGAAAGGGUAUAAAUUUUCAUGACAAAUGUUCAAGUUGUUGAAAUGAAUCCAAAGAAGCCAGAGCUGUAUCAACAAGUACAUUGAUGUACCACAUUGCAUUGCAAGUCAUCGAACAAUUAGAUUAUCAUACAUGUUCAGGCACAAGCAAUAUUGCCAGAAGUAGUAGAAAGAACCAGAACGAAACAACAAUAGACACAAGAAACUUACCAGAUCAAUGUUUUCUUAUCCUUAUAAGGCAACUGAUCAAUCCAUUGGUACCAGCAGUAUGUGCCAACAGAGUAAACAAUCUAGUACACGCCUAGCUGCUUCAAUCAUUGCAUAACCUAGCAAAAAAUCUGUUAAAUUUCUGGAAGACAAAAAUCUGUUAAAUUUCUGCAUGGGAGAUCUAUGGGUAGAUUAUGUCAUAUUGGUUGCCCGUGAACAGCAAGGUCAUACUAACAUGGAGAACUCCAAAACUAAAGUAGAUAUGUUGAGGAGGUCCUUCAUUCAGCUGCUCAACACGAGGGCCAUCAUCUGAACUUCGGCCGCCACCAUCUGAACAGGGUAGCGUGCUGAAAGCACCACUGUGACAUCUCCAGAUAGCUGCUAGUAAUCUGAGGAAAAUUAAAACUGACCAAAAAAUAUGUCAGAAACAUGAAUUAGGAUGAACUGUGGGAAAGAUAAGUUGACGACUGAAGGAUAAGUCGAAAAGUGUUUUCUCACUAUUUUCUAGAUGUGUUUUCUGUUCUAUAAUAAGUGCUGAAGAACUUGAGAAGUUUCUGAUUACAGUAACUGACAAAAGUGGCACAUCAAGCCAGUGAGGUGGAAGCAUUCGGCCACAACACUUCACCGGAAUUGCAAAAAAACAAACAUAUCAAAAACCUUUUAGUUGAUGCUACGGGGAUCAAUCUGCCUUGUGUCUUCCAGUUCAUUACUUUCUUUAUCAACUUCUUAAAUGCCUGAAGGAAUCCGUGGUGAUAAAUCAUAUUCGGUAAUCAUUCCAUACAUCUCCGUAAGGAUUCCUUUUCAGAGGUCUCGGCAGUAGUACUAGGCUUCACCUGACCUGGCAUGUUGGCUCGCCAGCGGUGAAGCUCCACGAAGGUAGCCAGCGAGAGCGCGUCAAGCUGCGGAAGCUGCCAACCAACUUGGCUGGCAGGUAGGAGAAACCUCCAUGAGCAUGUCAUCUGAGCAAUGGAUUUGUGCCCCCUUUCGGCUGAACAAUGUUUGCCAUGUGUAGUUGUGGUACGAGUCCCCCACGUGCUGUUCCAACUUAUAAGAGGCCAAGACACGGUGUGCGACGACCUGAGACAGAAACGGACUCUAAGCCUACGCCAAGUUGGACAGCUCCUCGAGGUGACGGUGGUCGUCGCCAAGCAGCCUGAGCUGCUGAUCGAGCCCUCUGACGACGGUUUUGAUGCCCGGAUCAAGGAAGCGGUCACCAGCAACAAACUCGCAGGCGACGCCAUCGACCUCGACCAUGCUGCACCCGGGCACUUUGGUCAACUUCUUCUCCUCCAUCACCGACCUGAUCCUUACCACGUCCUCCCACUUGCUGGAGCAGGCGUACAUGUUGGACAGCUGCACCUGCACACCGCUGUGGUCGAGCCCAAGCUCCGCCAGCCACUCCACAACCUGCUUUCCGAGCUCCACACCGUCACCACCGUGCACCCGGCAUGCGUUCAGCAGCGCACCUAACACAUACGAGUCGGGCCGCAUCGGCAUUGCCCGCGCUACAGCCGCGGCCUCCGCUAGCAUCCCAGCACGGCCGAGCACGUCGACCAGGCUCCCAUAGUGCUCCACGCCGGGCUCAAUGCCGUGGACGGCAGACAUACUCUGGAAGAUCUCCCUAGCGACGCUGACAAGCCUGCCACCAGCACGGGCACAAGCGCUGAGGACACAGAUGAAGGUGACCUCGUUGGGGCGCACACCCUGGUCCCGCAUCUGGCCGAACAGCUCGAUGGCCUCCUGGCAGUGGCCGUGGUCCGAGAGCCCCGAGAUCAUCGCCGUGUAAGCAAACACGUCGCGCUCGGGCUCCGGCAUGGCCGCGAACACCUGUCCUGCAGAGUCCAGGCUCCCGCACUUGGCAUACAUGUCCACCAACGCGGUAGCCACCACCCCGUCCAUCCUACUGGCGGCAGCGGCGACAAGUGCGUGCACCCAUCUGCCCUGCUCCAGCGCCCCGAGCGCACCACAUGCGGCCAGUGCACCGACGAUGGCCGCCCUGUUGGGUCGGACGCGGGCCCUGAGCAUCCUGUCGAACACCUCGAGUGCGUCCGCGAAAGCGCCCGCGCCGACGUGGGCGCUGAGCAUGGCGCUCCAGGCGAUCGGCGUCUUCUGUGGCAUUCCGUCGAACAGGGCGCGGGCGUCGUCCAUGUGCCCAGCCUUGGCGUAGGCUGUGAGAAGCGAGGUCCAGGAGCAGAUAUCGUCCGUGCGGGCGAGGACGGCGCCGUCGAAGACGCGGCGCGCGGCAUCGAGGAAGCCGCGGGAGGCGUAGGCGUGGAUGAAGCCGUUGGAGACGUAGGCGUGCGCGUCCCAGCCGAGCGCCACGGCGAGCGCGUGCAACGCGCACACGAGCUGCGUGUGGGCCGAGGAGGGCGACGACGGCGACGGAAUGGGGAUGGCUGUGGCGGUAGCGGCGGUGAGGAGGAAAGAGAAGGUGUAGUUGUUGGGGAGGAAUGCGGGGAGGAUGCGGCGGAGGCGGGGGAAGAGGGCGAGGGUGCGAAGAGGGGCGUCCGGGAGGAGGCCGCGGAGGAGGAUAUUUGGGAGGUAGCGGUCGCCGAGGAGGGAGGAAGUGAGGAGGUGGCCGUGGAGCUGCCGGAGCUGCGCCGCCGUGAGCGACGGGUGGGACAGCAGCCGCAGCGCCAUGGCGGCGACCGAAGGGUACGUGGGCCUGGGCCCCUAAUAGGAGGAUGUAUUGCAGCAGAUUGACGACCGGCCCACGAACCCAGCCCAACCGAAGCGUAGAGUGGAAGGUAAACCAAGGACAACAGCAGCGACUUCUUCUCCAUAGUGGGUGGGGAGGGGAGCGUCCGGCGAGCGAGAGGUAGACGAAGGAGAAGCAAUGGCUCGCGCGGGGCAAGGAGGUGGGAUGGGGAGCGCGGUGAACGUGGGGAUCGCGGUGCAGGCCGACUGGGAGAACCGCGAGUUCAUCUCCAACAUCUCCCUCAACGUCCGCCGCCUCUUCGACUUCCUCCUCCGAUUCGGUGCGCCCCUAGAUCCCCAUUUUCCUCCCUGCAUUUCCUUCCUCUUUCCCCGGCCGUCUGCUCUCUUGCUUGCUUUAGUACGAUUGGAUUGGAUUGGAUUGGAUCUUAUCCCCUACUGCGUCCGUCCGCCUCUAGUAUGAUUUAUUCCAUGCAUCGGUGAAUUAGAACUCUUGCUACCUACCUGCUCGCGCCCAGGACAAGAUCUCCCUCAUGGAUGAUAUGCCUGCUGCAUCCGCUUCCAUGACGGCGUAUUUGCCAUAGCCGACUCCCAUUACCGACUUCCUCACGCAUGUUGCCGAUGAGGUUGGUUCAGUCAGCCGUGAAUUGCUCGUUACUGCAACGGCGCUUUGCCCCUCUUACUAAUAAUAAUAAUCAUCAGAAAUGCUAGUUACUGUGACUUCACUUUUUUUUUGUUGAAAGAUCCAGCAAUUGCUGGCCUUGCAUGAUCAUUAGCCGAAAGCAACGGGAGUACAAAAGUGGUAUGGAUCCUAGGAUCAAAGAGAAAAAAUGAAGUCGAAAAAAAACUGCUAGAGGGGUCGACCACAACCCGGUCCGCCCCUCCCUAUGCAUGCCCUUAUCUCUCACGAUGGAUCCCCGAACGGGCUCUCAAUGCACUUAGCUCCUGCUAGCCAACAUAGCUCAAUGGAGUCCUUGAUCCGUUGCAUGAUCGUGGCGGUCAACGGGGUUUUAUUCCGGAACAUGCACUUGUUCCUCUCUUGCCAAAUCUCCUAGCAAGUGAGGAGCAACAAUGUCUUUGCCCCUUUCCUCCUGUUGGCAUGAGUGUGCUCGUAGAUGUGGUGAACGAUCGAUAGCUCCGGUGCUUGGUGCCACUCCUUGGAUGAGAACGAUGAGCAGCCCCUCCACAGGCUGAUCGCUGUCCACACCUCGUGUGAUCGUGGGCAUUCCCAGAAGAGGUGAUGGGCAGACUUGAGGCUCUGUAGGCAUAGCUGGCAGAAGUAUUCAUUCGGCCACCCUCUUCGCUGCAGCCGAUCGUUGCACUAUAGCCUAUUCUGAAAGAGCAGCAAUGCAAACAUCUUUAUCUUGCAUGGCACCCAGACCUUCGAGAUAUCUUGGUCGAAGGUGGAAGCCCAUCGUCCCAUGAACUGCAUCAGGUAGGCGGACUUGGUGGAGGGAGCUCUCCCAGUUCCACCUGAUCAUGUCAGGCGCGCCGUCCUCUAAAACUAUCUCUGCUUCUCUAAUGGCCAUAUGCAUCUGAAGAAAUUGAUGCAGCAAGCCCUCGGCGCUGCCAUGGGCGAUGUCUCUGAUCCAUGUAUUCUCCGUCAGAGCCUGUUACACCGUCUGGUUCUUCCUCCUAGAAUGCUUGAAGACGGAGGGGAAACGCUGGGCUAGUGUGGCCUUGCCACACCAAGAAGAGUGCCAGAAGGGCGCCGUCGCCCCAUCGCCCACUGUGACGGUGGUCGCUGCGGCGAAGAGAGCUCAUUCUCCAACUCCGCAAUGGACUUCCGAGCCCACCCAUGGCCGGUCAGGGUGCUGCCAGGUGAUCCACAACCAUUGUAAGCGCAGGGCCGUGCUGAAACACUGCAGGCCAUGGACGCCAAGACCACAUGCAGUUGGCAAGCACAUGGACUGCCAGUUGACCUUGCAACUACCACCCGAGGUUUCUUCGUCGUGCCGCCAGAGGAAACGUCGCCUACACUUGUCUACUUCCUUGAACAGUUUCUUUGGGGCCUGUAGCACUUUCAGAGCAAAGGUGGGCAUGGCACUAAGGACACAUCACACCAUCACCCUGCGACCCGAGAACGGCAUGAGCAUGCCUUCCAUCCUGCUAAGCGAGCCUUGAUCGUAUCUAUGAUGAACUAAGGGUGUACCAACUGGAGGCGACCAGGGGUGACGGGGAAACCCAAAUAUUUUGCCAGGAAAGAAGCAACCGCCCCAGCAAAGCUGGCCAGUACCUCCUAGAUGUCAACCUCCUCACAAUUGAUCGAGGCAACCGAAGAUUUUGCCGGGUUUAUGCAUAGUCCCGUCACGCUGCCGAAGUCUAGUAGGAUUGUUAUCAGGUUGUCUACCUCCUGUCUAGUGGGGUUGACGAAUAUCAUGGCGUCAUCGGCGUAAAUACUGACUUGGAGCUUGAGCUCCCGUCCUGGGAUUGGACCCAAAAUCUGUUGUUCUACUGCCGCCUUGAUGAGAUGAUGCAACGGGUCUAUCGCUAGGAUGAAAACGAAAGGAGACAGAGGGUCACCUUGGCGUAGGCCCCGUCAAUGGGCAAUGGGCGCGCUGGCCACACCGUUGAGCAUGAAUCUGGAUGAGGAGGUAGACAACAGUAGGGUGAUCCAAUCUCGCCAUCACGCACUAAAGCCGGGCCGUUGUAGGAGCUCCAGGAGAUAUUCCCAGGAGACGGUAUCGAAGGCCUUCAGUAUGUCUAGUUUCUUAAGGAGCGUCGGGUUUUUUCGUGGGUGGAGGCCUCGGACAGCAUUUUGAACGAACAAGUAGCUGUCGUGAAUGCACUUGUUCUUGAGGAAGGCCGUUUGAGCCGGGGAGAUGAUGGUGUGUAUGACUGCCGCUAGUCUAAUGGAGAGGACCUUGGAGAUAAGCUUCGCUAAUGAGUGUAUUAGGCUGAUAGGUCUGAAGUCGUUGAUCGUUGUGGCUCCAUCCUUCUUGGGUAGCAAAACCACCAUGAUAGUGUUAAGUGAAGCAAUGCCCCCUCCCACCAGGUGGUAGAAUUGGUGGAACACCUCCAUGAUGUUGUGUUUGAUGAUUGGCCAGCAACAUCUAAAGAAGGUCCCGUUGGAACCGUCGGGGCCGGGUGACUUCUCUUGCGGCAAUGAAGCAAUCGCGUUCCACACCUCCUCUUCGACGAAAGGGUUGUCCAGCCCACCGUGUUGCAGCUACGGCAGGUUAAUGGCUGCCCAAUCGAUCGUGGUUUUCCUGGCGGAGUGUUGACCUACGGAUGCACUAAAAUGAUCAUGGAUCAACGUGGCCUUGUCCUUGUGUGUCGUGGCUAUCGUGGCUGGACCUUGAAUGGAGUGAUGAAAUUCUUCUACCUCCGGGAGUUUGCUUUCGCUUGGAAGAAGGCCGUUUGUGCGUCGCUGGCCCGGAGCCAGGUGACCCUAGAGGCCUGACGUUUCCUAGCACGCUCGAUCGCCGCAAGUCCCAGGAUGCGUAGUUUGAGCAGCUUACGCAGUUGGAACUCCUCGAAGGCAAGUGGACGGCUCUCCUGAGCUACGUCGAAGCGUAGCACUAGCUCGGUUGCCUAAUGAAGUUGCAGUUUAAUCUCACUAAAGAAGCCCUUGGCCCAAAUUUUUAGGUCCGUUGCUACCCUUUGAAAUUUGAUGUUGAUUCUACGAAAUGCACACUGGGCCGCCAUCGGUCGUUGCCAUGCCCUCUGCACCGUGAUGUGGAAGCGCAGGAAGCGCGGCCAGAAGGAUUCAAACCUGAAUCUGGCUGGGCGACGAGGGGCUGCCGCCUCGGCCAGCAGCAGGGGACAGUGAUCGGAACAGGAGGUCGACGUCGACGUCGACGUCGCGUGGAGGAUGAGGGAGUGAAACAUCGCGUCCCAGGAACUGUUGCAGAAGAGUUUAUCUAUGCUACCUAAGGUUGGGUUCUCUCGCUCAUUGCUCCAAGUGAAGCGACGAUUCUUGCACUCGAUCCCUCAGAGGCCUGCUGCAUCUAUUGCCGGCUUAAACUUGCGCAUAAUUCCACGGAUGAUGUUGGAGUUCUUCUUUUCCCUGGCCUCGUAAAUUAGGUUGAAAUCACCGUUUAUAAGCCAUGGCUGCCAAGCCGGCGGUGCCACCCUAGCUAAUUCAGCCAAGAACUCCUCCUUGUUGUCAUCCGUUGGACCGUAGACUGUAGUGAACCAAAAGCUAGUUGUGGAUGAGACUACUGUCACGUUGGCUGUUAAGGAGUAAACUCCCACAACGUGUGUGUGUGCAGAUUGACGCGGUUCCUGUCCCAGAAGAUCGCCGCCCCUCCCCUCGUUCCUACAACAGGAAGACCAUAUAGUCUGCUAGUCGGCUGCCGCCUACUUCGCACGCCAGGGUACGAUCCCAGGAUUCAAUCUUAGUUUCCUGGAGGCAUAGGAUCGACAACAUGUGAAGUUCUGCCGUUUCUCUAACCACAACGCGCCUUGCUAGUGUGUUCAAGCCUCUAAUAUUCCAGCUCAAGAUCGGUGUUGGUGUACUACUCCUGGCUGAACCAAUGCAUACUCCGAAGACUACUAAUUUGGUUGAAAAUGGACAGGUACACCUCCAUCUUCCCGAGGGGUUGCCGGCGGCCACCAAUAGGCCCCAAACAGCUACGCCUUUGAAACUGCUACAUAUAUAAUACAUGCUAAAUCCUAACUCGAACCAGCCGAGAGUUGGUCGCCUUCGGAGCCUACUACACGACAGGAGAACUAACAUGGGGAAGGUGCAGCCCCGGGGGCCUCCAUCGGGGCCAUUCAUGCCAGCGGCGAUCUUGAGUGCUGACACAUCCAGGCGGGUGAGCAUGGCGAUGGCAGCUAAGUCUUCAUCGGAGAGGGGCUCGUCGAAAUGACGGGUGAGCGCCUUCGCUGCCUUGGUCGUCAUCUUCUCCUUUGGCCCGAGGAUGCCAGAGCGUGUGCACAAGGCGCAAGGUGGCCCUCUGGCUCACCAGCACCGUCGAUGGAUUGCUCACCUGCCAAGCGCUUUGUCUGGUCGGGGUCAUCAUCUUCCUUGACCUGAGGGGAGUCUGAGCGCGUGCCUUGCCUUGUCCUAGCAGCGACAUAGGAACCCCGGUGAAGAGCUGCCUCGGGGCCCUGCUGCAGCUGCCCUCCUCAAGUUGCAAAUGAUAGACCUGGUUCGUGACCGCACCCAGCUGCAGGGAGGGGGUCACUGCAGCCUCCGGAGUGUGGCGAUUCAGUGAUAGGGCCGGCCCCAUGUCCAGCGGGUCGUCGCUCCCCGUGCUCUCCCCGGUGGCAAAGUCCUGGGGCUUGUCCAACUUGGUAGCCAUCACAGUGUCGAUCGCCGAAGGUCAUGACGCGGUGGAGGUGGCAGGGCCUUGUUCGCGCCCUCGAAGAACUCCGCCAUUGGGUCCGUCCCAUCGGAUACCGCCCUGGCAGCGGAGAGGGGCCUUGGAGGACCUAGGAGUGGGUUUCCUUGCGUGGUCUUGCGCAUUGCUGGCGCCCGCUCCGGUCCCUUGGUGCGCGUGUCUUCCAGCCCCACCCGAGUCUUGCCGUUGUCAGCUGAGGAGCAGCGCCCGCGUGGUGCCCCCUGGCGGUGACAUGAGGCAUGGGUGCGGCUCCGCUGCCAGUUGGAGGAGGAGCUCGUAGUCGCCGCCUCCUUGUCGCGCCCACGCCCUGAGCAACGUGUCCUUCCAAGAGCUGUUGUCACCCUCGUGGCCACGCCUGAGCCUCGUAGAGGGCAUGCCACGACAGCUCGUAGAGGCCACACGCGUCGGGGCGCGCGCGCUGAUCCGAGCUCUGCCCCAGCAUCGGUCUGCCAUCCUCAUUCCCAUGCAGCCAGCCUCCCGCGGGUGGGCGCCGCGGGAACGGGCGGUCGUCGUCAUCGGCGAAGGGCAACCCACUCUGCCAGUGGCGGAUCCAGGAUCUGUAAACACACUGACUUACUUCUCCAUCUAGCAUCAUCGUGUCACCUUUUAUUUUUUAGUAGAGCGUGAAUUGUGAACGUUUAGACUCAAAGUCCUAUAAAGAAUAACAGGUGCUUAUGUAAUUGGGCCUUUACUACCGAUUUCUUAAUUUACAGCCACUUUAUAACUGGCCCAUCUCUAAGUAUAACAAAACGUUUUCUUCUCUUUCUCAUCAUCCUCCUCGAGUCAGAUCUCACAUGCUAUGGCCGAAACAGAUCUUGCGUUUAGUUCCCAUGGCGUUGCACCGGUCAAGUAGUAGGACGUACCCUGGGUAUGAAAUUUUUAGCCGGGGCGGCUGCCCCUACACGACCCCACGCUGCCGCCGCCCCUGCACUCUGCCUAGAGUGGGAGGAGCGCGGGGACAGGGGCGUCCAGUCCUCGAUGCAGUCCAGGUGCAGAAGGACAUCCCAUCUCUUGAAGCGCUGCGGCGGCGCCACUGCCGGCUCGGAGGAGAGAAGCCGAAGAUCUCCUCGACGCGGCCCGCUCCCCUGGCGUGCUUCCAAAGCAUGUGCCGCAUUGGGAUGUGGCCAAGGUCAAGCACCCAAGCCCACACCAUGAAGGUCUUUGUGUCGGCGUGCUCGAAUCUGUCUAGUCGGUCGAUGAUCACCUUGUCCCCGAGCGCAUCGGUGAUGCCCUCCAUCGUCCAGAGCAUCAUGGGCAGCUUCUUGAUGAUGAGGCGCAUGUGUGUCCUCCCGCUAAGGCUCCAACGGGAAGGUGACGCUGUCCACCUCCAGCGUGCUGCGGCGCACGAGAAGCUCCUUGUGCGCCGGCAGGUUGAAGUGGAUGAAGAAAUCCUCGGGGUCGUGGUUGGUGAUGCGAAGGUGGUGCGCAUGAUCUAGAACUCCCUCUCGACGGCCUUGCCGAUGGAGUAGGGGUUGGUCGCGUGGUUCUUGCUGGCCGCAGUCACCACUAUGGCGUGCUGCUGCAGGAGGAAGAGUUGCUGCUCCAUCGCCGAUGUGGAGGCGAUGACCUUAUGGCUGUGGAGCGGCCGGCGCCCGUGGUCGAUGCAGGGGGCGUCCGCCGCGGCCAUGGCCUCCUGGCUGGGGAACACGAGCUGGUCUGUCACCGGACGACGCGCGCCCAACCUCUCCUUCACGUCCCUCCCCCACGACGAUUUCUUGGGUUUUUUGGGUACUCCCUACCAAAAUGCCCUGACUGCUUGCAGAUGAUGCAGUGCAGCGGGUCUCUACAGUCCUUUCGGCGGUGGCGAGGGCUAAGGCACCGAAAACAGAGACCUCUGAACUAGCUUAAAAAGGCCUCGCGACCAUGGACGGAGGUGCUUCUGCCGUUGGAUCCCCGUGCUGGACAUCGGAUCUUUACUUGGCCGCCGCUUCUUGCGGGAUUGGUAGGUAGUCCAUCCGUCCUCAUCAAUAGCGUCGGGGGACUGAUUUGGUGAUAGAGGAGGGGCAACUACGAUGGAUCGAAGGCAGGGCUGCUCGAAAGGGGGGGGGUACCUAGAUCCGCCUGUCCGUGUGGAGAGCCAUCCUCAAGAACCUCGACCCAAGGCAGGAUCCGCGGCGUCGCCACACCAGAGCGAUCCAUGGAGGGGAGCGCGGGGCUGGGUGCCUCGGAUGGAUCGGCGGACAGGUUGAGGCCUGGCGACGCAGGGCAUUGAAUGCCGACCGGUGGAGAGGCGGGAUCUUGGGGGUCUCAGCAGGGCGGCAUGGGCCGGCGCGGGUGCCCGGGUGGGCGGCGCAUGGGUAGUGGUGGUCGCCGCGGCCGGAGUGGCCAGCGGCACGAGAGGAAGAGGUGAGCUAGCUCAGCCGCCACACCAUAUUGUUGCUUUUGACUUUUCUCCCUGGUGGUGGAGAGGGGCCUUGGGGGAGCCAGGAACUGUGACUUUGCUGCUGGCCAUGUAGCAACUCUCUUACCUAAAAAGGAAAAAUACAAUGGAACCAUUGCUAGAAAUAAGGAAUACCAUCAGCAAAGUUGUGCUGUAGUAUGUGCUCCAUCUUUUAUCUCUUCUUGGCACACGCAUCGAUAAUGUAUUUCUAGGGACGGGUUUGCAGCAAACCUAUGAGAUGCCGGAUGGUUGCGCUUCCAGUCUCAAGAAAAAAGAAUGUGUUAUUUAAUUUUGAUGUUGGCCAAGUAGCAACUCUCUUGCCCCUCAAAACAAGACAAUGAAACCAUCGCUGAAAAUAGCCAAUAACAUCAACACAGAGGUGUAACUAGUUUCACCCCUUAGCCCUGGGUAAUCGAUUUCAACUAGUUCUGCACAGUUCAACUAGAAUGUGACUGGUUUUGCGCGGUAUGCUAUUACCGGUCUGGAAUUUUGAUUAGGCUCUCGAACUUAUGGGAAGAAUUGAGUCAGUAGAUUGGAAACCGUUUCUGUUUGUUUCUUUCUUAUUCAUCCUCGGCAUUCUUUUCUGACGAUCAAAACAGGAGUUAUGCCAAUUUUAUUAUGAUAGAAAAGGGAAAUAGAGAGUGACCCGGUUUAUAAGGGAAACUGGGCCGAAAACCCCAAUGCCUGACUGAGCGAAAACCAAUGAACAAAAGGAAAACUCAAAAAACAGAAGGAAAAAAAAACACUAGAGCUUGGGGAUGUGGACUACAAGAAUGCAAAAGCAAAAGGAAGGCUGGAGCAGAUAAUUCAGGACCUUGCUAAUCUGAUGCGCUCAUUUUGCAGAGGCCACGACGAAGAGCAAGCUGGCGUCGCUGAACGAGAAACUAGACGGCCUGGAGCGGAAGCUGGAGGUGCUGGAAGUCCAAGUGAGCAGCGCCACCACCAACCCCUCCGUUUUCAACAACUAGCUAAGCCUAAUUAGCUAGAAGAAGUGUUAGCACGCGGAAUUGCAGCUGCAGAGCUUACUCACGUUUCGAGGAGCAUUCUGGCUUUGUGUUGUGUGUUUCCUGUGUAUGUGCAGUCAAUCAGUCUAUGUGUGUAUGUAUGUAUGAACAUGCCAUGUACUCCAAUUAAUCGAUUGAGAUGUUAAUUACUUAUCUUUAUGUAUGUUUAUUGCGCACAAUUACUAAAAAAAGAAAGUCGCCUCAUUACCGAGGCUUGCUGGUGAACGUGUAACAUUCUAAUUUUCCAAAAUUGGAUGUUAACAUGUCAUUCAUAUACAUCACAUAAUUUAUGAUCAACGUGUGUUUGUAAGGUGGCUUCGGAUGAGUUUAGGGUGACUAGGAAAGUAAAAGCAAAGGUAAAGAUAUCUGAUGAUGGAACGAUAAUGCCCAGAAUGCCUACAUCUAAAUAUGAGUGCGGACAACAUAGAUAAGUACAAUGUGGUAAAGAACACUGUAAAGCAAGCUGUGAGUGGAUCAAGGGAUCGGACUGUGAAAACCUCUACCAGCGUUUAAAUAGGAAGUAAGGCGAAGGGGACAUCUAUAAGAUUACCAAGAUUGGAGAGAGGGAGAUGAUGGAAGUAAGGCGAAAGGGGCAUCUACCGUGGCGAAUGCAUAAAAUAGAGAUGAUGACCAAGAUCGGAAAGAGGGAGAUGAUGGAUGUCAACCUAGUUAAAUGCAUAAAAAAAGAGCAGACCAGCUUCUGAUGAAGGACGAGGACCCUCAGUACCGUGGCGAAUGCGGUUGGAAGUCCCAGAUAGGAGGUUGCAUAAGGGGGUUACUCAGGUUCGGACCCUUGUAGUGAUGUAAGAACAUCUCCAACAGACAUGCGCUAGCGCCGGGCGUUAAAAAUUUUAUUCAGCACCGAAAUAGUGUUUUCAGCGUGCUGGAGAAUGUUUGCUCCAACAGGCGCUGCAAAAUAUGGCGCUCAAUCCGACGGCCCCACAUGCAGCGGCCAGCGCGCGUAAUCCGACGCCUCAAUAACGAAGCCCAAAAGCCAGCGUGCUCAAAAUUUGCAGCAUGGGCGCUCACGUUUUUUAUGCGCGCUCUAUUUCAGAGCUUUUGUUGGAGCUCUUUUUUCUGUCUUCGGCGUUUAAAAAGGAUAUCUUUUAGGGGGCGGAAGAGUUUUUGGGUGUGUGUUGGAGAUGCUAUAAUAUCCUACAUCCUACUUCAAAUUUGCAUCAUGUUGCAUCACCUCGUGCGAUGGGGUUAUAGAUGUGUAUGGCUAUCGACAAUAUAAUUUAUGUUGUGGAUGCGUAUGGCUACACCUACCCGCGCCUUAUAUGGGUGGCAAGGGCUAGGAUUUACACAGGAUCUAACCGAACUCAUGUUGCCGCCAUCUUGGCAUGCACGCCAAGAUGGUCCUUUUAUCUCUAUCGGGGCCUCCGGGAACCUCCCUGGUCCUUCACUGGGUCAUCUGGAUCCUGAGGCAGGCCUGUUGUCGGGCUUCCACCGAGAGGAAUUUCUCUUGCACAAUCAACAAUAAAAUGAGCAUUUCUCUUGCGCUUGAAGCGAGAAUUGUCUCAAAAAGAAUUUGAGCUUGAGGAAGGUUGGGAGCAACUCUUGGAGUCUUCUUCAAGAAAUGAUUCUUCUUCUUGAAAUGCUUGAAAUGCUUGAAAUGUUUCAUUAUCAAGGUGAGGUAUUUUCCAAAGCUGUCGGGAUCAUCAAAUUCUUCAUCAACAUUUUCCUCGUCUUUUUCCGUGGAAGAAUUCGAAGAAUCUUUGUGAGCAUGACUUUUGUGAUAGUUGGAACCAUACAAAUACCUUUUUCAUCUUCUUGUAACUCAUGAGGAGGGUUGAGACUUUUGUAGUGGGACGUUCCUUGUUCAUCAGAACUAGAGUGUUAAUAGAAUUGUCCAUAGAAUGUAGCAACUUGUUUACUACUUCAUGAUCAGUACCAAGUCCUUGAAGCUCACCUAAGAGGACACAUAGAUGAUCAUAAGUAUCGUGGACCCAUUCAUUUCCGGUUCUAUUGAAAAGAUUGAGGCAGUUUUGGAGAGUCUCAAUGUGAUAGUCUUUCCGUGUGGAUACACCCUUGUUCACUUUCUCAAGUUUAUCCCAGAUUCUGUUUGAAUUUUCCAACCUUUGGUGUCAAAGGAAUUGCGGCUUUAAGAGAUGAUUACUGACACGUCUAUGUUGCAUCAUGAUUUCUUAUUAGUAUUUAUAUGAUUCUUGGUCAUUAUCCCACUUUAUGGUACAAUUCUUAUGUCUUUUCUCUCUGAAUUUGCAAGGUACACCACAAAGAGGGAAAUUGCCGAAAACUGGAAUUUUGGACCUGAAAACCAAGAAAAAGGCUGAAAAUUCACUCGACUCCGAAUGACCGGAAACUUCACGAGGAAUGUUUGUGGAAUAUAUAUGAAUUUAUGGAGCAAAAAUAUACCAAAGGGGGGCCACCUGUUGGUGCCAAGCCAAUAGGACGCGCCGUGAUGGCUUGGGGCCAUCUCCGAGGCACUUCAGCCUCCCUCUUCUGCUAUAAGUUGGGUUUUGACCUAGAAAAAAAUAGGAAGAUACGUUCGUGAGGAAGCACCGCCGUCCCGAGGUGGAAACCUGGGCAGAGGCCCUUUUGCUCUUCGGUAGAGCGAUUCUCUCGGGGAAACUUCCCUUCGGGAGGGGGAAAUCGAAGCCAUCAUCAUCACCAACGCUUCCUCCUUCGUGGGAGGAUCAAUAUUAAUCAACAUCUUCACCAGAACCAUCGCAUCUCAAACCCUAGUUCAUCUCUUGUAUUCAAUCUUUGUCUCAAAACCUCAGAUUGGUACGUGUGGGUUACUAGUAGUGUUGAUUAUGUCUUGUAGUUGAUGCUAGUUGGUUUACUUGGUGGAAGGUAAUAUGUUCAGAUCCUUAUUCAUAAUUAUUACGCUUAUGAUCUUGAACAUGGUGAUGAUUUUUGAGUAGUUACUUUUGUUCUUGAGGACAUGGGAAAAGUCUUGUUACAAGUAAUCAUGUGAAGUUGGUAUUCGUUCGAUAUUUUGAUGAUAUGUAUGUUGUUGCUUCCUUUAGUGGUGUCAUGUGAACUUCGACUACAUGCCACUUCACCAUACUUGGGACUAAGGCAACACAUUAUGGAGUAAUAAGUAGAUGAUUGGUUGCUAGAGUGACAUAAGCUUAAACCCUAGUUUAUGCGUUAAUUCAUAAGGGGCUGAUUUGGCUCCACAGGUUUCAUGCUAUGGUUAGAUUUCUCUUAAUUCUUCUUUUGUAGUUGCGGAUGCUUGCGAGAGGAGGGAAUCAUAAGUGGGUUGCUUGUUCAAGUAAGAACAACACCUUAGCACCAGUCCACCCACAUAUCAAAUUAUCAAAGUGACGAACGCGAAUCAACUGAACAUGAUGAACAUAACUCGACAGAAAGUCCCAUGUGUCAUCAGGAGCACUUUGCUUCAUAUAAGAGAACCUUCAGGCUUGUCCUUUGCUGCAAAAAGGAUUGGGCUAUCUUGAUGCACACUUGCUACUUGUCACUUGUUCCGAAUUAUCUUUCUACAAAACUAUCUACCACUGUUACUCACAACACUUGCAAAGAAUGCCUUGCUGGAAAGUGCUUAUUAUUUCGUUAUCCUCCGCGUUCGGUUCAACACUCUUACUUAUCGAAAGAUACUCUCCGAUGCUCUCUUGAGAACUUGUUCUCAUCGCUUUUGCGAUUUUCCCUUCCUCCUUCAACCCCUAUGGAUGACUACUGCAAAUGUCGUUCACAUUUUCUUUAUAGCUACUCUUGUUAUUACAAGGUACAUCAAAUUAUCUUACCGUGGAUUCGGUUGUCCUCAGUUGUCAUGGGUUUCAUAAGUUCUUCAAAUUACUAUUCGAUCUUCUGAAAUCCUCAAUAGCCUAUUGUUCAUGACCCUUCUCACCUGCUUGUGUUAUGGUUAAAUCCAUAUGCCUAGUAACGUCCAUUAAAAUCCUUUGCAAUUGUCCUUUGAGCUUGUUGAUUCUACCUAUGUGUGAUUGCACACAAUCAUUAGUUGAUCCUUAUAAAUUAUCUUUCUAGCUCAAAUGUUUUUCCAAACAUGAGCUAGUUCUCACCAAAUCAACCUUGAUUUAUUGUCCAUCUAAGUCCAUUCACCUUACUUGUAUUUGAUCGGAGCAUCUGAAUAGGAUACACCAACCUGGGAAUCAUAAAUUCCUUUGGUAUUUAAGUAUCGAUAUUUUUCGGAUGUUCUAUAAUCCGAUGACUUGCAUUCUAUCCCCCUCUGUUUGAGUACCGAUACUCACAUGAGGUCCUUUAUGGACCGUCAGACCCAUUGUUGGGUUAUUAUCCGACGACAUCCGUCACAUUCAAAAAAUUCUUGUGAUAUUCCUCCCCUGAUACAUGAUGCCAUUGGUAAAUUGUGUCUUCUCCCUCUGAUAAGUUGUAUCCUAUGAUUUUGUCAGCCAUGCUCUUCAAGCAUGUGUUAAUUACUCUUGAAGUUUGUGGUAUAUAUUCCUAAGAUGCCUCGAUGGGUUGAACCUAUGCCUUCCUAAAUCAAUGUGAUCCCAAGGGUUUUCACGAUUCUUACUCUUCUGAUGUUUUGCCAGAUAAUCUUUCCAAGUUACAACUUCAUCAAAGGCGAGGAGUAAAUGGCAGGUGAUGCAUUUAUGAAGUGGGAGUCGACCUUGAACUUUGUGUUCAUGCCCAUGGAAACGACGUUAAUCCUAUCAUAGUAGCUUCUCUUAUCAAUAAUCAUCCAAUCUAUGUUUUAAUCUCGUACCUAUGAUUUGGUACUUUGCAACCGUGGUUCCGACCAUGUAGUUCUACUUUGGUUUCAUUCUUAGACAAGUUAAAGUGCUUGUCUUCUUCAGAUCAAUACAUCGGUCCAAGCUCUAAUGUUGAUCUACCUCCGAGUAUUAUCCCUCGUAUCCCGAGAAUAUCGCAGAGCUACAUAACUUCUUCUGAGCUCCUCAUCAACUAUGAUAUUUCGUUGAUUCCAGUUUCCUCGUGUUCUGAGUUGUUGGACACUCAAGGACAUCGAUAACUAAAUCGAGUAUGCAUUACGAUUCCACAACGCAUAGUAAUCUUCUUUGCUUAUGAGUUUGUACUCGAUCAUGGCAUUCCAAGCUGUAGGCUAGAUCAUCAUCGUCAUGCUAGAGCUUGACCAUGAUAUAUCUGCGUUUAUCCUCAGAACACAUUUCCAACGGUGCAUUAAGCUUACGUAGAGAUUUCAACAUCAUGUUGGUUGUCUUGAAAGGCCAUUUCGAUUCUGAGCUAGCAAUCUUACCUGUGUUUCUGACAACCUUUCGCUUCACCAUUCUUUUGCUAGACGUUGUCGCUGAAUGAUUACAUCUUCAUGUAACUUAUCAACAAAUGUGUCGUGAUCAUCAUCAGCAUUCUGAGCUCUUCGAGGAUGUCAAUCGAAUUCUUGAUGAGGAAUACCAUCCUUGCCCCUCGAUGAUUUAUGUUAUCAUCGACAACCCUAUUGCCUUCCCUCCAAUCUAAACUUGUUCGUGUUUCGUGUUGCCCCUGUAAUUCCUUGCUAUCCAUCUUAUGUUAUCUUCUACCUGGGAGUAUUACCAUCUUUUAUGUCGAGAAUGUUGUGAGAAUUGUUGCACCUCUUAAGAAUUCUUGAUAUAGUGGUACUUCUCGCCAUCACCAUUCAUUUCUUGGUCCCCGUGUUGUCUCUAAUCGGAAUACCGACAAGUGAACUCUGAUGUGUGGUUCCAAUACUUCUAGCAAUCCUAUCACUUUGAAGUUAAUGACUGAUAGUUCCAUUCUGGGUGUGUUGGUUGUUGACUCACCAUUGCAGCAUUAGUCCUGCUACUCAGACCGUAUCUACGAGUGCACGGUUCAAUCAAUGUUUAAUUGUUGAUGUUUCCUCGAGCAUACGUCAUUAUAUCAUUUGAUUUGACAAAUGCUAUCUCCUUGAUCUUAUAAUUCUGGAAAUUCAUCCCUAUCGAAAUCUUGAGGGAUUGUUGCUGAGCCCAUCGGCCACACCCUCAACUUAUUCAUGGUUCACGACGAAGCUUUUGAAGGCAUUAUCCUUGUGCCUGGCUCAUGAAGAAUGUGUUUGAUAGAAGAUGUGUUUUCCCAAGGUUCACGUGCAUUCUUGUUGCUGUGAAUAUGAGAAAGUUUUGUUUUGGUUCCUCAAGGAUCAUCCCAAAUCAUUCACGCAUGUGCGAAGUGUUAUAUGUUUUGAAGAAUUUCUAUCUUCACUUCAUAUAACUUCUCUUAGCACUCCAAGCCACUGACUGAUUUGAUCGAGGAAAAUAAGUUCCUUCAUAAGAGCUAAUCCAGACUUACACAAGGAUUUUUAUAUCCUCGAUGAUGGUUCCGAAAUCAGAACUCGGAUGCAUUUCGUUGUAAGAAUUCCAUGUGGGCACGAAUGUCUUGACAUUGUGUUCGUGAGUCUUACAACCCGACUUACGGUUCAAGAAUUGCUCCUGUAGUUCAUAUACUGAGAAUCUUGCAUCAUCAUCUUUUCUUCUCACACAUCUUGAGUCUGAGGUGCCCUGACACCAAUCAGAUCUGAAUCUUGGGCAGAUAUGAUGGUUGGAACUUUUCCCAAUAAUCAUAACUUUGGUCUUUAUGUAAACCGGUACGGUGCUGUCUUGUCUAGCACACCGGGCCGAAGGACCUAUUGUUAUAAUAACUUGUUCAACAAGAUUCUCCAUUAUUUUGUGAGAAAAUUGUAAGACUUGUGUUAUAAGUUGUUCCUCAUGUAUCCCUUGUGUAGCCAAAGUCCGACCUUUAUUUGACGACCAUGUCGAUGCUACCUCAAAGCACGGAUGCGGUACUUCGAAUUUCAACAUGAACAUUGGAAGCGCAAUGCUAAAUUGUUCUUGAUCAAUUAUCUAAACCGUAUGGUAUGGAUAAACAUCAUGAUUCUCCUUGCUCCUUUAUCAAAAUGGUUAUGUACUUGAUGACCUAUCAUGUAUACCAUACUCUAUUUUCCUCGGGAAUGGUAUACUCUAAUACUUGUGUGUGUGAACACAUUUUCCUUUCUAUUGGUUUGUUUAAACCUUCUUAUAAGCUAAUUUAUCUGAGCAUCGACAAUUCCUUGCUUAGGUAAAAACCUUGGUGAACAACUCUGUCAGUAAGACCCUGUUACUAUUGUGGAUAACAUUACGGUAGCCAUUGGUGGACGAGAACCUUGCCUAUUGGUUCGCCUCGUUUCAGCGGGCAGGAACAUGGUUCUAUUCGUCCCCUACCCUUGGUACCGAUCUUGUUGCCAACAUAACAGACAUGUUAUCCUCCAACAUGUCUUGCUAUCAAUACCGUAUAGAAUGUCACCGCUUUGCCUACUCUUAACCCACAUGGUGGACCCAUAACCCAAAUUCCACAGGAUAUAAACCUGACUCUCCUGUACAUCUUUGACUUCAGAGUAUCCUUUGAACUUGGCUUCGUAUGAAAUUCCCGAGCCACCGUCCAAUGGGACGAUCUAUUCAGUAUCAUAAGCAAUAUUUAUAUUCGUUGCUCUAAACCCCCUCCCAUCUCUAUUUAGGCAUUAAACGAUUGCCUAGCCGUUUGAAACCUUGGUACCCUCGCAUGUUACUCUCAACGAAUUUCGCGACUUACAACUUGAGUAAUAGUUGAUGUCCUUUUCCUUGAGUUCGUCGGCACAUGCCCAACUUUGUGUAGCUACGUUCUUCCAAAGUUUUCCCUAUUAUCGCAUUCGUAGGAUGAUGAAGACCCCGAAGGAAGGAUGACAAAUUCAUCAGGAUGACCUAAGUAAGAUAAUUAAAGACUUCAACGAAACGCAUAAAAUUCUUUGGAAAGGACAAAAAAGACCGAGAAGACCCGUUAGAAAUUCGUAACCAAACGUUUCCCCCUUACCUCUACCUCUUAAUUCUCGAGACGAGAAUUUCUUUUACUGGUGGAGAGUUGUGACAUCCCCGGGCUAUGCUACACUAACCCCUGUAAUCAAGCUACAGUAAUCACACGCUAAUGGUGCCAUGUCAUCAAGAUUAACUAAGCCAAAUUGCCCCUUGAUAAAAAAACCAAAACUAAAUUCAAAUUUAAAAUAAAGUAAAAUAAAUUAUUUCUUCCAACUAUAAAAUAAAAAUCAUGAAUAGGUUGUAAAUAAUCCCUUGGUAAAUAUAAAUUGUAACCAACUUUUUGUAAGUAAUUAAAGGCUUUGAAACCAUUAAAACAGAGGCCAAACAAUAAUUUGAAUGCCCUAUUUAAAUCCUAUAAAUUUCCAAACCACUUUAAAUAAAUGUCAAACUUUUUGUGACAGUUUCUAAAAAUGUAAUAUAGAUAAUGGACCGAGUGCCAUUUUUUUACAAAAGAUUGUUGUUACAAGAAUAAUUAGAACUGAAACAGAUAAAAGAAAAAGCAAAAUGAAAAGAAAAAGAAAUAAUAAAACCCCCUUCCCCCCGGGCCACGGCCCAUGUGCCCCAUCCAGCGAGCCGAGCCUGGCCUCCCCGCCGUCGGCCCAACCAGUGGUAUAACCCCCCCCCCNNNNNNNNNNNNNNNNNNNNNNNNNNNNNNNNNNNNNNNNNNNNNNNNNNNNNNNNNNNNNNNNNNNNNNNNNNNNNNNNNNNNNNNNNNNNNNNNNNNNNNNNNNNNNNNNNNNNNNNNNNNNNNNNNNNNNNNNNNNNNNNNNNNNNNNNNNNNNNNNNNNNNNNNNNNNNNNNNNNNNNNNNNNNNNNNNNNNNNNNNNNNNNNNNNNNNNNNNNNNNNNNNNNNNNNNNNNNNNNNNNNNNNNNNNNNNNNNNNNNNNNNNNNNNNNNNNNNNNNNNNNNNNNNNNNNNNNNNNNNNNNNNNNNNNNNNNNNNNNNNNNNNNNNNNNNNNNNNNNNNNNNNNNNNNNNNNNNNNNNNNNNNNNNNNNNNNNNNNNNNNNNNNNNNNNNNNNNNNNNNNNNNNNNNNNNNNNNNNNNNNNNNNNNNNNNNNNNNNNNNNNNNNNNNNNNNNNNCACGCGCGCGCGUGCCUGCGUGAGCCACGCCUUGGCCGCGCGCCUGCUGAUGCUACUCCACGGCCAACCUCGCUGCAUGCUCCUGCGCCUCACAUGUCGCCGGCGCCAACCCCGCUGGCCUCUCCCCAUUGGUCACAACCGCGUCGCCCCCAACCCCAAUUUGGUCAGGCGAAUUAACCCCCCCUUUGUUAGCAAUUUCCCACUAGAUGACAUGUGGGGCCUCCCCCUAAAACGUGUCUAAAAAAGGAAAAUAAAUAAAUUAAAUGUGUAAAUAAAAAUAUAACAAAUUAAUAAAUUUAUUUAACCAAGUUAAUUAAUUAGGUAAUUAAUUAAUAAGCUAAUUAAGUAGCCUAAUUAACCUCUAAUUAACCUAUCAAAUUAAUUAGAGCAAUUAAUUGGAUUAAUUAAACCUAAUCUAAUUAAUUAAUUCUGUUAAUUUAAUAGAGGGUAGGACAUGUGGAUCCCAUACACCUAAUCAAACCUGUUUAUUAAUUAGUUAAGCCUAGAUUUGAAGUGUGACUAUGACAGGUGGAGCCCAUUGGUCAAAUUGACCACUCAACCCCACUAUUGAUUACUGAUGACAGCAUGCCAUCAUGCUGUUGUCACAUUUAAAAUAUUAAAACAAAGUUAAAUCUGUUUAUUUAUAAAAUAAUUAUUAAAACAUUAAAAAUUAAUAUAAUAAUUCGGAUGAAAAUAAUUUAUACAUGAAAGUUGAUCACAAAAACGAGACGAACCCGGAUACGCUAUCCGUUCGUCUAUCACGUGUACCUAGCAUAGCGAACAUGGAACUUUUCCAUCCAUUUCGCCUGAUAAGUAAUAGACAGAGACCCGGAAAAUAUCGUCGGAUAUUAUUCCGAUCCGUCGAUGACGUAUAGUACCACGUUAGCUCAUGCCUAGCUCUGCCUUUAGCCAUGCCAUUCUUUGUGAUGCAUUUGAUUGCUCUGUUAUUUAUCGUGUUUCCCCUACGUUACUUCCUUUCUGGUAGACCCCGAGACCGAUGAUGAUCCGGUGAUUGACUACUUCCCGGUCGAGGAUCCGUUUUGUCUGCAGAGUACCCAGGCAAGCAAACCCUCUUGAUCAUUCCUAUAUCGCAUAUUUCUUUCUCCCUCGUGCUUGCAUUAGAAUUUUGCUACUGUUGUAGUUAGCUCCUAUAGCUGAUGCAUAGCCUGUUUUUUAUGAAGUGCUACUUUCCAAUACCGCACUUUAAACUGCUUAGUAUAGGUGGCACAAUCAUCCCCUUUGACCCCUUAGACCAGUUGCCCUCGCUUUAUCGUCAAGUCUCGAUCAACUAAUCGACGAGCCAAGACCCGACACAACACUUACACCCUCCCUUAGUUGUACGACGCUGUAAGGCUACUAUCGAGUACCGAGGAUGACACCUCGAUACGUACUCCUGAUGUUAGCUCUGUAGUGUAAUUAACCGGCGGUGGUUCUGAGAGGGUGAUUCCUCGUUCACCACCUCUGAUAACGACUCUGUCGUACAACCCAUCAACCUGGCCCAGCCUGGGUGAUUCCUUCCUGCCCACCUUGACAGUUACAUCAUUCGGAAUCCGUAGAGGGUGAUACCUCCGAUCCCUCUAAUGUUACAACCACACAGUUACUUGACCGUGCUACUGGGAACAUUGAUGAAUGAUGUUUGGCGGGUGGAUACCCGCGUGGAUGUGUCGAUGAAUAAUUAAAAUGCUAAGGAUUUGGGUAUUUGAUCUGGGUUGGUUGGAGACCUUUUUGCACUAACCGUCUACAUGUGAGGAGUUAUGGGUUCUCGACAUCGUGGUAUCAGCCGAAGCUCUUCAGACCUCAGCAAUGGAGCGGCGCGCGCCCGAGUGGCAUGGAUAAUCAUCGUUCGUGUAUAAGAAGUGACAAGAUUGACAUCGCCCGCCCUUGCAUUGUGCAGGAGCGCAAAGGGUGAUGGGCCCAUGACCCCUGCGCGCUUAGGAUUUAGACCAGCAGGCUGGCCUCUCUGUUGAGCUUAGGUGGGGUUGCGACGUGUUGAUGUGCCGAGGCCAGGCAUGACCCAGGAAAGUGUGUCCGACCAGAGUUUAUCAAUUGUGGCGGGAAACUUGGUGCACCCCUGCAGGGAAGAAAAUUAACUAUUCGAAUAGCCGUGUCCAUAGUUACAGGACGAUUUGGAGUUGCACCCUGAUCUUAUACAACUACAACUGUUACUUAACUGGAAUGUUUGCUAAAGGAUUGCUUCCUCACAGGGAGUCGAGGGAGGAUCUCCGGGCGUGACUAUAAUUAAUAUUACUGCAACAGUAUGACUAUAUAUCUGUGUUACUUGCUCUACUCUCGUCUAUUGCUGCAAGACCCCUGAAGAUGCUAGUCUUUGAUAGGACUAGUCCCUCUCUCUCUAUUCUCGUAUUGCUGCAGUGAGUCCACAUAUGACCCCUUCCUUUGAUACCGAUGCAUAACUUAGCAUAGUUCUAAUGUCAGUCUUGCGAGUACUUUGAAUGAGUACUCACCGUUUCUUUGCUCCCCCUUUUCCCCUUGGUACGUUACUCCGACCAGAUGAUGGAGCCCAGGAGAUGGCAUAUCCCGCCGACAACGACUGCUCCCCCGACGGUGUCUGCUACUACGGGGAGGCCGCUGAUGACCAGGAGUAGCUUAGGAGGUUCCCAGGCAGGAGGCCACGCCUCGUUCGAUCGUUAUCUCUUUUGUGCUAGCCUUCUCUAAGGCAUCGUCAUAUUUCAUGUGUGGACUCAGAUAUUUGUUGCUUACGCUAACUCGUGUGUUUAUCGAGCUUCUGUAUUCUAGCCCUCGAGGCCCCUGGCUUGUAAUAUGAAGCUUGUAUGUUUUUAUUUGUGUCUAGAGUUGUGUUGUGAUAUCUUCCCGUGAGUCCUUGAGCUUGGUCAUACGCAUUUGCGUGUAUGAUUAGCGUACGAUCAAAUCAAGGGUGUCACAGGUGGAGAGGGUUGGGCUUCAGUGGGAUGAGACCUCUUUUGUUUCUUGGCUUCGACUUCAUCUUGCUUGGUUAUCUUGCUUGAUGUAGCAGUUGAAGGUUGUGGGUUCCGAGGGCCUGAGAAACCAGUGGGAAACUAAAUGCCUCUUGAUGCAGGUUGAGGAGAAAUUUGUUGAUCCAAAGACUUUGAAGCUUUCUUGGAGUGUUCAAUAAUUUUUGGAUCAAGGGUAGGCUGGCCAAGUGCUUUCCUCUUUAGCAUUGCAUUGUGUGAUUGGACCAUCUGUUCAAUCUUUUUCUCGAGACACAUUAAGGCGCCUUUGACAGCAUCACAUCUCUUUUCAAACUCAUCCUUGAGAUCUUUCAUCAUGAUUUGAUAGACAUGUAUCUGAUUGGCGUAAAACUUGUAGAUGUUUUCCUUGAGAAGUGUCUUUUCAUGGUGAAUCUUUUCACGCUGUUGUACUGCCUUUUGAGCAACAGUUAACUCUUCAUUUACUAGCCCUUGGAAGGUGACACUCAUGCCAAUUGGGAGCUCGAGAGAGUCGACAGUGAGAGUGAGAUCAGCAAACCACUCAUCUAUGAACUCGCAUAUGAUGUUUGCAUCAAAGAGAGGUAAGUCUUCGAGACACUUGGCCUCUUCCUAUUUCUGUUGGAUAAGCUUCGCCAGAGAUUCAUCGUCGAACUCAUCAUCAGAGAGCUUAAUCAUGUUGGCGGCAUCCACCAACGAAAGGGAUGCCUUUGGCCACGAGCAGCAGUCGCUUUUCUCUUCAUACGCUUAUGCAUGCGAGAUUCAUCCUCAGCUUCUUCUCAAUCAGAUGACCAUGAAGCCUGAGAUGCUGCCGCAGAUUUGGAAGCCUUUGAAACCUUAGGCUUUGAAGCCUUUGAGGGCCUUGAAGCCUUUGACAUAUGCUUAGGCUUUGGGUUUGUGGCGGGGGAAGAUUUUCUUCAGCACCGUUAGCAACAUCUUUUUCAUUAUCAUCAUCACCAUCAUCCCGAGGGGUGAAGCCUAGCAUGCUUGUUGGAUCUGCAUUUUAUGGUAUGGGUGGCCGGAACAUGCACGGGAAAAUCCAUGACCAAUUGCUUCAGCCUUUGUCUUCAUAAUAAGAUUCUUGUAGACAAUGUCUGUCCAUGGGGCCUUCUCAGAGUGCUUCUUAGCAUAUGCAUCAGUCAAAAAACGAUAAUAGAACCACUCCACAGCCCAAUAUCUUCGAAUCCAUUAGGUUAGAUUCUUGUGUUGAGUGUAUGAUUCUUCUGGAUUAGAUUUGUAGCGUUCAUACAGAUCUGGAGGUAAAUCCUUUGCUGUGUUCAGACGUCUUCGUUUACCCCCCCUUCUUUGGAGUGCCAUCUCUUGCCAUUGUCUUCGACAAAAGCUUCACAGGAGAGAGAAAACAGGAGUAGGCUUCAGAAGAGUCCAGGUGAAUCUACAAGUAGUCUGCAAAUGAAUUCAGACUAUGAGAUCCUAGCGAUUCUGCUUCACACAUGUACCUGUGAGAGAAUUGGAGACGCGAGGGAAUAGAGGAGGUCAUAUGCAUUCCCAAAAGUUUUUUUGAAGAUAAAUCAUGGUUUGAAGACAUUAACCUCGUUCACCGAAGACAUUCACUUUUGUAAAGGUUAUGGUGGUUUUAGAUUUGUACAAGUCCGAGUAUUCAUACAAGUGAGAAAUCAAACCAAUAUAUGGACCAACAAAAAGUGAAGGCAUUGGGAGUUCAAGAUUUGAGUGUUGUUGUUAGAAAAAAACAGCUUUCAAAGAUUUUUGGUAACUUUUCAAAUCGAGAAGCAGUAAAUAAUAGAGCUUUAAUUACCGCGGUGAAGAACUCGAAGAAUAGUUUGACGAGGCGAGGAGGCCGAACUGCUCGAUCUGCCACACCCUAACUCGGUGGUGACAAACAGCUACGACGGCGGCGAGGGGAGAUGUAUGUGGCCGACAUGAGUACGUCGUCGGAGAGGUUGCGACAGCCAAGCGCGUCGUCUCCAGCGGCAAUGAAAUCUUGUGGCAGCGCUAGGGUUGGGGAGCUCAAGAGGUGGCGAUGGGAAGGAAGGUAAUAAAUACAACAUGCCUCAUGUAUUUAUAAUGAGAGGGACAUCUGAAUUUUGUGGACUGGACUGCCCCUGACGCUUCGGGAGUAGUGGGACAUGUGACAUGUAGCGAACUCCCCUACAUUCUAUCUGUUGCGCCAGAUGCGGGAAUUUGUUUUGAUAAGUGCGGUAAAAUGGUUUUUGAAGGUUUUAAAUGUUCGGUUGAGUUUGUCUUCGACUUACAAGGACGCAAUGAAGACAAUCAACACGUGUCAAGUAGAAUGCACGUGACUGGAAUUGAACAGUGUUAGAUGAGAUAAGAAUAGAUGGGGUAUCGGGUCCGAUCACAUUUUGCCUAGAUAAAGUUUGAAGAUAUAGCAAUAGACAAAAUGAUGUAGAGGACAAAAUUUCCUAAAGUCAAAUAGGACAUGUCUCAUUUGCAAAUGUUCAAGUUCGAAGUCAUGUGACAAAGUUGAAGAUAAACUCAAAUAUCUGAAGACAUUGAUAAACAUGCAUGAUAAAGGGAAAUGUCUUUAGAUGGGGUUGGUGGCGUUGCCCACCAUAUAAGAAUAUUAGACCCAUACACGGCGCACAAUUAUCGUGGCACUCUGAAGUCAUAUGCUUCGUUAAUGUAUUCACACUUAGAGUGUAAGUCUUCAUGAGUUGAAGACAUACAUUACUUUGUGUGUUGUGCAUCAAAUUCAUCAAUAUGCAUAAGCGUUAGGAUGUAUGCCCAUUCAAAGGACAUUUGAGGAUUCUAAGAUAUUUAGUUCACACCGCAACUUGCAAAAUCUGUUUUCAUCCAAAGGCUUCGUGAAGAUAUGAGCCAAUUGAUCUUCAGCGUUUGCAUGCUUGAUGUUGAUGUCGCCCUUCAUCACGUGAUCUCAAAGAAAAUGAUGUUUUAUCUGAAUACGCUUCGUCUUUGUGUGCUGUACUGGGAUGUAGGAGAUCUUGAUUGCACUCUCGUUGUCACGGUAGAGUGGAACAGGCUUCACGUUGAUGUCGUAGUCCUUCAAUGUUUGCGUAAUCCAUAGAAGCUAUUUGCAGCAUGCACCAACAUCAAUGUAUCCGACUUCAACAAUGGAAAGUGACACACACACUUCAUCUUCUUUGAAGACCAACAUACGAGUGAUCAUCCUAGAAACUGAGAGGUGCCUGAUGUAGACUUGCGAUCAACUCUCUCGCUAGCAAAGUUAGAGUCUGAGUAGCCGAUGAGGUCCAAGUUUGAGCUAGUUGGAUACCAUAAUCCUAGAGUUGGGGUGUGAACCAGAUAUCUAAGUAUUCACUUCACAGCUAAGUGAUGCGAUUCCUUUGGUGCCGCUUGAAAUCGGGCGCACAUUCAAACGCUAAGAAUUAUAUUUGACCUAGAUGCACAUAGCUAAAAUAAAGAGCAAAUCAUGGAGCGAUAUACCUUCUGAUCGAAAUCUUUACCAUUUUUGUCAGUGCAUAGGUGACUGUUUGUUGGCAUUGCGUCUUGUAACCUUUGGCUUCGUUCAUGCCAAAUUUCUUGAGACAAUCCUUAAGGUACUUCUCCUGAGAGAUGAAUAUGCCAUUGGGUUGUUGUCGAAUCUAAAGAACUUUAGUUCUCCCAUCAUAGACAUCUGAUAUUGUUCUUGCAUCAUGAAGCCAAACUCAUCACUAUAUCGAUUGUUAGUACAGCCAAAGAUGAUGUCAUCCACAUAGAUUUGACAUACAAACAGUUCAUCAUCAUAAGAUUUUGUAAAUAGAGUGGGAUCGAGUGAACCAGGUUUGAAGCCUUUCUUCUUGAGGAAUUCCUUGAGAGUGUCAUACCAAGAUCUUGGUGCUUGCUUGAGGCCAUACAAUGCCUUGUUAAGCUGGUAGACUUUUUCAGGAUGCUUGGGAUCUUCAAACCCUGGUGGUUGAGCGACAUAUACUUCUUUCUCAAUCUUACCAUUGAGGAAUGCACUUUUGACAUCCAUUUGAUAUAAGCAUAUAUCGUGAUGGUUAACAUAAGCAAGCAAAAUACGUAUAGCUUCAAGCCUAGCAACACGUGGAAGUGUCUCAUCGAAAUCGAUACCCACAACCCGUGUGUAGCCUUGAGCCACAGGUCGACCUUUAUUUCUGAUGACUUGUCCUGAUUCAUCUUGCUUGUUGUGAAAUAUCCACUUUGUGCCAAUGAUGUUGUGCUUCCUCAGAUCAGGACGCUUGAUGAGUUCCUAGACAUUGUUGAGCUCGAACUGAUGAAGCUCUUCUUGAAGGCUUCAUCUAGCUUGGUGGGUUCGGAGAUAGACACAAAAACAAAUUGCCCACGAAAGUUAGCAAGUUGGUGAGCUCUUGAGCGAGUGAGUGGACCUGGUGUGUUUAUGCUGGCAAGCAUCUUUUCAAUUUGAACUUCAUUCUCCGCACGUGGAUGAGCAUGUCGAAGACUUUGAUUUGGCUGCUGAGCAUUGUCUUGUCAGCAACAUUGUCUUCGACAUUAGUAUUAUCUUCGCGAUGAGUAGGCAAUGUAACAAUGACUUCCUCUACUUCAGGUUCUUGAGGCACAAUUUCUCCAGUGCCCAUUGUCGGGGCGCAGAUGCUCAAGAUCACCUAUGGUACCAAGGGCCCCUCUUGGUUCGACAAGGGGGUCAUGUUGAAUGAAGAGCGGAGAACAUGAGAUGGCGCAACGGUCGGGGCACAUGCAUUUUACCCAGGUUCGGGCCGCUGCGUACAACCCUACUUUUGCUUUUUGGUGGAUUGAUGGUGGGAACAUGAAUAACACAAUGCACCUAGCCCCGGCAAGCUACCUGGGAAGAGUGAUCGCGUGAAUACAAGUGAUCGAAGGUUCGAAAUGCCAACCUUGAGCUAGGUUUCCUUGGGCCUCCUUUUAUAGCACAAGGGGUCAGCACAAUGGCAAAACAUACGUUAUCUGUUGAUUAGAUAGGCAACACUACAAACAUACUUAACUGUGGCACUUAGGACAAAAUGCCAUAAAUGCUAGCCUAGGUGGCGUGCAGGGAUGCAUUCCUGACAGGCUUCUACCACCGCUUUAGCAAACUACUGCUUCAUGUCCUGACACGCCUCUGGAUGGGUGUCAAGUGGGCGUGAUCCAUCUUCUAGCGAACCGCCACAUACUUAGCGAGAGCCACUUAGCCACUUGAGGGCUCGGCACUGCAUUGGCAAACGACUAGCAUUGCGAUGCGGUGGAGCAGCGGCCGAUCGGCUCGCGCCUGCUGGGGGAUGGCUUGCCAGGCCUUCUAGGAGGGUGCUCACUUUGGUCCUCGGCAGGUGCCGGGGAUGUGACUGGCACGACACAGUCUAGGCUUGGGGUGCUGCACUGAGCUUGCUGGAAUCUUAUCUUGGUAGCUGCUGGGCCAGCGUGGCCUUUUGUGGCUGUUGUUGCUGGGCGCUGGGUGGCUGCUUGUCCGUGCACAAAUCAGGGGAAAAGAAUACCCCUGUUUGUUUACUCCGACAGAAGCCCCCGGGCCUGAACCAGACGUUUCGCUAGGCACGUUGGGUUAGGCCCCAAACAAGCACGGACACGCGGCGAAGGGGUUCUACUUUUUCACCCACGUCCACUCUGUGGGUCAUGGGGUCGUGGACGAGGGCCGUCGGAAAAAAGGGAAGUCCAGUGAUAAACGACAGUUUUUUGAAAGAAUUGCAAAGAGCCAACCUCCGUGCAGGCCCCUUUAAAAAGGACAAAGCAGAGGGGGCGCUGAUCAUUCACACCCCUUCCUCCGCCCUUCAUCUUCCUCCUCAAGCCAGAGAACUGCUCCGCAUCCAUUCUUGGUUUUUUCGAGUGCCGCUAGCUCAUCCGCCGACGUCGAAAGGUUUGAGGAUGGGGCAGAAGAAGGCUGCAUCAAGGGGAAGUAGGCGGCAACAUCCGUGGAUCCGGCGGCCGUGGAAAGGAAGAAGAGAGCAGAAGAGUUCGAGAGGCGGCGGCGGGGAGAUAUGGUUUUCUCUCCGUCGAGCCUGGACGACAACACCCUGAUCCACAAGUAUUGUUGGGGAUAUAACCCCGUGAUAUAAGCCGCCCUGGAGGGGCCGGGUUAGGAGGUUGAUGAUUUAACAAAUACAAACUUAAUGGGCCUGAAGACUAAGAUAAGCCUGGAGGUGGGUUACCAGGCAGGCCAAACAGCAGGCCCAGAGCCAGAAGAAAGUGUGCGACCCGAAGGCGUAAGCCGUCCAGAGAGGGUUUGCUGAUUAAGGCAAGGCGACUUAGAGCCAAGAUCGGUUACAAAGUGUAACCCGGAUUGGACUUUUGUAAGCCAAGUGCCUCGACCUGUGUAUAAAGGCGAGCCCCUGCGGUGACUUAGGGGGAGAGAAAAAGGGAUCGAGAGCAAGGUCAUGCGGAUCUGCUCCCUUGUAAUCAAUACCUAAUCAAUACAACACAAAGCUUGAUGUUGGCUUUUACCUCCUUCGUGAGGGGCCGAACCUGGGUAAACUUGUUUCUCGAUCCCGAUCAACCCCUUCGAGUCACCACAUAACCACGAUGGCCUCACACCUUAGUCCUUUUGCGAGGACAUCUGCUGUGACAAAACCAUGACAGUUGGCGCCCACCUUGGGGCAAUCGUGCAGUGGAGUUGAGUUCUCGAAGGGAGCCCUUCCAGGGUUCGGGAGCUAUGCAGUUGGGCAGAUGACCAAGAAUCACUGCGACAAGCUUUACAUUGAUGAUGCUAGCUGGGGCCGAGAGUCCGACUCAAUCGAGUACGGGUACGGGACCCCUUUGGCAGGAUCGGCGCAUCAUGGCCUGAGCCAGACAUCUUCAUCAACAUCAUUGAGACGGCUUAGCUCGCCCAACCCAGCCGACGUCAAGCUGGCCAAGAUCACGUCUUCGGCAAGAUCCGCGAGGAAACCCAAGUUAACCCUAACGGCGAGUCAACCAUGGGAGGCACCGAAUCAAGCUAUCCACUCGACGAUGGGUGGCUUGGGGGGUUCCUCGGUAGCAGAAUUCAUCGAGGAAUUAUGUGAACCACCCCGUCAGAUCACCAUCCACAUAGCAGGGACAACGACAACUCAUGACCUCGCGGCAGAAGUCGCCAAUGGCACUGGCGGGUCAGGCAAGACGCUAGCUCAGGCCAUGAUGGAUUUAAUGGAUGGGAUGGCAAAAUUCAUGGCAACGCCGGUAAUUACAGAGAACCAGGGGGAGCACAAUGUGGAACUGAUGAAACUUCGCGAAGAGAUGGCCAAAAUCCAGCAAGAGAUUGACAUCGAGACCACUCAGAUGGUGGAAUUACAAGCUCAUAUUCAUAAUGAGUCGGCGCAUGAAGGCCGAGGCUUGGCAGUUAGGGCUUCAUAGAAAUGCCCCUGAGGUGAUGCACCAGAAGAGACAUCCGAGCCGGUGGCCAUUAAACCUUGAGACGAAUCAUUUGUUUACCAAUCCACCCACGCUGGGUUGAUAGAUGGAGUCCGAUGGGAACUUAGGAAAACAAGGCAGCAAUGGAAAGUGUAAACAGGCUGAUGGCGGGUGAGAAAUUGUUGCUAACACCAAUGCCGAUUUCGAAAAUCAGUGCUAAAACAACGGAAAACCUAAACAAGCCAAUCGACGCAAUAGGAAAAAGCCGCGCAACUAUGAGGAAACACUCAAGGGGCCUUGUCCCAAGCAUGGUACCCAGGAUAACCCGACCAAUCAUUCAUGGGAGAAUUGCGAUAUCAUGCAGAGGUUCCGUGAACAAGUCGCCCAAGAGUGCAAGCCGCCAUAAUGCGCUGUUCAAAGCAUGGGUGACCUACCUUAUGGGUGAAAAAAUUUAAAAGUCUCCCAGGAGGACGAGUCGCCAUGAUACACGGUGCAGACAUAGGCACCCUAUUAUGAUAAGUGGAAUCAAGCCGGCUUUCCUAUGCUGAGCUUGCCCAUGCUCAUAGGUCACUUGGGGACUUCCAACUCACUGAGUUUAGCUUUCAUACCCUCUUGACCAGCUUGACGUCAUUUUGAGUUAAACAUGCCUGAUUGCAACUUGCUACACCGCCAGGUGACCUGCCGUACGCUUGACAGACACUCUUUUUAAAAAGACCCUGAACGUGUCAAAGUUAAAACGGUGGUUUAUGUCACGAGAGAGCCGACUUGCAAUGAGCUAGGAUAAACUCACCCGUUUGUUGUAACUCCUCCGCUAUGUGGCCCAUUCGUACUCUUAACAGUCUCUCUUUUUAAAAAGACCCUGAACUAAUUAAGGUUAAAACGACGGAUUUAUGUCACGUGAGAGCUAGCUUACGGGCUUUUAGGUUAUUAUGCCUAGCUUUUUGACACCAAAAACCUUGAGUUUUAUCAAAUUAGAGUUGUGCCUCCAAAGCCGCCUUAUUAUGAGUUGUCAUACCUGCUUUAUCAGCCGGUCUUGAAACCGGGUUAAAAGUACAAACUUUUGCAGGAUCAAAUAGAUCUUCAUCAUGGUUUAUUAUAACGAGUAUUAAAUGAUUGGGAUUUUUUAAGUCAGCUCAGAAGAUUUGAAUAUUCUUGAAGAGCCGCCCUAUCAUAUGUAAAUGUCGAGUCAUCUAAUUGACUGGCUCUUGGAUUGUUCCAACUUGUGCUCUGUAGUAAACUGCAACACUUAUGGAUUUCUCAAAAACAUAUUUGUUGGGUUGCAAUGCAACCACGAGCAGGGAUUUCAUUUAAAAAACAGGCAUUAUUCCAGAAUACUCAUACCAGGUUAUAUUACAACCACGGUCAAGGAUUCAUUCAAAUCAGAUUAAUAUGACAGAACCUCUGAAGUGCAUUAUGAUGAGUUAUAUAGUCCCAAGUCGUUGCAGGCAAACUACCCGACACUUGGGGGCUACACAUUGCUGCCCAAAUUUACAUAAUCAGAACUACAAAGUCCCUGCUUAUUAUUUGCAUAAAGAGUCGGCUUUUGAGAACUACACAUUGAGACACCAGGUUGUUGCCAGAACAAAAGCUCGACACUUGCCAAGUCUCACUGAGCCGACUUAUUAUGGGUUAUCACACCCGUUUUGUUCAAAGAUUGAGUAUUGAGGGGACACUAUUAUUUUACCACCAGUUCAUAAAGGAUAUCCGGGUUAUGAAACUACAAAGUCCUAUCAUGGCCUAUUCAAAUAUUCUACAAAUGGAGGGAAAACUUCAAGAAGCCGACUCACAUUUUUACCCGCCAAUGUUGAUUCAAGUCAUAAAAUGACACUGUGAGGAUACAUACAUUCCUAGUCGACUUAAGGAUAGGAUUAAAAGUUUAAGCGUGCACGAAGACACGACACAGGAAAGUAGUUGCUCACUUAGCUAGUACAAGGCUACAAUGAGCUUAAAAUCCUAGAUCAAGUUUUUCAAAAGGUUAUUUACAUAACUCGGUUGUUUUUCAAUAUCCGGGUUAAACCUAUCGACGCUUAAGACGCCUCCGGGUCAUCUUGUGUUGAGGGUGCUGGGUCUUGGAUCUGAAGUUUGUCCACAUCCCAGUUGCAAUUGGUUAAAGCGUGAAAUAUUGCUUCUUCAUGCAAGACAGGGGAUGGGUCAACAUCAGGGACAAAAAGAUGCUUACGGCGUUGAGGAGUUAGAUCCCGCAGUUCAAAAUUAGGCGGUUAAACUCGUGAGUUGAUGUCAUCAUAAGCCGCCUGAUAUACUUUUGAGUCUAAUUCUGAGGCCAAUUUGGUAGCGAGCACUCGACUCACUUUUAUACAAUGAGCAAGGUCAGUCCUCGUGAGUGAUGACCCAUCAUAUUUAAGUUCUGGGAACCCGCCGACCAUCUGGUUUGGGUCAAGAUCUAUUGAAUAAGCCAAUGCCCGGCUUAAAGACGCUAUGGCACCUGCUCGGGCGGCAGAUCUCUUCAAUUCAUCAAGUUGCUUGGGAAUUGUUGAGAGGCGGAUAAACACCUGCUUGGGAAUUAUUCAAAACUUUACCGGCUCUUUAUCCCCCAUUACAACCUUGAUAGUGUAGAGACUUCCAGCAUACAGUUGCUUAGUCAGAGUGUAUACAACUUUUAAUUUUAUCAAGCUGUCGUCCGGAAAAUUGCGUGUCCGAGGACCUGUAAGCAGUUUAAAUGCAUAAGUCGCGAGUCACCUGAGAAAAUCGUAAGAUCAUAAGCAAGUACUCACCAAAGAUGGCCUGAGUCAUCUGAGCAAUGUGCCAUUUUAAGCCAGACAACUCUUCAGUAACGGGUUUUAAUUGACCCUCGGCGUCUUCUCCCCGUUUAGUUAAGGAAGUUUUCUUAGAUUCCAAACCCACCUUGGCCUUCUCAAAUUCCUCCAACGAGAAUUGCAACUUCAACUCAGCUUCGGCCCGGGCGUCUUUCUACACCGCCAGAUUUUCCUUCAAACCGGUCAAAUUUGACUCGGCCAUUUUCAAAGCAUCCUGCACAAUCAUUCAUUAAAAUGGAUAUUAGUCAUCUAUAAGCAGGCGGCAAGGAGGAUCAUGACACUUGGGGGCUAUGUCAAGGAAAUAUUUUCUUCAAGUCCCAAGCAGAUUGCAAGCAAUAUACCUUGCACUUGGGGGCUAAUGUAUAUCAGUUUUUUCCUAAACGUAUAAAGAAGACCCGGCUGUUUCAAGAAGAUAAGCUGGCCCUUGUGUGCUACAAAGGGAUCUCCUCAACCGAUAUAUAUAAAAAGACCCGAGUCAUCUUCAACAAGGUAAGCCGACCCUUGGGGGUUAGAAAGGGAUAUACAUAGCAUAAACAAUCAAAGCUGAGCAUACCUCAUAUUUUUUGCGCAUCAUGCUGACGAGGCUGGCUUCCAUAUCCCGACUCAUGAAGAGGCGUUUAAGUAACCAACAUGCAAUUCUUCAGCACUGAUCCCCUCAUAAUUGGGAAGAUCAAGUUUAGUUUUCUCCUUCUCGGGCAAAGGCGUCUCACCCUUGGCAGUAUGUUUGGUCAGUGUUUGACAAGGCACCGGAAUGGUAUAACCCGUACCAGUAACAAUAACCUCUUCCUCAUGAGAUGGAACUUUUGUUAUUUUCCGAGGACUGGGCGGGUUAGCUUUAGCCAUGAUAGUUUCAGGACUCUGCGGCUCAAUACGUUGGGGCGGCUCAUCUUGGGCAUUCUGGUGAGCUUCAGAGCACUCAACAUGAAGUUUAGGGGUCACCAAGGAUGGAUUUUCUUGUUCACACGCAGCGGGAUGGACGUUUGACUCGCCAACUUUCCACUUCUUGGUCUUAGCCUUGGCCUUGUGAAUAAGACAACUUAGUGAAGUGGAUGCAAAAUUAAGGAUCAAUAAACAAAUAGUUAAUAUAAGGAAGAAAGUAUACCCUGGAUUGAUAAUAAGGGGUGACACCUUUGAGGCAGUUGAGUCGCCCGAGGAGGGUGGUGAAUCCUGAUAUUUAAAGUCAGAAGAAUUAAGAGGUUGUUGGAUAAGACUAGCUUCUGGGAAAGAAGGGGUUGGACUAUUAGGCACGUCGUUCGGUCGUUUUCGGGCGGCUGGCUUUUGAGGUAAGCCAGCCACAAGAUCACCAGAGCCGCUCCGAGUUUGGCGUCUUAAUUCAUAUUGGGCUUAUUUCAAAAUAAAAUUGGGGUCCAAAUGAGCAUCCAGGUGAGAACAACUUAUUUUCCUAAUGACCGCCUCAUUUUCCUUGGAAAUAAGGGUUUUGAGUCGGAAGAAACAGGAAGUACCUCAAUGCCUUCAGCCUUGCUUAUUUCAUCAUUAACCUGAGAAUAAGAGGUGUUAGCAUGUUUAAUAAAAGGUUGGCCAAGGUGUUAGGUUUUACCUCCACAUGAUCGCCAAUAGAUUGUGACUCGCCCUUAGACAAUGGCUCUUCUGCAGCCGCCCUACCCUUUUUUUUUCUGAAGAUUGGCUUUGGAUUUUUGAGUCGGAACUUUCCGAUUCUUCUUUUUCCAAAAUGUAGAACCAACCUACAAAAGUGUUGGUAAAGGUAGAAAGUUCUUAAAAAACUGAAAUUUGUUAUAAAGCCAAAAAGAAAUAUCAAGGAUUCUUACUCAAGGAGCCGGAUUAAGAAUGGAGAAGGGUCUCAGACCAACUUUAUUGCAAGUAUCUUGAUUUUCACCCAACAACUACUUCAUAAUCCGGUUCACAUCAUGAGUCUCCAAAGACAUGUUGCUAUAUCGCUGGGUGUUGUUUAAGUUGCCAUCAUAAGCGCACAUUAACGCAUGACGACAAGUCAAUGGCAAGAUCCUCCAAGAUACCCAACACCGGAUUAGGUCAACUCUGGUUAAUCCAUGAGCUGUCAAGGCCCUAAGCUUUGCCCACACAAGGGUGAGUUGAUCAUGUUCCUUCUGGGAAGUAGGACCAGGAAGUUCAAAGCAUGGAGGAAGGCGCUCGGCUGUGUAACCGGCAAGGGGUUCUCAUCUGCAAGGGUUGUGUUCUGGCAAUAAAACCAAGUUUUGGUCCAUCCUUUGGGGUGGCUUGGUAGGGAAGCUGCAGGAAAGCCACCAUCUCUUCGUCUUUGGAUUGUGACUCCAUCGAGCUCUAAGCUAGGGCCAUCAGCACAUUCCGUUUGGCGGUUGAGAUAAAAGAAUUCCCUAAAAAGAGGGAUAGUGGACUCCAUUUGCAUAUAGGCCUCGCAAAACACUUGAAUUAGCACAUGUUUGAUAUGGAAUUGGGAGCUAGAUCUUGAGGAUGAAGGUGGUAAAAGUGCAAGGCAUCCCGGAAGAAUUUUGACCCGGGAGGAGAAAAGCCCCGUUGGAGGUGAUCUACGAACACUACUACUUCUCCUCCGGCGGGUUGUGUCUGUUUCUCUCCAAGGGCGGCUUGCCAACCAAUCUCCUCUUUUGAUGCCAAGAGCCCUUGAUCCACGUAAUCCUUAAGUACGGUUUCUGAGACUUGCGAAGGCUCCUAGUUGCAGGUGGUGAUCUUUACCAUGAUGAAUUACUUGAAAAUGAAAGGAAGUUGCGAAAGCGCAUAUGGCGGGUUAUGCAAGUAACAACAGUUUGUUGAAGGGAAAUAUUAUGAUCAGAGGACUUGGUUAUCUACAAUGAGCGAGUCGCCGUGAGAUAAGUCGCUACUGAAAAUUGAAAGUGUACAGAUAUGGCGGGUUUCCACCAAGAUGAUGAACAACCAAAAACUUAAAGCCACCUUACAAACAGUCGGAACCUCUGGUUUUUGCUAAGUGUGGGGCAAACAGGUUUCAAACAAAGCAACUACAAUUACAGAUCUACGGAGUGAUUCGAAAAGAAAAUAUUUACUAACCCUAACAUCAGGGUAUGGAAACAGUGAUGACUUAUCGUAUGGAUUUCAAGGUGAAUCUGAAGCAUAUUCCGUGCGAAUCAGAUAUAUGGUUACCACCGCGGUUUAUCUAUGGGAAAGAAUCACUGGAACUAGGCAUGAGGUGACAAUGGCGAUGAAUGCAAAAGAACUCCGACGAACUCCUGAGAAUGGGGGAACGAUGCAAAUUACUGUGCGUCGAGGGUUUCAUCUGGUUGCGGUGGAGGUCCGAAGAAGAUUGCUGACGACGUCAACAACAUCGCCCGAAAGAUCCUGCGGCGACUAAGGUCGCUGAUGUUCUCGGGAGGUGAAGCAACAACGAAGCUCCAGGCGCGGGUGAAGAUGACGCGAGGAAGAAGAAGCGAAUAGGCACAGUGAAAAGUGAUGGGUCCCUUCGGGAGUAUUUAAAGGAUCAAAUAUUGAAGUGAAAACGGCACGUGCGGGAAACAAAUAGGUGCAGCAAACUUUGGAGCCAACGACGCCUCAAUUUUUGGACCAAUUAGUUAAGGCAAAGAUCCAUUGGGAUAUCAUGAAGAUUAGUUGGGUUGCGAGAGGUGAUGCCAGUCCUUCUAUAUGGCAGGUCGUGAAGAUAUACUCUCAACUAAAUGGUUAAAGGGAAAGUCAGACUCGCCAACCAGAAGAAUGGAAGUUUGAUAUGAACGGGUUCAAAUCAAUCUGGGGCCUAAUGUUGGGGAUAUAACCCCCGAUAUAACCAACCCGGGAGGGGCUAGGUUAGGAGGUUUGCGAUUUAACAAAUACAAACUUAAUGGGCCUGAAUACUAAGAUAACCCUGGAGGUGGAUUACUAGGCAGGCUAGGCAGCAGACCCAGAGCCAGAAGAAAGUGUGUGACUGAGAGGUGUAAGCCGUACGGAGAUGGUUUGCUCAUUAAGGCGAGGCGACUUAAAGCCAAGAUCGGUUACGAAGUGUAACCCGCAUUGGACUUUUGUAAGCCCAUGGCCUCGACCUGUGUAUAAAGGUGAGCCCCUGCGGCGACUUAGGGGGAGGGGAAAAGGGAUCGAGAACGAGAUCAUGCAGAUCUUCUCCCUUGUAAUCAAUACCAAAUCAAUACAAUACAAAGCAUGACGUAGGCUUUUACCUCCUUCUUGAGGGACCGAACCUGGGUAAACUUGUCUCUCGUUCCCGAUCAAACACUUCAAGUCACCACAUGACCGCGAUGGCCUCACACCUAAGUCCUUUUGCAAGGACAUCUGCCGUGACAAAGCCAUGACAGGUAUGUGUACAUGUGGGGGCGGACGACAAAGGGGCAUGGAGCACCCCAAGUUUUGCCAAACAACCCCAAGGAGAGGAAGCCUUUAGAUUCGUACCACUUCUUAUGUGCGUACUUUUACUACGGACUCGUUCCUCCUUUCUCUAAUUUCUUUUGCACAUUAUGGCAGCAUAUGUGUUCCAUUUUCUGGACUUUACCCCCAAUAUCGUGUCUUGCAUGGCGAUAUUAGCCCACCUGUGUGAGAACUUCGUCGGAGUUGCCCCCAAUGUCGACUUGUUCAGGAACUUCUUCCUUCCUGGAUUAAGGAUAAGUCCCACCGCUCGGGGAACAUAAGCUAGAUUCCUGGGGACAAGAAGGAGUACCUUUUUGGGCAGCUGCGUAGGAAGUGGGAGGAAUGGAGGGGCGAGUGGUGAUGGAUCAAGGAUGAAGAAGCCCCCGAGUUUUACCGGGCGCGGACUGAGUGCGUCACGCGCGACAGCGACUGGGGGAAAUCUGGCUCCUUCGACAACAAACUCCAACUGGCCUUGAACAGGAUCAUCCACCUCAAGGCUACAUGGCUGACCGUUCAACAAGUGAGGGCACACUUGCUUCGCCGCUGCAUCUCUCCUUUGGAGAAGAGAGACUAGUUCGCCUUGGAGUUCAAUGGACCCGCUGAUUGCAUGCGUCUGUAUCCUGGCCACGCCAACAACUUCACAGCUUACGGCCACGGCUUGCUGUGAGACCAAUUGUUCGGCCAUUUUGGGACACAUCGCUUGUCGGAGAAACUCACCCCACUUCAUCGCAAUUCCGCCAGGAACCAGAUUCUUAAAUGGAUGCCGGACUGCGAAGCUUUUGGCGUUAUGUCCGGCUGGGAGCUGGGUGAUACGUCCAUUUUGCAUCAUGCAUUUAUAUAGAUAUUUAUUGCAUUAUGGGAUGUUAAUACACAUUAUGGUACACUACUUAUGUCUUUUCUCUCUUAUUUUACAAGGUUUACAUGAAGAGGGAGAAUGCUGGCAGCUGGAAUUCUCGACCAGAAAAGGAGCAAAUCUGAGAGGCCUAUUCUGCACAACUCCAAAAGUCCUCAAAACUUACGGAGAAUUAUUUUGGAAUAUAUAAAAAAUACUAUGCAAAAGAGACACCUGAGGGGACCCACCAGGCAGCCACACGCCAGGGGGGCACGACCUACACCCCUGGCCGCGCCCUGCAGGCUUGUGGGCCACCUGGCAGGCCCCCAGUGCCCAUCUUCUGCUAUAUCAAGGGUUUGGACCUGGAAAAAAAAUCAGAACAGAGCUUUCGGGACGAACCGCCGCCGUCUCGAGGCGGAACUUGGGCUGAACCAAUCUAGAGCUCCGACGGAGCUAUUCCACCGAGGAAACAUUCCUCUCAGAGGGGGUAAUCGAAGCCAUCGUCAUCACCAACGAUCCUCUCAUCGAGGGGGGGGGGGUCAAUCUCCAUCAACAUCUUCACCAGCAUCAUCUCCUCUCCAAACCCUAGUUCAUCUCUUGUAUCCGAUCUUUGUCUCAAACGUCAGAUUGGUACCUGGGGGUUGCUAGUAGUGUUGAUUACUCCUUGUAGUUGAUGCUAGUUGGUCUAUUUGGUAGAAGAUUAUAUGUUCAGAUCCUUAAUGAUUAUUAAUACUCCUCUGAUUAUGAACUUGAAAAUUCUUUAUGAGUAGUUACAUUUGUUCCAUGCUAUUAUAUUAUCUGUUUUGGAUUUUUAUAUGCUGUUUUAUAUUAUUUUUGGGACUAACCUAUUAAUCUAGACCCUAGUACUCGUUUCUAUUUUUCCUUGUUUUUGGGAUUUGCACAUAAGGAACAUUAAACGGAGUCCAAACGGAAUAAAAUCUUCGGAAUGAUUUUUUCUAGAACGAAAGAGACCUGCCAGACAUGGAGAAGGGGGCAGGGCACUUGCCGGGAGGCCACAAGCAUGCAGGGCGCGACCAUGGGGGUAGGCGGCACCCCUGACUUGUGGGUCCCCUCCAGGUAUCCUAACCCUAAUCUUCGUCCUAUAAAUUCCCAAAUAUUCCCCCAAUAUCAAACGAACACCAAAAAAUACGUUUUUGCCGCCGGAAGCCUCUGUUUCCGAGAGAUCCAAUAUGGGAGCCUUUUCUGGUAAUCUGCUGGAGGGGAUUCGAUCAUGGAGGGCCUCUACAUCAACUCCAUUGCCUCUCUGAUCAUGCGUGGGUAGUUUACCACAGACCUCUAUGGGUCCAUAGCUAGUAUCUGGAUGGCUUAUUCUCUCUCUUUGUUCUUCAAUACCAUGUUCUUCAUGAUCUUCAUGAAGAUCUAUCCGAUGUAAUACUCUUUUGCGGUGUGUUUGUCAAGAUCCGAUGAAUUGUGAGUUUAUGUUCAGAUUAUCUAUGAAUAUUAUUUGUGUCUUUCCUGAAUUCUUAUAUGCAUGAUUUCNNNNNNNNNNNNNNNNNNNNNNNNNNNNNNNNNNNNNNNNNNNNNNNNNNNNNNNNNNNNNNNNNNNNNNNNNNNNNNNNNNNNNNNNNNNNNNNNNNNNUAUGCCAAGUCAUCGGACUUGUCAUAAUCUCAAGGUAUUAAUGAGGGCUAAACCAUCCGGGUUUACCCUAUAUGUCAAGUCACCGAACUUGAUCAUAUUAUUGUGAUUAUCAUGAUUAUAACAACACCUUUUUAACACCACACACACACACUUGGUUUAUGCGGAAACUCAGGACGUAGUUUAAGCAGCACCACCCAACUAUCCUUGACCAUGGACNUCCUUGACCAUGGACACAGCUAUUCGAAUAGUUUACACUCUACAGAGGUAGUACGCUGGACCCACGAGAAACGGAAUACUUCCGUUUCAUCCAUGAUUCGCGGUAUAUCACAUAUACCCGAGGUAAGUAUCCGAUCAUCAUAUUUCCCCUGACGAUACUAGACAAAGAGAUCCACUUGAUUGGUACCCAGCCCACAUGUUGUACGUCUUACGAGCACCGACUCUGGACUGUAUCAACCAUGCAGGGACCAACGGUGUGCCUGGAACUCAUAAUAAUGGCAUAGUCGUCCUACCUGGCACGACCCCAUCACGAGAGUGACACCGAUCACUCCCGCCACUAGUAAUGUGGCUCUUUGCUAGCACNNNNNNNNNNNNNNNNNNNNNNNNNNNNNNNNNNNNNNNNNNNNNNNNNNNNNNNNNNNNNNNNNNNNNNNNNNNNNNNNNNNNNNNNNNNNNNNNNNNNCAAAAGACUGGGAAGCGACCAACUAGAGAGCGACAACAGUCAUCAAGAUGCAAUGAGUUUGACUAACAUUGAAUGCAAGCAUGAACAGGAUAUAAAUCACUAUGAACACGAACAUCAUAGAGGCUAUCUUGAUUUUGUUUCAACUACAUGCAUGAACAUGCGCCAAGUCAAGCCACUUGAAACAUUCAAAGGAGAAUACCAUCCUAUCAUACUACAUCAUAGUCAUCUCAAAAUCUAUGUUGGCAAUCAAGACAAACCAUUAUAAGCUCUGAGCUAAAUAAGCAUGGCAUCCGAAACUAUGAUCUCUAAGUUGUCAUUGCCAAGAUGGUUCUCUCACAACAAAGCUAAAUCUGGGUCGACAAGCUAGUCAUAUUUACAAAAAAAAUAGAUAGAGUUCNNNNNNNNNNUUCAAGAGAAACCAUUAUAAGCUCUCAAUUAAAUAAGCAUGGCAUCAGAAACUAUGAUCUCUAAGUUGUCAUUGCAAACGUGGUUCUCUCACAAUAAAGCUAAUUCUGGGUCGACAAGCUAGUCAUAUUUACAAAAAAAAUAGAUAGAGUUCAUACUAGCUUUUCAGUCUCAGUCACUUCAUCAUAUAUCAUCAUUGUUGCCUUUCAUUUGCACGAUCGAACGAUGAAAACGAUAAUAAGCGCAUUGGACUAAGCUGAAUCUGCAGGCAAACACAAAGGAGAAGACAAAAUAAUAUGGCUCCCUGAAAGCUAAACAGGUAAGCAUGCAAGAACCAAUAAACAUUGUAACCAAUAUCUUCUACCUUGACACAAAGAAAAAGAAACUAUUUACACGGGAAAGCUCCCAACAAGCAAAAGAAGAAAGAAAAAUCUUUUUGAGUUUUCUCAAAAGAACACAAAACAAGAAAACAAGAAAAGAAACUAGCAUGGAUAAUACAGUGGCAAAGUGUAAACACCGGCUAACAAAGUGAAAGCAUAAGCAUGAGUAUAAGGUAGGUGAGAACACAUACUCCCCCAAGCUUAGGCUUUUGGCCUAGCUUGGUCUACUCCCAAGGUGGGAAAUAACCAGCUCCAGGAUACUCCGGAGCAGACUGUGGAUGCCACUGCUGUGUGAGCUCCUCUGGCUCCCACUGAUAAACUGGCGUGUGGUACUCGACUGGCGGCUCGGGCGCGGGUGCCUGUGGUUGGGCCAAGCCCCAAUAUGCGUAGAUGUCCGCGGGCAUAAUAGUGUACCUACCUGCAUGAAGAUCAAAUAAAGAAGGAGCAGGCAAAGUAAUAGUCUCUCGACUACCCUCACUAAACACCAGGUUAUAAAUCAUCCGUCUACUAGCAUCUCUAUCAGAAAAUCAUGGCGAACCAUGCUGUCAUAAUCCAGAUAUCUCUCGGGAAGAAACAUAUCUCCUUCCUCUCCCAGUCUAAUGGGUAUCUCAAAGUGUCUGGCAAGACGGGUAGCGUAGAUACCUCCAUAGACAAUACCUUUAGAACGGUUCAGGUUCAACCGUUGAGCUACUAUAGCACCCAAGCUAUAAGUCUUAUUGUUAUAAAGGCCUUCGUGCAAAACCGCAAGGUCGGGAGAACUAAGUGAUCUAGCCUCCCCACGGCCAAUCAAACAUUUUCCCACAAAUAGUGAGAAGUACUGAAGCACAGGAAAAUGUAUGCUUGCAAUUCUAGCGCGAGACACUCCUCUCUCCUCUCCAACAGCAAUAGAACCAAUGAAAUCCUCCAAGUCCCGUGGACGAGGGUCACGGAUAUCCCCAAUAUAAGGUAAUUUGCAUACAUUGUAAAAAUCCUGCAGCGUCAUGCACUGGGGAACAUCGUAUAUCAUGAACUCAACCAUGGGAGGAUUCUUCCUCGGAUAANNNNNNNNNNNNNNNNNNNNNNNNNNNNNNNNNNNNNNNNNNNNNNNNNNNNNNNNNNNNNNNNNNNNNNNNNNNNNNNNNNNNNNNNNNNNNNNNNNNNGGAUCACUCAGUUCUCCAGACCUUGCGGUUUUGCACGAAGGCCUUUAUAACGAUAAGACUUAUAGCUUGGGCGCUAUAGUAGCUCAACGGUUGAACCUGAACCGUUCUAAAGGUGUUGUCUAUGGAGGUAUCUAUGCCACCCGUCUUGCCAGACACUUUGAGAUACCCAUUAGACUAGGAGAGGAAGGAGAGAUGCUUCUCCCUGAGAGAUAUCCGGAUUAUGAAAGCAUGGUUCGCCAUGAUUUUUCUGGAUAGAGAUGCUAGUAGACGGAUGAUUUAUAACCUAGUGUUUAGUCAGGGUACUCGAGAGACUAUUACUUUGCCUGCUCCUUCUUUGUUUGAUCUUCAUGCAGGCAGGUACACUAUUAUGCCCGCGGACAUCUACGCAUAUUGGGGCUUAGCCCAACCACAGGCGCCCGUGCCUGAGCCGACAGUCGAGUACCAAACUCUAGUUUAUCAGUGGGAGUCAGAGGAGCUCACACAGCAGUGGCAUCCACAGUCUGCUCCAGAGUAUCCUGGAGCUGGUUAUUUCCCACCAUGGGAGUAGACCAAGCUAGGCCAAAAGCCUAAGCUUGGGGGAGUACGUGUUCUCACCGACUUUAUAUUCAUGCUUAUGCUUUCACUUUGUUAGCUGGUGUUCACACUUUGCCACUGUAUUAUCCAUGCUAGUUUCUUUUUGUUUUCUUGUUUUCUUGUUUUGUGUCCUUUUGAGAAAGCCCAAAAAGAUUUUCUUUCUUCUUUUGCUUGUUGGGAGCUUUCCCGUAUAAAUAGUUUUCUUUUUCUUUGUGUCAAGGUAGAAGAUAUUGGUUACAAUGCUUGAUGGUUCUUACAUGCUUACCUGUUUAGCUUUCAAAGAGCAAUAUUACUUUGUCUUCUCCUUUGUGUUUGCCUGCAGAUUCAGCUUAGUCCAAUGCNNNNNNNNNNNNNNNNNNNNNNNNNNNNNNNNNNNNNNNNNNNNNNNNNNNNNNNNNNNNNNNNNNNNNNNNNNNNNNNNNNNNNNNNNNNNNNNNNNNNAAACUUGUCCAUCAAUGUCCCACUCAUUAGGUGUGUCCAAGUCCAACAAAAGUCUCGAAUGAUUAGGUAUAGAGCCGAGCUUUGCGACUUGUGAAUUUUUGGCAACAUGGCCUUGACCGUGACCAGAGGGCGGCAAAGUUCACACAAGAGAUGUCUGAACGAAUUUGACUUAUUCCAACAUGUUAAUUUUCUUGGUGGCCGUCCAAGUUGCCACUCGCAAGGAUUCUCACAUAUGCGUACCCACGUGCUUAAGCGUUCUUUUUUUUUCAUGUUAUUUAUUACGAUUGUUUUUUUCCGGGUAAUUGCUAUCGUUAUCAGCCAUGCAUCAGAUGCUUAAUUAUGCGUUUAGCCGUCAGAACCACUCAAGGGCUAAAGUCUGCUACACUUGCUGCAAUACGGGCGCCGAGGUGUAAAUUGCAGCAAAAAAUAAAAAAAUAAAAAAAUAAAAAUUGCAGCAUGUAUGCGUACGCAUAUCAAUAGCCAAUGCACACACAUGUGCAUGUUUCGAGCCAAGUAUGCCCGCAUACACAUAUCAGCAGGCAGUGUACGGGCACAUGCAUAUUCAAAGAUUGUAAUAUUCCUGAAGAUUNNNNNNNNNNNNNNNNNNNNNNNNNNNNNNNNNNNNNNNNNNNNNNNNNNNNNNNNNNNNNNNNNNNNNNNNNNNNNNNNNNNNNNNNNNNNNNNNNNNNCUGGACUGACGCUGUUUUCAACAGAAUUGCCUUGGUGUUAGUUUUGUGCAGAAAUCAAAGUUCUCCAAACAUCCUGAAAAUUUACGGGGAGCAGUUUUGGAAAAUAUCAAAAAUACCUACGCCAGGAUCCACCUCAGGGGGUGGGCCAGUGGGCCACAAGCCCCUGCUCCGCCACCACCCCCCUCGUGGCGGUGGGCAGGCUUGUGGGGCCUACAGGCACCUGCCACCCCCAACUCCAGCUCUAUAAGUUGUCUUUCGUCCCAGAAAAAAUAAAAAGAGAAGUUUUCGUCGCGUUUUCGAUACGGAGGCGCCGCCACCACCUGCUCUUCAUCUGGAGGGCAGAUCUGGAGUCUGUCUUGGGCUCCGGAGAGGGGAAAUCUUCGCCAUCGUCAUCAUCAACCUUCUUCCCUCUCCAAUUCCAUGAAGCUCUUCAUCGUUCGUGAGUAAUCUAUUCGUAGGCUCGCUGGGCGGUGAUGAGUAGGAUGAGAUCUAUCAUGUAAUCGAGUUAGUUUUGAUGGUGAUUGAUCCCUAGUAUCCACUAUGUUCUGAGAUUUGAUGUUGCUACUACUUUGCCAUGCUUAAUGCUUGUCACUAAGGCCCGAGUACCAUGAUUUCAGCUCUGAAAUUAUCAUGUUGCCACCAAUUUAUGUGUGUUUUAGAUCCGAUNNNNNNNNNNNNNNNNNNNNNNNNNNNNNNNNNNNNNNNNNNNNNNNNNNNNNNNNNNNNNNNNNNNNNNNNNNNNNNNNNNNNNNNNNNNNNNNNNNNNUGGCACCACCGUCCCCAAACUCAGCUCUAUAUCUUCCGUCUGGCCCGGAAAAAAAAUCAGAGAGAAGGUUUCAUCGCGUUUUAUGAUACGGAGGCACCGCCACGUCCUAUUCUUCAUCUGGAGGGCAGAUCUGGAGUCCGUUUUGGGCUCCGGAAAGGGGAAAUCGUCGCCAUCGUCAUCAUCAACCUUCCUCCAUCGACAAUUCCAUGAUGCUCUUCAUCGUUCGUGAGUAAUCUCACCAUAGGAUUGCUGGACGGUGAUGAGUUGGAUGAGAUCUAUCAUGUAAUCGAGUUAGUUUUUGACGAGGAUUGAUCCCUAGUAUCCACUAUGUUCUAGAUUGAUGUUGCUACUACUUGGCUAUGCUUAAUGCUUGUCACUGGGGCCUGAGUGCCAUGAUUUCAGAUCUGAACCUAUUAUGUUGUCGCCAAUAUAUGUGUGUUUUAGAUCCUAUCUUGCAAGUUGUAGUCACCUACUAUGUGUUAUGACCCGGUGACGUCAGUUGUGCUUCCCUGGCAGUGGCUCCAGAAAAGUGUUGAUCCUGCAAUCUCUAGUGUUAGCUAGAUGAAUGCUUAUAACAACUAACCUUCUCCUGCAACGGCACCAGAAGAAUGCUGAUAGCACUCCCAAGUAAUGAGACUAGAAGAAUGUUGUUGAUGGCUCACCAGCGCGUGGGUUCGCAACAGUUUUCGAGGGUAGAGUAUUCGACCCAAUUUGUAGAUAAGCCAGUCAGGAGGUGAGAGUAUACUCUCGAGUAUUAGCAGCUGAAUUUGUCAGAUUCAACCACACCUGAAAGAUUAGUAUCUGCAAGCAUAGUAGUAACAGCAAAGUAACGAGUAACGGCAGUGUAACAAGCAAUAGAAGUGGCAAGGAACAACAGUAGUGACAGCAGUAGCAAGUAGCAACAGUAGCAAGCGAUAGUAGUAGCAACAGUAGCAGCAUAGCAAGACAAGUAACAGCAGUAGCAACAGUAGUAGCAGCAGCAGAGCAAGACAAGUAACAGCAGUAGNNNNNNNNNNCAGUAGUAACAGCAAAGUAACGAGUAACGGCAGUGUAACGAGCAAUAGCAGUGGCAAGGAACAGUAGUAGUGACAGAAGUAGCAAGUAGCAACAGUAGCAAGCGACAGUAGUAGCAACAGUAGCAGCAGAGCAAGAGAAGUAACAACUGUAGCAACAGUAGUAGCAGCAGCAGAGCAAGACAAGUAACAGCAGUAGCAAUAGUCGUAGCAGCAGAGCAAGACAAGUAACAGCAGUAGCAACAGUAGUAGCAGCAGGAGGACAAACUCGUAGGCAAUGGGUCGGUGAUUUGUUUGGAAGCAACAGUAGUACAAACUCAUAGGCAAUGGGUCGGUGAUUUGCUUGGAUGGUAUUCAUCAUGCAACAGCUAUAACACGGAGAGAUAUGUGGCUAGCUCCCGUUCAUCAAUGUGAUGUAGGCAUGCAUUCCGUGUGUCGUCAUACGUGCUUAGGGAAAAGAACUUGCAUGACAUCUAUUGUUCAUCCCUCCCGUGGCAGCGGGGUCCAAAAGGAAACUAUGGGAUAUUAAGGUUCUCCUUUUAAUAAAGAACCGGACCAACACAUUAGCACUUGGUGAACACAUGAACUCCUCAAACUAUGGUCAUCACCGGGAGUGGUUCCGGUUAUUGUCACUCUGGGGUUGCCGGAUCAUAACACAUAGUAGGUAACUACAACUUGCAAGAUCGGAUCUAAAACACACAUAAAUUGGUGGCAACAUGAUAAUUUCAGAUCUGAAAUCAUGGCACUCUGGCCCUAGUGACAAGCAUUAAGCAUGGCAAAGUAGUAGCAACAUCAAAUCUCAUAACAUAGCGGAUACUAGGGAUCAAUCCCCAUCAAAACUAACUCGAUUACAUGAUAGAUCUCAUCCUACUCAUCACNNNNNNNNNNNNNNNNNNNNNNNNNNNNNNNNNNNNNNNNNNNNNNNNNNNNNNNNNNNNNNNNNNNNNNNNNNNNNNNNNNNNNNNNNNNNNNNNNNNNNNNNNNNNNNNNNNNNNNNNNNNNNNNNNNNNNNNNNNNNNNNNNNNNNNNNNNNNNNNNNNNNNNNNNNNNNNNNNNNCGAUUUCCCCUCUCUGGAGCCCAAGACGAACUCCAGAUCUGCCCUCCAGGAUAAGAACAGGUGGUGGCGGCCCCUCCAUAUCGAAAACGCGACGAAAAUUUCUCUUUUUAUUUUUUCUGGGACGAAAGACAACUUAUAGAGCUGGAGNNNNNNNNNNNNNNNNNNNNNNNNNNNNNNNNNNNNNNNNNNNNNNNNNNNNNNNNNNNNNNNNNNNNNNNNNNNNNNNNNNNNNNNNNNNNNNNNNNNNUACAUACAUNNNNNNNNNNCUAAUUAAUUAAUUAUUAUAUCUAAUUAUUUACUUAUUUAAUAAAAACAUAUAUCUUUAUUAUUAUUAUUUUCUUAACAACGGUUGUGGGGCCUCCCUGUCAUUGGGAGUGGGGGGUUUGGCCCCACGUGGUAAUGGCCAAAUGGCCACACACACAACUCUCGUACACACGUUUUAUACACACACAUACACCAUAUACAUACAUAAUACAUACAUCCAUUCAUACAUAUACAUACAUACAUAAUAUAUACAUGCAUCUAAUACAUACAUAUCUCAUCCCUCUUUUCUAACAGCUCUCUGUACAACUCUCACAGCUCCUCUGUGUUAACAGAAGAGACAACACAGAGUUCUCUCUGCUAACUCAACAUAGAAGAACAAAAUCUUCAAUCCUUCCUACCGGUCUCUACCGGCAACGGAUCGAAGCCCCGUUUGCCGGAACGGAACCGGGACGGCGAGGAGAACAAGAUGGUGGGAGGAGCCCGAGGAGGGGCUCACCGACGUUGACGAGAGGGCCCGGUGAAACCCGAGUUCUCGCGAGGCGGAGGUGACGUCGAGGAGGAAGACGAUGCGGUGACGGUGAUGACGAUGGUGACACGGUUCCGAUGAAGACGGUCACCGGAGAGACCUCUCGGAGGUGGUCAAUCGGCAUGACGGGGAGGAGGGCUGCUCGUGGGGGAGGGGCUCGGUCGUGAGGUGUUCCUCCCGUGGGCGGCUGCGUCGGUGGGAAGUGGGGGGGGGCAGGGGAUCGGGCCAGGGGUGCCGAUCUGGUGGAGGGAGGCCGAUCUGGAGCUCGUGGGAGGACGAGGAGGAAGGGGGAGGCCCCGGUGGCGAGGGGGUGACGGUGCAGGGCGGGGCUGGGGGCCUCGCGACGGUGGCCUGCACCGGCCGGUGGUGCACGAGGCUGAGGCGGCGGUGGCCCGUGAACGUGUGGGAGACGGGGCUAGGGGUGGCGGCGAUCUAGGUGUGGGGUAGGUAGCGAGGGAGUGGGAAGGGGAUCGAGCCCAGGGGGACUCGGUGGGGGGUGUGGUUGGUGUCGUGGGGAUUUGUGGGGCUCGGGAGGCAGGUNNNNNNNNNNGGAGGGUGAGGCGGCGGUGGCCCGUGCAUGUGUGGGCGAUGGGGCCAGGGGUGGCGGCGAUCUAGGUGUGGGGGUAGGUAGCGAGGGAGUGGGAAGGGGAUCGAGCCCAGGGGACUCGGUGGGGGUGUGGUUGGUGUCGUGGGGAUUUGUGGGGCUCGGGAGGCAGGUGCUCUCGUGGGGUUUGGCCUCGGGGGAGAGAGAGAUGUCGGUGGGGAUGGGGCCCCCCACGAGGGCUGGUGGCGACCGAGGCGAGAGCCGGUGGCGGUGGAUGAGGGGGAAACAGGAGAGCGGGGGGAGAGCCAGGGUCUCGCGAGGGGGAGCGCUAGGGUUCCCAGCGCGGCGGCUGGAGGCCUGGCCGGCUGGGCCACUAGGCCGAGUUGGGCCACGGGGUGGGGGGUCUUUCCUUUUUUUAAUAUUUUUUAUUAAUUAUAAUCCUUUUUAUUAUUCUAUUUUAUUUACUUUCUUUCAUAAUUUAUAAUUUAUAAUUUUAAUCCUUUCUUUUGUUUAUUUAUUUUCAUUUACUAUAUUUCUUUNNNNNNNNNNAAUAUUUUUUAUUAAUUAUAAUCCUUUUUAUUAUUCUAUUUUUAUUUACUUUCUUUCAUAAUUUAUAAUUUAUACUUUUAAUCCUUUCUUUUGUUUAUUUAUUUUCAUUUACUAUAUUUCUUUACUUAUUUUGUUAAAGCUCCUUUCUUAAUAUAUUGGGAUCAUCAAAGAUUCCAAAAGUACUCGACUUGAUAUUAUAAUCCGUUAGGGAAUCUUUAUAACUCCCCGACGUUGUUAUCUCAACAACAUAAAAUCUUUUCACGUUUGACUUAAUCUCGAAGCUUCGAAUUUUGAUUCGGUUUCAANNNNNNNNNNNNNNNNNNNNNNNNNNNNNNNNNNNNNNNNNNNNNNNNNNNNNNNNNNNNNNNNNNNNNNNNNNNNNNNNNNNNNNNNNNNNNNNNNNNNGCGAGAGUAGAAUAGGGGUAAAACAUUAAUAGUCAUAUUGUUGCAGCAAUAUUAAAGUGAGGUCACACCUAAAGAUCCUCCCUCGACUCCCUGCGAGGAAGCAAUCCCGAGGAAAACUAAUUCCAAAUAAGUAACAAUUGUAGUUGUAUAAGAUCGGGGCACAACUCCAAGUCGUCCUGUAACCGUGGACACGGCUAUCCGAAUAGUUAAUUUUCAUCCCUGCAGGGGUGCACCACAUGUCCCGUCACGCUCGAUAACACUCUGGCCGGACAUACUUUUCUGGGUCCUACCCGGACUCGGAAUAUCGACACGUCGCAGCCCCACCUAAGACUAAUCAGAGAGGUCAGCCCGCCGGUCUAAAUCCUAAGCGCAAAGGGUUCAUGGGCCCAGUGCCCCUCCGCGCUCCUGCACGAUGCGAGGGUGGCCGACGUCAGUCCUAGCAUCCCUUAAUCACAAGCGCAAUGCAUCUCGGGACCACUCGGGCGUGCGCCACUACGAUUGCUGACAUCUGAAAAGCUUCGGCUGAUACCGCGGCGCCGAGUACCCAUAAUUCUUCCCGCGUAGCCGGUUAGUGCGAAAAGGUCUCCGACGAACCCAGAUCAAAUACCCAAAUCCAUUAACAUUUUAAUUAGGCCAGCAACAUAGUCUCACGGGAAUCCACCCGUUUUACAACUAAUCACCAAAGAUCCCAGUAACAUGGUCGAGUAACUGUGUGGUUGUAACAUCGGGGGGAAUCCGAGGUAUCACCCUCGUUGGAUUCCAAACGAUGUACCUGUCAAGGUGGUCUUAGAGGAAUCACCCUCGGGGGUCCCACACUUGAGGGGUUGCACGACNNNNNNNNNNUAAAGAGGAAUCACCCUCGAUAACCACGAUCGACUAGCUAUACUACAGAGGUAUCAUCAAGAGUACUUAGCGAGGUGUCACCCUCGGUACUCGAUAGUAUCUGUGUAGCCUCGUACAACGAAGGGGGUGUAUGUGCUGUGUCGGGUCUGGCUCGUCGAUCAAAGAUCAAGAUUUGAAAACAAGCGGGGCAACUGAACUACGGGGUCAGAGGGAUGACUGCUCCACCUAUACUAAGCAGAUUUAAAGUACAAGACUGAAAGUAGCAGUUCAUCAAAAAUAGGCUAUGCAUCAGACAUAGGAGCUAAGUACAAGAGUAGCAAAAUACUAAUGCAAGCAGUAGGAAGAAAGACAUAGGCGAUAUAGGAAUGAUCAAGGGGGGUUUGCUUGCCUUGCUGCUCUGCGGCAAAGGACUGAUCGGCACGGUCGUAGAUGUACCCGACAGCAGCGUCAGUCUCGGGGUCUACCGGUAAGAAGAGGGGGAAGAAACAAUAAAUAAUAGAAACGGUGCAACACAAAGCAUGACAUGGCAAGAUGCAGGCUAGACAUGAGCUAAUGCAGCAACAUCCAUCAUAGACGGGUCGGACGAAUAUCUGACGAUAUUUUCCGGGUCUGGGGCUACUACGGGUCAGACUGGAAACGAUGGAAAUGUUCCAUGUUUGCUAUGCUAGGGANNNNNNNNNNNNNNNNNNNNNNNNNNNNNNNNNNNNNNNNNNNNNNNNNNNNNNNNNNNNNNNNNNNNNNNNNNNNNNNNNNNNNNNNNNNNNNNNNNNNUAAAUCCAGGUUAUUAUUUUGAAAAAUGUUCCCUACUGUUUUAUUAGCUAAGCAUAUUUAUUUAAAAGCAAACAGAAGCAAACAAGUGCUUUUUAAUAUCGUUUUAUUAUACCAAAAUAGUUUCUGUUAUUGAUAAAUGUCAACUAUUACAGAAUCAAAUACUACUCAUUUUUAGAAAAAUACUGGUGGAAGAAUUAUAUUUUUCUACUAGCUAAAUCUUUUUAUAAAAAUCAUUUAGUUUGCUGGAUUAAAACAAAAGAAAAAGGCCAGGGAAACAGAUCCAGCCGGCCCAGCCAGCAGGCCUGGCCACCAGGCGCGCGUGGGCCAGGUUCAAACCUGACCUGCGGGCCCCUGGGGUCAGCGUCAGCGGCUGCGCGCGCUGGCUGCCCCAGGACACCGCCAGGUGGGCUCCACCUGUCGGGUCCUUCUCCUACCUCUGGCCAGAGAGGUGGAGAUGGACACCGGCGAGGAUGCCGUUGUCCUCAGGCCUAGCUAGGAACGGGAACGGGUUCCUCGUGCCUCCGCCUACCUGCUCGUGGUCGGGACGUCACCGGAGGUGGUCUGGGUCGCCGGCGACGAGGUGCUCGUGGCGAAAGGGUUUCGGGUUCGAGUUGAACUAGGAGCUAGAGGUAUGGAUUUGCUCGGGAGAGUUAGGGGAAAUGUUCCUGGUGCGAGGGGAGUGUAAUGAGAGGUCGGGCAGCGCAGGAGCCGACGUGUUGCCGGAGAUCGACCGGAGCUCCGAGGCGGAGGGGCCUCGGUCGAUCUCGAGCACCGGGGCUCUGCGAGCUCGAUUGGGCGGCUAGGGAGUGUCUACUGGUUGUGCUGAAGCUGCUUGGAGGGUGCUGGAGAGCCGGGGGGGUCUAUUUAUAGGCCAACGACGGUGACCCGACUCGGGCACGCCGGUGACUCACCGUGGCACGCGUGCAAGCACAGUGAGGUGCUGGCCGCGAAAACACGGGUUCGGGACGUGGUUUAGGGCCUCCUAAUGCAACUGCCGCAGAGGGAAAGUGAGUGGGGACGAGCUGCAGCGACCGUGCAUGCNNNNNNNNNNCCGCCGGCGAGGCUGCCGUUGUCCUCAGGCCUAGCUAGGAACGGGAACGGUUCCUCGUGCCUCCGCCUACCUGCUCGUGGUCGGUACGUCACCAGAGGUGGUCUGGGUCGCCGGCAACGAGGUGCUCGUGGCGGAAGGGUUUCGGGUUCAAGUUGAACUAGGGGCUAGAGGUAUGGAUUUGCUCGGGAGAGUUAGGGGAAAUGUUCCUGGUNNNNNNNNNNUCACUGAGGGGCUGUCGGGGGAGUGCUUGGACACUACUGGGGAGGCUGACCGGCCGGAGCAUCGGCCCCUUGCGGGUGGCUCUCUGCAGCGCGCCCAGAGCACAGUUUUGGCAUGCCACGGCAUGCUGGCUCGCUCUGGGGCACUUGGGACGUGUCCUCCAUGUCCUGAGUGUUGCUGGGAGUGUGCCUAGCCGUUGUGGUUUCACUACAAGAAAUAUGGUCGAUAAUGACCCACCAUUUUGGUCAAAAAAUCGUCAUUGGUAUCAUAUUAUGACCUUUUUUGACCAAAUUCAGAGGGUCAACAGUUGGCCGUCAAGAACAAACAAACAUGACCUUUUUAAUGCUUUGGUGAAGUAUUCUUUGACCAAAACAAUUAGGUCAUAAAAUAUUUGACCAAAUUUUUUGGUCAUUACAUGUGUACGUGAGCCACGCAGGAUCUGACAUGGCAUAAACCACGUGGCUAAGGUGAUGACAUGGCAGAUCAACAAUGACUGAAAANNNNNNNNNNNNNNNNNNNNNNNNNNNNNNNNNNNNNNNNNNNNNNNNNNNNNNNNNNNNNNNNNNNNNNNNNNNNNNNNNNNNNNNNNNNNNNNNNNNNGCGCGUGGCAGAGGUGGGGGGCGCGACGGCAUGCGGGCGUAGGACGUGCAAUAGCUGCAGAGUAGUGAAGGUAACAUUGGACUGGCGAUGCGGCUAGUGGCAGCAGGCGGCUCGGCGUCGCGGUGGGCGGAGCUCCACGGCGAGAGCUCGCCAAAUCGGGAGGGGACACCGAAGCGACGCGGCGCCGAGUGAGGGCCGGUGCGGCCGGGCUGGUAAGGGUGCGCACGGGAGGGGAAAGGGGAAGCGGGGUGGCGCUCACAGGGGGGCGGCGAGGUAGCACCGGUGUGGUAGGGCGUCGGGGACGGCGAGCGGUGGGGCAGGGUCAGGACGGCGAGGGAGCAACGCCGGAGCAGCGUGGGGCUUGGGUUGAAGGAGGGGAGGGUGCAGGAGAGAGCGCCGUCGCGGGGGUGGGGGCUGGGGAGGACCGGUGAGGGAGCGUCGUCGGGGCGGCACCGGCCGGCGCCGGUGAGGUGUCGGGGUCGGGGCGGCUCCCCGAUCCAGAUCAAGAGGAGGGGGAGGAUGGAGUGACAUGGGUGGAGGGGGAAAUGGGGUGACAGAGUGGGGGGCUAGGGUUGCCGGGGGCGCUCGGGGGGGGGGGGGGGGGGGNNNNNNNNNNNNNNNNNNNNNNNNNNNNNNNNNNNNNNNNNNNNNNNNNNNNNNNNNNNNNNNNNNNNNNNNNNNNNNNNNNNNNNNNNNNNNNNNNNNNAUAUCUUUGCAAGUGUCUUCCAAUUAUUGGUUUGGUUUGGGCAACUAGAUUGGUAAUUCUUGCAAUGGGAAAAGUGCUUAGUUUUGGGUUCAAUCUUGCGGUGUCCUCACCUAGUGACAAAGUAGGGGUAGCGAGGCACGCAUUGUAUUGUUGCCAUCAAGGAUAAAAGUAUGGGGUUUUAAUCAUAUUGCUUGAGUUUAUUCCUCUAGAUCAUGUCACCUUACUUAAUGCGUCACUCUGUUCUUAAUGAAAUUAAUACUCUAGAUGUAGGCAGGAGUCGGUCGAUGUGUGGAGUAAUAGUAGUAGAUGCAGAAUCGUUUCGGUAUACUUGACACAGACGUGAUGCCUAUAUGCAUAAUCAUUGCCUUAGAUAUCUUCAUGAUUAUUCGCUUUUCUAUCAAUUGCUUGACAGUAAUUUGUUCACCCACCGUAUUACUUUCCUACAUGAAAGAAGCCUCAAGUGAAACCUAUGGCCCCCGGGUCUAUUUUCCACAUAAUAUUUUCAAAUCUAUAAACCAAAAAACCCAAAAAUAUAUUGCUGCAUUUAUUUACUUUUGUUUUAUUUAUCUCUAUCAUAUCUUGUCCUUGCAAAUAACCGUGAAGGGAUUGACGAUCCCUUUAUUGCGUUGGGUGCAAGAGUUUGAUUGUUUGUGCAGGUGCUAACAUUGGGGCCUAACUUGUUCCUCCUACUGGAUUGAUACCCUGGUUCUCAACAAACCGAGGGAAAUACUUAUCUACUUUGCUCCAUUACCCUUUCCUCUUCAAGGGAAAACCAACACAAGCUCAAGAAGUAGCAAGAAGGAUUUCUAGCGCCAUUGCCGGGGAGGAUACAUAGCAAGAUCAAGCUUACCAAGUACCCAUCACAAACUCAUCUCUUGCAUUUACUUUAUUUGCCAUUUGCCUCUCGUUUUCCUCUCCCCCACUUCUAAAACGAUUUUCAGAAAAUACCAAAAAGAUUCGUCGUUUUAUUCGCCAUUUUCUCGCCAGAUCUCUUUCUGCCUGCUUGAGUUACCAUGUGCCUUCUAUUUGCUUGCAUCUUUGCUUGCUAAAAAUCUAUUGAUAUGUCACACCCUGUUUUCCACCCCAAGUUUUCUGUAUUGCAAAAAUCAGAGCUUGUUCAAACUUUUCCAAAUAAUGUUGUGAGUGCAAUGUCAACCCUUGUUUGAGUGUAUGCUUGCUUGUUUGAUGACUCAACCCAUGAAAAACUUAUUAUUUUGCUCUCAUCAAAAACCCUUUUUCCUUUACAUCAGGAUCACCUUCAUCAUGUUGGGAUACACUACUAGCUCAUGAAGCCAAGUGGCACUCUCAACUAAAGUUGGUGAUAUGAUCCUAAUAUCAUUUUCAUUCAUUAAAAACACUAUUUAGUGAUUUAAAAUAUUAUUUUUCUAUUUUAUAUCUAUGUCUAUUUCUAAGGCCAGUAAUGAUAUUUCCACAAGGAAAUUACUUUCCUGCCUUAGGAAAUUCUGAGUAAAUUCAUGGAAGCUCAGAAGGACAUAUAUUUUCCAUACAUAAGAUUUUCAACCCUAUUUUAUAUUAAUAUUAUUUGAGUAAAACCCUGAAAACCAUUUCUGUCUGUUAUAGCUUUUUGAGAUGUUUCCAAAGGAAAGUAUCUCAGUAAAUUCCCAUAAAAUUACCGGAGCCCUCCCAAACCAUAUUAGGUGCUCACCUAAAAUCUCACCUUGAUCCAAGGUGGGUAAGUGCACUUAGAGAGCCCAAAACCCUCUCUGUCCAGAGUGGAGUUGGAACAACUCUACAUUGCAAAGUUUCUCCAAUAGAGCUGAAACUUUGUAGAGGUGUUUAACACCCCAAAUGAGGACUCCACACCAAAAAUGGGAUUUGUGAGACUCUGUUUGACCACACUUCCUUUGUAAGGGACAGUACUGGUCACUUUGAGACAUUUUCAAGUUUGCAAAGCCAAACUUGUUCAAUGGAGCUCAUAUUUGGUGGAACCCCAUGUUUUUACCCGAAGAACAAACCUGUUAAGUUUCAUUUACAGUGGUGGAGUGGAAGCACCCGAAGUCACUGUCGAACACCUACUGACAGGAAGGUAAAAACCUUCCUAGCCACUGUUUUACCCAAUGUCAAGGCCCCAAACUUGGUGGGUUAGAGCACCAGAACACCCUGAGCACCCAGUCAACCAGCCCCUCCCCAAUUCCAAGCACGAGUGACAAGAACUCCAAUUUGAGCUGCAGGACAGUACUGGCAACACUAGUGUUCCUUGCUCCCUUGACCAGCUCGAGCUCCCACUAAACCACAACGUCUAGGCACACUCCCAGCGACACUCAGGACAUGAAGGACACGUCCCAAGUGCCCCAGAGCGAGCCAGCAUGCCGUGGCAUGCCAAAACUGCGCUCUGGCGCACUGCAGAGAGCCACCCGCAAGGGGCCGACGCUCCGGCCGGUCCCAGCUUCCCCAGUAGUGUCCAAGCACUCCCCUGACAGCCCCUCAGUGCAAAGCUACCCCAGGGACCCUCUCCCCCUCGCGCAAGAGCUCAGGCGACGCGUGCCCGUGCGCCCCCGACGCGGCCGAGCAUGCACGGUCGCUGCAGCUCGUCCCCACUCACUUUCCCUCUGCGGCCGUUGCAUCAGGAGGCCCUAAACCACGUCCCGAACCCGUGGUUUCGCGGCCAGCACCUCACUGUUCUUGCACGCGUGCCACGGUGAGUCACCGGCGUGCCCGAGUCGGGUCACCGUCGUUGGCCUAUAAAUAGACCCCCCCCGGCACUCCAGCACCCUCCAAGCAGCUUCAACACAACCAGUAGACACUCCCUAGCCGCCCAAUCGAGGUCGCAGAGCCCCGGUGCUCGAGAUCGACCGAGGCCCCUCCGCCUCGGAGCUCCGGUCGAUCUCCGGCAACACGUCGGCUCCUGCGCUGCCCGACCUCUCAUUACACUCCCCUCGCACCAGGAACAUUUCCCCUAACUCUCCCGAGCAAAUCCAUACCUCUAGCCCCUAGUUCAACUUGAACCCGAAACCCUUCCGCCACGAGCACCUCGUUGCCGGCGACCCAGACCACCUCUGGUGACGUACCGACCACGAGCAGGUAGGCGGAGGCACGAGGAACCGUUCCCGUUCCUAGCUAGGCCUGAGGACAACGGCAGCCUCGCCGGCGGCCAUCUCCACCUCUCUGGCCAGAGGUAGGAGAAGGACCCGACAGGUGGAGCCCACCUGGCGGUGUCCUGGGGCAGCCAGCGCGCGCAGCCGCUGACGCUGACCCCAGGGGCCCGCAGGUCAGGUUUGAACCUGGCCCACGCGCGCCUGGUGGCCAGGCCUGCUGGCUGGGCCGGCUGGAUCUGUUUCCCUGGCCUUUUUCUUUUGUUUUAAUCCAGCAAACUAAAUGAUUUUUAUAAAAAGAUUUAGCUAGUAGAAAAAUAUAAUUCUUCCACCAGUAUUUUUCUAAAAAUGAGUAGUAUUUGAUUCUGUAAUAGUUGACAUUUAUCAAUAACAGAAACUAUUUUGGUAUAAUAAAACGAUAUUAAAAAGCACUUGUUUGCUUCUGUUUGCUUUUAAAUAAAUAUGCUUAGCUAAUAAAACAGUAGGGAACAUUUUUCAAAAUAAUAACCUGGAUUUAUUCAAGCCUUGCAACAUUUUUAAAAGCACUUUGUGAACUGUUUUAGUAAAAGCUAGUAUUUAUUUAUUCCUUUCUCGACGGUAGAAUUACCGAGUGAUGGAGGAUCCGGAGCGGAAGACCUCGAAGACCCCGGAUACCUAGCUGACCAAGGCAAGCAUGCCCUUUGCCAUGACCUAAGUAAAUAAAAUGAUGCAUGCUAGAAUAGCAAGUAUUUUCCAUUGCAUGUAAUCACGAUGUCGGUUCAUCAUUGAUGUGAUGGUACUGAAGGCUUCUUCGAAGCCCUUGCAUUAUAGAAGUGAUUUCACAUGGCUCCUCGGAGCACAAACAUGAUGAGCUUGAUCCUACCAUCUACGAGGAUCAUGCUACUGUCAUGUUGGCUAGUAGAGUAGAAUCACUGCAUUGAGCUUGACCCCGUGAGGGUCAUGAUACUAUCAUGUUGACAAGUAAUGUUAAGGCACAUCAAGUUGACAAGUAAUAAUAGAGCAUUUUAUCAUGAGCAUGACGAUGAGUUAAAUAAAGAGUUUAUGAAAACCCCGUCGGGUGCCACUAAUGCCCGAAGGUGAUGAUGAGUUGGUGAUCACUUUUGGUGAAGUGAUGCACUGGUGAUUUUGGUGUGAGUAUGGUUUCGGAAAUGGAUUAGAUUUAUGAUGUUUCGACCGUCCCAACCUUACCCAGUACGACCACGAUACCCCUUUAUGGGACGGGGCUUUGUUGAUUACUCUGGUCAGUGCUAGCAAAGAGCCACAUUACUAGUGGCGGGAGUGAUCGGUGUCACUCUCGUGAUGGGGUCGUGCCAGGUAGGACGACUAUGCCAUUAUUAUGAGUUCCAGGCACACCGUUGGUCCCUGCAUGGUUGAUACAGUCCAGAGUCGGUGCUCGUAAGACGUACAACAUGUGGGCUGGGUACCAAUCAAGUGGAUCUCUUUGUCUAGUAUCGUCAGGGGAAAUAUGAUGAUCGGAUACUUACCUCGGGUAUAUGUGAUAUACCGCGAAUCAUGGAUGAAACGGAAGUAUUCCGUUUCUCGUGGGUCCAGCGUACUACCUCUGUAGAGUGUAAACUAUUCGAAUAGCUGUGUCCAUGGUCAAGGAUAGUUGGGUGGUGCUGCUUAAACUACGUCCUGAGUUUCCGCAUAAACCAAGUGUGUGUGUGUGGUGUUAAAAAGGUGUUGUUAUAAUCAUGAUAAUCACAAUAAUAUGAUCAAGUUCGGUGACUUGACAUAUAGGGUAAACCCGGAUGGUUUAGCCCUCAUUAAUACCUUGAGAUUAUGACAAGUCCGAUGACUUGGCAUAUAGGGUGAACCCGGUGUGUUCAACCCUUAGCAGAGAUGAUGAUAUCUGUAACCUGUUCUUCAAAAGUAAUUCUUUAACCUGAUGCAUAUACAUGAUCAUACCACCUCAUCGCAUUCCACUAAAGAUGCAUGUUACNNNNNNNNNNNNNNNNNNNNNNNNNNNNNNNNNNNNNNNNNNNNNNNNNNNNNNNNNNNNNNNNNNNNNNNNNNNNNNNNNNNNNNNNNNNNNNNNNNNNNNNNNNNNNNNNNNNNNNNNNNNNNNNNNNNNNNNNNNNNNNNNNNNNNNNNNNNNNNNNNNNNNNNNNNNNNNNNNNNNNNNNNNNNNNNNNNNNNNNNNNNNNNNNNNNNNNNNNNNNNNNNNNNNNNNNNNNNNNNNNNNNNNNNNNNNNNNNNNNNNNNNNNNNNNNNNNNNNNNNNNNNNNNNNNNNNNNNNNNNNNNNNNNNNNNNNNNNNNNNNNNNNNNNNNNNNNNNNNNNNNNNNNNNNNNNNNNNNNNNNNNNNNNNNNNNNNNNNNNNNNNNNNNNNNNNNNNNNNNNNNNNNNNNNNNNNNNNNNNNNNNNNNNNNNNNNNNNNNNNNNNNNNNNNNNNNNNNNNNNNNNNNNNNNNNNNNNNNNNNNNNNNNNNNNNNNNNNNNNNNNNNNNNNNNNNNNNNNNNNNNNNNNNNNNNNNNNNNNNNNNNNNNNNNNNNNNNNNNNNNNNNNNNNNNNNNNNNNNNNNNNNNNNNNNNNNNNNNNNNNNNNNNNNNNNNNNNNNNNNNNNNNNNNNNNNNNNNNNNNNNNNNNNNNNNNNNNNNNNNNNNNNNNNNNNNNNNNNNNNNNNNNNNNNNNNNNNNNNNNNNNNNNNNNNNNNNNNNNNNNNNNNNNNNNNNNNNNNNNNNNNNNNNNNNNNNNNNNNNNNNNNNNNNNNNNNNNNNNNNNNNNNNNNNNNNNNNNNNNNNNNNNNNNNNNNNNNNNNNNNNNNNNNNNNNNNNNNNNNNNNNNNNNNNNNNNNNNNNNNNNNNNNNNNNNNNNNNNNNNNNNNNNNNNNNNNNNNNNNNNNNNNNNNNNNNNNNNNNNNNNNNNNNNNNNNNNNNNNNNNNNNNNNNNNNNNNNNNNNNNNNNNNNNNNNNNNNNNNNNNNNNNNNNNNNNNNNNNNNNNNNNNNNNNNNNNNNNNNNNNNNNNNNNNNNNNNNNNNNNNNNNNNNNNNNNNNNNNNNNNNNNNNNNNNNNNNNNNNNNNNNNNNNNNNNNNNNNNNNNNNNNNNNNNNNNNNNNNNNNNNNNNNNNNNNNNNNNNNNNNNNNNNNNNNNNNNNNNNNNNNNNNNNNNNNNNNNNNNNNNNNNNNNNNNNNNNNNNNNNNNNNNNNNNNNNNNNNNNNNNNNNNNNNNNNNNNNNNNNNNNNNNNNNNNNNNNNNNNNNNNNNNNNNNNNNNNNNNNNNNNNNNNNNNNNNNNNNNNNNNNNNNNNNNNNNNNNNNNNNNNNNNNNNNNNNNNNNNNNNNNNNNNNNNNNNNNNNNNNNNNNNNNNNNNNNNNNNNNNNNNNNNNNNNNNNNNNNNNNNNNNNNNNNNNNNNNNNNNNNNNNNNNNNNNNNNNNNNNNNNNNNNNNNNNNNNNNNNNNNNNNNNNNNNNNNNNNNNNNNNNNNNNNNNNNNNNNNNNNNNNNNNNNNNNNNNNNNNNNNNNNNNNNNNNNNNNNNNNNNNNNNNNNNNNNNNNNNNNNNNNNNNNNNNNNNNNNNNNNNNNNNNNNNNNNNNNNNNNNNNNNNNNNNNNNNNNNNNNNNNNNNNNNNNNNNNNNNNNNNNNNNNNNNNNNNNNNNNNNNNNNNNNNNNNNNNNNNNNNNNNNNNNNNNNNNNNNNNNNNNNNNNNNNNNNNNNNNNNNNNNNNNNNNNNNNNNNNNNNNNNNNNNNNNNNNNNNNNNNNNNNNNNNNNNNNNNNNNNNNNNNNNNNNNNNNNNNNNNNNNNNNNNNNNNNNNNNNNNNNNNNNNNNNNNNNNNNNNNNNNNNNNNNNNNNNNNNNNNNNNNNNNNNNNNNNNNNNNNNNNNNNNNNNNNNNNNNNNNNNNNNNNNNNNNNNNNNNNNNNNNNNNNNNNNNNNNNNNNNNNNNNNNNNNNNNNNNNNNNNNNNNNNNNNNNNNNNNNNNNNNNNNNNNNNNNNNNNNNNNNNNNNNNNNNNNNNNNNNNNNNNNNNNNNNNNNNNNNNNNNNNNNNNNNNNNNNNNNNNNNNNNNNNNNNNNNNNNNNNNNNNNNNNNNNNNNNNNNNNNNNNNNNNNNNNNNNNNNNNNNNNNNNNNNNNNNNNNNNNNNNNNNNNNNNNNNNNNNNNNNNNNNNNNNNNNNNNNNNNNNNNNNNNNNNNNNNNNNNNNNNNNNNNNNNNNNNNNNNNNNNNNNNNNNNNNNNNNNNNNNNNNNNNNNNNNNNNNNNNNNNNNNNNNNNNNNNNNNNNNNNNNNNNNNNNNNNNNNNNNNNNNNNNNNNNNNNNNNNNNNNNNNNNNNNNNNNNNNNNNNNNNNNNNNNNNNNNNNNNNNNNNNNNNNNNNNNNNNNNNNNNNNNNNNNNNNNNNNNNNNNNNNNNNNNNNNNNNNNNNNNNNNNNNNNNNNNNNNNNNNNNNNNNNNNNNNNNNNNNNNNNNNNNNNNNNNNNNNNNNNNNNNNNNNNNNNNNNNNNNNNNNNNNNNNNNNNNNNNNNNNNNNNNNNNNNNNNNNNNNNNNNNNNNNNNNNNNNNNNNNNNNNNNNNNNNNNNNNNNNNNNNNNNNNNNNNNNNNNNNNNNNNNNNNNNNNNNNNNNNNNNNNNNNNNNNNNNNNNNNNNNNNNNNNNNNNNNNNNNNNNNNNNNNNNNNNNNNNNNNNNNNNNNNNNNNNNNNNNNNNNNNNNNNNNNNNNNNNNNNNNNNNNNNNNNNNNNNNNNNNNNNNNNNNNNNNNNNNNNNNNNNNNNNNNNNNNNNNNNNNNNNNNNNNNNNNNNNNNNNNNNNNNNNNNNNNNNNNNNNNNNNNNNNNNNNNNNNNNNNNNNNNNNNNNNNNNNNNNNNNNNNNNNNNNNNNNNNNNNNNNNNNNNNNNNNNNNNNNNNNNNNNNNNNNNNNNNNNNNNNNNNNNNNNNNNNNNNNNNNNNNNNNNNNNNNNNNNNNNNNNNNNNNNNNNNNNNNNNNNNNNNNNNNNNNNNNNNNNNNNNNNNNNNNNNNNNNNNNNNNNNNNNNNNNNNNNNNNNNNNNNNNNNNNNNNNNNNNNNNNNNNNNNNNNNNNNNNNNNNNNNNNNNNNNNNNNNNNNNNNNNNNNNNNNNNNNNNNNNNNNNNNNNNNNNNNNNNNNNNNNNNNNNNNNNNNNNNNNNNNNNNNNNNNNNNNNNNNNNNNNNNNNNNNNNNNNNNNNNNNNNNNNNNNNNNNNNNNNNNNNNNNNNNNNNNNNNNNNNNNNNNNNNNNNNNNNNNNNNNNNNNNNNNNNNNNNNNNNNNNNNNNNNNNNNNNNNNNNNNNNNNNNNNNNNNNNNNNNNNNNNNNNNNNNNNNNNNNNNNNNNNNNNNNNNNNNNNNNNNNNNNNNNNNNNNNNNNNNNNNNNNNNNNNNNNNNNNNNNNNNNNNNNNNNNNNNNNNNNNNNNNNNNNNNNNNNNNNNNNNNNNNNNNNNNNNNNNNNNNNNNNNNNNNNNNNNNNNNNNNNNNNNNNNNNNNNNNNNNNNNNNNNNNNNNNNNNNNNNNNNNNNNNNNNNNNNNNNNNNNNNNNNNNNNNNNNNNNNNNNNNNNNNNNNNNNNNNNNNNNNNNNNNNNNNNNNNNNNNNNNNNNNNNNNNNNNNNNNNNNNNNNNNNNNNNNNNNNNNNNNNNNNNNNNNNNNNNNNNNNNNNNNNNNNNNNNNNNNNNNNNNNNNNNNNNNNNNNNNNNNNNNNNNNNNNNNNNNNNNNNNNNNNNNNNNNNNNNNNNNNNNNNNNNNNNNNNNNNNNNNNNNNNNNNNNNNNNNNNNNNNNNNNNNNNNNNNNNNNNNNNNNNNNNNNNNNNNNNNNNNNNNNNNNNNNNNNNNNNNNNNNNNNNNNNNNNNNNNNNNNNNNNNNNNNNNNNNNNNNNNNNNNNNNNNNNNNNNNNNNNNNNNNNNNNNNNNNNNNNNNNNNNNNNNNNNNNNNNNNNNNNNNNNNNNNNNNNNNNNNNNNNNNNNNNNNNNNNNNNNNNNNNNNNNNNNNNNNNNNNNNNNNNNNNNNNNNNNNNNNNNNNNNNNNNNNNNNNNNNNNNNNNNNNNNNNNNNNNNNNNNNNNNNNNNNNNNNNNNNNNNNNNNNNNNNNNNNNNNNNNNNNNNNNNNNNNNNNNNNNNNNNNNNNNNNNNNNNNNNNNNNNNNNNNNNNNNNNNNNNNNNNNNNNNNNNNNNNNNNNNNNNNNNNNNNNNNNNNNNNNNNNNNNNNNNNNNNNNNNNNNNNNNNNNNNNNNNNNNNNNNNNNNNNNNNNNNNNNNNNNNNNNNNNNNNNNNNNNNNNNNNNNNNNNNNNNNNNNNNNNNNNNNNNNNNNNNNNNNNNNNNNNNNNNNNNNNNNNNNNNNNNNNNNNNNNNNNNNNNNNNNNNNNNNNNNNNNNNNNNNNNNNNNNNNNNNNNNNNNNNNNNNNNNNNNNNNNNNNNNNNNNNNNNNNNNNNNNNNNNNNNNNNNNNNNNNNNNNNNNNNNNNNNNNNNNNNNNNNNNNNNNNNNNNNNNNNNNNNNNNNNNNNNNNNNNNNNNNNNNNNNNNNNNNNNNNNNNNNNNNNNNNNNNNNNNNNNNNNNNNNNNNNNNNNNNNNNNNNNNNNNNNNNNNNNNNNNNNNNNNNNNNNNNNNNNNNNNNNNNNNNNNNNNNNNNNNNNNNNNNNNNNNNNNNNNNNNNNNNNNNNNNNNNNNNNNNNNNNNNNNNNNNNNNNNNNNNNNNNNNNNNNNNNNNNNNNNNNNNNNNNNNNNNNNNNNNNNNNNNNNNNNNNNNNNNNNNNNNNNNNNNNNNNNNNNNNNNNNNNNNNNNNNNNNNNNNNNNNNNNNNNNNNNNNNNNNNNNNNNNNNUCUCGACGGUAGAAUUACCGAGUGACGGAGGAUCCGGAGCGGAAGACCUCGAAGACCCCGGAUACCUAGCUGACCAAGGCAAGCAUGCCCUUUGCCAUGACCUAAGUAAAUAAAAUGAUGCAUGCUAGAAUAGCAAGUAUUUUCCAUUGCAUGUAAUCACGAUGUCGGUUCAUCAUUGAUGUGAUGGUACUGAAGGCUUCUUCGAAGCCCUUGCAUUAUAGAAGUGAUUUCACAUGGCUCCUCGGAGCACAAACAUGAUGAGCUUGAUCCUACCAUCUACGAGGAUCAUGUUACUGUCAUGUUGGCUAGUAGAGUAGAAUCACUGCAUUGAGCUUGACCCCGUGAGGGUCAUGAUACUAUCAUGUUGACAAGUAAUGUUAAGGCACAUCAAGUUGACAAGUAAUAAUAGAGCAUUUUAUCAUGAGCAUGAUGAUGAGUUAAAUAAAGAGUUUAUGAAAACCCCGUCGGGUGCCACUAAUGCCCGAAGGUGAUGAUGAGUUGGUGAUCACUUUUGGUGAAGUGAUGCACUGGUGAUUUUGGUGUGAGUAUGGUUUCGGAAAUGGAUUAGAUUUAUGAUGUUUCGACCGUCCCAACCUUACCCAGUACGACCACGAUACCCCUUUAUGGGACGGGGCUUUGUUGAUUACUCUGGUCAGUGCUAGCAAAGAGCCACAUUACUAGUGGCGGGAGUGAUCGGUGUCACUCUCGUGAUGGGGUCGUGCCAGGUAGGACGACUAUGCCAUUAUUAUGAGUUCCAGGCACACCGUUGGUCCCUGCAUGGUUGAUACAGUCCAGAGUCGGUGCUCGUAAGACGUACAACAUGUGGGCUGGGUACCAAUCGAGUGGAUCUCUUUGUCUAGUAUCGUCAGGGGAAAGAUGAUGAUCGGAUACUUACCUCGGGUAUAUGUGAUAUACCGCGAGUCGUGGAUGACACGGAAGUAUUCCGUUUCUCGUGGGUCCAGCGUACUACCUCUGCAGAGUGUAAACUAUUCGAAUAGCCGUGUCCAUGGUCAAGGACAGUUGGGUGGUGCUGCUUAAACUACGUCCUGAGUUUCCGCAUAAACCAAGUGUGUGUGUGUGGUGUUAAAAAGGUGUCGUUAUAAUCAUGAUAAUCACAAUAAUAUGAUCAAGUUCGGUGACUUGACAUGUAGGGUAAACCCGGAUGGUUUAGCCCUCAUUAAUACCUUGAGAUUAUGACAAGUCCGAUGACUUGGCAUAUAGGGUGAACCCGGUGUGUUCAACCCUUAGCAGAGAUGAUGAUAUCUGUAACCUGUUCUUCAAAAGUAAUUCUUUAACCUGAUGCAUAUACAUGAUCAUACCACCUCAUCGCAUUCCACUAAAGAUGCAUGUUACNUAGGGUGAACCCGGUGUGUUCAACCCUUAGCAGAGAUGAUGAUAUCUGUAACCUGUUCUUCAAAAGUAAUUCUUUAACCUGAUGCAUAUACAUGAUCAUACCACCUCAUCGCAUUCCACUAAAGAUGCAUGUUACUGCCCUGCAUUAGCAUUUAUGUCAUGGGCUGUUUGCGAGUACAUUCAAAGUACUCAUUGGCUUGCCACUGGUUAUGUUAUUGACCAGACAUGGAAGGACCGGAGUUUGGCGAUGAGUACGCCGUCGGAGACGGACCUGCAAUCUAGGACGCUUCCGAGUCAGAAUGCCUGUCGGUGUAGGCUUGAUGGCAUGGGCACCGCUUAGCCCUUACGAGUUUCCGCUACUCGAUGUAUCCCUUUAUUUGGCUUUAGGACCUGCUCUUGAACCAGGGCCGGGCCUACAGUGGUGCCAGAUGUGCAGCCCGCACAGGGCCCAAAAUUUGAAGGGGCCCAAGUUAUAUAUAUAAGCCUAGUAUUAAAAGGGAAAAACUAAGCAUUACUUAGUGGGCCGCGGACACUGGAGUGGGCUGGCCUCGAGGCAACCAGGCCGUCGACCCAGAAUGCUGAAUUGUGAUCGUGAUCGGGAUCUUUUCGAUCCCCAUAACUGCUCGUCACGACGUCGCCUUUGUCUUGCAAACAAAACCUGCUCAUCGCCUCGUCCUACUUGGUCGCUUCGUCCCUACAGGAUCGAGAUCGUGGUUCUCUCGCAUGGAAAAAGCAGUCGCCGCCGCCGGCCCACAGGAAACUCUCGCAUGGGCUCCACGAAAGAGGGCAUGAGAUGUCUCAUCGUUCGCCCUGUUGCCAUAUCUCGCCCUCGUCCCUCGGUCGUGCGAUCUGGUCAUUUCCUAAUUGCCUUCAUGGUCUUCCAAAUUUCAGAUUUGUCCAUCGCAGAUUAAUCAGUGAAUGACUCGUCUCCAGGUGCUUAUCAAGUCCCUUUUUACGGUUCCUAUUUCUAAUUCCUAUCUUUUUAAUGAUGUAUUUCUACCUUCGUCCCAAAAUUCUUGCAUAAUAUUUAUCAAAAUAUGUAUCUAGCACUAAAAUAUGACUAGAUACAUUCAUAUUUAGACAAAUCUAAGACAAAUUUUUGAUACGAAUGGAGUAUAUUACAAUUUUUUUGUGAUAUAUAUAUAUAUUAUAGUUGCUCGUUGAAUUUAGAUAUACACACAUCUGGAUAUAUUCUAGAUCUUUUCUUUUUUCUACGAGAGAGGGCCCAUUUUUUAGUUUUGCACAGGGCCCCGGAUUUUGCCGGCCCGGCCCUGUCUUGAACCCGACCUUCUGGUCAUUUGAUGUAAUAAUUUGGUACUUGGAUGUAAGACUCUAUCAUUUAGUAUCUGUGUUCAGUGAACAUUGAUCCUUGGGGUCACUGGGCACGGCGAACUCGACUUGCUAGUCGGGGUCCCCAUAGAACUGGUAUCAGAGCCAGGUUGACUAUAAGAAGCCUUAGAUAGCAUGGACGUUAACCAAGAACGUUAGGACGCAAGCCUUGCACAAGACUCUUACACAUACAACCUCCCGACUUCUCUCCUAUGCAUUGUAGAUGGCUGCUGUACCUGAGACGCUUUUGGAGACCGGCUUUCCACUACUUCUGGUGGAUUGUCUCGAGAAGUGCCACGUACGACGCACGCCCAUCUUCCUCUACCACAAGCAUUGGGUCAACGCCGACACCAAGGAAUAUCACGUGGACGUGAUAGUGAAGGCUAAUGACUCCCCGUCUAGUUGGUUCUUUGAAGGACCAUAGAUGGGAGAGCUGAUGUUGGCAGUGUAGACGGCUGCACGAGAGGCGCUCGUGCAACUCCGCAGCAUCCUCCCUGAGAUGGCUAACGAGCCUGUCACUCAUCAUCUACCUUUCAUUAAGGAAGGAGUGGAUGGGAGUUGGACACUCACCCCCGCCACGGAGGAUGGGAUGCCACUGAGCUUUCAGACCUACUUCAGUCUCUCGUCAGACACCCUGACACACUUCCUGGUUAAGGAAUCAGUCAAGCUUCGCCAAGAGCUGCACCUAGUCAAAGGCCUGCUCCACACAGAGAAGAUGCAAAACCGCAAAGUAAAGAAGGCAAGCGCACCUGAAGGGAGGGCAGCUGUUGCCACUAGGGGUGGUAUGUUACCCAUCCAGGCAGUCCCUCUUCAGAGUCGUCGCCUGACAGCGGAAGAGUACACUGAGAUCUUUGCCGCCUCGCCCAAGAGACGCUGAGACGUGCGGAUUCUUUCUUCCACUCCUAUAAAGGAAGAGGAUGUUGAUGAAGAUGAGGAUCCUGUUGAGUCCGCCUUUGAGACCGAGCAGUCCGCCGCGUAGAUUUUUUGCGUAGGCAAUCGGAGUACCCGAGUAUAGGGUAUCCUUGUAUCCGUUUUUAAAUUGCGUAUGUGUGCUUGAUGUAAGUCACCUAUUGCCUUGGGCAGUCUGUAAGUGACUACGUCACCUAGUUGUCAUGAAUGCAAUUUCCAGUUUGUCAAAAACUUUGGUUUUAAAAACUUGGCACAUGCACGUAUUGGACCCCCUCCUACUAGGAGCAAAUCCUUGUACUCCCGAGCAAGGUGGCAUUUUGACCUGUCUGUUUCUAUGACAGGAUGGUGAACGCAACCCGCAACAGCACCUUCGGCAACCCCGGCGCCGGCUCUUCAGGGACGCCGCAGGGAACCGAAGGAGAAGCUCACGCUGGAGGUCACCACGAGCAGCCUAAGACCUUCCGCCACCACCUCCUCCUGAGAACUUGACGAUGGCUCAGUUCCUUCAAGCUCUUCGACAGGAGCGUCAAGCCAGCAAUGCCGCUAUCCAGCAGCUGACCCAAGUCCUGGUGGACAACCCGCCGCAGAAUGAAUAUGGCGGUGGUCGCUCUUCUCUUUCUGAGUUCAUGCGGACUACGCCCCCCAUAUUCACGGAGUCGACUGAACCCCUGGACGCCGAUGACUGGAUUCGCACCAUUGAAGACCUCCUUGCGCUGGUCAAGUGCACCGAUGAUCAUGAGAAGGUCCUUUAUGCUUCUCACUGUCUCGGAGGCACCGUCAGGGCAUGGUGGGAUGGAUUCCAGAUCAUGCGGGCAGGGCAAGUCGUCACGUGGGAGAUGUUCAAGGAAGGAUUUCGCGCGGCUCACAUUCCGCCUGGACUGAUGACCAUUAAGAAGCGUGAAUUCCGAGCCUUAAGGCAGGGCAGUGGGACUGUUAAGGAGUACCUGCAGAAGUUUAAUCUCUUGUCAAGGUACGCACCGGAAGAUGUUAACACUGAGGCCGCUAAGGUGGAACGCUUCAUGGAAGGGUUACAGCAGUCCUUGCAAUACCAGCUGGUGGUUUGCGACUGCCAGACUUUCAGCGAGUUGGUUAACAAAGCUCUUAUGCUGGAAGACAAGCGUCAUGCAAUGGACGAGACCCGCAAGCGCAAGCUGAUAGGCAGUGGAGGACCCGGUAAUGCAAGACCAAGACCGUGGCAGUCAGCACCUACAAGACCCAACUUUCAGCAGCAACAAUACAAGUACCCGGUGUUCCGCCAGAAUUUUCAGCCUCAGCAGCAAGUCAAGCCAGUAGUCAAACCGCCGAACAACGGUGGAGUCAAGACCAACCCUCCAGGGCAAGUCACCUGCUUUGGGUGUGGUCAGACUGGGCACUAUUCCAGGCAGUGCCCCAACAAGAAGCCCGACGCACCGCAUCCCAAUGCACCCAACCCCGGUCAAGAUGCACCAGGGAGGAACCAGGCCCCCCGCAACCAACAGUUCAAUGGUAGGGGCUGGAUCAAUCACAUCACUGCAGAAGAAGCACAGGAAGACCCAGACUGCAUUCUGGGUACGUUCCUCGUCAACUCAACUCCAGCAACAAUGUUGUUUGAUUGUGGUGCUUCGCAUUCUUUUGUUAGUCAAGGGUUUGCGGAGAAAUGCGGUUUAAAACCCACUUUACUCCGCGGACAGAUGGCAAUUCAAACCCCAGGAGCAGUAUUAAGGACCAACCUAGGGUGUAGAAGGGUCGAGAUAGUUAUCAAUGGGACGAGUUUCUUGGCAGACCGAUCAUUGUGGUUAAAUCACAAGGUGUGGAAGUAAUCCUCGGUAUGGAUUGGUUGGCCAAGCACCAGAGUCUUUUGGACUGUGCCAACAGAGCCAUCACCAUGAUAAGAAACCAAGGGGUCAAGGUCAAGUUCGUCUCCGAACCAGUAUCGGCUCACGCACCUCGAGUCAACAGUCUCUCCGAGGUAGAGCUUGAUCGAGUGCCUAUAGUCUGUGAAUACCCGGACGUCUUUCCUGACGAGCUACCCGGAAUGCCUCCUGACCGAGACAUUGAGUUCAUCAUUGAGCUUAUGCCCGAAUCGAGGCCUAUUUAUAAAAAGCCUUACAGGAUGGGUUCCGAGGAGUUGGCAGAGCUGAAGAAACAACUGGAUGAGCAACUCAGGAAAGGGUUCAUUCGUCCGAGUGCGUCACCUUGGGGAUCACCUGUUCUGUUUGUUUCAAAGAAGGAUGGUACCAUUCGACUCUGCGUCGACUACCGUUCCCUUAAUGAAGUAACAAUUAAGAACAAGUACCCGCUCCCCAAGAUCGAAGACGUGUUUGACCAGUUAAACGGGGCCAGGGUAUUUUCCAAGAUUGAUCUCCGAUCAGGAUACUACCAGUUGAAGAUCCGACCAGAAGAUAUACCCGAGACUGCAUUCGUGACCCAGUACGGUCUGUAUGAAUGCACGGUCAUGCCCUUCGGUUUGACAAAUGCCCCAGCCUAUUUCAUGUACCUCAUGGACAAGGUCUUCAUGGAAUAUUUGGACAAGUUUGUCGUCGUGUUCAUCGAUGACAUACUAAUCUUCUCCAAGUCCGAAGAAGAGCAUGAGCAACACCUGAGGCUAGUUCUAGGAAAGCUUCGAGAGCACCAACUUUACGCCAAAUUCAGCAAGUGUCAGUUCUGGCUGAACGAAGUUGGGUUUCUGGGUCAUACCCUGAUGGCACGCGGUUUAGCCGUGGAUCAGUCCAAGAUUUCUACAGUGGCCAACUGGGAAUCACCCAAGGACGUGAAGGAUGUCAGGAGUUUCCUCGGGCUCGCGGGAUACUACCGCAAGUUUGUCGAGGGAUUCUCGAGCAUCGCUCGACCUAUGACUCAGCUCUUGAAGAAAGGCCGGAAGUUCGAGUGGACACCGGCGUGUGAAGCAAGCUUCCAGGAGUUGAAGAAGAGGCUAACUACCGCUCCGGUAUUGGCUACCCCAGACAUCAACAAGGAAUUCGUGAUAUAUUGUGAUGCCUCGGGAACCGGGCUCGGUGGAGUCCUGAUGCAAGAUGGCAGGGUCGUGGCGUACUUGUCACAGCAACUGCGACCGCAUGAGGAGAACUACGCCACCCAUGAUCUCGAGCUAGCAGCGGUAGUGCAUGCUCUGAAGACGUGGCGACAUUACCUUCUGGGAAAGCGAUGCGAGAUAUAUACAUACCACAAAAGUCUUAAGUAUUUCUUCACUCAGAGAGAGCUGAACAUGAGACAACGGAGAUGGUUUGAGUUAAUCAAGGAUUACGACCUCAGCAUUCAGUACCAUCCCGGCAAGGCGAACGUGGUAGUCGAUGCCCUGAGCCGGAAGGCAGGCUCCUUGAACGUCGCGCUCAAGGAAAGGUUACCCGCCUUGUAUGAAGAGAUGGAGGGCUUAGGACUUGAGAUAGUCGAACCAGGGUACCUGGCCAACCUCGAAGUCAAGCCUACUCUGGAAGACGACAUCAAGGAAGCCCAGAAGGGGCACAAGAGUAUCGAAGGCCUCCAGAGGAAGGUGCGAGAAGGCAAAGCCCCAGGAUUCUCGAUUGAUGAGCAAGGAGUAUUGUGGUAUGGGAAGCGCUUAUGCGUACCCAACAAGGCCGAACUUAAGGACUUGAUCCUGCAAGAGGCACAUGACACACCGUACUCUAUCCAUCCAGGUGGUACCAAGAUGUACCAAGACAUCCGAGAACGAUUCUGGUGGCAUGGCAUGAAGAGGGAAAUUGGCUCCUAUGUCGCUAAAUGCGAUGUAUGUCAGCGAGUCAAGGAUGAACACCAACGACCCGCUGGAUUGCUACAACCUCUUCAAGUGCCAGAAUGGAAGUGGGAUAUAGUCGGCAUGGACUUCAUCACCGGGUUGCCCCGGUCGAAUAAGGGUCAUAACUCCAUUUGGGUCAUAGUUGAUCAUUUGACCAAGGUGGCCCAUUUCAUCCCCGUUAACACCACUUACGACGGCAGCCAGCUGGCCAGUCUGUACAUUCAUCGAGUGGUGAGUCUCCAUGGAGUCCCCAAAGAGAUUGUGUCCGACCGCGGCACGCAGUUCACCUCAAGAUUCUGGAAGAAGUUUCAAGAAGCUCUCGGAACCAAACUCUCCUUCAGUACGGCUUUCCACCCGCAGACGGGCGGACAGACCGAGAGGGUAAAUCAGAUACUUGAGGACAUGCUCCGCGCUUGUGUUUUGGCCCAUGGUGCCAAGUGGGAAGACUGCCUACCAUUUGCUGAGUUCUCUUACAACAACAGCUACCAGUCCAGUCUUCAAAUGGCCCCAUUCGAAGCAUUAUAUGGGCGGAAAUGCCGCACCCCGCUCAAUUGGUCCGAAACCGGUGAAGGGCCAGUUUUCGGGCCAGAAGCACUGCAGGAAGCAGGGGACAAGGUUCAGCUUGUCCGAGAGAACUUGGAGGCAGCUAAGUCAAGGCAGAAGAGCUAUGCGGACCCUCACCGCAGAAACGUGGAGUUUGUUCCCGGAGACCAAGUGUACUUGCGAGUCACGCCUCUCAAGGGGACCAAGCGUUUCCAUGUCAAGGGGAAGCUAGCUCCAAGGUUCAUUGGACCCUUCAAGAUCACGGCAAGGCGCGGGGAAGUAGCUUAUCAGUUGGAGCUACCUCCUCAACUUUCGGGUGUGCACAACGUGUUUCACAUGUCACAGCUCAGGAAGUGUUGGCAAGUGCUGAACCGUCCAGAUCUUUACAAGGACAUUGAUCAUCAAGCUAUUGACCUUCAACCAGAUUUUACCUACCGCGAGAGACCGAUCCGCAUUUUGGACGAAGCAGAGCGUUGCACCAGAAGAUGCACCAUCAAGUUUUUCAAGGUUCAGUGGAGCAACCAUACCGAAGCAGAAGCCACGUGGGAGCGUGAAGACUAUCUCCGAUCAGAAUUUCCCGAGCUGUUUAACGCUUAGCUUAGGAAUCUCGGGGACGAGAUUCUUGUAAGGGGGAUAGGUCUGUCACACCCUGUUUUCCACCCCAAGUUUUUUGUAUUGCAAAAAUCAGAGCUUGUUAAAACUUUUCCAAAUAAUGUUGUGAGUGCAAUGUCAACCCUUGUUUGAGUGUACGCUUGCUUGUUUGAUGACUCAACCCAUGAAGAACUUAUUAUUUUGCUCUCAUCAAAAACCCUUUUUUCCUUUACAUCAAGAUCACCUUCAUCAUGUUGGGAUACACUACUAGCUCAUGAAGCCAAGUGGCACUCUCAACUAAAGUUGGUGAUCUGAUCCUAAUAUCAUUUUCAUUCAUUAAAAAUACUAUUUAGUGAUUUAAAAUAUUAUUUUUCUAUUUUAUAUCUAUGUCUAUUUCUAAGGCCAGUAAUGAUAUUUCCACAAGGAAAUUACUUUCCUGCCUUAGGAAAUUCUGAGUAAAUUCAUGGAAGCUGAGAAGGACAUAUAUUUUCCAUAUUUAAGAUUUUCAACCCUAUUUUAUAUUAAUAUUAUUUGAGUAAAACCCUGAAAACCAUUUCUGUCUGUUUUAGCUUUUUGAGAUGUUUCCAAAGGAAAGUAUCUUAGUAAAUUCCCAUAAAAUUACAGGAGCCCUCCCAAACCAUAUUAGGUGCUCACCUAAAAUCUCACCUUGAUCCAAGGUGGGUAAGUGCACUUAGAGAGCCCAAAACCCUCUCUGUCCAGAGUAGAGUUGGAACAACUCUACAUUGCAAAGUUUCUCCAAUAGAGCUGAAACUUUGCAGAGGUGUUUAACACCCCAAAUGAGGACUCCACUCGAAAAAUGGGAUUUGUGAGACUCUGUUUGACCACACUUCCUUUGUAAGGGACAGUACUAGUCACUUUGAGACAUUUUCAAGUUUGCAAAGCCAAACUUGUUCAAUGGAGCUCAUAUUUGGUGGAACCCCAUGUUUUUACCCGAAGACUAAACCUGUUAAGUUUCAUUUAUAGUGGUGGAGUGGAAGCACCCCAAGUCACUGUCGAACACCUACUGACAGGAAGGUAAAAACCUUCCUAGCCACUGUUUUACCCAAUGUCAAGGCCCCAAACUUGGUGGGUUAGAGCACCAGAACACCCUGAGCACCCAGUCAUACAACCCCUCCCCAAUUCCAAGCACAAGUGACAAGAACUCCAAUUUGAGCUGCAGGACAGUACUGGCAACACUAGUGUUCCUUGCUCCCUUGACAAGCUCGAGCUCCCACUAAACACUACAAGAAAACCACUAAUUUAUGACGAAAAAUAGUGACAGCGGUUUAAUUGGUCAUAGAUCUAUGACCAAAAUUCCUAAAUAGGUCAUUGAGAGUUUGCGAGGGUCCAAACCCCAUAAUAUCAUGACCAGUUGUGCCCAUAAGGUCAUAAUCUUAUUGCAAAAAAAGGUCAUUAAGAUUAGUAGCACUAUUUAUGGUCUUAUUCUCUACUCAUCAUGACCAAAUUACAAGGUCAUGAUGACGUGGGUGGAAAUGACUCGAUGACACAUCAUCAAUUUUGUCUAUGUGUCUUGUGCACUUUACAAUUUUUCCUAUGUGCCCCAACUAGAGAGUGCAAGUGUAGUAAUGUAUCCUGACUAGCUGAUGGGACCCACAUACCACACUAGGGAAAAAUGUAAAAUAUUAAUACAUAUUUUUUUCCUUAUGGGCCCUAAAUAUAUUAUUAUUAUUGGCUUACCAAAGUUUUCAUACACAUCCAGGGUUUACUACAAGAAAUAUUUUAUUUAUGGACUGUAAAUUGAUUGCUAUACCAUAGAUUUUUUGGUUUAUUGGGUUACUAAAUAUUGGGAUGAUGAAAACUAGAAGGGGAUGAGCAACGAGAAAAAGGUGAAGGGUGAAAGGUUGGACGAAGGGGUGGUGAGAGAAAACAAAAUAAAAGAUGAAACCUUAGCUUAUUUUUAAAUAUUUUAGAGAAAGGAUAGACAUAGACAUUCUUUUAGUUUUGAAACCUUUUGAAAAAAUUGAGUAUCCAAAACUGUUUUGUCCUUUCAUAAAACAUUGUAAGGUUUAUCACAAUUAUUCUACGCAAAUAAAACAACACCCUUGAGCUCAUCACCGGUGCGUGCGAGGGCGGUGAUGGGUCCAGGGACAUGAUGACAUCGUGCGUCGUGAGUGUGCCGACGUCUUCUAUUUUAAUUGUACAUAAAUUUCGCGAGUGUAUGAAAAACAAUCGACAAACCAAAUUUUGUCAUUUGUCACCAUGCGGCCAUGCAUGCACUUCUCUUUCGAGUGCCCGAGCAACGUUUGCGAUUUUUUUCCUUUGCCGAGUGUUAUCAACAUUAGGCAAAAUCGUUAAUUUUGGUAGUUUUCGAUAUCCUGCUAAUUCUGUGUAAUUAUAUUUAGCUUUGAGGAGAUUUAUAUUGUUUUUCUAAGAAAAUGACAUGUGGAUCAGCCUCACACCAAAUGAUGGGCCGGAGCCCACGAAACCAACUAGGGUUUCUAGCCGAAGGGACACAUACAUAACCUGCUCCCACAUCCGUCUCCCUGUACCCUAGCCGCCACCUGCUUCUUCUAUCCUCCGGCACCCUGAAUCUCUUUUCCUAUUCUUCCUCCGGCACCCCAAAUCCCUCUCCCUGUUCUCCCAUGGAGGUUUUCUUCCUCUUACCACCUCGCGACACCGGCCAUGUUAGCGAAUCCACCCCAUCAUAGGACCUCAAUCCCGAGACCCCUCGCCUCAGAUCUCGAUCCUCACCAGAAGGCUUGCUCGCCUUGCUCCGUGAGCUCGGUGUGUAGCUGCAUACCAUCGCCAUCAACUUCGAUUGGGCCUUCAAGAUCCACGGCAAGCUACACAUCGGCCUGAAUCCCUCCCUUUUGCCACUAGUUUUUCACGGUGGUUUUAGGUUUGUCUGUGUUGACGCACAUGUAACAUCAGGUGGAGGAGUUGCUGACUGAGCGCCGACGAAGGAGACCAUCAUGAGGGAGUUCAUCGUCAUCCUCUGACGCGCGUCCUGUGCUUGUGGCUGCCCGCUGGGAUCGGACACCAUGGUUUCUAAAUCGGCAUAUGGUGGUGGUGCUCGUACCGGCUGCUGCAGUUGCUGGGUUUGUUGGUAUCCCAGGACAUUGGUGGCUUCCUCUUUGAUUCAGGCAUAAGUAAGAAACCCAAUUCCGAGCUCCAUGUGAUGUGGACAUCAUAGUUGGUACUUUAGUGGUAUAGUUCUAGUUAGGUUACUGAAUGCUAUCAUAUUUUAGUGUGGUUUUUGAUGUUUAUGUCUUCUGUUUGUGCUAUGGUUAUACUCAGUUUGUGUGAAGGCUGAGCAUAUGUUGGUCCUGAUGUCCCCAAGGUUGCGAUGCUUCUCCCAAAUAAGGUCUAGAGCCCCUCUCCAGGGUUUCUCUAUGCCGUCCCACACCGGCGCGACACCUUAGGCGCUCCGCCGUGCCCUACCUCGCCGUUUCCGUUCAACCCCACAGCGUCCCUGUUGCCUCCGCUGUUUUCUUGAUUGGUUCCUAAGGUAUGAGUAAAUUUUCACAUCCAUGAUUUGUUAAACGUCGCUGAACCUCAAGAACUUUUGAGCGUGCACCGACACGCCGUCCAGAUCCGCCUCUAAAUUCUCAACCAUCGUCUACAUGUUCAUCUGCAGCUGUAGCAGAGACAGUGCAUGGCGGCGGUACCACAUCACCUGCUCUAUGAAUUCGCCAAGGCUGCACUUAUCAAGAUAUUUGCAUUUCCUUAUGCCACGGUCUGUUACACGCUCCUCUGUUUCCUGAUAUCCAAUUCAUUCCGGUUAGAUGGUUAGUGAAGAACUAAGCAGCAGAAAUUUCUACUACCCGUUAUGAAAUGCUGAAGGUGUGCGACAUGUACUACAACGGCGGUGCUGAUACAGAAAAGUGGGCUGAUGCGCAAGCUGGUCACUACAUAGGAAUUGGUAGGCCGAGCUCACUAUGACCUAAGCCCCUCCUUGGUUACUUUGUUCGGACUACCUGGAAUCUUUUGCCUAUAGUGAACUUACUGCUUUCUGUGAUAGACGCUUCUGCGUCAGCUGUCAGCAGUGAUGCCCGUGAACUAUGGGAGACCAAAUGGAAACCUUUCACCACAGAGUUCAUCGAGUUGAAUCCUUCUGCUAUAAUCUCCUCUCGCCACCCCUUCUUACUUGCACGAAAUUGAAGUGUUCAGAGCUGAUGGCAUGUAUAUUGGGUUGUAUAACAGGAUGACUUUGAAGCUCAAUUGCAAGAAAAGGGCAUCCAAGCGGAUAUAGUUUGCUGCAUGCAGAAUUUACAGGCAAGCUGGCUUUUCUCCACCUCUAGAAUUUGGUAUAUUAUUAAGCUUUGCUAAUCUUCAAAGGUUAUCCAUGUUGAAAGAUAGUUAUGCUUUGAAAGUGAGGAGCACACAAAGAAGCUUCUCAAUAAUGUAUCAUCCUUGCUCAAAUCUUGACAUAAAUAAUAUUCCCUCCUAACAAAAUGUGUAUUGUAAAAACUAGUGUAAUGAACUCUAAUUUGUAUUGGCUGAUAAUAUACUGUAAUUUAUACUAGAUGAUAACAAGAGCUACGGCUCAGUGGUUAGACACGGUAGUAGCUAGUCAACUGGACCAAGUUGAAUUACUAUAUCAGACUAGAGAAAUACCCUCGUAAAUUUUCUUUUGACAGAUAAAAUGCUACCAAGUGUGUGUGUCCAUUUUCUUCCUCCCCGAGACAAAAUAUAUUGGGCAGAAGUGGCAUACAGAAAGCGACGUGAUGAAUCCAUGCUACCAUGCCCAAUCAAUGUGCUUAUGUGCUCAAGUAAUUAAAUAUAUAGUAUAGUACAUUUAUAUGGGUGUGAUGAGCUUAAACAAUGGGUUGAAUAAAAGGGAGCAUUUCCAACACAAAAUGCACAACAUAGAUGAAUGGAAGGAAUUUGAAUGAAGCUAAAAAAAUCCAGUCAAGUAAAUAAGGGAAACAGUCUUAUACAAAACCUUGAGAUAAAUAAAAGGAAGCUAGGUUUCUUUUCAAGCAUGUCUAACGUUUAUGUAGGAUCCUUGAGAUAAAUAAUAUUCCCUCCUAACAAAAUGUAAGAUGUUUUUUAUGCCCUAUGAAUAACCAAAAAACGUCUUACAUUUUGAUACAGGGCCAUUGUAUGGAUAUGUUUUGGUGGUAUUUGUGCAUGAACUUGUAGUUUGUUAGUAUUUGUUGCUAGUUUUCUUAUUCUGUGUGUCUUGAUGUAUAGAGUUAGUUUCCUUGGUCUUCUUUUUGAGCCUUACCAUCCUAUUUUUUUUCUUGCAGCCGGGGGCAACACUUGGAGUGCCAUUUGGGGCGGAGGAACAUGAUGAGAAAGGAAAAGGCUUGGGCGGGAUCUACUUCAACUCUCCAGCCUCAUAAGUGCAGGUAUUUACACCACUUAACACAAAACUUUAGAAUAGAGAUUUCAAAUGUGUUUUUAUGCUCGAGGGUGAGUCUAGUUAGGCCAGCAACAAUAGGGAGCUGCAAAAUUCACUUGCCUGGUCUGAAUUGUGAGCAUUUAAAGAUCUUCUUGGUGCAAAUAAACAAACUUACAACCCAUUUUAUAUCUGAGCCGCCUCAUGCAUACAUGCUUUUCUAUUUUCUGUUUUGUUUAUUUUCUAUGUUCAUGGUAAACGUCUAGUGCUUUUUUAGAAACUGUUGUCAGCUUUUGCCUUUGGGAGAAUACUGCAGUUGUAUCCUCCAAACUAAUAGGUAAAAAUUUAUUUAAAGAACACUGAUCUAAUAUUUUAUUUUAUUUAUUAUUUCGAAAUUAAUAUAAAAACUGAGUUGUAUCCUAUUUAUUAUUUCGAAAUUCAUACAAAAACUGAGUUGUAUCCUCUAUAGGUCAUUUAUUAGGCAUGCAUUUCUUUGUUGCACUUUUCAUAUGUAUCUCACUUGGGCCCAGCCUGUGCGUGCUAUGAAUGGAAAGUUUCUUGUUCCUAAAAUGUUACUUUUCCUUACUACGUGAUUCGUGUAUGGGAAUUGGCUCUCAACUUGGUCAAUACUUGUUGUGGUCAACUCAAAAUAGUACUUGAUGUGCACCUAGAAAAGUACAGUUUCAUGCUGGAAUUUUAUUUUAGGUUGGCAUUGUAUGACUUGGAAAUAAUACUUGUGUUAACCUCACUUUAUUGUGUGUUAACCUUACAAUCUUUCCAUCUGUAUGUUCUUCUCAUUUGUGAUCCUUUUUAAUGUCAGGAUGUUUCUCAAUUCAGAAUUGGCUACUCAGAUGAAGUGGAACUGUGAAAGACGGCCCACGUUGUGAACAAAUUAAUUUGUGUUCUUUAAUGUGCUUUAUUGAAUCCACGGUGAUUCCAGUUGUGUGCAAUGUAUUGGUUGUACAAUAAUAAUAUUUAUUGGAUUUGUAUUUGAGUUGAAGGCUGAACUAUUUUAUGUGAUGCAUGUUUAUAAAGUAUCUGUCAUGAUGCGUAUUGCCGAAAUGAACGAAACUAUUUAUCAAAAUGUAUUUUUUGUUAGAAUUUUCUACGAUGCCUGGCAUAUAAAAUCUGUGCAAAAAUAAGGCCUUGUUCUAGAUAAAAAAUAGUAAUGGGCUAAAAUAUCAAAUAUUGGUUUAUGAACACAGAAAAAAAUUGAAAUACAAACGAAAAAUGGGAUGAAUUGUUGGGCCUGGCCCAUUUAGGUGCCUGAUUUGGACAGGGCUUGUAAAAUUGUGACCUUAUUUUUCAGUCAUUGUUGAUCUGCCAUGUCAUCACCUUAGCCACGUGGUUGAUGCCAUGUAAUGACCAAAAAAUUUGGUCAAAGAUUUUAUGACCUAAUUGUUUUGGUCAAAGAAUACUUGACCAAAACACUAAAAAGGUCAGGUUUGUUUGUUCUUGACGGCCAACUGUUGACGCUCUGAAUUUGGUCAAAAAAGGUCGUAAUAUGAUAUCGAUGACGAUUUUUUGACCAAAAUGGUGGGUCAUUAUCGACCAUAUUUCUUGUAGUGAAACCACAACGGCUAGGCACACUCCCAGCAACACUCAGGACAUGGAGGACACGUCCCAAGUGCCCCAGAGCGAGCCAGCAUGCCGUGGCAUGCCAAAACUGUGCUCUGGGCGCGCUGCAGAGAGCCACCCGCAAGGGGCCGAUGCUCCGGCCGGUCAGCCUCCCCAGUAGUGUCCAAGCACUCCCCCGACAGCCCCUCAGUGAAAAGCUACCCCAGGGACCCUCUCCCCCUCGCGCAAGAGCUCAGGCGACGCGUGCCCGUGCGCGCCCGACGCGACCGAGCAUGCACGGUCGCUGCAGCUCGUCCCCACUCACUUUCCCUCUGCGGCAGUUGCAUUAGGAGGCCCUAAACCACGUCCCGAACCCGUGUUUUCGCGGCCAGCACCUCACUGUGCUUGCACGCGUGCCACGGUGAGUCACCGGCGUGCCCGAGUCGGGUCACCGUCGUUGGCCUAUAAAUAGACCCCCCCGGCUCUCCAGCACCCUCCAAGCAGCUUCAGCACAACCAGUAGACACUCCCUAGCCGCCCAAUCGAGCUCGCAGAGCCCCGGUGCUCGAGAUCGACCGAGGCCCCUCCGCCUCGGAGCUCCGGUCGAUCUCCGGCUACACGUCGGCUCCUGCGCUGCCCGACCUCUCAUUACACUCCCCUCGACACCAGGAACAUUUCCCCUAACUCUCCCGAGCAAAUCCAUACCUCUAGCUCCUAGUUCAACUCGAACCCGAAACCCUUUCGCCACGAGCACCUCGUCGCCGGCGACCCAGACCACCUCCGGUGACGUCCCGACCACGAGCAGGUAGGCGGAGGCACGAGGAACCCGUUCCCGUUCCUAGCUAGGCCUGAGGACAACGGCAUCCUCGCCGGUGUCCAUCUCCACCUCUCUGGCCAGAGGUAGGAGAAGGACCCGACAGGUGGAGCCCACCUGUCGGUGUCCUGGGGCAGCCAGCGCGCGCAGCCGCUGACGCUGACCCCAGGGGCCCGCAGGUCAGGUUUGAACCUGGCCCACGCGCGCCUGGUGGCCAGGCCUGCUGGCUGGGCCGGCUCGAUCUGUUUCCCUGGCCUUUUUCUUUUGUUUUAAUCCAGCAAACUAAAUGAUUUUUAUAAAAAGAUUUAGCCAGUAGAAAAAUAUAAUUCUUCCACCAGUAUUUUUCUAAAAAUGAGUAGUAUUUGAUUCUGUAAUAGUUGACAUUUAUCAAUAACAGAAACUAUUUUGGUAUAAUAAAAUGAUAUUAAAAAGCACUUGUUUGCUUCUGUUUGCUUUUAAAUAAAUAUGCUUAGCUAAUAAAACAGUAGGGAACAUUUUUCAAAAUAAUAACAUGGAUUUCUUCAAGCCUUGCAACAUUUUUAAAAGCACUUUGUGAACUGUUUUAGUUGAAGCUAGUAUUUAUUUAUUCCUUUCUCGACGGUAGAAUUACCGAGUGACGGAGGAUCCGGAGCGGAAGACCUCGAAGACCCCGGAUACCUAGCUGACCAAGGCAAGCAUGCCCUUUGCCAUGACCUAAGUAAAUAAAAUGAUGCAUGCUAGAAUAGCAAGUAUUUUCCAUUGCAUGUAAUCACGAUGUCGGUUCAUCAUUGAUGUGAUGGUACCGAAGGCUUCUUCGAAGCCCUUGCAUUAUAGUAGUGAUUUCACAUGGCUCCUCGGAGCACAAACAUGAUGAGCUUGAUCCUACCAUCUACGAGGAUCAUGUUACUGUCAUGUUGGCUAGUAGAGUAGAAUCACUGCAUUGAGCUUGACCCCGUGAGGGUCAUGAUACUAUCAUGUUGACAAGUAAUGUUAAGGCACAUCAAGUUGACAAGUAAUAAUAGAGCAUUUUAUCAUGAGCAUGACGAUGAGUUAAAUAAAGAGUUUAUGAAAACCCCGUCGGGUGCCACUAAUGCCCGAAGGUGAUGAUGAGUUGGUGAUCACUUUUGGUGAAGUAAUGCACCGAUGAUUUUGUUGUGAGUAUGGUUUCGGAAAUGGAUUAGAUUUAUGAUGUGUUGACCAUCCCAACCUUACCCAGUACGACCACGAUACCCCUUUAUGGGACAGGGCUUUGUUGAUUACUCUGGUCGGUGCUAGCAAAGAGCCACAUUACUAGUGGCGGGAGUGAUCGGUGUCACUCUCGUGAUGGGGUCGUGCCAGGUAGGACGACUAUGCCAUUAUUAUGAGUUCCAGGCACACCGUUGGUCCCUGCAUGGUUGAUACAGUCCAGAGUCGGUGCUCGUAAGACGUACAACAUGUGGGCUGGGUACCAAUCAAGUGGAUCUCUUUGUCUAGUAUCGUCAGGGGAAAUAUGAUGAUCGGAUACUUACCUCGGGUAUAUGUGAUAUACCGCGAAUCAUGGAUGAAACGGAAGUAUUCCGUUUCUCGUGGGUCCAGCGUACUACCUCUGUAGAGUGUAAACUAUUCGAAUAGCUGUGUCCAUGGUCAAGGAUAGUUGGGUGGUGCUGCUUAAACUACGUCCUGAGUUUCCGCAUAAACCAAGUGUGUGUGUGUGGUGUUAAAAAGGUGUUGUUAUAAUCAUGAUAAUCACAAUAAUAUGAUCAAGUUCGGUGACUUGACNNNNNNNNNNNNNNNNNNNNNNNNNNNNNNNNNNNNNNNNNNNNNNNNNNNNNNNNNNNNNNNNNNNNNNNNNNNNNNNNNNNNNNNNNNNNNNNNNNNNNNNNNNNNNNNNNNNNNNNNNNNNNNNNNNNNNNNNNNNNNNNNNNNNNNNNNNNNNNNNNNNNNNNNNNNNNNNNNNNNNNNNNNNNNNNNNNNNNNNNNNNNNNNNNNNNNNNNNNNNNNNNNNNNNNNNNNNNNNNNNNNNNNNNNNNNNNNNNNNNNNNNNNNNNNNNNNNNNNNNNNNNNNNNNNNNNNNNNNNNNNNNNNNNNNNNNNNNNNNNNNNNNNNNNNNNNNNNNNNNNNNNNNNNNNNNNNNNNNNNNNNNNNNNNNNNNNNNNNNNNNNNNNNNNNNNNNNNNNNNNNNNNNNNNNNNNNNNNNNNNNNNNNNNNNNNNNNNNNNNNNNNNNNNNNNNNNNNNNNNNNNNNNNNNNNNNNNNNNNNNNNNNNNNNNNNNNNNNNNNNNNNNNNNNNNNNNNNNNNNNNNNNNNNNNNNNNNNNNNNNNNNNNNNNNNNNNNNNNNNNNNNNNNNUCUCGACGGUAGAAUUACCGAGUGACGGAGGAUCCGGAGCGGAAGACCUCGAAGACCCCGGAUACCUAGCUGACCAAGGCAAGCAUGCCCUUUGCCAUGACCUAAGUAAAUAAAAUGAUGCAUGCUAGAAUAGCAAGUAUUUUCCAUUGCAUGUAAUCACGAUGUCGGUUCAUCAUUGAUGUGAUGGUACUGAAGGCUUCUUCGAAGCCCUUGCAUUAUAGAAGUGAUUUCACAUGGCUCCUCGGAGCACAAACAUGAUGAGCUUGAUCCUACCAUCUACGAGGAUCAUGUUACUGUCAUGUUGGCUAGUAGAGUAGAAUCACUGCAUUGAGCUUGACCCCGUGAGGGUCAUGAUACUAUCAUGUUGACAAGUAAUGUUAAGGCACAUCAAGUUGACAAGUAAUAAUAGAGCAUUUUAUCAUGAGCAUGACGAUGAGUUAAAUAAAGAGUUUAUGAAAACCCCGUCGGGUGCCACUAAUGCCCGAAGGUGAUGAUGAGUUGGUGAUCACUUUUGGUGAAGUAAUGCACCGAUGAUUUUGUUGUGAGUAUGGUUUCGGAAAUGGAUUAGAUUUAUGAUGUGUUGACCAUCCCAACCUUACCCAGUACGACCACGAUACCCCUUUAUGGGACAGGGCUUUGUUGAUUACUCUGGUCGGUGCUAGCAAAGAGCCACAUUACUAGUGGCGGGAGUGAUCGGUGUCACUCUCGUGAUGGGGUCGUGCCAGGUAGGACGACUAUGCCAUUAUUAUGAGUUCCAGGCACACCGUUGGUCCCUGCAUGGUUGAUACAGUCCAGAGUCGGUGCUCGUAAGACGUACAACAUGUGGGCUGGGUACCAAUCAAGUGGAUCUCUUUGUCUAGUAUCGUCAGGGGAAAUAUGAUGAUCGGAUACUUACCUCGGGUAUAUGUGAUAUACCGCGAAUCAUGGAUGAAACGGAAGUAUUCCGUUUCUCGUGGGUCCAGCGUACUACCUCUGUAGAGUGUAAACUAUUCGAAUAGCUGUGUCCAUGGUCAAGGAUAGUUGGGUGGUGCUGCUUAAACUACGUCCUGAGUUUCCGCAUAAACCAAGUGUGUGUGUGUGGUGUUAAAAAGGUGUUGUUAUAAUCAUGAUAAUCACAAUAAUAUGAUCAAGUUCGGUGACUUGACAUAUAGGGUAAACCCGGAUGGUUUAGCCCUCAUUAAUACCUUGAGAUUAUGACAAGUCCGAUGACUUGGCAUAUAGGGUGAACCCGGUGUGUUCAACCCUUAGCAGAGAUGAUGAUAUCUGUAACCUGUUCUUCAAAAGUAAUUCUUUAACCUGAUGCAUAUACAUGAUCAUACCACCUCAUCGCAUUCCACUAAAGAUGCAUGUUACCGCCCCUUCAUUACCAUUUAUGUCAUGGGCUGUUUGCGAGUACAUUCAAAGUACUCAUUGGCUUGCCACUGGUUAUGUUAUUGACCAGACAUGGAAGGACCGGAGUUUGGCGAUGAGUACGCCGUCGGAGACGGACCUGUGAUCUAGGACGCUUCCGAGUCAGAAUGCCUGUCGGUGUAGGCUUGAUGGUAUGGGCACCGCUUAGCCCUUACGAGUUUCCGCUACUCGAUGUAUCCCUUUAUUUGGCUUUAGGCCCUGCUCUUGAACCCGACCUUCUGGUCAUUUGAUGUAAUAAUUUGGUACUUGGAUGUAAGACUCUAUCAUUCAGUAUGUGUGUUCAGUGAACAUUGAUCCUUGGGGUUACUGGGCACGACGAACUCGACUUGCUAGUCGGGGUCCCCACAUGAUAUGGAUCAUCAUCCGCUUGCUAAUCUUUUCAAGAGUUCCAAUUAUGAUGAACCAAUUGCUAGUGAGUUGAGUGUACUUGCUUAUCUCUAUGAAGUUUUGCUUGAUAUUAGUGAAUCGGAAAAUUGUGAUGAAGUGAUACACGAUGUUUCCCUGAAUAAAAAGCAUGAUUGCAAUGAUAUUGUUAUAAAUUCAAUUAAUAUCAAUUUUGCUAAUGAUAUGCAAACCCACAAGCUUGGGGAUGCUAUAUUUGAUGAGUUUGCCAUGACCACUACUUAUUGCAAUGAUCAUGAUUGGGGUGAUAAUGCUUCUUAUGAUCUUGAUAAUUUACUUAAUACUCAUGAUGAAUAUGAUAUUGAAAGUAGGUUUGGAAGAGUGUCAACUUUAGGCAUUAUUGAUCCCACUAUUUUGGAGAGUGUUCAGUCUUAUGAAAUUUUUGAUAAAAGUGGGUUUGGAGAGGUCAUGACUUUAGUUAAUGAUAAUCCCACUAUUUUGGAAGAGUAUCAACUUUGCAUGCAUGUGGAUCAUGAAGAGAAAAUUUUAUAUGAUAGUUAUAUUGUUGAAUUCCUUCGUGAUGCUACUGAAAUUUAUUACGAGGGAGGAACAUAUGCUGUAGGAAUUGCAACAAUAUCAAGUUUCCUCUUUAUGUGUUCAAAGUUUUAAAGUUAUGCUUGUUUUGCCUUCCUAUGCUAGUUGAUUCUUAUUCCCAUAAAUUGUUUGCUAACAAAAUCCCUAUGCAUAGUAAGUGUGUUAGACUUUGUGUUUUUCAUGCUAUUAUUGAUGCUCUUUUGCAUAUCUCAAUUACUACUUUUUAUGUGAGCAUUAUUGAAAUCGUUAUGCCUAGCUAGGGGCGUGAAACAAUAGCGCUUGUUGGGAGGCAACCCAAUUUUAUUUUAUGUUUUUGUUUUUGAUUAUUUUUUUGAGUGCUGCAUACAUCAUUACCUCUGUAAUAAUGGUGUUUUCUUGUUUUAAUUAGUCUUUGAGCCAAGUAAGACCUUUGGGAUGGUCUACGGUGUUUGCAAUUUGAUUUUGCUGAAAAACAGAAACUUCCGCCCUCAGUCCAGGAAUUUUGUAAAUAUACUAGAACAUGAUUUUGAUCUGAAUAUCUUACACAAGAUUGUUAUAAAAAUUUCCCAGAUCGUCCUAAUGUUUCAGAAUUUUUGGAGCAACAUAAGUUUUCUAAGUAAUCCGAUUGCUACACACUGUUUUGUGUUUGACAGAUUCUGUUUUCUUUGUGUUGUUUGCUUAUUUUGAUGAAUCUAUGGGUUGUAUAGGGGGAUAUGAACCAUGGAGAAGUGGAAAUACAGUAAAUAUUACAUCAAUAUAAAAAAAUAAUGAGUUCACAACAGUACCUAAAGUGGUGAUUUAUUUUUCUUAUACUAACGGAUCUCACGAGUUUUCUGUUGAGUUUUGUGUUGUGAAGUUUUCAAGUUUUGGGUGAAGAUUUAAUGGACUAUGGAACAAGGAGUGGCAAGAGCCUAAGAUUGGGUAUGCCCAAGGCACCGCAAGCCAUAUUCAAGGGUACCAAAGAGCCUAAGCUUGGGGAUUCCCCGGAAGGCAUCCCCUCUUUCGUCUUCAAUCCAUUGGUAAAUUUAGUUGAGGCUAUAUUUUUAUUCACGACAUGAUAUGUGUUUUGCUUGGAGUGUCUUGUAUGUUAUGAGUACUUACUUUUUAGUUUGCCACAAUCAUCCUUGUUGCACACUUCUUUUGAGACACACAUUCUGAAUCGUGAAUUUAUUAGAAUACUCUAUGUGCUUCACUUAUAUCUUUUGAGCUAGGCAAUGUUGAUCUAAGUGCUUCACUUAUAUCUUUUAGAGCGUGGUGGUGUUUUAUUUUAUAGAAAUUAUCGAGCUCUCGUACCUCACUUAUAUUAUUUUGAGAGUCUCUAAAAAUCAUGCUAAUUGGUUUAGGUUAUGAAUUUAUUCCUAAUAUAAUGGUCAUCCAAGAGGGAUAUAAUAAAAACUUUCAUAUUAAGUGCAUUGUAUAUGAUGAGAAGUUUGAUUCCUUGCAUAUAGUUUUGAGAUAUGAAGAUGGUAAUAUGAGACACAUGCUAGUAAGUAAUUGUGAAUUGGAAGAAAUACUUUUCUUAAAGUUUGUGAUUCCCGUAGCAUGCACGUAUGGUGAACCAUUAUGUGAUGAAGUCGGAGCAUGAUUUGUUUAGUGAUUGUCAACCUUUGUGUGAGAGUCGGGAUCACGCGAUGGUUAACACCUACCAACCCUUCCCCUAGGAGCAUGCGCCUAAUACUUUGGUUCAAUAACUAAUAAACUUUUGCAAUAAGUAUGUGAGUUCUUUUUGAUUAAUUUUGAGUCCAUGGAUUAUACGUACUCCCACCCUUCCACCAUUGCUAGCCUCUCUAGUACCGCACAACUUUUGCCGGUGCAUUAAACCCACCUUCCUCAAAACAACCACCAUAUAUUUUCCUCAAAACAGCCACCAUACCUACCUAUUAUGGCAUUUACAUAGACAUUCCGAGAUAUAUUGCCAUGCAACUUCCACCGUUUCGUUUUUAUGACACAGACCAUCAUUGUCAUAUUGCCUUGCAUGAUCGUAAGAUAGCUAGCAUGAUUGUCAUUAUUAAUCUAGAUCAUUCUCGAUACACUACCAGAGGCAUGCAUAUAGAGUCAUAUUUGUUCUAGGAAUUGAGUUGUAAAUUUUGAAUUGUAAGUAAAUAAAAGUGUGAUCAUUUGUAUUAUUAGAGAAUUGUCCCAUGUGAGAUAAAAGGAUGAUGGAGAGCUAUGAUUCCCUCACAAGUUGGGAUGAGCAUGCGGACUUUACAAAAAAUAAAAGAGGCCAGCGAAGCCCAUAAAAAAAGAAAAUAGGCCAAAGAAGCCCACCAAAAGAGAGAGAGAGAGAAGAGAGAAGGGACAAUGUUACUAUCUUUUUCCACACCUGUACUUCAAAGUAGCACCAUGAUCUUCAUGAUAGAGAGUCUCCUAUUUUGUCACUUUCAUAUACUAGUGCGAUUUUUUCAUUAUAGAACUUGGCUUGUACAUUCUGAUGAUGGGCUUUCUCAAGUUUCCCUAGGUCUUCAUAAGCAAGCAAGUUGGAUGCACACCCACUUAGUUUCUUUUUGAGCUUUCAUACACUUAUAGCUCUAGAGCAUUCGUUGCAUGGCAAUCCCUAGUCACGCACAUUGAUAUCCAUUGAUGGGAAUCUCCACAGCCCGUUGAUAUGCCUAGUUAAUGUGAUACUAUCUUCCUAUUUUUCCUUUGCAACCUGCACCAUAUUCCAUUCCACCUAUAGUGAUAAAUCCAUGGCUCACGCUCAGGUAUUGCGUAAGAGUUGAAAAGGUUUGAGAACGUAAAAGGUGUGAAACAAUUGCUUGACUUUCAUCGGGGUUGUGAAUGAUUUAAAUACUUUGUGUGGUGAAGAUGGAACAUAGCCAGACUAUAUGAUUUUGUAGGGAUAACUUUCUAAGGCCAUGUUAUUUUCAAAAAGACACAAUUGCCUUGUUAGUAUACUUGAAGUAUUAUCGUUUUUAUGUCAAUAUUAGACUUUUGUUUUGAAUCUUAUCGAUCAGAAUAUUCAUGCCACAAUAAAGAAUAUUACAUGGAUAAAUAUGUUAGGUAGCAUUCCACAUAAAAAAUUAUGUUUUUAUCAUUGACCUACUCGAGGACGAGUAGGAAUUAUGCUUGGCGAUGCUGAUACGUCUCCAAUGUAUCUAUAACUUUUUAUUGUUCCAUGUUAUUAUAUUAUGUGUUUUGGAUGUUUUAUAUGCAUUAAUAUGUUGUUUUAUUUUAUUUUAUUUUUGGGACUAACCUUUUAAUCUAGAUCCUAUUGCUAGUUUAUGUUUUUUCCAUGUUUUUGGGAUUUGCAGAUAAGGAAUAUCAAACGGAUUCCAAAAGGAAUAAAAUCUUCGGAGUGAUUUUUUCUGGAAUGAAAGAGACGUGCCAGACUUGGAGAAGCGGGAAGGGCACUUGCCGGGAGGCCACAAGCCUGCAUGUGACACCCUCGGUUUAAUCGUACGCUAAACAUACACGCAAAAGCGUACGAUCAAACCCAAGGACUCAUGGGUAGAUAUCACAACACAACUCUAGACACAAAUAAAAUAACAUCAGCUUCAUAUUACAAGCCACGGGCCUCGAGGGCUAGAAUACGGAAGCUUGAUAAACACACGAGUCAACGGAAGCAACAAUAUCUGAGUACAGACAUAAAACAUGAGUUGCCUUAGAGAAGGCUAGCACAAAAGAUACAACGAUCGAACGAGGCGAGGCCUCUUGCCUGGGAACCUCCUAACUACUCCUGAUCAUCAGCGGCCUCCACGUAGUAGUAGGCACCGUCGGGGUAGCAGUCGUCAUCGGCGGAGACCACCAUCUCCUGGGCUCCAUCAUCUGGUCGCAUCAAACGGAUCAAGGGGACAAGGGGGGAGCAAAGUAGCGGUGAGUACUCAUCCAAUGUACUCGCAAGUCUUACAUCAGAAUUAUUCUAAGUAUGCAUCAGUAUCAAAGCAGGGGGGGUUAUAUGUGGACUGACUGCAGCAAUGCGAGAAUAGAGAGAGAAGGCCUAGUCCUAUCGAAGACUAGCAUCUUCAGGGUCUUGCAGCAAUAGACGAGAGUAGAACAGGGGUAAAACAUUAAUAGUCAUAUUUUUGCAGCAAUAUUAAAGUGAGGUCACGCCUAAAGAUCCUCCCUCGACUCCCUGUGAGGAAGCAAUCCCGAGGAAAAAUAAUUCCAAAUAAGUAACAAUUGUAGUUGUAUAAGAUCGGGGCACAACUCCAAGUCGUCCUGUAACCGUGGACACGGCUAUCCGAAUAGUUAAUUUUCAUCCCUGCAGGGGUGCACCACAUGUCCCGUCACGCUCGAUAACACUCUGGCCGGACAUACUUUUCUGGGUCCUACCCGGACUCGGAAUAUCGACACGUCGCAGCCCCACCUAAGACUAAUCAGAGAGGUCAGCCCGCCGGUCUAAAUCCUAAGCGCAAAGGGUUCAUGGGCCCAGUGCCCCUCCGCGCUCCUGCACGAUGCGAGGGUGGCCGACGUCAGUCCUAGCAUCCCUUAAUCACAAGCGCAAUGCAUCUCGGGACCACUCGGGCGUGCGCCACUACGAUUGCUGACAUCUGAAAAGCUUCGGCUGAUACCGCGGCGCCGAGUACCCAUAAUUCUUCCCGCGUAGCCGGUUAGUGCGAAAAGGUCUCCGACGAACCCAGAUCAAAUACCCAAAUCCAUUAACAUUUUAAUUAGGCCAGCAACAUAGUCUCACGGGAAUCCACCCGUUUUACAACUAAUCACCAAAGAUCCCAGUAACAUGGUCGAGUAACUGUGUGGUUGUAACAUCGGGGGGAAUCCGAGGUAUCACCCUCGUUGGAUUCCAAACGAUGUACCUGUCAAGGUGGUCUUAGAGGAAUCACCCUCGGGGGUCCCACACUUGAGGGGUUGCACGACAGAGGCGUCAUCGGGAAUGGUUAAAGAGGAAUCACCCUCGAUAACCACGAUCGACUAGCUAUACUACAGAGGUAUCAUCAAGAGUACUUAGCGAGGUGUCACCCUCGGUACUCGAUAGUAUCUGUGUAGCCUCGUACAACGAAGGGGGUGUAUGUGCUGUGUCGGGUCUGGCUCGUCGAUCAAAGAUCAAGAUUUGAAAACAAGCGGGGCAACUGAACUACGGGGUCAGAGGGAUGACUGCUCCACCUAUACUAAGCAGAUUUAAAGUACAAGACUGAAAGUAGCAGUUCAUCAAAAAUAGGCUAUGCAUCAGACAUAGGAGCUAAGUACAAGAGUAGCAAAAUACUAAUGCAAGCAGUAGGAAGAAAGACAUAGGCGAUAUAGGAAUGAUCAAGGGGGGUUUGCUUGCCUUGCUGCUCUGCGGCAAAGGACUGAUCGGCACGGUCGUAGAUGUACCCGACAGCAGCGUCAGUCUCGGGGUCUACCGGUAAGAAGAGGGGGAAGAAACAAUAAAUAAUAGAAACGGUGCAACACAAAGCAUGACAUGGCAAGAUGCAGGCUAGACAUGAGCUAAUGCAGCAACAUCCAUCAUAGACGGGUCGGACGAAUAUCUGACGAUAUUUUCCGGGUCUGGGGCUACUACGGGUCAGACUGGAAACGAUGGAAAUGUUCCAUGUUUGCUAUGCUAGGGACGCGUGACAGACGAAUGGACCGUGUAUCCGGGUUCGUCUCGUUCUGCUGAUCAACUUUCAUGUUGAAAAUAUUUUGAUCUGACUUACUGCUUAUUUAAUAUUAAUUUUUAAAGUUUUAUUCAAUAAUUAGGAAUUAAAAAAGAUUUAAAUAAUUUAAUAAAAUGCUAUUAUGACAUCAACAUGAUGUCAUGCUGACAUCAAUAGUUGACUGGUCAACUGACCAGUGGGUCCCGAACGUCAUAGGCACAAGUUUUAAAUAAGAUUAAAUAUUAAUUAAUUAGUUUAAUUUAGUGGGGGCCCACGCGUCAUACUCUAAUUAUGUUAAUUGAUUAUUCUAAUUAACAGAUUAACUUAUAUAUCUAUUUAACUAAUUCAUUAAUUAUUAUAUCCAAUUACUUACUUAUUUAAUAAAAACAUAUAUCUUUAUUAUUAUUAUUUUCUUAACAACGGUUGUGGGGCCUCCCUGUCAGUGGGAGUGGGGGGUUUGGCCCCACGUGGUAAUGGCCUAAUGGCCACACACACAACUCUCGUACACACGUUUUAUACACACACAUAUACCAUAUACAUACAUAAUAUAUACAUGCAUCUAAUACAUACAUAUCUCAUCCCUCUUUUCUAACAGCUCUCUGUACAACUCUCACAGCUCCUCUGUGUUAACAGAAGAGACAACACAGAGUUCUCUCUGCUAACUCAACAUAGAAGAACAAAAUCUUCAAUCCUUCCUACCUAUCUCUACCGUCGACGGAUCGAAGCCCCGUUUGCCAGAACGGAACCGGGACGGCGAGGAGAACAAGAUGGUGGGAGGAGCCCGAGGAGGGGCUCACCGACAUUGACGAGAGGGCCCGGUGAAGCCCGAGUUCUCGGGAGGCGGAGGUGACGUCGAGGAGGAAGACGAUGCGGUGACGGUGAUGAUGAUGGUGACGCGGUUCCAGUGAAGACGGUCGCCAGAGAGACCUCCACGAGGUGGUCAACCGGCAUGACGGGGAGGAGGGGUGCUCGUGGGGGAGGGGGUCAGUCGUGAGGUGUUCCUCCCGUGGGGGGCUGCGUCGGUGGGAAGUGAGGGGGCGGGGGAUCAGGCCAGGGGUGCCGAUCUGGUGGAGGGAGGCCGAUCUGGAGCUCGUGGGAGGACGAGGAGGAAGGGGGAGGCCCCGGUGGCGAGGGGGUGACGGUGCAGGGCGGGGCUGGGGGCCUCGCGACGGUGGCCUGCACCGGCCGGUGGUGCACGAGGCUGAGGCGGCGGUGGCCCGUGAACGUGUGGGAGACGGGGCUAGGGGUGGCGGCGAUCUAGGUGUGGGGUAGGUAGCGAGGGAGUGGGAAGGGGAUCGAGCCCAGGGGGACUCGGUGGGGGGUGUGGUUGGUGUCGUGGGGAUUUGUGGGGCUCGGGAGGCAGGUGCUCUCGUGGGGUUUGGCCUCGGGGGAGAGAGAGAUGUCGGUGGGGGUGGGGCCCCCCACGAGGGCUGGUGGCGACCGAGGCGAGAGCCGGUGGCGGCGGAUGAGGGGGAAACAGGAGAGCGGGGGGAGAGCCAGGGUCUCGCGAGGGGGAGCGCUAGGGUUCCCAGCGCGGCGGCUGGAGGCCUGGCCGGCUGGGCCACUAGGCCGAGUUGGGCCACGGGGUGGGGGGUCUUUCCUUUUUUAAUAUUUUUUAUUAAUUAUAAUCCUUUUUAUUAUUCUAUUUUUAUUUACUUUCUUUCAUAAUUUAUAAUUUAUACUUUUAAUCCUUUCUUUUGUUUAUUUAUUUUCAUUUACUAUAUUUCUUUACUUAUUUUGUUAAAGCUCCUUUCUUAAUAUAUUGGGAUCAUCAAAGGUUCCAAAAGUACCCGACUUGAUAUUAUAAUCCGUUAGGGAAUCUUUAUAACUCCCCGACGUUGUUAUCUCAACAACAUAAAAUCUUUUCACGUUUGACUUAAUCUCGAAGCUUCGAAUUUUGAUUCGGUUUCAAUCAUCAUGAGAACAUUGAUAUAGUUAAUGAUGACGUGGCAUCAUUAGCGUGGGAUCACUGUCACUUAAUUACAAUCAUCACUGUAGCAGAAGUCGAGGAUGUCACAAUUCUCCCCUACUAACAAGAAUUAUCGUCCCGAGAAUUAAGAGGUAGAAGGAAAGAGCCUGGGGUAUUCUUCACGAAGAUGAUCCUCGCGUUCCCAAGUGGCUUCAUCUUCAGAAUGGCUUGACCACUACAGAACUUGGUGACUUCACGACGAGUCUUAUGUUCAGCUUGGUCGAGAAUGCGGACCGGAUGCUCUUUGUAAGAGAGGUCUUGUUUCAGCUCAGCAUAUCAUGAUCCACUGCUCGAAUAGGAUCACUGAAGCAACGACGGAGCUGAGACACAUGGAAGACAUCGUGAACUUGAGAAAGGUUCGCCGAUAGUUUCAAUUGAUAAGCCACUUUUCCACGCUUUUCGAGAACAGUGAAAGGACCAAUAUAGCGAGGAUCUAACUUGCCCUUGAUUACAAAACGGUGUGCACCUCUCAUUGGUGUGACACGAAGAUAAGCCUUUUAGCCAGGUUGAUAGACCAUAUCUUGAUGAUGACGGUCAUACUGACUCUUCUGACGAGACUGAGCAACCUUCAGAUUCUUAUGGAUAUUGUAGACUUGAUCUUUAGCAUGUUGGACAACAUCUGGACUGAAGAGUGAUCGGUACAUUGAAUGGUGGCCCUGGAAUUUCAUACGAAGCCAAGUGUAAAGGAUACUUUGGAGUCAAAGAUGUACAGGAGAGUCAGGUUUCAAUCCUGUGGAACUUUGGGUUAUGGGUCCACCAUGUGGACCGAGAGUAGGUAGAGGGGUGACAUAUUAUACGGUCUUGGUAGCAAGACAUGUCAGAGGAUAGCCUGUCAGAUAUGUUGGCAACAACGUCGGUACCAAGGGCGUGGGACGAAUAGAACCAUUUUCCUGCUCGUUGAAACAAGGUGGACCAAUAGGAAAGGUUCUCAUCCACCGGCGGCUACCGGAAUGCUAUCCACAAUAGUAACAUGGUCUUACUGAUAGAGUCGUAUACCGAGAAUUUUACCUAAGCAGGGAAUUAACACUGCUUAGAUAAGUUAUGCCACAAGAAAGGUCAAACAGACCAAUGGGAAUGAGAAUGUGUUCACACACACAAGUAGUAAAGUAUACCAUUCCCGAGGAAAACAUAGAAUAUGGUAUACAUGAUAUAUAUGUCAUCAAGUACUUAACCAUUUAGACAAAGAGGCAAGAAGAAUCAUCAUGUUUAUCCAUACCAUGCGGUUUGGAUAAUUGACCAGGAACAAUUUAGCAUCGCUCUUCCAAUGUUCCUGUUAAAUUUAAAGUAACACAUCCAUGCUUUGGGUUAGUCUCAACACGGCCAUCAGGUAAGGGUCGGACCAAUAGGCACACAAAGAGGAUCCAUGAGGAACAACUUAUGAAAUAAGUCAUAUAGUUUCUGAAUGAAAGGAUGGUGAAUCUUUCACAUGGAAGAAUUUAUAACGAUAGGUCCUUCGGCCUGGUGUGCUAGACAAGAUAUCACCGUACCAGAUUACAUAAGACCAAAGUCAUAAAUAUUGGAAAAUGUUCCAAACAUCAUAUCUGCCUGAGAUUCAGAUCUGAUUGGUGUCGGGACACCUCAGACUCAAGAUGCCUGAGAAGAAAAAUGAAGAUGCAAGAUUCUCAUGAUAUGAGCUACACAAGAAACCCUUGAAUCAUGAGUUCGAUUUUAAGACACAUGAACACCAUUUCAAGAAAUUCGUGCCCACGUGAAAUUCUUAUCUCAAAAGGCAACUGGGUUCUCAUUUUGGGAACCAUCAUCGAGGAUGACAAGGUUCCAUGUGUAAGUCUGGAUUAGCUCUUAUGAAAGAUCUUCUUUUCCUUGAUCAAAUCAGUCAGUGGCUUGGCGUGCUAAGAGAAGUUAUAUGAAGUGAAGAUAACAAAUCUUCAUAACAUAUAACACUUCGCACAUGCAUGACUGAUUUGGUAUUUCCCAAGAGGAAGCGAAACAAAACUUUCACAUAUUCACGGCGGAAAGAUUGCAUGUGAACUUUGGGGAAAUACACUUCUUCUAUCAAACAUAUUCUUCACAAGCUAGGCACAAAGAUAAAGCUUUCAAGGGCUUCAUCGUGAACCAUGAAUAUGUUGAGGGUGCGGUCGAUGUGAUCAACAUCAAUCCCUCAAGAUUUUGACAGGGAUGAAUUUCCAAAGUUAUAAUAUCAAGGAGAUAGCAUUUGUCAAAUCAAAUGGUAUAAUGUCGUAUGCUCGAGGGAACAUCAACAAUUAAACAUUGGUCGAAGGGUGCACUCAAAAAUACGGAAUGAGUAGCACGACCAAUGCUAAAAAUAGUGAGUCAACGCAAAAACCCUAAGAAUGAAACAAUCAGUUGUUAACCUCAAGGCAAUAGGGUUGCCAGAAGUAUUGGAAUCACACAUCAGAGUUCACUUGUCGGUAUACCGGUUAGAAACAACACGGGACCAAGAAUGAAUGGUGAUGGCGAGAAGUAUUACUAUAUCAAGAAUCCUUAAGAGGUGCAAUGAUGUUCACAACAUUCUUGAUAGAAAAGGUAGUAAUACUCCAAGGUAGAAGACGACAUAAGCUGAAUUAGCAAGGAACUCGAAGGACAACACAAAACAUGAACACGUUUGUGUUGGAGGGAAGGCAAAAAGGUUGCCGAUGAAAACACAAACCAUCGAGGGGCAGGGAUGGUAUUUUCUCAUCAUGCAUUCAAUUGAUACCCUGCAAGAGCUCAGAAUGCUGGUGAUGAUCACGACACAUUUGUCGAGAAGCUUCACGUAGAUGUGAUCGAUGAGCGAUGACAUCAAGCAAGGGAAUGAUGAAGCAAGAGGUUGUCGGAAUCACAGAUAAGACUGCUAGCUUAGAAUUGAGAUUGCCUUUCAGGACAACCAACAUGCUGUGGAAAGCUUGAUGCAAGCUAAACACAUAGUUGGAAUUGUGUUCCAGGGAUGAACGGUAUAGGUAGCAUGGUCGAGCUCCAACAUGACGAUGAUGAUGUAGCUUAUCAGCUUGGAUUGUUAUGAUCGAGUACAAAAUCGUAAGUAAGGAAGAUUACUAAGAGUUGUUGAAUUGCAAUGUGUACUUGAUUCAGUUAUCGAUGUAUUUGCGUGUCCAACAACUAAAACACGAGGCAACUGGAAUUAAGGAAAAUAUCAUAGUUGAUGAGGAGCUCACAAGAAGUUCCAUAGCUCCGCGAUAUCCUCGAGCUACAAGGAAUAAUACUCGGAGGUAGAUCAACUUUAAGGUUUGGACCGGCGUGUUGAUCUGAAGAAGACAAGUACUUUAACUUGUCCGAGAAUGAAAUCAAGGUAAGACAACAUGGUCGGAACCAUGAUUGCAAAGGACAAGAUCACCGAUACCAGAUUCAAACCACAGAAUGAAUGAUUAUUGAUACGAGAAGUUCCUACGGUAGGGUCAACGUAGUUUCCAUGGGCAUGAACACACAGUUCAAGGUCGACUCCCACUUCAUCAAUGCAUCACCUGCCACUUACUCCUCGCCUUUGAUCAAGUUGUAGCUUAAAAAGAUUAUCUGGCAAAACACCAGAAGAGCAAGACUCGUGAAAACUCUUCGGUUUAUGUUGAUUUAGGAAGGCAUAGGUUCAACCCAUUGGGGCCUCUUAGGAACAUAUACCACACACUCUAAGAGUAAUUAACACAUGCUUGAAGGGCAUGGAUGACAAAAGCGUAGGUUACAAUUCUAUCAGAGGGAGAAGACACAAUUUACCAAUGGCAUCAUGUGUCAGAGAAAGCAAUCACAAGAAUUUUCGAAAGAAAAAGAUGUCGUUGGAUAAUAACCCAGGAUGAGUCUGACAAUCCACAAAGGACCUGAUGUGGGUAUCGGUACUCAAUCAGAGGGAGACAGGAUGCAAUGCAUUAGUUAAUAGAACGUUUGAAAAAUAUUGAUAUUUAAUUACCAACGGAAUUAGGAUUUCCAGGUUGGUGUAUCAUAAUCAGAUGCUCCGAUCAAAUACAAGUAAGUCGAAUAGAUUUAGAUGGACAAUCAAUAAAAAUUGAUUUGUCGGGAACCAGUUCUGUUUGAAAGGACGUCUGAGUCAAAAAGAAAAUUCAUAAGUAUCCUCAGAUGAUUGUGUUCAUUCACACAGAGGUUGAGUCAAUAAGAUCAGAGGAAAAUCACAAAGGAUUUUAAUGAAUGCUGCUAGACAUAUGGAUUUAACCAUAAUGCAAGCAGGUGAGAAAGGUCAUGAACAUUUGGCUACGGAGGAUUUCGGAAGACCGAAUAGUAAUUCGGAGAGCUAUCGAAACCCAUGACGAUUGAUGACGGACGGAUCCCCGAUAAGAUAAUUCGUUGCAUCUCGUAAAACAAGAGCAGUUGGAGAAGAAAGUAUGAAUGAAAUUUGUAUGUAUCAUCCGUAGUGGUUGACGAAGGAAGGGAAAAUUGCAGAAGCAAUGAGCACAACACCUCAAGAGAACAUCGAAGAGUAACUGCAGUUCUUCUGAGGGAUAGAGCCAUCGUCUCGAAUACGGGGCUCUCCGGGAUGAAAUAUUUACGAGAACCUAAUGUUAGAGUUAGUAAAAUCUUUAACCCGAAAUAGAAGAGAGAGUAGAGCCUAGAGUAUAGGAAAGGAGUAAAAGAUACUAAUACCACCCAAUUGAGAUGUGGGCCCGUAAGCCACAUCAUCAGUGUUAGUAAAGUUUUUCAAACACUAGACUCAACUUCGGCCAAGGAGUUGGAAAGGGGGCUACCUACACGCAGUCGGCUCUGAUACCAACUUGUGACACCCUCGGAUUAAUCGUAUGCUAAACAUACACGCAAAUGCGUACGAUGAAACCCAAGGACUCAUGGGUAGAUAUCAAAACACAACUCUAGACACAAAUGAAAUAACAUCAGCUUCAUAUUACAAGCCAGGGGCCUCGAGGGCUAGAAUACGGAAGCUCGAUAAACACACGAGUCAGCGGAAGCAACAAUAUCUGAGUACAAACAUAAAACAUGGGGUGCCUUAGAGAAGGCUAGCACAAAAGAUACAACGAUUGAACGAGGCGAGGCCUCCUGCCUGGGAACCUCCUAACUACUCCUGAUCAUGAGCGGCCUCCACGUAGUAGUAGGCACCGUCGGGGUAGCAGUCGUCGUUGGCGGGGACCACCAUCUCCUGGGCUCCAUCAUCUGGUCGCAUCAAACGGAUCAAGGGGACAAGGGGGGAGCAAAGCAGCGGUGAGUACUCAUCCAAAGUUCUCGCAAGUCUUACAUCAGAAUUAUUCUAAGUAUGCAUCAGUAUCAAAGCAGGGGGGUUAUAUGUGGACUGACUGCAGCAAUGCGAGAAUAGAGAGAGAAGGCCUAGUCCUAUCGAAGACUAGCAUCUUCAGGGUCUUGCAGCAAUAGGCGAGAGUAGAAUAGGGGUAAAACAUUAAUAGUCAUAUUGUUGCAGCAAUAUUAAAGUGAGGUCACACCUAAAGAUCCUCCCUCGACUCCCUGCGAGGAAGCAAUCCCGAGGAAAACUAAUUCCAAAUAAGUAACAAUUGUAGUUGUAUAAGAUCGGGGCACAACUCCAAGUCGUCCUGUAACCGUGGACACGGCUAUCCGAAUAGUUAAUUUUCAUCCGUGCAGGGGUGCACCAUAUGUCCCGUCACACUCGAUAACACUUUGGCCGGACAUACUUUUCUGGGUCAUGCCCGGCCUCGGAAUAUCGACACGUCGCAACCCAACCUAAGACUAAUGAGAGAGGUCAGCCCGCCAGUCUAAAUCCUAAGCGCAAAUGGUUCAUGGGCCCAGUUCCCCUCCGCGCUCUUGCACGAUGCGAGGGCGGCCGACGUCAGUCCUAGCAUCCCUUAAUCACAAGCGCAAUGCAUCUCGGGACCACUCGGGCGCGCGCCACUAUGAUUGCUGACAUCUGAAAAGCUUCGGCUGAUACCGCGACGCCGAGUACCCAUAAUUCUUCCCGCGUAGCCGGUUAGUGCGAAAAGGUCUCCGACCAACCCAGAUCAAAUACCCAAAUCCAUUAACAUUUUAAUUAGGCCAACAACACAGUCUCACGGGAAUCCACCCGUCUUACAACUAAUCACCAAAGAUCCCAGUAACAUGAUCGAGUAACUGUGUGGUUGUAACAUCGGGGGGAAUCCGAGGUAUCACCAUCGUUGGAUUCCGAACGAUGUACCCGUCAAGGUGGGCUUAGAGGAAUCACCCUCGGGGGUCCCACACUUGAGGGGUUGCACGACAGAGGCGUCAUCGGGAAUGGUGAAAGAGGAAUCACCCUCGAUAACCACGACCGACUAGCUAUACUACAGAGAUAUCAUCAGGAGUACUUAGCAAGGUGUCACCCUCGGUACCCGAUAGUAUCCCUGUAGCGUCGUACAACGAGGGGGGUGUAUGUGCUGUGUCGGGUCUGGCUCGUCGAUCAAAGAUCGAGAUUUGAAAACAAGCGGGGCAACUGAACUACGGGGUCAGAGGGGAUGACUGCUCCACCUAUACUAAGAAGAUUUAAAGUACAGGACUGUAAGUAGCAGUUCAUCAAAAAUAGGCUAUGCAUCAGAUAUAGGAGCUAACUACAACAGUAGCAAAAUACUAAUGCAAGCAGUAGGAAGAAAGACAUAGGCGAUAUAGGAACGAUCAAGGGAGGUUUGCUUGCCUUGCUGCUCUGCGGAAAAGGAUUGAUCGGCAGGGUCGUAGAUGUACCCAGCAGCAGCGUCAGUCCCGGGGUCUACCGGUAAGAAGAGGGGGAAGAAACAAUAAAUAAUAGCAACAGUGCAACACAAAGCAUGACAUGGCAAGAUGUAGGCUAGACAUGAGUUAACGCAGCAACAUCCGUCAUAGACGGGUCGGAAGAAUAUCUGACGAUAUUUUCCGGGUCUCGGGCUACUACCGGUCAGACUGGAAACGAUGGAAAUGUUCCAUGUUUGCUAUGCUAGGGACGCGUGACAAACAAAUGGACCGUGUAUCCGGGUUCGUCUCGUUCUGCUGAUCAACUUUCAUGUUGAAAAUAUUUUGAUCUGACUUACGGUUUAUUUAAUAUUAAUUUUUAAAGUUUUAUUCAAUAAUUAGGAAUUAAAAAAGAUUUAAAUAAUUUAAUAAAAUGCUAUUAUGACAUCAACAUGAUGUCAUGCUGACAUCAAUAGUUGACUGGUCAACUGACCAGUGGGUCCCGAACGUUAUAGGCACAAGUUUUAAAUAAGAUUAAAUAUUAAUUAAUUAGUUUAAUUUAGUGGGGGCCCACGCGUCAUACUCUAAUUAUGUUAAUUGAUUAUUCUAAUUAACAGAUUAACUUAUAUAUCUAUUUAACUAAUUCAUUAAUUAUUAUAUCCAAUUACUUACUUAUUUAAUAAAAACAUAUAUCUUUAUUAUUAUUAUUUUCUUAACAACGGUUGUGGGGCCUCCCUGUCAGUGGGAGUGGGGGGUUUGGCCCCACGUGGUAAUGGCCUAAUGGCCACACACACAACUCUCGUACACACGUUUUAUACACACACAUAUACCAUAUACAUACAUAAUAUAUACAUGCAUCUAAUACAUACAUAUCUCAUCCCUCUUUUCUAACAACUCUCUGUACAACUCUCACAGCUCCUCUGUGUUAACAGAAGAGACAACACAGAGUUCUCUCUGCUAACUCAACAUAGAAGAACAAAAUCUUCAAUCCUUCCUACCGGUCUCUACCGGCAACGGAUCGAAGCCCCGUUUGCCGGAACGGAACCGGGACGGCGAGGAGAACAAGAUGGUGGGAGGAGCCCGAGGAGGGGCUCACCGACGUUGACGAGAGGGCCCGGUGAAACCCGAGUUCUCGCGAGGCGGAGGUGACGUCGAGGAGGAAGACGAUGCGGUGACGGUGAUGACGAUGGUGACACGGUUCCGAUGAAGACGGUCACCGGAGAGACCUCUCGGAGGUGGUCAAUCGGCAUGACGGGGAGGAGGGCUGCUCGUGGGGGAGGGGCUCGGUCGUGAGGUGUUCCUCCCGUGGGCGGCUGCGUCGGUGGGAAGUGGGGGGGGGCAGGGGAUCGGGCCAGGGGUGCCGAUCUGGUGGAGGGAGGCCGAUCUGGAGCUCGUGGGAGGACGAGGGGGAAGGGGGAGGCCCCGGUGGGGAGGGGGGUGACGGUGCAGGGCGGGGCUGGGGGCCUCGCGACGGUGGCCUGCACCGGCCGGUGGUGCACGAGGCUGAGGCGGCGGUGGCCCGUGAACGUGUGGGAGACGGGGCUAGGGGUGGCGGCGAUCUAGGUGUGGGGUAGGUAGCGAGGGAGUGGGAAGGGGAUCGAGCCCAGGGGGACUCGGUGGGGGGUGUGGUUGGUGUCGUGGGGAUUUGUGGGGCUCGGGAGGCAGGUGCUCUCGUGGGGUUUGGCCUCGGGGGAGAGAGAGAUGUCGGUGGGGGUGGGGCCCCCCACGAGGGCUGGUGGCGACCGAGGCGAGAGCCGGUGGCGGUGGAUGAGGGGGAAACAGGAGAGCGGGGGGAGAGCCAGGGUCUCGCGAGGGGGAGCGCUAGGGUUCCCAGCGCGGCGGCUGGAGGCCUGGCCGGCUGGGCCACUAGGCCGAGUUGGGCCACGGGGUGGGGGGUCUUUCCUUUUUUUAAUAUUUUUUAUUAAUUAUAAUCCUUUUUAUUAUUCUAUUUUAUUUACUUUCUUUCAUAAUUUAUAAUUUAUACUUUUAAUCCUUUCUUUUGUUUAUUUAUUUUCAUUUACUAUAUUUCUUUACUUAUUUUGUUAAAGCUCCUUUCUUAAUAUAUUGGGAUCAUCAAAGAUUCCAAAAGUACUCGACUUGAUAUUAUAAUCCGUUAGGGAAUCUUUAUAACUCCCCGACGUUGUUAUCUCAACAACAUAAAAUCUUUUCACGUUUGACUUAAUCUCGAAGCUUCGAAUUUUGAUUCGGUUUCAACCAUCAUGAGAACAUUGAUAUAGUUAAUGAUGACGUGGCAUCAUUAGCGCGGGAUCACUGUCACUUAAUUACAAUCAUCACUGUAGCAAAAGUCGAGGAUGUCACACUGCAAGACGUGGCCAGGAGGGUAGGUCGCGCCCCUGGCUUGUGGGUCCCCUGCAGGUUUCCUAACCCUAAUCUUCGUCCUAUAAAUUCCCAAAUAUUCCCCUAAUAUCUGACGAACACCAAAAAAUAUUUUUCCGCCGCCGGAAGCCUCUGUUUCCGAGAGAUCCAAUCUGGGAGCCUUUUCCAGUAAUCGUCUGGAGGGGGAUUCGAUCACGUAGGGCCUCUACAUCUACUCCAUUGCCUCUCCGAUGAUGUGUGAGUAAUUUACCAAAGACGUAUGGGUCCAUAGCUUUUAGCUAGAUGGCUUCUUCUCUCUCUUUGUUCUUCAACAUCAUGUUCUUCACGAUCUUCAUGAAGAUCUAUCGGAUGUAAUACUAUUUUGCGGUGUGUUUGUCGAGAUCCGAUGAAUUGUGAGAUUAUGUUCAGAUUAUCUAUGAAUAUUAUCUGAGUCUUUCCUGAAUUCUUAUAUGCAUGGUUUCGUAUCUUUGCAAGUCUCUUCAAGUUAUUGGUUUGGUUUGGCCAACUAGAUUGGUAAUUCUUGCAAUGGGAGAAGUGCUUAGUUUUGGGUUCAAUCAUGCGGUGUCCUCACCCAGUGCCAAAGUAGGGGUAGCGAGGCACGUAUUGUAUUGUUGCCAUCAAGGAUAAAAAGAUGGGGUUUUCAUCAUAUUGCUUGAGGUUAUCCCUCUACAUCAUGUCAUGUUACUUAAUGUGUUACUCUGUUCUUCAUGAACUUAAUACUCUAGAUGUAGGCAAGAGUCGGUUGAUGUGUGGAGUAAUAGUAGUAGAUGCAAAAUCAUUUCGGUCUACUUGACAUGGACGUGAUGCCUAUAUGCAGAAUCAUUGCCUUAGAUAUCUUCAUGAUUAUUCGCUUUUCUAUCAAUUGCUCGACAGUAAUUUGUUCACUCACCAUAUUACUUUCCUACAUGAGAGAAGCCUCUAGUGAAACCUAUGGCCCCCGGGUCUAUUUUCCACAUUAUUUGCGCCUAGGGGAAGACAUUGGGCAGUAAUAAGUAGAUGAUGGGUUGCUAGAGUGACAGAAGCUUAAACCCUAGUUUAUGCGUUUCUUCGUAAGGUGUUGAUUUGGAUCCAUAUGUUUCAUGCUAUGGUUAGAUUUAUCUUAAUUCUUCUUUCGUAGUUGCGGAUGCUUGCGAGAGAGGUUAAUCAUAAGUGGGAGGUUUGUCCAAGUAAGGGCAGCACCCAAGCGCCAGUCCACCCACAUAUCAAAUUAUCAAAGUAACAAACGCGAAUUAUGUGAACUUGAAGAAAACUAGCUUGACAGAAAUUCCCAUGUGUCCUCGGGAGCAUUUUCUUUAUAUAAGAGUUUGUCCAGGCUUGUAUUUUGUUACAAAAAGGAUUGGGUCACCUUGCUGCACCUUUGUUACAUUUGUUACUUGCUACCAGUUACAAACUACCCUAUCACAAAACCAUCUGUUACCGACAAUUUUAGUGCUUGAAAAGAAUACCUUACUGAGAACUGCUUGUCAUUUCCUUCUCCUCCUCAUUGGGUUCGACACUCUUCCUUAUAGUAAGGACUACGAUGGAUACCCUACACUUGUGGGUCAACAAGACUCUUUUCUGGCGCCGUUGCCGGGGAGUGAAUCGCCUUUGGUGAGUGGAACCUGGUAAGGAAAAAUUUAUAUGUUGUGAUGAAAUUUACUGUCACUUGUCACUAUGGAAAAUAAUCCUUUCAGGAGCUUGUUUCGGGUAUCUUCACCUCAACCGGAAGCACAAAGAGAUGAUCCUCAACCUGCUGCACCUACUGAAAAUAUUUACUAUGAAAUUCCUUCGGGUAUGAUAGAAAAACUGCUAGCUAAUCCUUAUGCAAGAGAUGGAGCACUACGUGCUCAUUUGCAUCUAAUCUAUGUGGAUGAAGUUUGCGGAUUAUUUAAGCUUGCAGGUCUGCCCGAGGAUGAUGUCAAGAAGAAGGUCUUUCCUUUAUCUUUGAAGUAAAAGGCAUUGACAUGGUAUAGGCUAUGUGAUUGUAUUGGAUCAUGGAACUACAACCGAUUGAAAUUGGAAUUUCAUCAGAAGUUUAUCCUAUGCACCUGGUUCAUCGUGAUCGGAAUUAUAUUUAUAAUUUUUUGCCUUGUGUAGGAGAAAGAAUCGCUCAAGCUUGGGGGAGGUUUAGGUCAAUGUUAUAUUCAUGCCCCAAUCAUGAGCUCCUGAGAGAAAUUAUUAUUCAGAACUUUUAUGCUCGGCUCUAUCGUAAUGAUCAAUCCAUGUUCGAUACUUCUUGUGCUGGUUCCUUUAUGAAGAAAGAUAUUGAAUUAAAAUGGGACUUAUUGGAAAGAAUUAAACGCAACUCUGAAGAUUGGGAACUCGACGAAGGUAAUGAGUCAGGUAUAAGCAAUAAGUUUGAUUGUGUUAAAUCCUUUAUAGACACCGAUGCUUUUCAUGAUUUUAGCACUAAAUAUGGACUUGGCUCUGAGGUAGUAGCUUCAUUCUGUGAAUAUUUUGCUACUGAUGUUGAUCUCCCUAAGGAGAAGUGGUUUAGAUAUCAUCCUCCCAUUGAAGUUAAAGUAGUUCAACCUAUUAAAGUUGUAGAAGAAACCAUUAUUUACAAUGCUGAUCCUGUUAUUCCUACCGCUUAUGUUGAGAAACCACCCUUUCCAGUUAGAGUAAAGGAGCAUGCUAAAGCUGCAACUGUGGUUCAUAAGAGUUUUACUAGAACACCUAUACCCACUAAACAAAUUAAAUUUGAACCUAGUAUUAGUAUGGUUAAAGAUCUCUUGGUUGAUAAUAUUGAUGGGCAUGUUAUUCAUUUCUGCGAUGAAGCUGCCAGAAUUGCUAAACCUGAUACUAAAGGUAAACAUAGACCUAUUGUUGGCAUGCGUGUCGUUUCUCUUAAAAUAGGAGGUCAUUGUUAUCAUGGCUUAUGUGAUAUGGGUGCUAGUGUUAGUGCAAUUCCCUUUACCUUAAACAAUGAAAUUAUGGAUGGCAGUGCACCAGCUGAAUUACAAGGAAUUGAUGUUACCAUCAGGCUUGCUAAUAGAGAUACUAUUGUACCAAUGGGGAUUGUUAGAGAUGUUGAAGUCUUGUGUGGGAAAAUAGAGUAUCCUACUGAUUUUCUUGUUCUUCGUUCCCCACAAGAUGAUUUUUGCCCCAUUAUAUUUGGUAGACCCUUCUUGAAUACUGUUAAUGCUAGGAUUGAUUGUGAGAAAGAAACUGUUAGUGCAUGUUUUGGGGAUGUGUCUCAUGAGUUCAAUUUCUCUAAAUUUUGUAGACAACCCCAUGAAAAAGAAUUGCCUAGUAAGUAUGAAAUAAUUGGUCUAGCUUCUAUCGCUGUUCCUCCUACUGAUCCUUGAGAACAAUAUUUGCUAGACCAUGAAAAUGAUAUGCAUAUGAAUGAAAGGAAUGAAAUAGAUAGGAUUUUCUUUGAUCAUCGGCCUAUUUUGAAACACAAUUUUCCUCUUCAAAUACUUGGGGAUCCUCCUCCACCCAAGGGUGAUCCCGUGUUUGAGCUUAAACAAUUACCUGAUACUCUUAAGUAUGCUUAUCUUGAUGAAAAGGAGAUAUAUCUUGUUAUUAUUAGCACUAACCUUUCAGCGCAUGAAGAAAAGUGAUUAUUGAAAACUUUGAGGAAGCACCAUGCUGCUAUUGGAUAUACUCUUGAUGAUCUUAAGGGCAUCAUUCCCACUUUAUGUCAGCGCAAAAUCAAUAUGGAGCCUGAUGCUAAACCAGUCGUUGAUCAUCAACGACGAUUAAAUCCUAAAAUGAAGGAAGUGGUAAGAAACGAAAUACGAAAGCUUCUGGUGGCAGGUAUAAUUUAUCCUAUUGCUAAGAGUAGAUGGGUUAGUCGUGUUCAUUGUGUCCCUAAAAAGGGAGGAAUUACCGUUGUUCCUAAUGAUAAAAAUGAAUUGAUCCCGCAAAGGAUUGUCACCAGAUAUAGAGUGGUAAUUGAUUUUAGGAAAUUAAACAAAGAAACUAGGAAAGAUCAUUACCCCUUACCUUUUAUUAAUCAAAUUCUAGAAAGACUAUCCAAACAUACACAUUUUUGCUUUCUAGACGGUUAUUCUCGUUUCUCUCAAAUACCUGUAUCAGAAGAUGAUCAAGAGAAAACCACUUUUACUUGCCCUUUCAGUACUUUGCUUAUAGACAUAUGCCUUUUGGUUUAUGCAAUGCACCUGCUACCUUUCAAAUAUGCAUGAUGGCUAUAUUCUCUAACUUUUGUGAAAAUAUUGUUGAGGUUUUCAUGGAUGAUUUUCCCGUUUACGGAACUCCUUUUGAUGAUUGCUUGAGCAACCUUGAUCGAGUCUUGUAGAGGCGUGAAGAAACAAAUCUUCUCUUGAAUUGGGAUAAGUGCCACUUUAUGGUUAAUGAAGGCAUUGUCUUGGGACACAAGAUCCCCGAAAGAGGUGUUGAAGUUGAUAAAGCUAAUUUUGAUGCUAUUGAAAAAAUGCCAUGUCCAACAGAUAUUAAAGGUAUAAGAAGUUUCCUUGGUCAUGCUGGUUUUUGUAGGAGGUUUAGUAAAUACUUCUCUAAAAUUUCUAAGCCUCUCGCUAAUAUUUUACAAAAAUAUGUUCCAUUUGUUUUUGAUGAUGAUUAUGUAGAAGAUUUUGAAAUUCUUAAGAGAGCCUUGAUCACUGCACCUGUUGUUUAACCACCUGAUUGGAACCUACCCUUUGAAAUUAUGUGUGAUACCAAUGAUUUUGUUGUUGGUGCUUCUCUAGGGAAAAGAGUUGAUAAGAAAUUAAAUGUUAUCCAUCAUGCUAGUAAAAAUAGUGCUAGAUAGUGCUCAAAGAUAUUACGCUACCACUGAAAAGUAAUUUUUAGCAGUCGUGUUUGCUUGUGAUAAGUUUAGACCUUACAUUGUUGAUUCUAAAGUAACUCUUCACACUGAUCAUGCUGCUAUUAAGUACCUUAUGAAAAAGAAAGACGCUAAACCUAGACUUAUUAGAUGGGUCCUUCUGCUACAAGAAUUUGAUUUGCAUAUUACUGAUAGAAAGGGUGGUGAUAACCCCGUAGCAGAUAACUUGUCUAGAGUAGAGAUUGUUCUUGAUCACCCACUACCUAUUGAUGAUAGCUUUCGUGAUCAACAAUUAGCUGUCAUAAAUGCUUCGUGCAAUCCUCCUUGGUAUGUUAAUUACGCUAACUACAUUGUUGCUAAAUUCAUACCGCCUAGCUUCACAUACCAACAAAAGAAAAAGUUCUUCUAUGAUUUAAGACAUUACUUUUGGGAUGAUCCCCACCUUUAUAAAUAAGGACUAGAUGGUAUUUGUUGGAAAUAUGCCUUAGAUCCCAUAAUAAAAUAGUUAUUAUUAUAUUUGCUGUUACAAGAUAAUCGUUUAUUAUCCAUGCUAUAAUUGUAUUGAAUGGAAACACAAAUGUAUGUGUGGAUACAUAGACAAAAUAUUGUCCCUAGUAAGCCUCUAGUUGACUAGCUCGUUGAUCAAAGAUGGUUAAGGUUUCCUAGCCAUAGACAAGAGUUGUCACUUAAUAACGGGAUCACAUCAUUAGUAGAAUGAUGUGAUGGACAAGACCCAAACUAUAAACAUAGGAUGUGAUCGUGUUAUUUUGUUGCUAUUGUGUUCUGCACGUGAAGUAUACAUUCGUAUGACCAUGAGAUCAUGUAACUCACUGACACCGAAGAAAUGCCUUGUGUGUAUCAAACAUCGCAAUGUUACUGGGUGACUAUAAAGGUGCUCUACAGGUAUCUCCGAAGGUGUCCGUUGAGUUAACAUGGAUCAAGACUGGGAUUUUUCACUCCGUAUGACAAGAGAGGUAUCUCGGGGCCCAGUCGAUAAUACAACAUCACAAACAAGCCUUGCAAGCAAUGUGACUGAAGAGUUAGCCACGGGAUAUUGUAUUAUGGAAUGAGUAAAGAGACUUGCCGAUAACGAUAUUGAAAUAGGUAUUGGGAUACGGACGAUCGAAUCUCGGGCAAGUAACAUACCGAAGGACAAAGGGAAUGAUAUACGGGAUUAACUAAAUCCUUGACAUAGAGGUUCAACCGAUAAAAUCUUCGUAGAAUAUGUAGGAUCCAAUAUGGGCAUCCAGGUACCGCUAUUGGAUAUUGACCGGGGAGUGUCUCAGGUCAUGUCUACAUAGUUCUCCAACCCGCAGGGUCUGCACACUUAAGGUUCGGUGAUGUUUCAGUAUAAUUGAGUUAUAGGUGGUGUUGACCGAAGGUUGUUCGGAGUCCCGGAUGAGAUCUAGGAUGUCACGAGGAGCUCUGGAAUGGUCCGAAGGUAAAUAUUGGUAUAUAGGAAGUCUUGUUUUGGUCACCGGAAAAGUUUCGGGCUAAUCGGUAGUCUACCGGGAGUGCCGAGAGGGUACCGGGACCACCGGGAGGGGUGUAACGACCCUAGGGCUUCAUGGGCCAAGAGAGGAUGCUAACCAGCCCUUAGUGGGCUGGCUGAAGCCUCCCCUAAGGGCCCAUGCGGCUGGAGUGGAGAGAAAAGGCAAAAAGGCCAAAAGGUGGAAGGGUUUCCAAGUGGGGAAGAAUCCUACUAGGAGUAGGUUGGAGUUGGACUCUCCUCUCAUCUCCUCCUCACUUCGGCUGACCCAAGGGUAAACCCUAGGGUGCCGGCCUCCCUCCUCUCCUCCUAUAUAUACUAGAGGUAUUGAGGGUUUUUGUACACACAUAAAUCAUCCACGUGCUACCUCAUCCUCUAGGUCAUACUUCUUCCUCUAGUCUAGUUCGGCAGUACUUAGGCAAAGCCCUACCGGAAUAGUUCCACCAUCAUUGCUGCCAUGCUGUUGCGCUGCCAGAGAACUCAUCUACCUCUAUGCUGCCUCUUGCUAGAUGAAGAAGGCGGAGAUCGUCAUCAAGCUAUAUGUGUUCUUAACGCAGAGGUUUCGUCCGUUCGGCACUAGAUCGGGACGGAUUGUGGGAAGGAUGCGAUUUGGAUCACGAAGAUGUUCGACUACAUCAACCGAGUUUCUUAAUGCUUCCAAUUAGCGAUUUACAAGGGUAUGUGGAUCCGAUCUCCCCUCUCGUAGAUGAUCGUCACCAUGAUAGGUAUUGCAUGUGCAUAUGAUUUUUUUAUUUCCCAUGCUACGUUCCCCAACAGUAUUAUUAGACGUUGUGUACGUGAGCAUGAACAGGAACAUAUCCUUCUCAAGUGUCACUCUGAGGCCUACGGAGGACACCACGUCGGAGAUUGAACUGCACACAAAGUAUUACAAUCUAGUUUUUAUUGGCCUACUCUGUUCAAGGAUUCUCGUAAGUUUGUCCUAUCUUGUGAUGAAUGUCAAAGAAUUGGUAAUAUUAGUAGACGUCAGGAAAUGCCUAUGAAUUACUCUCUUGUUAUUGAACCAUUUGAUGUUUGCAGUUUUGAUUAUAUGGGACCUUUUCCAAAGUCCAAUGGGUAUACUCACAUUCUAGUUGCCGUUGAUUAUGUUACUAAGUGGUAGAAGCUAUUCAAACUAGUAGUGCCGAUCAAAACACUUCUAUUAAAAUGUUUAAAGAAGUUAUUUUCCCUAGAUUUAGAGUCUGUUGGUAUUUGAUGAUUGAUUGUGGUUCACACUUUAUUCAUGAUGCUUUCUGCAAAUUGCUUGCCAAGUAUGACGUUAAUCAUAGAAUUGCAUCUCCUUAUCACCCUUAGUCUAGUGGUCAAGUAGAAUUGAGCAAUAGAGAAAUUAAAUUGAUCUUGCAAAAGAACAUUAAUAGAUUGAGGAAGAAUUGGUGUAAGAAACUUGAUGAUGCAUUAUGGGCUUAUAGAACCGCUUACAAAAAUCCUAUGGGUAUGUCUCCGUAUAAAAUGGUUUAUGGUAAAUCAUGUCACUUACCUCUAGAGCUAGAACAUAAAGCCUAUUGGGCAAUUAAAGAUCUUAACUAUGAUUUCAAACUUGCCUGUGAGAAUAGGUUAUUUGACAUAAACUCCCUUCAUGAAUGGAGAACCCAGGCCUAUGAGAAUGCCAAUCUGUUUAAAGAAAAGGUUAAGAGAUGGCAUGAUAGAAGGAUACAAAAGCAUGAAUUCAAUGUAGGUGAUCAUGUCUUGCUAUACAACUCCCGUUUAAGAUUUUUUGUAGGAAAAUUUCUCUCUAAAUGGGAAGGAUCUUACAUUAUCUAGGAAGUAUAUCGUUCCGGUGCCAUCAAGAUCAACAACGCCAAAGCUACAAAUCCGAAGGUGGUAAAUGGCAAAGAAUCAAACAUUAUAUUUCAGGUACUCCCAUAAAUGUUGAAACCAAUAUUAUCAAUACCAUAACUCCGCAGGAGUAGAUUAGGGAGACCUAUCAUCAUGUUUCAGACUCCGAAAGGCAUAGGUAUGUGUUAUUGUAAGCAAACCGACUCCAAAACUGCUCAGAUGGCAAUUUUUAUCGGCUUUGGAAUAUUUGAAAUGUUAGGAAAAUUUAAAGCAGUCCGAAGAGUGCACGAGGAGGCGACAAGCCAGGGGCGCGGCCUACCCACUGGCCACACCCUGCAGGCUUGUGGCCACCCUGUGCACCCUCCGGACUCCAUUUUCUUGUGGGAUACUCCUUCAGGUCGGCAAAAGUUCAUUAUAUAAUCUCCCGAAGGUUUUGACCUCCGUAUCAUGACAAUAUCUCCUAUUUUUUGAGCCGUUUCUGCAGCAAAUUUAGAGCAAGAUGUCGUCCCAAGAUUCCAACAGGGAGAGCUUUGUAUCUCAUUAUCUUGCCAAUCCCAAGCUCUACGGGGACUUAGAUCCUUAUGGAUUGUUCUGGGAGGACGAACUAGAAAUAUGCAUGUAUACGGAAGAAAGCUCGAACGAAGAGGAGAUUCCCCUGCCUCAACCUAAAGAUAUGCAUGUGGAGUUCAAGAAGUCGAGCCUUCCAAACAAAAAGAGAAAACCCAAGGUUCCAUUUAUCCCUUCUCGUUUUCUGCAGGAAAGCAAGGAAGAAUUAUGUCAAAAGAUAUUGAUGCUCGAGCAGGAAGUAGACGAUCUAAAGGAACAUAAUUACAUGCUUAAGAGGAAACUUGAUAAGCUUUCAACCUCACCAACAACUCGAGCAUCACCACCUCCAAAGAAAGACAACUAAACACAUGGGUAUAGGGCACUCCCCUUGGCUUGUGCCAAGCUUGGGGAGAUCCCCCGGUAUCAUAUCACCAUCACAUCUUUUACCCUUUUUUCCGUUUUCCCUUUUCGAUCUUUUUGUUAUAUCUUGAUCUGGUAGAAUAAAGUUUUAGUGAGAUCUAGUCUUGCAUUUUGCUUUAUGUUCCCCCUAUGUAAGCAAGUCCGAGAGUUAUAUAAUAAAGAGUAGUUUUGAGUUGAGGGCUUUGCUUGCUUGCUAUGAUCUUGGGAAAAGUAAGUUUAGAAUAAAAGCAAAGAGUAUAUAUAAUGAUCUUAUGGGGAGUGAUGACUGCACAUAUAAAAGGCAUAUUGAGUGAAAUUUGUUGUAGUUGACAAACAAAGCUAUUAGUCAUUGUUACAAAUAAAGGGAAAUAAUAAAGAAAUAGAGUUCACAUAUAAGUAUAUUAUAUUGGAAAUCUUUUAUGAUUGUGAGCACUCAUUAAAAUAUUAUAUGUUAAGAAGUUGAUGUUGGACAAGGAAGACAACAUAAUGAGUUAUGUUUGCUUAUUUCCGAAUAGAAGUUAUAUGGUUAUAGAUCCUUCAACAUGUGUUGCUUGCUUCCACCCAUAUUAGCCAAAAAAAACUCCCACACCAAGUAGAGAUACUACUUGUGCUUUCAAACACCUUUAACCCAGUUUUGCGUUAAGAGUCCACCAUACCUACCUAUGGAUUGAGUAAGAUCCUUCAAGUAAGUUGUCAUCGGUGCAAGCAACAAAAAUUGCUCUCUAAAUAUGUCCUAUCAAUUAAUGUGAGGAAAAUAAAAUUUAUACGAACUUGUGAUAUGGAAGAAAUAAAAGUGAUGGACUGCAUACUAAAGUUCUUUAUCACAAGGGGCAAUAUAAAGUGACGUUCUUUUGCAUUAAGAGGUUGUGCAUCCGACUAUAAAAGCGCAUGACAACCUCUGCUUCCCUCUGCGAAGGGCAUAUUUGUUACUUUUAUUUUCUAAGUACUUACCCUUAAGCAAGAGUCGUGGUGAUCUUCACCAUUUACUUUACUUCGCCUUUAUCUUUUGGCAAGCAUCAUAUGUUGGAGAAUGAUCUAGACACAUAUAUUCACUCGGAGGUGGGUGAUCAUGAGUUAUUACUGUUGACAUUACCCUUGAGGUGAAUAGUUGGGAGGCAAACUAUAAGCCCCUAUCUUUCUCUGUGUCCGAUGGAAGCUUUGACCUCAUAGGUACCUCAUGAGUUUUAGCAAUCGUAAAAGACCAUGAGAUAAUUGAGUAUGUGGAUUUGCUUUACAAGUUCUUAUAUUUACUCAGUCCUAUGUCGUGAUAAAUUGGAAUUGCAUCAAUGACUAAGAUGAUAGUUUUUAGUUCUAAACAAAGUUCUUGAGUCAUAUUUUACCAUGUGAAUGAAUUGUUACUCUAGCAUAAGAGAUUAUACGUCAAUAUGUGUUGUUGUUCUAAAGAUUACCACGAUGCCUUCAUGUCCAUAUUUUAUUUUAUCGACACCUCUAUCUCUAAACAUGUGGGCAUAUUUAUUGAUUUCGGCUUUUGCUUGAGGACAAGCGUGGUCUAAGAUUGGGGGAGUUGAUACGUCCAUUUUGCAUCAUGCUUUUAUAUUUAUAUUUAUUGCAUUCUCGGCUGUUAUUACACAUUAUGUUACAAUACUUAUGCCUUUUCUCUCAUAUUUUACAAGGUUUACAUGAAGAGGGAGAAUGCCAACAGCUGGAAUUCUGGACCGGAAAAGGAGCUAAUCUGAGAAGCCUAUUGUGCACAACUCCAAAAGUCCUGAAGCCUUAAGGAGAAUUAUUUUGGAAUAUAUAAAAAAUACUGGGCGAAAUAGACACAUGAGGGGACCUACUAGGCAACCACAAGCCAGGGGGCGCGACCUACCCCCUGGUUGCGCCCUGCAGGCUUGUGGGCCAACUGGCAGGCCCCCGAUGCCCAUCUUCUUCUAUAUCAAGGGUUUUGACUUGGAAAAAAUCGGAACAGAGCCUUCGGGACGAAGCGCCGCCAUCUCGAGGCGGAACUUGUGUAGAACCAAUCUAGAGCUUCGGCGGAGCUAUUCCGCCGGGGAAUCUUCCCUCUCGGAGGGGGAAAUCGAAGCCAUUGCCAUCACCAACUAUCCUCUCAUCGAUGGGGGUUAAUCUCCAUCAACAUCUUCACCAGCACCAUCUCCUCUCCAAACCCUAGUUCAUCUCUUGUAUCCGGUCUUUGUCUCAAACCUCAGAUUGGUACCUAGGGGUUGCUAGUGGUGUUGAUUACUCCUUGUAGUUGAUGCUAGUUGGUUUAUUUGGUGGAAGAUUAUAUGUUCAAAUCCUUAAUGAUUAUUAAUACUCCUCUGAUUAUGAACAUGAAUAUGCUUUGUGAGUAGUUACGUUUGUUCCCAGGACAUGGGAUGCGUCUUGCUAUAAUUAAUCAUGUGAAUUUGGUGUUCCUUUGAUCUUUUGAUAAGAUGUAUGUUGUCUCUCCUCUAGUGGUGUCAUGUGAACUUCGACUAUGUGACACUUCACCAUUAUUUGGGCCUAGGGGAAGGCAUUGGGAAUUAUAAGUAGAUGAUGGGUUGCUAGAGUGACAGAAGCUUAAACCCUAGUUUAUGUGUUGCUUCGUAAGUGGCUGAUUUGGAUACAUAUGUUUCAUGCUAUGGUUAGAUUUAUCUUAAUUCUUCUUUAGUAGUUGCGGAUGCUUGCGAGAGAGGUUAAUCAUAAUUGCCAGGUUUGUCCAAGUAAGGGCAGCACCCAAGCGCCGACCCACCCACAUAUCAAAUUAUCAAAGUAGCAAACGCGAAUCAUAUGAACAUGAUAAAAACUAGCUUGACAGAAAUUUCCAUGUGUCCUCGGGAGCGCUUUUCUUUAUAUAAGAGUUUGUCUAGGCUUGUCCUUUGUUACAAAAAGGAUUUGGACACCUUGCUGCACCUUUGUUACAUUUGUUACUUGCUACCCGUUACAAACUACCCUAUCACAAAACCAGCUGUUACCGACAAUUCCAGUGCUUGCAGAGAAUACCUUACUGAGAAUCCUGUGUCCAACCUCGUGUCUGACCCUUAUGUGAAACCCAAGCGAAGGCCUCGCCUGUUGCUGGGGAAGAAGAAGGGUGUCUUUCCUCCCCCGCGAGGGAAACAUGAGAGGAAGAUCGGAGGGAGGCCCAUCUAGUGGAACCCCUCCUCCAAGAUUCCUCAUCAACCGUUCCUCAUGAGGGGAAUCCACUGGAAAGGGCCUCCGCAGAGGAGCCUGCUCGCGCCGAGGUCAUUGCCGAAAAGGCGGCGACAGACAUCGCGCUGACAACAACUGUUGCCGGGGAAAAGGAAAUCCUUGUGCAGAAUUCUCCACCAGGUAUCCCUCUUGGUGGAGUUCUUGUUUCCUCUGUAUCUUCCCACUUUGUGCUUUUAUCGAUUCUUGAUUUUCUAUACUUCUAUUUUGUCGUCCUAUUCAACAGUUCCACUUUUUGAGGACUCUGAUCUGCUCGAGGAUGUCGCUACAAUUGGGAAGGAAGCUUCUGCUGAAGCGAUGGGGAUUGUUGUCGCAGAAUAUCAUGGUGUGACUGCCGGGAGUAUUUUGGGGUCUCCGAAGGAAAUAGAACAAAACCUCGACCGUGCGCCCGUCUUCACCUCACGGGUUGAAGAGAAAGUUCCUCUCCGGGCCAUGAUGCCUUCCCCAUCCAGCUACCCUCUGACAUCGGUCGUGCAACCUUUGCAGAGUCAUCUGGCGCUGAUCACUGCUCCACCGAGCCAUCCAGCCCCCGGCUUGCCCUUUUUAGAGGUCAUAGACCUCAACGAGGAGAUUAACAAGAUCUUGGCGCCACUAUCCCAGAGGGUCGAAAGGGCUCAUAGCACAGUUGACGCUGGCAAUGACUUGGCUUUCUUGGAGUCCAUAGCAGCAGGUCUCAAGUAUGUGCAGAGUAGGUACAACCUCAAAUUGCAGGCGACUCAAGUGCAGCAUGACUCAGCCGAACUCAUGAACCAGCAAGUGAGGAGCAAAGGGAACGAGCUGCAGGAUUGGUAUAACCGCCAGGUCCAGUCUCUCAAGAGGCAACAUGAGACGCUCUCCAUGUCCAAUGAAGAUGUUGCUGGCUAGAAGGUUCGCCUGGCGGAGCGCGAAGCGCUACUGGAAGCCAGGGAGGAGGGCAUUUCCCUCUGGGAAAAGAACCUCGAGGCCGUUCUCCAUGCCAAACAUGCGAAGCUGGAGGACCGUGCCCGAGAGCGCACCAAGGAGCUGGAGGAUGGUCACAAGACCUGUCUUGACGUGCUCUCCUCGGAAUCUGCUGCUCGGCUGAAGGGGAUGGCUGACGAGCCGGCUGCCGCGUCUGCUCCUAAGGCCAAACUGGAAAACCAACUGACCAAAGCGACAGAGGAUCUUGCCAGGAGCGCUAGGGAAGUUGAGGCCCUCCAACAGGAAGCGCGGAAGGCAGCGACAACUCUGGAAGAGGUGCAAUCACAACUUUGCUCCAAGGGCGAGGACCUCGACGCUGCCAACCGUAUCAUCUCCGAGAUGAGAUCCAGGAUUGCUUCCUUGGAAAGUGGCCACGAAUCAGCUGGGGCUUGCAGGAAACUGCUGCUGGCGGAUGUAACCUGCGUGCAGACCCUUCAAAAGGACGCUGAGGAGAAGCUGUAGAACUUGGUUGAACAACACAACCUCUAGAUCAAGAGUAUGGUGGAUAUCAGCGAGCGCCUCAAAGGAAGACAGGGCCGCCUCCUUUGCCAAUAAAUCCCGGAAGCUAGCGCAUGAUGCCCUCUUCUUGGUCUUGAGCAACCUCACGUUCUUCCACCCGGAGCUUGAUCUUUCCGACGGCUUCAAGAAGGUGCCGCCGAGUGCCAACGCCUCUGCUGCCUCGGAGAAGGCCGAUCCUCUUGCCGACAGGAUCCUCAAAGUUCCGAGGACCCAGGCGAGCUAGCGGAGUUAGCCUGAUAUCUUUCUUGUUGCCACAUUGUCCUGUACUUAAGACAUAGUAGGUAUCUUGUAUUAGGGCGUAAACUCUCUUUAAAUUAUCCUUCGUCAAACUGAUGUUUCUAUGUACAUGUUUAUUUGCCCUUUGUUUCCCUUCUGGUGUUCGUAUGCUAUGCACCAUUGUGCAUUUCUAGUUACCCACCAAUAUCGUGUUGCGACGAACUGCCAUGAGGAACGAGUCCUUAGCCUUCAGCUGGCAAAAACACGCCGCCAGCGGAUUACCUCUGGCAGUGUUGACGCUGCCGCACAUUUCAUUGAGCAGGAUCAAAACGAGACACGGGCAAGAACGAACACAGUAAGGUUUGGUCACACGCAAGGUUCGGCGUACGAAACCAUUUGGUUCAACGAAAGGGCAUAUAAUCGUAUGUCAUAGAUGGAAAUUCGACUUAUUAAGUCAACUUAGCUUUCGGUCGUUCAUGUCACCUGGACGUCUCCUUUCCCUAGCACUCCCCAUGGUAUGUGCGCAAUCAUAUGAUCGCCGCAAUCUUGAAAGGGAGGGAAUGUAGAGAAGAGCAAGCACGGGGGCACUUGAGGAACCUUUAGCCACGCAUAUGGCCCGCGGCAAGAGCCUGCCAGGCUAACGCGAUUUCCGCAAUUAUUCUGGGAAUAAAAGAAGAAAAGGGGGUUGAUACGUCUCCAACGUAUCUAUAAUUUUUUAUGGUUUCAUGCUAUUAUCUUGUCAAACUUUGGAUGUUUUGCAUGCCUUUUCUAUAUUUUUUGGGACUAAUUUAUUGACUUAGUGCCAAGUGCAAGUUCCUGUUUUCUCCAUGUUUUUGACCCCUUUCAGAGGAGAUUUUAAAACGGAGUCCAAACGGAAGAAAAUCCCCGAAAAGAUUUUUUCUGUACCGGAAGAAGAUCGGGAAGCUUGGGAGCCAAGGAAGGGGAGCCUCAGGGGCCCCACAAGCCCACACCCCGCAGCCAGGGGGUAGGCCGCGGCCCACAGGCUUGUGGGCCCCCUGGGCGCCCUCUUCCCUAGGGGUUGCGCCUAUAUAUUCCCUAAAAAUCACAAAAAAAUUAGGAGAUCAUCGAAAUCACUUUUCCGCCGCCGCAAGCUUCUGUCUCUGCAAGAUCCCAUCUGGGGCACGUUCUGGUGCCCUGCCGGAGGGGGAUUCGGACACGGAGGGCUUCUUCAUCAACACCAUGACCUCUCCGAUGAUGCAUGAGUAGUUCACCAUAGACCUACGGGUCCAUAGCUAGUAACCAGAUGGCUUCUUCUCUCUCUUGGAUCUUCAAUACAAAGUUCUCCAUGAUCUUUAUGGAGAUCUAUCCGAUGUAAUCUUCUUUUGCGGUUCGUUUGUCGAGAUCCGAUGAAUUGUGGAUUUAUGAUCAGAUUAUCUAUGAAUCUUAUUUGAGUUUCUUCUGAUCUCUCUUAUGCAUGAUUUCAUAUCCUUGUAAUUCUCUUCGAGUUGUGGGUUUUGUUUGGCCAACUAGAUCUAUGAUUCUUGCAAUGGGGGAAGUGCUUGGUUUUGGGUUCAUACUGUGCGGUGACCUCACCCAGUGACAGAAGGGGUAGCGAUCCACGGAUCGUGUUGUUGCCAUCAAGGGUAAAAAGAUGGGGUUUUCAUCAUUGGUUUGAGAUUAUCCCUCUACAUCAUGUCAUCUUGCUUAAGGCGUUACUCUGUUCGUCUUGAACUCAAUACACUAGAUGCAUGCUGGAUAGGGGUCGAUGUGUGGAGUAAUAGUAGUAGAUACAGAAAGUAUCGGUCUACUUGUCUCGGACGUGAUGCUUAUAUGUAUGAUCAUUGCAUUAGAUAUCGUCAUGACUUUGCGCGGUUCUAUCAAUUGCUCGACAGUAAUUUGUUUACCCACUGUGAUAUUUACUAUUUUGUGAGAAGCCUCUAGUGAACACUAUGGCCCCCGGGUCUACUCCACACCAUAUUUUCAGCCUUACACUUUCGUUGCACUUUCCGCCUUCAGAUCUCACUUUGCAAACAAUCUUGAAGGGAUUGACAACCCCUUUGAUGCGUUGGGUGCAAGCUCGUUUGUGUUUGCGCAGGUACUCCGGACUUGAUGAGACCCUCCUUCUGGAUCGAUACCUUGGUUCUCAAACUGAGGGGAGUACUUACUGCUCCUAUGCUGCAUCACCCUUUCCUCUUCAAGGGAAAAACAAACGCAAGCCCAGUCUCCGUCAACGUGUCAAUUUCUGGCGCUGUUGUCUGUUGCCGUAGCAGGGGUGUGGGACCGACCAUCUCUUCUCUCCCCUCCUUAAUCCCCAAUGGUCCCGAGGCGUCCCGUGAUGGGCCUUCGGGACCUUACCGCGGUUCUUCUGUCGGGAGCGUCUAUCAGUGCAUAUACUCCAUCAUUUGGUUCAGGAUUCAUCCCUUGGCGGGAUGAAUGCAGGAUCAAACUCCAUGUGAGUUUAUACACACCGACGACGUCGUUACCUAUACAGAGUUUUAACCAUAGGAGGGAGAGGAAAAGAAGGAGGAGGAAGAGAAAUAGCCGGGUACAUCUUUCCCCUCUUGACCUUAUGGAUCGCGUCAUAUCUCUCUCGGGUCGAGCGGACCCUUUUUUGGCGUUCUCUGUUCCUGUCUUGGUCGUGGAGGACGCGACCGCGGCGCCCCUGUGCCGGUCGUGUUGCUUACGACGCCUUCCCCGCCCGUGGACACCAUGCCGCUCUCCGCGCGCUCUCGCAUAGCUAUGUGCGGCUACACGUGGGGGUCCUUGGCGAGGAAAAGCGCACGAGUAUGCUGGACCUUGUCCUCGGGGCCGUCAUCGAUGAAGAUGAUGAUGAAGACCGAUCCUCCGUUCACGAGCUCGGAUUCGCACAAAUGAGGCAUGCCCCUACCUGGCGGGCCAAAGAUAUUAGGGCACGAAUGCUCACGAUCACUUAUGGGACCAAGGGCCCCUUGUGGUUUGGCAAGGGGGAUCACGUUGCACGAAGAGCGGAGAACAUGACACGGCACGACGGUCAGGACACAUGCAUUUUACCCAGGUUUGGGCUGCUGCUAAGCGUAAAACCCUACUCCCGCUUUUUAGUAUUUAAGGUGGGAACACGAAGAAUGCAAUGCACCUAGCCCCGACAAGGUACCUAGGAAGAGUGAUCGCGUGGAUACAAGUGUUCGAUGGGUCGAAAUGCCAACCUUGAGCUAGGUUGCCUUGGGCCUCCUUUUAUAGUGCAAGGGGUCACACAAUGGCAAAAUAGACAUUAUCUCUUGAUUAGAUAGGCAACAAUGCUAACAUACCUAACUCCGUCACUUAGGAAAAAAUGCCAUAAAUGCUAGCCUAGGUGGGUGCGGGGAUGCAUUCCCGGCAGGCUUCUACCACCGCUUUAGCUAACUACUGCUUCAUGUCUUGACACGCCUCUGGACGGGUGUCAAACUGGUGUAAUCCAUCUUCCAGCGAGCCUCCAUGUACUUAGCGAGAGCCACUUAGCCACUUGAGGUCUCGACACGUCAUUAACAAAUGGCUGGCAUUGCGAUGCAGUGGAGCGGUGGCCGAUUGCCUCGCGCCUACCGGGUGAUGGCUUGCCGGGCCUUCUAGGAAGGGGCGCGCUUUGGUCCUCGACAAGUGUCGGGGAUGUGACUGGCGUGGCACAGUCCAGGCUUGGUCUGCCGCAGUCAACUUGCUGGAGUCUUGUAUUGGUAGCUUCCGGGGCAGCGUGGCCUUCUGUGGCUGUUGUUGCGGGGCGCUGGGUGGCUGCUUGUCCGUGCACAAGUCAGGGGAAAAGAAUACCACUAUUUGUUUACCCCGACACCCAUCAACCUAAUAGCUUCAUCCGGGAAACUUCAUCUAGCACAUGAGGAAGGUGCUCUCUUUGCGAGACAUUAGUUUCGUCGAACCGCACAUCUACAGUCUCAACCACCUUAUUGUGAAAGGUGUUGAAAACUCUGUAGGUGUGAGAAUCCUUACCGUAACCAAGAAUGAAACCCUCAUGUGCUUCCGGUGCAAAUUUAGAAGUGUGGUGUGGAUCUCUUAUCCCACAUCUUGCACCGAAGACUUUGAAAUAACUUACACUGGGGUUUCUUACCUGUGAGUAGCUCAUAUGACAUUUUCUUGAGGAACUUGUGAAGAUAUACUUUGUUGAUAAUGUGGCAUGGAGUGUCAAUAUCUUCAGGCCAUAGAUUUCGCGGUGUCUUGUACUCAUCGAGCAUAGUGCGAGUCGUCUCAAUCAGAAUCCUAUUCUUGCGUUCCGUGAAGCCAUUGUAAUGCACGAAGUAUGAAGAAACGUGUCGAGUCGAGUGUUCCUGAACUUAGUCCCAUUGUCACUUGUGAUGUGCUUGAUCUUGAUGUUGUAGUUGUUCAUACAUCGGUUAACAAAGCGCCCGAAGACAUCCCGCACUUCAGUUUUGUAGAGUGUUAUGUGCACCCAAGUGAAUCGAGAAUAGUCAUCAACAAUUAUGAAGCCAUAAAGAUUUGUAGUGAUAGAGAAUGUGGAAUAAUGAGUAGGCCCAAAUAAGUCCAUGUGUAGGAGCUGGAGGGAUGAGUAGUCGUCAUGAUUGUCUUCGAGGGAUGUUUGGCCCUAGGCAUCUUCCCGGCUUCACACGCACCACAAAGAUAGUCCUCUUUCAACUUGACACCCUCAAUGCCAAUGAUAAGCUUCUUAUUGGCGAGUGAGUGCAAUUUUCUCAUCCCAGCAUGUCCUAGCCAUCUAUCCCAUAGCCAACACUCCGAAGCUUUUGCUAGAAGACAUAUGGGAACCUGUGGUCGUGCAGAGAAAUGUACCAUAUACAGAUCAACUCUUCCAAAACCUUCGAAGACUUUGGUUUUGUCAGAGUCCAUUAGCACAAUACAUCAAAAUUUGCCGAAUAUGACCAACAUAUCUAAGUCGCACAACAUUGAGACACACAUUAAGUUGUAACCAAUGGAUUCGACGAGCAUAACGUUAUCCAUAUGUCGAUCCCUUGUGAUAGCAACUCUACCUAGUCCCAGUACUUCGCUACUGCUCUUGUCAGCAAAGACGAUGUGAUAUUUUGUUGGAGGUCAAAGAGUUUGCUCCAUCAGUAGGAUACGAUCACCCGUCAUAUGACUAGUGCAUCCACUAUCCAUAACCCAUUCAGUGGUUUUUGGUUUAUCUUCCUGCAUUGAGAACUAGUCGCGUUCACCAAGGCAUGUAGAUGUAAUAUGCAUUGGAUAAAAGUUUUGCAGUAUAUAGUUAACAGUAGACUGGACGAUAUGAAUGGUAAAACCAUUCUAGUUUUCUUUCGUCUAGACAAGAAUGUUUUCGGGUCUCCAGGAUUGGCGUUGCCUUGUCGGGAGACCCGAUGCAUUCUUCUUAACCACCCACAUACACAGGGGUGUCUUAGAAGCGAUAAGGCAUAAAGCAACAUGAGAGAACUUUGGCACAAAUGCACUGAUAGUACGUUUCACUAGAGGAGCAUAAUACACAAAGGAAUAUGCAGAAAAGUUCUUGGUAGGAUGAGCAUAACGGUUCAUGCUAUGAUGCUCAUAUUCAUGAGUCCUUUGAGUCUUUCCCUGCAAAACAUAGUUGUUAUAUUGAUCAUGUGAAGACCUUUGUCUUCUCGAAGACAUUAAUCUCGGGUUUGUCUUCUUCUUGUGAGAUGUCGUCACGACAUUCACAGGAAGCUUUUCAAGAAGACUUUUUGGAACCCAGAUCUUCAUGGGUGAACCAUUCCUGCAUUUACUUCCAAUGAAUCUAACAAAUACUCCACCAUUUUGACAUUUGAAAAUUUAUAGUUGGAACCAAAAGAUUCAUCUAUGAUGAUAGGAUUCGCAUAGUUGAAACCAUAUAAUGUGGAUGGAUCAACUGAAGGACCUUUUGCAGCAACCCAUUUUGUUUUGGGAUACUGCUCAGGUGUCCAGUAAGAUUUGUCAACAUUGAUGUUCCUUUCAAAACCAACAUCCUCUUUCCUAGGGUUUUUGUUCAAGAUAGUCUUCUUCAAGACAUCACAUAGAAUUUGAUGUCGUGUCCCUUCAGACUUUUGUACAUGCCAAUUUCAAGCAAUGUCUUCAACCUGUCAACCAGUGAUAGCAGUGGUUUCCUCAGAUGAGGGGUUAGAUACCACAGAUAUAGUUGAAGAUAAUGCAUUUUCAGAAGCAUCUGAACAUUCAGAAGUGGAAUCAUUAGAUUCACGAUCAAAACAUUUUAAGCAUGGAGCAUUAAGUUCAUCCUGAGUGCUAGUGAUCUAUUCUGCUAAGAGUGAGUCAUUUUCCUUUCGUAGGUCUUCAUGAGCUGUCUCAACUUCUCAUAGUCUUGAUUUCUCUGAAGAUAUUCAUAAGAAAGCUUCUCAUGAUCGGUUCUGAGAGUAUCACGAAGAUUCUGGAGAUCCUCAAACUUUGAAUGAAGACUACACAUGUCUUCUGCCAUAGUUUCAUUCAGACUCAUCUUGUCGUGCAACAGGUCAUCGCUUUUCUCUAGAGUCAAUUGCAUUUUUUCCAUAGCAUUUUAUUGCUUAGUGGCAAUCUUGACGAGUUUUGAAUAGGUGGGUUUCAAAUCAUCAUUAGAUUAAGAUUCACUAUCAGAGUCAUGUCGUGAAGGUUUUGAGGAUACCUUGGAGCCCUUUGCCAUGAAGCAGUAGGUUGGAGUGAUGUCAUUUUCAGUGGCUUCGGUGUUGAAGUAGGGGUUAUUAUCUUCAGGUCCGAAGACAUAUGGAGGGAUGGAAGAUGAAGCCAUAGCAAGACUAGCAACUUUAGCAUCAGAUUCUUCCUCAGCUACAGACCUAGAUUCACACCGCGAGUCCAUCUCUUUUCCAAUAAAAGCACGAGCCUUGCUAGAUGAACCCUUCUUCUUGCGUGACGAGUACUAGGCAUACUUCUUCUUCUUCUUGUCAUUUGAGUCAGAGUUCUUGCUUUUCUUCUUGGAUUCCUUUUCCCAUUAUGGAGAAUCAGCGAUAAAGUGGUCUGUUUUCUUGCACUUGUGACAAGUUUGCUUCUUGCUGUCUCUUGAAGACAUUUCACCAAAUCUCUUGGAAUCAUACUUUGAAGACUUUGAAUAGCGUUUUGACUUGGCGAACUUCUGGAACUUCCGUACGAGCAAUGCAAGUUCCUUUCCAAAGUCUUUAGCACCAUCAGAACUGCAUUCAGAUGCAUCUUCAGAUGAUGACACAACUUUGGCCUUCAAGGCACAAUGACGGCUGUAACUGGAACCAUAUAUGUCUCUUUUCUCUGCUUGUUGGAAUUCAUGCGUGUUCAGUUCUCGCGGAUAUCAAUAUGAUCCAUACUUUUGAAGUCAGGGCGUUAUUGGAUCACUAGGACAAGAAUAUAAAAGGAGUUGUCAAGUGAUCUGAGUAGUUUCUUGAUGACUUCAUGUUUGGUGAUAUCAUUGGUGCCAAGUGUGUUUAGCUCAUCUGAGAUGUCAGUCAGUCGAUCAAAGGUGAGAUGAACAUUUUCGUUUUCGAGUCUCUUGAAGCGGUUGAACAGGUUGCAGCCACGAGAGUCUCUUUGCGACAAUACACGUUCAUUUACUUUGGAUAGCCAUUCCUAGAUAUCCUUUGUAGUGUGCAGUGCACUCACAUGACCAUACUGUCCUUUGGUCAGGUGAUCGCAGAUGAUGUUCUUGGCAGUGGAGUCCAGUUACGUGAACCUCUUCACGCCAGCAGCAAUAACAGCUUCAACAAUGUUGGGAACGCCAACCAUGACGACAUACCAGAGGUCAUUGUCAAUGGCUUCGAGGUGCGUACGCAUCUUGUUCUUCCAGUAAAGAUAGUUGGUGCCAUCGAAGAUGGGGCACGCAGUGGGGACCUUGUUUAUCCUUGCAGUCGACGUAGAUAAAACUCCAGGUGGUUAAACCAAAACAAAAAACAAGGGAGUACCUUUUUCUGAUACCAAUUGAAAGUGCUAGUUAUCGACUAGAGGGGGGUGAAUAGGCAAUUUUUAUGAAAGACUUCGAAACAGUGAAUGUAUUCGAAGUGUGUAGAAGUGAUAAAAGAUCAAGUAGGGAUAACAAUCAAGAUACUAAGAAAUGCAUGGAAUACAACAAAGACAUAUAGACAUGUUAAGCAUGGUCAUCAUACACACUAAUAUGAAUAAUAGUUAAACUCAUGAUGUAUGAAGAUAAACAUCAAUUAUGAAUGUCUUUGACAUAUGUAUUGAGAGGGAUAGAUCAAUCAAUGCCUUCACAAUAGAGUAAGUAAGUGAGGGAAGUAUUGAACCAGUAGCUUGACGAAGACACAUGAUUUGUUGGACCAGCUCCAGUUGUUGUGACAACUGUACAUCUGGUUGGGGAGGGUGGAGAUUGAACUCACAAGACCUCAUCUUCACCUUGUUCCCCUUGAGCCAAACUCCCCUGGACAGUGCCCAAUCACUCUGGUAAGUCUUCAAGGGAGACUUCUGAAACCCAUACAAACUUGGUCACCCAAUCAUCCACAAUGACUCUUGGAUGCUCUAGACCCAGACACCUAACCAUCUAGAAGAUCAUAGUCUUCACGUGUAAUAAGUCUUCACCUCUCUCAGAAUAGAACGAGUUCGGUGAUGCUCACACACACUAGCUCUAGGUGUUUAGGUUUAUCCUAGCAGGAUGUUUCUCUCUGAAUGUCUUCGAGGUGGGUUGCUCCAAAACAACAACAUGCGUAUCUCUCUCUGAGCAGCCACCUUCUCAUGGUGGAGGGGGUAGGAUAUUUAUUGCCAGCGGGCAACCCAACCUGAUAUGACAAAAAUGACCCUAGUUGAAUGGCCAACCAACACGUGUCACAACGGUCGAAUUUCAAACACACGCGGUAACUUUACUUGGGCUACAAGUAAAGGCUAAUGAACCAACUCUAGAAGAGAUUUCCUCUCAUUGUCUUCACUCGAAGACAUAGGUAUGGGUUGAGCAUCACGUCAGCGUAUCACUUCGAUUACGUUGACCCCACUUAACAGUACUGUGGUUCCUAUGACUCAGGAAAGAAGAAAAUAAACUAUCCAAAAUACUUCAUGUUCGCGUUUCAUUAUCUUCAAGCGAAUGUAUUUGCGUACCACCAAUGGCUUCGGCCAUCAUCAAUGUCUUCGAACAUUUUAUGGGGUCAUCUUCGACGGUUAAACCCAAAAUCCAGGGACUUCUAUUUGUGUUCUCCUGUGAACUCUCACAAAUACAUUAGUCCCGCAGCCACGUUUCUCUUCAAUACUCAAAAACCAAACAAGGGUGGCACGAGAUGCACUUACAAUCUCGAGACCUAGUUCAAUCUUGUUACCGACAAGUCUCUCAACUCGUUACGUAAUAGAAGAUCCCGUGACUAACUCCUUAGUCACAUUGCUUGCAUGCUUCUUGUGAUGCUGUAUUACCGAGUGGGCUCAGAUAUACCUCUCCGUCAUAUGGAGUGACAAAUCUCAGUCUCGAUUCGUGUAAACCCAACAUACACCCUCAGAGAUACCUGUAGAGCACCUUUAUGAUCACCUAGUUACGUUGUGACGUCUGAUACACACAAGACAUUCCUCUGGUGUCAGGGAGUCGCAUGAUCUCAUAGUCAUAGGAACAUAUACUUAACAUGAAGAAAGCAGUAGCAAUAAACUAAUACAAUCAAAUGCUAUGCUCGUGGUUGGGUCUUGUCCAUCACAUCAUUCUCCUAAUGAUGUGAUCCCGUUAUCAAAUGACAAUUCAUGUACAAGGUCAGAAAACUUGACCAUCUUUGGUCAACGAGCUAGUCUAGUAGAGGCUUACUAGGGACAGAGUGUUGUCUAUGCAUCCGCACAUGUUUCCGAGUUUCCGAUCAAUACAAUUCUAGCAUGGAUAAUAAACGAUUAUCAUGAACAAGGAAAUAUGAUAAUAACCACUUUAUUAUUGCCUCUAUCGCAUAUUUUCAACAGUGUCCCACUUGCACUAGACUCAAUAAUCUUGUUGACAUAGCCAUGUGAUUUACAUUAUAAUGAAUCUAACAUCCAUAGAGUUCUGGUGUUGAUCAUGUUUUGCCCUUGCAAGAGGUUUACUCAACGGGUCUGCAACAUUCAGAUCCGUAUGUACUUUGCAAAUGUUUAUAUCCUCCUCCUUGAUUUAAUCACAGUUGGGUCUGGUUCUCUUGUGAAACCUGGGCUCCUUGGCCAAAACAAUAGCACCAGUGUUGUCACAAAAGAGAGUCAUCGGAUCCAAUGCACUGGGCACGACUCCUAGAUCCGUCAUGAAAUGCUUCAUCCAGACACCUUCCUUCGCUGCUUCCCAAGCAGCUAUGUACUCCGCUUCACAUGUAGAAUCUUCUACCACGCUUUUCUUGGGAGUGCACCAGCUUAUCGCUCCACCAUUUAGAAUAUAUAUGAAUCCAGUUUGAGACUUAGAGUCAUCCAAAUCUAUGUCAAAGCUUGCAUCGACAUAAUCCUUUAUGACGAACUCUUGAUCACCUCCAUAAAGAGAAACAUCUCCUUAGUCCUCUUCAGGUACUUAAGGAUAUUUUUUACCGUUGUCUAGUAUUCCAUUCCUGGAUCACUUUGAAACCUUUCACUACUGGAAUCAGAGAAUUUUCCAUCAGCCUUUUCUUUACCGUUUGCUGGAUAAUGGCAAAGGGCCUCUUUGCCGUCAGUUGCAGAAAAACAGACGACAUAUGUUUGGCUCAUGGCAAAGGCCAUAUUUGCAAUCUGCCUAUCGUUUGACGUCAGCGAGCAGACGACAAAGAAGGGGCAGGCAGACGGCAAAGGGCCAAGGCCCCACCCUAACACUUUGUCGUCUAGCAGCUGACGAAAAAAGAACGCAGGCACACGGCAAAGGUGACGGCCGGUGCCAACCCUAAUGGUCAGCGCCAACCCCACCCCCCCCCGCCCCUCCCCACCCCUCUGUUGUCUGCCUGCAUAGGACAAAGGGGACGGCCCCAUAAUGUUCUGCAACACCCCACUCUCUCUCUCCCACUCUCUCCAUCUCCCACGCGACCAGCCUCUCUCUCUCGCCCCUGCCCACCCCGAGCGCCGCUGCUGGACCACCACAGCCGUGUCGCCGCCGCACCACCACCGCUGCACCACCCCUCGCUGGUGCCGNAACACCUGAAAAUUGCAUCAUUAUUAGGGUGUGCUUGCUUUGUGCAUAUAAUGCCACAAGACGGGUUCAUUCCUUCCCCAGUCCACCAUUCCAGUGUUUAGUUGAGGGUGGAACUGGAACCGGGCUAUCCUCAUAAAAGGAAUAUUCCCUAUAGAUGAUUCAUCAAGCGAUUCCACCAAAUCAAAGGAAUCACCUGGUUAUUCUUCUCCUAUUGAUAGAAGAAAAAAAGAAAACACCCUUGCUAAUUCUUAAAACCAAACAUACAAUGGAAAUGUUGCUGGAAUUUAUAUAAUAUAUCGAUAAAAGAAAAAGAAAAACCCCACAAGGUGAGUUGAGUCAUAUUGUUCUCAUUUCAUAUCUCCAACCAAACACAAGAAUGGAACGAACCCGUGAUAUUUUUUUAUCUUCAACCGAACACAAGAAUGGAACCAACCCAUUCCUUCAAAACGAGACAAUGACAUGCCAUGCCUUUUGGUUCUCAAACCAAACACACCCUUAUUUUAACCAACACUAAAAUGAAGCGAUUGCGUACAAUAGUACAUGCUGAAAAGAAAUUAUAACUAUCCCACGUUUUAGAAGUAGAUGUAUCAAAUUCAGUUAUGUUUUCUCCAUGAAACCAAGCCGACACAUUGUUUCAGCUCCUCAAUAGCAACCCACUGUUCAAAAAGUUGUAGCUACCUAUCUGGUCAUUUGUAAUGGCAUCGUUGAUGUGGAUUCAAAGUGUGUAUAAAGAAUUCUAUAAGUAAAUUAAUCUCUUGGUGUGCCAUUUUCAAUUUGUUGGAUUAAUAUCGGGAUACAUAUGUAUCUUGUCGCUCACAAAAUUGGAGAAAUUUGUAAGUGGAUUAUAACAUUAAACUAUCUCCAUCCUAAUGAUAGCCCCAUUCAGUGCUAUGUAUGAAAUAUUCUUGAAAACUACCAUAGGAAUAUUCUAAACAAAAUCUUAAUGGCAGAUGAAGAACUAAUAUAUGCAUAUAUAUAGUUUGGUUAACGGGUUUACUUUGUUAUUUGAAAAAAUAAACCAAUAAAUCUCUACGGUCAUCGAUGAAACAACACAACAUCAAGGUAAGAAGAGACAUUAGAUGGAGGGCAAAAUAUGCAACAAUAAUUACGUGUAGUGUUAUGCUCCAAACUUAGCUAAUUUAGCUUCAAAAUGACAUACUUAGCUAAUUAUCCUCAACAAAGAUAUACUUAGCUAAUUAUCCUCCAAAUGACAUAAUUAGCAAGUUUAGCUCCAGAAUGACAUAAUUAGCUUAGUUAGGUUAAAAACAUCACAAGAACCUUGGUUAGCUCAUAAUUUAGCUAAUUUAGCUCCAAAAUGACAUACUUAGCGAAAUAUCCUCCAAAAUGACAUAAUUAGCUAGUUUAGCUCCAGAAUGAUAUAAUUAGCUUAGUUAGGUAAAAACAUUACAAGAACCUUGGUUAGCUCAUAACUUAGCUAAUUUAGCUCCAAAAUGACAUACUUAGCUAAUUAUUCUCCAAAAUGACAUAAUUAGCUAGUUUAGCUCCAGAAUGACAUAAUUAGCUUAGUUAGGUAAAAAACAUCAAGAACCUUGGUUAGCUCAUAACUUAGAUAAUUUGACUCAUGCCGAGGUUUGAAGGGUUUUCCAAUCUAAUAUUUGUGUUGAUCGGGUGGAUUUACAUGUGCAGUUGUCUCGUCGCUGCAAGGUCUGCUGUUCGAAGACCUCCCCGUGCGUUCGACGAGCACCACCCCUGCAUUCAUGGGUGAGUACAAAUGACAUCUGACAUCUCUCGUCGGUCUUCAGAUGAAACUUGCUAGAUAUAGGUGAAUUAAUUUAUCAGUAUGCGUGACCAGUAUGUGUCUCCCGUUCGAAAGGGUUACACUUAUAAAUAUGCAUGCAUUUGCAUAUAUUUAUAACCGUGAUUCUUCCGAAUUGUCCAACUUAUCCAUGGACAGCCCAAGUAUGUGUAGAUUGGGUUCGUUUUCCCAUAUGCUUUGUUCCGGAUCCAAUGCAUAAUUGGGUCAGUGCCUCCCUGUUGUUCUCCGGAUACACAUCCUCUCUGUGUAUUGCCGAGACGUGUAUCAGGAGAACAUCGAGGAGGUACUGCCAAAAUUUUGCGUUGGAUACAAAGAAGAGCAUGGGAGAACGAACCCAAUCUACACAUACUCGGUUGGCAUUAGGACCUAUCUUUACCUAUUAGCGUGUAGGUUGCAUGGACGUAAUAAAAUUGGCGAACUUGAUUAACGGAUGUAUAUAUAUGCUGAAUUAUAUUUAAAUAUAUUUCAUGUGUGUUUAAUAGCUAGGCAAGAUGAGUGAUCUUGCGUGGAUGUACACCGGUCACCCUAGUAAGAAAGGGAUGACGAAAUAAUGGUUUAUAAAAAAACGGAGUUUGUGAAAGCCGCAUUUGCAAAUGGCCAGGAAAGAAACUAUUGCCCCUGUCCUAGAUGCGACAAUAUAAAAAGAGGAUAGGGGCUGUAAUGAUUAAACACCUGUAGUGGAGGAUUUUUAAGCCUAAUUAUACAGUGUGGACAUUUCAUGGUGAGUCUAUAUAAUGCACCAGAGCUGAGGUGGUUCGUCGUUGCACCGACGAGCAUGGUACCGGGAUCGAAGACAUGGGCAAGACUUUGAUGAUGCUCGGGAUUCGGACGAGGAGAUGGAGGAAUCUGCAAAGGCCUACUAUGAAAUGUUGGAGUCUUCAAAACAUCCUCUCCACGAGCACACUGAGCUUUGUCAGCUGGAUGCCAUUGCACAAGUGAUGGCUCUGUGCUCAGUUCAACUUGGGAAGAGAAUGCUACGACGCGAUGAUGAUACUAUUUGGACGCUUUCUACCCAAAGGCCAUGUCAUGCGUGCAAACCUGUACCACUUGGACAAAAUACUUCGUGUACUUAAGAUGCCCUAUGAGAUGAUAGAUGCAUGUGAGAAAGGAUUUUCCUUAUUUAGGAAGGAGUAUGCACACUUGGACUAUUGUCCCAUUUGCAUGUCUUGCAGGUAUCUUGUGGUAGACAAUGGUAUGGGUGAGAAGAGGCACACCAAAAUUGUAGUUAAUGUUCUUCGGUAUAUGCCAAUCAUACCAAGGCCUCAACGUCUUUUCAUGGUCGAAGAGACAGCUAGACAAAUGACAUGGCACAAAUUGGGCAAAAGAACCAAACUACAGGCGGAUGGGAAUAAGAUGGCGGUACACACAUCGGAUGGGGAAGCGUGGAAAUAUUUCGAUAGAUUACAUCAGGAUAAAGCGGUAGAUCCAAGGAAUCCUCGAGUCUCCAUCGCCACGGAUGGGUUCAAUACCUUUGGCAUGACGGCAACCCAAUACAGUUGUUGGCCUAUAUUUGUCAUUCCACUCAAUCUCCCCCCGAGUAGACUAUGCAAAGAAAGAACAUAUUCCCGACGUUGAUAAUUCCAGGGCCCAACUUUCUGGGGAAGAAUAUGAAUGUGUACAUGCAACCGCUUAAGGAUGAAUUGCAAGAAGCUUGGGAUAAUGGAGUCAAGACAUACAAUGCCGCUAGAAAAGAAAACUUCAAAAUGCAUGUGUGGUACAUGUACUCGGAGCAUGACUUGCCGGCGUUGGCGCUAUUCUCUGGAUGGUGUGUGCAUGGAAGGUUCCCGUGCCCCACAUGCAAGGCAGCUCUUCAGUUUCAUUGGUUGCAGGUGCGUAGGAAGUAUUCUUGCUUUGACUUGCAUAGACAGUUCCUGGAUCCUGACCAUCAGUUCUGAAAAGACAAGAAGAACUUUACCAAAGGUAAAGUUGUCAAAACCUUGGCACCACAUGUGUUGAUAGGCCAAGAGAUCCUGGAUCAGUUAAACACCCUCGAGCCUGAUCCAGAGCAUCCAGAGUAUUUCAAGGGGUAUAAUUCAGAACACACCUGGACUCACAAGCCAUGCUUGUGGGAUCUGCCUUACUUCAAAGACCUCUACUACUGCAACAAAAGACCUUCCAAUGGCGCCAGAAAUAAGCGUGUCGACGGCACCAGGAAUCCUUCUCCUACGGCUACGCCUUAAGGGACUUCCUAGGCAAAUAUGCAAAGGAUUUCCCCCGUGGCCUUGGAGCUUUGCGUUGGUGUUCCCUCGAAGCGGAAAGGGUGAUGUAGCGCAGUGGUGGUAAGUAUUUCCCUCAGUUUGAGAACCAAGGUAUCGAUCCAGUGAAGGAGUAUCACAAGUGCCUGCACAAACACAAAAAGCUUUCUCCCAACGCUAUGAAGGGGUUGUCAAUCCCUUAUAGAUUGUUCACAAAGUGAGAACUGAAAGCAACAAAGUAACCAAGCAAAGUAAAAGCGAAAGUGGAAACGAUAGCUGUGAAUAGACCCGGGGGCCGUAGUGUUCACUAGUGGUUUCUCUCAUGAAAGCAAGUAGACGAUGGGUGAACAAAUUACUGUCGAGCAAUUGAUAGAACCGCGCAAAGUCGUGACAUCAUCUAUGGCAAUGAUUAUAUCUACAGGCAUCACGUCCAAAACAAGUAGACUGAUACUUUCUGCAUCUACUACUAUUACUCCACACGUCGACCGCCAUCCAUCAUGCAUCUAGUGUAUUAAGUCCAAAAGAACAGAGUAACGCCUUAAGCAAGAUGACAUGAUGUAGAUGGACAAUCUCAUAUCUACGACAAAGCCCACCUUGUUACCCUUGAUGGCAACUACACGAUGUGUGCCUAGCUUCCCCUACUGUCACUGGGAAAGGUCACCACACGGUAAGAACCCAAAACCAAGCACUUCUCCCAUUGCAAGAAUCAUAGAUAUAGUUGGCCAAACAAAACCCAAGACUCAGAGAGACUUACAAGGAUAUCAAAUCAUGCAUAUAAGAAAUCAGCAAAGACUCAAAUAUAUAUCAUAGAUAAUCUGAUCACAAAUCCACAAUUCACCAGAUCUCGACAAACACACCGCCAAAGAGGAUUACAUAGUAUAGAUCUCCAUGAAGAUCAUGGAGAACUUUGUAUUGAAGAACCAAGAGAGAGAAGAAGCCAUCUAGCUACUAACUACGGACCCGUAGGUCUGAAGUGAACUACUCACGAGUUAUUGGAGGGGCGAUGAUGUUGAUGUAGAAGCCCUCCAACUCCAAAGUCCCCUCCGGCACGGCACCGGGAAGGGUCUCCAGAUGAGAUCUCGCAGAAACGGAAGCUUGCGGCGGCGGAAAAGUAUUUUCGUGGAUCCCUUGAAUUUUUUCUAUAUUUUAGGGAAUAUAUAGGCGAAGGGGUUAGGUCAGGGAGCGCCAGGGAGGCCACAAGCCUGUUGGCCGCCGCCCCCUGGUGGCNCUUGUGGCCCCCCUGUAGCCCUCCUGGCUUGGCCCUCAAGCCCCCUGAUCUUCUUCCGUUCGGGAAAAAAUCAUUUCGGGGAUUUUAUUCUGUUUGGACUCCAUUCCAAAAUCAGAUCUGAAAAGAGCCAAAAACACAGAAAAAACAGGAACUGGCACUCGGCACUGAAUUAAUAAGUUAGUCCCAAAAAAGAUAUAAAAGGUACAUAAAACAUCCAAGGAUGACAAGAGAACAGCAUGAAACCAUCAAAAAUUAUAGAUACGUUUGAGACAUAUCAAGCAUCCCCAAGCUUAACUCCUGCUCGUCCUCGAGUAGGGAAGUGAUAAAGAAUUAAUUUUUGAUGCUUUCAUGCUACCUAGCAUAGAUGCCCUUUGUAGCUCCUCUUAUGUGACAUGAAUGUUCAGAUCCAUUAGAUUCAAAACAAUAGUUUGCUAUUGACGUGGAAACAAUAAUAAUUCAAGCAAACUAGUAGGGUAAUCAUGAACUUUCAAAAUAACAAGGCCAAAAGAAAGUUAUCCCUACAAAAGCAUAUAGUCUGGCUAUGCUCUAUCAUCAUUGCACAAUGAAUUUAAAUCAUGCACAACCCCGGUAUUGGCCAAGUAAUUGUUUCACACCUUUACUUUCUCAAACCUUUUCAACUCUCACGCAAUACAUGAGCGUGAGCCAUGGUUUUAGCACUAUAAGUGGUGUGGAGUGUGGUGGAGGCAUAUCAAUGAGCUGUGGAGAUGCUCAUCAAUAGAUAUCAAUGUGAAUGAGUAGGGAUUGCCAUACAAAUGAUGCACUAGAGCUAAGAGUAUGUGAAAGCUCUUACAGAAAACUAGUGGGUGUGCAUCCAACUUGCUUUCUCACGAAGACCUAAGGCAAUUUUGAGGAAGCCUAUCAUUGGAAUAUACAAGACAAGUUAUAUAAUGAAAAUUUCCCACUAGCUAUAUGGUGGUGACAAAACGAGAGACUCUCAAUCAUGAAGAUCAUGGUGCUUAAUAUGCACAAGUGUGGAAAGGUGGUAGCAUUGUCCCUUCUCUCUUUUCUCUUUUUUUGGUGGGCUCUUUGGCCUCUUUUUUUUUGUAUUUUGGUGGGCAUCUUUGGCCUCUUUUAUUUCCUCACAUGGGACAAUUCUCCAUCAAUAAUGAUCAUCACACUUUCGACUCAAAACUUAGAGCAACGAUGACUCUAUAUGGAAUGCCUUCGGUAGUGUACCGUGACAAUGAUCUAGAAUGGCAUAGACAUUAAUGGAAACAUCACACUAGCUAUCUUACGAUCAUCCAACGGCAAUGUAGACGUGGUGGGACAUGUCAUGGUGGUGGUUGCAUGACAAUAUAUCUCGGAAUGACUUUGAAAAAGCCAUAGUAGGUAGGUAUGGUGGCUGUUUUGAGGGAGGCUAAUGGUGGGUUUUGUGCACCGGCGAAAGUUGCACGACACUAAGAAGAUAGUGAUGGUGGAAGGUGAAAGUGCAUCUAAACCAUGGACUCAACAUUAGUCAUGAAGAACUGAUAUACUUGUUGCAAAAGUUUUAUUAGUAAUCGAAACAAAGCAUUCAAGGCAUACUCCUAGGGGAAGGGUUGGUAGGUAUAAACCAUCGCACGAUCCCGACCGCCACACAAAGGAUGACAAUCAAUAGAAUAAUCAUCCUGAGAUUUCAGCACAUAGCGGUUCACCAUACGUGCAUGCUACGGGAAUCACUAACUUCAACACAAGUAUUUCUAGAUCCACAACACCUUACUAGCAUGACUUCAAUAUUACCAAAACCACAACUCAAAACUAACUGAGAUGAAUCAAACUUCUCUAACUAUUCAAUGCACAUGAAGGUGGAAGUUUUCGUAUCCCUUUGGAUAACUACCCCUUUUGAGACUACUUUCAAAGCAUAGAUUAACUACCAAGCCACGCACCUCUGUGCUCUAAAAGAUAUAAGUGAAGCACAUAGAGCAAAAGUAUCUAGCUCAAAAGAUAUAAGUGAAGCACAUGUGAGCUAAAUUGGCUACCAAAAGAUAUAAAUGAAGCUCGACAAAAUCACGGUGAGUGCAUGUCUCUCUCUCUAGGAGUGCAGCAAGGAUGAUUGUGACACAACAAAAAUAAAAGUCUCCUAUGAUAUAAGACGCUCCAAGCAAGAACACAUAACAUGUGGUGAAUAAAAAUAUAGCCCCAAGUAACGUUACCGAUGGAUUGAAGACGAGAGAGGGGAUGCCUUCCCGGGGCAUCCCCAAGCUUAGGAUUUUACGGCAUCCUUGAAUCUAUUGAGGUGCCUUGGGAAUCCCCAAUCUUGAGCUCUUUCCACUAUUUAUCUCUUUGUCCAUAAGAACUUCACCCAAAACUUGAAAACUUCACAACACGAAACUUAAACAGAAACUCGUGAUAACAUUAGUAUGAGAAAGCAAACCAUCACUUCCUUAGGUACUGUAGAAAACUUGAAUUCUACUUAUGCUGAUGUUGAGUUACUGUAUCUUCAAUCUUCCAUGGCUAAUACCCCCCGAUACUAUCCAUAGUUUCAUUAAAAUAAGCAACCAACACAACAAAAACAGAAUCUGUUAACAGCAGACCAGUCUGUAGCAAUAUGUAUAUUUCAUAUACCUCUGUAACUUCAAAAAUUCUGAAACAUUACGACACUCUGAAAAAUUUGCAUAGCAAUCAGAAGCAAAAAGAAUCAACUCAAAAUCUCUUACAGAAACAAAACUAAAAUUCUUUUCGUGAGCAGAAACUUUCUGUCUUUUCCAGCAUGACCAAACGAUCAUCCCCAAGACUAAUCAUAACGGUUUUGCUUGGCGCAAACGCAAAAAGAAACACAAAAAACACAAUCAUAACAGAAUUAUGAAAGUAUGGAAAACACAAAACAGAAAUAAAAAGGAUAGAUUUGUUGGGUUGCCUCCCAACAAGCGCUUUUGUUUAACGCCCUUAGCUAGGCAUAAAAGCGAUAGAAUCUAAGUCUAACAUACUUCCUAUGCAUAGGCAUUUUAUAGGGAAACAAAUUGGCAAGACAACCAAUAGCUGCCAUAUGCAACGAAGAAGAAAGAGACAAGAGCAAUCUCAACAUCACGAGAGGUGAUUUGGUAACAUGAAAGUUUCUACCAAAAUAGUUUCCUCUCUCAUAGCAAUUACAUGUGGGAUCAUAUUCAAAUUCAACAAUAUAGCUAUCCCAUAGGAUAUUAUUUUCAUGAUCCACAUGCAUGCAAAGUUGAUGCUCUUAAAAAAUAGUGAGAUUAUCAUCAAAUAAAGUCAUGACUUCUCCAAUCCCACUUUCAGUAUUGUUGCAAAUAUCAUAUUCAUCAUGAGGUUUGAACAAAUUUUUAAGAUCAUAAGAAAGAUCAUCACCCCAAUCAUGAUUAUUGCAACAAGUAGUGGACAAAGCAAAACUAGCAUCCCCAAGCUUAGGGUUUUGCAUAAUUUUAGCAUGAUUAUCACUAAUACAAUUUAUAGUGAAACCAUUGCAAUCAUGCUUUUCUUCCAAGGAGACCUCGUGAAUCACUUCAUAAAUUUCUUCCUCACAAUUUUGAGAUUCACGCAUAUCAAGCAAAACUCCAAAAAGAUAGUCAAGUGCACUCAAUUCACUAGCAAUUCGUUCCACAUAAGUGGGUCUCUUAAAGAGAUUAGCUAGUGGAUGAGGAUCCAUAUCACUAGAUUUUCAGCAAGCGAAGAUGCAAGCAUAUUGAAGGCACAUGGCACACAAGCGAACAGAAAGCAAACGAGAGAAAAGGGCGAACGAAAAAGGCAAACGAAAAAAGGCAAAUGUGAAGUGGGGGAGAGGAAAACGAGAGGCAACUGGCAAAAAAGGUAAAUGCAAGAGUUGAGUUUGUGAGACCUACUUGGAUAGAUCUUUCCUUCCCCGGCAAUGGCGCCAGAAAUACUUCUGCUACUGCAACAAAAGACCUUCCAAUGGCGCCAGAAAUAAGCGUGUCGACGGCACCAGGAAUCCUUCUGCUACGGCUACGCCUUAAGGGACUUACUAGGCAAAUAUGCAAAGGAUUUCCCCCGUGGCCUUGGAGCCUUGCGCUGGUGUUUCGUCGAAGCGGAAAGGGUGAUGUAGGGCAGCGGUGGUAAGUAUUUCCCUAGUUUGAGAACCAAGGUAUCGAUCCAGUGAAGGAGUAUCACAAGUGCGUGCACAAACACAAAAAGCUUGCUCCCAACUCUAUGAAGGGGUUGACAAUCCCUUAUAGAUUGUUCGCCAAGUGAGAACUGAAAGCAACAAUGUAACAAAGAAAAUUAAAAGUGAAAGUGGAAACGAUAGGUGUGAAUAGACCCGGGGGCCAUAGUGUUUACUAGUGGCUUCUCUCAUGAAAGCAAGUAGAUGGUGGGUGAACAAAUUACUGUCGAGCAAUUGAUAGAACUGCGCAAAGUCGUGACGUCAUCUAUGGCAAUGAUUAUAUCUAUAGGCAUCACGUCCAAAACAAGUAGACCGAUACUUUUUGCAUCUACUACUAUUAUUCCACACGUCGACCGCUAUCCAGCAUGCAUCUAGUGUAUUAAGUCCAAAAGAAUAGAGUAACGCCUUAAGCAAGAUGACAUGAUGUAGAUGGACAAUCUCAUAUCUACGACAAAUCCCACCUUGUUACCCUUGAUGGCAACUACACGAUGUGUGCCUUGCUGCCCCUACUGUCACUGGGAAAGGUCACCACACGGUAAGAACCCAAAACCAAGCACUUCUCCCAUUGCAAGAAUCAUAGAUCUAGUUGGCCAAACAAAACGCAAGACUCAGAUAGACUUACAAGGAUAUCAAAUCAUGCAUAUAAGAAAUCAGCAAAGACUCAAAUAUAUAUCAUAGAUAAUCUGAUCACAAAUCCAGAAUUCAUCGGAUCUCGACAAACACACCGCCAAAGAGGAAUACAUCGGAUAGAUCGUCAUGAAGAUCAUGGAGAACUUUGUAUUGAAGAUCCAAGAGAGAGAAGAAGCCAUCUAGCUACUAACUACGGACCCGUAGGUCUGAAGUGAACUACCCACGAGUCAUCGAAGGGGCAAUGAUGUUGAUGUAGAAGCCCUCCAACUCCAAAGUCCCCUCCGGCACGACACCGGGAAGGGUCUCCAUAUGAGAUUCCACGGAAACGGAAGCUUGCGGCGGCGGAAAAGUAUUUUCGUGGAUCCCUUGAUUUUUUUUUCUAUAUUUUAGGGAAUAUAUAGGCAAAGGGGUUAGGUCAGGGGGCGCCAGGGAGGCCACAAGCCUGCUCGCCGCCGCCCCCCUAGUGGCGGAUAGGGGGCUUGUGGGCCCCCUGUAGCCCUCCUGGCUUGGCCCUCAAGCCCCCUUAUCUUCUUCUGUUCGGGAAAAUAUCAUUUCGGGGAUUUUAUUCCGUUUGGACUCUGUUCCAAAAUCAGAUCUGAAAAGAGCCAAAAACACAGAAAAAAAGGAACUCGCACUUGGCACUGAAUUAAUAAGUUAGUCCCAAAAAUGAUAUAAAAGGUACAUAAAACAUCCAAGGAUGAUAAGAUAACAACAUGAAACCAUCAAAAAUUAUAGAUGCAUUCGAGACGUAUCAACCUCCUUCUUCCACACAACAUCGACAUGAUGCACAUUGAAAAUAAUAUCGGAGAGGCUAUUUUUGGUACAUUGUUCGACGUAGAUGGGAAGACCAAGGAUAAUCCUAAGGCUAGAGUCGAUCAAGACACACUAUUUCAUAGACUGUUACAAAACGUGCGAGAAGGCAAAGGAAAGCAGAAGUGGUCAAAGCCAAAGGCCUGGUUCAAUCUUGGAAGGCCAGCUAUGAGGGAAAUUAUCUUGUGGGUCAAAAUGUACUUGAUGUUUAUGAUGGGUAUGCAUCAAAUCUAAAGAGGUGAGCGAGUCUUGAAAAGUUCAAAACCUUUGGUCUCAAGAGUCAUGAUUGGCACAUAUGGCUUGAGCGGUAAUGCCGGUGAUGUUACAUGGCUUUAUUCCUGAAUAUGAAUAGCUAGUACUAGCGGAGUUGAGCUAUUUAUUCCGUGUUCUUUGUGCAAAAGAACUGUCGCCUGGCGUGGUAGAAGACAUGGAGGAGUUGGCGCUGGAGUUGCUGUGCAAGUUAGAGAAGAUCUUUCCGCCGGGCUUCUUUAAUCCAAUGCAGCAUUUGUUUUUACAUCUACCGACCGAGGCAAUAUUGGGUGGGCCCGUGCAAAAUCGUUGAUGCUAUGCAAUUGAGAGGAUGCAGAAGAUGCUUCGAGCUAAAUGUAAAAAUAAACGUAGAAUUGAAUUAUCGAUGGCCGAGGCAUUCAUUACUAAGGAGGUGGCAAACUUUGUGACAGCACACUACGAAGCCAAAAAUUGUCAUUUGCAUAAUCCGAAGCCUCAGUACAAUGAUGCCGACCCUAAAAAAGGUGGAUCCAAGCUCAGCCUAUUCAAAGGUAAGCUUUCACCAGCCGGUGCUUCAAAACCAAUAACGUUGGAUGUCAAAGAAUGGCAGAACAUUUCAUUGUAUAUCUUCAACAACGUAACAGCAGUGCAGCCGUACAUCAAGUAAGUUCUCGGCACAUUUUUCCAUAAAUUCUAAUUCCUUUGAACUUCUCUUAUUCACGGAUAUUUGAUACAGUCGAUAUGUCGCCAAAUUCUCGGAUGGAGCGGUGAUCCAAAAUGAUUCCGUCAAAGAGUAUGAGCUUUUGGCAAAGCAUGGAGGCGGCUAUCCCGGUUUCAUUUGUUGGUUCAAACAAACGGUAAUUACGAAUAAUGGAUCAUUUCAUUUCUUGUUCUAACUUGCGGCUAAUGCAAUAAUCGUUUCAUAUUAAACUUGUAGGCUAAUUCAUAGCCUAUGGACGCCGAAUUGAGACACGUCGCUAAUGGUUUUGACUAUAAGGUCCAUUCAUUUGAGAAAUACAACAUCAACGGGUAUCUCUUUCGUACCUAUGCCCGACCGAAAAUCUACAAAUUGUUGUGUCUCAGCUAUCGGCGAAGGUGGUAUCCAGUAUUAUGGAAGAGUUGAAGCAAUUUAUGAACUUCAAUUCUUUGGUGAAAUCCCACCGAACGUCGUAGUCUUCAAAUGUUAUUGGUUCCAUCCGAACGAGACUAGAAGGACUCAUGAACAUAUAGGGCUAAUCAAAAUCAAUCCAAGCACCUAUUUAGAUGUUCCACAUGUCUAUAUUACUACUCAACAUGCGACCCAAGUUUUCUAUCUACCGUGGGCAUGCCAAACCGAUAAGAAUAUGGAAGGUUGGCGUGUUGUUUGUGAUGUGCCGCCACGUGUUAGACCACCUCCACAGAUGAACAGGAUUAUGAACGUCACAUUAACCUAGACACAUAUGAUGGAGAACUUUUCCAAGAAAUAAGUCUUUCCAAGAAACAUUUCAAGAACCGCCGUGCUUCACCCCAGAACAUGGAAGUAGACAGCGAAAGUGAAUCCGACUUCACCCCUGAGCCGGAACGAGUAGAGGUGGAACUAGAAGAGGUUGCUGAUGCUGAUGAUCUGUCAAUGCUUGAUCGAUUACAGAAAGGCCUUCCACAACUUGAUGCCGUUGAACCCGAUGAGCACGUCAUUCAUGAAGACAUGCAUGAUAGUGAUGAUGAUGUUGCAUUUAUUGAUUCAAACUAUUAUUAGUUUGUAUGCAUCCCAACUUAAAUUAUAUAUGUACAUAUUAUUAUUCAUGUCAGUUAUUCAAUUUUUUUAUGGUGCACUAAUUUCUUUUACUCUUUAUCAUGGCAUGUCAGCAGGUGUUGAAAGAUGGUGGGCAUGGGUCCAGAUCGCUCGACGGGUUCUACUUCGUCGACGGCCCGCGUGAGGGGUGGUACUUCCAUUCCACCCUUAUCUCUCCAUAGAGCCUUGGCGGAUAGUUUGACGACACCACCCGCGAGUGCUUCUUUAUCGGCGGCGUUGCCCACUGGGAGAGGUGAUCAUGUAGGAAAGAAGGGGAAGGGUACAUGACGUGGUCGCGGGAGAGGUAGGCGGACUCAUACACCAUCCUCGCCAUCACCACCAGCUCAUUCACCCGAGCACACGACUACUAUGGUGGGCCCGUUUGCGGAGGAGGCUACGAGGACUCCGGUCGAGGAGACUUGGGUCGACGAGAAUUCGGCCCAUGAGACUCCUGUCCAGGAUUAGCCUUGGGUCGAUGGGCCUUCUUCCCAUGAGACUCCGGUUCGUGAGGCUCCAUCCCAGGAGACUCCUGCCAUAGAGGCUUCAACCGACGUGGAGACGUUCGGAUGGGGUGCCUGGCCGGAUCCGACCGAGGGGCCAGAUUGGACCGAGUGCCCGGGUGGCCAUUCUGUUGGUGGCGGGGAUGAGUCUACGGAUAGUGAGGGCGAUGUGCAGGUGGAAGAGGCCAACAUGUACAAGCGUGGUAGUACAUGUCUCCCGGUCGUACCGGCUACCUGUGAGCAGAGGCCGGUGAUUACGCCUGAAGGGGAGAGGUAAGUGCAUUUACUCUUUUUUAGAUUUUGCCUUCAAGUUUCUUCAAAUAUCUAAUGCGUUGACCUUGUCAUACUAUAGGGGUUGGAAACACCUUGUUGGAGUCCACAAGCCGAACACCGUCCUUCGUGUGCUUUGCUGGACAAAUUUCCCGGGGUUUGUCACGUUGCCCGAUGAGGGUCAGGUUCCUACACUAGGAUUUACCUAGGAUCACUACGAGGCUGCACAGGCCCCGCCGGAGGAGAUUAUAGAUGGUGUCUUGUGCCACACGAGGGCCGAGAUGGUGGUCAACACCUUUUGGGUAAAUUGUCCUUUUACACAAUAUAAAAUUAACAAUAUAGCUAAUUAUUGUUCUAAUCGGUGUUUUCUUGUUUGAUGGCAGACCUUCUAUAGGUGUGAGGAGGGAUAUAGGGAGGCAGCUGUAGCGACCCGACUCAAUACGAGUCAAGCCUCUAGUGUUUCCGUACCAUCCCAAGAUCAUGCUGGUACACACUCAGUAUAUCAAUGUAUAUAUCAAGAGUUCAAUCACACAGCUUUAUUAAUCGAAAUCUCAUAUCGAGUACUUCAUUACAAUAAUGAAUUACAAUAAAGUGGCUGAAGGCCAUCUCAUGAGAUAUCUAACGAAGACUGGCGGAAGCAUCAGGUAGAUGAGUCCAUCCGACUCCAGGGCAUCUCGUUGAUUGUAGAUCGUAGCCUCACUCCUGGUCGAAAAGUACUCUGCAACAUGAUACGUUGCAGCCGUGUAGGUCAACAUAUGGAAUAUGCCGGCAAGUCAUCAAAGAGAGGGGAAAAAUAAUAACCAACUAUCUCUACAUGCAUAUUUGGCAGGUGGGGCUAGAAGUUUUAGCAUAAAGCCAAUUUUCUCCUACAACAAGAGAGGGUUGAAAGCAAAAUAUUACUACAUUGUUUGUUGUUAACGAGAUGGUUCCGCCAACCAAUUCUCGUACCCGAGUUGUUGAUAAUUCCCACAUCAUUAUUAAGUUGUGUCGAGAGUUCAGGGAAAUUUCAAUGCCUUCGGCUCAAGGUGUCCAUGACCAUGGACGCGGCUAAUCGAUUAGGUUUGGGCACUCUGUAGAGUUUUGCACACGUUCCCCACAAGAUUUGAUCGCCCCCGAGUAUGUCCUCGCACUUCAGGGUGUUUGAAGACCGGAUGAUCAAAACAUGGUCUUUCAACGGGUCCCUCUGAAUCCCUGUCGGUACCCAUCCAAUCCUACCGUUCUUCUGCAUCUGCUGGCACCGCCUGUCCAGAGUCGCCACGUUGUCCAACCAAGCCAGAGCCCAUAAUGACUUGUGGCUGUGCAGGUAAGCCUUGGGUCUUGAAGGCUCCGUCCGUCUCUUCGAGCCUGGGUGAAGCUUUCCGCAAGAUGUCAUGGCAUGUCUCCAGCAUCCCGGGGUCGUCCACUGGUUUCCCCAGGGAGCCCGUCAAACCUUCCUUCACCCAGAGUUGCAUUUCUUCACGGGGUCUUGAAAAUCUUGUCUUAACCGGUCUUGGUUAUUUAAUCAUCCUCGCAUCACUCGUGUUAUGCACUCAACCAGAAUCCCGUCUACUCAAGCAUAGCAAUAUGAAAUUUGUCGUCCCGGGCCAAGUAUCGGGGUUGUUCUGUGCCUACCACAUGAAACUACAACCUAUAACUAUAAUUUCGAAGUACCUACUCAGCAUGCAAUUGGGCAAAGAAAGGUGAAACUACCAUGCAUAGAAAAACAUAGGAGAUAGUAUGAUCAAAAUGACUUGCCUUGAUGAUAGUUGUCUUGAUCGAGCGCUUCUAAGUAACAAGCUUCGCACUCCAGGUGAUCUACCGAUACAAACAAAUACACACCAUAAGCACUACAAUCAUCAACAAGUAAAAUAACAUCACAAGCAUAAAGUAGCUAUGGCAUAAAGUGAAAGAAUUCACUUCACCUAACUAAGGCAGAAAUUGUUUCUCUUAAAACCCCAAGUAAAAAUAUUUACAUAAAUUUGAAACUUAUACUAAAGUAAGAUAUAAUCACUAGGAAGCAUGUCGGGACCCCGAUCCUAAGCCAUAGGAAUCUAGCCUGUAACACAUCGCAUCCCUUUGUGGUCUCACGCACGGCUAACUCCACGGCUGCAGCCUUACCUUAGCCAGGACCGUUUGCGUCUUUUGACUCACGUAUGUGAUAGUGUCGCUAGCAGUCCAAUGUCAAAGAACCCGGAUCGACAUGUCUAGUCAUAAACCAAAGUGGCAGUACCGCACAAGGACAGGCAUACAUGACCCAACAAAGCAGGUGUCGGUCAUCAACGAAUGUAGACGAGUCGUAGCAAGCUACAAGGACUCCAUUACAUCGCGUGACAUUUCCCCAAAGGGGACAAACACAGCAGCUAAGAAGGACACAUGCCGGUCAACCAAUGUGUCCGGAGCAGUAGCGAACUACCAAGGCUCGUUGGAUCACAAAGGGGCAUUUCCUUGUAAGGAGUGCUACUAAAGUUCACGACUAGGUAUUCGAACCCCAUACAUAUCAAGUAAGACACACGUACGCAUGGCAUACCGAUAUGUAUAGAUACAUCGAUGGCAUCACAACAUAACCAUAACCAUACAAGCUUUAUUUAAGAGGCUCGGAAGAGCCACACACAUAAUAUUACACAUUAAGGGUCUCACGACCCAUAAUAACAGUCAUUCAGUUACAAGCCAGCGGAAGAGUUUUAAACUGUCUGAGUACAGACAGGGCAACUAGAAGGCACCUGGCCUGACUAUACUACGGAUCCAGCGUAGGGCCAGAUCGUAGCUGGGACACCAGCUACUCGUCGUCGUCGACGUCUACGAAGAACCCUCCAUUAGGGUCAUUAGCAACCUCUGCAACAUUUAUUAAGCAAACAUGAGUGCGAAGGUACUCAGCAAGACUUUAGGAGAACUAACUACUCAUGCAAGGUAUCAAAGGGUAUUGUGGGGUUUCAUGCGGAAAGCCAACAUUUGACUCGUGGCUAGACAACUUGAAUUUCGAAAUUAGUUUUGACAACUUGAUUUCUCGCACACGAGUCCACUAACACCACAACAAUACACUGUCUUGGAAUCAUUCCGUCUCCAUACGGAAAUGCCGUCCACGACACUCACGCUUAUCUUGACAAUUUUAUGAGUAGCCAUUGAAGUUAUCUAUGAACAACAUAUGUCUCCAAGUAGUCCAUAUCCGCGGACGCGGCUAUUCGAAUAGAUCAUAACCCUGCAGGGGUGUACUUCGUCACACACGCUCUCGCCACUUAUCGCUAUGUGCACGUCAUGCACCUCGGCAACCUUCAAGCGGAAGCCCAGCGAGGGAGUCGGCCACGACCGUUAACCACACUAGUACCUAGUCCAGGUUUAUCGCCUAUCUGAGAGUAACCCGUACGGAAGUCCGGCCGAGGUUUCCGCCACGGCCUCAAACGAUGUGCGCAGGGUUCCCAAGCCCACCAUCCGGGUGCCACUUGGUACACCGUGCCACUGCCUACCGCAUCACAGCCCACCUCUCAGGUCAGCACCAUGCACGGCCUCCAACAUUACUAUAAACACCAGAAACUACUUGCAACUCCUGGACCGGGUACUACGCGAUUAAUAGGCCGAGCGGGGUCAUAUUUCAGGGCCCAGCAUGUGGUAGUAUCUAGUCUUGGAAUACAUACACGGAACUCAGUUCCUAAGGACGGUUCCAAUGAAACAACCCGCCAUGUACUCCUACACAGCCUUUCACCGGUACCUUUACCAAAUCAAGUUCAACACACAACCUUUGCUCACCGAACACAUUCCACAUUUCUGUUCAUCUCCUAGAUGACAGACCAUACACAACUCUAAGCAUAGCAUGCAUAGCAGGAUAAGGCACAUCAUAGUUCAAGCAACUACCAGGUAUGCUAGGUUGCAAGGUUCGGCUAUUUACUGUGACAAGGUUAAGUCAUGCAAAGGAAGUGGGUUCAACUAUCGUGGCAAAAGCAGUUGAAGCAUUUGAUCUUAAAUGCAAUAAAUAGGUGCAGGAGCAAGAACAUGGGAAUUGUCGGGAUGAUCAAAAGGGUUGCUUGCCUUGUUGUUGAGAGGAGGAACGAUAUCCGUCAGACGGAUAUUCGGUGGAAUCCGGGGGUGCGGAGCCUACCGAAAUGAAUGGCAACAUUCAAUAACAAUCAUAUGCACUCAAAAUGAUGCAUGAGCAUGGCAUGAGAAUGCAAGGUGAUAAGUUAUUAUUUUCAACAUGUAUUAGGUUUAGAGUUGAUUUGAAUCACAUUCGAAUAGCAAUUCAAACGGGGUAUUCUCGGAUACCGGUUUAAUUGAUUCGAUCUGAUGCUCAGAUCAACUUGAUGUUAACAUGCAUGAAAUGUCAUGUUAUGGUACUGAAUUGUAAUUAGGACAGUGGCGAACAUUGUAUAUAUAAUGAAAUUUGAAUAUUUUUGCAAAUUCCAUUUAAAAGGUGAUUAUAAGAAUUGAAUUAUUCCUUAUUCCACAAUUUAGGGUUCUGUAACUUUUUUAAACAUGGUUGAAAAUAGCAUAAUCAGAAUCCUUGAAUUUUUCUGAUACUUUUUCAUAUAUAAAUUAUUUUCAUUGGAGUUAUAGAUUAAUUUCUAUGAUUUUUACAAUUUUUAGCAAUUUCCUGAAUUAGUUUUAUACUGGAAAUUCUAUUUAUUGCAUCAGACUGACGUCAGAAGGUCAGCCGACCUGUUCAGGUCAAACCUGACAGGGGGGCCCCAUUGGUCAGCCUCUCUAGGACUAAUCCCGCGCUGACCAGCCCUAACUGAGGUUUGACUUGGCCUUGGGCCCACUUGUCAGCGAGUGAUUAGGUGCUGAGUUGCUGGGUUAGCUUUGUCACGUCGACAUACACCGGCGGCGAGGUCGUCCUCGCUGGCGGGGAGCCUCCGGCGACCACCAGCACGGCGGAGGGGCUCGGAAACGGCGCACAUGGGGCCAAAUGCUGCGCGGAGAGCACCAGAGGAACGACACGUCUCCCGCAGCUUCAUUUCUGCACCUAGCCGGGGCUGAUCUGGCCGGAGAUGACGCCGGCGACGAGCUUGGCGGCGGCCAAGGCUCGGGCGUCAUCGGGGUCUUUGAAUCAGAGGGAUCUACGCUCGGUUCUUUGCUGCUACAGCAUCUACGCGUCGACCUGGAGCUGCUGGUGCCCUCGGAGGGACGAGCUGAUCAUCGGAGGGCUACUGGCGACGAGCGGCAGCGGCGGUCCUCUUCGGGCUCCGGUGAAACUAGAGCUAGAGGAGGGGAUCGACGGGGAAAACUUAGGGGAAACGACCGCAUGCUCACGGGGAGUGCAUAGCAGAGCUUAGACGGCUCGGGGAAGGCCUGGGGGCAACGAAUCGACGGGAGAGGUCCGGCGACCGGAGGUGGAAGACGACGGCGUUGCGGGAGUUGCAGGGCUCGAGGAAGCUUCGGCUUCUGCAGAGAUGACCAGGGCGACGAGGCAGAGCUAAUGGCGUGCUCUGGGAGGGAAUCCUAUGGCCAGGGGCACGGGCAGCUCGAGCUCGAGCUCGGCUCUAAUGGCGGCAGCAAGGAGGAGGAGGAGAUCCGGGAGGAGGAAGAGAACCGAGGCGGGGAAUGGAUAGGGGAGGCCUUGGGGAGCUUAUCCCCAUCGUCGCCAGCGUGAGGCGGCGGCCAGGCAGGCACGCAGGUGCGUGGCCGCGCCGGAGGGGGCGGCGGCCACCUCGUGCUGCCUACUGGCGCGACGGAGGGGACGAGCCAGGGAUGGGCCGGGCCAGGCUUAGGCGACAGGUAAGGUUUUUCCAUUUUUUUCUGUUUUUGUUUUUCUAUUUUGCUAAUUAUUGUUUUGCUAAUUAAUUCAGCUCCAAAACAAUAAGUAAAAACUAUUUUAGAACUCCUGAAAUAUUUGUUAUAAUAUCCCCAACCAUUUCCAAGGUUUUCAACAUUUUUGGAAAUUUAUAGUUUCUGAUUUCAAAUUUAAAACUUGAAACCAGUAGCCUUUUUCAUUUAUUCAAAAAGCUUAAAGUGUCAAGAAAAUAGUUUUCUCCAAUGCUCAUUUACUUUCAUGAUUUAUCAGAAAGUUUGAACAUUUCUUGAGGCCAUUUUGGGUUCAUUGAUUUUGAACUAGUUUGAGAUUUCCUUUAAUUGAAAUGGUGGCUAGGGUUUUGAGUUUUUCCUUUGCCACUUUGUUGUUUUUGUUGCAACUUCUUAGAUGCAAAUGCAAAGAAGACAUGAGCACAAUGCUAUCUUUCUUAAGGGUUAGGGAUGUGACAAAGCAGUAGCAAAAAGAAUCAAAUUAAAAGCUAUUUUUAAACUCCUGGAAUAAGCAAAACAAGGUUUAAACUAAAUCUGAUCUAAUUCAAAGUUUAAAAGUUCACACAUAGACAAAUUAUAUGUUUUUACAAACUACAGAAAAAUUGUGAUCUACUGGAACAAGUUUCAACUCCAUUGCAAUUCCGGAUCAAAAUCUAUGAUCAAAACAAGAUUGGAACUUUCUCUGUUUUGGAAUUAAAACAGAAAAAGAAAAACUGAUUCUAACGGACAGGGGUACACGUGGCAGCCCUUGAUUGGUUGCGGGUUCGUUUGCUCCGGGGAAAUCUAGGAAACGACCGGAAUCUAACAGAUACCUCUUCGGCUAAUAUUUAAGUGAAUAAAAACCGUCUUGGUUUUAUCUAGAAGACCGAAAGGGUACGGGUGUUCUAAUCUACUGCGUUAGAUUACGAUCGGACGGCUACGGGAGAGAUGGUGUGCUCAGGGAGCUGGCUCACCAUGGUAGUAGGUUCUCCGGAGAGGCAGGAAGUGGUGCUCGUCGUCGGCGUCGCGACGGUGGUCGGUGACGGCGUCCGAAGUGUUGGGGAGGUGGCGGCGGGUCUCCUCCGUCGGAUGGCGGCGACGAUGAGGCUUCUCGUGGCCGGGGAAGAGCUCGGGGAGGUUGGGAGGCUACGGUGCCGACCGAACUCCGGUGAGGUGCGGGGGCUGGCGUGGAGCGGUGGAGCUCGGGGUUUGGGUGGAAAAAUGGAACGCGGUGGAGGCGAGGGUGCUGUUGGUGGCGUUGGUUGGUGCGGGGAGGGGUGGUAGUGGCCGGGGCGGCGAGGAGGUGUUUCUCCUGGAGCUGGCUCCAGCGAGGUUCAUGGGGCGAGGGCGAAGCGGCGAGGUGGCGUGGCGGCAUGGGGAAGGAGGGGGACGAGGGGGGCUCGGUUUAUAUAGGGGCAGGGGGGAACGAAGGGGGAGGCGAGAUCGGGGAGAUCCCGGCGAUCCAGGAGUGGCGCCAUGGAAAGGGUGCUGGUCGCUGGCGAAGGAAAGUCCCGUGGGGAAGAAAGAAGGAAGGAAGAAGAAGAGGGAAGGAAGGAAAGAGAAUAAAAAAAAAGAAGAGGGGGUGCGCUGGAGGGGCUGGUGGCGGUUGGGCGCAGGGAUCUGGAUCCCUGGUGAUGGGGGAUCUGGCCCAAAAAAAUCACCCAAUAUUUUUUAAACAGCAAGAAAAGAAUAAAAGGAAUUAAUUUAUAUGGAGUAUUAUAUACCAAAUCGAUCAGAAAAAUAUUUCCUAAUUGAUUAUCAUUUUUCCAAAACCAAAAUAAAAACUUUUGAAAAAUGUUUUUUUUCAGAAAAAAAAUCCUUAUGCUAUAUUUCUUUUGGCAAAAUAUUUUCCCCAUAAACUUGGGUUUUUCUUGGCUCAAUUGAUUUCAAAAAUGCUUCACAUUGUGGAGGGUCAUUUUCCUCCGCUCUUUCUUGCUUGGAAGAAUUUUGUCAGGGCAUUUUCUCGGGGAGGAAAAAUAGAAAAGCAAAAGCAAGUAUUUGAAGGAAAUCAAAUGCAAAACUUUAUUGCAAACAAAAUGCAUAGAUGCUUAGCUACAUUUGUAGAACAUUCCCAAUUAGGAAAAUUGGGAUGUUACAAACCUACCCACCUUAAGAUGAAUCUCGCCCUCGAGAUUCGGGUUGGCUAGAAAAUAGGUGCGGGUGGUCUCGACGAAGAUCUUCUUCUCGUUCCCAGGUGGCUUCUUCCUCGGUGUGGUGGCUCCACAACACCUUGCAGAAUUUGAUGAUCUUGCUGCGGGUACCUCUGUUGGCAGUCUCGAGAAUCCUAACAGGUUUCUCCUCAUACGUCAGAUCAUUGUCAAGCUGUAUGGCCUCUAGGGGCACUGUAUCUCUCAACAGAACAUCAUCCAUCUCAACGUGGCAUUUCUUCAACUGGGAAACAUGGAAGACAUCAUGAACUCCGGACAAUCCUUCCGGCAGUUCCAGUUUAUACGCAACUUCGCCUCUACGUUCAAGAAUUUUGUAGGGGCCAAUGAAUCGGGUUGCUAACUUUCCUUUCACACCAAAUCUCUUGAUUCCUCAAAGUGGAGACACCCGAAGAUAUGCCCGGUCUCCCACUUCGUAUGUUACUUCCUUGCGUUUGCUGUCAGCAUAACUUUUCUGCCUGGACUGAGCUAUCUUGAGUCGGUCACGAAUCAGCUUGACUUUCUCUUCAGAGUCUCGGAUAAGGUCGGGACCAAAAAGUUGUCGGUCUCCAACUCCAUCCCACAUCAACGGUGUUCUGCACCUCCUUCCGUAUAGAGCUUCGAAAGGGGCUAUCUUCAGAUUGGUCUGGUAGCUGUUGUUGUAUGAGAACUCGGCAUAAGGCAAAUUGUCAUCCCAACUAGACGCAUAGUCUAGUGCGCAAGCUCUCAACAUGUCCUCCAGAAUCUGAUUGACUCUCUCGGUCUGUCCAUCUGUCUGUGGGUGAAAAGCUGUACUGAACUCCAAUCUCAUUCCCAAGGUUUCAUGUACUGAACUGAGUCCCUCUAUCUGACACAAUACUCUUCGGUACUCCAUGCAGACAUACGAUCCUGGUCAUAUAUAUCUUGGCCAGCUUGUCACUCGUGUAACUAGUCUUCACGGGAAUGAAGUGAGCUACCUUGGUCAAACGAUCGACCACAACCCAAAUAGAAUCAUAGCCAAAACGGGUCCUGGGUAAUCCUGUGAUGAAGUCCAUACCAAGCUUUUCCCAUUUCCACUCGGGUAUCGACAGAGGUUGAAGCAAACCUGCUGGCUUGUGAUGCUCGGCUUUUACUCGCUGACAAACAUCGCAUAUUGCUACAAACUCGGCAAUGUAUUUCUUCAUUCCUGUCCACCAGAAACUUUCUUUCAGAUCCAGAUACAUCUUGGUGUUGCCGGGGUGUAUCGAGUACGGGGAAUUAUGAGCCUCCUGAAGUAUCAACUUCCUGAGUUCGGGAUCAUUGGGCACAUAAAUGCGAUCUUCAAACCACAAUGUUCCAUGUUCAUCCUCACGAAAACCUUUAGCCUUCCCGUCUUUAAUUUUCUGCUUAAUCUCAGCUAUCUCCUUGUCUGAUUUCUGAGCUUCGCGGAUCUUUUCUGUCAAAGUGGACUGAAUUUCCAGUGUGGCUACAAAUCCUGUUGGAACUAUUUCCAAUUUGAUCUCUCGGAGAUCAUCAGCUAACUCCCGGGGUAAUCCUCCCGCUAUGAUUGUGUUCACAUAACUCUUGCGGCUCAACGCAUCGGCUACAACAUUUGCCUUGCUUGGGUGAUAAUGCAAUCUCAUGUCAUAGUCCUUGAUCAAUUCUAGCCAUCGCCUCUGUCUGAGGUUCAAUUCCUUCUGCGUGAAGAUAUAUUUCAGGCUCUUGUGAUCAGUGUAAACAUCACAACUAUUUCCGAUCAGGAAAUGUCUCCAAGUCUUGAGAGUGUGCACUACGGCAGCUAGCUCCAGGUCAUGCGUGGCAUAAUUCAACUCAUGGGGCCUGAGCUGUCUGGAUGCAUAUGCUACAACUUUACCUUCUUGCAUGAGCACUCCUCCGAGUCCUUGACGAGAAGCGUCACACUCGGGCUCCAACUAACUGGUCAAACAGAUCAUUGAUCAUCGGCAAUGGAUACUUGUUCUUGAUGGUAACCUCGUUCAAUGCACGAUAAUCGACAACCAUUCUCAAGGACUUAUCCUUAUUUUCAACCAAGAGCACUGGGGCUCCCCAAGGUGAAGAACUUGGGCGAAUAUACCGUUUGUCCAACAACUCCUUAAUUUGCUUCUUGAUUUCUACCAAGUCAUUUGUGGGCAUCCGAUAGGGUCUCUUGGAUAUCGGGGCUGUUCCGGGUAAUAGCUCAAUCAGGAACUCAAUCUCUCUAUCAGGUGGCAUGCCCGGCAAUUCCUCCGGAAAUACAUGUGGGUAUUCUUGUACAAUCGGUACUUCCUGCUGGACUACUCCCGUGAGAGAGUUUACUCGUUUACUCCGUGUCGGCCACUGAGACACGUACUUAAUCCGCUUUUGCUCGGGGGUGGUGCGAAAAAUAGACUUAAGGGCACAAUCCAUAUUCCCUUCGUACUUGGCCAACCAAUCCAUGCCUAGGAUUACAUCCAAUCCCUGAGACUCUAAUACGAUGAGGUCGGUGGGAAACUUAUGGUUCCCGAUGUUGAGACUCAAAGCAUGGCAUCCUAUCCCGGCUAUCAUCAUGCCUCCUGGGGAACUGACCUUAAUAGGAUGGCUGAGGGUUCUAGUUGGCAAACUAUACUUUUCCACAACUGCCCUUGAUAUGAAUGAAUGCGUUGCACCAGAAUCAAAAAGUACCAAUACCGGACGUGAAUUUAGCAAAAACUUAGCGACCACAGUAUCGGGGUGAUCAUAGACCUCUUCAACAUCAAUGUGAUUCACGUGAGCUCGAGGAAAAGGAUUGGGCUUCUUUGCUGUAGAGUUGCCGUUGCCGUUUCCAUUUCCGUGCUUGUUCUCGGGACAUUCAGUGGCAUAGUGUUCCGUCUUUUGACACUUGAAGCAGGUGAUGUGAUUCAGAUCCUUCCGAGCUGGAGCUGAAUGAUGUUGAGUGCCGGUACCGCCAUUCUUAAAGUUGUUGUUGUUGCAGUGGUUCCCAUUUCCUCCAUGGUUGUGGCCUCCAUGGUUGUGCACUGGGUGGUUAUGCUAGACGUGUCCUCCAAACUUACCGAUCCAGUCCCGGUAUUCCCUGAGUAGGGGGUGUAGCGAGGCUUCUGCUGAGUGCCGGAUUUCAACUUUCCAUUGCCAUACUUCCGCUUGCGGUUCUCCAUCUGCUGAUGUUUCCCCUCCAAGAUGAGGGCCUUAUCUACCAGCUCCUGGUAGUUGUUGAAGUUGGCUAUAGUCAGCUGAAUGCUCAGCUCAUCAUUGAGUCCCUCCAAGAACUUUUCAUGCUUGGCCGCAUCAUCGGCCACAUCUCCAGGUGCAUAACGGGCAAGCAUGCUGAAUUCAUCGACAUACUGAGCCACAGAGCGAUUUCCCUGGCGUAAGUUGCAAAACUCACGCUUCUUCAGACUCAUUGGACCAGCUGAGACAUGUGCGGUGCGGAAGGCUUGGUUGAACUGCUCCCAAGUGACUCCAGCAAUGGGGUAUGUGGUGGUGUAGUUCUUCCACCAUGUAGCUGCAGGGCCUUCAAGUUGAUGCAUGACAAAGCGCACCUUCUCAGCUUCAGUACAACCAGCAGUGAUUAGUUCCCGCUCCAUCUUGCAGAGCCAAUCAUCUGCCACAAUGGGCUCAAUGCUGCUGGAGAAAGUCGGAGGGUUCAACCUCAGGAAAUGGGUGAGAUUGUCGGCCUGGGGUGGAUGAUGGUUGUUGUUAUUGUUCUGGUUCAGGAUGAUCAGCUGCAUCAGGGUAUUCUGUUGCUGAAUCAACUGAGUGAGUUCCGGCGAGAAGUUGGAAGCAGGGGCAUGUCUCGGAGGCAUCUGGUGUUUGUAGAGGGGUGAGAUUAGCGUAGAACAAUGGUCUAAAGAGUAAUUACACUACCCAUAUGAAAUUCAACAACCAAGUAUCACACCACACAUUUUAUUCAAUACCAUCACAAAAGGUUCACACGCGGGGAUACAAAAUUCGAUAACCUAAACAUCGGCCUAAGCGUUUAACAGUAAGAUAAAUUUGGUGGACUAGUCUAAGUGUCCUCCUCAGAAAAGCAUGGUGGUGGGUGCUUCGGUGGAGCUUUCUUCAUAGUCCUCUUCAUUGCUGAUCAAGGGGGCUACGUCUCCUUCGGGAUGAAGGUUCUCGCCCAUGUCCAGUUCCUCCUCCAGGCACGUGACUCGAGUCUUCACCUUCUCGAUCCUCUCCAGAAAGUCCUUCACCUCCAAUUCGUGCUCAUAGUGGGCUUCCCGGGCUGCUUCUUCGAGUUCGAGUUCGCGGAGCGACAAUUGCUUGAUCUUCCUGGUGUCCUUGAUCACACGAUGCUCCAGAGUCCCGCUGUGCUUAUCCAAGGUCUGGGCAUAGGACAGGAGAGCGUCCUUGGUCUUGCUUGAGAUGAUUUCUCCAUCUUCUCCUCUCCGGGAUAUCGUGAAUAGGUCAGGUGAAAUAGGGCAGCCUCUGUACACUUCCUUGAUACGUCCGAGUGCACAAUGGACCACCAUGUCCCUUCUGAGAAUCCAGUUGGGUGCGAUGAACUUGAAGUCCACAGGCUCAAUGCACGGCACGAAUGUCCUUCCGGGAACGUGCACCUCAAUCCUGUAGCGUGAAUCCUCCGAGUAAGAUGAAGUAGGCUUCCCUGUGAUAGUCGGCAGAGCAAUCCUCAAGUCCUUGGUGAUCUGUAUCAGCUCCUUUCCAAAAGGCAUAGUGGCGUCGGGCUGGCAAAACUCCGUGAAAUUAACGGGGAUGAAGGUGGCCAUCUAAAACAUUGGAAAAUCGGAGAGAAGUCAGAAAUAGAGGAUUUAUAGACAUAAGAAUAUAGUUUUCUUCCUAAGGCUUUUCAAUUCCUAGAGGUUACGUCCUACAGUCAACGUGUGAUCUAACACCAUUUCUGUAGCGACCCGACUCAAUACGAGGCAAGCCUCUGGUGUUUCCAUACCAUCACAAGAUCAUGCUUGUACACACUCGGUACAUCAAUGUAUAUAUCAAGAGUUCAAUCAUACAACUUUAUUAAUCGAAACCUCAGAUCAAGUACUUUAUUACAAUAAUGAAUUACAAUAAAGUGGCUGAAGGCCAUCUCAUGAGAUAUCUAACAAAGACUAGCGGAAGCAUCUGGUAGACGAGUCCAUCCGACUCCUGGGCAUGUCGUUGAGCGUAGAUCGUAGCCUCACUCCUGGAUGGAAAAGUACUCUGCAACAUGAUACGAUGCAGCCGUGUAGGUCAGCAUAUGGAAUAUGCCGGCAAGUCAUCAAAGAGAGGGGAAAAAUAAUAACCAACUAUCUCUACAUGCAUAUUUGGUAGGUGGGGCUAGAAGUUUUAGCAUAAAGCCAAUUUUCUCCUACAACAAGAGAGGGCGGAAAGCAAAAUAUUACUACAUUGUUUGUUGUUAACGAGAUGGUUCCGCCAACCAAUUCUCGUACCGAGUUGUUGAUAAUUCCCACAUCAUUAUUAAGUUGUGUCGAGAGUUCAGGGAAAUUUCAAUGCCUUCGGCUCACGUUGUCCAUGACCGUGGACGCGGCUAAUCGAUUAGGUUUGGGCACUCUCCAGAGUUUUCCACACGUUCCCCACAAGAUUUGAUUGCCUCAGAGUAUGUCCUCGCACUUCAGAGUGUUUGAAGACCGGAUGAUCAAAACAUGGUCUUUCAACAGGUCCCUCUGAAUCCCUGUCGGUGCCCAUCCAAUCCUACGGUUCUUCUACAUCUGCUGGCACCGCCUAUCCAGAGUCGCCACGUUGUCCAACCAAGCCAGAGCCCAUAAUGACUUGUGGCUGUGCAGGUAAGCCUUGGGUCUUGAAGGCUCCGUCCGUCUCUUCGAGCCUGGGUGAAGCUUUCCGCAAGAUGUCAUGGCACGCUCCAACAUCCCGGGGUCGUCCACUGGUUUCUCCAGGGAGCCCGUCAAACCGUCCUUCACCCAGAGUUGCAUUUCUUCACGGGGUCUUGAAAAUCUUGUCUUAACCGGUCUUGGUUAUUUAAUNGUCUCCAGCAUCCCGGGGUCGUCCACUGGUUUCCCCAGGGAGCCCGUCAAACCUUCCUUCACCCAGAGUUGCAUUUCUUCACGGGGUCUUGAAAAUCUUGUCUUAACCGGUCUUGGUUAUUUAAUCAUCCUCGCAUCACUCGUGUUAUGCACUCAACCAGAAUCCCGUCUACUCAAGCAUAGCAAUAUGAAAUUUGUCGUCCCGGGCCAAGUAUCGGGGUUGUUCUGUGCCUACCACAUGAUACUACAACCUAUGACUAUAAUUUUGAAGUACCUACUCAGCAUGCAAUUGGGCAAAGAAAGGUGAAACUACCAUGCAUAGAAAAACAUAGGAGAUAGUAUGAUCAAAAUGACUUGCCUUGAUGAUAGUUGUCUUGAUCGAGCGCUUCUAAGUAACAAGCUUCGCACUCCAGGUGAUCUACCGAUACAAGCAAAUACACACCAUAAGCACUACAAUCAUCAACAAGUAAAAUAACAUCACAAGCAUAAAGUAGCUAUGGCAUAAAGUGAAAGAAUUCACUUCACCUAACUAAGGCAGAAAUUGUUUCUAUUAAAACCCCAAGUAAAAAUAUUUACAUAAAUUUGAAACUUAUACUAGAGUAAGAUAUAAUCACUAGGAAGCAGUAGCAAAAAGAAUCAAAGUAAAAGCUAUUUUUAAACUCCUGGAAUAAGCAAAACAAGGUUUAAACUAAAUCUGAUCUAAUUCAAAUUUGAAAAGUUCACACAUAGACAAAUUAUAUGUUUUUAACAACUACAGAAAAAUUGUGAUCUACUGGAACAAGUUUCAACUCCAUUGGAAUUCGGGAUCAAAACCUAUGAUCAAAACAAGAUUGGGACUUUCUGUGUUUCAGAAUUAAAACAGAAAAAAGAAAAACUGAUUCUAACGCACAGGGAUACACGUGGCAGCCCCUGAUUGGUUGCGGGUUCGUUUGCUGCGGGGAAAACUAGCAAAUGGCCUGAAUCUAACCGAUUCCUCUUCGACUAAUAUUUAAGUGAAUAAAAACCGGCUUGGUUUUAUCUAAAAGACCGAAAGGGUACGGGUGUUCUAAUCUACCGCAUUAGAUUACGAUCGAACGGCUACGGGAGAGAUGGGGUGCUCAGGGAGCUGGCUCACCAUGGCAGUUGGUUCUCUGGCGAGGCAGGAAGUGGUGCUCGUCGUCGGUGUCGCGGCGGUGGUCGGUGACGGCGUCCGAGGUGUUGGGGAGGUGGCGGCGGGUCUCCUCCGUUGGAUGGCGGCGACGGCGAGGCUUCUCGUGGCCGGGGAACAGCUCGGGGAGGUUGGGAGGCUACUAUGCUGGCCGAACUCCGGUGAGGUGCCGGGGGUGGCGUGGAGCGGUGGAGCUCGGGGUUUGGGUGAAAAAAUGGAACGCGGUGGAGGCGAGGGUGCUGUUGGUGGCGUUGGUUGGUGCGGGGAGGGGUGGUAGUGGCCGGGGUGGCGAGGAGGUGUUUCUCCUGGAGCCUGGCUCGAGCGAGGUUCGUGGGGCGAGGGCGAGGCGGCGAGGGGGCGUGGCGGCGUGGGGAAGGAGGGGCCGAGGGGGGGCUCGGUUUAUAUAGGGGCAGGGGNNNNNNNNNNNNNNNNNNNNNNNNNNNNNNNNNNNNNNNNNNNNNNNNNNNNNNNNNNNNNNNNNNNNNNNNNNNNNNNNNNNNNNNNNNNNNNNNNNNNNNNNNNNNNNNNNNNNNNNNNNNNNNNNNNNNNNNNNNNNNNNNNNNNNNNNNNNNNNNNNNNNNNNNNNNNNNNNNNNNNNNNNNNNNNNNNNNNNNNNNNNNNNNNNNNNNNNNNNNNNNNNNNNNNNNNNNNNNNNNNNNNNNNNNNNNNNNNNNNNNNNNNNNNNNNNNNNNNNNNNNNNNNNNNNNNNNNNNNNNNNNNNNNNNNNNNNNNNNNNNNNNNNNNNNNNNNNNNNNNNNNNNNNNNNNNNNNNNNNNNNNNNNNNNNNNNNNNNNNNNNNNNNNNNNNNNNNNNNNNNNNNNNNNNNNNNNNNNNNNNNNNNNNNNNNNNNNNNNNNNNNNNNNNNNNNNNNNNNNNNNNNNNNNNNNNNNNNNNNNNNNNNNNNNNNNNNNNNNNNNNNNNNNNNNNNNNNNNNNNNNNNNNNNNNNNNNNNNNNNNNNNNNNNNNNNNNNNNNNNNNNNNNNNNNNNNNNNNNNNNNNNNNNNNNNNNNNNNNNNNNNNNNNNNNNNNNNNNNNNNNNNNNNNNNNNNNNNNNNNNNNNNNNNNNNNNNNNNNNNNNNNNNNNNNNNNNNNNNNNNNNNNNNNNNNNNNNNNNNNNNNNNNNNNNNNNNNNNNNNNNNNNNNNNNNNNNNNNNNNNNNNNNNNNNNNNNNNNNNNNNNNNNNNNNNNNNNNNNNNNNNNNNNNNNNNNNNNNNNNNNNNNNNNNNNNNNNNNNNNNNNNNNNNNNNNNNNNNNNNNNNNNNNNNNNNNNNNNNNNNNNNNNNNNNNNNNNNNNNNNNNNNNNNNNNNNNNNNNNGCGCUGGAGGGGCUGGUGGUGGUUGGGCGCAGGGAUCUGGAUCCCUGGUGAUGGGGGAUCUGGCCCCAAAAAAUCUCCUGAUUUUUUUUAACAUCAAGAAAAGAAUAAAAGGAAAUAAUUUAUAUGGAGUAUUAUAUACCAAAUCGAUCAGAAAAAUAUUUCCUAAUUGAUUAUCAUUUUUCCAAAACCAAACUAAGAACUUUUUAAAAAUGUUUUUUUCAGCAAAAAAAUCCUUAUGCUAUAUUUCUUUUGGUAAAAUAUUUUCCCCAUAAACUUGGGGUUUUCUUGGCUUAAUUAAUUUCAAAAAUGCCUCACAUUGUGGAGGGUCAUUUUCCUCCGCUCUUUCUUGCUUGCAAGAAUUUUGUCGGGGCAUUUUCUCGGGGAGGAAAAAUAGAAAAGCAAAAGCAAGUAUUUGACAGAAAUAAAAUGCAAAACUUUAUUGCAAACAAAAUGCAUAGAUACUUAGCUACAUUUGUAGAACAUUCCCAAUUAGGAAAAUUGGGAUGUUACAGCGGCGGGCAAGGUUCUCGAGCCCGAGUGAAGGCAGUUGUUACAGAAUUUACGCCACGAGGCUCGACCGUAGGCUAUUCGAGACUACUACGCCACGCGUGGUAUUAAGAAGCAGAAGAAGGAGUGCCGUGGAAAGUAUCUGAAGAAGGAGCAGUACAUGAUGGUAAUUACCUAUUCUUAAGGCCUUGUACAUAGUUUUCUUGAUUUGAUUCAUAGGCAUAGCGCUCAAAAUUAUUUUUAAUAACUUAUAGGUGCCCCCGAGAUGGUGUGCGGAUAAGAUGGAUUGUUGGGGGGCGUUGGUGGAUGAGUGGUGUAGAGACAACUGGCGAGCCAUCCAUGACAAUGCGAAGGAUCAGCGUGGCCAAAUGGUUGGUGUGCCACACCAUCAAGGCAACGCCAACUUACUUCAAGUCGGAUGGAACUGAGUAUGUGGUUUUCUUCAUGAUUCAUGCAAUUCAUUUUCUUGUCAGCUUGAGCCCUUUACUAAUACUUUGUUCCUCUCUUUUAGGCGCAUCACAAUAAGACGGAGAUGACAGAGUUGUACGACCUUUAUGGCAUGGCCCAUACUAGCUCCUACAAGAAGGCCAACGCAUUCUUUGAGUCUGACCUGAAUGAUCCAAAGAACUUCACCAACAUCUCAUCCCACCAAAAGCUCGUGAAAUACAGGGAGGUGGGGAAGGCUUGGAAAGGGGAGGACUUUGACCUAAGCCAGGAACCUUUGGAUCCAGAGUUUGUGAUGAUAUGUAGUGGCGGGAGGCCCCAUGGCUCGAUAGCCAUUGGAGAUGGGACAAUACGUUGUCCACUCACUCUCCCGGAGAUCAAGGCACACUAGUCGAGCUCCUGUCCUGAGAUAACACCUCAUCCACGGCCAAUCGAUCUCGCCAUCGAGGUUUGUUGUACAUACUCAGAAAACUUUCAUCCAUUUCAUUGUGUGUGUGGACAUCGAUCAUUACUGUGGUAACGAGGAGUGGUGUUUCAUGCUGCUCUUCAGAAAGAGAGAGCGGCAAACUAGGUUGCUCUUGAGAAAGAGAGAGUGGCAAACCAGGCUGCUCUUCAGGCUGCUCUUGAGCAGAGGGACCGGAGCACACCUCGGUUGUUGGAGGAGGAGAGGGCACAGAAUGAGGCGGGUCACCUGGCCAGGUAUGAGCAUUUUGUGGUAAAUUUCUUUUUUCACAUUGGCCAAAUCAUGUGUAUAAUGUGUGUUUCAUUACUAACUAAUACGACCGACUCUUCAAAACCAAAUGUGCACUCUAUGUCUGAGAAUACCGGUCAAGCCCCUCAGCCGAUGCCCGUCUUUUCUGUGAUUGGCACGGUGAGUUUCAUUUCAAUGGUCAUUAUAAACUAGUAUUAACAUUUGAGUGUCAUCAUGCUAACGAGACAUUGCAAAAUAUCUUUUGUGCAAAAUAACUCCCGAGCGGCAUCGCACGACCCUUCUCCAGGGCAACCGUCUCCAAACGCAGCCGCCCCGAGCAACCCUAGUGAUUCUCCUCCUUGAUGACUAUGAUGGUAGGUUUUCUCUAGUUCAUUUAUAACAUAAUUAGGUAGUUUAGCUCCAAAAUGACAUAAUUAGCUAGUUUAGCUCCAAAAUGACAUAAUUAGCUCCAAAAUGACACAAUUAGCUAGUUUAGCUCCUCCUCCUCCCUCUUCUCCUCUUUCAUCUUUUCCUAGCUUAUUUUCCCCAACAAUGACAUAAUUAGCUAAUUUAGCUCCAAAAUGACAUAAUUAGCUAGUUUAGCUCCAAAAUGACAUAAUUAGCUAAUUUAUCUCCAAAAGACAUACUUAGCUAACUUAGCUCCAAAAUGACAUAAUUAUCUUAGUUAGGUAAAAAACAUCACAAGAACCUUGGUCAUCCUUUUCAUCUCCUUCUUCNNNNNNNNNNNNNNNNNNNNNNNNNNNNNNNNNNNNNNNNNNNNNNNNNNNNNNNNNNNNNNNNNNNNNNNNNNNNNNNNNNNNNNNNNNNNNNNNNNNNNNNNNNNNNNNNNNNNNNNNNNNNNNNNNNNNNNNNNNNNNNNNNNNNNNNNNNNNNNNNNNNNNNNNNNNNNNNNNNNNNNNNNNNNNNNNNNNNNNNNNNNNNNNNNNNNNNNNNNNNNNNNNNNNNNNNNNNNNNNNNNNNNNNNNNNNNNNNNNNNNNNNNNNNNNNNNNNNNNNNNNNNNNNNNNNNNNNNNNNNNNNNNNNNNNNNNNNNNNNNNNNNNNNNNNNNNNNNNNNNNNNNNNNNNNNNNNNNNNNNNNNNNNNNNNNNNNNNNNNNNNNNNNNNNNNNNNNNNNNCCAAAAUGACAUAAUUAGCUAGUUUAUCUCCAAAAAGACAUACUUAGAUAAUUUAGCUCCAAAAUGACAUAAAUAGCUAAUUUAGCUCCAAAAAGACAUACUUAGAUAAUUUAGCUCCAAGAAGAGGAGAAGAGGAGAAUAAAGAGUCCUUCUUCUUGUUAUUCUUUUUCUUCUACUUCUUCUUCUCUUCUUUCUAUUUCUCUUUCUUCUUAUACUUAGCUUAUUUUCGCCAACAAAGACAUACUUAGCUAAUUAUCCUCCAAAAUGACAUAAUUAGCUAGUUUAGCGCCAAAAUGACAUAAUUAGCCGACUUAGGUAAAAAAUAUCACAAGGACCUUGGUUAGCUCAUAACUUAGCGUAUCUUCCUCCUAAAUGACAUAAUAAGCUCAAAAUGGCAUAAGAACCUUGGUUAGAUCAAGAAUAUUAUAUGCUUUGCUUGUUUUCCACUAAAAUGACAUAAUUAGCUUAGUUACGUCAAAAAUGGCAUAAGAACCUUUGUUACCUCAUAAAUGUCAGAUAGUUAGCUUAUUUUCAUCCAAACUGACAUAAUUAGCUUAGUUAGGUCAAAAAUGGCCUAAUAACCUUGGUUAGCUCAUAAAGGUCAUAUACUUAGCUUAUUUUCCUCCAUAAUGACAUAAUAAGCUCAAAAAUGUCAUAUACAAUUCNUGUAACGCACGUUAUAUGUUGGGAUACGCGCAUGUGUGUGUGCAUGUGAGAGAGAGAACCUUAUCUAUAAGAAAGUGCGAAUCUCGAUGCAAAUAAACGGUUCAGAUAGCAACCACCCCAGCUCAUGUUGAUAGCAAAUCCAUGCCCUAUAUAUUUAUUUAUUUAUUUAUAUAGGAACUCUACUCAUCACCCAGGGUGCAGAAUAAAUUAUUCCUCACCCGAGGUAAUUUUACGAUCAUUUCAUAAAUAAAUUACAUUUGAAAUGUAAAUAGUUACAUUUAUAUUGAUUCUCUACAUAAAAUUUCAUAUAAGAAAACAAAAAUAUAGGUCAUAAGACCAGAAAAACCUCAUUUAUGUACAAUUUUCAGUGUGUUUUAUGUUUGUAAUAUUAUGUGACAUAUUUUGUUUACGGUGACUAUGUAUUUUCUUACGGUCUCUUUUUACGUAUGAGAUAAGAUUAAAAUUUACGAAACGUAAAAUUACGGUGUAUUGAUGUGAAAAUAGAGGGGGUGAAUUAUAACUAUUCCUCACCCAGGGUGACGAAUGGCGCGACCCUUUAUACAUAUAUAUGUGUUGUGAAAUAACAUAAAACAUACAAAACAGUGAGUAUAUGAGCUCUUUUCCGUCAGCCAGCUGAUCGCCAAGGCCUUUGCCAUCAGGUAGCGGACGGCAAAGAGGCCACGCGGCAGCUAGCUGUGCAAACUGGGGCAACAGGCAGCUGGCCCAUAUGGUUACUUUGCCGUCUGCUACCCUGGAAAGCAGACGACAAAGAGCUUGAGAGAGGCAAACGACAAAGAGUCUGAGAGAGGCAGAUGGCAAAGAAUUGCAAACAUUGAGAUGACAAGGAGCAUAAGAGAGGCAGACAUCAAAGAGCGUGAGAGAGGCGGACGACAAAGAGCCGGAGAGAGGUAGACGACAAAGAGCGUGAGAGAGGCAGACAACAAAUACUCUGUUAGCCACCUAACGGAGGAGUUGGCUGUCGGCUGCUGUCUUCUUCCUCCUAUGGCGGACGGCAAAGGCCUUUGUCGUCUGCUUAGUGCAGGCACACGACAAAGAAGGCACUUUGCCGCCGAAAGCUGUCAUAGAAAUUUUGCCGAUAGGAGGUUGAUGGCAAGUACCUUUGACGUCCGUGUAACACCCCUUUGCCGUCUGCUAUGGCAGAUGGCAAAGAGUCUGAUUCCUGUACUGUUUAGGACAUACUUAUGGCAAGGCUGACACCAGGUCUUAUGCACAACAUUGCAUACAUGAUAGAGCCUAUAGCUGAGGCUUAGGGGAUGACCCUUGAUACGUCCAUUUUGUAUCAUGCUUUCAUGUUGAUAUUUAUUGCUUUAUGGGCUGUUAUAUUACUUUGUGGUACCAUAUUUAUGCCUUUUCUCUCUUAUUUUGCAAGGUUUAUUUGAAGAGGGAGAAUUUAGGCAGCUGGAAUUCUGGACUGGAAAAGGAGCAAAUCUUAGUCCUCUAUUCUGCACAUCUCCAAAUGCCCUGAAAAUUUACGUGGAAUUUUUUGGGAUUAUAUAAAAAAUACUGGGCGAAAGAAGUACCGGAGGGGAGCUACCAAGGCGCCACAAGCCCUGCCACCGCCACCCCUUGGUGGCGGCUAGCAAGCUUGUGGGCACCCUGACGGCCCACUGGCCCCCUCUUUUGCUAUAUAAAGGGUUUCAUUCCAGAAAAAUCAAUCGGGAGCUUUUUCGUGGUUUCGCCGCCGCCACGAGGCGGAACUUGAGCAGAUCCAAUCUAGAGCUCCGGCAAGACGAUCCUGCCGGGGAAACUUCUCUCCGGAGGAGGAAAUCAUCGCCAUCGUCAUCACCAACACUCCUCUCAUCGGAGGGGAGGCAUAUUCAUCAACAUCUUCAUCAGCACCAUCUCCUUUCCAAUCCCUAGUUCAUCUCUUGUAACCAAUCUCCAUCUCACGACUCCGAUUGGUACUUGUAAGGUUACUAGUAGUGUUGAUUACUCUUUGUAGUUGAUGCUAGUUGGAUUACUUGGUGGAAGACUUUAUGUUCAGAUCCUUGAUGCUAUUCAUUACACCUCUAAUUAUGAUUAUGAUUAUGCCUUGUGAGUAGUUACUUUUGUUCCUGAGGACAUGGGAUAAGUCAUGCUGAUAAUAGUCAUGUGAAUUUGAUAUUCGUUCGGUAUUUUGAUAUGAUGUAUGUUGUUUUUCCUCCAGUGGUGUUAUGUGAACGUCGACUACAUAACACUUCACCAUAUUUGGGCCUAGAGGAAGGCAUUGGGGAGUAGUAAGUAGAUGAUGGGUUGCUGGAGUGACAGAAGCUUAAACCCUAGUCUAUGCGUUGCUUCGUAAGGGGCUGAUUUGGAUCCACUAGUUUAAUGCUAUGGUUAGACGUUGUCUUAAUUCUUCUUUCAUAGUUGCGGAUGCUUGCGAGAGGGGUUAAUCAUAAGUGGGAUGCUUGGCCAAGUAAGGGCAGUACCCAAGCGCCAGUCCACCCACAUAUCAAACUAUCAAAGUAACGAACGUGAAUCAUUUGAGCAUGAUGAAACUAGCAUGACAGAAAUCCCCGUGUGUCCUCGGGAGCGCUUUUCCCCCUAUAAGACUUUGUUCAGGCUUGUCCCUUGCUACAAAAGGGAUUGGGCCACUAGCUGCACCAUUUCUACUACUUGUUACUUGUUACUUCUCGCUUUCUACGUUUCACCUCGCUACACAAUCACUUGUUACCGCUACUUUCAGUGCUUGCAGUUAUUACCUUGCUGAAAACCGUUUAUCAAAGCCUUCUGCUCCUCGUUGGGUUCGACACUCUUACUUAUUGAAAGGACUACGAUUGAUCCCCUAUACUUGUGGGUCAUAAAGACUCUUUUCUGGCGUCGUUGCCGGGGAGUGAAGCUCCUUUGGUAAGUGGAAAUUGGUAAGGAAACAUUUAUAUACUGUGCUGAAAUUUAUUGUCACUUGUCACUAUGGAAACUGUUCCUUUGAGGACUUUGUUCGGGGUAUCUUCACCACGAACGGAAGCACGACGAGUUGUUCCUCAACCUGAGGUACCUACUGAAAAUAUCUUUUAUGAAAUUCCUUCGGGUAUGCUUGAGAAACUGCUCGCUAAUCCUUUUACAGGAGAUGGAUCUUCACAUCCAGACUUGCAUCUGAUCUAUGUAGAUGAAGUUUGUGGUUUAUUUAAGCUUGCAGGUUUGCCCGAGGAUGAGGUAAAGAAGAAAGUCUUUCCUUUAUCUUUGAAGGAUAAGGCGUUGACAUGGUAUAGGCUAUGUGAUGAUACUGGAUCAUGGGACUACAAUCGGUUGAAAUUGGAAUUUCAUUGAAAGUUUUAUCCUAUGCAUUUAGUACAUCGUGAUCGGAACUUUAUUUAUAACUUUUGGACUCGUGACAGGGAAAGCAUAGUUCAAGCUUGGGGGAGGCUUAAAUCAAUGUUAUAUUCAUGCCCCAAUCAUGAGCUCUCGAGAGAAAUUAUCACUCAAAACUUUUAUGCCCGGCUUUCUCAUGAAGAUCAUACCAUGCUUGACACUUCUUGUACCGGUUCUUUUAUGAAGAAGCAUAUUGAUCACAAGUGGAAUUUAUUGGAAAGAAUCAAACGUAACUCUCAAGAUUGGGAGCUGGAGGAAGGUAAGGAGUCAGGUAUGAAUUUCCAGUUUGAUUAUGUUAAAUCUGUUGUUGAGGCAAACACUUCUAGAGAUUUUGGGGCUAAGUAUGGACUUGACUCUGAGAUAGUAGCUUCUCUAUGUGAAUCUUUUGCUGCUCAUGUUGAUCUUCCCAAAGGGAAGUGGUUUAAGUAUCAUCCUCCUGUAGAAAGCAAGAUAGCCAAAACCAAUCUAGUUGAGGAGAAAGUCAUUGCUUUUAGUGAUCAUGUUGUUCCUUGUGCUUACACUGAGAAACCACCAUACCCUGAUAGGAUAAAGGAUUAUUCUAAAGCUCCCACUGUGAUACGUAGGGGUUACAUUAGACCACUUGCACCCCCUGAGGAGAUUAGAGUUCAACCUAGUGUUGCUAUUAUCAAAGAUCUCUUAGCCGAAGACAUAGAUGGGCAUAUUACCAAAUUCUGUGAGGACUCAGCUAGAAUUUCUAAACCUCACGCGAAAGACAAAUAUGGACCUGUAGUUGGCCUGCCCGUUGUUUCUGUCAAGGUAGGAGAUCACUGUUACCAUGGUUUAUGUGAUAUGGGAGCUAGUGUCAGUGCAAUACCCCGUUCUCUAUAUGAUGAAAUCAAAGAUGAGAUUGCACCUACUGAGUUAGAACCCAUUGAUGUCACUAUUACGCUAGCUAAUAGAGACACUAUCUUCCCUCUGGGAAUCGUGAGAGACGUAGAAGUCUUGUGUGGUAAGACGAAGUAUCCUACUGAUUUCCUCGUCCUUGGUACUGCACAAGAUAGCUUUUGUCCCAUCAUAUCCGGUAGACCCUUUCUCAACACUGUCAAUGCUCACAUUGAUUGCAUUAAGCAGACCGUCACUGUUAGUUUCUAGGGUGUGUCUCAUGAAUUUAACUUCUCCAAGUUUGGAAGACAACCCCAUGAAAAAGAGUCGUGUGGUAGGGAUGAAAUCAUUGCUCUUGCCUCUAUUGCCAUACCUCCUACGGAUCCUUUAGAGCAAUAUCUACUUGAGCAUGAAAAUGAUAUGCAUAUGGAGGAAACAGAUGAGAUAGAUACAAUUGUCUUAGAACAAUAUCCUAUUCUCAAGAAUAAUCUGCAUGUUGAACUGCUUGGGGAUCCUCCCCCACCAAAGGGUGAUCCUGUGUUCGAGCUUAAACAGUUGCCUCAUACUCUUAAGUAUGCCUAUCUUGAUGAGAGGGAGAUAUAUCCUGUUAUUAUUAGUGCUCUUCUCUCAGAGCAAGAAAAGAAGAAGUUAUUAAAAACUCUGAGGAAGCACCGUGUUGCUAUUGGAUAUACUCUUGAUGAUCUUAAGGGUAUUAGUCCCACUCUAUGUCAGCACAAGAUUAAAAUCAAUCCUGACUUUAAACCAGUUGCUGAUCAUCAAAGGAGAUUAAAUCCUAAGAUGAAAGUGGUCGUUUGAAAAGAAAUAUUAAAGCUUCUGGAAGCAGGAAUCAUUUAUCAUGUUGCUCAUAGUGAUUGGGUGAUUCCAGUACAUUGCGUACCUAAGAAGGGAGGUAUCACCAUCGUUCCUAAUGAUAAGGAUGAACUAAUCCCACAAAGGAUUAUUACUGGCUAUAUGACGGUGAUAGACUUCCGGAAGCUGAACAAGGCAACCAGGAAAGAUCAUUAUCCUUUGCCGUUUAUCGACCAAAUUCUAGAAAGGCUAUCCAAACACACACACUUCUGCUUUCUAGACGGUUAUUCAGGUUUCUCGCAAAUACCUGUUGCACAAUCUCAUCAGGAGAAAACCACUUUCACCUGCCCCUUCGAUACCUUUGCUUAUAGACGUAUGUCUUUUGGCUUAUGCAAUGCACGUGCCACCUUUCAAAGAAGUAUGAUGGCAAUAUUCUCUGACUUUUGUGAAAAGAUUGUCGAGGUUUUCAUGGAUGACUUCUCCGUUUACGGGUCUUCCUUUGAUGAUUGCCUCAGCAACCUUGAUCGAGUCUUAUAGAGAUGCGAAGAUACCAACCUCGUCUUGAAUUGGGAGAAGUGCCACUUUAUGGUUAAUACAGGUAUCGUCUUAGGACACAAAAUUUUUGAGAGAGGCAUUGAAGUUGAUAAGGCUAAGGUUGAUGCAAUUGAUAAAAUGCCUUGCCCCACAGAUAUCAGAGGUAUACGAAGUUUCCUAUGUCAUGCUGGUUUCUAUAGAAGGUUCAUUAAAGACUUCUCUAAGAUUUCUAGGCCUCUUACCAACCUCUUGCAGAAGGAUGUUCCUUUUAUUUUUGAUGAGGAUUGUGAGGAAGCUUUCGAAAUACUUAAGAAGGCUUUGAUAACCACACCUAUUGUCUUGCCCUUUGAAAUCAUGUGCGACGCUAGUGAUUAUGCUGUUGGUGCUGUUCUAGGACAAAGAGUUGACAAGAAGUUGAAUGUUAUUCACUACGCUAGUAAAACUCUAGACAGUGCCCAACGAAACUAUGCCACUACGGAAAAGGAGUUUUUAGCAUUCGUGUGUGCAUGUGAAAAGUUCACUCCAAAGUCACUAUUCACUCUGAUCAUGCUGCUAUUAAGUACCUUAUGGAGAAGAAGGACGCUAAGCCUAGGCUGAUCAGACGGGUUCUCCUGCUACAGGAAUUUGAUUUGCAUGUCGUUGACCGAAAGGAUGCUGAUAACCCUGUAGCAGAUAACUUGCCUAGGCUAGAGAAUGUCCUUGAUGACCCACUACCUAUUGAUGACAGCUUUCCCGAUGAGCAAUUAAAUGUCAUCCGCACUUCACAUAGUGCACCGUGGUAUGCCGAUUACGCAAAAUGUAUUGUAACCAAAUACAUACCACCUAGUUUCACCUAUCAGCAAAAGAAGAAAUUCUUCUUUGAUUUGAGACACUACUUUUGGGAUGAUCCUCACCAUUAUAAGGAAGGAGUAGAUGGUGUUAUUAGACGUUGUGUGCCUGAACAUGAACAGGGACAGAUCUUGCAGAAGUGUCAUUCCGAAGCCUACGGAGGACACCACGCUGGAGAUAGAACUGCCCGUAAGGUAUUGCAAUCAGGUUUCUAUUGGCCCACUCUCUUCAAGGAUGCCCGUACGUUUGUCUUGUCUUGUGACGAAUACCAAAGAAUAGGGAAUAUCAGUAAGCGUCAGGAAAUGCCUAUGAACUAUUCACUUGUCAUUGAACCAUUUGAUGUCUGGGGCUUUGAUUAUAUGGGACCCUUCCCGAGAUCCAAUGGGUACACUCACAUCUUAGUUGCUCUCGAUUAUGUCACCAAGUGGGUAGAGGCUAUUCCCACUAAAAAUGUUGAUCACCACACCUCUAUUAAGAAGCUUAAAGAAGUCAUUUCCCCAAGAUUUGGAGUCCCUAGAUAUUUGAUGACUGAUGGCGGUUCACACUUCAUUCAUGGUGUUUUCCGCAAGAUGCUCGCUAAGUAUGAUUUCAACCAUAGAGUUGCAUCUCCUUAUCAUCCUCAGUCUGGUGGUCAAGUGGAGUUGAGUAAUAGGGAGAUCAAAUUGAUCCUACAAAAGACCGUCAAUAGAUCUUGAAAGAAUUGGUCUAGCAAACUUGACGAUGCACUAUGGGCUUAUAGGACUGCCUAUAAGAAUCCCAUGGGCAUGUCGCCGUAUAAAAUGGUUUACGGUAAGGCCUGUCAUUUACCUCUUGGGCUGGAACACAAAGCUUAUUGGGCAAUCAAAGAGCUCAACUUUGAUUUCAAACUUGCCGGUGAGAAGCGGUUGUUUGAUAUCAGCUCGUUAGAUGAAUGGAGGGCCCAGGCAUAUGAGACUGCCAAGUUGUUCAAGGAAAAGGUUAAGAGAUGGCACGACAAACGAAUACAGAAACAAGAGUUCAAUGUAGGUGAUUAUGUCCUGCUAUACAAUUCUCGUUUGAGAUUCUUUGCAGGCAAGCUUCUCUCUAAAUGGGAAGGUCCUUACGUUAUCAAGGAAGUAUAUCGUUCCGGUGCCAUCAAAAUCAAUAACACGGAAGGAAAUUUUCCUAGAGUGGUAAAUGGGCAAAGAAUCAAGCAUUAUCUCUGGUACUCCCAUAAAUGUUGAGACCAAUAUCAUCAACGUCAUAACUCCACAGGAGUACGUAAGGGAUGUUUAUGAGCCUGUUUCAGACCCUGAAAACGAAGAGGUAUCUGUUUCGGUAAGAAAUUGGACUCCGAUGCUUUUCCAAUAGGAAAUUUCCUCCGUUUUGGAAUUUUUGGAAAAUUAGAAAAAUAAAAAGCAGUCCGGAGAGCGCACGAGGCGGCCACAAGCUUGGAAGCCGCCACCUACCCCCUGGUGGCGGAUGGAGGGCUUGUGGGCACCUCGUGUGCCUCCCGGACUCCGUUUUCUUGCGGAACACUCCUUCUGGUCCAGAAGAACUCAAUAUAUAUUCGCCCGAAGGUUUUGAUAUCUGUAUCGUGCAAUUUUCCUCUGUUUUCGUUUCGAGCUUGUUGUCUGCCGCAGAUUUAGAGCAAAGAUGUCUCAGGAAUCUGUUGGGGAGAAUGAUCUUAACCAUGUUCAUGAAGAACUAGAUGCUGAUCUAAAAAGAGUAGAAGUCACGGAAGCCAGGGACCAAGCUAAGGAGAAAACCCAAGCUAGGGAGGAAGUUCAACCUAUGUUCAACAUUGAAGACGUUGAAGGAGUAGAGUUUCUCUAACCCUUCCUCCACGUGUUGUCUCCAUCAUUUAUUGAACUCUUAAGGUUUUGCAAAACAACUCAUGCUCGCAAUAUUUCCCUUUCUCACGAAGUUGUUUUGCUGGAAAACCAUGUCACAGAUAUCAAAGGUAUAAAUCAAAGAUUGAUAGCUCUCUUGGAAUCAAAGGCAACAACUCCACCACCUUCACCACCAAAGGAAGACAACUAAGCAUUGGUAUGGGCAAUCCCGUUGGCUUCUGCCAAGCUUAGGGUAGUUGCCCUGGUAUCGUAUCACCUUUAUAUCUUUUGCUUUUACCUUUGUUUUAGUUCUUUCCUUUUCAGUUUUUAUUUCUUCUCUUAGAGGAAUAAGUCUUUAGUGUUUAGUUUGAGUCUUCUGCUUUUGUUUCUCCCCCGAUGUAUUCGAGCUUACGAGUUAUAUAAUAAAUUGUAUCUUAGUCAAGGGCUUUGCUUUAUGCCAUGAUCAAAAGUAUGAAAAGAACGAUAGCAUGAAAGAUCAUGAGACGAUCUUAUGGAAAGUGAUAACUUCAAACAUGACACGUAUGAUGAUUGAAACUUGUUGAGAAUAAGUCAACAUAGACCUCAGUCAUCGUUGCAAUUAAUAAGAAGUAAUAAGGAAAGAGAGGUUCACAUAUAAAUAUAUUAUCUUAGACACUUUUUACAAUUGUGAGCACUCACCAAACUAUUACAUGCUUAGGAGUAGAUGUUGGACAACGAAGACAACAUAAUGAAUUGUGUUUGCUUGGUUCCAAACAAUGUUAUAUGAUUAGAGAUCCCUUAGCAUGUGACGAUUGCUUCCACCUCAUAUUAGCCAAAACUCCCGCACCAAGUAGAAAUACUACUUGUGCAUCCAUAUACCUUCAUCCCAGUUUUGCCAUGAGAGUCCACCAUACCUACCUAUGGAUUGAAUAAGAUCCUUCAAGUAAGUUGUCAUCGGUGCAAGCAAUAAAAAUUGCUGUCUAAUAUGUAUGAUCUAUUAGUGUGUGGAAAAUAAGCUUUGUACGAACCUGUGAUGAGGAAGACAUAAAAGCAACAGACUGCAUAAUAAAGUUCUUUAUCACAGGAGGCAAUAUAAAGUGACGUUCCUCCGCACUAAGAGGACAUGCAUUAAAACCUCAAAAGCGCAUGACAACCUGUGCUUCCCUCUGCGAAGGGCCUAUCUUGUACCUUUACUUUCUGCCCUUGUAACAGUCAUGGUGAUCUUCACCAAUUCCCUAUUUUUGCCUUUGUCUUGGCUACCGUCACAUGCUUGGGAAAGAUCUAUAUUCAUAUAUCAACUUGGAGUUGAGUAGUUAUGCUUUAUUGUUGUUGACUUUACCCUUGACGUAAAUAGUUAGGAGGCAAAACUAUAAGCCCCUAUCUUCCUCUGUGUCCAGCUGAAACUUUGACACCAUGAGUACCACGUGAGUUGUAACAAUUGUGGAAAACAAAAGAGAUGAUUGAGUAUGUGGGUUUGCGUUAAAAGCUCUUAUUUGACUCUUUUUGAUGUUAUGAUAAAUUGCAAUUGCUUCAAUGACCGUGGACUGUUGUUGGUUACUUCUCGGUAAGGUUUUUGCUUCAUUUUUUGCUUUGUGAAGGAAUUGUUACUUUCCCAUAAGAAUCUUUAUGAUGUAUUGCUGUUCUAUGUGUGAUCAUGAUGCCCUCAUGUCCGUAUUAUGUUUUAUCAACACCUUCGUCCCUAAACAUGUGGACAUGUUUAUGGAACUUGGUUUUCGCUUGAGGACAAGCGAGGUCUAAGCUUGGGGGAGUUGAUACGUCCAUUUUGCAUCAUGCUUUCAUGUUGAUAUUUAUUUCUUUAUGGGCUGUUAUAUUACUUUGUGGUACAAUAUUUAUGCCUUUUCUCUCUUAUUUUGCAAGGUUUAUUUGAAGAGGGAGAAUUCAGGCAGUUGGAAUUCUGGACUGGAAAAGGAGCAAAUCUUAGUCCACUAUUCUGCACAUCUCCAAAUGCUCUGAAAAUUUACGUGGAAUUUUUUGGGAUUAUAUAAAAAAUAAUGGGCGAAAGAAGUACCGGAGGGGAGCUACCAGGGUGCCACAAGCCGUGCCACCGCCACCCCCUAGUGGCGGCUAGCAAGCUUGUGGGCUCCCUGACGGCCCACUGGCCCCCUCUUUUGUUGGGUUUCGUUCCAGAAAAAAUCAACCGGGAGCUUUUUCGUCGUUUCACCGCCUCCACGAGGCGGAACUUGAGUAGAUCCAAUCUAGAGCUCCGGCAGGACGAUCCUGCCGGGGAAACUUCCCUCCCGGAGGGGGAAAUCGUCGCCAUCGUCAUCACCAACACUCCACUCGUCGGAGGGGAGGCAUCUUCAUCAACAUCUUCAUCAGCACCAUCUCCUCUCCAAUCCCUAGUUCAUCUCUUGUAACAAAUCUCCGUCUCAUGACUCCGAUUGGUACUUGUAAGGUUACUACUAGUGUUGAUUAUACUUUGUAGUUGAUGCUAGUUGGAUUACUUGGUGGAAGAGUUUAUGUUCAGAUCAUUGAUGCUAUUCAUUACACCUCUGAUCAUGAUUACGAUUAUGAUUUGUGAGUAGUUACUUUUGUUCCUGAGGACAUGGGAUAAGUUAUGCUGAUAAUAGUCAUGUGAAUUUGAUAUUCGUUCGGUAUUUUGAUAUGUUGUAUGUUGUUUUUCCUCUACUGGUGUUAUGUGAACGUCGACUACAUGACACUUCACCAUAUUUGGGCCUAGAGGAAGGCAUUGGGGAGUAGUAAGUAGAUGAUGGGUUGCUAGAGUGACAGAACCUUAAACCCCAGUCUAUGCGUUGCUUCGUAAGGGGCUGAUUUGGAUCCACUAGUUUAAUGCUAUGUUAGACGUUGUCUUAAUUCUUCUUUCGUAGUUGCGGAUGCUUGCAAGAGGGGUUAAUCAUAAGUGGGAUGCUUGUCCAAGUAAGGGCAGUACCCAAGCACCGGUCCACCCACAUAUCAAACUAUCAAAGUAACGAACGCGAAUCAUAUGAACAUGAUGAAACUAGCAUGACAGAAAUUCCCGUGUGUCCUCGGGAGCGCUUUUCCUCCUAUAAGACUUUGUUCAGGCUUGUCCCUUGCUACAAAAGGGAUUGGGCCACUUGUUGCACCAUUGCUACUACUUGUUACUUGUUACUUUUCGCUUGCUACGUUUCACCUUGCUACACAAUCACUUGUUACCGCUACUUUCACUGCUUGCAGUUAUUACCUUGCUGAAAACCGUUUAUUAGAGCCUUCUGCUCCUCGUUGGGCUCGACACUCUUACUUAUCGAAAGGACUACGAUUGAUCCCAUAUACUUGUGGGUCAUGAACCCUCAUCUUUUCUCCAUCCUCUGUAGUCGCUGGGCAUUGAGUCUUACUCAACUUCACACCUUGUAAGACAUGCAAGAACCCUUUCUUGGACUGAUCCAUUUUGAAAUUCUUCAAAACCUUGUCAAGGUAUGUGCUUUGUGAAAUUCCUAUUAAGCGUCUUGAUCUAUCUCUAUAGAUCUUGAUGCCUAAUAUGUAAGCAGCUUCUCCGAGGUCUUUCACUCAAAAACUCUUGUUCAAAUAUAUCUUCACGCUUUCCAAAAGUUCUAUAUUGUUUCCAAUCAGCAAUAUGUCAUCCACAUAUAAUGUUAGAAACGCUAUAGAUCUCCCACUCAUUUUCUUGUAAAUACAAGCUUCUCCAUAAACUUGUAUGAACCCAAACGUUUUGUUCACCUCACCAAAGUGAAGAUUCCAACUCUGAGAUGCCUCCACCAGUCCAUACAUGGAUCGCUGGAACUUGCAUACUUUUUCAGCAUUUUCAGGAUCGACAAAACCUUCUGAUUGCAUCAUAUACAACUCUUCCUUAAGGAAACCAUCGAGGAAUGCUGUUUUUAUAUCCAUAAGCAAGAUUUCAUAAUCAAAAAAUACAGUUAUUGCUAACAUCAUCCUGAUAGACUUAAGCAUCGCUACAGGAGAGAAAGUCUCAUCAUAGUCAACUCCUUGAACUUGUGAAAAACCUUCUACAACAAGUCGAGCUUUAUAGACGGUGACACUACCCUCCAUGUCCGUCUUCUUCUUAAAUAUCGAUUUAUUAUGUAUGGCCUUAUGAUCAUUUGGUAUAUCCUCCAAAGUUCACAGUUUAUUGUCAUACAUGGAUCCUAUCUUUGAUUUCAUGGCCACUAUCCAUUUGUUGAAACCCGGGUCCAUCAUCGCUUCUUCAUAGUUCGUAGGUUCAUUGUUGUCUAACAACAUGACCUCCAGGACAGGAUUGCCAUACCACUCAGGGGCGGUACGAGUCCUUGUCGACCUACGAGGCUUGGUAGUAACAUGAUCUGAAGUUUCAUGAUCAUCAUCAUUAGCUUCCUAUUCAGUUGGUGUAGGACCCCAAGAAACAUCUUACUGCUCGUGCUACUCUCCAAUUGAAGUGACGAUUCAACAACCCUACCAAGUUCUACCUUCCUCCCACUCAAUUCUUUUGAGAGAAACUCGUUCUCUAGAAAGGACUCGUUCUUGGAAACAAAUACCUUGCCUUCGGAUCUGAGAUAGAAGGUGUACCCAACUAUUUCCUUACGGUAUCCUAUGAAGACACAUUUGUCCGCUUUGGGUUCGAGCUUAUCAGGUUGUAGCCUCUUCACAUAAGCGAAGCAGCCCAAAACUUUAAGAAACGACAACUUAGGUUUCUUGCCAAACCAUAAUUCAUACUGUGUCGUCUCGACGGACUUUCAUGGUGCCCUAUUUAAAGUGAAUGCGGCUGUCUCUAAUGCAUAACCCCAAAAUGAUAGUGGCUGAACAGUGAGAGUCAUCAUAGAUCGCACCAUAUCCAAUCGACUAUGAUUAUGAUGCUCGGAGACACCAUUAAGUUGUGGUGUUCCAGGUGGUGUGAGUUAUGAAACUAUUCCACACUCUCUCAAAUGCAUGCCAAACUGAUAACUCAUAUAUUCACCACCACAAUCAGAUCAUAGAAACUUUAUCUUCUUGUUACGAUGAUUCUUUACUUCACUCUGAAAUAACUUGACCUUCUAAAAUGUUUCUAAUUUGUGUUUCAUUAAGUAAAUAUACGAAUAUCUACUCAAAUCAUCAAUGAAGUUUAUUAAAUAAAGAUAUCCACCGCACGCCUCAACACUCAUUGGACCACACACAUCAGUAUGCAUGAUUUCCAAGAAGUCACUUGCCCGCUCCAUCGUACCGUAGAACGGGGUAUUCGUCAUCUUGCCCAUGAGGCACGGUUCACAUGUAUCAAGCAGUUCAAAACUGAGCGAUUCCAAAAUUCCAUCAACAUGGAGCUUCCUCAUGCAUUUUACACCAAUACGACCUAAGCGGCAGAGCCACAAGAAAGUGGUACUAUCAUUAUUAACUUUGCCUCUUUUGGCAUCAAAGUUUUGAAUGUGUGUAUCACUACUCUCGAGAUUCAACAAGAAUAAACCAUUCACAUUGGGUGCAUGACCAUAAUAGAUAUUACUCAUAUAAUAGAACAUCUAUUAUUCUCUGAUUUAAAUGAGUAACCAUCUCGCAAUAAACAAGAUCCACAUAUAAUGAACAAUUAUUUAGGUUUAAAACUAAUCCCGAUGGUAACUGAAGAGCGAGCGUACCGACAACGAUCACAUCAACCUUGGAACCAUUUCUAACGUGCAUCAUCACUUUGUCCUUUGCCAGCCUCCAUUUAUCCCGUAGUUCCUGCUUUGAGUUACAAAUAUGAGCAACCGAACCGGUACCAAAUACCCAGGCACUACUAUGAGAUCUACGAAGGUACACAUCAAUAAAAUAUAUAUCAAAUAUACCUUUGUUGACGUUGCCAGCCUUCUUAUCAGCUAGGUACUUGGGGCAAUUCCACUUCCAGUUGCCAGCCCCCUUGCAGUAGAAGUACAGAGUCUCAAUCUUGGGUCCAGACUUGGCUUCCUUCAUGCGAGCGGCAACUUGCUUGCCACCCUUCUUGAAGUUUCCCUUCUUUCCUUUGCCUUUCUCAAAACUAGUGGAUUUAUUCACCAUCAACACUUGAUGCUCCUUUUUUAUUUCUAAUUCCGCGACUUUCAGCAUCCUGAAUAGCUCGAAGAUAGACUUGUCCAUCCCUUGCAUAUUAUAGUUCAUCAUGAAGCCUUUGUAGCUAGGUGGCAGUGAGUGGAGAACACUAUGAGUGAACGUCUCAGGCGGAAACUCAACUCCUAGCUGAUUCAAGUGGUUGUAGUACCCAGACAUUCCGAGUAUGUGCUCACUGACAGAACUAUUCUCCUCCAUCUUGCAGGUGAAGAACUUAUCACACGUCUCAUACCUCUCGAUCCAGGAAUUUGCUUGAAAUACUAACUUCAACUCCUAGAACAUCUCAUAUGCUCCAUGGCGUUCAAAACACUUUUGAUCUCCCGAUUCUAGGCCGUACAACAUGGCACACUGAACUAUUGAGUAGUCAUCAGCACGCGCCUGACAGAUGUUCACAACAUCUACAUACGAUACUAGAGGGGGCGACCCACCAAGCGGUGCAUCAACGACAUAAGACUUUUGUGAAGCCGUGAGGAUAAUCCUCAGAUUACGGACCCAGUACGCAUAGUUACUUCCAUCAAUUUCAACUUAGCUUUCUCUAUGAACGAAUUAAAAUUCAAGGGAGCUACUGCGUGAGCCAUUGAUCUACAAAAUAAUUUGUCAAAGACAGUUAGACUAUGUUCAUGAUAAUGAAUUAAAUUAAUCAUAUUACAAAAGAACUCCCACUCAAAUCAACAUCCCUCAGGUUCUCUAACUGUGACAUGAUCCAAAUCCACCAAUCCAAGUCCGAUCUUUACGUGACAUGAGGUGGUUUCAAUGGUGAGCAUCUCCAUGUUGAUCAUAUCUACUAUAUGACUCAUGUUUGACCUUUCGGUCUCGUCUGUUCCGAGGCCAUGUUUGUACAUGCUAGGCUCAUCAACGUUAACCCAAGUAUUCCAUGUGUGUAAAUAUGGCUUACACCUGUUGUAUGCGAACGUAGAGUCUAUCACACCCUAUCAUCAAGAGGUGCUUCGAAACGAUGAUCCGUCACAAUGGUCCAGACUUGGGGAGAACACAAUUUUAUCUUCAAAUUUUAGUGAGGGAUCAUCUUAUAAUGCUACUGCCGUCCUACGCAAAAUAAGAUGCAUAAAACGAUAAACAUUACAUGCAAUUCAUAUAAGUCAUAUAAUAUGGCCAUCAUAAUCUAAUGCUUUGGAUCUCCAUCUCCAAAGCACCAUCUUGAUCUCCAUCAUCACCGGCAUGACACCACGACCUUCGUCAUUAUGAUCUCCAUCAUCGUGACUUCACGUGGUUUUGACACCGACUAUUGCUUCUACAACUAUUACAAACUCAUAGCGAUAAAGUAAAUAAAAUGGUACAAAUAAAUUAAAUACAACCCUAUGGAUCCUCCCGGUUGUCGUACUGAUCGACAUGCAAGUCGUGAUAACUAUUACAAAGCAUGAUCAACUCAUACAUCUUAUAUAUAUAUGUCGAAUCACGUCUUGGCCGUAUCACAUCACAACAUGCCCUGCAAAAACAAGUUAGGCGUCUUCUACUUUGUUGUUGCAAGUUUUACGUGGACGCUAUGGGCAACUAGUAAGAACCGUUUUUUACCUACGCAAAGCCACAACGGUGAUAACCAAGUUGCCUUUUAACCUUCUACAAGGAUCACCUCUAUCAAAUCUGAUUCAACUAAAGUGCGAGAGAUAAACACGCGCGAGCCACCUCUAUGCAACUGAGUUACAUGUCAGUCAGUGGAACCAGUCUCCUGUACGUGGACAAGUAAGGUUGGUCCCGGGCCGCUUCAUCCCACGAUACAACUGAAUCACAAUAAGACUAAGUAGGUAAGAAAUGUGAACAUCAACACCCACAAAAUCUUUAUGUUCUACUCGUGCAUAUCAUCUACGCAUAGACCUAGUUCACGUUGCCACUGUUGGGGAACGUUGUUGGGUAACAUUGCAUGGGAAACACAAAUUUUCCUACGAACACCCAAGAUCUAUCUAUGGAGAUCAACAACUAUGAGAGGGAGAGUGGAUAUACAUACCCUAUAGAUCACUUAGCGGGAAGCGUUAAGAAACACGGUUGAUGUAAUCGAACAUCUUCUCGAUCCAAUCACGAUCCGUCCCGAUCUAGCGUUGAACAGGCGACACCUCCGUGUUCAGCACACAUACAGAUCGAUGAUGUAUCCUCCUUCUUGAUCCAACAAGCGAGGGCAGAGAGGUAGAUUAGUUCUCCAACAACACGACGGUGUGGUGGCGGUGGUGGUAGAGAAAUCUCAGUAGGGCUUCUCCAAGAGCUGCCGAAGAUGCGUUUUCAGAGGAGAAACAGAUCUAGGGAGAGAGUGAGUGUUGCAUCUAUGGCUUGGGGUGCGGCUGCCCUCCCUCUCCCUCUCGUUUAGAGGAGGUGGGGGGGGGGGUAGGUAGGGCGCAGCCUAGGCCCCUCCUCCAAGGAGGGCUGGCCGGCCAAGAGGGGAGGAGUCCUCCUCCCACAAGGGAGGUGGGCACCCUAGGGAGGACUCCUCCCUCCCCAAGGCACCUCCCCCACCUACCCUUGGGUGCAUGCGCCCUUUAGGGGUCGGUUUCCCAGCCCACCAGGGGUGGUGCACCACCUAUUGGGCCCAUGUGCCCCCUGGGGUGGGCGGACCCCUCCCGAUGGACCCCCAGAACCCUUUCGACACUCCCAAUAAUAUACCAGAAAAACCCGAAACCUUACUGGAACCCAAAUAUGACUUUUCUAUAUAUAAAUAUUUACCUCUGGACCAUUCUGGAACUCUUCGUGACAUCCGGGGUCUCAUCCGGGACUCUGAACAACAAUCAGUUACCAACAUAUAUAACUCAAAAAUACCAAUUCAUCACAAAACGUUAAAUGUGCAGAUCCUGUGGGUUCAAGAACUAUGCAGAUAUGAACGAGACACCUCUACGGUCAAUAAGCAAUAGUGGGACCUCGAUGCCAUAUUGGUUCCUAUAUAUUCUACGAAGAUCUUUAUCGACCGGACCACGAUGUCAAGGAUUCAAUCAAUCACAUAUUCACUUCCCUUUGUCCAUCGGUAUGUUACUUGCCCGUGAUUCGAUCAUCGGUAUCACCAUACCUAGUUCAAUUUCGUUACCUCCAAGUAUAUUUACUCGUUUUGUAAUACAAGAUCAUGUGACUAACUCCUUAGUCACAUUGCUUGCAAGCUUCUUGUGAUGAUGUAUUACCGAGUGGGCCCACAGGUACCUCUCUGUCAUACGGAGUGACAAAUCCUAGUCUUGAUCCAUGCCAACCCAACAGACACCCUCGGAGAUACCAAUAGAGUACCUUUAUAGUAACCCACUUAUGUUGUGACAUUUGAUACACACAAGGCAUUCCUCUGGUAUCCGGGAGCUGCAUGAUCUCAUGGUCGUAGGAACACAUACUUGAUAUGAAUAAAGGAAUAUCAAUAAACUAGUACGAUCAAAUGCUAUGCUUAUGGUUGGAUCUUGUCUAUCACAUCAGUCUCCUAAUGAUGUGAUCCCGUUAUAAAACGACAACUCAAGUCCAUGGUCAGGAGACCUUAACCAUCUUUGAUCAACGAGCUAGUAUAGUAGAGGCUUACUAGGGACACAAUGUUGUCUAUGUAUCAACACAUGUAUCUGAGUUUCCAAUCAAUACAAUUAAAUCAUGGAUAAUAAACGAUUAUCAUGAACAAGAAAAUAUUAUAAUAACCAUUUUAUUAUUGACUCUAGGGCAUAUUUUAACAAACACUGCAUGGGAAACAAAAAAGUUCCUACGCACAAGAAAAAUCUAUCCUUGGAGAUGCAUAACUACGAGAGGAUAGUGCAUCUACAUAACCUUGUAUAUCGCUAAGCGGAAGCGUUAAGAAAUGCGGUUGAUGUAGUCGUACGACUUCGCGAACAAAUCAUGAUCCUUACCGAUCUAGCACCGAAUGGAUGGCACCUCCGUGUUCAAUACACGUACAGCUCGAUAUCAUCUGUGCCUCCUCGGUCUAUCUAGUGAGGGAAGAGUGGUGGACGAGUUCUCUGGUAAAACAUGGGUGUGGUUGCAGUGGUGGUGGAGCUAUCCCGACAAAGCAUUGUCAAGCGCUACCAUGACAUGAACGAGCAAGAGAUCAAUUUAGAGAGAGGGGGAGGGCUGCGCCAUGGCUUGCGGUGCGGGUUCCCUCUCUCUUAUCUCAUAUAUAUAGUGGGAAGGGAGGAGGGGUGCGGCGACCUAGGGUUUCCCCUAGGGUGGGGCGGCGACAAAGGGGUAGCUGGGCCCCCAAGUUGGGUGGCCGCCACCCUUAGGGUUUGCCCCCACCAACCCCUUAGACGCAUGGCCCUAGGUGGGGAGGGCACAUAGACCACUAGGCACUAGUGCGCACCCCUCUUAGCCCAUGUGGUCUCCCGGGGCGGGUGGACCCCUUCCGCUGGACCCCCGUAACCCUUCGACACUCCCGGGGCGUUACAUUACCGACAAUGCCCUAAUUCCUUCCGGUGACCAAAACGGAACUUCCUAUAUACGAAUCAUUACCUCCGGACCAUUGUAGAACUCCUCGUGACGUCUGGGGUCUCAUCCAGAAAUUCAAACAACUUUCAGUCACCAACAUACAUAACUCAAUUGUAGCGACACGACCUGAAACUGCCAAGUCUCUGGUGUUUCUGUACCAUCCCAAGAUCAUGCUAGUACACACACAGUACAUCAAUCUAUAUAUCGAGAGUUCAAUCACACAGCUUUAUUAAUCGGAUCUCAUAUCGAAUACUUUAUUACAUAAAGAUUACAAUAAAGAGGCUGAAGGCCAAACACAUGAGAUAACUAAACGAAGACUAGCGGAAGCUUCAAAAGUAGUAGAGUCCAUCUGACUCCAGGGCAUAUCACCGACCGUAGACCAUGACCUCACUCGUGGUCGGAAAAGUACUCUACAACAUGACACAUUGCAGCCCUGUAGGUCAGCAUAUUGAAUAUGCCGGCAAGUCACAAAAAGAGAGAGGUGAAAAGUAUCAUCUAUUCUACAUGCAUAUAUGGCAGGUGGGGCUUGUAAGUUUUUAGCGGGAAGCAACGUUUUCUCCUACAACAAGAGAGGGCUAAAAGAAAAAUAUUACUACAUUGUUGGUUGUUAACGAGGUGGUUCCACCAACCAUUUCUCGUACCCAAGUUGUCAAUAAUACCCACAUCAUUAUUAAUUGUGUUGAGAAUUACAGAUAGUUUCAGUUCCUUCGGCUCAAGUCGUCCAUGAUCGUGGACACGGCAAAUCGAUUAGUUUUGGGUACUCUGCAGAGUUUUGCACACGUUCCCCACAAGAUUUGAUCGCCUCUGUUGAAUGUCCUCACACUACAGAGUGUUUGAGAACCGAAUGAUCAAAACAUGGUCUUUCAACGGGUUCCUCUGUGCCUCUGUCGGUGCCCAUCCAAUCCUACUGAUUUUCUUCAUCUCAUAGCACCGCCCGUCCNCAGAUAGUUUCAGUUCCUUCGGCUCAAGUCGUCCAUGAUCGUGGACACGGCAAAUCGAUUAGUUUUGGGUACUCUGCAGAGUUUUGCACACGUUCCCCACAAGAUUUGAUCGCCUCUGUUGAAUGUCCUCACACUACAGAGUGUUUGAGAACCGAAUGAUCAAAACAUGGUCUUUCAACGGGUUCCUCUGUGCCUCUGUCGGUGCCCAUCCAAUCCUACUGAUUUUCUUCAUCUCAUAGCACCGCCCGUCCAGAGUCACCGCGUUGUCCAACCAAGCCAGAGCCCAUAAUGACUUGUGGCUGUGUAGGUAAGCCUUGGGUCUUUAAGCAUCCAUCCAUCUCUUCGCGCCUGGGUGAAGCUUUCCGCAAGAUGUCAUGGCGCUUCUCCAUGCAUCCCGGGUCCUCCGCUGGUUUAUCCCAGGGGGACCCAUCAAAACCUUCCUUCACCCAGAGGUAUAUUGCAUAACGAGGUCUCAAAAGUGUUGACAUAUCCGGUCUUGAUUAUUAAAAUUUUCUCACAACACCCGUGAUAGACUCUCAACCAAAACACAAUCUACUAAAGCAUAGCAAAAAAAAGUUCAUCGUCCCGGGCCAAGUAACAAGGGUCGCCACCUACCACAUGAUACUACAUAAAGAUCCAAAUUUCCAAGUACCUAAUCUGCAUGCAAUUGGGUGAAUUAAGGUAGAACUACAAUGCAUAUAAAACAUAGGUAAUAAUAUGAUCAACGUGCCUUGCCUUGCGGAUGGUUGUCGAGUUCGAGCGCUUCUAGGUAACAAGCUUCGCACUCCGGGUGAUCUAACGACACAAACACAUUCACACAAUAAGCACCACAAUGAAAAGAAAUCAACAUAACACAACUGUCAAAUAAUAGCUAUAGCAUAGAUAAGUGAAAUUGCCUUUACAUAACCAAAACAGAAUCUGUUUUGGUGAAAACCCCAUGAUAAAAUAUAAAAAAAAAUCUGAAAUUCAACCUACUGAUAACUAAGAUCAAUAGUGAUCGGUAGCAGAAAGAAUUAAUUAAAAAUCUAUUUUUAAACUCCCGGUAUAAGCAAAACAAGAUUUAAACCAAAUAUUUUCUAACUCAAAUUUUAUAAAUUCAAACAUAGUCAACUUAUAUAUUUUCAGAAACUACAAGAAAUUUGGGAUCUAAUGACUUUAAUUGGAUUUGUAUAUUAAAAGUUAUUAAGAAAACGAAACAGAACUAUUUGUAUUACAGAUUUAAAAUAGAAAAAGAAAAGAUGACGUGGCACACUCUGAUUGGCUGAAUCCGUGCGCUGCUAGAGCUAACUGACAAACGGCCGAUAUGUAAGAAAACAUUUCGGUUAACUUAAAUGGUUGACCGGGUUUUUUUUAGAAAACCAAAGGGGCAAGUUCCUCUAAUUCUACACCGUUGGAUCGAGAUCUAAAGGUAAAAAACAACAAAAAAAGAGAAACAGGGAGGGGAGGAGAAGCUCACCGUAACUAGGCAGGGGCUGGAGAGCUCUGGCGAGGUGGGGCUGCUCCGGCGAGGGGAGAGGUGUGGCAGGGGCAGGGGGUGGGUGCGGCAAAGUGAGGGGGUGAGGGUGGCAUGACAGGAGGGGUGGGGGCGCGGUGGCGAGCUCCUGUAGAGGCCGGCUCCGGCGAGCUCCACAGGGGGCGGACGAGGCAGCGGUUCGGGGGGUCAGUGGGGAAAAUUUGGUGUGGCCGGUGCCCUGGUAUUUAUAGGGGCGCGAGGUGGCUCAGGGAAAGAAGGGGGAGGGAGAUCGGGAAGGUGGGGAUCUCUGUCUCGCCUGCCAUGGAAAGUGCUUGAGCACGGGAGGAGGGUGACGAGAGGAAGGAGAUGAUCUCGGUCGGGCCAGAUUGGAAACUCAUUAAUGGGCCAGCGAAAAGUUUCCUGUUAAACGAGAUUUUUUCCUUUUUUUCAAAAACAGGAAAUUAAAAACAAUAAAAAUAAAAUAAAAUAUACUCAGAAUAUAGGGUUAUUAUAUAUUAAAAUUAUCAAAAAAAUAAACUCUAUAAGAUGGACAUUUUUCCAGAGCCAAAACAAAAACUUCAGAAAAAAAUGUUUUUUCGGAAAAUCCCUAGAUUGGUUUAUUUCCUUUUUGCAAAUAUUUUUCAAAUAAACCUUGGGUUUUAUGGUUCAAAUAUUUCAAAUAAAUACCCCUGGUUUGGAGGGUCAUGUUCCUCCACUCUUUCUUUCUUGGCAAGAUAAUAAUCCCGGCAUUUCAUGAGUGAAGAAAAAUUCUUGAGUCACAAAGAAAAAAUGCAAAUAGAAAGAAAUUUGAAUGCCACCUUUUAUUACAAUCAAAAUGCAUAGAUGCUUAGCUACAAUUGUAAAACAUUCCAAAUUAGGAAAUUUGGGAUGUUACAAACCUACCCACCUUAAGAUGAAUCUCGCCCUCGAGAUUCGGGUUGGCUAGCAAAUAGGUGCGGGUGGUCUCGGCGAAGAUCUUCUUCUCGUUCCCAGGUGGCUUCUUCCUCGGUGUGAUGACUCCACAAGACCUUGCAAAACUUGAUAACCUUGCUGCGGGUAACUCUGUUGGCAGUCUCGAGAAUCUUGACGGGUUUCUCCACGUAAGUCAGAUCACUGUCAAGCUGUAUGGCCUCUAGGGGCACUUUAUCUCUCAACGGAAUAUCAGUCAUCUCAGCAUGGCAUUUCUUCAACUGGGAAACAUGGAAAACAUCAUGAACUCCGGACAAUCCUUCCGGCAAUUCCAGUUUGUAUGCAACUUCGCCUCUACGUUCAAGAAUUUUUUAGGGGCCAAUGAAUCUAGGUCCUAAUUUCCUUUUACACCAAAUCUCUUGAUUCCUCGAAGUGGAGACACACGAAGGUAUGCUCGGUCUCCCACUUCUUAUGUUACUUCCUUGCGCUUGCUGUCAUCAUAACUCUUCUGUCUCGACUGAGCUAUCUUGAGUCGGUCAUGAAUCAGCUUGACCUUCCGUUCAGAAUAUCGGAUAAGGUCGGGACCAAAAUAUUUCGGUCUCCAACAGCAUCCCACAUCAAUGGUGUUCAACACCUCCUUCCGUAUAAAGCAUCGAAAGGGGACAUCUUCAGACUGGUGUGAUAGUUGUUGUUGUAUGAGAACUCGGCACAAGGUAAAUUGUCGUCCCAGCUAGACCCGUAGUCUAGUGCACAAGCUCUCAACAUGUCCUCCAGAAUCUGAUUGACUCUCUCGGUCUGUCCAUCAGUCUAUGGGCGAAAAGAUGUACUGAACUCCAAUCUCGUUCCCAAGGUUUCGUGUAGUUGAUACCAAAAUUUUGAUGUGAACUGGGUCCCUCUAUCUGACACGAUACUCCUCGGAACUCCAUGCAGACAUAUGAUCCUGGUCAUAUAGAUCUUGGCCAACUUAGCACUCGUGUAGGUAGUCUUCACGGGAAUAAAAUUAGCUAACUUGGUCAAACGAUCGACCACUACCCAGAUAGAAUCAUAACCUGAACGGGUCCUCGGUAAUCCUAUGAUGAAGUCCAUACCAAGAUUCUCCCAUUUCCACUCGGGUAUCGGCAAAUGUUGAAGUAAUCCUGCUGGCUUCUGAUGCUCGGCCUUUACUCGCUGACAAACAUCGCAUAUUGCUACAAACUCAGCAAUGUCCUUCUUCAUUACUGUCCACCAAAAACUUUCCUUCAAGUCCAGAUACAUCUUGGUGUUGCCUGGAUGUAUCAUGUACGGGGAAUCAUGGGCCUCCUGAAGUAUCAACUUCCUGAGUUCAGGAUCAUUGGGUACAUAGAUAUGGUCCUCAAACCAUAUGGUUCCGUGUUUAUCCUCACGAAAACCUUUAGCAUUUCCAUCAUUCAUUCUUUGCUUUAUCUCAGCUAUUUCCUUGUCUGACUUCUAGGCUUCCCGGAUUUUUCCGAUCAAGGUGGACUGAAUCUCCAGCGUUGCUACAAAUCCUCUUGAAACAAUCUCCAACUUGAGUUCUCUGUGAUCAUUGGCUAACUCUUGGGGUAGUCCUCCCGCUAUGAGCGUGUUCACAUAACUCUUACGGCUCAAGGCAUCUGCUACAACAUUUGCCUUCCCUGGGUGAUAAUGCAAUCUCAUGUCAUAGUCCUUGAUCAACUCUAGCCAUCUCCUAUGUCUGAGGUUCAACUCCUUCUGCAUGAAGAUAUAUUUCAGGCUCUUGUGAUCAGUGUAAAUAUCACAACUAUUUCCAAUAAGGACAUGUCUCCAGGUCUUGAGCGCGUGCAAUACGGCAGCUAACUCCAAAUCAUGUGUGGUAUAGUUCAACUCAUGAGUUAUGAGCUUUCUGGAUGCAUAGGCUACAACUUUUCCUUCUUGCAUGAGCACUCCUCCAUGUCCUUGACGAGAAGCGUCACAAUAAACUUGGAAAUCCUUCCAAAUGUUCGGCAAUGUCAGGACUGGGGCUGUAACCAAACGUUUCUUCAACUCUUAGAGACUGGCUUCACGUUCCUCGGUCCAAACAUACUUGGACUCCUUCUUCAACAACUCUGUCAUGGGCUUGGCAAUCUUCGAGAAAUUCUCGAUAAACCUCCGGUAAUAUCCGACAAGUCCGAGGAAACUGCGGAUCUCCUUAACUGAGGUGGGUGCUACCCAUUCGGUGACUGCUCCAACCUUGGCAGGAUCCACUGCUAUUCCGUCUCCCGAAAUAAUAAGUCUGAGGAAUCCGACUUCCUUUAACAAAAAUUCACAUUUGGUGAACUUCCCAUACAGUUGAUGCUCACGAAGUUUCUCCAAAACUAGACGCAAGUGUUCGUUGUGUUCCUCCUCGUUCUCGGAGAAUAUCAGGAUGUCAUCGAUGAACACCAUGACAAACUUGUCCAAGUAUUCCAUAAAUACCUUGUUCAUCAUACUCACAAAAUAUGUCGGAGCAUUACUCAAACCAAAUGACAUGACUUUGUACUCAUACAGACCAUACCCUGUGGUGAAGAUGGUCUUGCGUAUAUCUUGUUCGCGAAUUUUCAGCUGAUGAUACCUGGAUCGAAGAUCAAUCUUGGAGAACACUCGGCCUCCAAAUAACUGGUCAAACAAAUCAUUGAUCAUCGACAAGGGAUACUUGGUCUUGAUGGUCACCUCGUUCAAUGCACGAUAAUCGACUACCAUUCUCAAGGAUUUAUCCUUAUUCUCAACCAAGAAAACUGGGGCUCCCCAAGGUGACGAAGUUGGGCGAAUAUACCCUUUGUCAAGUAACUCCUUGAUCUGCUUCUUGAUUUCUUCUAAAUCAUUUGCGGGCAUCCGAUAGGGUCUCUUGGAUAUUGGGGCUGUCCCCGGUAACAGUUCAAUCAGAAACUCAAUAUCCCUAUCCGGUGGCAUGCCUGGUAAUUACUCUUGAAAUACAUCUGGAAAGUCUUGUACGACCGGUACUUCCUCCUGAACAACUCCCGUGAGAGAGUUCACUCGUUUACUCCAUGAUGGGCGUUGGGAUAUGUACUUAAUCCUCUUCUGCUCUAGGGUGGUGAGCAAAAUAGACUUAAGGGCACAAUUAAUAUCCUCUUCGUACUUGGCCAACCAAUCCGUGCCUAGGAUUACAUCCAAUACCUGAGACUCUAAUACAAUGAGGUCAGUGGGAAACUUAUGGUUCCCUAUGUUGAGACUCAAAGCAUGACAUCCUAUCCCGGCUGUCAUCAUGCCUCCUAGGGAACUGACCUUAAUAGGCUGGCUGAGGGUUCUAGUUGGUAAACUAUGUUUUUCCACAACUACCCUUGAUAUGAAUGAAUGUGUUGCACGAGAAUCAAAAAGUACCAAUACUGGACGUGAAUUUAGCAAAAACUUACCAACCAUAGUAUCGGGGUGAUCAUAGACCUCUUCAACAUCAAUGUGGUUCACCUGAGCUCGGGGAAAAUGAUUGGGCUUCCUUGCUGCUGAAUAGCCGUUGCCAUUUCCAUUUCCCUGCUUGUUCUGGGGACAUUCAGUGGCAUAGUGUCCCGUCUUCUGGCACUUGAAGCAGGUGAUAUGAGUCAGAUCCUUCUGAGCUGGAGCGGGAGGGUGCUUGUUGAUGGUGGUUGUUGUUGUUCUGAUUCUGAAUGAGCAACUGCAUCAGGGUGUUCUGCUGUUGGAUCAACUGAGCAAGUUCCAGCGGGAAGUUGGAAGCAGGUUCACGUCUCGGAGGCAUCUGGUGUUUGUAGAGGGGUGGGAUUAGCAUAGAACAAGGGUCUAAAGAGUAAUUGCACUACCCGUAUGAAAUGCAACAAACAAUUAUCACACCACACAUUUUAUUCAUUAUCACCACAAAAGGUUCAAACACGGGGAUACAAAUGGCGAUAUCCUAGACAUCGGCCUAAACGUUUAACGAUAAGAUAUAUUGGUGGACUUGUCUACGUGUCCUCCUCAGAAAAGCAUGGUGGUGGGUCAGUCGGUGGAGCUUGCUUCAUAGUCCUCCUCAUUGCUGAUCAAGGGGGCUACGUCUCCCUCAGGGUGAAGGUUCUCGCCCACGUUCAGUUCUUCCUCCAGAUAUGCGACACGAUCCUUCAGCUUCUCGAUCCUCUCCAAGAAGUCCUUCACCUCCAAUUCAUGCUCAUAGUGGGCUUCUCGGCCUUCCUCUUCGAGGUUGAGUUCUAGGAGUGACAGUUGCUUGAUCCUCUUCGUGUCCUUGCCAACACGAAUCUCCAGAGUUCUGAUAUGUGCCUCCAUGGUCUGGGCAUAGGACAGGAGAGCAUCAUCAGUCUUGGUCAGAAUGGUUUCUCCAUCAGCUCCUCUCCGAGAGACCGUGAAUAAGUCCGGUGAGAUGGGACAUCCUCUAUACUCCUCCUUGAUUCUCCCGAGUGCACAGUGAACCGCUAUGUCCCUGCCGAGAAUCUAGUUGGGUGCGAUGAACUUGAACUACACAGGUUCUGUGCGCAGCUCGAAACUUCUUCCCGGGAUGUGCACCUCAAUCCUGUAGCGUGAACCUUCCGAGUAAGAGGAGGUAGGCUUCCCGGUGAUGGUUGGUAGAGCAAUCCUCAUGUCCUUGGUGAUCUUCACCAGCUCCUUUCCGAAGGGUAUUGAGGCGUCAGGCUGGCAAAACUCCGUGAUCAUAACGGGGAUGAAGGUGGCCAUUUAGAAAAUAUUAGAAGAUCCGAGAGAAGUCAGAAAUGAGCAGAAGAGAAAUUAUAGAAGAUUUAAAGAUAUAAUAGAAUAGUUUUCUUCCUCAGGCUUUUCCAAUCCUAGAGGUUACAUCCUACGGUCAGCGUGUGCUCUCAUACCAUAUCUGUAGCGACCCGACCUAAAACGGCCAAGUCUCUGGUGUUUCUGUACCAUCCCAAGGUCAUGCUGGUACACACACAAUACAUCAAUGUAUAUAUCGAGAGUUCAAUCACACAGCUUUAUUAAUCGGAUCUCACAUUGAGUACUUUAUUACAAUAAAGAUUACAAUAAAGAGGUUGAAGGCCAAACUCAUGAGAUAACUAAACGAAGAUUAGCGGAAGCUUCAAAAGUAGUAGAGUCCAUCUGACUCGAGGGCAUAUCACCGAGCGUAGACCCUGACCUCACUCCUGGUCAGAAAAGUACUCUGCAACAUGACACGUUGCAGCCGUGUAGGUCAGCAUAUUGAAUAUGCCGGCAAGUCACAAAAAGAGAUAGGUGAAAAGUAUCAUCUAUUCUACAUGCAUAUAUGGAAGGUGGGGCUUGUAAGUUUUUAGCGGGAAGCAACAUUUUCUCCUACAACAAGAGAGGGCUAAAAGAAAAAUAUUACUACAUUGUUGGUUGUUAACGAGGUAGUUCCACCAACCAUUUCUCGUACCCAAGUUGUCAAUAAUACCCACAUCAUUAUUAAUUGUGUUGAGAAUUACAGAUAGUUUCAGUUCCUUCGGCUCAAGUCGUCCAUGAUCGUGGACACGGCAAAUCGAUUAGUUUUGGGUACUCUGCAGAGUUUUGCACACGUUCCCCACAAGAUUUGAUCGCCUCUGUUGAAUGUCCUCACACUACAGAGUGUUUGAGAACCGAAUGAUCAAAACAUGGUCUUUCAACGGGUUCCUCUGUGCCUCUGUCGGUGCCCAUCCAAUCCUACUGAUUUUCUUCAUCUCAUAGCACCGCCCGUCGAGAGUCACCGCGUUGUCCAACCAAGCCAGAGCCCAUAAUGACUUGUGGCUGUGUAGGUAAGCCUUGGGUCUUUAAGCAUCCAUCCAUCUCUUCGCGCCUGGGUGAAGCUUUCCGCAAGAUGUCAUGGCGCUUCUCCAUGCAUCCCGGGUCCUCCGCUGGUUUAUCCCAGGGGGACCCAUCAAAACCUUCCUUCACCCAGAGGUAUAUUGCAUAACGAGGUCUCAAAAGUGUUGACAUAUCCGGUCUUGAUUAUUAAAAUUUUCUCACAACACCCGUGAUAGACUCUCAACCAAAACACAAUCUACUAAAGCAUAGCAAAAAAAAGUUCAUCGUCCCGGGCCAAGUAACAAGGGUCGCCACCUACCACAUGAUACUACAUAAAGAUCCAAAUUUCCAAGUACCUAAUCUGCAUGCAAUUGGGUGAAUUAAGGUAGAACUACAAUGCAUAUAAAACAUAGGUAAUAAUAUGAUCAACGUGCCUUGCCUUGCGGAUGGUUGUCGAGUUCGAGCGCUUCUAGGUAACAAGCUUCGCNUCCAAGGUCCUCCGCUGGUUUAUCCCAGGGGGGCCAUCAAAAUCGUCCUUCACCCAGAGGUAUAUUGCAUAACGAGGUCUCAAAAGUCUUGACAUAUCCGGUCUUGAUUAUUAAAAUUUUCUCACAACACUCGUGAUAGACUCUCAACCAAAACCCCGUCUACUAAAGCAUAGCAAAAUAAAGUUCAUCGUCCCGGGCCAAGUAACAAGGGUGUUGGGUGCCUACCACAUGAUACUACAUAAAGAUCCAAAUUUCCAAGUACCUACUUUGCAUGCAAUUGGGUGAAGAAAGGUAGAACUACAAUGCAUAUAAAACAGAGGUAAUAAUAUGAUCAACGUGACUUGCCUUGCUGAUGGUUGUCGAGUUCGAGCGCUUCUAGGCAACAAGCUUCGCACUUUGGGUGAUCUAAAGACACAAACACAUUCACACAAUAAGCACCAAAAUGACAAGAAAUCAAAAUAACACAAAUAUCAAACAAUAGCUAUAGCAUAGAGAAGUGUAAUUGCCUUUACAUAACCAAAACAGAAUCUGUUUCGGUGAAAACCCCAUGAUAAAAUAUAAAAAAAAAUCUGAAAUUCAACCUACUGAUAACUAAGAUCAAUAGUGAUCGGUAGCAGAAAGAAUUAAUUAAAAAUCUAUUUUUAAACUCCCGGUAUAAGCAAAACAAGAUUUAAACCAAAUCUGUUCUAACUCAAAUUUUAUAUUUUUGGAAACUACAAGAAAUUUAUGAUCUAAUGCAGACCGAAUAACUUCAAUUGGAUUUGUAGAUCAAAAUUUAUUAAGAAAAGGAAAACAGAACUAUUUCUAUUAUAGAUUUAAAAUAGAAAAGGAAACGAUGAUGUGGCAUGCUUUGAUUGGCUGAAUCCGUGCGCUGCUAGAGCUAACUAACAAACGGCCGAUAUGUAAGAAAACGUUUCGGUUAACUUAACUGGUUGACCAUUUUUUUAGAAAACCGAAGGGGUAAGUUCAUCUAAUUCUACACCGUUGGAUCUAGAUCUAAAGGUAAAAAACAACAAAAAAAGAAAAACAGGGAGGGGAGGAGAAGCUCACCGUAACUAGGCAGGGGCUGGAGAGCUCUGGCGAGGUGGGGCUGCUCCGGCGAGGGGAGAGGUGUGGCAGGGGCAGGGGGUGGGUGCGGCAAAGUGAGGGGGUGAGGGUGGCGUGGCAGGAGGGGUGGGGGCGCGCAGGAGGGGUGGGGGCACGUUGGCGAGCUCGUGUAGGGGCCGGCUCUGGCGAGCUUCGCAGAGGGCGGACGAGGCAGCGGUUCGGGGCGGUGGUGGGGAAAAUGGGGUGCAGCCGGUGCCCCGGUAUUUAUAGGGGUGCGAGGUGGCUCGGGGGAGGAAGGGAGAGGGAGAUCGGGAAGGUGGGGAUCUAUGUCUCCCCUGCCAUGGAAAGUGCCUGAGCACGGGAGGAGGGUGACGAGAGGAAGGAGAUGAUCUCGGUCGGGACAGAUUGGAAACUCAUUAAUGGGCUAGCGAAAAGUUUCCUAUUAAACGAGAUUUUUUUCCUUUUUUCAAAAACAGGAAACUAAAAUAAUAAAACGGAAAUAAAAUGUACUCGGAAUAUAGGGUUAUUAUAUAUUAAAAUUAUCAGAAAAAUAAACUCUAUAAGAUGGACAUUUUUCCACGGCCAAAAUAAAAACUUCAGAAAAAAUGUUUUUUCAGAAAAUCCCUAGAUUGGUUUAUUUCCUUUUUGCAAAUAUUUUUCAAAUAAACCUUGGGUUUUAUGGUUCAAAUAUUUCAAAUAAAUACCCCUGGUUUGGAGGGUCAUGUUCCUCCACUCUUUUUUUCUUGGCAAGAUAAUAAUCCCGGCAUUUCAUGAGUGAAGAAAAAUUCUUGAGUCACAAAGAAAAAAUGCAAAUCGAAAGAAAUUCGAAUGCCACCUUUUAUUACAAUCGAAAUGCAUAGAUGCUUAGCUACAAUUGUAAAACAUUCAAAAUUAGGAAAUUUGGGAUGUUACAUCAAUAAUACCAUAUCAUCAUAGAACGAUAAGUGUGCGGACCCUACGGGUUCGAGAAUGAUGCAGACAAGACCGAGGCACUCACCGACCAAUAACCAAUAGCGGUACCCGGAUGUCCAUAUUGGUUCCUACAUAUUCCACAAAGAUCUUUAUCGGUCGAACCACGAUGUCAAGGAUUCAACCAGUCAUGUAUGUAGUUCCUUUUGUCCAUCCGUAUGUGCUACGGCAACAAAAGAACUUCCAUGGCAAUGGCGCCCGGAAUCCUUCUGCUACGGGCUACGCUUGUAGGGACUUCCUUGGCAAAUAUGCAAAGGAUUCCCCCACGGCCUUGGAGCCUUGCGUUGGUGUUCCCUUGAAGAGGAAAUGGUGAUGUAGCACAACAGCGGUAAGUAUUUCCCACAGUUUGAGAACCAAGGUAGCAAUCCAAUACGAGGAUCACGUCAAGUCACAAGUACCUGCACAAACACAAAGAGCUUGCACCCAACGCUAUGAAGGGGUUGUCAAUCCCUUAUAGAUUGUUUGCAAAGUGAGAACUGAAAGCAAAAAAGUAAACAAAGAAAAGUAAAAGUAAAAGUGGAGACGAUAGUUGUGAAUAGACCCGGGGGCCGUAGUGUUCACUAGUGUCUUCUCUCAUGAAAGCAAGUAGACGGUGGGUGAACGAAUUACUGUCGAGCAAUUGAUAGAACCGCGCAAAGUCAAGACGUUAUCUAUGGCAAUAAUCAUAUCUGUAGGCAUCACGUCCAAAACAAGUAGACCGAUACUUUCUGCAUCUACUACUAUUACUCCACAUGUCGACCGCUAUCCAGCAUGCAUCUAGUGUAUUGAGUUCAUAAGAACAGAGUAACGCCAUAAGCAAGAUGACAUGAUGUAGAUGGACAAUCUCAAAUCUAUGAUGAAAGCCCAUCUUGUUACCCUUGAUGACAACAACAUGAUGCGUGCCUUGCUGCCCCUUCUGUCACUGGGAAAGGUCACCGCACGGUAUGAACCCAAAACCAAGCACUUCUCCGAUUGCAAGAAUCAUAGAUCUAGUUGGCCAAACAAAACCCAAGACUCGGAGAGACUUACAAGGAUAUCAAAUCAUGCAUAUAAGAAAUCAGCAAAGACUCAAAUAUAAUUAAUAGAUAAUCUGAUCACAAAUCCACAAUUCAUCGGAUCUCGACAAACACACCGCCAAAGAGGAUUACAUCGGAUAGAUCUCCAUGAAGAUCAUGGAGAAAUUUGUAUUGAAGAUCCAAGAGAGAGAAUAAGCCAUCUAGCUACUAACUACGGACCCGUAGGUCUGAAGGAGACUACUCACAUGUCAUUGGAGAGGCGAUGAUGUUGAUGUAGAAGCCCUCCAGCUCCAAAGCCCCCUCUGGCAGGGCACCGGGAAGGGUCUCCAGAUGAGAUCUCGCGGAAACGGAAGCUUGCGGCGGCGGAAAAGUGUUUUCGUGGAUACCCUGAUUUUUUCUGGGAUUUUAAGGAAUAUAUAGGCCAAAGAGCUAGGGCAGGGGAGCGUCACGGAGGCCACAAGCCUGGCCGCCGCGGCCCCCCUGGCCGCGGCGUCAGCGCUUGUGGGCUCCCUGUGGGCCUCCUGCCUUGGCUGUCAAGUCCCCUGAUUUUUUGCUGUAUUUUGGGGAAUAUAUAGGCCAAAGAUCUAGGUCAGGGGGCGCUCAGGGAGGCCACAAGCCCUGCCACCGCCGCCUCCCCCUGGUGGCGGAGUGGGGGCUUGUGGGCUCCCUCUAGCCCUCCUGGCUUGGCCCACAGGCCCCCUGAUCUUCUUCCGUUCGGGAAAAAAUCAUUUCGGGGAUUUUAUUCCGUUUGGACUCCGUUCCAAAAUCAGAUCUGAAAAGAGCCAAAAACAUAGAAAAAACAGGAACUAGCACUUGGCACUGAAUUAAUAAGUUAGUCCCAAAAAAGAUAUAAAAGGUACAAAAAACAUCCAAAGAUGACAAGAUAAGAGCGUGAAACUAUCAAAAAUUAUAGAUACGUUUGAGACGUAUCAAGCAUCCCCAAGCUUAACUCCUGCUCGUCCUCGAGUAGGGAAGUGAUAAAGAAUGAAUUUUUGAUGAUUUCAUGCUACCUAGCAUAGAUGUCCUUUGUAACUCCUCUUAUGUGACGUGAAUGUUCAGAUCCAUUAGAUUGAAAACAAUAGUUUGCUAUUGACGUGGAAACAGUAAUAAUUCAAGCAAACUAGCAAGGUAAUCAUGAACUUUCAAAAUAACAAGGCCAAAAGAAAGUUAUCCCUACAAAAGCACAUAGUCUGGCUAUGCUCUAUCAUCAUUGCACAACAAAUUUUAAUCAUGCACAACCCCGGUAUUGGCCAAGUAAUUGUUUCACACCUUUACUUUCUCAAACCUUUUCAACUCUCACGCAAUACAUGAGCGUGAGCCAUGGUUUUAGCACUAUAAGUGGUGUAGAGUGUGGUGGAGGUUGCAAGACAAACAAGGAGAAGAUAGUCACAUUAACUAGGCAUAUCAAUGAGCUAUGGAGAUGCUCAUCAAUAGAUAUCAAUGUGAUUGAGUAGGGAUUGCCAAAAAAAUGAUGCACUAGAGCUACGAGUAUGUGAAAGCUCUUAAAGAAAACUAGUGAGUGUGCAUCCAACUUGCUUGCUCACGAAGACCUAAGGCAAUUUUGAGGAAGCCUAUCAUUGGAAUAUACAAUCCAAGUUAUAUAAUGGAAAUUUCCCACUAGCUAUAUGGUGGUGACAAAACAAGAGACUCUCAAUCAUGAAGAUCAUGGUGCUUAAUAUGCACAAGUGUGGAAAAAGUGGUAGCAUUGUCCCUUCUCUCUUUUUCUCUCAUUUUUUUGGUGGGCUCAUUGGCCUCUUUUUUUAUUUUUUUUGUGGGCUUCUUUGGCCUAUUUUAUUUCCUCACAUGGGACAAUGCUCCAUUAAUUAUGAUCAUCACAAUUUCAACUCAAAACUUAGAGCGACAAUGACUCUAUAUGGAAUGCCUUCGGUAGUGUACCGUGGCAAUGAUCUAGCAUGGCAUAGACAUUAAUGGAAACAUCAUGCUAGCUAUCCUACGAUCAUGCAAUGGGAAUGUAGAUGUGGUGGCACAUGUCAUGGUGGUAGUUGCGUGGCAAUAUAUCUCGGAAUGACUUUGAAAAAGCCAUUGUAGGUAGGUACGGUGGAUGUUUUGAGGGAGGCUAAUGGUGGGUUUUGUGCACCGGCGAAAGUUGCAUGGCACUAAGAAGAUAGUGAUAGUGGAAGGUAAAAGUGCUUUUAAACCAUGGACUCAACAUUAGUCAUGAAGAACUCAUAUACUUGUUGCAAAAGUUUUAUUAGUGCUCGAAACAAAGCAUUCAACGCAUACUCCUAGGGGAAGGGUUGGUAGGUAUAAACCAUCGCGCGAUCCCGACCGCCACGCAAAUGAUGACAAUCAAUAGACUAAUCAUGCUGAGAUUACAUCACACAGCGGUUCACCAUACAUGCAUGCUAUGGGAAUUACUAACUUCAACACAAGUAUUUCUAGAUCCUCAACACCUUACUAGCAUAACUUCAAUAUUACCAAAACCACAACUCAAAACUAAUUGAGAUGAAUCAAACUUCUCUAACUGUUCAAUGCACAUGAAGGUGGAAGUUUUUGUAUCCCUUUGGAUAACUACCCCUUUUGAGACUACUUUCAAAGGAUAGAUCAACUACCAAGCCAUGCACCGCUGCGCUCCAAAAUAUAUAAUUGAAUCACAUAGAGCAAAAGUAUCUUGCUCAAAAGAUAUAAGUGAAGCACAUGUGAGCUGAAUUGUCUACCAAAAGAUAUAAGUGAAGCUCGACAAAAUCACGGUGUGUGCAUGUCUCUCUCUCUAGGUGUGAAGCAAGGAUGAUUGUGACACAACAAAAAUAAAAGACUCCUAUGAUACAAGACGCUCCAGGCAAAAACACAUAACAUGUGGUGAAUAAAAAUAUAGCCCCAAGUAACGUUAUCGAUGGAUUGAAGACGAGAGAGGGGAUGCCUUCCCGGGGCAACCCCAAGCAUAGGCUUUUACGACAUCCAUGAAUCUCUUGGGGUGCUUUGGGCAUCCCCAAGCUUGAGCUCUUUCCACUCUUUAUAUUUUUGUCCAUAAGAACUUCACCCAAAACUUGAAAACUUCACAACACGAAACUUAAAUAGAAACUCGUGAUAACAUUAGUAUGAGAAAGCAAACCACCACUUCCUUAGGUACUGUAGCAAACUUAAAUUAUACUUAUGCUGAUGUUGGGUUACUGUAUUUUCAAUCUUCCAUGGCUAAUACGCCCCGAUAGUAUCCAUAGUUUCAUCAAAAUAAGCAACCAACACAAGAAAAACAGAAUAUGUUAACAGCAGACCAGUCUGUAGCAAUCUGUAUAUUUCGUAUAUCUCUGUUACUUCCAAAAUUCUGACAAAUUACGACAGUCUGAAGAAUUUGCGUUGCAUUCAGCAGAAAAAGAAUCAACACAAAAUCUCUUACAGAAAAAAAAUGAAAAUUCUUUUCGUGAGCAGAAAGUUUCUGUCUUUUCCAGCAUGACCAAACGAUCAUCCCCAAGACUAAUCAUAACGGUUUUGCUUGGCACAAACGCAAAAAGAAACACAAAAAAAACAAUCAUAACAGAAUUAUGAAAGUGUGGAAAACACAGAACAGAAAGAAAAAUGAUAGAUUCGUUGGGUUGCCUCCCAACAAGUGCUUUUGUUUAACGCCCUUAGCUAGGCAUUGAAGCGAUAGAAUCUAAGUCUAACAUACUUCCUAUGCAUAGGCAUUUUAUAGGGAAACAAAUUGGCAAGACAACCAAUAGUUACCUAAUGCAAGGAAGAAGAAAGAGACAAUAUCAAUCUCUAAAUAACGAGAGGUAAUUUGGUGACAUGAAAGUUUCUACCAAAAUAUUUUCCUCUCUGAUAACAAUUAAAUGUGGGAUCAUAUUCAAAUUCAACAAUAUAGCUAUCCCAUAGGAUAUUCUUUUCAUGAUCCACAUGCAUGGAAAGUUGACGCUCUUCAAAAAUAGUGGGAUUAUCAUCAACUAAAGUCAUGACUUCUCCAAACCCACUUUCAAUAUUGUUGCAAAUAUCAUAUUCAUCAUGAGGUUUGAACAAAUUUUCAAGAUCAUCAGAAAAAUCAUCACCCCAAUCAUGAUUAUUGAAACAAGUAGUGGACAUAGCAAAACCAGCAUCCCCAAGCUUAGGGUUUUGCAUAUUCAUAGCAUGAUUGUCACUAAUAUAAUUUAUAGUGAAACCAUUGCAAUCAUGCUUUUCAUCCAAGGAACCCUCGUGAAUGACUUCAUGAAUUUCUUCAUCACGAUUUUCAGAUUCACGCAUCUGAAGCAAAACUCCAUAAAGAUAGUCAAGUGCCCUCAACUCACUAGCAAUUCGUUCCAAAUAAGUGGGUCUCGUAAAGAGAUUAGCUAGUGGAUGAGGAUCCAUAUCACUAGAUUUUCAGCAAGCGAAGAUGCAAGCAUAUCGAAGGCACAUGGCACACAAGCGAAGAGAAAGCAAGCGAGAGAAAAGGGAGAACGAAAAGGCAAAGGAGAAAGGCAAAUGAAAAUGGCAAAUGUGAAGUCGGGGAGAGGAAAACGAGAGGCAACCGGGAAAAAAGUAAAUGCAAGAGAUGAGUUUGUGAGACCUACUUGGAUAGAUCUCUCCUCCCCGGCAACGGCACCAGAAAUACUUCUUGAUGUCACCAGUGCUACUGCAACAAAAGACCUUCCAAUGGCGCCAAAAAUAGGUGUGUUGACGGCACCAGGAAUCCUUCUGCUAUGGCUACGCCUUAAGGGACUUCCUAGGAAAAUAUGCAAAGGAUUUCCCCCGUAGCCUUGGAGCCUUGCGUCGGUGUUCCCUCGAAGCGGAAAGGGUGAUGUAGCGCAGCGAUGGUAAGUAUUUCCCUCAGUUUGAGAACCAAGGUAUCGAUCCAGUGAGGCAGUAUCACAAGAGCCUACACAAACACAAACAAGCUGCUCCCAACGCUAUGAAGGGGUUGUCAAUCCCUUAUAGAUUGUUCGCCAAGUGAGAACUGAAAGCAACAAAGUAACAAAGCAAAGUAAACGCAGAGGUGUAAACAAUAGAUGUGAAUAGACUCGGGGGCCGUAGUGUUUACUAGUGGCUUCUCUCAUGAAAGCAAGUAGACGGUGGAUGAACAAAUUACUGUCGAGCAAUUGAUAGAACCACGCAAAGUCGUGACGAUAUCUAUGGCAAUGAUUAUAUCUAUAGGUAUCACGUCCAAAACAAGUAGACCGAUACUGUCUGCAUCUACUACUAUUACUCCACACGUCGACCGCUAUCCAGCAUGCAUCUAGUGUAUUAAGUCCAAAAGAACAGAGUAACGCCUUAAGCAAGAUGACAUGAUGUAGAUGGACAAUCUCAUAUCAACAACAGAGCCCAUCUUGUUACCCUUGAUGGCAACUACUCAAUGUUUGCCUUGCUGCCCCUACUGUCACUGGGAAAGGUCACCACAUGGUAAGAACCCAAAACCAAGCACUUCUCCCAUUGCAAGAAUCAUAGAUCUAGUUGGCAAAACAAAACCCAAGACUCGGAGAGACUUACAAGGAUAUCAAAUCAUGCAUAAAAGAAAUCAGCAAAGACUCAAAUAUAUAUCAUAGAUAAUCUGAUCACAAAUCCACAAUUCAUCGGAUCUCGACAAACACACCGCCAAAGAAGACUACAUCGGAUAGAUCUCCAUGAAGAUCAUGGAGAACUUUGUAUUGAAGAUCCAAGAGAGAGAAGAAGCCAUCUAGAUACUAACUACAGACCCGUAGGUCUGAAGUGAACUACUCACGAGUCAUUGGAGGGGAGAUGAUGAUGAUGAAGAAGCCCUCCAACUCCAAAGUCCCCUCCGGCAGUGCACCGGGAAGGGUCUCCAGAUGAGAUCUCGCGGCGGCGGAAAAGUAUUUUCGUGGAUCCCCUGAUUUUUUGCUGAAUUUUAGGGAAUAUAUAGGCCAAAGAUCUAGGUCAGGGGGCGCUCAGGGAAGCCACAAGCCGUGCCACCACCGCCUCCCCCUUGGUGGCGGAGUGGGGGCUUGUGGGCUCCCUCUAGCCCUCCUGGCUUGGCCCACAGGCCCCCUGAUCUUCUUCCGUUCGGGAAAAAAUCAUUUCGGGGAUUUUAUUCGAUUUGGGCUCUGUUCCAAAAUCAGAUUUGAAAAGAGCCAAAAACACAGAAAAAAUAGGAACUGGCACCUGGCACUGAAUUAAUAAGUUAGUCCCAAAAAGUAUAUAAAAUGUACAUAAAACAUCCAAAGAUGACAAGAUAACAACGUCAAACCAUCAAAAAAUAUAGAUACGUUUGAGACGUAUCAGUGCAUAUCUCUCUCUCUAGGUGUGGAGCAAGGAAGAUUGUGACACAACAAAAAUAAAAGACUCCUACGAUACAAGACGCUCCAAGCAAAACACAUAACAUGUGGUGAAUAAAAAUAUAGCCCCAAGUAACGUUACCGAUGGAUUGAAGACGAAAGAGGGGACGCCUUCCCGGGGCAUCCCCAAGCUUAGGAUUUUUUGGCAUCCUUGAAUCAACUUGGGGUGCCUUGGGCAUCCCCAAGCUUGAGCUCUUGCCACUCUUUAUCUCUUAGUCCAUAAGAACUUCACCCAAAACUUAAAAACUUCACAACACGAAACUUAAACAGAAACUCGAGAUAUCAUUAGUAUAAGAAAGCAAAUCACCACAUCCUUAGGUACUGUAGCAAACUUAAAUUCUACUUAUGUUGAUGUAGGGUUACUGUAUUUUCAAUCUUCCAUGGCUAAUACCCCCCGAUACUAUCCAUGGUUUCAUCAAAAUAAGCAACCAACUCAACAAAAACAGAAUCUGUUAACAGCAGACCAGUCUGUAGAAAUCUGUAUACUUCGUAUACUUCUUGUACUUCAAAAAUUCUGAAUAAUUACGACAGUCUGAAUAAUUUGCGUAGCAAUCAGCAGCAAAACAUAUCAACUCAAAAGCUCUUACAGAAAAAAAAUGAAAAUCCUUUUCUUGAGAAAAAAGUUUCGGUCUUUUCCAGCAUGACCAAACGAUCAUCCCCAAGACUAGUCAUAACGGUUUCACUUGGCACAAACGCAAAAGAAACACAAAAAACACAAUCAUAACAGAAUUAUGAAAGUGUGGAAAACACAAAACAGAAAGAAAAGGGAUAGAUUCGUUGGGUUGCCUCCCAACAAGCGCUAUUGUUUAACGCCCUUAGCUAGGCAUAAGGUGAUGGAAUCACGUAUAGUCAUCUUUGGUGCUCAAACCAUAAGUAGCCCUCAUCAUAGAUUCAUAAGGCAAUCUUAUUUUUUUCUAGGAAAAUGCUCCAUGCCCUUCUUUAGAGGAAAUUGAAAUCUAAUAUUCCCUUCCUUCAUAUCGAUGAUAGCACGAAUAGUCCUUAGGAAAGGUCUACCAAGAAUAAUGGGGCAUGAAGGAUUGCAAUCUAUGUCAAGUACAAUGAAAUCCACGGGUACAUAGUUCUUAUUUGCAACAAUAAGAACAUCAUUGAUCCUUCCCAUGGGUUUCUUGACAGUAGAAUCCACAAGAUGCAAAUCAAGAGAACACUCUUCAAUCUCAUGAAAACAAAGAAUAUCACAUAAAGACUUUGGAAUCGCGGAAACACCAGCACCCAAAUCACACAAAGCAUUGCAUUCAUAGUUUUUGAUCUUGAUUUCGAUAGUAGGUUCCCACUCAUCAUGAAUUUUUCUAGGUAUAGAGACUUCUAAUUUGAGUUUCUCUUCAAGAGAUCUCAUCAUAGCAUCUACGAUAUGAGCGGUAAAGGCUUUGCUUUGGCUAUAAGCAUGUGGAGAGUUUGCAAUGGAUUGCUUCGAGGAAAUGCAUUCAAACAAGGAGAAACUAUCAUAAUUGAAUUCCUUGAAAUCCAAAGUGGGAGUUUCAUUACUACCCAAUAUUUUGAUUUCUUCUACUGCAUUCUCCACACCUUUAUCAUCGAGAUAGGUGGACUCCGAAUCAUUGGGGCGUUUUUCAACCAAAGUGGAUUCAUAUCCAGCCCCUUCAUCAAUAGGUUUGACACGCGAAAACAAAGAUUCAAGAGGAUUCACACCAAGAACUUUAAGAUCUUCGUGAUUUGCAUCACUAGAACGCACCCUUUUAAACAAUUCAUGCCUAGCGCGAAUUUGGGCGGUUCUUUCUUUGCUCUCAUUCAUGGAGACACGCAUAGCUUUUAAAGUUUCAUCCAAGUUGACCUUGGGAGGAGCACAUCUAACUUUCAAAGCAUCAAUAUCACAAGACAUCCUAUCAACGCUCUUAGCCAAAUCGUCUACUUUGAGUAGUUUUUCCUCUAUGGACGCAUUGAAAAUCUUUUGAGAGUUGAUGAACUCUUUGAUAUUACUCUCUAAAUCAGAGGGUAAUUUGUGAUGAUUUCCAUAAGUGUUGUUGUAGGAAUUGCCAUAGUUGUUAGAGGAGUUACUAGGAAAAGGCCUAGGAACAUAGUUUCCUCUAAAAGCAUUGUUGUUGCCAAAAUUAUUCCUACCAACAAAAUUAACGUCCAAACUAGCAUUUCUACUCUCAAUCAAGGAAUAUAGUGGGAUGUCAUUAGGAUCUAAAGGAGCAUUUCUACUAGCAACCCAAUUCAUCAACUCGUCUAUCUUAGCACUAAGCGAGUUAAUUUCUUCUAUAGCGUGUACCUUUUUGCUAGCAGGUGACCUUUCAGUGUGCCACUGAGAGUAGUUGGUCAUGAUAUUGUCUAGGAGUUUUGUAGCUUCUCCUAAUGUGAUUUCCAUGAACGUUCCACCUGAGGCGGAGUCCAAGAUAUUGCGAGAAGAAAUAUUCAAACCAGCGUAAAAGAUUUGUAUAAUCAUCCACAAACUCAAGCCAUGAGCAGGACAAUUUCUAAUCAUUAACUUUAUCCUCUCCCAUGAUUGUGCAACGUGUUCAUGGUCAAGUUGCUUGAAAUUCAUGAUAUCAUUACGGAGAGAGAUAAUCUUAGCCAGCGGAAAAUACUUGGAUAUGUAAGCAUCUUUGCACUUAUUCCAAGAAUCGAUACUAUUUUUAGGCAAAGAAGAAAAUCAAGUUUUCGCACGAUCUCGCAAAGAGAACGGAAAAAGCUUCAAUUUAAUCACGUCAUUAUCCACAUCUCUUUUCUUUUGCAUAUCGCAAAGCUCAAUGAAGGUAUUGAUAUGGGAUGCGACAUCUUCACUAGGAAGGCCAGAAAAUUGCUCUUUCAUAACAAGAUUCAGCAAGGCAGCGUUGAUUUCAUAUGAUUCAGCACUAGUGGAGGGAGCAAUCAGAGUACUACUAAAAUCAUUAUUAUUAGUAUUCGAGAAGUCACAAAGUUUGGUGUUUUCAGCCAUGAUGACUUCAACAAACAAACAAGAACACAAGCAAGCAAGAAAACUAGCAAAGGAAAAUGGCAAAAGGCAAAUGAAAACGGCAAAGGAGAAAGGCAAAUGAAAACGACAAAUGUGAAGUGAGGGAGAGGAAAAUGAGAGGCAACUGGCAAAAAAGGUAAAUGCAAGAGAUGAGUUUGUGACACCUACUUGGAUAGAUCUUGACUUGAUCUCUCCCCGGCAACGACGCCAGAAAUAUUUCUCCUACGGCAACAGAAGACCUUCCCUGGCAACGGCGCCAUGAAUCCUUCUGCUACGGGGUACGCCUAUAGGGACUUCCUUGGCAAAUAUGCAAAGGAUUCCUCGCGGCCUUGGAGCCUUGCGUUGGUGCUCCCUUGAAGAGGAAAGGGUGAUGUAGCACAGCGGCGGUAAGUAUUUCCCUCAGUUUGAGAACCAAGGUAGCAAUCCAGUACGAGGAUCACGUCAAGUCACAAGUACCUGCACAAACACAAAGAGCUUGCACCCAACGCUAUGAAGGGGUUGUCAAUCCCUUAUAGAUUGUUUGCAAAAUGAGAACUGAAAGCAAAAGGCAAACAAAGCAAAGUAAAAGUAAAAGUGGAGACGAUAGUUGUGAAUAGACCCGGGGGCCGUACUGUUCACUAGUGUCUUCUCUCAUGAAAGCAAGUAGACGGUGGGUGAACGAAUUACUGUCGAGCAAUUGAUAGAACCAUGCAAAGUCAUGACAUUAUCUAUGGCAAUGAUCAUAUCUAAGGCAUCACGUCCAAAACAAGUACACCGAUACUUUCUGCAUCUACUACUAUUACUCCACACGUCGACCGCUAUCCAUUAUGCAUCUAGUGUAUUGAGUCCAUAAGAACAGAGUAACGCCAUAAGCAAGAUGACAUGAUGUAGAUGGAAAAUCUCAAAUCUAUGAUGAAAGCCCAUCUUGUUACCCUUGAUGACAACAACAUGAUGUGUGCCUUGCUGCCCCUUCUGUCACUGGGAAAGGUCACCGCACGGUAUGAACCCAAAACCAAGCACUUCUCCGAUUGCAAGAAUCAUAGAUCUAGUUGGCCAAACAAAACCCAAGACUCGGAGAGACUUACAAGGAUAUAAAAUCAUGCAUAUAAGAAAUCAGCAAAGACUCAAAUAUAAUUAAUAGAUAAUCUGAUCACAAAUCCACAAUUCAUCUAAUCUCGACAAACACACCGCCAAAGAGGAUUACAUCGGAUAGAUCUCCAUGAAGAUCAUGGAUAACUUUGUAUUGAAGAUCCAAGAGAGACAAUAAGCCAUCUAGCUACUAACUAUGGACCCGUAGGUCUGAAGGAGACUACUCAAGAGUCAUUGGAGAGGCGAUGAUGUUGAUGUAGAAGCCCUCCAGCUCCAAAGCCCCCUCCGGUAGGGCACCAGGAAGGGUCUCCAGAUGAGAUCUCGCGGAAACGGAAGCUUCCGGCGGCGGAAAAGUGUUUUCGCGGAUACCCUGAUUUUUUCUGGGAUUUUAGGGAAUAUAUAGGCCAAAGAGCUAGGGCAGGGGAGCGCCACGGAGGCAACAAGUCCCCCGAACUUCUUCGGUUCUGGAAAAAUUUAUUUCGGGGAUUUUAUUCCGUUUGGACUCCGUUCCAAAAUCAGAUUUGAAAAGAGUCAAAAACACCGAAAAACACAAACUGGCACUUGGCACUGAAUUAAUAAGUUAGUCCCAAAAAAGAUAUAAAAGGUAUAUAAAACAUCCAAAGUUGACAAGAUAACAACAUGAAACCAUAAAAAAUUAUAGAUACGUUUGAGACGUAUCAGUAUGUUACUUGCUCAAGAUUCGAUCGUCGGUAUCUCCAUACAUGGUUCAAUGUGGUUACCAGCAAGUCUCUUUACUCGUUUCAUAAUACUAGAUCCUAUGACUAACUCUUUAUUCACACUACUUGGAAGCUUCUCGUGGUGUUGUGUUACCGAGUGGGCCCAAAGAUACCUCUCCGUCAUACGGAGUGACAAAUAGUAGUCUCGAUCCAUGCCAACCCAACAAACACCCUCAGAGAUACAUGUAGAGUACCUUUAUAGUCACCCAGUUAUGUUGUGACGUUUGAUACACACAUGUCAUUCCUACAGUGUCCGGGAGUUGCAUUAUGUCAUGGUCGAAGGAACAGAUACUUGAUAUGGAUAAAGCAAUAGUAAUAAACUAGUAUGAUCAAAUACUAUGCUUACGAUUGGGUCUUGUCCAUCACAUCAUUCUCCUAAUGAUGUAAUUCUGUUAUCCAAUGAAAAGUCAUGUCCUUGGUCAGGAAACCUUAACCAUCUUUGAUCAACGAGCUAGUAUAGUAGAGGCUUACUAGGAGCACAGUGUUGUCUAUGUAUCCACACAUGUAUCCGAUUUUCCAAUCAAUACAAUUAUAGAAUGGAUGAUAAACGAUUAUCAUGAGAAAGGAAAUACGAUAAUAACCAUUUUAUUAUUGCCUAUAGGGCAUACUUCCAACAAUCUUGCACUUGCACUAGAGUCAAUAAUCUAGUUCACAUCGCUAGGUGAUUAACAUUGUAAUGAAUCUAAUACCCAUAGAGUUCUCGUGUUGAUCAUGUUUUGUCCGUGGAAGAGGAUUAGUCAAUGGAUCUGCAACUUUCAAAUUCCUAUGUACUUUGCAAAUAUGUAUGUCCUCCUCCUUUAUGUAAUCAUGGAUGGAAUUGAAAUGAUGCCUUAUGUGUCUGGUCCUAUUGUGAAACCUGAGCUCUUUGGCUAGAGCAAUGGCACAGUGUUGUCACACAAGAGUGUCAUCGUAUCCAGUGCACUGACCAGAACUCCAAGAUCUGUCAUGAACUGCUUCAUCCAGACUCCUUCCUUCACUCCUUCUGAAGCAGCGAUGUACUCUGCUUCACAUGUAGAAUCAACUACCAUGCUUUGCUCGGAACUGCACCAGCAUACUGCUCCACCUUUCAGAAUAUAUAUGUAUCCGGUUUGAGACUUCGAGUUAUCCACAUCUGUGUCAAAGCUAGCAUAGACAUAACCCUUUAUGACGAACUUUUGAUCACCUCCAUAAACGAGAAACAUUUCCUUAGUCCACCUCGGGUACUUAAUGAUAUUCUUGACCGUUGUAUAUUGUUCCAUUCCUAGAUCACUUUGAAAUCUUCCGGCCAUACUUAUGGCAAGGCUAACAUCUGGUCUAGUGCACACCAUUGCAUACAUUAUAGAUCCUAUGGGUGAAGCAUAGGUGAUGACACUCAUUUUUUGUCUAUCCUCUGUAGUCGUUGUGCAUUGAGUCUUACUCAAUUGCACACCUUGUUAGACAGGCAAGAACCCAUUCUUGGAAUGAUCCAUUUUGAACUUCUUCAAAACUUAUCAAGAUAUGUGCUUUGUGAAAGUCCUAUCAAGCGUCUCGAUCUAUCUCUAUAGAUCUUUAUCCCGAAUAUGAAAGCAGCUUCUCCAAGGUCUUUCAUAGAAAAACUCUUAUUCAAAUAUAUCUUCAUGCUUUCCAAAGGUUCUAUAUUGUUUCCAAUCAGCACUGUGUCAUCCACAUAUAAUAUUUGGAAUUUUAUAGAGCCCCACUCACUUUCUUGUAAAUACAAGCUUCUCCAUAAACUUGUAUAAAGCCUUACACUUUGAUCACCUCAUCAAAACGAAGAUUCCAACUCCGUGAUGCUUGCAAUAAUCCAUAAAUGGAUCGCUGGAUCUUGCACACUUUGUCAACAAUUUUAGGAUCGACAAAACCUUUUGGUUUCUUCAUAUACAACUCUUCCUUAAGGAAACCAUUAAGGAACAUUGUUUUGACAUCCAUCUGCCAGAUCUCGUAAUCGAAAAAUGCAGCUAUUGCUAACAUAAUCCUGAUAGACUUAAGCAUCCGUAUGUGUCGUGGUUUUAUCACGGCAGAUGUCCUCGUGAAAGGACUUCAAGCGGGACUCAGAUUUACCCAGGUUCGACCCCUCGUGUGGAGGUAAAAGCCUACGUCCUGCUUUAUGUGGAUUGAUAAUGGUUUCAAUUACAACGAGGGAGUAAUUCGCCUGACCUAGCUCUCAAUAAUUUCUAACUCGCCUGAUCUUCCCCCGGGACUCGCCUUUAUAUACAGGUCGAGACCCUAGGGUUUACAAGAGUCCUAGCCAUGCUACCCAUCGUAGCUUUCCCUAUCUCUAAGUCGCUGUGUCCUCCAAGAUUGGGAACUCCCUUGGUAGUCUAUCAUCUGCAUAGCUUCUCGAAUCGCCAUCCGGCUUCUGGGCCAAGGGCCGUACUUCCAAUGUUGAGUGGCCCCUUUGAUGACCCGACCCACCAAGGGCGGGUUAUACCGCAGGUAACAUCCCGAACAUUAGGCCCCAGAUUGUCUUGAAUUCAUUCACGGUAAUAAACCUUUACCCAAUUGGGGCGACUCAUGCUAUCCUUGCCUUUCAACGAAUGAUAAGCCGCCAUCCGUUGUGAAUUUAUUUGACCCGCCGGGUAAUCUUUGAUGACAUCACCUUAUCCCACUUAAUUCCGGGUUUUUAAUGCCAUAACCACCCAACGGAUAUUUUGCUCCGUAUUUACUUAUCCUGAAAACCUAGGCGCCAUCAUUGCAGAUUCUCACUUGUCGCCUCGAUCUCCACUCUGACCACCUCGAUUCCCGCUCUGGCCGCCUCGAUUCCUGUUCUCGCCCUUUAAAUAACCGCAGGGGGAAUGGGGGGCACCUUCACCUACCCCCACCUAGACCUCCUUUCGACCUUCGUCUUCCUCGCGCACUUCGUCUUCCUCGUGCCAGCACCUCGGCUUCCUCACUGGCCCCCGAAGCUCCAUCUAACACCGCGGGUUCCCGGACGUCUUCAAGUCAACAAGAGGUGCGAAUUUCUCUGCAUCCGUCUCCGACGCCGUCUCCUUCCUUAGGUAAACACAUUUCCCCAUUUGGGUUAGACCGAGAAACGCCAUUUCCAUUGCCCCCGCAAGCUAGCUUUGAACCGCAACAAACAUCUCUUUCUGCUCCAGACCUGCUUUAUAUUCUUACGGUAGAUUCUGCAGUAGCAAACCACGGUCACCUUACAACAUCUCUGUGUUACAUUAAGUUCUUGUACUGUAGAUCCAGGCAAUAGUACCGUCGCUUCGUUAUGUUCAUAGCCUUUGUCAUUUUAUCAAGCAUUAUUCCUUUAAUUUGGUCCUCUCGUAGAUCCGCAAUUUACUGCUCGUUUUUAAGAAACAUGUUUGUCCGUCUUCCCGGAUAUCCCUAAGGAAAAAGACCUCUGAGUGUUGCCGCUCGGCUCCUUCCACCACAACGACUUAGACUUAUCAUCAUAGCUACGGCCUCUCUUUUCCGGUUGAAGGGCGAGUCGCAAUACUUCUAAAGAUGUUCCCAUGAAUCGCCCAAUUAGCGAGUUAGAAUGCCUUUUCAUCCAUAUUUUGUCACCUACUGGCGAGUCACCAAAUCCUUCUCAAACACAUUGUAGACCCGAACUAGCGAGUUACCACACUUCAUGGUCCUCACUGAACCGCCUUGUUCUCCUCUUUUUUUCUAGUCGUGGUUGCUAUUUCGAAGUGCAAUUGGUUACCAACCAAAAUCGAUGAUGCUAAUCUCGAGAAAUUCGUUAAGUCAGGUCAUCUCGACAGUAAGGAAGUCAUUGGUUGGAGAACCGCCCCGGGCGAGUUGAUCCCCAACCCUGCCGACGAAGAAGUAGUCAUUUUCACCGACUACCUUGAACGAGGUUUUAAUCCACCCGGGUGAAAGUUUUUCCGAGACGUCUUGCAUUUCCUUAACAUCCAUCCUCAAGAUCUGGGACCCAACUCCAUCAACAAUCUUUGGUAGUUCCAAGUGUUUUGCGAAGUAUACCUGCAAAGAGAGCCCAUAGUUCCUUUGUUUUGGCACUUCUUUCAUUUGAAUCACCAGACUGAAUUUACCAACGGACCCAAUCUUGAACUUGGAGGAGUCAACAUCCAGAGACGCCGUGAGCGUGAAUUUCUAUCAGUCCUUCUGCCUAGCCAUCUCAAAGGCUGGGCCGAGUCAUGGUUUUAUUGCCGCGACACGUGUCCACCUAGCGAGAACUCACUUCCGGGUUUCAGAGAGGAUCACCUGCCCAUUGAUUUCAAACUUCUCGAGAAGCUCACAGAAGAAGAAGAAUCUGAAUUUAUCCUUAUCUUCUCCGAGUUACGGUCUUUGACCAAUAACGGGCUCAUUGGGAUUGAUCUGUUCCGCUGCUGGGUGGAAUGGAACAUUCUUCCCUUGAGUCGCCGAGACAGGUUAAUGUGUGAAUAUGAUGGCAAGGUGAACCAUCUGCAAUGCUUCCACCACAAAAAACUCGCAGAGAGUGACAUUGUUGGAAUAAUCAAGAAGCUAACCGACGAGUCUUUGGAAGAAUGUGCCAAAAUCGGGCUCAAAGCCUUGUGCCGUUCCAACCCGGCUCCGCCAGUAAAAGUCUAAGCCGCCUUCCUUUUCCUUAUAAAUAUACUUGCCAACGCUUUCGGGUUUGAAAUUUACUUUUGUUCAUCAGAAAGACGAUCCGUUUUGGCGAAGGGGUCCAAAAGUGAUAGCCCAAAAGAACACCAAACCACCGCCAAAGAAGAAGAAGAAAGCAGGCAAAGUUAAAGCCGCCGCCAAGGAUUCAUCUGUUGUCGGCGAGUCACGAGCUGUCGAAGAGCAAUCAGAGGUAAAACUUCCCCUUUAUUUAUCACCUGUAUAUUCCGACUCAUGCUUAUACCACGCGUCUUUAUGUGUAGGGCGAGGACAACGACAGCCAAGAUGAUGCGGUUGAGGUAAUUUCUAUUUCUUCCGACUCACCUUCCCCUUCUCCUAGACCAGCCAGACGGAUCAGUGGGAAAGUCCCCAUGUCUCAUCCAUAUGCUUAUAUGGACGCUGAUUUCCUUUUGGAGAAGGCAAGAUAUAAUCCCAUGCGCAAAACUCGGAGUCACUCUGGCGACUUAAUUUCCAGGCUGCCUGAGAAGACAACCGGUCGGAAACGCACAAUCGAGGUACACUUUUAUUUAAACAUACUCUUCCUUGUGGAAAAUACGAUUCUCGACUUCCUUAGCCUUCAAACUUUUAUUCUGUCAGACUUCUCCCCCUUCAUCUGGCGACUCAACAAUGUCAGCUCUCCCGCCAAUGAUUCAUGUGCAAGGAUGAGUCCCUUUGUUAACUCUCUUUCUUAUAAAUAACGAUAUGCGCCUUAAUCUUGGUGCCCUUAUCUCAGAGCACAGGCAAAGAAAAGAAAAACUGGUGACUUAUCUUGUGCUCCUUGGACGACUGAGGCCUUAGGCACGAGCGCCUUUGUCCUGGAUCUUGAUGAGGACCAAGCGGCAGCUCAUGACAUUCCUGUGGAUAAUAUCCCCGAUGUCCGGGAUGACUCGCCUGUCAUUUUGAAGGAAACUGCUGACAAGGUUAACCCGUCGAGUCCUCUCAAGGCGACUGAAGAUCCAGAUGUCGUCAUAAUCACCGGCACUGGCUACUCCGCACCUUUGGCGGCGGUGCUAUACAAGCACACUUCAAAGGAAUCUCAUCCUUCCACCGAUCAAGACGUCAGUAAAUUCAAGCUCCUCGAGUAUGAGAAGCUGGAAUUUGACCAACCCUGCUUUGGCUUCGCAAGUCACCUAGAGACGAGUUAUGAAAUGAACAAAAGAUUGAUUCACCUGAUGAAAGUUAAGCAUGCGGUACGUCUAUUUAUGUAUUCUCUUCCACCCAUUAGCCUUCGAAGGGCCGGGUCAUCAUUUGAAAGAUGGGCCGAGUCUUGUGUAUAAUUAAAAUCUUCAACCUGUAGCCCCCAAGGACCGGGUCAUCUUUUGAAAGAUGAGCCAGGUCUUGUUAAAAUCUUCAACCUAUAGCUACCAAGAGCCGGGUCAUCUUUUGAAAGAUGAGCCGGGUCUUGUGUCUAAUUAAAAUCUUCAACCUGUAGCCCCCAAGGGUCGGGUCGUCUUUUGAAAGAUGAGUCGGGUCUUGUGUAUAAUUAAAAUCUUCAACCUGUAGCCCCCAAGGUCCGGGUCAUCUUUUGAAAGAUGAGCCGGGUCUUGUGUAUAAUUAAAAUCUUCAACCUGUAGCCCCCAAGGACCGGGUCAUCUUUUGAAAGAUGAGUCGGGUCUUGUUAAAAUCUUCAACCUGUAGCCCCCAAGGGACGGGUCAUCUUUUGAAAGAUGAGCCGGGUCUUGAAUUUUGUAUGACUUUGAAUAGAAUCAUACAUUAGCCCCCAAGUGUCAGGAAUAUUGCUUGCGGUAAUUUUGAAACUUGUCUCCCCAAAUCUUGUUUUAUAGGAAUCUGUGACCAAUUCCGAGUCAGCUUUAGCCGACUUAGGGAAGAAUCUAGCUGAGCAACAAAAUGCAUGAUCUGAGUCAGAGAGGAAAUAUCACUUGGUUUUGGCUGAACUGGAGAGAAUGAAAGCUGAUCACCAAAAACUGGAGAAGAAAGCCAAAGCAGACCAAGCCGCCAUCCUGUAGCCAUGUUUGGUAAGAAUUAACCCUUGCUUAUGGAAGAAAUAAAUCUAAUCUCCCAAAACUAUCAAAUAUUGAUGUGUCCUCUAUAGGUGCACGAGCCGCCUAUCUCCUAGAUGACUACAUGUUGAAGCUAAAGGCUAUGUAUACCUUCACCGAGCAAUUAUAUACCGAGGGCGUGCUGACAAUUAAGACGGUGAUGGGCAGCAAAGAGCGAGUUAAAUCCAUCAAAAACAUGCUCAGCUAUCUGUCCAUGUUGCCUCCUCAAAUAAAGGAACUGAAAAGAUCAGCCGCCCAGAAGGGAGUCCUGAACACCCUAAGCCGGUGUUUAGCCUAUGCUCCGGAGCUGAAACCAGAAGAAGUAGCCACUGGCUACCCUUAACUGAAGGACGACGGGUCGGAGUUCACCGAGGAGGACUACCACCGAGUGAUCAAGGAAUCCCGCUUCUCGGCGACUCAGCUGGCGGCCCGCUUGGAUUUGAAUAAAUACCAAGCUACAUAUGAUGAGAAGAACAAGAAGGUGACUCCUCCCUUGUACGAAAUUGCUAGCUUGGCUCCUCGUCAGCUCAAGAAUCCUUUUGACCUUGACAUGGAUCUAUCACUCUUCCUUGAUGAUGAAGAUGAGUUUGUUGCCCUAUCCAAGUGUAACUGGAAACUGGGCGACUUACAAAUUGAUGUUGGAGAGAGCUCAAGGCAAGGUGACCCGGAGGCAGCUUCAGUCUUCUCAAGAUGUAAUUUUUACCUUAAAAAGCAAUCUAAUCCUUUCUUCAUUGGGGGAUGAUGCCCGACUUGGCCAUGCGAGCUAUGUAAUAGCUUGUUAGAUUUUGUGGGGAAACAAUUCGUCACUAGUGCCUUUUGAUUGACCUUCCUGAACCACUUAUUCCUUUAGUCUAUUCAUGAAUUGACUUUAACUUUGAUAAACAAGGAAGUGCCACAAUUUGACAUAAAGGCCUUCAUCCUGUGUGUCAAGAAAAUGAAAGACGACUUAGUGAGCUUCUGGAAAAGAAUAGACAAGCCCCCUGGGUUAUGGCAAAAAAUAAACCAGUCCCCUGGGCCAUGGAAAAUACUAGUUAAAAACUGGCCUAAUGAGUCGUGGCGAGUUAUAAACAGAAGCCCACUCAAAGAUAUUAUGAAACCUUGUGGUCGUGCCAUCAAGAAAUAAAAUUCGUCGGCUCAAUGAGCUGCGACAGGACAAGACGAGUUUGCAAAACUCUAGUGUUACCUUAGAAGGCUUUUGCAACAGCCUUGUUUUUUUAGACCGGCUGAUCAGGCGCGAGUCAAGCUUCAGUGAAGUAGGUUCAAUGAACCAAUGGUUUCUCUAUUCUCCAUGUGUGGCUCCGACGGCACCUUUUAUGUUUUAACCAAGGCGAGUUCAGGGUCCAGAUGACGGAUUGACUCGCCCAGAGUACAAAGGUCCAUGUGGCGACUUGUCCAACACAUAGUCUAGUAUAAUCAUUUGUAAUGCAGUAAUAUUUCGCUAGCCAAGAGGGUAUUCAGGCUGAACUUAGUGAGUGGAAGCCCCCAAGUGACCUAUGAUUUAAGAAAAGUCAGGCAUAGGAUCGCAAAAGUGUGUACGCUCUUACUGCAAAAUGACUUGGGAACUGGUAGCCCCCAAGUAAGUCGGACUAAUUCUCAAAAUCAUAUAAGGCGCCUAUGUUUGAACCGUGCACGUGGCGACUGGUCCUCUUUGGCUUUAUCAAGGCCCAGUUUUGAAAUAAGUGUAGCAUGGCGACUUAUGCUCUUUGGCUUUGAUAGCGUCCAUGUUUGGACGACUUAUAGAACAAUAAAGACUCAUGCUUCCAAAAGCUAAAACGGCAAAGGACCCCGAAGUUCGUGGUUGCUCACUUUAUUUUCUUCAUAAAUAAUGAAUUACAAUUUUCUGAAAUGUGGAAAAAGGAGCCCAUGGCUCUAAGUGUAGUAAGGCCGCAGAUGGGCUAUGUUCCAGGGCCGAGUUGUCUCAACCUCUAUAGUUGGCCGAUCUGGGCGAAGAUCCACCAAGUAGUAUGAGCUGUUUCAAAGAUUGUUGCUAAUGACAAAUGGUCCUUCCCACGGAGGUGAUAGUUUGUGCAUACCAGUGUGAUCUUGAAUCAAACGGAGCACCAAGUCGCCCUCUUGAAAAGUCCGGCUCUUGACCCGGCGGAUGUGGUAGCGUCGCAAGUCUUGUUGGUAGAUCACCGAUCGUGACGCGGCCAAGUCACGUUCCUCCUCCAAAGCAUCCAACGAGUCUUGUUGUGCCAGCUCGUUGUCGUGUUCCACAUAGGCGGCGACUCACGGUGAAUCGUGUCUGAUGUCACUUGGUAACACUGUUGCUGCCUCUUAGACCAGAAAGAAAGGAGUAAAACCCGUGGAGCGAUUUGGAGUUGUCCUGAUGGUCCAUAAUACUGAGGGGAAUUCUUCCACCCAACACCCUAUAGUACGUUCCAAAGGUACCAUGAGCCGAGGCUUAAUUCCCUGCAAUAUUUCUGGAUUCGCGCUUUCCGCCUGCCCAUUAUACUAGGGAUGUGCAACUGCGGAGACGUCAAGCCGGAUAUGCUCUCGUGAACAAAACUCUUGCAUUGCACCUUUGGAUAGAUUAGUACCAUUGUCAGUAAUGAUACUAUGAGGGUAUCCAAAUCUGAAAAUCAAUUUUUUCAAGAAUUUGACAGUCGUGUGUGCAUGACGGCUACUAAUGGGCUCUGCCUCAACCCACUUGGUAAACUUGUCAACCGCCACCAAUAGGUGAGUCUUUUUAUUGGAUGACAUCUUGAAAGGGCCAACCAUGUCAAGCCCCCAGACUGCAAAUGGCCAAGUGAUUGGUAUCAGCCGCAAUUCCUGAGCCGGCACGUGCAUCUGUCGUCCAAAUUUUUGUCAGCCAUCACAUCGGCGAACAACCUCCUCUGCGUCUGCAUGAGCCGUCAACCAAUAAAACCCGUGUCUGAAGGCUUUAGAAACCAAGGAUCGUGACCCAGCAUGAUGACCACAGUCGCCUGCGUGAAUCUCGUUAAGGAUCAUACAUCCUUCUUCAGGAGAUACGCACCUUUGAAAUACCCCUCAGGUGCUUCGUUUGUGCAACUCGCCAAUGUGUAUGACCAUGGAUUUACACCAACGGACGAUUUGGCGAGCCAAUAAUUCAUCGGCACGUAACUCGCCUCUAGUGAGAUAUGCCACAUAAGGAGCCGCCCAAUCCGGAGUAGCAUGAAGAUCCGCCACGAGUUGAGACUCGGGGUCCGGCACCGCCAAGUCUUCCUCUCAAGGCAGUCUCACCGAGGGGUUAUGUAAUACAUCCAAAAAGACAUUGGGAGGAACCGGCUUACGUUGUGAACCGAGACGGGAAAGAGCAUCCGCUGCUUCAUUAAGUCGCCGAUCGAUGUGAUCCACUUGAUAACCAUGGAAAUGACCCGCCACAUCUUACACAGCUCGUGUGUAAGCCGCCAUCAAGGGGUCUCUUGAAUCCCAGGUGCCAGAAACCUGCUGUGCCACCAAAUCUGAGUUGCCCAGACAUCUGACUCGCGUGAGGUUCAUAUCUUUAGCGAGUCGCAACCCAUGGAGUAAGGCUUCAUAUUCUGCUGCAUUAUUGGUACAUGGGAACAUGAGCCGAAGGACAUAGAAAAACUUGUCACCUUCAGGCGAAGUUAUCACCAACCAGCCCCCGAGCCUUCCAAUUGCCGGGAUCCAUCGAAAUAGAUGGUCCAAUAAGUAAGAUCGGGCCUAUCCUGUGGGAUUUGCAACUCGGUCCAAUCAUUAAUGAAGUCCAUGAGUUCUUGAGAUUUGAUGGUCGUCCGGGGCAUAUACCGCACAUGAUGGGGCCCUAACUCGAUGGCCCACUUAGCAAUCCGUCCAGUUGCCUCUCGAUCCUGUAUGAUGUCACCAAGGGGGGCAGAACUGACGAUCCUGAUUGGAUGCUCCUGGAAGUACUGCUUCAACUUCCGACUUGCCAUAAGCACCCCAAAAACCAGCUUCUGCCAAUGCGGAUAACGUUGCUUGGAGAGGGUUAGGACCUCGCUGAUAAAAUAGACCGGUCGCUGGACCGGAUACUCCUUUCCUUCUUCCUUCCGCUCGGCAACCACUGCCACGCUAACUGCCUUCGAAUUGGCCACUAUGUACAGGAGCAUAGGUUCCUUGUCUGUCGGAGCCGCCAAUACUGGCGGGUUAACUAAUUGUCGCUUCAAGUCUUCAAAGGCUUCGUUGGCUUCGUCCGUCCAGACGAAUUGAUCAGUUUUCUUGAGCAACUGAUAGAGAGGGAUGGUCUUCUCCCCGAGGAAACUUAUAAAGCGGCUCAGAGCUGCGAUUCGACCCGCCAUGCGCUGGACUUGGUUAAUGUUAGCCGGUUUCCCCAGCGAAGUAAUUGCUUCAAUUUUGUCCGGGUUAGCCUCAAUGCCAUGUUCCGACACCAAAAAGCCCAAUAACAACCCUGUAGGAACACCAAACACACACUUGGUGGGAUUAAGCCUCAUCUGGUAGAUGCGCAGGUUGUCAAAAGUUUCCUUGAUAUCCUCCAAGAGCGACUCCUUCUGUCGAGAUCUGACCACGAUGUCGUCCACAUAAGUGUGGACAUUACGACCGAUCGACUUGUGCAAACAAUUUUGAAUGCAACACUCAUAAGUCGGCCCCGCACUCUUGAGCCCGAACGGCAUAGACACGUAACAGAGAGCUUCGAAGGGGGUUAAGAAGCAUGUCUUUUCCUGAUCCGCCAUCGCCAUCUUGAUCUGGUGGUAUCUUGAAUAAGCAUCCAAGAAACAAAAAUGCUCACAACCCGCCAUCGAAUUAAUAAUUUGAUCAAUGCGGGGAAGGGCGAAGGGAUCCUUCGGACAUGCUCUGUUGAGGUCAGUGUAGUCGAUGCACAUGCGGAAAGUGUCGUUCUUUUUUAGCACUAGGACCGGGUUAUCCAGCCAUUCAAGAUGGAAAACCUCGAUGAUAAACCCGGCGGCCAAAAGCCGGGCGACUUCCUCUCCGAUCGCCUUACGAUGCUCUUCAUAAAACCUGCGAAGGUAUUGCCGGACUGGCUUAACUUUGGGGUCAGUAUUUAGAUGGUGCUUAGCGAAUUCUCUCGGUACACCUGGCAUAUCAGAAGGUUUCCAUGCGAAGAUGUCCCGAUUCUCACGGAUGAAUUCGAUGAGCGCACUUUCCUAUUUGGGAUACAGACCCGCCCCAAUAGUGAACUGCUUAGUGGAGUCGCCAGGCGUGAAGUCUAUGACCUUGGUAUCGUCCGUCAGUUUAAACUUGAGGGGCGGCUCAGAGUUGAUAGUUGGCCUCUGGAGCAGCGUCAUGUCUGCCGGGUCAACAUUAGCUUGGUGAAACUUGAGCUCUUCGGCCACGCAAGCCGACUCGGCGUAAGCUACAUCUCCUUCUUCACAUUCUUGAGCUAUCUUCCUGUCUCCGCUGAUGGUAAUAGGUCCCUUAGGGCCGGGCUUCUUGAGUUUGAGAUAAACAUAACAUGGGCGGGCCAUGAAUCAGGCGUACGCCGGCCUUCCAAACCACACAUGGUACGGGCUGUUGAUUUUGACCACCUCGAACAUGAGAGACUCGCUCAUGUAAUUGGACUAUGUGCCAAAGACCACGUUAAGUUUAAUCCUCCCAAUUGGAUACGCCGACUUACCGAGGACGAUGUCGUGGAAGACCGUGGUUGAUGGCAUCAAGUCUUUCUCCAAGAGAUUCAUCCGUCGGAAGGUAUCAAAGUAUAAUAUGUUAAUGUUGCUGCCUCCAUCCAUUAGGACCUUGGAAAGGGUGUAACCCCCGACUUGGGGAGCCACGACCAAACCCAAGUCGCCAGGGUUAUCUACUCUGGCGGGUGGUCCUCCCUGCUCCAGGUUAUGGGUUGUUCAGACCAGUGAAGGUAUCGGGGGAGCGUCGGCUUGACCAUGCUGAAGGUUCUAUGUUUCACCUUCUGAUCCCGCUUGCAGGUGCUGGUGGUGAACACGUGAUAUUGCCCGCUGUUCAGUUGCUUAGGGUUAUCCUGAAACCCGCCACAAUCUUCCUGUUGCUGGAGAUCCCCUUGCGGGGGUGGUUGCUGAAACACUCCUGGCGGUUGUCCUGCUGGUUGUGAACUUGGUAUUGUCAUGUGUUGAGCUGCGACCCGCCCUGCGGUCCCGGGUUAGGAAACCGCAGUACGGGAUCAGGCGUGACCCAGGCGGGCCAGGUUGCUCCUGUCGUUGGCCCUGAUCACUGCCAUGACCUCUUCUGAGUGCCUCGACCCGGAAUUCCUGCAUCACGUAGCAAUCCUCCCAAGAGUGAGUCAACGGUCCCUCCGCCAUGGCAUGCUGUGGACAAGGGUCUUCGAGCAUCUCAUGAUAAUUGCGCGGUUUCUUCCCACUGAAGCCCCGCUUCUUCUGGCGCAGGUUUCCGUUGCCGGUAUUGGUAUUAGCAACAAAAUCUGUCGGACCUUCCUAUUGUCUCCUUUUGCCGUGCCCACCAUGGUGGUGGUUGCCCCGGCCCAGAAACUGAGAGUGGCCCUUUGGUAACUCGCCCUUCCUGGCGGUACUAACCUUGUCGUCGUCCUCCCCAGGAUCCUUGGUGUCAUCCGACUCAGCAUACCUAGUUAGGGUAUCCAUCAACUCGCUCAUGUCCUGUACUUUCACUUAAGUCGCCCUAGCUUUAGUACCAGAGGUUCGUAAUGGCAGUUUUUCUCCAGGAUCAACACUGCCUGAGCCGCCGAGAUACCUUCGGAUGAAUGAAUAACCUCAGCGACUCGCCGAGUCCAAUGAUGGGCCGACUCAUCCGGCCGCUGAACGCAGUGCUGCAGGUCGACAAUGGUCAUCGGGCGUUUGCAAUCGCCUCUGAAAUUCUUGAUAAAGCGCUCUUUUAGCUCUACCCAGGUGUUGAUGGAGUUAGGCGGUAAGUUAUUUAACCACGCACGUUCCAUCCCUUCAAGAAUCAUAGUGAAAUACUUGGCGCAAACCGCCUCAUUUACGUCGAGCAUGUCCAUCACGAGUUCGUAACUCUCGAUCCAUGAACCUGGCUCGAGAUCCGGCGAGUAAUUAGGGACCUUCCUGGGUCCUUUGAAGUCCUUCGACAUCCGCUCAUUGCACAGAGCCGGCGCAAGACAUGAUACUCCAAUGUGCUUGCCUCCGGCGUCAAGGGGCGCGGGAGGUGUCGAGGUGUAAGCCGGGUAGACCUGACCCGCCGUGGCUGCUGUUUCUAUCUAAUGUGCAGCUCGCUCCGCGUCCAUGAUGUCUUGGGCUCGUGUGUCGGGCAUCCCAAGUGGGUUGUUUUGAGGAAGGCGCCGUGGCCCGCUGGUUACUGCGGGUAAGUCCUCCUAGCGAAUUCUGGUGUGGCUCGCGUGAGGCGUGGAGUGCAACCGAUCGAGGCUAUGGGAAUAUUGUGCGUGCUGGACCACUGCCGUAUUUAGCAUUUCGAUGGCGUUUCUAGCCACUAUCUCGGACGGGGAGUUUCCGUAAAUUGGGAGGGACUCCAGGUGGCGAGUUGUCGCGAGCACAAUAUCCACGGGAUUCGAGAAAUGACCUCGUGGCGUCUGGAAACGAGUCGCAUGGGCAUCCAUUGGUUGAGGCGGCGGCGAGUUAGGUGGUUGAGCCGGACCUCCCCUUGGAACCGUUUGUAAAGGUCGACCAGGACCCGCCCCAGGGGUGCGCAGGGUGUCGAAGAGGCGAGUCGGGUGUAAAUCGGCCGGGAUGCGUCCGUGGUGUCUCCUUUGGUGAACGGCAUCGGACGCAUGCUGUUGUCUCUCGAGCCGCCAACCUUCGGUGUUCAACUGCUCCGUCUCCGCUGCGAUCGCAGCCCGCUGCAUCUCUACCCUGGUGGCUUCUGCUUCCAUGUCCCGCUACGCUUUGGCAAUCGCCUCCCGCAGCUUCGCUAGCUCGGCGUGGAUAGAAUCCUGAUUCUCGGGUGUGACAGCGGUCGCCAUGAGGCUGGCGACCUUCGCCGCUAACUUCGCCAUGGUUUGAGCUGGGGGUUUUGACGUACCGCCGGUUUCGUUGUUGCCGGCUGGGUUUUGCUGAGGCUGUGCCGACCGUGCCAUAUAGAUGGCGAUUUGUCGACGGGUUCUCUCAAGGAUCUCGGGGUCUAUUGCCAGUGACAGCCCUCUGAGUUGUCCUUCGCGAAGAGGAUGGAUUGAAUCUGUCUCGCCCAUGGACGACUCACCGUCAGAAUUGACGGGGGUGAUCUCCUGGGUCGUUGGUUCAUCGUGUACGUCGUUUCCCGGCGUAAAACCGACGAAGGCGUGGCGACUUCUGUCCUGUCGUGUGAUGGGGAGGACGUACCUGGCCGGCUCGAUGAUGCUGGUGGAGGUUUCCGGCUCAGGCACAGGUGUCCCAAUCAUGCCGAUGAAGAUGUUGAUCUUGCCGAACGGGACUGAUAACCCACAAGUAUAGGGGAUCGCAACAGUUUUCGAGGGUAGAGUAUUCAACCCAAAUUUAUUGAUUCGACACAAGGGGAAGCCAAAGAAUAUUCUCAAGUAUUAGCAGUUGAGUUGUCAAUUCAACCACACCUAAAAGAUUUAGUAUCUGCAGGCAAGUAUCAGUAGCAUAGUAGUAUGAUAGCAGUAGUAGCAAUAGUAACCAGUAGCAGCAAAGUGACAGCAGUAGCAGCAAAGUGACAACAUUAGCAACAGAAUAACAGUAGCAGCAGUGACAACAGUAGCAGCAAAGUAACGUAGCAAGGACCAGUAGGAAAAACUCGUAGGCAUUGGAUCGGUGGUGGAUGAUUAUGUUGGAUGUUAUUCAUCAUGCAACAGUUAUAACACGGAGAGAUAUGUAACUAGCUCAAGUUCGUCAAUGUAAUGUAGGCAUGUAUGCCGUAUGUAGUCAUACGUGCUUAGGGAAAAGAACUUGCAUGACAUCUAUUGUCCAUCCCUCCCGUGGCAGCGGGGUCCUAAUGGAAACUACGGGAUAUUAAAGUUCUCCUUUUAAUAAAGAACAGGACCAAUGCAUUAACACUUAGUGAAUACAUGAACUCCUCAUACUAUGGUCAUCUCCGAGAGUGGUUCCGGCUAUUGUCACUCUGGGGUUGCCGGGUCAUAACACAAAGUAGGUGACUACAACUUGCAAGAUAGGAUCAAGAACACACAUAUAUUGGCGACAACAUAAUAGGUUCAGAUAUGAAAUCAUGGCACUCGGGCCCUAGUGACAAGCAUCAAGCAUGGCAAAGUAGUAGCAACAUCAAUCUCAGAACAUAGUGGAUACGAGGGAUCAAUCCCCGUCAAAACUAACUCAAUUACAUGAUAGAUCUCAUCCAACCCAUCACCGUCGAGCAAGCCUACGAUGAGAUUACUCAGGAACGGUGAAGAGCAUCAUGGAACUGGCGAUGAAGGAAUUUUGGUGAUGACGAUGGUGACGAUCUCCCCUCUCCGGAGCCCAGAACAGACUCCAGAUCUACCCUCUAGAGGAAGAACAGGAGGUGGCGGCGCCUCCGUAUCGUAAAAUGCGAUGAACACUUCUCCUUGAUUUUUUUCCGAACGAAAGGGACUAAAUAGAGCUGAGAUUGGAGGCGGUGGAGCUUCGUGGGCCCAUGCGCGGCCAUGGGGGCGCGCUUGGUGGGCUUGUGGGCUCCACGGUCCACUUCCUCCGUUGAUUCUUGCACCAGUAUUUUUUAUAUAUUCCACAAAAAAUCCCCUUAAAUUUCCAGGUGAUUCUGAGAACUUUUAUUUCUGCGCAAAAACAACACCAUGGCAAUUCUGCUGAAAACAGCCUUAGUCCGAGUUAGUUCCAUUCAAAUCAUGCAAAUUGGAGUCAACAGCGCAAAAGAGUUUGGAAAAGUAGAUACGACGGAGACGUAUCAACUCCCCCAAGCUUAAAACCUUGCUUGUCCUCAAGCAAUUCAGUUGACAAACUGAAAGAGACAAAAGAAAAACUUUUAUGAACUCUGUUUGAUCGUGUCGUUGCAACUAUGUCUAACUCAUAUCCAAAAUUUCAGCAAGAUAACAAGCUAACCACAUAAGCAAAUGACAUCUAGGUCUCACGGUAAACUCAUAUCAAUGGCAUAAUCAACUAGCGAGCAAAUAAUAAUGAGUUUCAAGCGUCAACAUUUCAAUCAAAACAAUCAUGAAGCAGUGCGAACAGAUGGUAUCUCGCUAGCUCUUUCUGAGACCGCAAAACAUAAAUGCAGUGCACCUUCAAAGACCAAGGCUUGACUAAACAUUGUAAUUCAUGGCAAAGAAGAUUCAGUCACAGUCAUACUCAAUCACAGUUAAAAGCAAAGCAUAAAAAUGACAGAGGUGCUCUCUAAUUGGUGCUUUUAUAAGAAGAGGAUGACUCAACAGGAACAGAAAUAGACAUGCCCUUCGCAGAGGGAAGCAUUGAUUUGCACAGGUGCCAUAGCUCAAGCUUCGAAAACAGAGAUAAUAAUUUUGGGUGGCAUGCUUUCAUUGUCAACGCAAUGACCAAGAGUUCUCACCAUCUUCCAUGCUACACGUGCUAUAGGCGGUUCCCAAACAGAAAAGUAAAGUUUUGACUCCCCCACCACCAAUCAAUCACACUCCACGACUAGCCGAAUACUCGGGUGCCGUCCAUACCAACAUCAAUCCAAGGGGAGUUUUGUUUGCCAUUAUCUUUUAGAUUUGAGCAUGGAACUGGGCAUUCCAAUUACCAGCCCCUUUCUCGUGAAUGAUAGUGAAUAAACACUUAUCAAGGAUAACACGCCUAGCAUGGAAGAUACUGAUCGCCCCUUGUCACCGAUGAGCGGUUCGGGCAUGCAAAACAGAUUAUUUCUUAAAGGUUUAGAGAGUGGCACAUGCAAACUUACUUGGAACAACAGGUAGAUACCGCAUAUAUGUAUGUAUGGUGGACUCAUAUGGAACAACUUUGGGUUUAUGGAAGUGGAUGCACAAGCAGUAUUCCCGCAUAGUACAAGUGAAGGCUAGCAAAAGACUGGGAAGCGACCAACUAGAGAGCGACAACAGUCAUCAAAAUGCAUUGAGAUUAACCAACAUUGAGUGCAAGCAUGAGUAGGACAUAAAUCACCAUGAACAUGAAUAUCAUAGAGGCUAUGUUGAUUUGUUUCAACUACAUGCGUAAACAUGCGCCAAGUCAAGCCACUUGAAUCAUUCACAGGAGGAUACCAUCCUAUCAUACUACAACAUAGUCAUCUCAAGAUUCAUGUUGGCAUCCAAGACAAACCAUUAUAAGCUCCUAGCUAAUUAAGCAUGGCAUCAGAAACUAUGAUCUCUAAGUUGUCAUUGCAAACAUGUUUCUCUUACAACAAAGCUGAACUAGCAACGAUGAGCUAGCUAGUCAUAUUUACAAAAACAAAAUAGAUCGAGUUCAUACCAGCUUUUCCAGGCUCCGUCACUUUAUCAUAUAUAGUCAUUAUUGCCUUUCACUCGCACGAACGAACGAUGUGAAUAAUAAUAAGAGUGCUCGUGCAUUGGACUAAGCUCGAAUCUGCAAGUAAACACAAAGGAGAAGAAAAAAUAAUAUGGCACUUUAACACAUAAACAGAUAUGCAUGCGAGAGCCACUAAACAUUGUAACCAUGGUCUUCUACCUUGACCCAAAGAAAAACAAAACUAUUUACACGGGAAAGCUCCCAACAAGCAAAAGAAGAAAAGAAAAUCUUUUUGGGUUUUCUCAAACUAGACAAACACACGAAAAAAAACUAGCAUGGAUGAUAUAGUGGCGAAGUGUGAACACCGACUAACAAAGUGAAAGUGUAAGCAAGAAUAUAAAGUCGGUGAGAAACACGUACUCCCCCAAGAUUAGGAUUUUGUCCUAAGUUGGUCUACUCCCAAGGAGGGAAAUAAGCAGCUCCGGGGGUACUCCGGAGUGUACUGAGGGUGCCACUGUUGUGUGAGCUCCUCUAGCUCCCACUGAUAAACUGACGUCUGGUACUCGACUGGUAGCUCGGGCACGGGCGCCUGUGGUUGGGCUAUGCCCCAAUAUGCGUAGAUAUCCAAGGGCAUAAUAAUGUACCUGUCUGUAUGAAGAUUGAACAAAGAAGGAGCAGGCAAAGUAAUAGUCUCACGAGUACACUGACUAAAUACCAGGUUAUAAAUCAUCCUUCUAUUUAUAUAUCUAUCAAGAAAGUCAUGGCGAACCAUGCUAUCAUAAUCUAGAUAUCUUUCAGGAAGAAGAAUCUCUUCUUCCUUGUCCAGUCUAAUAGAUAUCUCAAAAUGUCUAGCAAGACGAGUAACAUAGAUACCUCCAUAGACAACGCCUUUAGAACGGUUCGUGUUCAACCGUUGACCUACUAUAGCACCCAAGCUAUAAGUUUUGUCAUUAUAAAGGGCUUCGCGCAAGACCGCAAGAUCUGGGGAGCGAAGGGACCCAGCUUUCCCUCGGCCAAUCAAACAUUUUCCCACGAAUAAUGAGAAGUACCGAAGCACGGGAAAAUGUAUGCUAGCAGCUCUAGCGCAAGACACUCCUCUCUCCUCUCCUACAACAAUAGUAUCUAUGAAGGCCUCCAAGUCCCAUGGACGAGGUUCAUGAAUAUCCCCAACAUAAGGUAAUUUGCAAACAUUGCAAAGAUCCUGAAGUGACAUGCGCUGGGGGAUAUCAUAUAAUUUGAACUCAAUAGUAGGAGGAUUCUUCCUUGGAUAGAAGUUAAAGCUUUGCACGAAAAUAUUAGUGAGGAGGAGGUAUUGCGGACACUUAUCUUCAACGAAGGCGGUAAGGCCUGCGUUAUCCACCAAGUAAUAGAAGUCCUCAUAAAGUCUGGCGGCGCGUAAGAACACAUCACUUGGCCACUCGCACGCUCGAACUUCUACAACUCGGGGGACCGGAUACUUGGGUUUCUUCUUCUCAUUCCCAUCAUCCUUGGGGUCACGGCUUGAAGAGCCUCUUAAGAACCUCCUCAUCUUUUCCCUUUUCUACCUUUGAAAAUUUCUGAAAUUUUUAGUGAUUCUAAGGAAAAGUGAACAAGGCCCAACGAAACUCGUAGCAACUACUCCCUCAAGUGCCAAGAAGCCAUAUUAUGCAUCAAAACUACUUGGGACCAGCUAAAAUUAGCAUGCAAAGCUCAAGAACAGGGUCACCAAGGCAGCAAAAAUAUGCGAUGUAUAAGGCACUUGAGCAAAAACUAAUUGGACCAAUGGAGGAGUCAGUUACCACGGAGCAAUUUCCCCAAAAUAGUUUGGUGAAUGGUGCUUUGUACAAGGAGAUCGAAUAUCCCAGCAAGAAGAGCAAGAACACAGGUUUGAGCUGCGAAACGAUUUUUUUCUGCAUGUAGGAGAAGCAGAUGGGAGCUAGAAUAAGUGGAGGGGGUGCAUGUGGGCCCCACAAGCCUGGUAGGCGCGGCCAGGGGGUGCCCGCGCCUCCAGGGCUUGCGGCCCACUGGUGCAGCCCCCUGACUAGCUCUUCGUCUCAGUAUUUUUCAAAAAUUCCACAAAAAUCAUACUUGCUUUUCACGGCAUUCGGAGAACUUUUAUUUUCGUGGUACUUUUCCACGAGACGCUAAAAACAGAAAACAGGGAAAACUAAACUAAAUCUAUCAUUUUUCUUCUAAGCAACCGAAGGUGAAAGCUUGGAAUAGAGGUUUGUGACUCCUCGAUUCAUCGAUCUCAUGGUCAUCGAAAGAAAUCCGUCAAUGAGGUUGAUCAAGUCUCCUUGACAAACUUUUUCGAAUCGCAAAAGGAAACGGAGAAUUUUUGAAUAGUCACUAGGUUAUCUCAAUGGGGAUGUGGAUAUGCCCAACAAGCAAAUCAUACGUCAUCUUGACGGGAGGUAUAGGGCAUUCAAAGCUCCCAAUAAGAAUCGAUGAAGUCUUUUCGAUAGCAUUGAUGCAAUGUACUUGAUAUUGUUUCUUCGGAAAGUGCACCGUAUGCUCAUUACCAUUGACAUGGAAAGUGACAUUGCCUUUGUUGCAAUCUAUAACAGCCCCUGCAGUGGUUAAAAAGGGUCUUCCAAGUAUGACUGCCAUGGUAUCAUCCUCGGGAAUAUCCAGAAUAACAAAGUAUGUUAAGAUAGUGACGUUAGUAACCACCACAGGCACAUCCUCGCAAAUGCCGAUAGGGGAAGCAGUUGAUUUGUCGGCCAUUUGCACAGAGAUUUUAGUGGGUGUCAACUUAUCCAGUUCAAGUCUACGAUAAAGAGAGAGAGGCAUAACACUAACACCGGCUCCAAGGUCGCAUAAAGCAGUUCUAACGUAGUUGCCUUUAAUGGAGCAAGGUAUAGUGGGCACUCCGGGAUCACCUAGUUUCUUAGGAGUUCCACCCUUGAAGGUAUAAUUAGCUAGCAUGGUGGAAAUCUCAACCUCAGGUAUCCUCCUCUUAUUAGUCACAAUAUCCUUCAUGUACUUGGCAUAGGGAUACAUUUUGAGCAUAUCUGUCAAAUGCAUCUAUAGGAAGACAGGUCUAAUCAUUUCAACAAAGCGCUCAAAAUCCUCAUCAUCCCUUUUCUUGGAUGGUUUGGGAGGAAAGGGCAUGGGUUUCUGAACCCAUGGUUCCCUUUCAUUCCCAUGCUUCCUAGCAAUGAAGUCUUUCUUAUCGUAUCUCUUAUUCUUAGGUUGUGGGUUAUCAAGAUCAACAGGUUCAAUCUCCACAUCCUUAUCGUUGCUAGUUUGAGCAUCAACAUGAACAUCAGUAUUUUUAUUAUCAUUAGGCUCACGUUCAUCACGAGAUUGUGUUUCGGCAUCAGAGACAGAGACAUCGUUUGGACUCUCAGGUGUAAUAGGGUUGCUAGCGUGCAAGUUCCUAUCAUCUUUCUUCUUCUUCCUAGGAUGACUAGGUGCAUCAGUGCUAACUCCUUGAUAAUCUUGUUCAAUUCUCCUAGGAUGAUCCUCAGGAUACAGAGGUUCCUGGGUCAUUCUACCGCCUCUAGUGACGACUCUAACAGAAUUGUCAUUCAACUCAUUGAGCAAGUAAUUUUGAGCCUUAGGCACUUGUUCUACCUGAGUAGUAACCAUAGAGGCAUGUUUACUCAAGAGCUUAAGAUCAUUGACGUUUCUGUCCACACAAGCACUUAAAUGACUAAGAUACGAGCAUUCUGUUCCAAUUGUCUGCUAACAUAAUUAUUGAAACUCUGUUGUUUGGCAACAAAGUUAUCAAAUUCGUCCAGGCAUAAGCUAGCAGGUUUAUCAAAAGGAAUAUCACUCUUAUUGAAUCUACGUAGAGAAUUUACUUCUACUACAUGUAUCGGAUAAUCAAGACCAUAGAUCUCUUCGAUAGGUGGUAGAUUUUUGACAUCUUCAGAUUUAAUGCCUUUCUCUUUCAUAGAUUUCUUAGCUUCUUGCAUAUCUUCAGGACUGAGGAAUAGAAUACCUCAUUUCUUCGGAGUUGGCUUAGGAGGUGGUUCGGGAAUAGUCCAAGCAUUCUCAUUGCACAAGAUAUUAUUCAAUAGGAUCUCAGCUUGUUCUACAGUUCGUUCCCUAAAAACACAACCAGCACAAUUAUCUAGGUGGUCUCUAGAAGCACCGGUAAGUCCAUUAUAGAAGAUAUCAAGUAUUUCAUUCUUCUCAAGAGGGUGAUCAGGCAAAGAAUUCAGUAGCUGGACAAGCCUCCCCAAGCUUGUGGGAGACUCUCUUCUUCAACUUGCGCAAAGUAGUAUAUUUCCUGCAAGGCAGCUUGCUUCUUGUGGGCAGGGAAAUAUUUUUUAGAGAAGUAAUAGAUCAUAUCCUGGGGGCUAUGCACAUAACCAGGAGAAAGAGAAGUGAACCAGGCCUUAGCAUCAUCCUUUAGCGAGAAAGGAAACAACUUAAGGAUAUAGUAGUGGCGGAUCUUUUCCUCACUAGUAAAUUGGGUGGCUAUAUCGUGUUGUUUGGUAAGAUGGGCUACAACCGUUUCAGACUCAUAACCGUGAAAAGGAUCAGAUUCGACCAGAGUGAUUGACUGAGGGUCGACAGAGAAUUCAUAAUCCUUAUCGGUCACAAAGAUAGGCGAAGUAGCAAACUUCGGGUCGUAUUUCAUCCUAGCGUUCAAAGAUUUUUCUUUCCACUUGCGCAAUAAUUUCUCAACAUCAUAGCUAUCCUUACAAGCAAGAAAGUCCUCAGCUAUCUCUCCCUCCAUAACAUAACCCUCAGGCAUAUCAGGCAAUUCAUAUCUAGGAGAGCUAGUUCUAAGAGGCAAAAUAGCAGGUUCUACCUCAAUAAUCUCAGCAGUUUAAGAAGUAUUAUCACAUCUAGCAGCAACUCUAGCAAUUUUUUGCAUCAAGGAAUGCACCUAGUGGCAAAGCAGUAUCAAGCAUAGCAUCAUCAUAAGCAUCAUGGGCAGCAGAAGUAGCAUCAUCAAGCACAGGCGGCAUAUCAAGAUUUCUAGCAGAAGGUGGUGUCGCAAACUUACUCAUAACUGAAGGUGAAUCAAGUGCAGAGCUAGAUGGCAGUUCCUUACCUAUCCUCGUAGUUGAGGGCAAGACUUUAGUUCUUGGAUCUUUCGGAUACCUCAUAGUGACCAGCAGAAGUAAAUCCCAAGUGACUCAGAAAAUAUAGCUAUGCCUCCGCGGCAACGGCGCCAGAAAAUAGCACAUUGACGAGAGACUAUUCUUGACUUGAGCUUCCCCGGCAACGGUGCCAGAAAAAGGUCUUGAUAACCCACAAGUAUAGGGGAACGCAACAGUUUUCGAGGGUAGAGUAUUCAACCCAAAUUUAUUGAUUCAAAACAAGGGGAAGCCAAUGAAUAUACUCAAGUAUUAGCAGUUGAGUUGUCAAUUCAACCACACCUGAAAGAUUUAGUAUCUGCAUGAAAGUAUCAGUAGCAGCAGUAUGAUAGCAGUAGUAGCAACAGUAACUAUUAGCAUCAAAGUGACAGCAGUAGCAGCAAAGUAACAACAGUAGCAACAGAGUUACAGUAGCAGCAGUGACAACAGUAGCAGCAAAGUAACGUAGCAAGGACCAGUAGGAAAAACUCGUAGGUAAUUGGAUUGGUGAUGGAUGAUUAUGCCGGAUGUUAUUCAUCAUGCAAUAGUUAUAACACAGAGAGAUAUGUAACUAGCUCCAGUUCGUCAAUGUAAUGUAGGCAUGUAUUCCGUAUGUAGUCAUACGUGCUUAGGGAAAGAACUUGCAUGACAUCUAUUAGUGAAUACAUGAACUCCUGAUGGAAAGUACAUGAUAUUAAGGUUCUCCUUUUAAUAAAGAACCGGACCAACGCAUUAACACUUAGUGAAUACAUGAACUCCUCAUACUAUGGUCAUCUCCGGGAGUGGUUCCGGCUAUUGUCACUCCGGGGUUGCCGGGUCAUAACAAAUAGUAGGUGACUACAACUUGCAAGAUAGGAUCAAGAACGCACAUAUAUUGGCGACAACAUAAUAGGUUCAGAUCUGAAAUCAUGGCACUCGGGUCGUAGUGACAAGCAUUAAGCAUGGCAAAGUAGUAGCAACAUCAAUCUCAUAACAUAGUGGAUACUAGGGAUCAAUCCCCGUCAAAACUAACUCGAUUGCAUGAUAUAUCUCAUCCAACCCAUCACCGUCCAGCAAGCCUACGAUGAGAUUACUCAUGAACGGUGAAGAGCAUCAUGGAAUUGGCAAUGAAGGAAGGUUGGUGAUGACGAUGGCGACGAUCUCCCCUCUCUACAGCCUAGAGCGGACUCCAGAUCUGCCCUCCAGAGGAAGAACAGGAGGUGGCGCGCCUCCGUAUCGUAAAACGCGAUGAACUCUUCUCCUUGAUUUUUUUCGGACGAAAGAGACUAAAUAGAGCUGAGAUUGGAGGCGGUGGAGCUUCGUGGGCCCCACAAGCCUGCCACGUGCGGCCAGGGGCUCCACACUCCACUUCCUUCGUUGAUUCUUGCGCCCAUAUUUUUUAUAUAUUCCACAAAAAAUCCCCGUAAAUUUCCAGGUCAUUCCGAGAACUUUAUUUCUGCGCAAAAACAACAGCUUGGCAAUUCUGCUGAAAAUAGCAUUAGUCCGGGUUAGUUCCAUUCAAAUCAUGCAAAUUAGAGUCCAAAACAAGGGCAAAAGUGUUUGGAAAAGUUGAUACGGCGGAGCCGUAUCAGGGACUCUGUAACCAGAUUCGACUGAAUCCGUUUCUGGCCCCCACAGCGAGUUGUCGAUGUAGUACCUUCCGCGGCGGCUGAUCGUCAUGAUGCCGACCGCAUAGCUUUCUGACCCUGGUAGGGCUCCCUUCAAGAACUCUACUCCACCGUGCGCUACCCCCAUGGUGGGCGCCAACUGUCGUGGUUUUAUCACGAAAGAUGUCCUCAUGAAAGGACUUAAAUAUGGAGCCAUCGCUCCUUGGUGGCGACUCGAAGGGGUGAGCGAAAGCGGGACUCAGAUUUACCCAGGUUCGACCCCUCGUGUGGAGGUAAAAGCCUACAUCCUGCUUUGUGUGGAUUGAUAUGGUUUUGAUUACAAGGAGGGCGUAACUCGCCUGACCUAGCUCUCGAUAAUUUCUAACUUGCCUCAUCUUCCCCCGAGACUCGCCUUUAUAUACAGGUCGAGACCCUAGGGUUUACAAGAGUCCUGUCCAUGCUACCCAUGGUAGCUUUCCCUAUCUCUAAGUUGCCGUGUCCUCCAAGAUUGGGAACUCCCUUGGUAAUCUAUCAUCUGCAUAGCUUCUCGAAUCGCCAUCCGACUUCUAGGCCAAGGGUCAUACUUCCAAUGUUGAGUAUCCCCUUUGAUGACCUGGCCCACCAAGGGCGGGUUAUACCGCAGGUAACAUCCCCAACAGUAUGGGAGAGAAAGUCUCAUCAUAGUCAACUCAUUGAACUUGUGAAAACCCUUUUGCAACAACUCGUGCUUUAUGAUGGUGACAUUACCGUGCACGUCCGUGUUUUUCUUAAAGAUCCAUGUAUUCUGUAUGGCGUUACGAUCACAAUGGAAGUCAUCCAAAGUCCACACUUUGUUCUCAUACAUAGAUCCUAUCUCGGAUUUCAUGGCCUCUAGACAUUUGUCAGAAUCGAAGCCCACCAUCGCUUCUUCAUAGCUCGUAGGUUCACUUUAUCUACCAACAUGACCUCCAUGUCAGGAUUGCCAUACCACUCAGGAGCGGUACGAUACCUUGUAGACCUACGAGGCUUAUUAGUAACUUGAUCUGAAGUUUCAUGAUCAUCAACAUUAGCUUCCUCUUCAUUCAGUAUAGGGACCGCAGAAACAUCUUUCUGCGUCAUGAUAAUAUCCCACUGAAUUGACGGUUCAAUAACUCAUCAAGUUCUACCUUCCUCCCACACAAUUAUUUUGAGAGAAACUCUUUCUCGAGAAAGGACCUGUUUUUAGCAACAAAUACUUUGCCCUCGGAUGUGAUAUAUAAGGUAUACCCAGCUGUUUCCUUAGGUGAAAGCACAGUUGCUCCCUAGGGUGGUUUUGAUAAUUGAUCACAACAUAUGCAUCAUUGGACUAAUACGUUUUCCAAGUAUAUCUCUGAAAAGUUCAAAAGAUGCUAUGGCUUAAGGUUCUGUGGAGAUACCCCUUGAUGCAAGAAAGGAAUAAUAUUGGCUCAAAUUUCAAGCUAGAAGACUCUUCAUCUUAUAUUUGUGACAAAGCACUUUUGAGUCCAUAGGAAAGCCAAUACCAUUAAAAGGGGGUGAGGUAGUAAAAUGAACUAAUUGCUCAAAUGCUCAAAGUUAGCCACCAAAACACUCAGUCAAUUUCCCCCACAUAUCCACUCUUUCAAGUUCCGCAUUCACAUAUUGGGUGUCACCAACAUUGCCAUAUCGGACCCACCGAGUUUGAACCUCGGACAGAACGCUAGCCAUUCCCACCAAAUCGGUGUAACCGAAACUACAACGGUGCUACCGAGUUUGGGUGACCAACAUUCUGUUGGCAAGAUACACAAAAUUAUAAUUUCCGAGUUUGAGUAUCGGUGCCCCCGAGUUUGGCCAUCUGACUGUUAGUCACCUUUUUGGUGCCACCGAGUUCUAUAUAUCGGUCUCACCGAAAUUCAAAAGUUCACACCUUUAGUGCUAAUCGGUAUCACCGAGUUGUCCACUUUGGUGUCACCGAGAUUACUCUUUUGUGUGUAACGGUUGGAUUUUGGCUGCUGCCUAUAUAUACCCCUUCACCCACCUCUCAUUCGUGGGAGAAGCACUCAGAACACAAACUUCAUUUCCAGAUCCAUUUUGUGAGAGGGAACCACCUACUCAUGUGUUCAGACCAACAUAUUCCAAUCCAAUGAUUUGAAACUUGAUCUCGAGCCUCCCCAAACCGCUUUCCACCAAAUCAACCUCUCCGACCCAUGCAUAUUCCAUGGGAGAGUGACUUGUCUUGAGGAGACUAUCUUUAGAAGCACAAAAGGAAGGAGUUCAUUGAUCUACCCCACCUAUUACCUUUUGGAGGGCGGUGCCUCCUAGAUUGGUUAGGUGUUGCUUGGGGGCCUCCUACUUUGUGUUGUGGAGUUGAACCAAGAUGUUUGUAAGGGCAAGGAGAUCGCCUACUUCGUGAAGAUCUACCGUGAGUAAGGCUAGUCCUCCGUGGACGGAAGCUGUGGUCGGAUAGACAAGGCCACUGCUUUGUGGACCCUACGUGGGUGGAAUCCUCGAUGGUCUGUCGCAGUCGUUAUCCUCUGUGGGUUGAAGUCUCCACUAACAUGGACAUACGAUAGCGCCACCUAUCGGAACCAUGCCAAAAAUCGUCGUGUCAACCCUAUGCGUUUGAUCUCCCUUCCAUACUCCUCUAUGUACACUUGCAUGUUUACUUUCCGCUGCUAUACUAUUAGAACUGCAUGUGUAGGGUGUAUUUGACUUGUCAUAAGUGUCGUAGUUGCCUCUUAAGAAAAAUUGGGAAAAGGCAAUUUUUUUAUCUUGUCAAGUAGUCUAAUCACCCCCUCUAGGCAUACUUUCGAUCCUUCAAGUGGUAUGAGAUAUUUGGUCUCCAUUUCAUUGGUUUAGCAACCUAGGAGAGUAUGGCACCUAUGGAGGGAAAUUAUCAUCGUAGAGGUCCUUACUUCGAUGGCACUAAUUCUGCUAGUUGGAAGCAUAAAAUAAAAAUGCACAUUCUUAUCUUUUAUCCUCAUAUUUGGGCUAUUAUUCGUGUUGGUGUGCAAGGUAACUUCUUUGGAGAAGGGCAUGAACCAGAUCGAGAUGCGAGAGCUGAUGAACCGAAGAUGUUGCAACUUAAUGAUCAAGCCUGCAAUAUCAUCUUCAACUGCCUUUACCCUGAAGAAUUUAACAAAAUCAGUCGUCUUGAAAAUAUAAAAGAGAUUUGGGACACUUUGGUUGAUAUGCACGAAGGUACUGAUUCUGCCAGUGAAUCUAAUUUGGAUGUUCUUCAAAGUCAACUUGACUAGUUCAAGAUGAAGGAUGGUGAAGGAGUCGCUGAAAUGUACUCUAAGCUAGCUUUCAUCACCAAUGAGAUUGCUGUCUUAGGAAGUGAAGAGAUGACCGACAAAUUCAUCAUGAAGAAGAUACUUAGAGCUCUUGAUGGGAAGUAUGAUACAGUGCGCACAUUGAUCCAAAUGAUGCCAAAUUAUAAAGAUCUCAAGCCAACUGAAGUCAUUGGUAGGAUUGUUGCUCAUGAGAUGUCACUCAAAGACAAAGUUGAGAUGCACAACAAGUCAAGCGAUGCUUAUAAAGCUUCAUGUGAUGCUCCCGCUACUUCAAAAUACAAUCUUGUCACUGAUGAAGAGAUAUGCCUCAUGGUCAGAAAAUUCAACAAGUUCUACAAAAGUAGAGGCAAAGAUAGAAGCUCAAGUUCAAGACAUGACGAAAAGCGUUCAUCUAGUCGUGACUGAAACUGCUACAAUUGUGGGAAGCCCGGACACUAAUCAAAUGAGUGCUCGACUCCUUACAAAAGAAGAGAAGAGUCACCUUGAUGAUGAAGCUCAACAGAUGAGUCACCUCCCACAGAGAGAAGGAGUAGAGAAGAUCACUAUGAACCAAGACACUCACGGAGAGGCAAAGAAUCGAAGAAAAAGAACAAAUACACCAAGAGCAGUUCAAGAAGAAGACAUCAAGCUCAUGUUGGUGAAUGGGUUUCUGGCUCCGAAUCUGAUCACCACUCCGACAGAAGCUAUCACUCCAAUUCCGACUAUAGUCAAUAUGAAGGUGUUGACGGAAUUGCGCUUGUCUCCACCAACUCCUACGACUUAUUUGAUUCACCAAAUGAGGGAGUCGGAAACUAUUUCAUGGCUAAAGGCCCCAAGGUAUCACAUCCUGGGUAUCUUGAUUUCAGUAGUGAUGAGGAUGACUUGUUAGGAGAAGAUGACUUGCUUCUAGAUAAAACUAGUGAUUGCACUGAAAAUGAACUCGCUAUUUAUCAUGCUAGUCAAGAGAAAUCAAAUCAUGACAAUAAGAAAGAUAUUGAACGACGAACUCAAGAAUUAAAAACUCUUAAAUUAUCUCAUGAGACUACUCUAGAAGAUAAUAGAGAGCUUGCAAGAACCCAUGAGAAGCUACGCUUCGAGAACUCAACCUGGAGCAAGAGCAUGAGUUCUUAAAAGUAAUCAAUGAUGAUAUUCAAAAGAAGAGUUCUUCUUAUCUAGCCAAACGAUUAAUUUUGUCUAAUUUUGUUCCACAAAUUAAGCCCAGGAACACUAGUAACAAAGGAAAGAAGGUUUCUUCAUCUAGUAACAACAAAUGCUAAAGUUGAAUCCAAUAAUUUUGUUGCUAGUAACUCUAUUGAUUCCACUAACGAUUCUCUUAGCCAAGUUACACUUGAUCAAGAAAAUGAUUUACUGAAAGGGAUUAUAGAGAGAGGUGUCUUCAAGAGUCUCGCCGGAAAUAAGCAAUUUGAGGAAAUUGUGCCCAAGCAAGGAGGACAUCUGAAGAAACAAGGUGUUGGAUAGUUCAAUGUCAACUGAGAUGUUUGGGAAGAAGGUCCAUAUCCCACUCCCAAGUUUGUUCCCCAAGAGGAGAAGUCCACUCCUUCCGAAGGAACAAAGUCACAAGAUGACCUUCUACCACAAGACCACAAAGGCAAGGGAAAGCUUCAACAUGGCAUUGACCUAUUUGAAGAAGAAACCCAAGCCAAGGUCAAGUGGGUUCCCAAGGAUGCUACUAGAACUACCUCAACAAGUGCUACAACAACUCUAAGGAUUCCCAUCAAUUUGGUGUGGAUUCCCAAGAGGAAGAACAAGAAGUUCUUGAGGGGUGACUCUGCCAAUGAAAUUCACUCUUAUUCAUUUUGGCAAGAACUAUAUGCAAUCAACCUCAACUUUAUGCAUUAGUUCAAGGAGUCACAUAUUCCGUCAAAGGUAAGCAAGGAACAAAGUAAUCAAUGCAUCUUUGGACAUCAUCCCAUGUGUGCUUCACUCCAUGUCCAUUUUUAUUCUUGCAUAUCUUCCCUUUUUCUUUGGGACUAACCCAUGUAGGGAGAAGAGUAUGAAAACAACAAGGAUUGCUCCCAACUCAAGAUGAUCUUCAUCAACAUUGAGCAUCCACCACUACUUCACCUACUUGAAGUCUUCCACGACAAAACCCAAGGUUAGUUGAUCCCUCUUUGUGGGGAUAUCAUAUCAAGGGGGAGAUUUACUCUAAGACUUGAGUAUAAGCAUCUUCUAAGGAUAUGAACACAUUAAUGCUUAUGUAAAAGUGGUAACCCCACUUGUGCUUAAUGAUGAGUAUGACCUAUGAUCAAGUAUUUUCACUUGGCUCCUCAGUCAAUAUACUCAUAUAUAAGUGACUUUGUCAUUACCCAAGUGCUUGAUAGCUGCUAGGAUGUCUGUGCAUGUUCACCAUGUUUGUAUCAUCGUCCUUAUUAUGUGAGCAUGUUGGUCUGCAUGUAUUUAAUCAUUCGAGGACAUCCAAUUGUUGUUAUUUGGCUUUUAUUUUAUCAUUUGCCAAUUGGUUGGACAAGAAUGCCUAGGACCCUUCUCUAGCUAUCUAUGCUAUCUCAUCUCAAGUUCUAUUCAUGCUUCAUCACAAAACUUGAACACGCACUUGUCGAUCCCUCUGUGUGAAGGUGCACUCGGACUUCUAUAUCGUUAAAGGCUGCCUUCCAAAACCUCUUUGAAAAACUCGGUGUGACCAACUCCACAAACUCAGAGCCACCAUUUUUCCAAAGCGUAUUUCUAAUCUCGGUACCACCGAAAUCGCCAACUCAGUUACACCGAGUUUCCGUGUCUACUGACAGUAGAGGAACUUGGUGCCACCAAUUUUUCCAUCUCGGUGACACCGACAUCGCACGGGUAUAUAUACCUAGAGACCGGACCUUUUGAUUUCCAAUCUUCAAACGGUUCGUUCCUCAAACGCUCCCUGCCCCCCCAGGACUCUAAGUCAUCGCCUUGACUCCCCGAGCGCCGCCGCCGCUCGGACUCGCCGUCGUCGACAAAAUCUUCUCGAUCGUCAUUGUCGUAGGCGAACCGCCACCGACCUAGGGUAUGGUUCGAUCCCCUUUGCGUCCCCCGUCUGAAUCUCACGCAUUGGAUCAUUUUAUACCUCUUUGCACAUCGUGCAAACCUCCUGUCCACUAGAUAAGUUCAGUAGAAUAGGAGAAGAAAGAAAUUUCGGAUUUGACCUACCACAGAAUGCAACUCGGUGGGACCGAGUUUGAAAAAUUGGUUCCACUAUUUCCUGUUUUAGGGUUCCUAAGACGCAACUUGGUGAUUCCGAGCAGCUAUUUUCGGUGCCACCGAAAAUGUCUGCCAAAUUUCUGUUAAGCGAGUUUAUUUUCUCGGUGACUCUGAAAAUGCUAACUCGGUGUAAGCGAUUUACAUCGUGCAGAAGAUCAUACCCCAAGUUUUAGACUUCAAAUUUUCAAAAAAACUAUCUGAACUUUGUGAUGGUCAUCGAGUCUAUCUUUCCUAUAUCCACUUCACAGGUUCUGUUGUUUGCUGUUGUUUGCUACUGUCAGUAUGUCAGGAUCAGAUGACAGUCAGAAUGACUUGAGAGAACCCAAUGUUGACUUGAAAGCUGGCACUAGUCCGGAGAAGACUUCUUCAGACCCAAGUUAUCCCAACUCCCAUGGCUUGCCCAAAGCAGCCACCAGGCAGAGAAAGAAGCUUGAUUCUGAUGAGGAGGAUUCAGACUUUAUGCCUGAAGAGACUUCAGCUCCUUCCAAGGCUCCUAAGAAGGCUAUCAGGAAAUUCACUGCUACUCCAGCUGAUAUGAGAGCACCUGAGUAUGCCAGGAAAAGCACUAAGCUGUCCAAGGACGCACGUGCAAAGAAAGCCGUUGUGAAGAGGCCAAGGAAGAGAACUAUUCAUCUUGACGGCAGAAAGACUUCCAUGUAUGAAGAUCCGGAACCUGCCGAGGAAGAACUGCCCGAGGAGAUCCCACUUCCUCCCAAGAAGAAGAAGUUGAUGGCUGACACCAUGAAAUCUGCUCCAAAGCCUGGUGCUAAAGCAAAGAAGGCUCCUGCUUCUAGGAAGACCACUAAGGAUAUACCUGCAGCUGCUAAAGCAAAAGGCCCUGCAUCCAGUGCCCAUGCUGUAGAGGAAGAAGCUGAUAAGAAUGCUCACGUUCUCAGGAAGCUCAGACCAUUCAUUCCACUCCACAAUGUUGCUCAUCCUGUUGCGAAGGACAUGAAGAAAAGGAGGGAUGCCGGAUUGAGAAAGUGGAGAGCCGUUGACCCAUAUGCUGUCAAAAGGAGAACAACUAUUGAUCGAAGGUUUCACACCAAGGAUCAACAAGACUUUUAUGAGAGUGUCUUAUUUGACAAAAGUCCUGCUGUCAGUGAUAUGAGGUAUGUCGCCUAGGCAUACAUUAAGGAUAAUGAAAAUUUCUUUCCACAUGCCAGAGAUAACUUCAAGGCUGUAGACAUUGACGAAUUUGUUGGGAAAGAGAUGACCCCUUGGACCGAUGAGUUGAUCAUGCAAUUCUAUGCAACUAUGCACUUCUAUGAAGAUUCCUUGAUUUGGAUGACAGAUGGUCACAGAUAUGAAGCCAAAAUUGCUGAAUGGGCAACUAUCAUUGGUGCACCCAAGAAGGAAGAUUCAUAUGUGGAUGUAUAUGCAGAAGCUAAGAAGAAUAACAGCUCCAUGGCCAACAUGUACAAGACCAUUCCUCAUAAGUACUUGGCCAUGCACAAGCUUAGACAAGUCUAUUUUCUUUAAGCUGGCAUUCCCACGACAAAUACUAUAUUGGGAUACACCCUCAUGCCUAAUUCAGGUGAUGAGAAGAUGAUCAGAGGAUAUUCUAUCAACCUACUGUACCUGAUAAAUACACAUACCAGAUUUGGACUGAUGGACAUGAUAGUUGAGACUAUCCGGAGAACUGUUGCGGAUCAGAAGAGAUCCUGUGGAUCUGCACCCUACAUUCAGAUGCUCAUCAAUGCCAAGCUAGGCAAGCAUGCAUAUCUACUUGAUCUUCCCCAUCUACCUCUUCGGCAUGAGUUUGAAGAUAAUGAGGUUGUGAUGGAUGACAGCGAUCCCAACUCAGAUACAACAAGAAUGGCAGAAGAGGCAGCAGAAGCUGAAGCUGCUAGAAACAUGCCACCUCCAGUUCCAUAGCUCAGAACCCCAGCUGAGCAAAUGACUUUUCUAGUGAGCGCUGUCCAAGGCAUGGAGAAGAAAAUUCAGGAAAUCAUGCAAAAUCAAAAGAGUCUUGAGAGGGUUGUGGAGACAAAGUUCCACAACAUGGAUGUGAAGGUAACUAAGUUGACCACCAUUGUCACACAGCUUCAACAUUAAGUUGACUCUGUGGAGAUUCUGUUGGAAAUAUGCCCUAGAGGAAAUAAUAAAAUAUUUAUUAUUAUAUUUCCUGUUACAACAUAAUUGUUUAUUAUCCAUGCUAUAAUUGUAUUGAAUCGAAACACAAAUACAUGUGUGGAUACAUAGACAAAAUAUUGUCCCUAGUAAGCGUCUAGUUGACUAGCUCAUUGAUCAAAGUAGAUUAAGGUUUCUUGGCCAUAGAAAAGUGUUGUCACUUGAUAACGAGAUCACAUCAUUAGGAGAAUGAUGUGAUGGACAAGACCAAACUAUAAACAUAGCUUGUGAUCGUGUAAUUUCGUUGCUAUUGUUUUCUGCAUGUCAAGUAUACAUUCCUAUGACCAUGAGAUCAUGUAACUCACUGACACCAAAGGAAUACCUUGUGUGUAUCAAACGUCGCAACGUGACUGGGUGACUAUAAAGGUGCUCUAUAGGUAUCUCCGAAAGUGCCUGUUGAGUUAGCAUGUAUCAAGAUUGGGAUUUGUCACUCCCAAUCGGUAAUACAACAUCACAAACAAGCCUUGCAAGUAAUAUGACUAAAGAGUUAGCCACGGGAUCUUGUAUUACACAACAAGUAAAGAGACUUGCCGGUAACGAGAUUGAAAUAUGUAUUGUGAUACCGACAAUCGAAUCUCGGGCAAGUAACAUACCGAAGGACAAAGAGAAUGAUAUACGGAAUUAACUGAAUCCUUGACAUAGAGGUUUCUUGAUAACCCUCAAGUAUAUGGAAUCAAUUGUAGCCUUUCUCGAUAAGUAAGAGCGUCGAACCCAAUGAGGAGCUAAAGGUAGGACAAAUAUUCCCUCAAGUUCUAUCGACCACCGAUACAACUCAACGCACACUUUACGUUCGCUUUACGUAGAACAAGUAUGAAACUAGAAGUACUUUGUAGGUGUGAUAGGAUAGGUUUGCAAGAUAAUAAAUAACACGUAAAUAAAAACUAGAGGCUUCUAAGAUAAAGAAACAAUUACGUUAGUUUAACGAGUGUGGAAAAGUGGUGGUAGGAGUUGCGGAAUUGUCCCUAAGCAAUUGACUACGUUACUAGACCGAUAGCAAGUUUUAUGUGGGAGAGGCCACUUCUAGCAUGUCAUCCCUUACAUGGAAUUCUAUGCACUUAUGAUUGGAACUAUUAGCAAGCAUCCGCAACUACUAACAUUCAUUAAGGUAAAACCCAACCAUAGCAAUAAGAUAUAUUGGUCCCCCUUCAAUCCCGUAUGCAUCAAUUUAUAUGCUAGGCUGAAGCUUAUGUCACCCUUGCCCUCCAAUACAUAGUCCUAUCAACAUACUACUAACCCUAUGGUGUGAUCCAUGCAAGCGCUCAUAUGAUGGGCACCAAAGGACAACAACAUAAGCACAAGCAAAUUAAACCAAUCAUAGCAAUUCAUCAAUCACCGAUAGGAGAACGAAAAUCUACUCAGACAUCAUAGGAUGGCAACACAUCAUUGGAUAAUAAUAUGAAGCAUAAAGCACCAUGUUCAAGUAGAGGGUACAGCGUGUUGCGGGAGAGUGGAUCGCUGAAUAUAGAUGGGGAAGGUGAUGGAGGUGUUGGUGAAGAUGACAGAGGUGUUGGUGUAGAUCACCGUCACACGAUGAUGUCCCGUGCGGCGUCCCGGCGCCGCCGGGUGAGAGGGGGAGAGAGAGCCCCCCUUCUUAUUCUUCUUCCUUGACCUCCUCCCUAGAUGGGAGAAGGGUUUCCCCUCUGGUCCAUGGUCUCCAUCGCGGAGGAGGGGCGAGAGCCCCUCCGAGAUUGGAUCUCUCUCUUUGUGUCCUUCUGUUUGUGCGCUCCCAGAUUAGGGCUUUCACCGUUUCUUAAAUUCCCAGAGAUCCGUAUCUCCGAUUGAGGUGUCCUUUUAACACGAUUUUAUUCCGGAUAUUAGCUUUCUUGCGGUGAAAGAAGGGCCCCAACCUCCUUAGGGAUUGUUCACAAGCCUGCCAGGCGUGCCUGGGAGGGUAGGGCGCGCCUCCUGGGCUUGUGACCCCCUCGGGCAUCUUUCCCGUUGAUUCUUCUUCCCAAAAAUGAUAAAUAUUCCAAAAAAAUCCCCGUAGGUUUUUUUAUUGCAUUUGGACUUUGUUUGGUAUGGAUAUUCUGCGAAACAAAAAACAUGCAACAAAAAGGAACUGGCACUCGGUACUGGAUCAAUAUCUUAGUCCCAAAAAUAGUAUAAAAAGUUGCCAAAAGUAUAUGAAAGUUGUAGAAUAUUGGCAUGAAACAAUCAAAUAUUUUAGAUACGACGGAGGCGCAUUAGCAUCCCCAAGCUUAAUUCCUGCUCGUCCUCGAGUAGGUAAAUGAUAAAAAAGAUAAUUUUUGAUGUGGAAUGCUACCUAGCAUAAUCUUGAUCAUAUAAUCUAAUCAUGGCAUGAAUACUAAAACACGAGUGAUUCGAAGCAAUAGUCUAUCAUUUGACAUAAAGACAAUAAUAUUUCAAGCAUACUAACAAAGAAAUCAUGUCUUAUAAAAAUAUCAUGGCCAAAGAAAGUUAUCCCUACAAAAUCAUAUAGUCUGGCUAUGCUCCAUCUUCCCCACACAACGUAUUUAAAUCAUGCACAACCCCGAUUUUAGCCAAGCAAUUGUUUCAUAAUUUAGUGUUCUCAAACUUUUUCAACUUUUAUGCAAUACAUGAGCGAGAGCCAUGGACAUAGCACUAUAGGUGGAAUAGAAUAUGGUGGUUGUGGAGAAGACAAAAAGGAGGAGAUAGUCUCACAUCAAUUUGGCGUAUCAACGGGCUAUGGAGAUGCCCAUCAAUAAAUAUCAAUGUGAGUGAGUAGGGAUUGCCAUGCAACAGAUGCACAAGAGCUAUAAGUGUAUGAAAGUUCAAGAAGAAACUAGUGGUUGUGCACCCAACUCGCUUGCUCACGAAGACCUAGGGCAAUUUGAGGAACCCCGAAGCCCAUCAUUGGAGUAUACAAGCCAAGUUCUAUAAUGAAAAUUUCCAACUAGUAUAUGAAAGUGACAACAUAGGAGACUCUCUAUCAUGAAGAUCAUGGUUCUACUUUGAAGCACAAGUGUGGUAAAGGAUAGUAGCAUUGACCCUUCUCUCUUUUCUCUCAUUUCGGGCUUCUUUGGCCUCUCUUUUUUAUUAUGGCUUUAUUUGCCUCUUUUAUUACUUCCUCACAUGGGACAAUGCUCUAAUAAUGAUGAUCAUCACACUUUUAUUUACUUACAACUCGAUAUUUAGAACAAAAUAUGACUCUAUAUGAAUGCCUCCGGCGGUGUACCGGGAUGUGCAAUGAUCUAGCGUAGCAAUGACAUCAAAAAACGGACAAGCCAUGAAAACAUCAUGCUAGCUAUCUUACGAUCAUGCAAAGGAAUAUGAUAAUGAUGGUGCGUGUCAUAAAAAACGGAAUGAUGGAAGUUGCAUGGCAAUAUAUCUCGGAAUGGCUAUGGAAAUGCCAUAAUAGGUUGGUAUGGUGGCUGUUUUGAAGAAGGGUAUAUGGUGGGUCUAAUGCACCGGCGAAAGUUGUGCGGUACUAGAGAGGCUAGCAAUGGUGGAAGGGUGAGAGUGCGUAUAAUCCAUGGACUCAACAUUAGUCAUAAAGUACUCACAUACUUAUUGCAAAAGUCUAUUAGUCAUUGAAACAAGGUAAUACACGCAUGCUCCUAGGGGAAGGGUUGGUAGGAAUUAACCAUCGCGCGAUCCCGACCUCCACACAAAGGAUGACAAUCAAUAAAUAAAUCAUGCUCCAACUUCAUCACAUAACGGUUCACCAUAGGUGCAUGCUACGGGAAUCACAAACCUUAACACAAGUAUUUCUAUGAAUACACAAUUACUCACUAGAAUGACUCUAGUAUCACACCUUCCUGUCGCAAAACUAUUGCACGGAAUCAAACAUAUCAUAUUCACUCAUCUACAAGUUUUAUGUAGGAUUUUAUGACUAACCAUGUGAAUGACCAACUCCUGUUAACUCUCUAAAUAGGUAUAAGUGAAGCAUUAGAGUUUAAUUCUUUCUACAAAAGAUAUGCCCCACUCUAAUAAAUAUAAGUGAAUCAAAAGAGCAUUCUAUAAAUUGCGGUUUUCUAUGUGUAGGGAAACAAGCGAUCCAAACUUCAAAUGAUAUAAGUGAAGCACAUGAAGCAUUCUGUAAACCCAUACUCAAAAGAUAUAAGAGAAGUGCCAAGAGCGUUCUAUAAAUCAACCGAGGACUAUCUCAUACCAGCAUGGUGCAUAAAAUAAAAAGGAAAAAUAAACACAAAAGACGCUCCAAGCAUUUGCACAUAUCAUGUGACGAAUAAAAAUACAGCUCUAAGUAAAAUUACCGAUAGAUUGUAGACGAAAGAGGGGAUGCCUUCUGGGGCAUCCCCAAGCUUAGACGCUUGAGUCUUCCUUUAAUACUACCUUGGGGUGCCUUGGGCAUCCCCAAGCUUAGGCUCUUGCCUCUCCUUAUUCCUUCAUCCAUCGUGGUCUCACCCAAAACUUGAAAACUUCAAUCACACAAAACUCAACAAAACCUUCGUGAGAUCCGUUAGUAUAAUGAAGUAAAUCACCACUUUAAGUACUAUUGUGAACUCAUUCCAAAUUCAUAUUAGCAUUAUGUCUACUGUAAUCCAACUUCACCAUGGUUCAUACCCCACCCCCCGAUACUACCCAUAGAUUCAUCAAAAUAAGAGAACAAUGCAUAGAAAACAGAAUCUGUCAAAAACAGAAUAGUCUGAAGUAAUCUAAACAUUUCGUAUACCUCUGCUAUCCCAAAUUUUUUGAAAAAAUGUGAAAAUUAGGGAAAUUUUCAUAUCAAUCAGCAGAAAAAAUAAUCAACUCAAAAGCUCUUUCAGGAUAGGAAUUAAAAAUAAUUUUGUGAGCACAGAGUUUCUGUCUUUUUCAGCAUGAUCAAACAACUAUCACCCAAACUAAUCAUAAAGGCUUUACUUGGCACAUUAUUUUUUAUAAUACAAUGGAAUUGUACAAGGGGAUAAUUAUUUUUGCGAGAAACUUCCAUGAAAAAUUCUACAUUGUUUCCAUGAGCAUGAACACAAGUGUUCAAGGUCGACCCUCACUUCCGCAAUGCAUCACCUUUCAAUCGCUUCUCUUUCUUUUUUUGAACUAUAUAAAAGAACUCAACAGAAAUAAAUGACUCUCUAAAACUUCCGGGUUGUCUCCCAGACAGCGCUUUCUUUAAGGCCAUUAAGCUAGGCAUAAAGUGCUCAAGUAAUGGAUCCACCCAGAUCCCAAGGUAUAUCAAAGCCAAUUUUAAUUAACAAUGAUUUUUAAUUUAGUAGUGAGCACAAGGUAACAUAUAUCAUGCAAUUACGAAGUCUAACUCUCUUCCUAUGCAUUGGCAUGUCAUAAAAGAACAAUUCAUGCACAUCAAGUAAUGGCCAAUACAUAGCAUAAGCAGUUUCUUGCAAUUUUAUUGUAUUGGAAACAUAGAGAGGUGGAGAUGUAGUUCCUCUAUCAUAAUAAUUGCAAGUAGGAGCAGCAAGCACAUGCAUAUUAUAUUCAUCAAAAUCAUCAUGUGUAAUAGUAGAAGGCAACCCAUCUAUGUAAUCCCUAAUAAGAGCAAACUUCUCCGAUAUAGUGUAGUUGGGAGAGUUCAAAAAGAUAAUAGGACUAUCAUAAGCGGGUGCGAUAGCAACAAUUUCAUGUUUAACAUAAGGAACUAUAGCAAGUUCAUCUUCAUAAGCAUCAUUCAUAUUGGCAUCAUGGCCACAAGCAUAGCAAGCAUCAAGUUCAUCAAAAAGGGAUAUUUCAAACGAAUCCAAGGGAUCAUAGCAAUCAACAUAGCAUUCAUCCUUCGAUAAGAACGAAGGGAAAUUAAACAAUGUAUGAGUUGAAGAGUUACUCUCAUUAGAAGGUGGGCACGGGUAGCUAGUAUGCUCUUCCUCCUUUUGUUCUUCACUCUCCUCGUCAUCUUUUUCAUCUACUGAGCUCACAGUUUCAGCAUUUUCUUCUUCCAUAGUUUCCUCCAAAAUAUUAGUCUCUUCUUGGGCAGCGGAGAAUUUCUCCAUAAAUAGAUAAAUAUGGGCAUUAUAUUCAUAAUUAGUAUAACAAUAACGAAGCAUAACCAAUUUUUUAGAUCGGUAAGCAGCAUCAUCAUUAUCAUCACACCUUUUAAACAGAGCUUCAAUUUCAUAAGCACCCAUAAAAGCAACAAACUCUUAUAUUUGUUCCACAUCAUAGUAAUAAUAUAUACCAUUAGCAUAAGAAGCCAAGUUUUCAUUAGCAUUAAAUUUACAAGAAAAGGGAAGGUGUUGAGCCUUCAUCCUAGAGCAACAAGUAAUAUCAUAUCUCAAUCAUAGCUCCCAAGCAUACCAUUUCAACAAAUGAAUUUGAUCGCAUAAUUGUUUCCCUUUUUGAGUCAAGCGAUAAUCCCUAAAGUAUUCACAUUGAUCCAGCGUGACUCCCAUUAUAUAAUUGAAUGGGGUUUUCUCAGGAUUAUUAAAAAAGUGCAUACUAUUUUCCACAUAACGAGCAUCGAGGGUUUUAGGAGGUUCCCCAUCUCCAUGAGUAGCAAGUACGCCUAAUUUUUUUGGUAUUUUGUGUUCCAUAUCCAUAACUAAAGAUAGAGAACAACUUAGAACAUCAAAUAAAUCUACUUAGUGAUAAAGCAAACCAGCACACACAAGAAUAUUCACCCACACUAUUUCUCCCCGGCAACGGCGCCAGAAAAAGGUCUUGAUAACCCACAAGUAUAGGGGAUCAAUUGUAGCCUUUCUCGAUAAGUAAGUGUGUCGAACCCACCGAGGAGCUAAACGUAGGACACAUAUUCCCUCAAGUUCUGUCGACCACCGAUACAACUCCACGCACACUUUACGUUCGCUUUACCUAGAACAAGUAUGAAACUAGAAGUACUUUGUAGGUGUGAUAAGAUAGGUUUGCAAGAUAAUAAAGAACACGUAAAUAAAAACUAGGGGCUGCUAAGAUAAAGAAACAAUUACGUUAGGUUAACGAGUGUGGAAAAGUGGUGGUAGGAGUUGCGGAAUUGUCCCUAAGCAAUUGACUACGUUACUAGACCGAUAGCAUGUUUUAUGUGGGAGAGGCCACUGCUAGCAUGUCAUCCCUUACUUGGAAUUCUAUGCACUUAUGAUUGGAAAUAUUAGCAAGCAUCCGCAACUACUAACGUUCAUUAAGGUAAAACCCAACCAUAGCAAUAAGAUAUAUUGGUCCCCCUUCAAUCCCGUAUGCAUCAAAUUCUAUGCUAGGCUGAAGCUUAUGUCACCCUUGCCCUCCAAUACAUAGUCCUAUCAACAUACUACUAACCCUACGGUGUGAUCCACGCACACGCUCAUAUGACGGGCACCAAAGGACAACAACAUAACCAGAAACAAAUUAAACCAAUCAUAGCAAUUCAUCAAUCACCGAUAGGACAAUGAAAAUCUACUUAGACAUCAUAGGAUGGCAACACAUCAUUGGAUAAUAAUAUGAAGCAUAAAGCACCAUGUUCAAGUAGAGGGUACAACGGGUUGCGGGAGAGUGGACCGCUGAAUAUAGAUGGGGGAAGGUGAUGGAGGUGUUGGUGAAGAUGACAGAGGUGUUGGUGUAGAUCGCCGCACACAAUGAUGUCCCGGGCGGCGUUCCGGCGCCGCCGGGAGAGAGUGGGAGAGAGCCCCCCUNGAGAGCCCCUCCGAGAUUGGAUCUCUCUCUGUGUGUCCUUCUAUUUCUAUGCUCCCAGCGUCUGGCUUUCACCGUUUCUUAAAUUCACGGAGAUCCGUAGCUCCGAUUCAGGUGUCCUUUUAACACGAUUUUCUUCCGGAUAUUAGCAUUCUGGCGGCGAAAUAAGACCCCCAACCUCCUUAGUGAUUGGUCGCAAGCCUGCCAGGCGCGCCUUGGGGGGGGGGUAGGGCACGCCUCCUGGGCUUGUGACCCCCCUCGGGCAUCGUUUCGCGUUGAUUCUUCUUCCGAAAAAUCAUAAAUAUUCCAAAAAAAUCCCCGUAGGAUUUUUAUUGCGUUUGGACUUUGUUUGGUAUGGAUAUUCUGGGAAACAAAAAACAUGCAACAAAAAGGAACUCGCACUGGGCACUGGAUCAAUAUGUUACUCCCAAAAAUAGUAUAAAAAGUUGCCAAAAGAAUAUGAAAGUUGUAGAAUAUGCAUGAAACAAUCAAAUAUUAUAGAUACGACGAAGACGUACAACCGAUAAUAUUAUCGUAGAAUAUGUAGGAUCCAAUAUGGGCAUCCAGGUCCUGCUAUUGGCUAUUGACCGGAGAGUGUGUUACGUCAUGUCUAAAUAGUUCUCGAACCCGCAUGGUCUACACACUUAAUGUUCGGUGACAUUUCGAUAUAGUUGAGUUAUAGGUUCUGGUGACCGAAGGUUGUUUAGAGUCCCGGAUGAGCUCCAGGAUGUCACGAGGAGCUCCGGAAUCAUCCGGACGUAAAGAUUGAUAUAUAGGAAGUCCUGUUUUGGUCACCGGGAAAGUUUCGGCCUCAUCGGUAAUGUACCGGGAGUGCUGGGAGGGUGGCGGGGGACCACCGGGAGGGGUGUCACGACCCUAGGGCUUCAUGGGAGAAGAGAGGAGGCAAACCAGCCCCUGGUGGGCUGGCCGAAGCCACCUCUAAGGGCCCAUGCGGCUGGAGUGGAAAAUAAGGGGAAAAUACAAAAGGAGGAAAAGGUUUCCAAGUGGAAGAGGAAUCCUACUAGGAGUAGGAUUGGAGGAGGACCCCUCCUCUCCUCCCACUUCGGCCGCCCCAAAGGGGCAGCCCUUGGUCCGACGGCCUCCCUCCUCUCCUCCUAUAUAUACUAGAGCUUUUGAGAAUUUUUGAGACAACAAUUUCAGCCAUGUGUUGCCCUCUCUCUAGAUCGUAGUUCCUCCUCUCUAGUUCAACGGUGCUUAGGCGAAGCCCUGUUCGAUUAGCUCCACUACCAACACUGUCACGCCGUCGCGCUGCCGAGGAACUCAUCUAACACUCCGCCCCCUCUUGCUGGAUCAAGAAGGAGGAGAUCGCUAUCGAGCUGUACGUGUGCUUAACACGGAGGUGUCGUCCGUUCGACACUAGAUCGGGACGAAUUGAGGGACGGUUGUGAUUUGGAUCGCGAAGAUGUUCGACUACAUCAACCGCGUUUAUUUACGCUUCCGUCUUAGUGAUCUACAAGGGUAUGUGGAUUCGAUCUCCCCUCUCGUAGAUGAUCAUCACCAUGAUAGGUCAUUCGUGUGUGUAGGAAUUGUUUGGUUUCCCAUGCUACGUUCCCCAAUAGUGCUGUCAUGAGCUAGGAUCAUGCGUAGAUGACGUCUCGAUUAGAACACAAAAGAGUUUGUGGGCGUUGAUGUUCAUUUUGCUUCCCUCCUUAGUCUUUUCUUAAUUCGACGGUAUUGUUGGAUUGAAGCGGCCCGGACCAACUUUAUUCGUAUGCUUACGAGAGAACGGUUUCAUCGACUGACAUGCAACUUGUUGCAUAAAGAUGACUGGCGAGUGUUUGUUUCUUAAACUUUAGUUGAAUUGGAUUUUACCGAGGUGGUCCUUGGAGAAGAUUAAAUAGCAAUUUGCAUAUCACCAUUGUGGCUUUGCAUAAGUAAGAUGCGAUCAUACUAGAUAUCCAUAGUAGCCACGUAAAAUUUGCAACAACAAACUAGAGAACGUCUAACUUGUUUUUGCAGGUUAUGCAUGUGAUGUGAUAUGGCCAAAGACAUGAUAUCAUAUAUUGGAUGUAUGAGAUGAUCAUGUUGUAAUAGUUAAAUAUCGACUUGCACGUCGAUGUACGACAACCGGCAGGAGCCAUAGGGUUAUCUUUAAAUUUAUUUUGCGCUUGCAGAUGCUCUUGCUAUAUGGCUAGGCGGUAGCUUUAGUAGUAGUAGCAUAGUUAGCGUGACAACCUUGAUUGCAGCACAAUGAUGGAGAUCAUGAUGAUGGAGAUCAUGGUGUGGCACCGGUGACGAUGGAGAUCAAGAAGCACAAGAUCAUGGUCAUAUCAUGUCACUUAUGAUUUGCAUGUGAUGUUAAUUCUUUUAUGCACCUUAUUUUGCCUAGAACUAUGGUAGCAUUAUAAGGUGAUCCCUCACUAAAAUUUCAAGAUAAAAUUGUAUUCUCCCCGACUGUGCACCGUUGCUAUAGUUCGUCGCUUUCAGACACCACGUGAUGAUCGGGUGUGAUAGACUCAACGUUCACAUACAACGGGCGCAAAACAGUUGCACACGCGGAACACUCUGGUUAAACUUGAUGAGCCUAGCAUGUACAGGCAUGGCCUCGGAACACAAGAGACCGAAAGGUCGAGCAUGAAUCAUAUAGUUGAUAUGAUCAACAUGGAUAUGUUCACCAUGGAAACUAAUCUCAACUCACGUGAUGAUCGGACUUGAGUUAUGGGUUUUGGAUCGUGGUACACUCGAAUGACUAGAGGGAUGUCUAUUUGAGUGGGAGUUUAUUAGUAAUAUGAUAAGCUAAACUCAAUUAUCUUGACCAUAGUCUAAGUAAUCUUUGCAAAUUUUAUGUUGUAGAUCAAUGGCUUGCGUAGUAGCAAACCUUAACUUUAAUCUCGUUCGUAGAGAAAGCUAAGCUGGAAGAUGAUGGAAGCAACUUUGUUGACUGGGCUCGUAAUCUGAGGCUUAUCCUCACGGCUGGACAAAAGCAAUAUGUUCUUGCUGCAGCGCUAGGUGAUGAACCACCCGCUACGGCGACCCAAGAUGUUUUGGACGCUUGGCAUUGACGUAAGGAUGACUACUCGUUUAAUGUGCAUUUUUGUAUAGCUUAGAACCGGGACUUUAAAGACGUCUUGAACGUCAUGGAGCAUAUGAGAUGUUCGAGGAGUUGAAGUUUAUCUUUGAGAAGAAUGCCCGGAUCCAGAGGUAUGCGACCUCUGAUAAGUUUUAUGCCUGCAAAAUGGAGGAGAACACGUAUGUCAGUGAACACGUGCUCAGAAUGUCAGGGUACUCCAACCGUCUGACUGAGCUAGGGACUGCUCUCCCGCAAGAAGCUGUCACUGUCAGAGUUCUUCAGUCACAUCCACCUAGCUAUAAAAGCUUCAUGUUGAACGAUAACAUGCAAGGGACGAAUAAGUCACUCGCGCCAGCAGUUUGCGAUGCUGAAAGUCACUGAGUCAGAAAUCCAGAAAGAACAUCAAGUGUUGAUGGUCAAUAAAACCACUAGUUUCAAGAAAACAACAAAGGCAAGAAGGGUAACUCCAAGAAGAGUGGAAAAGUUGUUGCCCCUCUGACGUAGAAACCCAAGGCUGGACCUAAGUUGGAAACUGAGUGCUAUUAUUGCAAGGAGACUGGUCAUUGGAAGCGAAAUUGCCCCAAGUAUCUGGCCGAUAAGAAGGCGGCCAACGCCAAGCAAGGUAUAUUUGAUAUACAUGUUAUUGAUGGGUACCUUACCGGUUCUCGUAGUAGUGCAUAGGUAUUUGAUACCGGUUCUGUUGCUCACAUUUGCGACUCGAAACAGGAACUAAGGAAUAAACGAAGACUAGCGAAGGAUGAAGUGACGAUGCGCGUGGGAAAUGGUUCCAAGGUUUAUGCGAUCGCCAUCGACACGAUCUCACUUCAGUUACAACCGGGAUUAGUGAUGAACUUAAAAAAUUGUUAUUUAGUGCCUGCGUUGAGCAUGAACAUUAUAUCUGGAUCUUGUUUAUUGCGAGACGGUUACUCAUUUAAGUCAGAUAAUAAUGGUUGUUCUAUUUAUAUGAGUAAUAUCUUUUAUGGUCAUGCACCCAAUAUCAGAGGGUUUGUUCAUAUUGAAUCUCGAUAGUGAUGACACUCAUGUCCAUAACAUUGAGACCAAAAGAUGCAGAGUUAGUAUAGCACCACUUUCUUGUGGCACUGCCGCUUAGGUCAUAUUGGUGUAAAGCACAUGAAGAAACUCCAUGCUGAUGGACUUUUGGAGUCACUUGAUUUGGAAUCACUUGACACAUGCAAACCAUGCCUCAUGGGCAAGAUGACUAAGACUCCGUUCUCCGGAACAAUGGAGCGUGUAAGUGACUUGCUGGAAAUCAUACAUACUGAUGUGUGCGGACCAAUGGGCAUAGUGGCGCGUGACGGAUAUUGUUAUUUUCUCACCUGCACUAAAGAUUUGAGUAGAUAUCGCUAUGUUUACUUAAUGAAGCACAAGUCUAAAACGUUUGAGAAGUUCAAGCAAUUUCAGAGAGAAGUAGAAAAUCAUCAUUCCAAGAAGAUCAAAUUCCUGUGAUCUGAUCGAGGAGGUGAGUAUCUGAGUUAUGAGUUUGGUGCUCACUUAAGACAAUGUGGAAUUGUUUCACAGUUGACACCGCCUGGAACACCACAACGAAAUGGUGUUUCCGAACGUCAUAAUCGUACUUUAUUUUAUAUGUUGCAUUCUAUGAUGUAUCUUACCGAUUUGCCAUUAUCCUCUUGGGGCUAUGCAUUGGAGACAGCUGCAUUCACUUUAAAUAGGGCACCAUCAAAAUCCAUUGAGACGACACCAUAUGAACUAUGGUAUGACAAGAAGCUAAAGUUGUCGUUUCUCAAAGUUUGGGGAUGUGAUGCUUAUGUCAAAAAGUUUCAGCCUGAAAAGCUGGAACCCAAAGAGAAAAAGUGCGCCUUCAUAGGUAACCCAAAAGAGACAGUUGGGUAUACCUUCUAUCUCAAAUCCAAGGGAAAAGUGUUUGUCGCUAAGAACGGAGCUUUGCUUGAGAAAGAGUAUCUCUCAAAAGAAUUGAGUGGGAGGAAGAUAGAACUUGAUGAGGUUGUAGAACCUUUGCUUCAACUAGAUGGUGGCGUAGGGCAGAAAGAAAUUUCUAUCGAGGCUUCAUCAGUUGAAGAGGAAGCUAAUGAUAGUGAUCAUGAAACUUCAGAUCAAGUUGUUUUCAAACCUCGUAGGUCGACAAGAGCACGUACUGCUCCUGAGUGGUACGGAAGUCCUGUCUUGUCAAUCAUAUUGUUAGACAACAAUGAGCCUGCGAAUUAUGAAGAAGCAAUGGUGGGCCCGGAUUCCAACAAAUGGUUAGAGGCCAUGACAUGCGAGAUAGGAUCUAUGUAUGAAAACAAAGUGUGGACUUUGGAAGUAUUACCUGAAGGCCGAAAGGCUAUUCAGAACAAAUGGAUCUUUAAGAAGAAGACGGAUGCGGACAGUAAUGUGACCAUCUAUAAAGAUCGACUUGAGGCAAAGGGUUUUUCACAAGUUCAAGGAGUUGACUAUGAUGAGAUGUUCUCACCCGUAGCGAUGCUUAAGUCCGUCCGAAUCAUGUUAGCAAUAGCUGCAUUUUUCGAUUAUGAAAUCUAGCAGAUGGAUGUCAAAACGGCGUUACUUAACAGGUUUCUUAAGGAAGAGUUGUAUAUGAUGCAACCCAAAGGUUUUGUUGAUCCAAAGAUUGCUAACAAAGUAUGCAAGCUCCAACGAUCCAUUUAUGGACUGGUGCAAGCAUCUCAGAGUUGGAAUCGGCGCUUUGAUGAGGUGAUCAAGGUGUUUGUGUUUAUACAAGUUGUAGGAGAAGCUUGUAUUUACAAGAAAGUGAGUGGGAGCUCUAUAGCGUUUCUAAUAUUAUAUGUGGGUGACAUAUUGCUGAUUGGAAACAAUGUAGAGUUUUUGGAAAGUGUAAAGGAUUACUUGAACAAAAGUUUUUCAAUGAAGGACCUAGGAGAAGCUGCUUACAUAUUAGGCAUUAGGAUCUAUAGAGAUAGAUCAAGGCUCCUGAUAGGACUUUCGCAAAGCACAUACCUUGAUAAAGUUUUGAAGAAGUUAAAAAUGGAACAAUCCAAGAAGGGGUUCUUGCCUGUGUUACAAGGUAUAAAGUUGAGUAAGACUGAGUGCCAAGUGAGUGCAGAAGAUAGAGAAACGAUGAGUGCCGCCCCCAAUGCUUCAUCCAUAGGGUCUAUCAUGUAUGCAAUGUUGUGCACACGACCGGAUGUUAGCCUUGCCAUAAGUAUGGCACGCAUGUUUCAAAGUAAUCCAGGAAUGGAGCACUGGACAGCGGUCAAGAAUAUUCUGAAGUACCUGAAAAGGACUAAAGAAAUGUUUCUCGUUUAUGGAGGUGACGAAGAGCUUGUCGUAAAGGGUACGUCGAUACAAGCUUCGAUACUGAUCCAGAUGAUUCUAAUUCACAAACCGGAUAAGUAUAUGUUUUUAAUGGGGGUCCAGAAAGCUAGUGCAAUUCCAAGCAAAGCGUCGUAGCUGAUUCUACAUGCGUAGCGGAGUACAUAGGAGCCUCUGAGGCGGCUAAGGAGGGUGUGUGGAUGAAGCAGUUCGUGACAGAUCUUGGAGUUGUGCCGAGUGCACUCGAUCCAAUAAAUCUAUUCUGUGACAACACUCGUGCCAUUGCUCUAGCCAAGGAACCAGGGUUUCAGAAGAGGACCAGACACAUUAAAUGACGCUUCAACGCCAUCCACUAUAACAUCGAGGAGGAGGACAUAAAAAAUUGCAAAGUGCACACGGAUCUGAAUGUUGCAGACCCGCUGACUAAUCCUCUUGCACGAGCUAAACAUGACCGACACCAGAACUGUAUGGGUGUUAAAUUUGUUACAUUUUUAAUCACAUAGAGAUGUGAUGCUAGAUUAUUGACUCUACUGCAAGUGGGAUACUGUUGGAAAUAUGCCCUAGAGGCAAUAAUAAAAGAGUUAUUAUUAUAUUUCCUUUUUUAAAAUAUAAUAAUUUAUUAUCCAUGCUAUAAUUGUAUUGAAUGGAAACACAAAUACAUGUGUGGAUGCAUAGACAAAAUAAUGUCCCUAGUAAGCCACUAGUUGACUACCUCGUUGAUCAAACAUGGUUAAGGUUUCCUAGCCAUAGACAAGUGUUGUCACUUAGUAACGAGAUCACAUCGUUAGGAGAACGAUGUGAUGGACAAGACCAAACUAUAAACAUAGCUUGUGAUUGUGUAAUUUCGAUGUUAUUGUUUUCUGCAUUUCAACUAUACAUUCCUAUGAUCACGAGAUCUUGUAACUCACUGACCGGAGGAAUACCUUGUGUGUAUCAAAUGUCACAAUGUAACUGGGUGAAUAUAAAGGUGCUCCACAGGUAUCUCCGAAGGUGUCCGUUGAGUUAGCAUGGAUCCAGGCUGGGAUUUGUCACUACGUGUGACCAAGAGGUAUCUCGGGGCCCAAUCGGUAAUACAACAUCACAAACAAGCCUUGCGAGCAAUGUGACUAAAGAGUUAGCCACGGGAUCUUGUAUUAUGGAACAAGUAAAGAGACUUGUCUGUAACGAGAUUGAAAUAUGUAUUGGGAUACCGACGAUCGAAUCUCGGGCAAGUAACAUACCGAAGGACAAACAGAAUGAUAUACGAGAUUAACUAAGCCCUUGACAUAAAGGUUCAACCGAUAAGAUUAUCGUAGAAUAAGUAGCAUACUAUAUGGGCAUCCAGGUCCCUUUAUUAGAUAUUGACCGGAGAAUGUGUUAGGUCAUGUCUACAUAGUUCUUGAACCCGCAUGGUCUACACACUUAAGGUUUGUUGCCAUUUUGGUAUAGUUGAUUUAUAGGCACUGGUGACCGAAGGUUGUUUGGGGUCUUGGAUGAGAUCCACGACGUCAUGAGGAGCUCCGGAAUGAUCCGGAGGUAAAGAUUGAGAUAUAGGAAGUCCUGUUUUGGUCAUCGCGAAAGUUUCGGGCUCAUCGGUAGUGUACAGGGAGUGCGGGGAGGGUGUCGGGGAACCAUCGGGAGGGUGUGACGACCCUAGGGUUUCAUGGGCAAGAGAGGAGGCAAACCAGCCCCUAGUGGGCUGGCCGAAGCAACCUCUAAGGUCCCAUGCGGCUGGAGUGGAAAAUAAGGGAAAAAUACAAAAGGUGGAAAAGGUUUCCAAGUGGAAGGGGAAUCCUACUAGGAGUAGGAUUGGAGGAGGACUCCUCCUCUCCUCCCACUUCGGCUGACCCAAAGGGGCAGUGAUACGUCCAUUUUGCAUCAUGCUUUCAUGUUGAUAUUUAUCGCUUUAUGGGCUGUUAUAUUACUUUGUGGUACCAUAUUUAUGCCUUUUCUCUCUUAUUUUGCAAGGUUUAUUUGAAGAGGGAGAAUUCAGGCAGCUAGAAUUCUGGACUGGAAAAGGAGCAAAUCUGAGUCUCUAUUUUGCACAACUCCAAAUGCCCUGAAAAUUUACGUGGAAUUUUUUGCGAAUAUAUAAAAAAUACUGGGCAAAAGAAGUACCAGAGGGGAGCUACCAGGGCCCCACAAGCCUGGUAGCCGCCACCCCCCUGGUGGCGGCUACAGGGCUUGUGGGCUCCCUGACGGCCCACUGUCGCCCCCCUCUUUUGCUAUAUGAAGGGUUUCGUUCGAGAAAAAAUCAAGAGGGAGCUUUUUCGUGGUUUCGCCGCCGCCACGAGGCGGAACUUCAGCAGAUCCAAUCUAGACCUCCGACAGGACGAUCCUGCUGGGGAAACUUCCCUCCCGGAGGGGGAAAUCGUCGCCAUCGUCAUCACCAACACUCCUCUCAUCGAAGGGGAGGCAUCUUCAUCAACAUCUUCAUAAGCACCAUCUCCUCUCCAAUCCCUAGUUCAUCUCUUGUAACCAAUCUCCGUCUCGCGACUCCGAUUAGUACUUGUAAGGUUGCUAGUAGUGUUGAUUACUCUUUGUAGUUGAUGCUAGUUGGAUUACUUGGUGGAAGAGUUUAUGUUCAGAUCCUUGAUGCUAUUCAUUACACCUCUGAUCAGGAUUAUGAUUAUGCUUUGUGAGUAGUUACUUUUGUUCCUGAGGACAUGGGAUAAGUCAUACUAAUAAUAGUCAUGUGAGUUUGGUAUUCGUUCGGUAUUUUGAUAUGCUGUAUGUUGUAUUUUCCUCUAGUGGUGUUAUGUGAACGUCGACUACAUAACACUUCACCAUACUUGGGCCUAGAGGAAGGCAUUGGGGAGUAGUAAGUAGAUGAUGGGUUGCUGGAGUGACAGAAGCUUAAACCCCAAUCUAUGCGUUGCUUCGUAAGGGGCUGAUUUGGAUCCACUAGUUUAAUGCUAUGGUUAGACGUUGUCUUAAUUCUUCUUUAGUAGUUGCGGAUGCUUGCGAGAGGGGUUAAUCAUAAGUGGGAUGCUUGUCCAAGUAAGGGAAGUAUCCAAGUGCCGGUGCACCCACAUAUCAAACUAUCAAAGUAACAAACGUGAAUCAUAUGAACAUGAUGAAACUAGCAUGACAGAAAUUCCCGUGUGUCCUCGGGAGCGUUUUUCCUCCUGUAAGACUUUGUUCACGCUUGUCCCUUGCUACAAAAGGGAUUGGGCCACUUGCUGCACCAUUUCUCCUACUUGUUACUUGUUACUUUUCGCUUGCUACGUUUCACCUCGCUACAUCAUCACUUGUUACCGCUACUUUCAGUGCUUGCAGUUAUUACCUUGCUGAAAACCGUUUAUCAGAGCCUUCUUCUCCUCGUUGGGUUCGACACUCUUACUUAUCGAAAGGAAUACGAUUGAUCCUCUAUACUUGUGGGUCAUCAGGCAGCCCUAGGGACAGCGGCUUCCCUCCUCUCCUCCUACAUAUACUAGAGCUUUUGAGUGUUUUUGAGACAUCAAUUUCACCAACGUGCUGCCCUCUCUCUAGAUCGUAGUUCCUCCUCAUUAGUUCAACGGUGCUUAGGCAAAGCCCUGUUGGAUUAGCUCCACCACCAUCGCCGUCACGCUGCCGAGGGACUCAUCUAUCUCUCCGCCCCCUCUAAUUGUUUCAAGAAGGCGUAGAUCGUCAUCGAGCUGUACGUGUGCUUAACGCGGAGGUGCCGACCGUUCAGCACUAGAUCGGACGGAUCGAGGGAUGGCUGCGAUUAGGAUCGCUAAGACGUUCGACUACAUCAACCGGCUUUCUUAAUGCUUCCCGCCUAGCGAUCUACAAGGGUAUGUGCAUUCGAUCUCCCAUCUUGUAGAUGAUCAUCACCAUGAUAGGUCUUUUGUGUGCGUAGGAAAUUUUUUGUUUCCCACGCUACGUUCUCCAACAGAUUCCUAGCCUAGAGGAUGAAGAUGAAGAACAUGAUGAUGAGGAGGAUGAGUCUCCUCCUCCCACUACUACUAGGUACAACACCAGGUCUCGGGCAACUACUGUUCCUUCUCACGAGACCGGCCAAACAUCUUCAGCACAAGCUUCAGCACCUUCAGGACCAGCUCCAUCUCAAGCUCCUCCAGUAUCAACUCCUCCAGCUCCAAGGACUUCAGCAGACGCCUUCAUAGUCGCCGUUCGAUCCACUCCAUCAUCAGUUGUUGGGUAACAUAGCGUAAAUUCAAAAUUUUCCUACGCCAUAUUCAGAUCUUCCUAUGGAGAGACCAGCAACGAGAUAGGGGAGAGUGCAUCUUCAUACCUUUGAAGACCGCUAAGCGGAAGCGUUGCUAGAACGCGGUUGAUGGAGUCGUAUUCGUGGCGAUUCAGAUCGCGGUGUGAUGUUGAUCUAGUGCCGAACCACGGCACCUCCGUGUUCAAUGCACGUGCAGCCCGGUGACGUCUCCUGCACCUUGAUCCAGCAACGGGGAGGGAGAGGUUGGGGAACAUCUCCGGCAGCACGACGGCGUGAUGUCGAUGGAGAGACGAGGUCUCCCGGCAGGGCUUUGCCAAGCACCGUGGGAGAGGAGGAAGAAGAGGGACAUGGCUGCGUCGAGGGAGAGAUCAACUUGUGUCUCCAACAGCCCCAAACCCCUCUCUAUUUAUAGGAGGAGAGGGGAGGGGUGCGCCACCUCUAGGGUUCCCACCCUAGGGGUGGCGACAGCCCAGAUGGGAGAGGGGGCGGCGGCCAGGGCAGGAGAGGGGGUGGCGCACCCCUGGUGGGCCUUAGGCCCACCAGCGCCUAGGGUUCCCCCUCCUUCCUCUCUCGUGAUCCAUGGGGUGGUUGUGGGGGGGGCACCAGCCCACCCAGGGGCUGGCUCCCUCCCACACAUGGCCCAUAUAGCCUUCCGGGGCUUGUGGCCGCUCCCGGUGGGCCUCCAGAACCCUUCCGAUGGUCCCCGCACUUUGCAAGUGGUGCCCGAAACAUUUCCGGCGUCCAAACCCAUCCAUCCUAUAUAUCAAUCUUUACCUUCGGACCAUUCCGAAGCUCCUCGUGACUUCCUGUAUCUCAUCCGGGACUCCGAACAACCUUCGGUAACCUUGUAUAACAAUUCCAUAUAACCCUUGCAUCAUCGAACCUUAAGUGUGUAGACCCUAUGGGUUCGGGAGGCAUGCAGACAUGACCGAGACACUCUCCGGCCAAUAACCAUCAGUGGGAUCUGGAUACCCAUCGUGGCUCCCACAUGUUCCACGAUNNNNNNNNNNNNNNNNNNNNNNNNNNNNNNNNNNNNNNNNNNNNNNNNNNNNNNNNNNNNNNNNNNNNNNNNNNNNNNNNNNNNNNNNNNNNNNNNNNNNCAUCCUCGCAUCACUCGUGUUAUGCACUCAACCAGAAUCCCGUCUACUCAAGCAUAGCAAUAUGAAAUUUGUCGUCCCGGGCCAAGUAUCGGGGUUGUUCUGUGCCUACCACAUGAUACUACAACCUAUGACUAUAAUUUUGAAGUACCUACUCAGCAUGCAAUGGGGAAAGGUGAAACUACCAUGCAUAGAAAAACAUAGGAGAUAGUAUGAUCAAAAUGACUUGCCUUGAUGAUAGUUGUCUUGAUCGAGCGCUUCUAAGUAACAAGCUUCGCACUCCAGGUGAUCUACCGAUACAAGCAAAUACACACCAUAAGCACUACAAUCAUCAACAAGUAAAAUAACAUCACAAGCAUAAAGUAGCUAUGGCAUAAAGUGAAAGAAUUCACUUCACCUAACUAAGGCAGAAAUUGUUUCUAUUAAAACCCCAAGUAAAAAUAUUUACAUAAAUUUGAAACUUAUACUAGAGUAAGAUAUAAUCACUAGGAAGCAGUAGCAAAAAGAAUCAAAGUAAAAGCUAUUUUUAAACUCCUGGAAUAAGCAAAACAAGGUUUAAACUAAAUCUGAUCUAAUUCAAAUUUGAAAAGUUCACACAUAGACAAAUUAUAUGUUUUUAACAACUACAGAAAAAUUGUGAUCUACUGGAACAAGUUUCAACUCCAUUGGAAUUCGGGAUCAAAACCUAUGAUCAAAACAAGAUUGGGACUUUCUGUGUUUCAGAAUUAAAACAGAAAAAAGAAAAACUGAUUCUAACGCACAGGGAUACACGUGGCAGCCCCUGAUUGGUUGCGGGUUCGUUUGCUGCGGGGAAAACUAGCAAAUGGCCUGAAUCUAACCGAUUCCUCUUCGACUAAUAUUUAAGUGAAUAAAAACCGGCUUGGUUUUAUCUAAAAGACCGAAAGGGUACGGGUGUUCUAAUCUACCGCAUUAGAUUACGAUCGAACGGCUACGGGAGAGAUGGGGUGCUCAGGGAGCUGGCUCACCAUGGCAGUUGGUUCUCUGGCGAGGCAGGAAGUGGUGCUCGUCGUCGGUGUCGCGGCGGUGGUCGGUGACGGCGUCCGAGGUGUUGGGGAGGUGGCGGCGGGUCUCCUCCGUUGGAUGGCGGCGACGGCGAGGCUUCUCGUGGCCGGGGAACAGCUCGGGGAGGUUGGGAGGCUACUAUGCUGGCCGAACUCCGGUGAGGUGCCGGGGGUGGCGUGGAGCGGUGGAGCUCGGGGUUUGGGUGAAAAAAUGGAACGCGGUGGAGGCGAGGGUGCUGUUGGUGGCGUUGGUUGGUGCGGGGAGGGGUGGUAGUGGCCGGGGUGGCGAGGAGGUGUUUCUCCUGGAGCCUGGCUCGAGCGAGGUUCGUGGGGCGAGGGCGAGGCGGCGAGGGGGCGUGGCGGCGUGGGGAAGGAGGGGCCGAGGGGGGGCUCGGUUUAUAUAGGGGCAGGGGGGAAGGAAGGGGGAGGCGAGAUCGGGGAGAUCCCGGCGAUCCAGGAGUGGCGCCAUGGAAAGGGUGCUGGUCGCUGGNNNNNNNNNNNNNNNNNNNNNNNNNNNNNNNNNNNNNNNNNNNNNNNNNNNNNNNNNNNNNNNNNNNNNNNNNNNNNNNNNNNNNNNNNNNNNNNNNNNNACUUUGGGUGAUCUAAAGACACAAACACAUUCACACAAUAAGCACCAAAAUGACAAGAAAUCAAAAUAACACAAAUAUCAAACAAUAGCUAUAGCAUAGAGAAGUGUAAUUGCCUUUACAUAACCAAAACAGAAUCUGUUUCGGUGAAAACCCCAUGAUAAAAUAUUUAAAAAAUAUGAAAUUUACCUACUCAUAACUAAGAUCAAUAGUGAUCAGUAGAAAAAAGAAUUAAUUAAAAAGCUAUUUUUAAACUCCCGGUAUAAGCAAAACAAGAUUUAAACCAAAUCUGUUCUAACUCAAAUUUUAUAUUUUUGGAAACUACAAGAAAUUUAUGAUCUAAUGCAGACCGAAUAACUUCAAUUGGAUUUGUAGAUCAAAAUUUAUUAAGAAAAGGAAAACAGAACUAUUUCUAUUAUAGAUUUAAAAUAGAAAAGGAAACGAUGAUGUGGCAUGCUUUGAUUGGCUGAAUCCGUGCGCUGCUAGAGCUAACUAACAAACGGCCGAUAUGUAAGAAAACGUUUCGGUUAACUUAACUGGUUGACCAUUUUUUUAGAAAACCGAAGGGGUAAGUUCAUCUAAUUCUACACCGUUGGAUCUAGAUCUAAAGGUAAAAAAACAGGCNNNNNNNNNNNNNNNNNNNNNNNNNNNNNNNNNNNNNNNNNNNNNNNNNNNNNNNNNNNNNNNNNNNNNNNNNNNNNNNNNNNNNNNNNNNNNNNNNNNNUUAUAUUAUUAUUUUUCCUUUUUUUUGGUGGGCUUCUUUGGCCUCUCUUUUUUAUUAUGGCUUUAUUUGCCUCUUUUAUUACUUCCUCACAUGGGACAAUGCUCUAAUAAUGAUGAUCAUCACACUUUUAUUUACUUACAACUCGAUAUUUAGAACAAAAUAUGACUCUAUAUGAAUGCCUCCGGCGGUGUACCGGGAUGUGCAAUGAUCUAGCGUAGCAAUGACAUCAAAAAACGGACAAGCCAUGAAAACAUCAUGCUAGCUAUCUUACGAUCAUGCAAAGGAAUAUGAUAAUGAUGGUGCGUGUCAUAAAAAACGGAAUGAUGGAAGUUGCAUGGCAAUAUAUCUCGGAAUGGCUAUGGAAAUGCCAUAAUAGGUUGGUAUGGUGGCUGUUUUGAAGAAGGGUAUAUGGUGGGUCUAAUGCACCGGCGAAAGUUGUGCGGUACUAGAGAGGCUAGCAAUGGUGGAAGGGUGAGAGUGCGUAUAAUCCAUGGACUCAACAUUAGUCAUAAAGUACUCACAUACUUAUUGCAAAAGUCUAUUAGUCAUUGAAACAAGGUAAUACACGCAUGCUCCUAGGGGAAGGGUUGGUAGGAAUUAACCAUCGCGCGAUCCCGACCUCCACACAAAGGAUGACAAUCAAUAAAUAAAUCAUGCUCCAACUUCAUCACAUAACGGUUCACCAUAGGUGCAUGCUACGGGAAUCACAAACCUUAACACAAGUAUUUCUAUGAAUACACAAUUACUCACUAGAAUGACUCUAGUAUCACACCUUCCUGUCGCAAAACUAUUGCACGGAAUCAAACAUAUCAUAUUCACUCAUCUACAAGUUUUAUGUAGGAUUUUAUGACUAACCAUGUGAAUGACCAACUCCUGUUAACUCUCUAAAUAGGUAUAAGUGAAGCAUUAGAGUUUAAUUCUUUCUACAAAAGAUAUGCCCCACUCUAAUAAAUAUAAGUGAAUCAAAAGAGCAUUCUAUAAAUUGCGGUUUUCUAUGUGUAGGGAAACAAGCGAUCCAAACUUCAAAUGAUAUAAGUGAAGCACAUGAAGCAUUCUGUAAACCCAUACUCAAAAGAUAUAAGAGAAGUGCCAAGAGCGUUCUAUAAAUCAACCGAGGACUAUCUCAUACCAGCAUGGUGCAUAAAAUCCCCCCCCCCCCCAAAUAAACACAAAAGACGCUCCAAGCAUUUGCACAUAUCAUGUGACGAAUAAAAAUACAGCUCUAAGUAAAAUUACCGAUAGAUUGUAGACGAAAGAGGGGAUGCCUUCUGGGGCAUCCCCAAGCUUAGACGCUUGAGUCUUCCUUUAAUACUACCUUGGGGUGCCUUGGGCAUCCCCAAGCUUAGGCUCUUGCCUCUCCUUAUUCCUUCAUCCAUCGUGGUCUCACCCAAAACUUGAAAACUUCAAUCACACAAAACUCAACAAAACCUUCGUGAGAUCCGUUAGUAUAAUGAAGUAAAUCACCACUUUAAGUACUAUUGUGAACUCAUUCCAAAUUCAUAUUAGCAUUAUGUCUACUGUAAUCCAACUUCACCAUGGUUCAUACCCCACCCCCCGAUACUACCCAUAGAUUCAUCAAAAUAAGAGAACAAUGCAUAGAAAACAGAAUCUGUCAAAAACAGAAUAGUCUGAAGUAAUCUAAACAUUUCGUAUACCUCUGCUAUCCCAAAUUUUUUGAAAAAAUGUGAAAAUUAGGGAAAUUUUCAUAUCAAUCAGCAGAAAAAAUAAUCAACUCAAAAGCUCUUUCAGGAUAGGAAUUAAAAAUAAUUUUGUGAGCACAGAGUUUCUGUCUUUUUCAGCAUGAUCAAACAACUAUCACCCAAACUAAUCAUAAAGGCUUUACUUGGCACAUUAUUUUUUAUAAUACAAUGGAAUUGUACAAGGGGAUAAUUAUUUUUGCGAGAAACUUCCAUGAAAAAUUCUACAUUGUUUCCAUGAGCAUGAACACAAGUGUUCAAGGUCGACCCUCACUUCCGCAAUGCAUCACCUUUCAAUCGCUUCUCUUUUUGAAAAAGUUUUAAGCCCCCCCCCCUAUAUNNNNNNNNNNNNNNNNNNNNNNNNNNNNNNNNNNNNNNNNNNNNNNNNNNNNNNNNNNNNNNNNNNNNNNNNNNNNNNNNNNNNNNNNNNNNNNNNNNNNGAUCUCGUCGGAUGAACCACUAUGUCAAGGAUUCAACCAAUCCCGUAUUGAAUUCCCUUUGUCUAUCGGUAUAGAACUUGCCCGAGAUUCGAUCGUCGGUAUACCCAUACCUUGUUCAAUCUCGUUACCGGUAAGUCUCUUUACUCGUUCCGUAGCACAUCAUCCCGUGACUAACUCCUUAGUCACACUGAGCUCAUUAUGAUGAUGUUCUACCGAGUGGGCCCAGAGAUACCUCUCCGUCACACGGAGUGACAAAUCUCGAUCUCGAUUCGUACCAACCCAACAGAAACUUUCGGAGUUACCCGUAGUGCACCUUUAUAAUCACCCAGUUAUGCUGUGACUUUGAUACACCCAAAGCACUCCUACGGUAUCCGGGAGUUGCACAAUCUCACGGUCGAAGGAAAAGACACUUGACAUUAGAAAAGCUUUAGCAUACGAACAACACGAUCUAGUGUUAUGCAUAGGAUUGGGUCUUGUCCAUCACAUCAUUCUCCCAAUGAUGUGAUCUCGUUAUCAAUGACAGCUAAUGUCCAUGAUCAGGAAACCAUGAUCAUCUAUUGAUCAACGAGCUAGCUAACUAGAGGCUUGCUAGGGACACAUUGUGAUCUAUUUAUUCACACAUGUAUUAUUGUUUCCUCUUAAUACAAUUAUAGCAUGAACAACACAUGAUUAUCAUGAACAAGGAAAUAUGAUAAUAACUAUUUUAUUAUUGCCUCUAGGGCAUAUUUUGUUUCCCAUGCUAGGUUCCCCAACAUAUUCCACGCAUAGAGGAUGAAGAUGAAGAACAUGAUGAUGACGAGGAUGAGUCUCCUCCUCCCACUACUACUAGGUACAACACCAGGUCUCGGUCAUCUACUGCUCCUUCUUAGGAGACAGGCCAGACAUCUUCAGCACAAGCUUCAGCAUCUUCAGGACCAGCUCCAGCUCAAGCUCCUCCGGUAUCAACUCCUCCAGCUCCAAGGACUUCAGCAGACGCCUUCAUAGUCGCCAUUCGAUCGACUCCAUCAUCAGCUGCCCAGAGAGACGAUUAGUUCUAUACUUUUGAACUUUUUGGUAACGUGUUGCCAAAGGGAGAGAAAAUUAUAGAUCAUAGACUUCUUGUGAGAGGGAGCUUUUGACUUUAUUUGCUCUCAUUUGGUUUAAAAAGAAACUUUGUUUGUUCGAUGACUUUAUCCUACAUGUGUUUUAUCAUACGCUUUAUCGUGUGUGAUGCUACNNNNNNNNNNNNNNNNNNNNNNNNNNNNNNNNNNNNNNNNNNNNNNNNNNNNNNNNNNNNNNNNNNNNNNNNNNNNNNNNNNNNNNNNNNNNNNNNNNNNAGGGACGGUCGGCGGCGGACKSCRGRSGGGAGGCGAGGGGGGAGAUGGAGAGGGGUGCAGGGGGGCGACGGGAGGAGCAGGGGCUUCCUGGUCGGGGCGAUGUGGAGGAGGUCGCAGCUCCGGCGAGGUUGCAGGGCGAGGGCGUGCGGUGGAGCGGUGGUGGGGAGGUGGCAGCGAGGUAGGGAGGGCUCGGCAGGGAGGGGAGGGGGUGUAGGGGCGAUGGGGAAGGUCGCCGGCGAGUUCCUGUGGCCGACUCCGGCGAGGUCCACAGGGGGAGGAGGAGGUGGGGAGAGGCGGCUGUUCCAACGGGAAUGGAACGAGGAGGACCGGGGCCUUCUUAUAGGGGCGACGGGAGAGGCUAGGAGGGAAGGAACUUCGCGAAUCCCGGAGGUGAGGAUUUCUCUGUCCAUGGCUAAGGAAGGUCCAGUGCACGUGAGGAAGGAGAUAGAGGAAGAAGAAGAUCCUUUGUUGGGCCACAAUAGGAAACCUCCUAAUGGGCCAGCAAGAGUUUCCAUUUAAACAUGAUUUCUUUCCUUUUUUCAAAACUAGGAAACUAAAACGAUAAAAGAGAAAUCAAAUCAAUUCGGAAUAUAGAGUUUCUAUAUACUAAAAUUAUCAGAAAAAUAAAAUCUAAAUGAUGGGCAUUUUUCCACGGCCAAAAUAAAAACUUAAAAAAAAUGUUUUUCCAAAAAAAUCCCUAAAAGCAUUAUUUCUUUUUGCAAUUAUUUUCUCAAAUUAAAUUUUGUUUCCUUGGCUCAAAAUACUUCAACAAAUGCCCCUGGCUUUGGAGGGUCAUGUUCCUCCUCUCUUUUCUGUUUGACAGAAUAUUAUUCCCCGGCAUUUCUUGAGUGGAGGGAAAAUAGAAUUUGCAAAUUAAAAUCGAAGGAAAUUCAAAUGCCAGCUCCAUUCAAAUUCUUUAUAGUUGAAGAAGUCAUGUCAUCUUCUCUCAUUUCUUUUAAAAGAUUGAAUUUGAAUUCAUCGGAGAUGGGGAAAGUCAUUUUAUUCCCUCUCAUUCAAAAGUUUUUUGAAAAGUUUCAAAUUUCACACAAGUUUCAAUCACUCAAGCAAACAAACAAACAAUCUAAUAAUUAUUUUAACAUUCCAAAAUUUGGGAUGUUACAAACCUACCACACUUAAAAUGAAUCUCGUCCUCGAGAUUCGAAGAAGCUAGAAAGAAAGUUUAGGGUUUGGGUGUCUUCUAGCAAUCCAAUCUCCUGCAAAGUGGGAUGCUACCACACUUAAAAUGAGAGAUACUGGUCCCUCAAAAUGUUUUAACGAUCCUCUGGGGUUUUGGCAACUGACAUCGCAUAGUCUUCAUAUAUUCCGUUAUAUUCAUAACGUCUCCAUCAAAAACGAGGGCUCUUCCAUUGAUAUAAGCUUCUUCCAUUACUGGGUCUUCUUAACUGGCAGUCUCGUGGUCAAUUCUAAAUAACAUAUCGAUGGUUCUCAUGGUGGUCUACCAUUUUUGGUUAUCCGGCAGAGAGAGGGGUCUUGGUUUCAUUCUCACCGUAAAAUUUCCUACUCGUGACAACAAAUGCCAUGUACUUGGGGCUUUCCUUGUACCAUUCUAAGGCUUAAACAAAAGCUUCAAAGAACGUCAUCUCUUACUAUGGGUAAGUCUCUCAGAUUUACCAUUCCGAAUAGCAAGAUAAAUGAUAAGAGUAAGUCGUCAUGGUGAUCAAUCCAUUCCGCACCCAAAUCAUUACCUUGUAUAAGGCUUAGUGAAUCUCGUAUUCUAACACUUGGGCGUCCUCACAAGCGUUGCAGAAUUUCUUUUGUCCACGAACGGAGUUCGGAUAAUCCAUUGGUUCUGCAAGCUGAACAAAACAUCUAUCGUAUCUUCACAACUCUGUGGCUUUCGUAUAUUCCUAAGAAAACGUUUGCUGAUCCAUCAUAGCUUCUUCCAUAGAUCAUAUUCAUUUCAUAAUCAAUCCUUUAUUACAUCCUUGCUUUCUUCAAAAUUCCAACUCAAAAGUACUCUAUUACAGAUGUUGCCAUCCACAUUGUUCGGUAUGGUCGAGCAUUUCUGCCAACUUUACUCAUCUGCCUCUCUUGGAGGUACUUAGUUCCACUCGAACUUUCCGAGGUGCUCCUUGAAAUCAUCCAUCUUUUGCUUCAUAAUGGUGGUCAUGAGCUUCAUCUCCAUCAUCUCCGCGCGUACUUCACUCAGGUAUUCCUGGGUACGACGGAGUCUUGAUUCAAGUAUUUCUCCAAUCUGACGUAUGGCUUCCAUGGCAGGUUCACGAACAGCAUCAAAGAAAGUUGCUCGUGGUACACGUGAAAUGAAAAAGUAUUGCCCCAUAGUCUUUGGACAAACUCCUUCACCUGGUGGAGGUGUACUUCCACAUACCAAAGUUCUACUCCACUUUCAAUGAACGGGUAACCUUUGUAGACUGCAUCUCCUUCAAGAUGAAUGUGCUUCAUCAUGUCCUUCAGGAUUUUUGGGUAAUCAUGGUCACUGGUCAGGCUCAUGAUCGUUUCUGGGCCCUUGAGGAAUGACUCGUAGAGAGUUGUCAUCUGCAAGUGUCGGUAAAUAGGUACUCAGAGGAAUGUAUAUGUCUCCUUGGUAGUUUGGCACAUUCCUACUCAGUGGAUCCUCUGGGUUUACCGAUUACUACCACACUUAAAUGAAUUAUACUCAUGCCUGCAUAGACCAUAUUUUCUCAUAUCCUCAUAAUUGUUCAGAGAUCUUUGAUCGUAGAGAAACAACGCAUACAUUUUCAACAUAGGCAAUCAUGAGACAAUGAAUUCCAUUUAUUCAUGAUGUUAUUACAAUUUCAGGGACUUCUGUUACAAAAAUUUCACUCCAUGAUCUCAAUGAAAAACAAGAGUGCCUCGGAUCACACUUAUUGCCCUGGUCAAAACUUAACUACUCCAUUCUAGCUUUCUUCCUUUGCGUACAAUCGCUAGCAAAAUGUCCAGCUUCCUUGCAACGAAAGCAAAUGAGUUCUGACAAGUCUCGAGGCUUCUUAGCUUUUGCUUUUGCUCCUUGGAUUUCCGGCUUCCUUCCUGAGCGCAUGUAUUUGUGGUGGCCAAAUUCCAUACACUUGUAACAUUCGACAUGACUCAGGUCUAUGUCUGCAGAGAUUUGGCUCUUCCGAGGGUACUUUUUCUUCUUUCUGGACUCCUUCAUUUUGGCCAGUUCUUCUAUUUCAAGUGGAUCAAACUCCACUUCUUCCGUCGGGAAGUUUCCCAGAUACUCUUGGCUUCUCUUUGUGCAAUCCUGUGAAUAAUGUCCUUCUUCUCCACAUGAGUAGCAUGCAUUGGAGAAAAAUCUGGUAAGACCUUGUCCAUCAGGGUCUUCAAUAUUUUCGUUCAUCACCGGUUCUUCUAGAAUCAUCUUCUUGAGGGUUUCCUUCACUGCAUCUUUCUGCUGCUUGACAACUUGUUGCACCUUGGGGUAAAUGUGACAUUGAGCUGGGUAGUGGGUGGUUCCUUCACAACGGAAACAAGUCACCUGACUGCUUGGGCACUCCUCAGCUGGGUGAUUUUCUUCACAAUGAGUGCAUCCAUCCUUGUGUUCUUCCUGGGUGUGUCCUAUUUCUCCAUAGAUCUUGCAUGCACAAGUCUUCUCCUUCGGAUUAUCAUAGCACUUUUGAAUGAGAAGGGAUCUUCACAGAGUCUUCUUGAAUUCGUCCCAAGUUUCUGCUCCACUAAAUCCUUGUAUGGCAUGGUGCAUUUUCCACCACAUAGAAGCACUUUGGGUAAAGUACUGGAGAGCAUGUACCACUUCAUACUUCCUUGUGGUCAGGUUGCUCCCGAAGUGGUUCUCCAUGUUCUGAAUCCAUAUUUCAGCCUCCAGCUAGGUCAUUGGUCCACAGACUACAAGUCUAGCUUCAUACUCCAUCUGGUAGGGUUGAGGUUUUGGGGAUGAGACGGGUAAGAGAGGGAGGGAGAUACACACAAUACAAACAAUAUUUUUGAGAAUAGGUUUUAUUUGUGGCUGUCGAAAAACACACACCAAUGACGGCUCACAAAUCAUCGUAUCUAACGUGGGUAUAUAACAGGGGUUUGGACUUCUAAUGGUCAUAUAAAUAUUCAAACACUUCAGGGUCUUCGAAUUCUUCGGGUCUUGAGAGUCUUCAAUUGGCGCAGCUUCAAUGCUUCAAUUGCAUGAUGAAAUCCUCUUUACUUUGAAGUAGAACUCCAUUGAUUCUUCAUGAGGUCAAAGCGGUAAGGGGAUUGUAUAACUAUUUGAGGUGAGAGGGAACAUUUGAUGAAAUCAGAAGGGAUGAGAAGUAAAGGAUGUUCUUGAAAAUAAAUUUUUUUGAGAGAUUCUUCCCUAAGGGAUUUCCAGUUUCUAGGGUCACGUCCUACAGUCAACAUGUGCUCUGAUACCAUUUCUGUAGCGACCCGACUAAAGACGAGUCAAGCCUUUGUGUUUCUGUGCCAUCCCUGGAUCAGUAUGCUGACACACACAGUACAUCAAUGUAUAUAUCAAAGUGCAAUCACAUGUAAAUAGCGUAAAACUGAUAUAUACCUUAAUUAUCUCAGCGGAAGCGGUCAAGGGAGUGGAGUCCCAAUAAACACCAACGGCAAGUUGAGUGUAGACCGUAACCUUGAAUCGUACUCUUACUCGUCGAAGAAAAAUAUCUACAACAUAAGAUGUUGCAACCGUGUAGGUCAGCAUAUUGAAUAUGCCGGCAAGUCACAUAUGAGAGGGGGUAAAAUAAUCAUCUAUACUAUAUGCAUAUAUGGUAGGUGGGGCUAUAAGUUUUUAGCGAAAAGCAAGUUUUCUCCUACAUCAAGAGAGGGCUAAAAGCAAAAUGUUACUACAUUGUUGGUUGUUAACGAGAUGGUUCCGCCAACCAAUUCUCGUACCCGAGUUGUCAAUAAUUCCCACAUCAAUAUUAUUAUUUGUGUUGAGAAUUUCAGAUAACUUUAGUUCCUUUGGCUCAAAUUGUCCAUGACCGUGGACACGGCUAAUCGAUUAGGUUUGAGUACUCUGCAGAGUUUUGCACACGUUCCCCACAAGAUUUGAUCACCUCUGAGUAUGUCCUCGCACUUCAGGGUGUUUGAAGACCGGAUGAUCAAAACAUGGUCUUUCAACGGGUCCCUCUGAAUCCCUGUCGGUGCCCAUCCAUUCCUACUGUUCUUCUACAUCUGCUAGCACCGCCUGUCCAGAGUCGCCGCGUUGUCCAACCAAGCCAGAGCCCAUAAUGACUUGUGGCUGUGCAGGUAAGCCUUGGGUCUUGAAAAUAUCCGUCCGUCUCUUUGAGCCUGGGUGAAGCUUUCCGCAGGAUGGCAUGGCCUCUCCAGCAUCCCGGGUCAUCCACUGGCUUCUCCAGGGAGCCGAUCAACCGUCCUUCACCCAGAGUUGCAUUGCGUCCGAGGUCUUGAAAAUCUUGUCUUAACCGGUCGUGAUUAUUUAAUCAACCUUGCAUCACUCGUGUUAUGCACUCAACCGAAAUCCUGUCUACUCAAGCAUAGCAAUAUGAAAUUUGUCGUCCCGGGGCCAUGUAUCGGGGUUGUUGUGUGCCUACCACAUGAUACUACAAUCUAUACUAAAAUUUCCAAGUACCUACUCAGCAUGCCAUUGGGCAUAGGAUGGUAGAACUACGAUGCAUAAAACAUAGGUGAUAGUAUGAUCAAAGUGACUUGCCUGGUGAUGUUGACGAAGAAGAAUUUCUCGAGAAAUAACUUGAUAGACUACUCGUCACUCUCCGAUGAAAUCUAUAUAACAAACAUAUCAUUCACAUAAGCACUCAUACUAGCAAUCAUUCUAGCAAUCAGAACAAAAGAGAGAGCGAAUAAGAAUCCGAAAGAAACUUCACUAAUGUUAGGAGUCUUCUACUACAUCAAAGACUAAAUGGUUUUUGUCCGAUAGGAAGUAAUAACAAGGAACUAACAUAUAAAGGUAACUAAGAUAAAAUAGAGUAUUUUUCACAAAACUUUUGGAAGUAUUUCCAAACGGGAUUUGAAACAGUGGAGAAACCAAUUGCAAGUUAUCAGGGAACUAGAAUUGAUUUCAUGAUAACAUAUACAAAUAAAAAUCAAAACUUGUUGCAACCUACUGUUAACUAACAGAAACAAAACAUAAUCUUUCUGAAAUAAUAAAGAAAAUAAUUUAAAAACAAUUAUAGAAAAGUAAUAGCCAUAAUCCUAAAAAGAGGUGAAACAGAAAUUGUUUCACAAGAAACCAUAAGCUAAAAUACUCAAACAAAUCUGAAAUUUUUACCAUUGUUAAAUAAGAUCACUAGUGAUCAGUAGCAAAAGGAAUCAAAUUAAAAGCUAUCUUUAAACUCCUGGAAUAGUCAAAACAAGGUUUAAACUAAAUCUGAUCUAAUUCAAAUUUGAAAAUUUCAAACAUAGACAAAUUAUAUGUUUUUAAAAACUACAGAAAUUUUUUGAUCUACUGGAAAAAGGAUCAACUCCAUUGGAGUUGUGGAUCAGAAGUUAUGGGCUAAACAAAAUUGGAACUAAUUCUGUCACAGAUUUAAAACAGAAAACGAAAUCUGAUGACGUGGCACUAUCUGAUUGGCCGUAUCCGUGCGCUCCUAAAACUAACUAACGAACGGCCCCUAUGUAGGAAAAACGAUUCGGUUCGCUUAACUGGUGGACCGGUUCUUUAAAAGAAACCGAAAGGGUAUGCCCCUUGUAAUCUACACCGUAGAUUUUGACUUAAUAGGCAAACCAAAAAGAAAAAAAACAGGAUGAGGAGAAGGAGCCUUACCGUGACUGGCAGGGGCUGGAGGCCUUCUCCGGCGAGGGGGGUGCAACUCCGGCGGGGUGGGGUCGACCGGCGGGGGGGUGCGGGCGGAGUAGGGGGAGUGGCGGCGAGGGCUCCAGGGGGGGAGGCCGAGGGGGGGAGGAUGGGAGAGGGGGUGCAGGGGGGGCGACGGGAGGAGGCGAGGGGCGUCCGUGGUCGGGGGCGGACGUGGUGGGAGGAGGGCCGGCGAGGCGUNNNNNNNNNNNNNNNNNNNNNNNNNNNNNNNNNNNNNNNNNNNNNNNNNNNNNNNNNNNNNNNNNNNNNNNNNNNNNNNNNNNNNNNNNNNNNNNNNNNNAAUUGCAAGAAAACAUUUUUAGGGCUGUGACAUCAAAACAACAAAACUAACAAAAAUAAGAACUCCAAGAUAACAACUUUGGUACAUCGUUGGAAAAUAAAAAGUUUUAGGCUCAACAUAGGGCUUAAACCGAUAUUUGUUUGAUGAAGAGAGGUGGGAUGCAUAUCAUCCAUAACCUUAAGAUGCUUUGCGACUUCUUGAAAAUAUUUACUUGGGGUGCCAUGGGAAUUCCCAAGAUUGAGAUUUUGUAUCUACUUUCAAUCCUCUCAUAUCCCAGUUUCACCUAUUCCUCUAAAAAACUUCAUCAACACAAAACUUGAAAAGAACUCAUGAGAUAGGUUAGUGCACAUAAUAAUAAAUCAACUCUUUAUGUAGUUCCAAGACAAGUUCAAUAAUAAUUUAAAACAUCAUGUACUGUUUACUAUCAUUUCCACAAUUUAUAUCUACCAAUNUAAGCUAUGGAAACUAUAGGAUAAGUGGAUAACAAAACUNUGACAACAAUCUGUCCAAACAGAACAGUCUGUAGCAAUCUAUUAAACCAGUAUACUUCUGUAUCUCCAAAAAUUNUGAAAAAAAUUUUUAGUAAAAAAACGUACUUAAAGGUUAAAUUUUUGGUUAACUUAAUUUUACGUUCCAAUUUAGGUUUAAAAAAGGUUUUUUCCAAAGGUUAAAAAUUUUUUUACAACGGUUUUCCCAAAGGUUUNNNNNNNNNNNNNNNNNNNNNNNNNNNNNNNNNNNNNNNNNNNNNNNNNNNNNNNNNNNNNNNNNNNNNNNNNNNNNNNNNNNNNNNNNNNNNNNNNNNNUUCCAACGGGAAUGGAACGAGGAGGACUGGGGCCUUCUUAUAGGGGCGACGGGAGAGGCUAGGAGGGAAGGAACUUCGUGAAUCCCGGAGGUGAGGAUUUCUCUGUCCAUGGCUAAGGAAGGUCCAGUGCACGUGAGGAAGGAGAUAGAGGAAGAAGAAGAUCCUCUGUUGGGCCACAAUAGGAAACCUCCUAAUGGGCCAGCCAGAGUUUCCAUUUAAACACGAUUUCUUUCCUUUUUUCAAAACUAGGAAACUAAAACGAUAAAAGGGAAAUCAAAAUCAAUUCGGAAUAUAGAACACACGAAGCAGGACGUAGGCUAUUACCUCUAUUCGAGGGGCCGAACCUGGGUAAAUCGCCGUGUCUCUCCCGUUUAACCCCUUUGAGUCGCCACCAAGGUGCGAUGGCUCCAGUACUAAGUCCUUUCACGAGGACAUCUGCCAUGACAAAACCACGACAGUUGGCGCCCACCGUGGGGCCUGCGCACGGUGGAGUUGAGUUCUCAAAGGGAGCCCUACCAGGGUCUGGGAGUUAUGCGGCGGCGCUCAUGACUUGGAGCCGACGCGGCAUAGCCUACAUCGACAACAGGCGAUGGGGACCUGAAGCAAAUUCUCUCGAAUCAGGCUACAGGGUCCCCUUCGGCAAGAUCAACGUCUUCGUCCAUCACCAUGAUAGGUCAUUCGUGUGUGUAGGAAUUGUUUGGUUUCCAUGCUACGUUCCCAAUAGUGCUGUCAUGAGCUAGGNNNNNNNNNNNNNNNNNNNNNNNNNNNNNNNNNNNNNNNNNNNNNNNNNNNNNNNNNNNNNNNNNNNNNNNNNNNNNNNNNNNNNNNNNNNNNNNNNNNNCGGAGAAGUAGAUGAGGUUCUUCGGGUAGCACGACGGGCGUGGUGGCGGUGGUGGUGGACGAAGUCCUCAUCACAACUUGGACCCAAUCGGCUACCUCAAAGUGCGUUUUUCGGAGGAGAAACCGGAUCUACGGGGAGAGAAGGAGGGAUGCAACCUAUGGCGUUGGUAGUGCAUCUGCCCUACUAAUGACGAGUUGAAUGGAUAAUACUUCUACUCCCCUCAAUGUUUACCCCAAGUGGAAGAUGGAGAUGUAGUACAACAGACAGAUUUACCCUUACAUGGAGACUUAAAGGUUUAUCGAACCAGAAAGACUCCUAGGUUACAACAAGUAGGUGUUCUCCUGUCCUGGUCAGCAGAAGACGUGGACCUACACACACAAAAAAAACUUUGCUCCCAACGAGUAUAGAGAGGUUGUCAAUCUCUCCGGCCUUGUAGUUUGCAAAAGGAUACAAAAACACAAGCGGGAAGGUAAUAGUGAUUGCAACGGACAAGUAAAUAAAAACGGUAAAUGAAUGGAGGUAGUAAACAAUGAUGGUGAUAUGGAUCGGAGUCACNUGAUGAUCACUAGUGAUGUCUCNCUCCAAAUCGAUAGACCAAUACUGGCUUUAGGGUAAAACCAAAUUCCGAACAAGGUUUGGGGACCUAAAUUUAACCGAAGGUAAAUUUAGUUAGGAAUUCCGGGACCAACCGUACCGAAAAUUGGUACCUUAAAUUAAUUGGCUACUUAGAUUAGUUUGAGGUUCAAUAGUAAUGGGNAGUACNCAAAGCAAGUGNNNNNNNNNNNNNNNNNNNNNNNNNNNNNNNNNNNNNNNNNNNNNNNNNNNNNNNNNNNNNNNNNNNNNNNNNNNNNNNNNNNNNNNNNNNNNNNNNNNNAAGGGUGGUAAAAUACUUUUUUGGUUGUUCGUGUGGUAUUGGGGGAAUUAGUUUUCAGAAUUUUAUUAGGGACCGAAGAUUAGGGUUAGGAGACCUACGAUAGGGGGGCCCCAACCAAAACCCAAGGGGGGGCGCCCCCCCCCCGUAGGGCACGCCCUCCAGGCUUGUCGUCUCCCGGCAGGUCUCCUGCCCCCCUUCUCCAAGUCUGGCAUGUUUCUUCUGGUCCAAGAAAAAUCAUUUUCGGAGAUUUUUAUUCCGUUUUGGACUCCCCUUUUAAUAUUUCUGAUAUGCAAUAAUCAAAAACAGAAAAAAAACNGAAACUCGCACUAGGCACUAGAUUAAUAGAUUAGUCCCCAAAAUAAUAUAAAAUAGCAUAUUAAUGCAUAUAAAACAUCCAAAAACAGAUAAUAUAAUAGCGUGGAACAAUCGAAAAUUAUAGAUACGAUGGAGGCGUAUCAAGCAUCCCCAAGCUUAAUUCCUGCUCGUCCUCAAGUAGGUAAAUGACAAAAAACAUAAUUUUUGAUGUGGAAUGCUACCUAUCAUAUUCUUUAUUGUUGGCAUGAAUAUUCAGAUCCAUAAUAUUCAAAAACAAAAGUCUAAUAUUGACAUAAAAAACAAUAAUACUUCAAAGCAAUACUAACAAAGGAAAUUUGCUAUUCUUUUAAGUAAAAGUAGUACCAUGGGCCUUACCAAAAGUUUAAUCCCUUAACCAAAAUUACCAAUNUGUNUGGCUUANGUCUCCAUUCUUCCCCACACAAUAUNNNNNNNNNNNNNNNNNNNNNNNNNNNNNNNNNNNNNNNNNNNNNNNNNNNNNNNNNNNNNNNNNNNNNNNNNNNNNNNNNNNNNNNNNNNNNNNNNNNNGUUGGACGGACCGUGGGACGUUUGACGGUGCGGGCCAUCCCUCCCCGUCUCCCGUACUCAUAUAUAGUAUAGGGGAAGGGAGGGAUGGGGGCUGCGCCCAGGGUUCCCCUAGGAUGGGGCGAGCUGGUGUUCUGGGGAAAUGGGGGGACCUAGACUUGCCUGUGUGUGGCCUAGGGGCUGGCCCAGUCAUCAAGCAAGGCACAAUCGGGCGCAGCACCGACUCAUGGCAAGGUCCUCGCGAGGGGCCAAGCCUCGCGUAGGAGGCACAGCAUCAAGACCCACAGGUGGUCUCAUUCAGGACCCCCUCCGGAGAGGCAGAUAUUCUGAGGCAAGAACCCGGCCUCAGGAGUCAAGGAUUGAUGCGGAGGAUGGACAGGCGAUCAGCAGACAACAGGACGGACCAGUUUCCCCUUUAGUGCAAAGGGGGCAAGGACGAACCGGGUUUCCCAAGGCAUCUUCCAAAGGUUUCCUUCUGGUGCAACAAGGCCAUCACCGCCCGCCAGCACGGCAGAUGUCAUCCCUCGACCCGUCCCUGCAGUGCUGGCAGCCACUUUGCACGCGAAGCUACCUUUGGGCACGGGAGCAUGUUCCCCUAUUCUCCUUCAAAAACUUUGGGCCCGUUUGGUUCGGGGGGGGUAAACUUUUCCCCCCCCCCGGUUUUUUACCCCCCCCCGGGUACCCGUUUUUAAAAAAAAAAACCCCGGGGAACGUUUUAAAAAAACCGGGGGGGGGUAAAAACGGUAAACGGGGGGUAAACCCCCCCGGGGGGGGGGCCCCCGGUACCCCCGGUAAACGUUUUUNNNNNNNNNNNNNNNNNNNNNNNNNNNNNNNNNNNNNNNNNNNNNNNNNNNNNNNNNNNNNNNNNNNNNNNNNNNNNNNNNNNNNNNNNNNNNNNNNNNNUUUUCGUUUCCUUAUUAAGGCCGUAGUACCUUCGUUACUAGUAGGUUGGACCUUUUCAGUGUGCCACGUCAGAGUAGUUUCUAUCAUGAUAUUGUCUAGGAGUUUUUGUGGCUUCUCCUAACGUGAUUUCCAUGAACGUUCCACCUAAGGUGGAGUCCAAGAUAUUUCUAGAAAGCGAAAUUCAAGCCAACGUAGAAGAUUUGUAUAAUCAUCCAAAAGACUCAAGCCAUGAGCUUGGACGAUUUCUAAUCAUACAAUUUUCAUUCUCUCCCAAAGAUUGUGCAACAUGUUCAUGAUCAAGUUGCUUAAAAUUCAUGAUAUCAUUACGGAGUAGAGAUAAUCUUAGCCGGCGUAAAAUACUUGGAUAUAUAAGUAUCUUCGAACUUAUCCCAAGAAUCAAUACUAUUUUUGGGCAAAGACGAAAAACCUAAGUUUUUUAGCCUUCGAUCUGCAACGAGAAAAGGAAAAAAGACUUUCCUAAAUUUUAAAUUACAACAUCUAUUAUCCACAUAUUUCUUCUUUUUGCUAUAUCGCAAAGCUACAAGGUAAGGUANNNNNNNNNNNNNNNNNNNNNNNNNNNNNNNNNNNNNNNNNNNNNNNNNNNNNNNNNNNNNNNNNNNNNNNNNNNNNNNNNNNNNNNNNNNNNNNNNNNNUUUUAAUUUUUAAACAUUUACCCUAAAAAGUUUUAGGGAUUGUUACAGAAGCCUACUAGUGAACACUAUCGGCCCGGGUCUACUUCUCACCAUAUUUCAUCCUUACACUUUUACUUCAUUGCACUUUCCGCCUUCAGAUCUCACUUUGCAAGCAAUCUUGAAGGGAUUGACAUCCCCUUUAUAGUGUUGGUGCAAGCUCUUUGUGUAUGUGAAGGUACUCUGGACUUGACGAGAUUCUCCUACUGGAUUGAUACCUUGGUUCUCAAACUGAGGGAAAUACUUACUGCUCCUGUGCUGCAUCACCAUUUCCUCUUCAAGGGAAAAACCAACGCAAGCUCAAGAGACGACAGAAGGUUUCUGUUGACGUAGCAGAAGGAUUUUCUGGCGCCGUUUGCCGGGGAAGGAUUUUUGUUGCCGUAGCAGAAGAAUUUCUGGCGCCGUUGCCGAGGGGGUAGGAUCAAGUCAAGAACUCAUCCCAAGUAAGUGUCACAAAACUCAUCUCUUGCAUUUACUUUUUGCCUUCUCGUUUUCCCUACUCCCCCCUAUUUCUUGAAAAAAACCAAAAUUUCAAAAAAUAUUUGNNNNNNNNNNNNNNNNNNNNNNNNNNNNNNNNNNNNNNNNNNNNNNNNNNNNNNNNNNNNNNNNNNNNNNNNNNNNNNNNNNNNNNNNNNNNNNNNNNNNUUUUCGCUAAAAACUUAUAGCUCCACCUACCAUAUAUGCAUAUAGUAUAGAUGAUUAUUUUACCCCCUCUCAUAUGUGACUUGCCGGCAUAUUCAAUAUGCUGACCUACACGGCUGCAACGUCUUAUGUUGCAGAUAUUUUUCUUCGACGAGUAAGAGUACGAUUCAGGGUUACGGUCUACACUCAACUUGCCGUUGGUGUUUAUUGGGACUCCACUCCCUUGACCGAUUCCGCUGAGAUAAUUGGCACCUGCACAUCAUCCUUCAAUCCUUUCGGAACCUACUUCAUCCCGUGAAACUCUCACAUAAUAAUGAGCCAAGGCUGUAUAUGCCCAGGGCCCCCUAAGGACGCGGAAGGGGUCCAUCCCACACCUAGUGGAAGCCCUACGCUCCGCGCUGGGGAGAAGAUGGAGGCAAUCAACUACGUCNCCAAUAGACCAAGGACCUCGAUACGGGCCGUAAUGGCCCGUCGGGGGGUAAGGAACUAACGUCCGUACGGUAGGCCNNNNNNNNNNNNNNNNNNNNNNNNNNNNNNNNNNNNNNNNNNNNNNNNNNNNNNNNNNNNNNNNNNNNNNNNNNNNNNNNNNNNNNNNNNNNNNNNNNNNGAUAUUAUCCUUUAGCUAUCCAUGUGAUGAUCAUUAACUUAUCUUGUUGGUGUCAUGUGGAUUGCUAUUAUUUUUACGCACCACCAAGAUGUAUGUGACAUGGAAGAGUAACCCAUGAUCCUAAUCGAUUGUGCAUUUGCAUUCAAAUGCAAAUUUCAAACGAUGCACAAAUUUAGGGGGAGCUCUUGCUUUUCACAUACUUCCCAAAGCGUCGAUGCUAAUCAUUGAUUAUAUGUUUUGUCGAAGCUUUGAUCCAUAUGUUGUCAUCAAUUACCAAAAGGGGGGGGAUUGAAAGCACAAUUGCUCCCUAGGGUGGUUUUGAUAAUUGAUCACAACAUAUUCAUCAUUGGACUAAUAAUGUUUCCAAGUAUAUUUCUGAAAAGUUCAAAAGAUGUUAUGGCUUAAGGUUCACGUGGAGAUACCCCUUGAUGCAAGAAAGGAAUAAUAUUGGCUCAAGCUUCAAGGUAGAAGAAUCUUCAAUUUAUAUUUGUGAGAAAUCACUUUUGAGUCUAUAGGAAAGGCAAUACUAUUCAAAGGUGGUGAGGUAGUAAAAUGAACUAAUUGCUUAAAUGCUAAAUUUUAGCCACCAAAACACUCAGUCAUUUUUCCCCACAUAUCCACUCUGUCCAGUUCCACAUUCACAAAUUCAGUGUCACCAAGAUUGCCAUACCGGACCCACCGAAUUUGAACCUCAGACAGAACCCUGGCCCUUCCCACCAAAUCGGUGCAACCGAAACUGCAUCGGUUCUACCAAGUUUGGGUGACCAAGAUUCUUUUGCCAAGAUACACAAAAUCAGAAUUUCCGAGUUUGAGUAUCGGUGACACCGAGUUCGGCCAUCUGACCGCUAGUCACCUUUUCGUUGCCACCGAGUUCUAUAGAUCGGUCUCACCGAGAUUCAAAAUUUAACACCUUUAGUGCUAAUCGGGACCACCGAGUUGUCCACCUCGGUGUCACCGAGUUUACUCUUUUGUGUGUAACGGUUGGAUUUUGGCUGCUACCUAUAUAUACCCCUUCACCCACGUCUCAUUCGUGGGAGAAGCACUGAGAACACACACUUCAUUGUCAGAUCCAUUUUCUGAGAGAGCACCUACUCAUGUGUUGAGACCAAGAUAUUCCAAUCCAAUCAUUUGAAACUUGAUCUCUAGCCUCCUCAAACUUCUUUUCACCAAAUCAACCUCUCCUACCGAUGCAUAUUCUAUGUGAGAGUGAUUUGUGUUGAAGAGACUAUCUUUAGAAGCACAAGAUCAAGGAGUUCAUUGAUCUACCCUAUAUAUUACCUUUUGGAGGGUGGUUGCUCCUAGAUUGGUUAGGUAUCGCUUGGGAGCCUCCUACUUCGUGUUGUGGACUUGAACCAAGAUGUUUGUAAGGGCAAGGAGAUUGCCUACUUCGUGAAGAUCUACCGUGAGUAGGACUAGUCCUCCUUGGAAGGAAGCCGUGGUGGGAUAGACAAGACCGCUUCUUUGUGAACCCUCCGUGGACUCUCGCAGCCGUUACCCUCCAUAGGUUGAAGUCUCCACUAACAUGCACGUACGAUAGCGCCACCUAUCGGAACCAUGCCAAUAAUCAUCGUGUCAACCCUAUGCGUUUGAUUUCCCUUCCUUACUCCUCUAUUUACACUUGCAUGUUUACUUACCCUUGUUAUAUUAUUAGAACUACAUGUGUUGAGUGUAUUUGACUUUUCAUAAUUGUCGUAGUUGCCUCUCAAGUAAAAUUGGGAAAAGGCAAAAAAAUUAUCUUGUCAAGUAGUCUAAUCACCCCCCUAGACAUACUUUCGAUCCUACAUUAGGGUAUCCUACAAAGAUGCAUUUGUCCGCUUUGGAUUCGAGCUUAUCAGGUUAAGCUUUUUCACAUAAGCGUCGCAACCCCAAACUUCAAGAAAUGAAACCUUAGGUUUCUGGCCAAACCAUAAUACAUAUGGUGUAGUCUCAAUGGACUUUGAUGGUGCCAUAUUUAAAGUGAAUAUGGCCGUCUCUAAUGCAUAACCCCAAAAUGGUUGUGGUAGAUCAGUGAGAGACUUCAUAGAUUGCACCAUAUCCAAUAGAGUACGAUUACAACACUCACACACACCAUUAUGAUGUGGUGUUCUAGGUGGCGUAAGCUACGAAACAAUUCCUCAUUGUCUUAAGUGCAUGACAAACUCAAAAACUCGGAUAUUCUCCACCAUGAUGAGAUUCUAGAAACUUUAUCUUCUUGUUAUGAUGAUUUUCUACGUCGCUCUCAAAUUGCUUGAAAUUUUCAAACGUUUUAGACUUGUGUUUCAUUAAGUAAAUAUACCCAUAUCUACACAAAUCAUUAGUAAAGGUAAGAAAAUAACGAUAUCCACCGCGCGCCUUAGCGCUCAUCGGACCGCACACAUCAGUAUGUAUGAUUUCCAACAACUCACUUGCCCGCUCCUUUGUACCGGAGAACAGGUUUUAGUCAUCUUUCCCAUGAGGCAUGGCUCGCAUGUAUCAAACGAUUCAAAAUCGAGUGAUUCCAAAAGUCCAUCAACAUGGAGUUUCUUCAUGCGUUUUACGCCAAUAUGACCUAAGCGGUAGUGCCACAAGAAAGUGGUACUAUCAUUAUUAACUUUACAUCUUUUGGCAUCAACAUUAUAAAUGUGUGUAUGACGACUAUCUAGAUUCGACAAGAAUAAAUCAUUCCCGUUGGGUGCAUGACUUUAAAAGAUGUUACUCAUAUAAAUAGGACAACCAUUAUUCUCUGAUUUAAAUGAAUAACCAUCUCGCAAUAAACAUGAUCCAGAUAUAAUAGUCAUGCUCAACACAGUCACCAAAUAACAAUUAUUUUGGUUUACUUUUAACCCUUAUGGUAAUUGAAGAGCGAGUGUGCCGACGGCGAUCACAUCAACCUUGGAACCAUUUCCGACAUGCAUCGUCACUUCAUCCUUCACGAGCCUUCGUUUAUUGUAUAGUUCCCGCUUUGAGUUAAAAAUAUGAGCAACCGAAACAGCAUCAAAUACCCAGGCACUACUAUAAGAGCUAGUGAGCUACACAUCAAAAACAAGUAUAUCAAAUAUACCUUUUUGGACAUUGCGAGUCUUCUUAUCAGCCAGGUACUUGGGGCAAUUCCACUUCCAGUGGCCAGUCCCCUUACAAUAGAAGCACUCAGUCUCAGGCUUGGGUCUAGAGUUGGGUUUCUUUACGGGCGCAACAACUUUCUUGCCACCCUUCUUUAAGUUUCCCUUAUUUCCCUUGGCUUUCUUGAAACUAGUGGUUUUAUUCACCAUCAACACUUGAUGUUCCUUUUUGAAUUCCACUUCUUCGACUUUCAGCAUCGCGAAUAGCUCGGAGACAAACUUAUCAAUUCCUUGCAUGUUAUAGUUUGUCACGAUGCCUUUGUAGCUAGGUGGCAGUGAGUGGAGAAUUCUGUGAGAGACAAUUUUUGGCGGAAGCUCAACUCCCAAAUAAUUUAAAUGGUUGUAGUACCCAAACAUUCUGGGUAGGUGUUCACUGGCUGAACUAUUCUCUUCCAUUUUGCAGGUGAAGAACUUAUCGGAGGUCUCAUACCUCUCGAUUUCGGCAUUUGAUUGAAAUAUUAACUUUAAUUCCUAGAACAUCUCAUAUGCUCCAUGGCAUUCAAAAUGCUUUUGAACUCCCGAUUCUAAGCCAUACAACAUGGCACACUGAACUAUGGAGUAGUCAUCAGCUCGAGUUUGCCACACGUCCCUAGCUUCCGAGUUCUUAGGGUAUGGCGCUUCACCAAGUGGUGCAUCAAGGACAUAAGCUUUUUGUGCAGCAGUGAGGAUAAUCUUCCGAUUACGGUCCUAGUGUGCAAAGUUACUUCCACCAUCUUUUAGCUUAGCUUUCUCUAGGAACACAUUAAAAUUCAGGGGAGCUACUGUGCGAGCCAUUGAUCUACAACAUAAUUUUGCAAAGAUAGUUUAUACUAUGUUCAUGAUAAUGAGUUCAACUAAUCAUAUUACUAAUGAACUCCCACUCAAAUCAACAUCCCUCAGGUUGUCUCAGUGUAACAUGAUCCAAAUCCACCAAUCCAAGUCCGAUCAUCACGUGACAUGAGGUGGUUUCAAUGGUGAACAUCUCCAUGUUUAUCAUAUCUACUAUAUGACUCAUGCUCGAUCUUUUGAUCUCCUGUGUUCCGAGGGCAUGUCUAUACAUGCUAGGCUCCUCAAGGUUCACCCAAGUAUUCCGCAUGUGGAAAUCUACCUUACACCGUUGUAUGCGAAUGUAGAGUCUAUCACACCCGAUCAUCAUUAGGUGCUUCGAAACGACGAACCUUCGCAAUGGUGCAUACUUUGGGAGAACAAAGUUUAUAUUGAAAUUUUUGUGAGAGAUCAUCUUAUAAUGCUACCGUUGUUCUAAGCAAAAUAAAAUGCAUAAAAAGGAUAAACAUCACAUGCAAAUCAUAUAAGUGACAUGAUAUGGCCAUCAUCAUCUUGUGCUUUGGAUCUCCAUAUCGAAAGCACCGGCAUGAUCUCCAUUGUCACCGGCAUGACACCAUGAUCUCUAUCAUCAUGAUAUCCAUCAUCGUGUCAUCAUGUGAGUUUCGCACCAGCUAUUGCUUCUACAACUAUUGCUAACUCAUAGCAAUGAAGUAAAGCAAAAAAGGCGAAAAUAAUUAAAGACAUCCCUAUGGCUCCUGUCGGUUGCCGUACUCAUCGACAUGCAAGUCGUGAUAAUUUAUACAAAACAUUAUCAUCUUAUACAUCACAUAUGUCACAUCAUGUCAUCGGCCAUAUCACAUCACAACAUGCCCUGCAAAAACAAGGUAGACCUCCUUUACUUUUGUGUUGCAAGUUUUACAUGGCUGCUAUGGGCAACUAGCAAGAACCAUUCUUACGUAUGUAUAGCCUGUUGGAAAUAUGCCCUAGAGGCAAUAAUAAUUAGUUAUUAUUAUAUUUCUUUGUUCAUGAUAAUCGUUUAUUAUCCAUGCUAUAAUUGUAUUGAUUGGAAACACAAUACUUGUGUGGAUACAUAGACAAAACACUGUCCCUAGUAAGCCUCUAGUUGACUAGCUUGUUGAUCAAAGAUGGUCAAGGUUUCCUGGCCAUAGGCAAGUGUUGUCACUUGAUAACGGGAUCACAUCAUUAGGAGAAUCAUGUGAUGGACUAGACCCACACUAAUAGACGUAGCAUGUUGAUCGUGUCAUUUUGUUGCUACUGUUUUCUGCGUGUCAAGUAUUUAUUCCUAUGACCAUGAGAUCAUAUAACUUACUAACACCGGAGGAAUACUUUGUGUGUAUCAAACGUCGCAACGUAACUGGGUGACUAUAAAGAUGCUCUACAGGUAUCUCCGAAGGUGUUCGUUAAGUUAGUAUGGAUCAAGACUGGGAUUUGUCNNNNNNNNNNNNNNNNNNNNNNNNNNNNNNNNNNNNNNNNNNNNNNNNNNNNNNNNNNNNNNNNNNNNNNNNNNNNNNNNNNNNNNNNNNNNNNNNNNNNNNNNNNNNNNNNNNNNNNNNNNNNNNNNNNNNNNNNNNNNNNNNNNNNNNNNNNNNNNNNNNNNNNNNNNNNNNNNNNNNNNNNNNNNNNNNNNNNNNNNNNNNNNNNNNNNNNNNNNNNNNNNNNNNNNNNNNNNNNNNNNNNNNNNNNNNNNNNNNNNNNNNNNNNNNNNNNNNNNNNNNNNNNNNNNNNNNNNNNNNNNNNNNNNNNNNNNNNNNNNNNNNNNNNNNNNNNNNNNNNNNNNNNNNNNNNNNNNNNNNNNNNNNNNNNNNNNNNNNNNNNNNNNNNNNNNNNNNNNNNNNNNNNNNNNNNNNNNNNNNNNNNNNNNNNNNNNNNNNNNNNNNNNNNNNNNNNNNNNNNNNNNNNNNNNNNNNNNNNNNNNNNNNNNNNNNNNNNNNNNNNNNNNNNNNNNNNNNNNNNNNNNNNNNNNNNNNNNNNNNNNNNNNNNNNNNNNNNNNNNNNNNNNNNNNNNNNNNNNNNNNNNNNNNNNNNNNNNNNNNNNNNNNNNNNNNNNNNNNNNNNNNNNNNNNNNNNNNNNNNNNNNNNNNNNNNNNNNNNNNNNNNNNNNNNNNNNNNNNNNNNNNNNNNNNNNNNNNNNNNNNNNNNNAGAUCAUCACCAACCUCCGGAGCGCCGUCACGCUGCCGGAGAACUCUUCUACCUCUCCGUCUCUCUUGCUGGAUCAAGAAGGCCGAGAUCAUCGUCGAGCUGUACGUGUGCUGAACGCGGAGGUGCCGUCCGUUCGGUACUAGAUCGUGGGACUGAUCGCGGGAUUGUUCGCGGGGCGGAUCGAGGGACGUGAGGACGUUCCACUACAUCAACCGCGAUCUCUAAUCGCUUCUGCUGUACGAUCUACAAGGGUACGUAGAUCACUCAUCCCCUCUCGUAGAUGGACAUCACCAUGAUAGGUCUUCGUGCGCGUAGGAAAUUUUUGUUUCCCUUGCGACGUUCUCCAACAGUGGCAUCAUGAGCUAGGUUCAUGCGUAGAUGUCUUCUCGAGUAGAACACAAAAGGUUUUGUGGGCGGUGAUGUGCGUUUUGCUGCCCUCCUUAGUCUUUUCUUGAUUCCGCGGUAUUGUUGGAUUGAAGCGGCUUGGACCGACAUUACUCGUACGCUUACGAGAGACUGGUUUCAUCGUUACGAGUAACCCCCUUUGCUCAAAGAUGACUGGCAAGUGACGGUUUCUCCAACUUUAGUUGAAUCGGAUUUGACUGAGGAGGUCCUUGGAUGAGGUUAAAUAGCAAUUCAUAUAUCUCCGUUGUGGUGUUUGCGUAAGUAAGAUGCGAUCCUACUAGAUACCCUUGGUCACCACGUAAAACAUGCAACAACAAAAUUAGAGGACGUCUAACUUGUUUUUGCAGGGUAUGAUUGUGAUGUGAUAUGGCCAAUGAUGUGAUGUGAUAUAUUGGAUGUAUGAGAUGAUCAUGUUGUAAUAGAAAUAUCGACUUGCACGUCGAUGGUACGGCAACCGGCAGGAGCCAUAGGGUUGUCUUUAUACUAACAUAUGUGCUUGCAGAUGCGUUUACUAUUUUGCUAGGAUGUAGCUUUAGUAGUAAUAGCAUAAGUAGCACGACAACCCCGAUGGCAACACGUUGAUGGAUGAUCAUGGUGUGGCGCCGGUGACAAGAAGAUCGUGCCGGUGCUUUGGUGAUGGAGAUCAAGAAGCACGUGAUGAUGGCCAUAUCAUGUCACUUAUGAAUUGCAUGUGAUGUUAAUCCUUUUAUGCACCUUAUUUUGCUUAGAACGACGGUAGCAUUAUGAGGUGAUCUCUCACUAAAAUUUCAAGACGAAAUUGUGUUCUCCCCGACUGUGCACCGUUGCGACAGUUCUUCGUUUCGAGACACCACGUGAUGAUCGGGUGUGAUAGACUCAACGUUCACAUACAACGGGUGCAAAACAGUUGCACACGCGGAACACUCGGGUUAAGCUUGACGAGCCUAGCAUGUGCAGACAUGGCCUCGGAACACAUGAGACCGAAAGGUCGAGCAUGAAUCGUAUAGUUGAUAUGAUUAGCAUAGGGAUGCUUACUACUGAAACUAUUCUCGACUCACGUGAUGAUCGGACUUGAGAUAGCGGAUUUGGAUCAUGUACCACUCAGAUGACUAGAGAGAUGUACUUUUUGAGUGGGAGUUCUUAAGUAAUAUGAUUAAUUGAACUAAUUGUCAUGAACAUAGUCUAAUGGUCUUUGCGAAUUACGAUGUAGCUUGCGCUAUAGCUCUACUGUUUUUAUAUGUUCCUAGAGAAAAUUUAGUUGAAAAUUGAUAGUAGCAACCUUUGCAGACUGAGUUUGUAAAACCGAGGAUUGUCCUCGUUGCUACGCAGAAGGCUUAUGUCCUUAAUGCACCACUCGGUGUGCUGCACCUCGAGCGUCGUCUGUGGAUGCUAUGAACAUCCGACAUACACGUUACUGAUGACUACACGAUAGUUCAGUGCAAGAUACUUGAUGGCUUAGAAGCAAGGCGCCGAAAACGUUGUAAAACGUCACGGAACAUAAGUGAUGUUCCGAAGAGAUGAAAUUGUGAUUUCAUGCUUGUGCCCUUGUUAAGAGGUACGAGACCUCCAAACAAGAUUCUUUGUCCACAAAGUAAAGGAGAAAAGCUCAAUCGUUGAGCGUGUGCUCAGAUUGUCUGAGUCCGACAAUCGCUUGAAUCAAGUGGGAGUUAAUCUUCCAGAUGAGAUAGUGAUGGUUCUCCAAAGUCACUACCACCAAGCUAUGAGAGCUUCGUGAUGAACUAUAACAUAUCAAGGAUAGAUACUAUGAUCUUUUGAGUGAUUCGCAAUGUUUGACACUGCGAAAGUAGAAAUCAAGAAGGAGCAUCAAUAGUUGAUGGUUAGUAAAACCACUAAGUUUCAAGAAAGGCAAGGGCUAGAAGGGAUACUUCGUGAAACGGCAAAACAGUUGCUGCACUAAUGAAGAGACCCAAGAUUAAACCCAAACCCGAGACUAAGUGCUUCUGUAAUAAGGGGAACAGUCACUGAGGCGGAGCAACUCUAGAUACUUGGUGGAUAAGAAGGCUGGCAAAAGUCGAGAGAAGUAUAUAUGUGAUAUACAUAAUGUUGAUGUGUACUUUACUAGUACUCCUAGUAGCACGAGGGUAUUGGAUACCGGUUCGGUUGCUAAGUGAUUAGUGACGCGAAAUGAAAGCUACGGCAUAAACGGAGACUAGCUAAAGGCGAGGUGACGAUACGUGUUGGAAGUGUUUCCAAGAUUGAUAUGAUCAAACGUCGCACGCUCCCUCUACCAUCGGGAUUGGUGUUAAACCUAAAUAAUUGUUAUUUGGUGCUUGCGUUAAGCAUGAACAUGAUUGGAUCGUGUUUAUUGCAAUACGAUUAUUCAUUUAAGGAGAAUAAUGGUUACUCUAUUUUCUUGAAUAUUCACCUUCAAUGGUUUAUUGAAUCUCGAUCGUAGUGUUACACAUGUUCAUGAUAUUGGUGCCAAAAGAUACGAGUUAAUAAUGAUAGUACCACUUACUUGUGGCACUGCCGCUUGAGUCAUGUUAGUACAAAUUGCAUGAAGAGGCUCCAUGCUGAUGGAUCUUUGUACUCACCUGAUUUCGAAUCACUAGUGACAUGCAAAUCAUACCACAUGAGCAAGGCCUUGUUUUCAUUGAGAUGAAAUAAGAUAGUAACUUGUUGGAAGUGAUACAUUUUGAUGUAUGCAGUCCAAUGGGUGCUGAGGCACGCAGUGGAUAUCAUUAUGUUCUUACUUCACUGACGAUUUGAGUAGAUACUAGAGUAUUUACUUAAUGAAUCACAAGUCUGAAAUAUUGAAAAGUUCAAUUCUGUUUCAGAGUGAAGUUCGUCGUAGCAAGAGGAUAAACUGUCUACGAUAUGAUCAUAGAAAUGAAUAUCUGAGUUACGAGUUUUGGUACGCAGUUAAGACAAUGUGGAAGUUGUUUCGCAGUUCAUGCCACCUGGAACAUCAUAGUGUGAUGAUGUGUCUGAACAUCAUAGCCACACACUAUUUGGUAUGAUGCAUACUAUGAUGUCUCUUAUCGAAUUACCACUACCGUUUAUGGGUUAUGCAUUAGAGACAACCGCACUCACUUUAAAUAGGGCACCGCGUAUUUCCGUUGAGAUGACACAGUAUAGACUGAGGUUUAGAGAAAUCUAAACUGUCGUUUCUUGAAAGUUUGGGGUUUCGACACUUAUGUGAAAAAGUUUCAGUCUGAUAAGCUCGAAUCCCAAAGCGAAUAAAUGCAUCUUCAUAGGAUAUCCAAAACAGUUGGGUACAUCUCCUAUCUCAGAUCCGAAAGCAAAGUGUUUGUUUCUAGAAACGGAUCCUUUCUCGAGGAAAGGUUUCUCUCGAAAGAAUUGAGUGGGAGGGUAGUAGAACUUGAUGAGGUUAUUGAACCAUCACUUCAACCAGUGUGUAGCAGGGCGCGGGAAGUUGUUCAUGUGGUGCCUACACCAAUUGAAGUGGAAGCUGAUGAUGAUGAUCAUUGAGCUUCGAAUCAAGUUACUACAAACCUCGUAGGUCGACAAGGUCGUGUACUGCUGCAGAGUAGUACGGUAACCCUGUCUUGGAGGUCAUGUUGUUGAGCAACAGUGAACCUACGAGUUAUGGAGAUAGCGAUGGUGGGCCCGGAUUCCGACAAAUGGCUGGAAGCCAUGAAAUCCGAGAGAGGAUCCAUGUAUGAAAACAAAGUGUAGACUUUGGAAGAACUACUUGAUGGUCAGAGGACUAUUGAGUAAAGAUGGAUCUUUAAAGGAAAACAGACGAUGACGGUGAUAAGUAACUAUUAAGAAAAGCUCGACUUGUCGCAAAAGAUGUUUUCGAUAAGAUCAAACAGUUGACUAUGAUGAGACUUUCUCACUCGUAGCGAUGCUAAAAGUCUGUUAGAAUUAUGUUAGUUGUUGAUGCAUUAUUUAUGAAAUAUUGCACGUAGGAUGUCAAAACAUUGUUUUCUCGACGGUUUCCUUGAGCAAACAUUGUAUGUGAUACAACCAGAAGGUUUUGUCGAUCCUAAAGAUACUAGCAAGUAUGCAAGCUCCAGUGAUCCUUCAAUGGACUGGUGCAAGCAUCUCGGAGUUGGAAUAUACACUUUGAUGAGAUGAUCAAAGAUUUUGGGUUUGUACAAGGUUUAUGAGAAACUUGUAUUUCCAAAGAAGUGAGUGGGAGCACUAUAGAAUUUCUGAUAGGUAUAUGUGGUUGACAUAUUGUGGAUCAGAAGUAAUGUAGAAUUUCUGUAAAGCAUGCAAGGUUGUUUGAAAGAAGUUUUCAAAGGAGUACCUGGAUUACGCUACUUGAACGUUGAGCAUCAAAGAUCUAUGGAGAUAGAUCGAAAGCGCUUAAUAGAAGUUUCAACAAGAUGCAUGCCUUGACAAGUUUUUGAAAGAGUUCAAAAUAGACCAGCAAAGAAGGAGUUCUUGGUUGCGUUGUGAGGUGUGAAUUUGAGUAAGACUCAAAACCCGACCACGGCAGAAUAAAGAGAAUAGACGAAGGUCGUCUUCUAUGCCUUAGUCGUAGAAUCUAAAGUAUGCCAUGCUGUGUACCGCACCUAAAGUGUGCCUUGACUCAAAGUAUGUUGAGAGGUACAGAGAGUGAUCCAUGAUUGAAUCACUAGCAGCGGUCGAAAUUUAUCCUUAGUAACUAAUGGACUAAGGAUUUUUUUCUCGAUUAUGGAGGUGGUUAAAGAGUUUGUCGUAAAGGGUUACGUCAAUGCAAGCUUUGACACUAAUCCGGAUAACUAUGAAUAGUGAAACGGAUUCGUAUAGUAGAGUAGAUAUUUGGAGCAUUUCCGAAUAGCACGUAGUAGCAGCAUCUAUAAGAUGACAUAAAGAUUUGUAAAGAACGCACGAAUCUGAAAGUUUCAGAACCGUUGACUAAAACCUCUCUCACGAGCAAGACGUGAUCAGACCCCAUAACUAUAUGGGUGUUGGAUUCGUUGGAAUCACAUGGUGAUGUGAACUAGAUUAUUGACUCUAGUGCAAGUGGGAGACUGUUGGAAAUAUGCCCUAGAGGCAAUAAUAAUUAGUUAUUAUUAUAUUUCUUUGUUCAUGAUAAUCGUUUAUUAUCCAUGCUAUAAUUGUAUUGAUUGGAAACACAAUACUUGUGUGGAUACAUAGACAAAACACUGUCCCUAGUAAGCCUCUAGUUGACUAGCUUGUUGAUCAAAGAUGGUCAAGGUUUCCUGGCCAUAGGCAAGUGUUGUCACUUGAUAACGGGAUCACAUCAUUAGGAGAAUCAUGUGAUGGACUAGACCCACACUAAUAGACGUAGCAUGUUGAUCGUGUCACUUUGUUGCUACUGUUUUCUGCGUGUCAAGUAUUUAUUCCUAUGACCAUGAGAUCAUAUAACUUACUAACACCGGAGGAAUACUUUGUGUGUAUCAAACGUCGCAACGUAACUGGGUGACUAUAAAGAUGCUCUACAGGUAUCUCCGAAGGUGUUCGUUAAGUUAGUAUGGAUCAAGACUGGGAUUUGUCACUCCGUGUGACGGAGAGGUAUCUCGGGGCCCACUCGGUAAUACAACAUCACACACAAGCCUUGCAAGCAAUGUAACUUAAUGUAAGUUGCGGGAUCUUGUAUUACGGAACGAGUAAAGAGACUUGCCGGUAAACGAGAUUGAAAUAGGUAUGCGGAUACUAACGAUCGAAUCUCGGGCAAGUAACAUACCGAAGGACAAAGGGAAUGACAUACGGGAUUAUAUGAAUCCUUGGCACUGAGGUUCAAACGAUAAGAUCUUCGUAGAAUAUGUAGGAUCCAAUAUGGGCAUCCAGGUCCCGCUAUUGGAUAUUGACCGAGGAGUCUCUCGGGUCAUGUCUACAUAGUUCUCGAACCCGCAGGGUCUGCACACUUAAGGUUCGACGUUGUUUUAUGCGUAUUUGAGUUAUAUGGUUGGUUACCGAAUGUUGUUCGGAGUCCCGGAUGAGAUCACGGACGUCACGAGGGUUUCCGGAAUGGUCCGGAAACGAAGAUUGAUAUAUAGGAUGACCUCAUUUGGUUACCGGAAGGUUUUCGUGCAUUACCGGAAAAGUUUCGGGCUCAUCGGUAGUGUACCGGGAGUGCCGGGAGGGGUGCCGGGGACCAUCGGGAGGGGUGUCACGCCCCAAGGGGUCUCAUGGGCUAUGGGAAGAGAUAAACCAGCCCCUAGUGGGCUGGAAUAAGUUCCCACUAAGGCCCAUAAGGUUUGAGAAGGAAAAAACACAAGGUGGAAAGAGUUUCCAAGUGGGAAGGUGGAAUCCUACUCCAAGUAGGAUUGGAGUAGGNNNNNNNNNNNNNNNNNNNNNNNNNNNNNNNNNNNNNNNNNNNNNNNNNNNNNNNNNNNNNNNNNNNNNNNNNNNNNNNNNNNNNNNNNNNNNNNNNNNNNNNNNNNNNNNNNNNNNNNNNNNNNNNNNNNNNNNNNNNNNNNNNNNNNNNNNNNNNNNNNNNNNNNNNNNNNNNNNNNNNNNNNNNNNNNNNNNNNNNNNNNNNNNNNNNNNNNNNNNNNNNNNNNNNNNNNNNNCUGUUGGAAAUAUGCCCUAGAGGCAAUAAUAAUUAGUUAUUAUUAUAUUUCUUUGUUCAUGAUAAUCGUUUAUUAUCCAUGCUAUAAUUGUAUUGAUUGGAAACACAAUACUUGUGUGGAUACAUAGACAAAACACUGUCCCUAGUAAGCCUCUAGUUGACUAGCUUGUUGAUCAAAGAUGGUCAAGGUUUCCUGGCCAUAGGCAAGUGUUGUCACUUGAUAACGGGAUCACAUCAUUAGGAGAAUCAUGUGAUGGACUAGACCCACACUAAUAGACGUAGCAUGUUGAUCGUGUCAGUUUGUUGCUACUGUUUUCUGCGUGUCAAGUAUUUAUUCCUAUGACCAUGAGAUCAUAUAACUUACUAACACCGGAGGAAUACUUUGUGUGUAUCAAACGUCGCAACGUAACUGGGUGACUAUAAAGAUGCUCUACAGGUAUCUCCGAAGGUGUUCGUUAAGUUAGUAUGGAUCAAGACUGGGAUUUGUCACUCCGUGUGACGGAGAGGUAUCUCGGGGCCCACUCGGUAAUACAACAUCACACACAAGCCUUGCAAGCAAUGUAACUUAAUGUAAGUUGCGGGAUCUUGUAUUACGGAACGAGUAAAGAGACUUGCCGGUAAACGAGAUUGAAAUAGGUAUGCGGAUACUAACGAUCGAAUCUCGGGCAAGUAACAUACCGAAGGACAAAGGGAAUGACAUACGGGAUUAUAUGAAUCCUUGGCACUGAGGUUCAAACGAUAAGAUCUUCGUAGAAUAUGUAGGAUCCAAUAUGGGCAUCCAGGUCCCGCUAUUGGAUAUUGACCGAGGAGUCUCUCGGGUCAUGUCUACAUAGUUCUCGAACCCGCAGGGUCUGCACACUUAAGGUUCGACGUUGUUUUAUGCGUAUUUGAGUUAUAUGGUUGGUUACCGAAUGUUGUUCGGAGUCCCGGAUGAGAUCACUGACGUCACGAGGGUUUCCGGAAUGGUCCGGAAACGAAGAUUGAUAUAUAGGAUGACCUCAUUUGGUUACCGGAAGGUUUUCGUGCAUUACCGGAAAAGUUUCGGGCUCAUCGGUAGUGUACCGGGAGUGCCGGGAGGGGUGCCGGGGACCAUCGGGAGGGGUGUCACGCCCCAAGGGGUCUCAUGGGCUAUGGGAAGAGAUAAACCAGCCCCUAGUGGGCUGGAAUAAGUUCCCACUAAGGCCCAUAAGGUUUGAGAAGGAAAAAACACAAGGUGGAAAGAGUUUCCAAGUGGGAAGGUGGAAUCCUACUCCAAGUAGGAUUGGAGUAGGACUCCUCCACCUCCAAUUUCGGCCAAACCUUUAGGUUUUGAGGCUGCCUCCUCCCCUCCCUCCCACCUAUAUAUACGGAGGUUUUAGGGCUGAUUUGAGACGACUUUCUCACGGCUGCCCGACCACAUACCUCCAUAGUUUUUCCUCUAGAUCGCGUUUCUGCGGAGCUCGGGCGGAGCCCUGCCGAGACGAGAUCAUCACCAACCUCCGGAGCGCCGUCACGCUGCCGUAGAACUCUUCUACCUCUCCGUCUCUCUUGCUGGAUCAAGAAGGCCGAGAUCAUCGUCGAGCUGUACGUGUGCUGAACGCGGAGGUGCCGUCCGUUCGGUACUAGAUCGUGGGACUGAUCGCGGGAUUGUUCGCGGGGCGGAUCGAGGGACGUGAGGACGUUCCACUACAUCAACCGCGAUCUCUAAUCGCUUCUGCUGUACGAUCUACAAGGGUACGUAGAUCACUCAUCCCCUCUCGUAGAUGGACAUCACCAUGAUAGGUCUUCGUGCGCGUAGGAAAUUUUUGUUUCCCUUGCGACGUUCUCCAACAGUGGCAUCAUGAGCUAGGUUCAUGCGUAGAUGUCUUCUCGAGUAGAACACAAAAGGUUUUGUGGGCGGUGAUGUGCGUUUUGCUGCCCUCCUUAGUCUUUUCUUGAUUCCGCGGUAUUGUUGGAUUGAAGCGGCUUGGACCGACAUUACUCGUACGCUUACGAGAGACUGGUUUCAUCGUUACGAGUAACCCCCUUUGCUCAAAGAUGACUGGCAAGUGACGGUUUCUCCAACUUUAGUUGAAUCGGAUUUGACUGAGGAGGUCCUUGGAUGAGGUUAAAUAGCNNNNNNNNNNNNNNNNNNNNNNNNNNNNNNNNNNNNNNNNNNNNNNNNNNNNNNNNNNNNNNNNNNNNNNNNNNNNNNNNNNNNNNNNNNNNNNNNNNNNNNNNNNNNNNNNNNNNNNNNNNNNNNNNNNNNNNNNNNNNNNNNNNNNNNNNNNNNNNNNNNNNNNNNNNNNNNNNNNNNNNNNNNNNNNNNNNNNNNNNNNNNNNNNNNNNNNNNNNNNNNNNNNNNNNNNNNNNNNNNNNNNNNNNNNNNNNNNNNNNNNNNNNNNNNNNNNNNNNNNNNNNNNNNNNNNNNNNNNNNNNNNNNNNNNNNNNNNNNNNNNNNNNNNNNNNNNNNNNNNNNNNNNNNNNNNNNNNNNNNNNNNNNNNNNNNNNNNNNNNNNNNNNNNNNNNNNNNNNNNNNNNNNNNNNNNNNNNNNNNNNNNNNNNNNNNNNNNNNNNNNNNNNNNNNNNNNNNNNNNNNNNNNNNNNNNNNNNNNNNNNNNNNNNNNNNNNNNNNNNNNNNNNNNNNNNNNNNNNNNNNNNNNNNNNNNNNNNNNNNNNNNNNNNNNNNNNNNNNNNNNNNNNNNNNNNNNNNNNNNNNNNNNNNNNNNNNNNNNNNNNNNNNNNNNNNNNNNNNNNNNNNNNNNNNNNNNNNNNNNNNNNNNNNNNNNNNNNNNNNNNNNNNNNNNNNNNNNNNNNNNNNNNNNNNNNNNNNNNNNNNNNNNNNNNNNNNNNNNNNNNNNNNNNNNNNNNNNNNNNNNNNNNNNNNNNNNNNNNNNNNNNNNNNNNNNNNNNNNNNNNNNNNNNNNNNNNNNNNNNNNNNNNNNNNNNNNNNNNNNNNNNNNNNNNNNNNNNNNNNNNNNNNNNNNNNNNNNNNNNNNNNNNNNNNNNNNNNNNNNNNNNNNNNNNNNNNNNNNNNNNNNNNNNNNNNNNNNNNNNNNNNNNNNNNNNNNNNNNNNNNNNNNNNNNNNNNNNNNNNNNNNNNNNNNNNNNNNNNNNNNNNNNNNNNNNNNNNNNNNNNNNNNNNNNNNNNNNNNNNNNNNNNNNNNNNNNNNNNNNNNNNNNNNNNNNNNNNNNNNNNNNNNNNNNNNNNNNNNNNNNNNNNNNNNNNNNNNNNNNNNNNNNNNNNNNNNNNNNNNNNNNNNNNNNNNNNNNNNNNNNNNNNNNNNNNNNNNNNNNNNNNNNNNNNNNNNNNNNNNNNNNNNNNNNNNNNNNNNNNNNNNNNNNNNNNNNNNNNNNNNNNNNNNNNNNNNNNNNNNNNNNNNNNNNNNNNNNNNNNNNNNNNNNNNNNNNNNNNNNNNNNNNNNNNNNNNNNNNNNNNNNNNNNNNNNNNNNNNNNNNNNNNNNNNNNNNNNNNNNNNNNNNNNNNNNNNNNNNNNNNNNNNNNNNNNNNNNNNNNNNNNNNNNNNNNNNNNNNNNNNNNNNNNNNNNNNNNNNNNNNNNNNNNNNNNNNNNNNNNNNNNNNNNNNNNNNNNNNNNNNNNNNNNNNNNNNNNNNNNNNNNNNNNNNNNNNNNNNNNNNNNNNNNNNNNNNNNNNNNNNNNNNNNNNNNNNNNNNNNNNNNNNNNNNNNNNNNNNNNNNNNNNNNNNNNNNNNNNNNNNNNNNNNNNNNNNNNNNNNNNNNNNNNNNNNNNNNNNNNNNNNNNNNNNNNNNNNNNNNNNNNNNNNNNNNNNNNNNNNNNNNNNNNNNNNNNNNNNNNNNNNNNNNNNNNNNNNNNNNNNNNNNNNNNNNNNNNNNNNNNNNNNNNNNNNNNNNNNNNNNNNNNNNNNNNNNNNNNNNNNNNNNNNNNNNNNNNNNNNNNNNNNNNNNNNNNNNNNNNNNNNNNNNNNNNNNNNNNNNNNNNNNNNNNNNNNNNNNNNNNNNNNNNNNNNNNNNNNNNNNNNNNNNNNNNNNNNNNNNNNNNNNNNNNNNNNNNNNNNNNNNNNNNNNNNNNNNNNNNNNNNNNNNNNNNNNNNNNNNNNNNNNNNNNNNNNNNNNNNNNNNNNNNNNNNNNNNNNNNNNNNNNNNNNNNNNNNNNNNNNNNNNNNNNNNNNNNNNNNNNNNNNNNNNNNNNNNNNNNNNNNNNNNNNNNNNNNNNNNNNNNNNNNNNNNNNNNNNNNNNNNNNNNNNNNNNNNNNNNNNNNNNNNNNNNNNNNNNNNNNNNNNNNNNNNNNNNNNNNNNNNNNNNNNNNNNNNNNNNNNNNNNNNNNNNNNNNNNNNNNNNNNNNGCCAAACCUUUAGGUUUUGAGGCUGCCUCCUCCCCUCCCUCCCACCUAUAUAUACGGAGGUUUUAGGGCUGAUUUGAGACGACUUUCUCACGGCUGCCCGACCACAUACCUCCAUAGUUUUUCCUCUAGAUCGCGUUUCUGCGGAGCUCGGGCGGAGCCCUGCUGAGACGAGAUCAUCACCAACCUCCGGAGCGCCGUCACGCUGCCGAAGAACUCUUCUACCUCUCCGUCUCUCUUGCUGGAUCAAGAAGGCCGAGAUCAUCGUCGAGCUGUACGUGUGCUGAACGCGGAGGUGCCGUCCGUUCGGUACUAGAUCGUGGGACUGAUCGCGGGAUUGUUCGCGGGGCGGAUCGAGGGACGUGAGGACGUUCCACUACAUCAACCGCGAUCUCUAAUCGCUUCUGCUGUACGAUCUACAAGGGUACGUAGAUCACUCAUCCCCUCUCGUAGAUGGACAUCACCAUGAUAGGUCUUCGUGCGCGUAGGAAAUUUUUGUUUCCCUUGCGACGUUCUCCAACAUAGCCAUGAUGAUGAUAUUCAAGUUGCUACUUAACAUUCUAUAAGGACCGCCUCUGUCGAGUCUGAUUCAAUUAAAGUGGGAGAGACAGACACCUGCCAGCCAUCUUUAUGCAACAAGGUACAUGUCAGUCAAUGGAACCGGUAUCUCGUACAUGGACGAGUAAGGUUGGUCCGAGCCGCUCCAUCCCACAAUACUCUUUUGUGUUCUACUCAUGCAUGUUAUCUAUACAUAGACCUAGAUCAUGAUGCCACUGUUGGGUAACAUUGCUUGCGAAACAAAACUUUUCCUAUGAACACCCAAGAUCUAUCUACGGAGAUCAACAACUACGAGAGGGAGAGUAGAUCUAUGUACCCUUGUAGAUCGCUAAGCGGGAAGCGUUAGGAAAGGCGGUUGAUGUAGUCGAAGGGCACCGAACAGACGACACCUCCGCGUUCAGCACACGUACAACACAAUGACGUCUACACCAUCUUUACCCAUAAAGUGAGAGCGGAGAAGUAGAUGAGUUCUUCGGUAGCACGACGGCGUGGUGGCGGUGGUGGUGGAGAAUCUCAUCACAACUUGACCAAUCGCUACCUCAAAUGCGUUUUCGGAGGAGAAACGGAUCUAGGGAGAGAAGGAGGGAUGCACCUAUGGCUUGGAGUGCAUCUGCCCUCUAAUGACGAGUUGAUGGAUAUACUUCUCUCCCCUCAAUGUUUACCCCAAGUGGAAGAUGGAGAUGUAGUCAACAGCAGAUUUCCCUUACAUGGAGACUUAAAGGUUUAUCGAACCAGAAAGACUCCUAGGUUCAACAAGUAGGUGUCUCCUGUCCUGGUCAGCAGAAGACGUGGACCUACACACACAAAAAAAACUUUGCUCCCAACGAGUAUAGAGAGGUUGUCAAUCUCUCCGGCCUUGUAGUUUGCAAAGGAUCAAAACACAAGCGGGAAGGUAAUAGUGAUUGCAACGGACAAGUAAAUAAAAACGGUAAAUGAUGGAGGUGUAAACAAUGAUGGUGAUAUGGAUCGGAGUCACAUGAUGAUCACUAGUGAUGUCUCUCUCCCAAAAUACGAUAGACAACUAUGCUUGGGUAAACAAAUCACAGUUGGGCAAUUAACAGAAUUAUGAUCGCACCGCAAUGCUAAUUAUGCUACUUGAUAGUUUGAGGUUCAAUAGUAAUGGGCAGUACGCCAAGACAAGUAGACCGUUUAUUCAUCAUCAUCUACUUACUAAUCAUCCACCUUGAGAUAUCUAUCCAGAACAUCUCUCCGGUAUUAAGUUGCGUGCCCCACCCAAAGUGUAAACUCAAAGCAACGGACAACUGCAUUAACAAACUAUGUGUAAGGUAAACAAUCCUUGCAAAAGUGGUCACAAGCACCAUUGUUUUCUCCCUGGUGGCAACAAGCACAUCCCCUAGUCUCAUGUUUCUAUCACUGAAGCUAGACAUCGAGGGGCAUGAACCCACAAUCAUGCAUAACGCUCCCUCUUAGAGUUACAAUCUACUACUUGGCCAAAGCAAUAAAAAGCAACGGAGAACAUGCAUGAAUCACUAAGGAACAUAAUAUAAAAGGAUAAUCAAAUAUAUAACUUAUAACAAUCUGAACAUAAUCUCAUAAUCCAUUGGAUCCCAACAAACCAAGCAUAGCAAAAGCAAGAGAAUUACAUAGAUGCCUUGAUCAUGUAGGGCAUCUCACAAGGACUAACCAUGGAAGCACAAGAUUGCAGAGAAGACAUCACAUAGCUACUGGUCAUGGACCCAUGGUCCAAGGAGGACUACUCACGGCACGUCCAGGAAGCAUCCAUGGCGGUGGAAAAGCUCCUGGAGGUCAAUCCUCACUUUGGUAGGGUGCCGGGAAGAGGUCUCCUGACGCUCAUGAUCUUGGAAGCGCUGUGGCGGCGGAACAAUGGAGAAAUUUGCGAUUCCAGAAUGUCUGCGAGGGUUUCCUCUCGGGACCCUAAAUAUAGGCCAAAGGAGAGCACCGGAGGAGGUGGGACCCACCCAAGCGACCUCCUAGUGCAGCCUAGGGCCUGGUCGCGCAAGCAGGCCACUUGGGAGCCCCUCGCCCCCCUCUCGCCCAGCUUCAGUGAUCCGGAAGCUUCUGUUUCGCUGAUUUUUUUUAUAUUUUUUCUGGAUUUUUUCGGGCUUCGGAAAAUUUGGUAAAAGCCCCUGGAAAAUAGACAUCAGUAGACAGAAACUGGUACUGGGUGCACUGAGUUAGUACGUUGGUCCAAAUAUGUGUAAAAUGAUAUAAAAGUGUAGCAGAACGUACAACAUUGUCACCCAAAAGAUCAUGGAACAAGUCAAAAUUAUAGAUACCUUUGGGACAUAUCAACAUCCCCAAGCUUAAUUUCUGCUCGUCCUCGAGUAGAUAAAUGAUAACACAAUAAUUUCUAUGGUGACAUGCUAACACACAUAUAAGAACUUCAAAGUAAAGCAAUAAACAUAUGCAAUUCAAAUCAAGACAAUAACAAGCAAGAUUUUAUAUCUAGUAUUGAAUUUAGCAAAGUAAGAACAUAAAGGUGCAAGAGCUCUCGCCGUCUGUGACUCGAAUGUCUCCAAAUGGUGUUUGUGUGCAAGAAGUGGGAGAUGGGUUGAGAUCAUAAAAUAUAUUUUUAAUUGAGAACUCAAUCUACUAAAAUUUCACACUUGGUCUCCUUCGGAAUCUUAUUUUGACUCAUCCCCAUACCAUUAGUCAGGCACAAAUAAAAAUGAUCGUCUCCCUUUUGAUUUUGAGAACUCAUGCAAUGGAUGAGAAUAAGCAAGAUAUGUUGGCACUUAGCAUGACAAAUAGAAUAAUGAUGGGGAAGGAAAACAAAAGGGUGUGAAAGGCUCACAUCAAUGAGGACAAUCAUAGGCGAGAGAAAGCCAAAUGAUAGAUAUGAUGUGAGGAGUAGGGAUUGCCAUGUAACGGAUGCACAUAUGAGCUAAGGUAAGCUCUCCAAUGGAACUAGUGGGGGUGCAUCCAACUUGUUUGCUCAUGAAGACCUAGAGAUCAUUUGAGGAGGCUCAUCAUUGGAUUAUGCAAACCAAGUUCUAUAGUGUAAGUGUCCCCACAUAGUUAUGCAUGAAUGAUAAUAUCUAUGUAGUACAAAUAUAGUAAUGCUGUACGAGUGUGGAUCUUUCAAAAGGAAUAGUAGUGUUGCCCCCUUCUCUCUUUUUAUUUCUUUUUCUCGCUUUCUUAUCGUGUGUUUGUUUAGAUUGAGAAAAANGGCCUCUUUGGCUCUUUCUUUUUAUCUCUCAUUUGUCCUCUUUGGGAUCUUUUUGUUCUGUCCACUUUGGGAUCUUUUCCUCACUUAAGGGCAACACUCUAUGUUUUACAUGAAUAAAAAGAAAAAUGAUCACACUUUAUAAGAAGUACUCAACAUAAAGAGAAGUGGAAACUAUCAUGAUGUAUGCAAAUAUAUGCCUCUGCCAGUGUAGGAGGAUAUGCAAUGAUACUAGCGCGUCAUGUAGCAGUAAUUUGGGCAAGGCCCAACUAUCAUGCGGCUCUACAAUCAAGCAAAAGCAUGUAUGACAUGAAGAUCAAGUCAUGAGAUGGUGGAUGUUGCAUGGCAAUGUAUCUCGGAAAGGCUAUGGAAAUGUCUUAGUAGGUAGGUAUGGUGGCUGUUUUGAGGAAAGAUAUAAUGAGGCUUAUGUAUGACAGAGCGUAUCAUGUCAUGGGUUUGCAUGCACCGGCGGAUUUUGCACCAACUCUCAAUGUGAUAAAGGGCAAUGCACGGUACCGAAGAAGCUAGCAAAAUAUGGAUGGUGGAAGUGCCAACAAUCGAAUACUCACAUUAGUCCAAAGAACUCAUACACUAAUUAUCGGUAACUCUCUAUCUAGUUAUGAAAUUCACAAAGAGACAAGUACCCGAGGAGGAGGGUUUGGGGUUUGGUUAUCCUUGCGCAUCCUCGACUCGUGGUAACGUGAGGGUACUCUAUAUAUUUCAUCCCCUCGAGAGGUUAGCGAUCAAUUAAGUAGCUAGAGUUCUCAACUAAUUUUUAGUUUUGAAAAACACACGGAUUUCCCAAAAUACAACACCUAUCACUAAUAGGCUCAAGCUCUUGGCACUAACAGUCCAAACAUUACUCAAAUCAAUACCUCAAAACUAUUGUAAGUUACUACUAUACUUAAAUAGCAACCUCAAUUACCUACUCAUGCAAGACACACAACUGAGUGCAACGAGCCAACUCUCUAAACAAGAUAAGCAUGAUAACUCAAGAGAGUUCCAAGAUGAACCUAAAUAAUAGCUCUUAAAAAGAUAAGCAUGAAAACUAAGAGCUAAGCAUGAUAGUAGCUACGAAAAGAUGAAGAACACACGAAAAAGAUAAGGAUGAAAACCUAUGUUGUGUUCUAGAGUGGAAUGGAGCGUGUCUCUCUCCCAAACAAGGUAGGCUAGGUUCCGACUUGUUAUGACCAGAAAGGAAAGCUAAAACAAACUAAAAAGUAAAUAGCGAGACGCUCUAAGCACAGCACAUAUCAUAUGAAGUGAUUAAAAUAUAGCAUGGAGAUGGACGAACUGAUGAUUGUUGAUAGAGAAGGGGAUGCACGGGAGCAUCCCCAAGCUUAGACGCUUGAGUCUCCUUUGAAUAUUUCUUGAGGUGCAUGGGUGAAUCCCCAUGCUUGAGCGCUUCACACUCAUGUAUCUUCUUUCAUCAUCUCCCAUCACAUAAUUGAAAACUCCCUUCAUAUGAAACUCAUCAUAAGCUGAUCAGAGUGGUUAGAUCCCUUAAUAAAAUAAUUCAUUACGUGCUGGAAAUGAAGAUUUUCAUGAAAACUACUGCUUCUUUUUUUUGGCUGGAAAACUACUGAUCUAUGCUAUAUUAUAAUAAGUAAUAUUUACAUGAAGAUGAGUAGUAUCCUCAUAGAAAGAGAAAGAGCAAGAUAAAGCUAGUCCAAAGAUUGUUUACAAUGGAAGUGAUAUAAUCACCGAGAUAAGUACGUACUCUAUAUCUAAGCCAAUUAAGAUCAGCCUUAGUACUUUCAAUCCAGGAGUUAUGAGUAGGAUUGAUCUGACUGAAGAUAUAGUUGUUCCGCUCUUUCUAGAUAUUCCACGCAGCAAUAGUGAAUAUUUCAAAGAAGGGGCUGCCAGAAAAAAAAUUCUUUUGCUCUGAUUGUAGCUUCUAUUCUUGAGUUGUUGGUGAGUUGUUGGUGUUAUAAGAUAUACCAAUCUUGGCCCAGCAAUGUUGACCGAACUGGCAACUAAAAAUUAGGUGAUCAAUGGUCUCUUCCUCUUAUGUUGUGCAUAGAACACAGGAUUCUAUGUCAUCAAUAUGAUAGUGUCUCCUUUUCAACAUGUUCCUUGUGUUCAAUAUGUCAGCUAGUAAGAACCACAUGAAAACCUUUAGUUUAUUUUGAAGUUUUGAUUUCCAUAUCCAUUUGAAUGGCUCUGGACAUGUAAUGUGUCUGUGACAGUGUUUGUAAUAUUUCUUGGCCGAAUAGAGAGUACCCCAUGGGUAAGACCACACAUCUUCAUUGUGAGAGUGUAACACAUUUGUGGGUUUUAAACUAUUUAUAGUUUGCAACUCUGUGAGUGCCUCAGGGGAAAUUGGCAGAUGGAACAGCAAACUCAAAUCCUCAGUGGCAUAAUAUGAGUGGACUGAUAUAUCUUCAUCCUUUGCAUAAGAGAAUAAACAUCCAUAGUUUUCAGCCAGUAUAAGAUCAUUCCAGUUAUCAUGCCACAUGGAAACAUGCUUACCAUUUUGAACUCCACAUUUGGCUAGACCUCUGUAAAUAGGCAUUAAUUUGAUCAAAGAUCUCCACCAGAAAGAGCCACACUUAGGAAUAGCAUGAGGGACAGCAUCUUCAUAAUAUGAUUCCCAAAGCAAUUUUACCCAUUGAAGGUCUGCAUGAUUGUAAAACUUGUCCAAGAAUUUCAAAAGAAGGGCUUGAUUAUGUACUCUGUUCUUAAUCACUCCAAGGCCUCCUUUUUCUUUAGGGAAGCAUACUCUGUUCCAAGCAACCAAAGAAUUACAGGACUCACCAUGUUCAUUGUUUUUGUGCCAUAAACAUCUCCUUCUAAUCUUGUCAAACAUAUCAAAGAACCUAACAGGCAGUUCCAGGGUGCAGGACACUAAUGUAAUCAUUGAGGAUACCAUUGAAUAUAUGAGAGUUAUUUUCUGACCAUGGCACAUAAGAGCCGAUGUACUAGAGAUACGACAUUGUACUCUAUCCAUUAAUGGCAUGAGAUCAUUCAUGGAUCGUUUUGUUGUACCCAGAGGUAGUCCAAGAUAGGUAAAUGGGAAGGAUCCAACCGAGCAUUAAUAUUUGCAAGCUUUGAGGCUUUCUCACCAGAAGUUUUAGUUGGAAUAAGAUUUGACUUCUGAAAAUUUAUUCGAAGCCUAGUGGAUAAAGCAAAGUCAUUUAGUACUGCUUUGAGGUUAGCAACCUGAUCAUGGCAAGCUGGAAUGAACAAAAUUGUACCAUCCGCAUAUUGAAUAAUCGGAUAUGCUCCAGAAUGAUCAAUUGGGAGCUGCAGUCUUGCCUCAUUGUACUCAUUGUUGAUAACAUAUUGCAUUAGAUCAGAAGCUAUAGCAAAUAAGAGAGGUGAAAUUGGAUCCCCCUGUCGAACCCCACGUUUGCAGUAAAAACUUUUCGAGGAAUACAAUUUAGCGGAACCGAAGAUUGACCAGAUGAAAGAAUAGAGUUUAUCCAGUGAGUCCAUUUAGAAUCAAAUCCCAACUUUUCCAACAUCAAGGAUGACAUCAUGUUCGAUGAGAUCAAAAGCUUUUUCAAAGUCUAAUUUGAGGAUGAUUACUUCAUUUCCAGAUUGCUGACAUUGGAAAAUGUAUUCAAAGGCCCAGGCUAGACAGUCAUUGAUCGUCCUUCCUUUUAUAAAUCCAUAAUGAUUUGUGUGUAGCAAAGAUAGAAUGAUCUUUUGAAGGCGAUCCGCAAGAAUUUUUGUGAUGAGCUUUAGGCUGCAGUUCAGCAAAGAUAUAGGCCUAUAGUCAUUAACCGAAGUAGGGUUCAUGUUUUUGGGAUAAGAGUGAUCAAAGAGGCAUUCAAACAGUUUAGAGAAUUGGAUCCUUCCCAAAAGCUGGUGCAUAAGUUAUAGAAUUCUGGUGCAAUCAAGUCCCAACAGUGUUUUAAGAAACAACCAUUAAACCCAUCUUGACCUGGAGCUCGAUCUAUGGGCAUUUUAGCUACUGCCUCAUCAAUCUAUUUUUUUGGAAAAAGGUCGCGGGAGACCCUCAAGGUUUUCCACAGGUUGGAUGAGAUUUUCCAGAUUGAACUUCAUUUCAUGAUGAACAGAAACACACAUUCUUGAUUUGACUGCCUGGUAAAUAACUUCAGCUUUAGCCUCAUGAUCCUCAACAAGAGAUCCAUCAAGGAGAGAUAAAGAUGCAGCAGAGUUAUAUAUGUGCCUUUCAGUAGCCAAAUGAUGGAAUAAUUAUGUGUUUUCAUCACCACCUUGAAUGUAUUUGAUUGUGCAACGUUUACGCUAGAAUUGUUGUCGAUAAGAUUUGAGACGAAUGAUGUGGUUUAUUAGUAUUUUCCUCAAGUUCCAUUCCUGUAUGAAUAAUUGCCUUUUCUCUUCAAGGUCGUCCAAGUGAGAAAGAGUCAAAUGACAAUUAUUAAGUAGCAACGAGAGUUUAGACAAUCCUUUGCUCCAUAUUUUCAGAACAGGUCUAAGGUUCCUAAAUUUAGCCGAGAGGACAAUAGCAUAGGAUUUUUGUAAAUAAAAAGUAAGCUUAGGAUUUGCAAAUCAAUGAAAACGCAAAACAUGGCACAAUCUAUGAAAAACAGAACAUCAUCUAGUAAAUAAUUUAUUCGGGGUACUUCUGCAACUCAAAUCAAAAACUCACAACAGAUGCCAGAAAGGCAAUUACAUAGAUCAUGCUGUCAAAACAAUUCAGAUCAAAAAUAUGACCUCCUGAUUUUUGGCGAAUUUUUCCGUCAAGCAGACAUAAUCUGUUUCUGGGCAGCAUGUCACAAUUUUUGAACUUUCUUGCAAUUAGAGGCUAUAACUUGGCACAAAGCUUAAAAAUAAAGAUAUAGCACAUCAAGACCACUAAAACAGAAAGUAAAAACAAAUUUGGUUGCCUCCCAACAAGCACUUUCUUUUAUGCCUUUGAGCUAGGCAUAAUGCAAGAAGAUCAAGUGUUAUCAACUCCAAAGGAAUAAUUUGCCCGACUAACGGACUCAUAAGGUAACUUAAUCUUCUUUCUAGGGAAGUGUUCCAUCCCCUUUUUAAGAGGAAAUUGGAAUUUAAUGAUUCCCUCUUUCAUGUCAAUGAUAGCACCAACGGUGCAGAGAAAAGGACGUCCCAAAGUAAUUGGACAUGAAGGAUCACAUUCAAUGUGUAUAAUAAUAAAAUCAACGGGCACAUAAUUAUCAUUGACAAUAAUAAGAACAUCAUCAAUUCUCCCUAAAGGUUUCUUUAUGGAAGAAUCAACAAGACGAGCACCAAAAGAACAUGGAUCAUAAGGUUUCCAAUCAAGGAUAUCAUACAUUAUUUUGGGCAUAACGGAAGCACUAGCUCCAACAUCACACAAAGCAAAGCAAGAUAUAUUAUUCAAUUUAAUUUUGACCAUAGGAUCCCAACCAUCUUCUAGUUUUCUAGGAAUAGAAGUCUAUAGCUUGAGCUUAUCCUCCCUAGCUUUGAUAAGAGCAUUGGUAAUAUGCUCGGUGAAGGCAAUAUUGAGUGUACUAAUAUGGGGGUCUUUAGCCAUUCUUUGCAAAAAGGUGAUAACUUCGGAGAGACUGCAAUUUUCAAAAUUAAGAUUACUACCAUUAAUUAAAGUGGUAGUAAUGUCAUCUAAGGUCAUUCCUUUGGUAGUCUCUAAAUUCAAAGGACCUUCUUGUCCUAUAGUUGAGGUAUUAGCAUCACUAUUAAUAAGUCCAUUGGGACUAGGAGUGCGAUGGGUGCUAAAAGUUUUGAGAUCCUCAACAACUUGUAUAGUUGCAAUGGUAGUGUGUGUAGGAAGGCUCUUAAUUCUCUCUUCCUCUUUAUUUUCUCUAGCCCAUAUCUCUUUAAGCUUGGCUAGCAUUCUUAUGUUCUCAUUAAUUUGUACUUGGAUAGCAUUCAUGGGUGUGGUGUUCCUUUCCUCAAGUGGGGAAGUUCUAAUUUUAAGCAUCUCUACAUCAUGAGCUAUGUUGUCCACCUUCAAAGAGAGACUAUCUAAUUUUUCUAGUUUAUCUUCUACACUCUUGUUGAAGGAUUUUUGAGAAGUGAUAAAAUCCUUAAGCAUGCUCUCUAAUUCAGAGGUGGAGUUUUUGGUGCUAGGAUAAUUAUUAUUGUUCCCAUAGUUCUUGGAUGGGAACGGUCUAGGAUUGCUAUCAAAAUUUCUCUUAUAAGCAAUGUUAUUGAAGUUGUUCCUAGAAAUAAAAUUAACAUCCACUUGCUCUCUUUCUUAAGCAACAAAGAAUUUAAAGGAACAUCAUGAGGAACAAUAGGAGCUUGCUUAGUAAGUAAAGUCAUGAUCAUGUCAACCUUAUCAUUAAGAGAGGAGAUCUCCUCAACAGAGUUUACCUUCCUACCCGUUGGAGCUCUCUUGGUGUCCCAUUGAGAAUAAUUUGUCAUCAUCUCAUCCAAUAGAUUUGUGGCAGCACCGAGUGUAGUUGACAUAAAGGUUCCUCCCGCGGCCGAGUCAAAUAGAUUCCACGAGGUAAAGUUCAAGCCUGCAUAGAAAGUUUGGAUAACCAUCGAAGUAGUCAAACCAUGUGUAGGGCAAUUCUUAACAAGAGAUUUCAUACGUUUCCAAGCUUGAGAAACAUGUUCAUUAUCCAAUUGCCUAAAAUUCAUAAUGUUACUCCUCAACUGGAUAAUCUUAGCAGGCGGGUAAUACUUCCCAAUAAAUGCUUCUUUGCACUUAUCCCAAGAAUCUAUGCUAUUCCUAGGCAAAGAUUGAAGCCACACUUUAGCUCCUCCUCUCAAGGAGAAAGGAUUAAAGCUUAAGUUUAACAAUAUCACUCUAUAUUUUUGCAUAUCACAGACCUCAACAAAAAAUUUCAAGUGCAAGGCAGCAUCAUCUCGAGCACCGAAGAAUUGAUCUUUCAUAACAAGGUUCAGUAAAGCAGGUUUAAUCUCAUAGGACGUGGCCUCAGUGGCAGGAGCAUCAAUAGGAGUGCAGAUAAAGUCAUUGUUGUUGUGACUAGUGAAGUCACACAACUUGGUGUUCUCGGUGGAACCCAUAGCAACAGCAACAAGCAAGAACAAAGCAACUAAUUUUUUUGUGGUUUUCGGUAUAGGACUCUAAAGCAAAAACUAGAAAGCAAACUAACAAGACUAAAAAGCAAAGAUAAAAGAUAGCAUGCAACUCCCCUAUCUUGAAGACUAGAGUCCCCGGCAACGGCGCUAGAAAUUUUCUUGAUAAUGAGUUGAUGGAUAUACUUCUCGCCCCUCGUUGGUUACCCCAAGUGGAAGGUGGAGAUGUAGUCAGCAUCAGAUUUCCCUUACACGAAGACUGUAAGGUUUAUCAAACCAGAAGGACUCCUAGGCUCAACAAGUAGGUGUCUUAUGUCCUGGUCAGCAGAAAAUGUGGACCUGCACACACAACAAAUAACUUUGCUCGCAAUGAGUACUAAGAGAUUGUCAAUCUCUCCGGCCUUGUACUUUGCAAAGGAUCAAAACAAAAGAUGCAAGGUAAUAAUGAUUGCAACGAAAAAGUAAAUGAAAGCAGUAAAUGAUGGAGGUGUAAACAAUGAUGGUGAUAUGGACCAGAGUCACAUGAUGAUCACUAGUGAUGUCUCUCUCCCAAAAGACAAUAAACAACUAUGCUUGGGUAAACAAAUCACAGUUGGGCAAUUGACAGAAUUAUGAUCGCACCGCAAUGCUAAUUAUGUUACUUGGUAGUUUGAGGUUCAAUAUUAAUGGGCAGUACGCAAAGAUAAUUAGACGGUUUAUUCAUCAACAUCUACUUACUAAUCAUCCACCUUGAGAUAUCUAUCGAGAACAUCUCUCCGGUAUUAAGUUGCAAGCCCCACCCAAAGUGUAAACUCAAAGCAAUGGACAACUGCAUUAAUGAACUAUGCGUAAGGUAAACAAUCCUUGCAACCGUUAUCACAAGCACCGUUGUUUUCUCCCUGGUGAUAACAAGCACAUCCCCUAGUCUCAUGUUUCUGUCACUCAAGCUGGACAUCAAGGGCCUGGAACCCACAAUCGUGCAUAACGCUCCCUCUUGGAGUUACAAUCUACUACUUGGCCAAAGCAAUAAAAAACAAUGGAGAACAUGCAUGAAUCACUAAGGAACAUAAUAGAAAAGAUAAUCAAAUAUAUAACUCAUAACAAUAUGAACAAAAUCUCAUAAACCAUCCAAUACCAACAAACCGAGCAUAGCAAAAGCAAGAGAAUUACAUAGAUGCCUUGAUCAUGUAGGGCAGCUCACAAGGACUAAUCAUUGAAGCACAAGAUUGGAGAGAAGACAUCACAUAGCUACUGGUCAUGGACCCAUGGUCCAAGGAGGACUACUCACGGCACGUACGGGAAGAAUCCAUGGCGGUGGAGAAGCUCCCGGAGGUUAGUCCUCCCUCUGGCAGGGUGCUGGGAAGAGGUCUCCUAACGCUCCCAAUCUUCGAAGCGCUGCGGCGGCGGAAUGAUGGUGAAAUUCGGGAUUCCACAAAGUCUGCGAGGGUUUCCUCUAGGGGGCCUAAAUAUAGGCCAAAGGAGGGCCCCAGAGGAGGUGGGACCCACCCAGGCGACCUCCUGGCGCGGCCUAGGGCCUGGCGGCGCCAGCAGGCCGCUUGGGAGGCCCGUGGUCCCCCUCUGGCCCAGCUUCGGUGAUCCGGAAGCUUCUGUUUCGCUGAUUUUUUAUAUAUUUUUUUGGAUUUUUUCAGGCUUCGGAAAAUUGGGUAAAAGCCCCACUAAAAUAGACAUCAGCAAACAGAAACUAGCACUCGGUGCACUGAGUUAGUAGGUUAGUACAAAUAUGUGUAAAAUGAUAUAAAAUUGUAGCAAAACAUAUAACAUUGUCACCCAAAAGAUCAUGGAACAAGCAGAAAUUAUAGAUACGUUUGGGACGUAUCACCCUCCCUCUCCCUCUCUAUUUAUAGGAGGAGGGGGUAGGUAGGGCGCAUCCUUAGCCCCUCCUCCAAGCAGGGCCGGUCGGCCAAGGGGGAGGAGUCCACCUCCCACAAGGGAGGUGGGCGCCCCAGGGAGGACUCCUCCCUCCCCAAGGCACCUCUCCCACCUACCCUUGGGCGCAUUGGACCUUUAGGCGUUGGUUGCCAUGCCCACAAGGGGCUGGUGUGCCACCUCUUGGGCCCAUGUGCCCCCUGGAUGGGGAAGCCCCUCCCGGUUGACCCCGAGAACCCUUUCGGCACUCCCGGUACUAUAUCGGAAACACCUGAAACCAUUCCGGAACCCAAAUAUGACUUUCCUAUAUAUAAAUCUUUACAUGUGUAUCAUUCCGAAACUCCUUGUGACGUCCGGGAUCUCAUCCGGGACUCCGAACAACUUUCGGUUACAAACAUAUAUUACUUAACAAUACCAAAUCGUCACCGAACAUUAAGUGUGCACACCCUACGGGUACGAGAACUAUGCAGUCAUGACCGAGAUACCUCUACGGUCAAUAACCAAUAGAGGGAUCUGGAUGCCCAUAUUGGUUCCUACAUAUUCUACAAAUAUAUUUAUCAGUCGAACGACGAUGUCAAGGAUUCAAUCAAUCCCGUAUGCAGUUCCCUUUGUCCAUCGGUAUGUUACUUGCCCGUGAUUCGAUCAUCGGUAUCGCCAUACCUAGUUCAAUCUCGUUACCAGCAAGUCUCUUUACUCGUUCCAUAAGACAAGAUCCCGUGACUAACUCCUUAGUCACAUUGCUUGCAAGCUUCUUAUGAUGUUGUAUUACCGAGUGGGCCGUGAUGACCCACAAGUAUAGGGGAUCUAUCUUAGCCUUUCCGAUAAGUAAGAGUGUCGAACCCAACGUGGAGCGGAAGGUAUUGACAAGCGAUCAUGAGCAAGGACUAACUGCAAGUACUGAAAGGUAACUUUUUAUGGGUUUUCUAGUAUAAGCAACAAGGAAAUAAAUGCAAGUAAAGUAAAUGCUGCCGAGGUGAAGCAAAUGGCCCAAUCCUUCUGAACACAAAGGAUAAGCCGAGGGACUAAACUUAUAAAGACUAAGGCGUUCUUGAGGACACACGGGAGAGAUAGUCAAGUGCUUUCGCCAUACUCUGUCUAGUACUAUGUUUUGUAUUGAUAAGUGUUAUGUGGGUCGAUCUUAACUAGUGCACCGUCUAGGCUAAGACAAGUACACUCUUAUGAUUAAUCCCUCUUGCAAGCAUCCGCAAAUACAAGAGAGCAAUUAAGGCACAGCCUAACCAUAUUAAUAAGCUUUAGGAUCCAAUACUCCCUCAUGCAAAAGUAUGCGAACUCGGGUUCAAGUUUCUGUCACUCCGGCAACGCACCAUAAGCAUUCUUUAUACAUGAUGCAAUCCCCGAGGUCCUUAAAAGGCGAAGUGUUAUGUAGUCGACGUUCACAUAACACCACUAGAAGAAUAACACCAUAAAUUAAAUAUCAAUCAACACAUAUUACUUCAACAUCAUAUGACUACUAGCAUCUAGACUUUUCCCAUGUCCUCAAGAACUAAUGGAACUAUUCACAAGACAUAAAAUAGAUCAUGAUCAGAGGUGAUGAAAAUAUGAUUAACAAUCUGGUCAUAACAGUAAUUCUCCAACAAAACUCAAUAGCAUUCACCACAAAAGAGUAAUCAACACCGGUAGAGUAGAGGGGAUGAAUAGUGCAAGGUACAACUCCGAUUGCAAUGGUGAAGUAGAUGGGAUGAACGUGGAGAUGGUGCUGGUGAUGGUAAUGAUGGGGACGAUGAUCUCGAUGAUGCCCGUGAUGAUGGUGAUGACGUUGAGAUGAUCUCCCCUUCCGGGAGGAGUUCUCCCCGGCGGAAUCUGCCCGCCAGAAAGGUCUUUUCUUCUGUGUAGGAUUCCACCACGGAGCGGCGGCGGAACUACGAAAACUCUUCUGUCCCCAUAACUUCUAGGUCAAGAGGAACAUAUAGGCCAAAGGAGAGCACCGGAGGCAGGACUUGGUACAUCUCCAUCGUAUCUACUUUUCCAAACUCUUUUGCCCUUGUUUCGCACUCUAAUUUGCAUGAUUUGCAUGGAACUAUCCCGGACUGACGCUGUUUUCAGCAGAAUUGCCAUGGUGUUGUUUUUGUGCAGAAAUAAAAGUUGUCGGAAUGACCUGGAAAUUUACGAGGAUUUUUUGUGGCAUAUAUAAAAAAUACUGGCGCGAGAAUUACCUGGAGGGACGGAGCCAGGAGCCCACAGGCCCAGGAGGCGCCCCCCUCCCUAGUCGCGCCUGGCAGGCUUGUGAGGCCCUCGUGGCUCCGCUGCCUCCAACUCCAGCUCUAUAUAGUCUCUCUCGCCCGGAAAAAAUUAAGAGAGAAGAGUUCAUCGCGUUUUACGACACGGAGCCGCCGCCACCACCUGCUCUUUCUGUGGAGGGCAGAUCAGCACUCCGUUCUGGGCUCCGGAGAGGGGAAAUCGAUGCCGUCGUCAUCACCAACCAUCCUUCAUCGCCAAUUCCAUGAUGCUCUUCACCAUUCGUGAGUAAUAUCAUCGUAUGGCUUGCUGGACGGUGAUGGGUUGGAUGAGCUCUAUCAUGUAAUCGAGUUAGUUUUGAUGGGGAUUGAUCCCUAGUAUCCACUAUGUUCCGAGAUUGAUGUUGCUACUACUUUGAUAUGCCUAAUGCUUGUCACUAGGGCCCGAGUGCCAUGAUUUCAGAUCUGAACCUAUUAUGUUUUCAUCAAUAUAUGUGUGUUCUUGAUCCUAUCUUGCAAGUUGUACUCACCUACUAUGUGUUAUGACCCGGCAACCCCGGAGUAACAAUAGCCAGAACCACUCCCGGAGAUGACCAUAGUAUGAGGAGUUCAUGUAUUCUCUAAGUGUUAAUGCUUUGUUUCGGUUCUCUAUUAAAAGGAGACCUUAAUAUCCCUUAGUUUCCAUUAGGACCCCGCUGCCACGGGAGGGAUGGACAAUAGAUGUCAUGCAAGUUCUUUUCCAUAAGCACGUAUGACUUUAUACGGAAUACAUGCCUACAUUACAUUGAUGAACUAGAGCUAGUUACAUAUCUCCCCAUGUUAUAAUUGAUACAUGAUGAAUGUCAUCCGACAUAAUUAUCCAUCACCGAUCCAAUGCCUACUGGUCCUUGCUAUGUUACUUUACUGCUACUGCUGUCACUGCUGCUACCGUUACCGCUACUGUUGUCACUACCGCUACUGUUACCACUGCUACUGUUACUAUCACACUACUUUGCUACUGAAACUUUGCUGCAGAUACUAAGUCUUUCAGGUGUGGUUGAAUUGACAACUCAACUGCUAAUACUCGAGAAUAUUAUUUUGCUUCCCCUUGUGUCAAAUCAACAAAUUUGGGUUGAAUACUCUACCCUCGAAAACUGUUGCGAUCCCCUAUACUUGUGGGUUAUCAAGACUAUUUUCUGGCGCCGUUGCCGGGGAGGCCUAGCUCUAUUCUUUGAGUCAAUUGGGAUUUACGUCUGUUGAUCACUAUGAGGAAUCCGAGAGAUCCAAAAACUAAACUCUUGCCCUCAACUAUGAGGACAAGUAAGGAACUGUCAUUUAGCUCUGCACUUGAUUCACCUUCGGUUAUGAGUAAGUUUGCGACACCACCACCUACUAGAAAUUCUGAUGUGUCACAUGUUCUUGAUGAUGCUACUUCUGUUAUCCAUGAUGCUUAUGAUGAUGCUUUGCUUGAUACUGCUUUUCCACUGGGUGCAUUCCUUGAUGCACAAAUUGCUAGAGUUGCUGCUGAAUGUGAUGAUACUUCUGAAACUGCUGAAAUUAUUGAAGUAGAACCUGAUGUUUCACCUGUUUGAACUAGCUCUCCUAGAUAUGAAUUGCCUGAUAUACCUGAGGGUUAUGUUAUGGAGGGAGAGGUAGCUGAAGACUUUCUUGCUUGUAAGGAUAGCUAUGAUAUUGAGAAUUUAUUGCGCAAGUGGAAAGAAAAAUCUCUGAAUACUAGAAUGAAAUACGAUCCUAAGUUUGCUACUUCGCCCAUCUUUGUGACUGAUAAGGAUUACUGUUGAUCCUGAGUUGAUCACUUUGGUUGAAUCUGAUCCUUUUCAUGGUUAUGAGUCUGAAACGGUUGUAGCACAUCUUACUAAGCUGAAUGAUAUAGCCACCCUAUUCACGAGUGAGGAAAAGAUUCGCCAUUACUAUAUCCUUAAGUUGUUUCCUUUCUCGCUAAAGGGCGAUGCUAAGACUUGGUUUACUUCUCUUGCUCCCGGUUGUGUGUGUAGUCCCCAGGAUAUGAUAUACUACUUCUCUGAGAAAUAUUUUCCUGCCCAUAAGAAACAAGAUGCCUUGCAGGAUAUACAUAACUUUGUGCAACUUGAAGAAGAGAGGCUCCCACAAGCUUGCGGGAGGCUUGUCCAGUUAUUGAAUGCUUUGCCUGAUCACCCUCUUGAGAAAAAUGAAAUACUUGAUAUCUUUUAUAAUGGACUAACCGAUGCUUCUAGGGACCACCUAGAUAGUUGUGCUGGUUGUGUUUUCACGGAACGAACUGUGGAACAACCUAAAAUUCUAUUGAAUGAUAUCUUGAGCAAUGAUAAUGCUUGGACUAUUCCCGAACCACCUCCGAAGACAACUCCAAAGAAAAGAGGUAUUCUAUUCCUCAGUCCUGAAGAUAUGCAAGAAGCCAAGAAAUCUAUGCAAGAGAAAGGUAUUAAAUCUGAAGAUGUUAAGAAUCUACCACCUAUCAAAGAGAUACAUGGUCUUGAUAACCCGACACAGGUAGUAGAGGUAAAUUCUCUUCGUAGAUUCAAUGAGAGUGAUAUUCCUUUUGAUAAACCUGCUAGCUUAUGCUUAGAUGAAUUUGAUAACUUCGUUGCCAAACAAAAAAGUUUCAAUGAUUAUGUUAGCAGACAAUUGGAACAAAAUGCUCGCAUGAUUAAUCAUUUAAGUGCUUCUGUGGAUAGUAAUGUCAAUGAUCUUAAGCUUUUGAGUAAACAUGCCUCUAUGGUCACUACUCAAGUAGAACAAGUACUUAAGGCUCAAAGUGACUUGCUUAAUGAGUUGAAUGACAAUUAUGUUAGAGUCGUCACUAGAGGUGGUAGAAUGACUCAGGAACCUUUGUAUCCUGAGGGCCUCCUAAGAGAAUUGAACAAGAUUAUCAAGGAGUUAGCACCGAGGCACCUAAUCAUCCUAGUAAUAGGAAUUAAAAGAAAGAUGAUAGGAACUUGCAUGCUAGCAAACCAGCUUCUAUUACACAUGAGAAUCCAAAUGAUAUCUCUGUUUCUGAUGCUGAAACACAAUCUGGUGAUGAACAUGAGCCUAUUGAUAAUAUUGAUAGUGGUGUUCAUGUUGAUGCUCAACCAAGUAAUGAUAAGGAUGUGGAGAUUGAACUUGCUAUUGAUCUUGAUAACCCACAACCUAAGAACAGGAGAUAUGAUAAGAACGACUUUAUUGCUAGGAAGCAUGGUAAAGAAAGAGAACCAUGGGUUCAGAAACCCAUGCCCUUUCCUCCCAAACCAUCCAAGAAAAAGGAUGAUGAGGAUUUUGAGCGCUUUGUUGAAAUGAUUAGACCUGUCUUUCUGCAAAUGCGUUUGACAGAUAUGCUCAAAAUGGCUCCUUAUGCUAAGUACAUGAAAGAUAUUGUCACUAAUAAAAGGGAGAUACCUGAGGUUGAGAUUUCCACCAUGCUUGCUAAUUGCACCUUCAAGGGUGGAACCCCUAAUAAACUAGGUGAUCUCGGAGUACCCACUAUACCUUGCUCCAUUAAAGGAAAUUAUGUUAGAACUGCUUUAUGCGAUCUUGGAGCUGGUGUUAGUGUUAUGCCUCUCUCUCUCUCUCUUUAUCGUAGACUUGAAUUGGAUAAGUUGACACCCACUGAAAUGUCUUUGCAAAUGGCCGACAAAUCAACUGCUUUUCCAAUCUGCAUUUGUGAGGACGUGCCUGUUGUGGUUGCUAAUGUUACUAUCUUAACGGACUUUGUUAUUUUGGAUAUUCCCGAGGAUGAUGCCAUGGUGGUCAUUCUUGGAAGACCCUUUUUAAACACUCCAGGGGCUGUUAUUGAUUGCAACAAAGGAAAUGUUAGUUUCCAUGUUAAUGGUAAUAAGCAUACGGUGCACUUUCCAAAUAAACAAUAUCAAGUAAAUUGCAUCAAUGCUAUUGAAAAAACUUCAUCAAUUCUUAUUGGAAGCUUUGAAUGCCCUAUACCUACUAUCAAGAUGAAGUAUGAUUUACUUGUUGGGGAUAUGCACAUCCCGUUGAGGUAACCUAGUGAUUAUUUGAAAAUUCUCCGGUUUUAUGCGAUUCGAAUUUUUUUUGUCAAGGAGACUUGAUCAACCUCAUUGACGGAUUUCUUUUGAUGACCAUGAGAUGGAUGAAUCUAGGAGUCACAACCCUCUGUUCCCAACUUUUACUUUCUGUUGCUUAGAAGAAAAAUGAUAAAUUUAGCUUUAUUUUCCUAUUUUCUUCUUUUUUUCGUCCCUUAGAAAAGUGUCCCGAAAAUAAAAGUUCUUCAAAUGCCCUGAAAUUCAAGUAUGAUUUUUUCUGGAAUUUUUGAAAAAUUCUGAGAUAGAGAGCUAAUCAGGGGGAUGCACUAGUGGGCCACAAGCCCAGGAGGCGCGACCACCCCCCUGGCUGCGCCUGGCAGGCUUGUGGGCCCCACGUGGCCCCCGUCCACUUAUUCCAGCUCCCAUCUCCUUCUUCUACCUCUAGAAAAAUCAUUCCACAGCUCAAACCCGUGUUCUUGCUCUUCUUGCUGCAUUUUUCGAUCUCCUUAUGCAAAGCCCCAUUCACCAAACUGUUUUGGGGAAUUUUUCCUUGGUCUAUGACUCCUCCAUUGGUCCAAUUUGUUUUUGCUCUAGUGCUUUAUUCGUUGUGUAUUCUUGCUGCCUUGGUGACCUUGUUCUUGAGCUUUGCAUGCUAAUUUUAGUUCGUCCCAAGUAGUUUUGAUGCAUGAUAUGGCCUCUAGGAACUUGUAGGAGUAGUUGCUAUGAGUUUUGCUGAGCCUUGUUCACUUUUAUUUUGAGUCACUAAACAAUUUCAGAAAAAGAAAAAGAAGAUGUUCAGGAGAAACUAUCACGGUGGUUCCUCAAGAAAAAGGGGUCCCCGUCUCUCGAUUCGGGAGCCCGAUCCUUAUCAGCCGAGGAACGCACAGGUACAACCAUCUGAAUGGCCUUCCGAUGAAUUCAUGAUUGAUGCAGGUUUCAAGGACGAGUUUGAUACAUUUGUUCACAACGCCGGGCUUGAAGAAUUCAUCUCCAAAAAAUGCGAAUAGUAUACUACACUCACUGCGUCUUUUGUUCGUAGAUUCAAAUUUUCAGUUGGCCGUGACUCAUCCAUACUGUUUGAUCUCUAUGACAAUUCGUAUACCAUGGAUUUAGAGGAUUUUAAUAAAUUUGCAACAUACCUGAUUGCGGUAGUCUCAAUGAUCCUCCUAAGUCUUCGGUUAGAUAUUUUAUCUCUUGUAUAAGCGUUGGAGAAACUAGAGAUAUUACGCAGGCUACCAUGGGGAGCAUUCAUUUUCCUGCCUUACAUUACUUUGCCCUCUUCAUAGGUAGAUGCAUUAACGCCAAGAUUGAGCAUUGUCACCUCUGUGCACCUGACCUUAGUAUUCUUAAGAGUGCAGUAACGGGUGAUAGAAUUUUCAACAUGGGAGCUAUAAUCGCGACGAGGCUAAAUAAUAAUGCUAAUGAAGGGGAUUUCUUUGGUGGGAUCUAUGCCACUCGCAUAGCAAAUUUUCUUGGAUUACCCAUCCGCGAAGGAGAUCCCCCGCUCCAUACAGCUUUCCUUGAUCACGCAGCUAUGACACGUUAUCAGUUCCUUGAGAGGGAUAACGAAUCCCUCCUAUACGGGUUAAUAUUUAACCGACAACGUGUUUUCCAUAUUACACUUCCUGCUCCUGCCUUCUUUGACUUUCAGGUAAAAUGGAGAUAUUACAUGACGAGAGGAGAGGCAGAGGAGCAUGAGAGGGAGGCAAAGGUUGCUCGCCUCCGUGAGGCAGCUAUUCAGGCGGUAGCUGCCGCGUUCCCGUACAACCCCCAUUAUGAUUUAGGAUAUCGCCCAGACCAGCCGUGGGAGUAGACCAACUUAGGCCAAAAACCUAAGCUUGGGGGAGUACGUGUUUCUCACCGACUUUAUAUUCGUCCUCACGCUUUCACUUUGUUUGUCGGUGUUCACACCUUGCCAUUGUAUCAUCCAUGCUAGUUUAUUUCUUUUUCUCGCUUUCUUAUCGUGUGUUUGUUUAGAUUGAGAAAAACAAAAAAAAUUAGUUGUAAGUUUACUUUCCAGCUUGCUUAGUGUUGUUUAAAAAUAAAACCCAAAAAUAGUUUUCUUUUUCUUUGGGUCAAGGUAGAAUACCAUGGUUAAAAUGUUUAGUGGCUCUCACAUGCAUAUUUGUUUAUCUGUCAAAGAGCCAUAUUACUUUGUCAUUUCCUCUGUGUUUGCUUGCAGAUUCCAGCUUAGUCCAAUGCACGAACACUCUCAUUACUAUUCACAUCAUUCGGUCGUGCAAGUGAAAGGCAAUAAUGACGAUAUAUGAUGAAGUGACUGAGCCUGGAAAAGCUGGUAUGAACUCGACCUAUUUUGUUUUUGUAAAUAUGACUAGCUCAUCGUUCCUACUUCAGCUUUGUUAUGGGAGAAACAUGUUUGCAAUGACAACUUAGAGAUCAUAGUUUCUGAUGCCAUGCUUAAUUAGCUAGGUGCUUAUAAUGGUUUGUUUUGGAUGCCAACAUGAAUUUCAAGAUGAUUAUGAUGUAGUAUGAUAGGAUGGUAUCCUCCUUCGAAUGAUUCAAGUGGCUUGACUUGGCACAUGUUCACGCAUGUAGUUGAAACAAAAUCAACAUAGCCUCUAUGAUAUUCAUGUUUAUGGUGAUUUAUGGCCUACUCAUGCUUGCACUCAAUGUUGGUUAAUUUCAAUGCAUAUUGAUGACUGUUGUCGCUCUCUAGUUGGUCGCUUCCCAGUCUUUUGCUAGCCUUCACUUGUACUAAGCGGGAAUACUGCUUGUGCAUCCACUUCCAUAAACCCAAAGUUGUUCCGUAUGAGUCCACCAUACCUACCUCCAUGCGGUGUCUACCUGCCGUUCCAAGUAAAUUUGCAUGUGCCACUCUCUAAACAUUCAAGUAAUAAUCUAUUUUGCAUGCCCGAACCGCUCAUGUGGUGACAAGGGGCGGUCAGUAUCUUCCAUGCUAGGCGUUUUAUCCUCGAUACGUGUUUAUUCACUAUCACUCACGAGAAAGGGGCCGGUAAUUGGAAUGCCCGGUUCCAUGCUCAAAUCAAAAAGAUAAUUGCAAACAAAACUCCCCCUGGAUUGUUGUUGGUAUGGACGGCGCCCGAGGAUUCGGCUAGUCGUGGAGUGUGAUUGAUCGGUGGUGGGGGAGUCAAAACUUUACUUUUUUGUUUGGGAACCGCCUAUAAUAUGUGUAGCAUGGAAGAUGGUGAAAACUCUUGGUCAUCGCGUUGACAAUGAAAGCAUGCCACCCAAAAUUAUUUAUCUCUGUUUUAAAAGCUUGAGCUCUGGCACCUCUACAAAUCAAUGCUUCCCUCUACGAAGGGCCUAUCUAUUUAUGUUUCUGUUGAGUCAUCCUCUCCUUAUAAAAGCACUAGUUAGAGAGCACCUCCGUCAUUUUUAUGCUUUGCUAUUAAUUGAUUUUGAGUAUGAUUGUGACUGGAUCUUCUUUGCCAUGAAUUACAAUGUUCAGUGAGCCCUUGGUCUUUGAAGGUGCUCUGCAUUUAUGUUUUGCGGUCUCAGAAAGAGCUAGCGAGAUACCAUCUGUUCAUAUUGCUUCAUGAUUGCUUUGAUUGAAGUGUUGACAUUUAAAACUUACUAUUAUUGCUCGCUAGUUGAUUAUGCCAUUGAUAUGAGUUUACCAUGAGACCUAAAUGUCAUUGCUUAUGUGGUUAGCUUAUGAUCUUGCUGAAAAUCCGAAUAUGAGUAGACAUAAUUACAGCAACAAGAUCAAACAGAGUUCGUAAAAGUUUUUCUUUUGUCUCUUUCACUUUGUCAACUGAAUUGCUUGAGGAGAAGCAAGGCUUUAAGCUUGGAGGAGUUGAUACGUCUCCAUCGUAUCUAAUUUUCCAAACUCUUUUGCCCUUGUUUUGGACUCUAAUUUGCAUGAUUUGAAUGGAACUAACCCGAACUGACGCUGUUUUCAGCAUAAUUGCCAUGGUGUUGUUUUUGCGCAGAAAUAGAAGUUCUCAGAAUGACCUGGAAAUUUACAAGGAUUUUUUGUGGAAUAUAUAAAAAAUACCGGCGCAAGAAUUACCUGGAGGGACGGAGCCAGGAGCCCACAAGCCCAGGUGGCGCCCCCCUGGCCGCGCCUGGCAGGCUUGUGAGACCCUCGUGGCUCCACCGCCUCCAACUCCAGCACUAUAUAGUCUCUCUCGCCCGGAAAAAAUUAAGAGAGAAUAGUUCAUCGCGUUUUACGACACGGAGCCGCCGCCACCACCUGUUCUUCCUCUAGAGGGCAGAUUUGGAGUCCGUUCUUGGCUCCGGAGAGGGGAAUCGACGCCGUCGUCAUCACCAACCAUCCUUCAUCGCAAAUUCCAUGAUGCUCUUCACAAUUCAUGAGUAAUAUCAUCGUAAGCUUGCUGGACGGUGAUGGGUUGGAUGAGAUCUAUCAUGUAAUCGAGUUAGUUUAGAUGGGGAUUGAUCCCUAGUACCCACUAUGUUCUGAGAUUGAUGUUGCUACUAAUUUGCUAUGCUUAAUGCUUGUCAGUAGGGCCCGAGUGCCAUGAUUUCAGAUCUGAACCUAUUAUGUUUUCAUCAAUAUAUGUGUGUUCUUGAUCCUAUCUUGCAAGUUGUAGUCACCUACUAUGUGUUAUGACCCGGCAACCCCGGAGUGACAAUAGCCGGAACCACUCCCGGAGAUGACCAUAGUAUGAGGAGUUCAUGUAUUCACUAAGUGCUAAUGCUUUGUUCCGGUUCUCUAUUAAAAGGAGACCUUAAUAUCCCUCUGUUUCCAUUAGGACCCUGCUGCCACGGGAGGGAUGGACAAUAGAUGUCAUGCAAGUUCUUUUCCAUAAGCACGUAUGACUAUAUACGGAAUACAGGCCUACAUUACAUUGAUGAACUAGUGCUAGUUACAUAUCUCCCCAUGUUAUAAUUGUUACAUGAUGAAUGUCAUCCGACAUAAUUAUCCAUCGCUGAUCCAAUGCCUACGAGUCUUUUCCUACUGGUCCUUGCUACGUUACUUUACCGCUACUGCUGUCACUGUUGCUACCGUUACCGCUAUUGAUGUUACUACUGCUACUGUUACCACUGCCACUGUUACUAUCACACUACUUUGCUACUGAAACUCUUCUGCAGAUACUAAGUCUUUCAGGUGUGGUUGAAUUGAUAACUCAACUGCUAAUACUCGAGAAUAUUAUUUUGCUUCCCCUUGUGUCGAAUCAACAAAUUUGGGUUGAAUACUCUACCCUUGAAAACCGUUGCGAUACCCUAUACUUGUGGGUUAUCAGGACCCACCACCAAGGCGGCCUCCUGGCGCGGCCUAGGGGGGGCGGCGCGAGCAGGUCGCAUGGGUGACGUGUGGCCCCCUUCCUACCCUUCUUUGGCCUGUCUUCGGGAUCUGUUUGGAAACUUCUUCCCUCAAAUUUUCAGCGCAGUUGGAGAUGUUCUGAUAUUGCAACUCUUCGUGCUAUUUUCUCCGUUGAAUUGUGCAUCUGUGGUUUCGGCGCUGGAAAGUUGUAAACUGUGUAAAAUAAGCCAAAACACUAUAAGUACAUCAUCAUGAUGUGAAAUAUAUCAAUGAAUAGAGACAAAUUAUGAUACAAAAUAGUGAUGCAUAUAGGAUGUAUCAGGCCCAAAGAUACCUCUCCGUUAUUCGGAGUGAAAUCCUAGUCUUGAUCCAUGCCAACCCAACAGACACCCUCGGAGAUACCUGUAGAGUGCCUUUAUAGCCACCCAGUAACAUUGUGACAUUUGAUACAAACAAGGCAUUCCUAUGGUGUCCGGGAGUUGCAUGAUCUCAUGGUCGUUGGAACAGAUACUUGAUAUGGAUAAAGCAAUAGCAAUAAACUAGUACGAUCGAAUGUUAUGCUUACGGUUGGGUCUUGUCUAUCACAUCAUUCUCCUAAUGAUAUGAUCCCAUUAUGAAAUGAAAACUCAUGUCCAUGGUCAGGAAACCUUAACCAUCUUUGAUCAAUAAGCUAGUAUAGUAGAGGCUUACUAGGGACACAAUGUUGUCUAUGUAUCCACACAUGUAUCUAAGUUUCCAAUCAAUACAAUUAUAGCAUGGAUAAUAUACAAUUAUCAUGAACAAGGAAAUAUUAUAUUAACCAUUUUAUUAUUGCCUCUAGGGCAUAAUAUGGGCAUAUUUCCAACAGAUCUAUCCAUGGAGAUGCAUAACUACGAGAGGGAACUGCAUCUACAUACCCUUGUAGAUCGCUAAUCGGAAGCAUUAAGAAAUGCGGUUGAUGUAGUCGUACGUCUUCGAGAACCAAUCACGAUCCUUCCCGAUCUAGCGUCGAAUGGAUGACACCUCUGUGUUCAGCACAUGUACAACUCAAUGACGUCUCCGCCUCCUCGAUCCAGCAACUGAGGGCAGUUUGGUGGAUGAGUUCUCCGAUAACACAUGGGCAUGGUGGCAGUGGUGGUGGAGCUAUCUCGACAGAGCUUUGCGAAGCGCUACCAUGACAUGAAUGAGGAAGAGAUCAAUCAAGAGAGAUAGAGGGAGGGCUGCGACGUGGCUUGCGGUGCGGCAUCCCUCCCUCUCCUCUCAUAUAUAUAUAGGGGAAGGGAGGAUGGGGGCUGCGCCCUAGGGUUUCCCCUAGGAUGGGGCGAGUCUUGGUGUUCUGGGAAUGGGGGUACCUAGACUUGCCUGUGUGUGGCCUAGGGCUGGCCCAGUUCAUCAAGCAAGCACAAUCGGGCGCAGCACCACUCAUGGCAAGGUCCUCGCGAGGGGCCAAGCCUCGCGAGGAGGCACAGCAUCAAGACCCACAGGUGGUCUCAUCAGGACCCCUCCGGAGAGGCAGAUAUUCUGAGGCAAGACCCGGCCUCAGGAGUCAAGGAUGAUGCGGAGGAUGGACAGGCGAUCAGCAGACAACAGGACGGACCAGUUUCCCCUUUAGUGCAAAGGGGGCAAGGACGAACCGGGUUUCCCAAGGCAUCUUCCAAAGGUUUCCUUUCUGGUGCAACAAGGCCAUCACCGCCCGCCAGCACGGCAGAUGUCAUCCCUCGACCCGUCCCUGCAGUGCUGGCAGCCACUUUGCACGCGAAGACUACCUUUGGGCACGGGAGCAUGUUCCCCUAUUCUCCUUCAAAAUUGGCCGUUGUGGGAUCCCUUCCCGCUAAAACGAUAAGGGAAGAGGACCGGGGCCGCCAUUAUAUAUAUAGGGAGUAGGUUACUUUAUAGGGGAUCCGUUUCAUUCAUUCACCCACUCGCACCACACAAAAGUCACACAGCCUCCGGAGGCCCUCGAACACUUUACUAGUUCAUCCACCAACCUCCACCAGAGGGCAUCCACCAAAGCAGGAGUAGGGUAUUACGCUUCUCAGCGGCCCGAACCUGGGUAAGCUGUCGUGUUCUGUGUCUUCCUCACCAUCGAGUGAUUUCUCUGCCAUUCCGAGCGAGUAGUGAGUUAGGUGAGGCGAGCCCGCGAGAUAUCUUCAUACACGCCCCUGAGUUUGAAUCUUUAGGGUUUUGCGGAGCCCCUAAUCCGACAUUUGGCACGCCAGGUAGGGGGCGUGUCAAGGUUUCCUCCAAGCUCCGCCUUCACCAAGCUUCGUCUCUCCGAUUACUGACGCUCACCAAGCUCGCGCCGAGCGCCGGGCCACUCGUGUUUCUCAGACGGCGCCCGUGGGCCCCGCCGGAAUGCGCCUGUUACCAUCGCCCAUGGUGAACGCCGCCACGGGCCCCGAUGCUCAAGAACAGCAAGGUUCCUCCAAGACGGCUACCGAGCAGCCCGACGGCCGCACCGCUACUCCGUCGCUCGUCCGUGCUUCCUGGUCGGCCUCGCGUGCCCGGCUGGAGAUACCGCAUGGCCGGCGCGCGCUUGCCAUGGCCGCCGAGCUGCUCCGCUACCGUCCCGCCCCUGACCGUCACAACGACUGGCUCCAGCGCAUCGAGGAGCUCAUCGCCGCUGCCGGUGAUCCCGCGGCGCUCUCCUGCUCGUUAUUACAAGCCUUAACAAGUUCUUGAAAAAGUAAAUGAGUUUGACGCCUGCACGAGGCACAAUGUGCAUUGCAGGGAAAAACAGGGGGAGAAAUCAGGAGGAACCACCGUCGCCGGUCGCUCCAUAUUCAGGGGGAUUGUUGUCAACGUCAGUGGCGUCGUCUUCCCUACCGUCGGCUUCAGCGGCAUCCGGAGAUUGGGGAACUGCGACACGGGCGUACCUCUUCACCAACGCCUCCACGGGGCCCUUCACCGCCUCCGCAGUGCUAUCGCGGGCCUUAGUAGGAACUGCCAGGUUCUCGGAGUCGAAGUCAAACCCCGGCUCACGAAGAUGAAGGUGACUCAAAACGCGUGUAGCGGCCUCAGAACAGAGGUCGCGGCACUCACUGUCCAAGAUCUUGUCCACCUGGAUGACGGCGUCCUCCAAAGCCACGACGAGCUCCGCUGUGAGCACGGCGAAGCCACCCUCUGGGGUGGCCAGAGGCUCGUCGAACCCAUCCAGACAGAAGGUGUGGAGCGCCGUGCGAAGCCUGAGCUCAACGUCAGGUAAGCGCACCAGCUCCGCGGCCUUCUUCUUCCAGGCCGCGGUGAGGGCUUCCCCCUUGGCAUCGAGAAGGGUCUUCUUCGAGGCGAUCUCCUUCUCCUGCUCAUAAAAACGCGCCUGCUUUGCGCCCAGGCGAGUUUCCUCCUGGGAAAGCUCUUCUUCCCAGGCGGCAAGCUUGGUCUUGCGGGCCUCGAGUUCUUCCUCCCGCAGGCGAAGCUGCUCGGCUAGCUAGGCUUGUUCUUCUUGGAAGGCCUUCAAGAAAGCCUCCGCCUCUUCGCAACGCUUGGCGGUGGCGGUGGCUUCCUUCCCCAUCUCUUCGCAGUGUUUGGCAGCCGCCGCGGCUCCUUUCAUCGCGUCCUCGCGUGCGGCGCGAGUGGAUUCGGCUUCCUUCAUCGCCUCCUCACGCGCGGCGCGAGCGGAUUCGGCUUCGUCCGGCGCCUCCUCGCAGGCAUCGCGAGCAGCCUUGGCCUCCUUCUCGCCCUCCUCCAUCACGACCGUGACUUUGCCCAGGGCAUCAAAGGCCUUGUUCAGGAUGCCCUGGACGUAUUAUACUGAAGUCCUCUAGAUCUCCCCCUGAGGAGCCUCUAGUGUUCUCGCGGGCGGUGUCGUCAGGGAGGCAGCAUCGUGAGGGACAGGGGGCAACGAAGGUUGCUCGGAGAAUGCGAGCAUUGGCGCAUCAGUGGACUGAGGGCCCUCAAAAUCCUGCCCCUCGGGCAACGGCCCCACCACGACCGCCUCAGGAUGCUUCGGGGGCUCGGGGGAUCGGCGACCAAAGCCUGAGAAGUCACCUAGAGAGCCUCCCCUUCUUCAUCGGCACGCGACGACGCGUUGUGGAGGGCCGGCGGUGCGUCAGGAGUCGCCUUCGGCUUGACGCCCGCCUUCUUCUUCUUGACCCCCAGCGACGCAACACCCCUGGACAUCACGCAAAAAGGGAAUCGGCCAUGCGCAAACGAUGGACGUGCGGGGCGUGCCAAGACGAGUCACUUACUCUUCAACAUUGACCCAUCUCCUCUUCCUCUCCGCCGCGGCGACGACAGGGGCGACAGGGCCCCCCACGGAGGGGGGCAAGCAUGGCGCCUGAGACUUCCCGCCGGCGGAGGCAGCAUGCGCUAAGGCGACUCAGCAUCGUGCUUCUGGGGGACGAGCACGCACGCGGGCUGCGUGGUGCACAACGCCAACGUGGGUCCCCUGGAGAUCUGGUCAGGCGCAAGGAGAUCACCGCAGAGACUUCGCCGAUGACAUCAUCAUCUUCAAGACCGCACAGAUGGACGGCCAAUGACGGGAGAGGCAUUCUCGCCACACAGUCGUCGACGACCUUCUCCGAGUCCUCCCCUCCGAAGGUGUCGUCCGAUGUCACCUCUACCAGACCAGAGCCCUCGGCCGGGAAGAGCCCCCGCUCAUCGAAGACAGGCAGCGCGACGAUCAGGUCGGCCUGUUCGUCGAGACGGUACAGCGGACCCAGAGCCUCGGGCAAGUCACCUGGGUCACCACCCAGCAAGGUCUCCACGACCCUUUUCAGAUCCUCAGUAGGAAGGCCUUGGUACCGGAGCAUGAGCCCACAGGGGCCUGGAAUGGGCCUGAAGGGGCUCCAGGCGUUGCGCCAAGAAUUCCUUCACUAUCAUUCCACCGGUGAGCCUCUUGGCGCUCAUGUUGCGGGAGAAGCGCUCCAGGAUGGGCGCGGCCCGAGGGUCGGAAAACUUCACAGAGCUCCAUGCAGAAGUCUUGUCCGGCAGUCCCCUCGGCACCUCCAGCCGAUGGUUGGCGUCCUUGAGGUUCAUGAGAACCCAACGGUGCCUGAGUUUUCCAUCUUCUUCCUAGCCUUCAGGAGCAAAUUGCCGCCCUAGGCCACUACAAAGGAGACACAUGCCGACAAAUGGGCGCCAUCAUGCAGGCGCAGGCUGAAGAAAUGGCGGAAGAGGGCCACUGAAGGCCGUACACCUCCGAAGGCCUCGCAAUAGAAAGCAAAGACGGACAGGAGCAAGAUGGAGUUGGGCUGGAGGUGAAGGGCCUGGAUCCCAUAGUGGUUCAGGAUGGCGGUGAAGAAUGAGGAGAAAGGGGGCACCAGCCCGGCGAAGACGCUAUGGAGGAAGAAGGGGUAUACCGACUUCAACGCGGGCAGCUUUUUUGUGGCGCCGAGCCAGAUCAGGGUCCGCCCGUGCUUGCUAGACUCCAGGAGAGGGCACACCGUCCAUUAGAGCACGGGGGUAAGAUCCACAUCCUUAGAGAGGGCACACUCCAGGAGCGGAGGAGCCGGGGUAGGACCUUGCGUCUCUGGCUUAUGGUUACCGGUGGGAAUGGCGCGGUGCUGGAUCCGGGAAACGCCGAUUGGAGUUGGAGACCGAGGAGGAAGAGCGAGUGCGGGCGAAAGGAAAGCAAUAACUGACCGACGCAACGAGUCAGGUUCCUAAUAGCUCGGGUGGAGACAAAAGGCAAGAGAGACCCGAUAUCAGCUGCGUGACGCGCACCGGCCUGGCCCACAUGCAUUUAGGGCCCGCAAUGCCUCAGGCCGCCCCCCAAGGCUUCGCCUAGAGGCCGGCGUGAGCAUGCCUCGGGCUGAGGGGCUACUGUCGGCGUUCUGGGAAUGGAGGUACCCAGAGUUGCCUCCCUGUGGCCCAGGGCUGCCCCACUUCAUCAAGAAAGCACAAUCGGGCGCGACACCACUCAAGGCAAGGUCCUCGCAAGGGGCCAAGCCUCGCGAGGAGGAACAACAUCAAGACUCGUAGGGGGGCUCAUCAGGACCCCUUCGAAGCGCCGGAUAUUCCGAGGCAAGACCCGGCCUUAGGAGUCAAGGAUGACGGGAGGAAGCACAGGCGAGCAGCAGACAGCAGGAUCACAAAACUAUCUGUUACCGACAAUUUUAGUGCUUGCAGAGAAUACCUUACUGAAAACUUCUUGUCAUUUCCUUCGGCUCCUCGUGGGUUUCAAAACUCUUACUUAUUGAAAGGACUACUAUAGAUCCCCUACACUUGUGGGUAUUCACAUAUAUACAUGCACGAGACUUCUUAUUCAAAGCCCCCUACCAGUCAUCGUAGUGAGCUUCCCCCGGGGCCUCAACGGUCACCUCGCCGUCAUACAGUGGACAUGCCUCGAUAUACCUCUUUUUUCCAUUUGCUCCUCAAGCUCCCCGGGAAGAGUAGUCGGUCUUAGGUUGCAAUGCUUUGGAGUGGGGACGAGGAUGGGUAUGGGGAUCUAUGGGAAAUGGGAUGUUUCGUAGGCGUCAUCUAAGAAACUCACGGCGACAAGGGUAUGAAGAACGGUGUAUGACAUGGCUUGAGACUGCAUCAAUAUUUCUGCAAAGAGGAAGGGAUGAUGCAGCACAUCGACGAUAAGUAUUUCCCUAAGUUAUGAAACCAAGGUAUCAAUCCAUAGAGUAAUAUCAAGCACCCACAUAAACAUCACCUGCACACAAAGAACAAAUACUUGCAACCCCGACGCGUAAGAAAGGUUGUCAAUCUCUCAACGGUAAAAGAUAAAUAUUUUCAUAUGAGAUUGGAUUAAUAGAUCUUGCAAUAACUCAAAAUAAAAUAGAUAAAGAAAAAGUGCAGCAAGGUAUUUUUGGGUUUUUGGAAAUAUAGAUCUUGAAAACAAACACGGCAAAUAUGUAUAUAGAUCAGAAAGCAAUAUGAUGUAGACCAGGGGGCAUAGGUUUCACUAGUGACUUCUCUCAUGAUAUAGCGCAUGGUGGGUGAAAAAAAUUACUGUUGGGCAAUUGAUAGAAAAUCGAGUAGUCAUGACGAUAUCCAAGACAAUGAUCAAUAUAUAUGCAUCAUGUCCAAGAUUAGUAGACCGAAAUGAUCCUGCAUCUACUACUAUUACUACAUAUCAACCGCUAUCCAGCAUGCAUUUAGUGUAUUAAGUUCAUGGGAAAACGGAGUAAUGCAAUAAGAACGAUGACAUGAUGUAGACAAGAUCUAUUCAUGUACGAAUAGACCCCACUUGUUAUCCUUAAUGGAAACGAUACAUGCGUGCCUUGCUGCCCCUUUGGUCACUGGGAAAGAACACCGCAAGAUCGAACCCAUCACAAAGCACAUCUUCCCAUGGCAAGAAAAAUUGAUCUAGUUAGCGUAAGUAAACCAAAUAUUCGAAUAAGAAAUACGAGUCUAUAAGUAAUCAUGCAUAUAAGAGAUCAAAAGAAGACUCAAAUAAUAUUCAUGGAUAGAAAUUGAUCAUGGACUCAAAAUUCAUCGGAUUCCAACAAACACGUCGCAAAACUCAUUACAUCAUAUGGUUCUCCAAGAGACCAUUGUAUUGAGAAUCAAAAAGAGAGAAGAAGCUAUCUAGCUACUUCCUACAGACCCAUAGGUCUAUGGUGGACUACUCACACAUCAUCGGAGAGGCACCUAUGAUGAAGUUGAACCCCUCUGUAAUGGUGUCUAGAUUGUAUCUCAAAGUUCUGGAACUUGCGGCCGAUGGAUUAGUUAUUCGUCGACUCCCCUAGCUUUUUCUGAAUAUUUGGGCAUUUAUAGAGCUGAGAGGCAGUGGAGGGGACUCCCGAGGGGGCCACCACCCACCAGGGCGCACCAGGGACCUUGGGCGCACUCUGGUAUCUCGUGCCCUCCUUGGCUUCCUCUCUGGCACUUCUUUGGCCCAUCUGGUGUCUUCUGGCCCAAAACAAUUCUCAAAGGAAUUUCAUGGUGUUUGGACUUCGUUUGGUACUGAUUUUUUGCAAAGUAAAAAACAAGAAAAAAUAGCAACUGGCGCUUGGCACUAUGUCAAUAGGUUAGUCCCAAAAAUGAUAUAAAGUUGCUACAAAAUGAUUGUAAAAUAUCCAAGAUUGAUAACAUAACAGCAUGGAACAAUCAAAAAUUAUAGAUACUUUGGAGGCAUAUCAGUGGAUAACAUGCAUGGGCAGACCAACAGAGGUUGACGAUGGAGUCGUAGGCGUUGGCGUUGGCGGCGAGCUAGCUAGGGUUCGAUCUAGGGAGGUGUGUUUGUGAACGGAAGGUUUCCUUUAUUUUUUACAUAAUGUGAGCAGAGGUUUUGGGGUGCGGGGGGGAGGGGGAGGGGGCAGGUGAUACUUUUCCAACGUAUCGAUAAUUUAUGAAGUAUUCAUGCCANUUGAAAUUAUCAUUGAUCAAACUUAUGCACUAUGCUAGCAUUCACACUUCAUAAAUUAUUUCUUUUAUCAUUUACCUACUCGAGGACGGGUAGGAAUUAAGCUUGGGGAUGAUGAUACGUCUCCAACGUAUCCAUAAUUUACGAAGUAUUCAUGCCAUAUUCACCUAUGUUUACAAUAAUUUUAUAUGGUUUUGAUGCACUUUAUAUGAUUUAUUUAGAACUAACCUGGACUGAUGUUGUUUUCAGCAGAACUACCGUGGUGUUGUUUUUUGUGCAGAAAAUGGAAGUUCUCGGAUUGCCCGAAACUUUUUGACGAUUUUUUUGGGAACAAAAGAGGCACUAGACGCUUCGUGGGAGGUACAGAAGAUCCACGAUGUAGGAACCACCCACGAGGGCACGCCAGACCCCCAGGCGCGCCCUGAUGGGUCUUCCUCACCUCGUGACCCACCUUCGCAUGAAACCAAUACCAAAAAUUUCUAUAAAUAUAGAAACUAUCAGAAAUAACCCUAGAAUCCUCAUUCCACCGCCACAACUCUCAAUAUCGAUUAAAAACAAUUCUAAAGGUGUUCCAGUACCCUACCGGAGAGGGUAGAUCAUCUCCGAUGGCAAUCUUCAUCAUGCCGGCGGAGUCCAUGAUGAGGAGAGAGUAGUCCACCCUCGGGGCUGACGGUUUGUACUAGUAGCUAUGUGUUCAAUCCUCCUCCUCGCUCUUUUGUUCUUGAGAUUUCAUGAUCUUGAUGUACCACGGGCCUUGUUAAUAUAGUCAGAUCAUAUGGUGUUUUCCCGUCUCCAUCUUGUUGUGAUGAAUUGAGUUUUCCCUUUGAGAUUUUGUUAUUAUCGAAUUGAAUACUUCCAUGGAUUUGAGCGCACUUGAUAUAUGUAUUGCAUGCGGAUACCCGUAGUGACAUUGUGGUAUUCAAGUGAUUCACUUGAUUUAUAUUAUGGCGUUAACUUGCGGAUUCCGAUGACCUUGGGGAUCUAUACAUAGGGGUUGAUUGCACAUUUUCAUACAUUGUUCUCCCAUAGAAAUCUUGGGGCACUCUUCGAGGUUCUUUGUGUUGGAUUGAGUAUUAUGAAUCUGAAAUUUUUGGGUGCGUAUCAUAUAAUUAACUCGUGGAUACUUCUGGUGACAUUGGAGUAUCUAGGUUACAUUAGAGUUGGUUGAUGCGUAUCAUAUGGUAUUAUCUUAGUACGAACUCUUGGAUAGAUCGAUCUGAAAGGAUAACUUGAAUGUGGUUUCAUACCCUACAAAAAAAUUCUUCUUAUGUUCUCCGCUAGAUAAGAACUUUGGAGUGAUUCUUCGUUGCACGUUGAGGGAUGGUUAUGUGAUCCAGUUAUAUUAGCAUUGUUGAGAGAUUGCACCAGCGAAAGUACGGACCGUAGGCCUGGCUUUCAAGCAUUGCAAUACCGUUUGUGCUCACUUUUUUCACUUUCUACCUUGCUGUUUUUAUAUUUUCAUAUUACAAAAAUCAAUAUGUACUAUCAUUAUUGCACUUGUAUCACCAUCUCUUCGGCGAACUAUUGCACCUAUACAAUUUGCCAUUGUAUUGGGUGUGUUGGGAAUACAACAGAUAUCUUGUAUUUGAUUGCAGGAUUGCUUGAGAGAGACCAUCUUCAUCCUACAUCUCCCAUGGAUUUAUAAACCUUAGGUCAUCCACUUGAGUAAAAAUGCUACUAUCCUACCAAACUCCGUGCUUGGAGGCCCAACACGAGUCUACAAGAAUAAAGUUGCGUAGUAGACAUCAAGCUCUUUUUUGGCGCCGCUGCCAGGGAGGUGAGUGCUUGAAGAUAUAUAUUUAGACCUUGCAAUUAAUUCUUUUAGCUUCUUGUGGGGGGGGGGCACUAGUUUGGUUUUAUAAAAGAAAACUACAAAAAAAAUGGAGCUCGGGUUGCAUCAUUUGUUUCUUCUUUAUAAUGUCUUUCAUGAAAACAAGGAUUCGGAAAGUUGUGCUCAAUUGGUAGAGGAAGAAAUUAUGAAAAUACUAGAUGAGAAUCCCUUGAGAUGUUCUUGAUAGAAAUAUUGUUAGUAUGAGUUCUCUGAAUAUUCAUGAUCCUAAUGAUAUGCAAAUCCACAAGCUUGGGGAUGCUAUGUUUGAUGAAUAUGAUAUUUUUAGUCCCCCAAGUUUUGAUGAGCAAACUAUUAUGAUGAUGGCAUGCCCCCUAUCUAUGAUGAUUAUUGUGAUGACAUGUAUGUUGUAAAGUGUAAUGACAACCAUGAAACUUGUCANNNNNNNNNNNNNNNNNNNNNNNNNNNNNNNNNNNNNNNNNNNNNNNNNNNNNNNNNNNNNNNNNNNNNNNNNNNNNNNNNNNNNNNNNNNNNNNNNNNNGGGCGAGGGGGGGAUGGGGGGGGGGGCAGGGGGGCGACGGGAGNNNNNNNNNNNNNNNNNNNNNNNNNNNNNNNNNNNNNNNNNNNNNNNNNNNNNNNNNNNNNNNNNNNNNNNNNNNNNNNNNNNNNNNNNNNNNGAAUCCCGGAGGUGAGGAUUUCUCUGUCCAUGGCUAAGGAAGGUCCAGUGCACGUGAGGAAGGAGAUAGAGGAAGAAGAAGAUCCUUUGUUGGGCCACAAUAGGAAACCUCCUAAUGGGCCAGCAAGAGUUUCCAUUUAAACAUGAUUUCUUUCCUUUUUUCAAAACUAGGAAACUAAAACGAUAAAAGAGAAAUCAAAUCAAUUCGGAAUAUAGAGUUUCUAUAUACUAAAAUUAUCAGAAAAAUAAAAUCUAAAUGAUGGGCAUUUUUCCACGGCCAAAAUAAAAACUUAGAAAAAUGUUUUUCCAAAAAAAUCCCUAAAAGCAUUAUUUCUUGUUGCAAUUAUUUUCUCAAAUUAAAUUUUGUUUCCUUGGCUCAAAAUACUUCAACAAAUGCCCCUGGCUUUGGAGGGUCAUGUUCCUCCUCUCUUUUCUGUUUGACAGAAUAUUAUUCCCCGGCAUUUCUUGAGUGGAGGGAAAAUAGAAUUUGCAAAUUAAAAUCGAAGGAAAUUCAAAUGCCAGCUCCAUUCAAAUUCUUUAUAGUUGAAGAAGUCAUGUCAUCUUCUCUCAUUUCUUUUAAAAGAUUGAAUUUGAAUUCAUCGGAGAUGGGGAAAGUCAUUUUAUUCCCUCUCAUUCAAAAGUUUUUUGAAAAGUUUCAAAUUUCACACAAGUUUCAAUCACUCAAGCAAACAANNNAAGCAAACAAACAAACAAUCUAAUAAUUAUUUUAACAUUCCAAAAUUUGGGAUGUUACAAACCUACCACACUUAAAAUGAAUCUCGUCCUCGAGAUUCGAAGAAGCUAGAAAGAAAGUUUAGGGUUUGGGUGUCUUCUAGCAAUCCAAUCUCCUGCAAAGUGGGAUGCUACCACACUUAAAAUGAGAGAUACUGGUCCCUCAAAAUGUUUUAACGAUCCUCUGGGGUUUUGGCAACUGACAUCGCAUAGUCUUCAUAUAUUCCGUUAUAUUCAUAACGUCUCCAUCAAAAACGAGGGCUCUUCCAUUGAUAUAAGCUUCUUCCAUUACUGGGUCUUCUUAACUGGCAGUCUCGUGGUCAAUUCUAAAUAACAUAUCGAUGGUUCUCAUGGUGGUCUACCAUUUUUGGUUAUCCGGCAGAGAGAGGGGUCUUGGUUUCAUUCUCACCGUAAAAUUUCCUACUCGUGACAACAAAUGCCAUGUACUUGGGGCUUUCCUUGUACCAUUCUAAGGCUUAAACAAAAGCUUCAAAGAACGUCAUCUCUUACUAUGGGUAAGUCUCUCAGAUUUACCAUUCCGAAUAGCAAGAUAAAUGAUAAGAGUAAGUCGUCAUGGUGAUCAAUCCAUUCCGCACCCAAAUCAUUACCUUGUAUAAGGCUUAGUGAAUCUCGUAUUCUAACACUUGGGCGUCCUCACAAGCGUUGCAGAAUUUCUUUUGUCCACGAACGGAGUUCGGAUAAUCCAUUGGUUCUGCAAGCUGAACAAAACAUCUAUCGUAUCUUCACAACUCUGUGGCUUUCGUAUAUUCCUAAGAAAACGUUUGCUGAUCCAUCAUAGCUUCUUCCAUAGAUCAUAUUCAUUUCAUAAUCAAUCCUUUAUUACAUCCUUGCUUUCUUCAAAAUUCCAACUCAAAAGUACUCUAUUACAGAUGUUGCCAUCCACAUUGUUCGGUAUGGUCGAGCAUUUCUGCCAACUUUACUCAUCUGCCUCUCUUGGAGGUACUUAGUUCCACUCGAACUUUCCGAGGUGCUCCUUGAAAUCAUCCAUCUUUUGCUUCAUAAUGGUGGUCAUGAGCUUCAUCUCCAUCAUCUCCGCGCGUACUUCACUCAGGUAUUCCUGGGUACGACGGAGUCUUGAUUCAAGUAUUUCUCCAAUCUGACGUAUGGCUUCCAUGGCAGGUUCACGAACAGCAUCAAAGAAAGUUGCUCGUGGUACACGUGAAAUGAAAAAGUAUUGCCCCAUAGUCUUUGGACAAACUCCUUCACCUGGUGGAGGUGUACUUCCACAUACCAAAGUUCUACUCCACUUUCAAUGAACGGGUAACCUUUGUAGACUGCAUCUCCUUCAAGAUGAAUGUGCUUCAUCAUGUCCUUCAGGAUUUUUGGGUAAUCAUGGUCACUGGUCAGGCUCAUGAUCGUUUCUGGGCCCUUGAGGAAUGACUCGUAGAGAGUUGUCAUCUGCAAGUGUCGGUAAAUAGGUACUCAGAGGAAUGUAUAUGUCUCCUUGGUAGUUUGGCACAUUCCUACUCAGUGGAUCCUCUGGGUUUACCGAUUACUACCACACUUAAAUGAAUUAUACUCAUGCCUGCAUAGACCAUAUUUUCUCAUAUCCUCAUAAUUGUUCAGAGAUCUUUGAUCGUAGAGAAACAACGCAUACAUUUUCAACAUAGGCAAUCAUGAGACAAUGAAUUCCAUUUAUUCAUGAUGUUAUUACAAUUUCAGGGACUUCUGUUACAAAAAUUUCACUCCAUGAUCUCAAUGAAAAACAAGAGUGCCUCGGAUCACACUUAUUGCCCUGGUCAAAACUUAACUACUCCAUUCUAGCUUUCUUCCUUUGCGUACAAUCGCUAGCAAAAUGUCCAGCUUCCUUGCAACGAAAGCAAAUGAGUUCUGACAAGUCUCGAGGCUUCUUAGCUUUUGCUUUUGCUCCUUGGAUUUCCGGCUUCCUUCCUGAGCGCAUGUAUUUGUGGUGGCCAAAUUCCAUACACUUGUAACAUUCGACAUGACUCAGGUCUAUGUCUGCAGAGAUUUGGCUCUUCCGAGGGUACUUUUUCUUCUUUCUGGACUCCUUCAUUUUGGCCAGUUCUUCUAUUUCAAGUGGAUCAAACUCCACUUCUUCCGUCGGGAAGUUUCCCAGAUACUCUUGGCUUCUCUUUGUGCAAUCCUGUGAAUAAUGUCCUUCUUCUCCACAUGAGUAGCAUGCAUUGGAGAAAAAUCUGGUAAGACCUUGUCCAUCAGGGUCUUCAAUAUUUUCGUUCAUCACCGGUUCUUCUAGAAUCAUCUUCUUGAGGGUUUCCUUCACUGCAUCUUUCUGCUGCUUGACAACUUGUUGCACCUUGGGGUAAAUGUGACAUUGAGCUGGGUAGUGGGUGGUUCCUUCACAACGGAAACAAGUCACCUGACUGCUUGGGCACUCCUCAGCUGGGUGAUUUUCUUCACAAUGAGUGCAUCCAUCCUUGUGUUCUUCCUGGGUGUGUCCUAUUUCUCCAUAGAUCUUGCAUGCACAAGUCUUCUCCUUCGGAUUAUCAUAGCACUUUUGAAUGAGAAGGGAUCUUCACAGAGUCUUCUUGAAUUCGUCCCAAGUUUCUGCUCCACUAAAUCCUUGUAUGGCAUGGUGCAUUUUCCACCACAUAGAAGCACUUUGGGUAAAGUACUGGAGAGCAUGUACCACUUCAUACUUCCUUGUGGUCAGGUUGCUCCCGAAGUGGUUCUCCAUGUUCUGAAUCCAUAUUUCAGCCUCCAGCUAGGUCAUUGGUCCACAGACUACAAGUCUAGCUUCAUACUCCAUCUGGUAGGGUUGAGGUUUUGGGGAUGAGACGGGUAAGAGAGGGAGGGAGAUACACACAAUACAAACAAUAUUUUUGAGAAUAGGUUUUAUUUGUGGCUGUCGAAAAACACACACCAAUGACGGCUCACAAAUCAUCGUAUCUAACGUGGGUAUAUAACAGGGGUUUGGACUUCUAAUGGUCAUAUAAAUAUUCAAACACUUCAGGGUCUUCGAAUUCUUCGGGUCUUGAGAGUCUUCAAUUGGCGCAGCUUCAAUGCUUCAAUUGCAUGAUGAAAUCCUCUUUACUUUGAAGUAGAACUCCAUUGAUUCUUCAUGAGGUCAAAGCGGUAAGGGGAUUGUAUAACUAUUUGAGGUGAGAGGGAACAUUUGAUGAAAUCAGAAGGGAUGAGAAGUAAAGGAUGUUCUUGAAAAUAAAUUUUUUUGAGAGAUUCUUCCCUAAGGGAUUUCCAGUUUCUAGGGUCACGUCCUACAGUCAACAUGUGCUCUGAUACCAUUUCUGUAGCGACCCGACUAAAGACGAGUCAAGCCUUUGUGUUUCUGUGCCAUCCCUGGAUCAGUAUGCUGACACACACAGUACAUCAAUGUAUAUAUCAAAGUGCAAUCACAUGUAAAUAGCGUAAAACUGAUAUAUACCUUAAUUAUCUCAGCGGAAGCGGUCAAGGGAGUGGAGUCCCAAUAAACACCAACGGCAAGUUGAGUGUAGACCGUAACCUUGAAUCGUACUCUUACUCGUCGAAGAAAAAUAUCUACAACAUAAGAUGUUGCAACCGUGUAGGUCAGCAUAUUGAAUAUGCCGGCAAGUCACAUAUGAGAGGGGGUAAAAUAAUCAUCUAUACUAUAUGCAUAUAUGGUAGGUGGCGCUAUAAGUUUUUAGCGAAAAGCAAGUUUUCUCCUACAUCAAGAGAGGGCUAAAAGCAAAAUGUUACUACAUUGUUGGUUGUUAACGAGAUGGUUCCGCCAACCAAUUCUCGUACCCGAGUUGUCAAUAAUUCCCACAUCAAUAUUAUUAUUUGUGUUGAGAAUUUCAGAUAACUUUAGUUCCUUUGGCUCAAAUUGUCCAUGACCGUGGACACGGCUAAUCGAUUAGGUUUGAGUACUCUGCAGAGUUUUGCACACGUUCCCCACAAGAUUUGAUCACCUCUGAGUAUGUCCUCGCACUUCAGGGUGUUUGAAGACCGGAUGAUCAAAACAUGGUCUUUCAACGGGUCCCUCUGAAUCCCUGUCGGUGCCCAUCCAUUCCUACUGUUCUUCUACAUCUGCUAGCACCGCCUGUCCAGAGUCGCCGCGUUGUCCAACCAAGCCAGAGCCCAUAAUGACUUGUGGCUGUGCAGGUAAGCCUUGGGUCUUGAAAAUAUCCGUCCGUCUCUUUGAGCCUGGGUGAAGCUUUCCGCAGGAUGGCAUGGCCUCUCCAGCAUCCCGGGUCAUCCACUGGCUUCUCCAGGGAGCCGAUCAACCGUCCUUCACCCAGAGUUGCAUUGCGUCCGAGGUCUUGAAAAUCUUGUCUUAACCGGUCGUGAUUAUUUAAUCAACCUUGCAUCACUCGUGUUAUGCACUCAACCGAAAUCCUGUCUACUCAAGCAUAGCAAUAUGAAAUUUGUCGUCCCGGGGCCAUGUAUCGGGGUUGUUGUGUGCCUACCACAUGAUACUACAAUCUAUACUAAAAUUUCCAAGUACCUACUCAGCAUGCCAUUGGGCAUAGGAUGGUAGAACUACGAUGCAUAAAACAUAGGUGAUAGUAUGAUCAAAGUGACUUGCCUGGUGAUGUUGACGAAGAAGAAUUUCUCGAGAAAUAACUUGAUAGACUACUCGUCACUCUCCGAUGAAAUCUAUAUAACAAACAUAUCAUUCACAUAAGCACUCAUACUAGCAAUCAUUCUAGCAAUCAGAACAAAAGAGAGAGCGAAUAAGAAUCCGAAAGAAACUUCACUAAUGUUAGGAGUCUUCUACUACAUCAAAGACUAAAUGGUUUUUGUCCGAUAGGAAGUAAUAACAAGGAACUAACAUAUAAAGGUAACUAAGAUAAAAUAGAGUAUUUUUCACAAAACUUUUGGAAGUAUUUCCAAACGGGAUUUGAAACAGUGGAGAAACCAAUUGCAAGUUAUCAGGGAACUAGAAUUGAUUUCAUGAUAACAUAUUCAAAUAAAAAUCAAAACUUGUUGCAACCUACUGUUAACUAACAGAAACAAAACAUAAUCUUUCUGAAAUAAUAAAGAAAAUAAUUUAAAAACAAUUAUAGAAAAGUAAUAGCCAUAAUCCUAAAAAGAGGUGAAACAGAAAUUGUUUCACAAGAAACCAUAAGCUAAAAUACUCAAACAAAUCUGAAAUUUUUACCAGUGUUAAAUAAGAUCACUAGUGAUCAGUAGCAAAAGGAAUCAAAUUAAAAGCUAUCUUUAAACUCCUGGAAUAGUCAAAACAAGGUUUAAACUAAAUCUGAUCUAAUUCAAAUUUGAAAAUUUCAAACAUAGACAAAUUAUAUGUUUUUAAAAACUACAGAAAUUUUUUGAUCUACUGGAAAAAGGAUCAACUCCAUUGGAGUUGUGGAUCAGAAGUUAUGGGCUAAACAAAAUUGGAACUAAUUCUGUCACAGAUUUAAAACAGAAAACGAAAUCUGAUGACGUGGCACUAUCUGAUUGGCCGUAUCCGUGCGCUCCUAAAACUAACUAACGAACGGCCCCUAUGUAGGAAAAACGAUUCGGUUCGCUUAACUGGUGGACCGGUUCUUUAAAAGAAACCGAAAGGGUAUGCCCCUUGUAAUCUACACCGUAGAUUUUGACUUAAUAGGCAAACCAAAAAGAAAAAAAACAGGAUGAGGAGAAGGAGCCUUACCGUGACUGGCAGGGGCUGGAGGCCUUCUCCGGCGAGGGGGUGCAACUCCGGCGGGGUGGGGUCACCGGCGGGGGGGUGCGGGCGGAGUAGGGGAGUGGCGGCGAGGCUCCAGGGGGGAGGCGAGGGGGAGAUGGAGAGGGGGGCAGGGGGGCGACGGGAGGAGCAGGGGCUUCCUGGUCGGGGCGAUGUGGAGGAGGCCGCAGCUCCAGCGAGGUUGCAGGGCGAGGGGGUGCGGAGGAGCGGUGGUGGGGAGGUGGCGGCGAGGUAGGGAGGGCUCNNNNNNNNNNNNNNNNNNNNNNNNNNNNNNNNNNNNNNNNNNNNNNNNNNNNNNNNNNNNNNNNNNNNNNNNNNNNNNNNNNNNNNNNNNNNNNNNNNNNNNNNNNNNNNNNNNNNNNNNNNNNNNNNNNNNNNNNNNNNNNNNNNNNNNNNNNNNNNNNNNNNNNNNNNNNNNNNNNNNNNNNNNNNNNNNNNNNNNNNNNNNNNNNNNNNNNNNNNNNNNNNNNNNNNNNNNNNNNNNNNNNNNNNNNNNNNNNNNNNNNNNNNNNNNNNNNNNNNNNNNNNNNNNNNNNNNNNNNNNNNNNNNNNNNNNNNNNNNNNNNNNNNNNNNNNNNNNNNNNNNNNNNNNNNNNNNNNNNNNNNNNNNNNNNNNNNNNNNNNNNNNNNNNNNNNNNNNNNNNNNNNNNNNNNNNNNNNNNNNNNNNNNNNNNNNNNNNNNNNNNNNNNNNNNNNNNNNNNNNNNNNNNNNNNNNNNNNNNNNNNNNNNNNNNNNNNNNNNNNNNNNNNNNNNNNNNNNNNNNNNNNNNNNNNNNNNNNNNNNNNNNNNNNNNNNNNNNNNNNNNNNNNNNNNNNNNNNNNNNNNNNNNNNNNNNNNNNNNNNNNNNNNNNNNNNNNNNNNNNNNNNNNNNNNNNNNNNNNNNNNNNNNNNNNNNNNNNNNNNNNNNNNNNNNNNNNNNNNNNNNNNNNNNNNNNNNNNNNNNNNNNNNNNNNNNNNNNNNNNNNNNNNNNNNNNNNNNNNNNNNNNNUCGUGAUUUUAAUUUUAAAGUGGUUAUGUCAAUCAAGUACCUCAUGAUAGUUGAUGCGUUGAGUUUGAUCCCACUAUUAUGAAUGAGAAGAAUUUUGCUUAUGUGGAGAGUGAUAAAUUAUCUAUGCUUGUAGAUCAUGAAAAGAAUGUUGUAUGUGAUAGUUAUAUUGUUGAAUUCCUUCAUGAUGCUACUAAAAAUUAUUACGAGGGAGGAACAUAUGCUUGUAGGAAUUGCAAUAAUAUCAAGUUUCCUCUCUAUGUGUUCAAAGUUUUGAAGUUGCACUUGUUUUGCCUUCCUAUGCUAGUUGAUUCUUGCCCACAUAAAUUGUCUGCUCACAAAAUCCCUGUGCAUAGGAAGUGGGUUAGACUUAAAUAUGCUUGUCAUGUGAUUCAUGAUGCUCUCUUGCAUUUUCAACUUUUAUUCCUAUACGAGCAUCAUUGAAAUCAUCAUGCCUAGCUAAAAGGCAUUAGAGAAAAGCGCUUGUUGGGAGACAAACCAACACUUUUACUUUCUGUUAUUAUGUGUUCACAUGAUUAAGAUACUGUACUAAUCGUGUUUUAUAGAUUUUAUUUCAAUAAAGUGCCAAGUAAAGCCUUUGGGAUAGUGCGGAUACUUGUUUGUUUAAUUCUGUGCAAAAGCAGGAAGCUUUGCAUCCAGUAUAUGAUUUAUGUGAUUUUACUGGAGAGUCAAAAAAAUCUGCAAUUUUUUGAAAAAAUAUAUGCAAAUUGUCUUCGCUUUACUAAUUUUUUAGAAUUUUUAGAGUAAGGGAAGUAUGCUGAUAAUUCAGAUCUUCACAAACUGUUCUAUUUUUGACAGGUUCUAUUUAGCAUGCAUAGUUUGCGUGUUUUAGUAUUUCCAUAGAUUAUAUUGAGUGAUAUAAGUUAUCAGAAUGAUAUAAUACAGUAGGUAUCAUGUGAUAACAAUUAUGAAUCUUGUAUUUACAUGACCUAAGUGAAUGUUCUAUCUUUAUUAUACUAACCCAUCUCACGAAGUUCCUUUAAGUUCUGUGUGAUUGAAGUUUUCAUGUUUUGGGUGAGAUACCGAUAUGAGGUGAAUAAGGAGCAGCAAGGACCUAAUAUUGGAGUUUCCCAAGGCAUCCCCAAGGUAAUAUCCAUGGAAUACUCAAGCGUCUAAGCUUGGUGAUGCCCCGGAAGGCAUCCCCUGUUUCGUCUCCAACAUUACCGGCAUAUCUUACUUGGAGCUAUAUAUUUAUUCAUCACAGGAUAUGUGUUUUAAUUGAAGCAUCAUUUUAUUUCGUUCUUGGAUGUUGUAUUUUAUUUAUAAUCUUGUUUUCCAAUAAAAAGUUUCAACAAUUGCAUUUACAAUGCUUGAAUUGCAUGUGUGAUGUGUGUUGUACAAAAACAUAAAAUUUUGCUCUAGUAUUUGAAUUAUCAGAUUUUACUGGAACGUGUAAAAUUUCUGAAACUUUAACAUGGUACUAAUAUACAAAUUACUUAGCUUUUACUAAAUUUUCAUAAUUUUUGGAGAUACAGAAGUAUACUGGUUUAAUAGAUUGCUACAGACUGUUCUGUUUGGACAGAUUGUUGUCAUAGUUUUGUUAUCCACUUAUCCUAUAGUUUCCAUAGCUUAUAUUGGUAGAUAUAAAUUGUGGAAAUGAUAGUAAACAGUACAUGAUGUUUUAAAUUAUUAUUGAACUUGUCUUGGAACUACAUAAAGAGUUGAUUUAUUAUUAUGUGCACUAACCUAUCUCAUGAGUUCUUUUCAAGUUUUGUGUUGAUGAAGUUUUUGAGAAUAGGUGAAACUGGGAUAUGAGAGGAUUGAAAGAGAUACAAAAUCUCAAUCUUGGGAAUUCCCAUGGCACCCCAAGUAAAUAUUUCAAGAAGUCGCAAGCAUCUAAGGUUAUGGAUGAUAUGCAUCCCACCUCUCUUCAUCAAACAAAUAUCGGUUAGCCUAUGUUGAGCCUAAACUUUUAUUUUCCACAUGACAAGUGUUAUUCUUGGAGUUCUAUUUUUGUUUAGUUUGUUGUUUGAUGUCACAGCCCUAAAAUGUUUUCUUGCAAUUAGUUGCAUAAUCAUCUUGCAUCAUGUUAAAUUCAAUUUUAUUUGAAGUGGGGACGAUUAAACCCUAUCACCACAUAAAAAUUGAAAUAGGUUCAACCAAAAUUGUUUUCAAUAAACCAAAGAGGCCUUUCAAAAAUGUUCACCCUCUUUGAUAAAUGUUGGAAACAACAUAAUAGGGGUGAUCUAUUUGUCAUCAACCUUUUCUGGAAUUUUAAAUAAACCAACAAAGUUGCCCAACAUGAGGAAUAACAGAUUAUAAAUAUNCGGAGUAUAUCCUAUAAAUUUCUUGGUUUUUGGAUUUAUGAUUUUUUCCCAAAUAAAAUAAAAAGAAGGGAAUUUAUUAGAAAACAGAANNNNNNNNNNNNNNNNNNAAGGAAAGGAAAGAAACUUACCUGCCCUAUGGCAAUAGCACGCCGAGCCCACCAGCGCCUGGAGCUGGCUAAGGAUGCCACGCACCCCCUGGUGUCUCUCUCACUCUCCCCCUGCUCUCCCUCCGCCUCUGGCUCUCUCCCUCACGCACACUUGAGCCUCCCAAGAGCACCGACGAGCACCACCGCAGCCACCGGCCACCGCUAAACUUUUUGCCCUGCCCAGAAGCUCAUCAGUACUCUACUUACUCUCCAAGCCGAUGGAAUCAAGAUGAGGAGAACGACGUCGCGGCCAUCGAGCUCAUCCUGAUCUCCGGCACCGCCAGCCGCCGGCUCCGAUUCGCGACACCAAGAGUGCCCCCGAGCCCACGGAGCCUAUUAUCAGUCUCCCCGUGAACUCCUUCUUCGGUUCCCCUGUCCCACUUUUCUUUUGCGUGCUAUAGUCGUCGUUUUCCCCCAACAUCCCGAGCUCUCCGUCGUGUGGCCUCACCGCCGGCGUGGCCAGAGCUCGAGCCGGUCUCGCCCUAGCACCACGCCGUGCUCCUGGUGCCUCCAGAAGGCCAACGCAGCCCCUAGCCUUUCCUCUCGAGAAUCGCAGUCCUGUGUCGCAUGCUCCCAAGCGCCACCGCCGCUAGAGCUCGCCGUUGUUGCUACUGCAAGCCAUCCCCGGCAGCCCCGAGGCCUUCAUCCGAAGCGCCACACCCCCAGGAACCCAUUCCACCCAUCCGCGCCUUGAAUGGACGCCAAUGGUGCGAUUUCGGCAAGCCUCCAUCGCCCUGUUGAUCGCCGGCAUAGACCUCGCGGGCCUAAGCCAUUGCCAUGUGGGCCCGGCUGGUCAAAGGUUAGAUUAAGGUCUAAUGACCCUCUAAUUUAAUCCCUGUGUAACUACUUGUGGGUCUGGGCUGUUAAUAAUGCUUAGUUAUCUUCUAAUUAAUCCCUUAUAGCCAAAGUGUCACUGACGUGUGGGUCCUAGUGCCAAUUUUGACCAGGACCGGGUUAGUUGACCACACGAUGUCACCUUGACGCAAUGCUGACGCAGUAAAGCUUUUCUGGUAUUUAUCUUUUUAGGAACUUCUAAAAAAUGCUGAAAACUUUGAAAAAUCAUAGAAAAAACUAUAAGUCGGAUAAAAAUAAAUUAUAUAUGAAAAAUGAUCAGAAAAUGCCAGAUAUCUAUUUAUGCCAUGUUCGUGCAUGUUUGAGCAAGUUAACAUCACUAAGUAGGGAAAAUGAUGGUUAGGACAAUUUGAAAUAGUGUUGGAGUUGGAAUUUGGUAUAUAAUUGAAUUCCACUUCACUCAAUAUGAUUAUAUAUUGCAUUAGGUCAAUUCAAUGCUUCAACAUGCCAUAUUAUACAUCAUGUUUGUUGCAUUGCAUUGAAUGUGUUCCUUUCUUGUUUUGUCGAUGUUAUUCCUUCUCAGUAGACGUUGGUUCCGAUGAUGUGACUGUUGACUUUAAUGAAGACAAGUACUAUCUUUGGAACUGCCAGGCAAGCAACCCCCCUUGAGCAUAUCGAUAUAAACCCACUCCCUCGCUCUUGCUCUCUUUUACUGCAUUUCGACAACAACGAUUUAACUGUUGCAUAUGUAGAUAGUUCUGAUGUAAGUCUUGCUAAUUACCUUUGUACUCACGGUUGCUUAAUUCAUGUUUUGCAGAGAAGACAUUAGUCUCACUAUUUUUUCUACGUGAUGUCCAUGAUGUUGACCAGAAUAGCUUGGGAAUCCCAGACAGAGGUCUGGCUCCUUUGGUAGGGUCGUUGUAGAUUUUCAGGCUCCUCCAGCCACAUUUUGGAGAUCUCUGUACCCAGACAUGUUAUGAUUCCGCUUGAUGCUUGUAUGACAUGAGUGUUGGGUCAUGUGACCCCUGUUUGUAAUAUCAUACUAUGUUGACUCUAAUGAGUCUUUAAUAAAUGCUUGAUUCAUAGAGUUAUGUUGUGAUGCCAUGUUGUGUCUACACAUAUCAUGCAUAUUGUGCGUAUGUUUUGAAAUACAUUGUAUGUGUGGGAUUCGACACCUAGUUAUGCGCCUUUAGUAGUACUCUUUACGGGGAAAUGACUCUUUGUGCUUCCACCGAGCCUUGGUAGCAUGCUACUGCUCCAGACACAUCGAUUGACCGGCAUGUAUCCUUCUUUCUUGUUGUGUCUGUCCCCUCGGGGAAAUGUCACACGGUUUAAUGGAGUCCUUGUAGCUUGCUACGACUCGUCUAUAUAUGUUUUUGACCGACACCUGCUUUGUUGGUUUAUGUAUGCCUCUCCUUGUACGGAUGUGUCACUUGGGUUUAUAACUAGCCAUGUCGACCCGGGUUCUUUGUCGUUCGAAUGCUAGUGACACAUUCAUAUACAUGAGCCAAAAGACGCAAACGGUCCCAGACAAGGUAAGGUGGCAACCGUGGAGUUUACCGUGCAUGAGGCCGCAAAGUGAUGUGAUGUGUUACAUGUUGGGUUCUUAUGACUUAGGAUCGGGGUCCCGACAACGUUGGUAUCAGAGCUUGAUUGCCUGUAGGAUAACCAAGCCAAACUAGUCGAUGUUGAGUCUAGCAACUCUUUAGUUAUACAAGGGAAUUGCUUGUGGAAGGGAACGUAAGGCUCUUUUUACUCCUUUCCUCGUGUCAUUCUAAUUCUGAGUCACCCUCUUCUCUAUUCUACAGGGUUUAAGAAUUAGGCUUUCUCAUCUAUCUAUCAGGAUGGCGAGUUACUAUGUUGGAGACUUAUAGGAAAGUUGUGGUAUUCCUGGAUCGAUGUCUCCAUAGGAAUUCAGUUGUUGUGUUGUCAGUUUCAUGCAGGUUGCCUCAUAUUUCAUGGCCAUACAUCCGUUAUGAUGUCCGAGUUAUCCAAGGGUUCUAAAAUCUCAUGGAAUUGUAAACUCCUUCCUCGUGUUCUCGAUGACUUUUUGGCCAGACAAAGCACACCAAUUAUUGUGUUGAGGUACUCUAUUACCUCAACGUAUUUGUGAAGUAUUAGCAAACUAUGUUAUCUUAGAGAACCACCCAAUAGUCUACUUGUGUUUUGGUUUCCAGUGUGAUAAUUCUGGCCAUCAUUUUCGAAAACAUCAUGUGAUGUUAUUUAGUCAGUAGGUAUUCUAUUUCUGGGUUUUUGAAUCCACGGUUCAUUCUGCUCACUCAUGUUGAUAGUGUUUUUGUCCCUUUAGGAUGGUUAGUAACCUUGUUACAGUUUUCAAGGUUCGUGGUAUAUCAUUCUUCCACUACCAUGAACCAUCAUGGCAGAAUUUCUUCGUGAACUAAAGAUCACAACAAGGGUGCUCUUGAUGAGUUCUAAACUCCAUAGUUGUGACUCUUCUAAUCCUUGUUUUUUUGCAUGGGUUAUCUGGAAGAAUUAUGUUGAACUCGUUCGACAUGCUAACCUAUACAUUUACAACUCGGUAAAAUCAUGUGCUCUUGAGUUGCCCCUCUUCAAUUGUAUUCGGACCUUCAUCUAUUAGAGGAUAGUGAAGAGUAGUUGUGCAUUCGUGUCAUCGAUGUCUAUUAUUGUUGUGGUCUGUCGAGCCAUUCUAAUUCAGAAUGAUUGGGAGAAGAAAACUCCAGUACCGCAUCCAUUUCUUGGAUUAGGUCAAAGAAGUUGUAUUCCACAGAUCAAAUGUCAAUCCAACUUUUGUUCUGCUCUACCUUGGAGUAUUACCCUCUUAUAUCAAGAAUGUUGUGAGAAUUGCACCAUUUCUUACGAACUGUUGAUGUAGUGAUACUUCUCGCCAUCAGUAUUCAUUUCUCGGUUUCCACGUUGGUUGUAACUGGAAUAUCGACAAGUAAACCAUGAUGUGUGAAAUGAAUACUCCUACCAAUGCCAUUGCUUGGUAGUUAAUGGACAAUAAUUUCUCUCUUAUGGUGAUGGUGACUGAAUCGUCAUCCUAAGAUUGACCGUGCUACCUAGUCCAUCUUUCAUGGUGCACUCUUCGAUCAAUGAGGUAGGAUUGUGUCAAUCCUUCGCUCUUUGAUCAUAUCAUCUUUCCCUGAAAAGCGAGAUUGUUUGAGAGCCUAACAACAUACCGGUGGUUCGUGAUUUUCCGAAUAUCCUCUCGGAAGUAUUACCAGGUUGUUCCUAGACUGUUAUGGUGAGCUCGUGGUCAAGUUGGUUUUCCUAUGAACCAAUCCCUUCUCCAAGAGUCCGCGUUGGAUACCCUUGAGCUAGGUGGUUAAGCUAAACAACAACUUGGAGAGUUGGAAGAUAAAACCUUUGCCUAACUUAGUCCAUUUUAAAGGGAUAUCUUGUGUGUAAUUGUGUGUGUUCAAGAAAGAAGAUAUUCUCAUCGAUAGAUUCUUGUGGUCAAUUGUUGCACCUAUCGUCUUGUCCAACCAUUGAUUUGAGUGUGGGCUAUCGUCAAAUCAAAAUCAGAACUAAAGAUCUUCAUAAUGGUGUCUUACUCGUGGAAUUCCUUGAGCAUACAUCAUUAUAUUAUUUGAUCUGACCAAUGCUAUCUUCUUUCUCACAUGAGAUGUGGAAUUCCAUCUAUUUGGAUAUUUUGAUGAACUAUUGUUGAUCCCAUUAGCAACACCUUUGUUUUCUCCAUAACUUAUGUUGGAUAUUAAGCUAGUGUUGGAAACUUCGUAUACAUUGUCUUCGUGCGUGUUCAUGAAGUAUAUAUUAGGUAUAAGAAGUGACCUCCUCUCCAUUCACGUGUAAUUGAUGCAAUUUUCUGCCGUGAAUUCGAGAAAAGUUAUUUUGUUUUCUUCGGAAUCAUCCCAAGUCAGUCAUGCGCGUGCGAAGUAUUCUAUGGUUUGAUAGACUGAUCAUCUUCAUUCCAUAUGUAUCUCCUAGCACACCAAGCCAGUGAUUGAAUUGUUCAAGGAAAAGAAGUUAAGUGUUAUUCCUGAAGGGCCUAGACGGACUUGCACAUGGCUUCAUUAUCCGCAAUGAUGGUUUCCACCUAGAACUCGGUAGUGUUUUGUUGUAACACUUUCCAUGUGGUCAUGAUUGCCUUGGGCAGUGUGUUCACGUGGAUCUUACAAUCCAGCUCAUGUUUUGGAGUUGUCUUUCGUGGUUCGUUUCCUGAGGAUCUCGCAACGCCAUCUCGUCGAUUUGUGUUGCAAACCUUCUCUUUCAGACAUGUUGAGUCUGAAACAUCCUAUCACCAAUCAAAUCUGAAUCUCACGCAGUUAUGAUGGUUGGAUCAUUUCCAAAGAAUUAUAAUAUUGGUCUCUUUGUAACCCGGUAAAGUGAUGUCGUGGCUAACACACCUAGCUGGGAGACUUAUUAUUAUAAUAUCUUGUAUCAACAACCCUAGUUAUCUCCCCAUGAGGACUUUGUAUGACUUAUUUUAGAAGUUGUUCCUCAUGGACCCUUGGAGCUCCCGAAGUCCGAUCUUUACUUGAUGUCCUAGAGACCAAGUAUUAACUAUAAUUGGGUUAUGCUAGUACAUCAAGGAGAACAUUAGAAGCAGAGUGCUACAUGUCUCUCGGUCGAUCAUCCAGAUUUCGUUUCCCUCGCGUCGCUAGGAUGAAAUCUGAGAGAAAGUGUUGUCUUCCUUUGCAUCUGCAUCCUCCAUCAUUGGUCAUCAUGGUAGUCUGAUUUGUCACCAAGAUCAUGGCAUAGAUGUUGGUAGAACCCUGAUGAAUAUGGAAAUUCUCAAGUUCUUGAGAGCACACUCAGACACUAGGUUAUAUCCUCGGUAUCUAUUGGAAUGUGCCUUCCGUUUGCUGAGUUGCUCUAUAACUCUAGUUUUCUUUCCAACCUGAGUAUGUCAUUCUUUCGAAUUCCUUCAAAUGAUCAUUUGAUGAUUGCCUUAAGCUGGUAUGAAGGGUUUAAUUGAUCUUUGUACCAAAAGUAAUUCUUUUUGCCACUUAAGGGAAUAACUCUACGAGCCACCUCCCCAAGGUGCCCCGUUAUGGUAUGAAGGGAAAUUUAACUCCUCGCUACUUUGAAACCUUGUUAUCAUCUAUUUUAAGCGUGGAAUUGUUGCCUACCAUUUGAACCUUCGUCAUAUGCCUCAUUUCCUCAUCCCUGUUAUGUGUUUUGUGUCUCAACUCAAGGGACGUUCUUACGUCUCAUUCUAUGAGUUUAUCAUGAGUUGUUCGAUCUUCAUGAAGAUAGAUUUCCAUAGAGCUUUCUGUUUCCUUUUGUCGUGAUGCUUAGGUGAAUAUCUCAAAGCCAAAGAUGUCAAGAUCAACAUGAUGCAAUGAAUCAACAUCUUCGACAAGAGAAAUUGGAUCGUGAAGAUUGUAUUAUUUUAAUGUCCCCUCUGUCCUCUUACCUAUGCCUGAAUCUCGGGACAAGAUUUUUGCUUAGUGGGGUUGAGUUGUCACAGCCCUAAAUUGUUUUCUUGCAAUUAGUUGCAUCAUUAUCUUGCAUCAUGUUAAAUUCAAUUUAAUUUUAAGUGGGGAUGAUCAAACCCUGGCACCAAAUAAAAUUCAAAUAAGUUCAACCAAAAUUGAUUUCAAUAAACCAAAGUGGCCUUUAAAAAUGUUCACCCUGUGUGAUAAAUGUUGGAAACAACAUAACAGGGGUGAUCUAUUUGUUAUCAACCUUUCCUGGAAUUUUAAAUAAACCAACAAAGUUGCUGAAAAUGACGAAUAACAGAUUAUAAAUAUUUUAGUUGAUUAAAAAAUGCUAAAACUUUUUAUCGGACUUUGGAAUAUUCAGAGUAUAUUCUAUAAAUUAUUUCAUGGUUUUGGAUUUAUGAUUUUUGCCCAAACAAAAUAAAAUAAGGGAAUUUUUUAGAAAACAGAAGCAAAAUAGGAAAAAAAAUGAAAGGUAAGAAACCUACCUGACCUAGGGCAAUAGCAGGCCCAGCCCACCAGUGCCUGGAGCUGGCUAACGAUGCCACGCACCCCUGUGGUCUCUCUCUCACUCUCCCCCUUCUCUCCCUGCCCCUUUGGCUUUCUCCCUCGCGCACGGUCGAGCCGCCCCGAGAGCGCUGACGAGCACCACCGCGGCUACCAUCCACCGCUAAGCUUUUCGCCCUACCCAGAAGCUCUGCGGUACUCUGCUUACUCUCCAAGCCGACAGAAUCAAGACAAGGAGCAUGAUGUCGCGGCCAUCGAGCUCAUCACCAAUCUUUGGCACCGCCGACCGCCUGCUCCGAUUCACGACGUCCAGAGCACCCCCGAGCCCAUUGAGCCUGCUAUCAGCCUCCACAUGAGCUCCUUCGCUGGUUCCCCCUGCCACCCUCUUCUUUUGUGUAUUAUAGUCAUCGUUUUCCCCAACCUCCCGAGCUCUUCGUCGUACGUCUUCGUCGCCGGCGUCGCCUGAGCUCGAGCCGGUCUUUCCUUGGCACUGCGUCGUGCUCCUCGUGCCUCCAGGAGGCCAACGCAGCCCCUAGCCUUUCCCCUCGAGCAUCACAGCCCUGUGCCGCAUGCUCCCAAGCAUCACCACCAUUGCUACUACAAGCCAUCCCCGGCAUCCCCGAGGCCUCCAUCCGAAGUGCCAUACCCCCAGGAACCCAUUCCACCCAUCCACACCUUGAAUGGACGUCGAUGCUACGAUUCGAGUGAGCCUCCGUCGCCCUGUUUGUCGUCGGCGUCGACCUCGCCGGCGUGAGCCAGUCCAUGUGGGCCCGGUUGGUCAGAGAAUAGAUUAAGGUCUAAUGACAAUCUAAUUUAAUCCCUCUAUAACUACCUAUGGGUCCGGGACAUUAAUAAUGCUUAGUUAGCUUUUAAUUAAUCCAUUAUAGCCAAAGUGUCACUGACGUGUGGGUCCCAGUGCCAGUUUUGACCAGGACCGGGUCAGUUGACCACAUGACAUCCCCCUGACGCAGUAAAGCUUUUCUGGUAUUUAAAUUUUUAGGAAAUUCCGGAAAAUGCUGAAAACUUUGAAAAAUCAUAGAAAAAAACUAUAACUCGGAUGAAAAUAAGUUAUAUAUGAAAAUUGAUCAGAAAAAUGCAAGGAAUCUGUUUAUGCCAUGUUAAUGCAUGUUUGAGAAAUUUAACAUCACCAAGUAGGGAAAAUGAUGGUUAAGAAUAUUUGAUAAAUAGUGUUGGAGUUGAAAUUUGGUAUAGAAUUGAAUUCCACUUCACUCAAUAUGACUAUAUAUUGCAUUAGGUCAAUUCAAUGCUUCAACAUGCCGUAUCAUACAUCAUGUUUGUUGCAUUGCAUUGAAUGUUUUCCUUUCUUGUUUUGUCGGUGUUAUUCCUUCUCGGUAGACGAUGGUUCCGACGAUAUGACUGUUGACAUUAAUGAAGAGAAGUACUAUCUUCAGAACUGUCAGGCAAGCAACCCUGCUUGAGCAUAUCGAUAUAAACCCACUCUCUCGCUCUUGCUCUCUUUUACUGCAUUAGGACAACAACGAUUCAAUUGUUACAUGUCUCGGUAGUUGAACCAUGCCUUUGCAUGACCUGUUUUUGCCAUAGUAAAUAGUUGAAACCACUUAGAAUGACUAGCAACUACUUGAACCUUGAUGUGCCUACUCAUCCAUGCUUGUUACUGUGCCUGCUAUGCUUAGAGUUGUGUAGGGUCUGAUACAUCUGGAAGAUGAAUCUGAAUGGUUGUGUUCAUGUCCUACUGUGUGAGAGUAAAGUGUGUGAAUCCGAUUUGGUAAAGGUAGCAAUGAGAGGCCAUGUAGGAACACAUGGCGGGUUGUCUCAUUGGGACCAUCCUUAAGAACUGAGUUAGGUGUAUAUUAUCCAAGACAAGAUACUACCACACAUUGGGUUCCAGUAACUCGACCCCUCUAGGCUUAUUAACAGCCUAGAUCUCUGUCCAGGAGAUGCAACUAGUUUCUGGUGUUUGUAGGAAAAGUGUUGGCGGCCGUGUUUAGCUCUGCCCGACAGGGUAGGCUUCAGUGUGGUAGAUACAUAGUGGCAUGGUGUACCAAGUGGCACCCGGAUGGUGGGCUUAUGGAACCCUACACACAUCAUUUGAGGCCGCUAAGGAAACUUUGGUCGGACUUCCUUGCGGGUUCAGUCUCAAAUAGGCGAUAAACCUGGACUAGGGUCUUGUGUGGUUAACGGUCGUGGCUGACGCCCACGCCAGUGCUUCCGCUUGAAGGUUGCCCAGAUGCAUUAUGUGCAUAUGGUGAUAAGUGGUGAGAGCGUGUGUGAAGAAGUAUACCCGUGCAGGGUGAAUUAAUCUGUUAGAAUAGCCGCGUCCUCGGAUAUGGACUACUUGGAAACAUUAUAUGGUACAUAGACAACUGGAAAUGGAUACUCUAAUACAUGCAAAAUAAGUGUGAGUGUUAUGGAUGGCCUUCUCGUAGGAAGACGAGAGUGGAUCCAUAGUGGUGUAUUUUUUGGUGAAUAUGUGAACCCGUGUGCGCUAUCCCACCUCAAAGGAAGUACUUAUAGUCGUAGUACAGGUUAGCCAAGAGUAAAAGCUGGCUUGCUACAAUUAAACUCCACAACCCCUUUAUUGAUACUAAUGCAUAUGUAGAUAGUUCUGAUGUAAGUCUUGCUGAGUACCUUUGUACUCACGAUUGCUUAAUUUCUGUUUUGCAUAGAAGACAUUAGUCUCACUAUUGGUUCUACACGAUGUGUAUGAUGUCGACCAGAAUAGCUUGGGAAUCCCAGACAGAGGUCUGGCUCCUUUGAUAGGGUCGUUGUAGAUUUUUCAGGCUCCUCCAGUCACAUUUAGUAGAUGUUUGUACCUAGACAUGUUAUGCUUCCGCUUGAUGCUUGUAUGACUUGAGUAUUGGCUCAUGUGACCCUGAUACAUCUCCAACGUAUCUAUAAUUUUUGAUGGUUUCAUGUUGUUAUCUUGUCAAACUUUGGAUGUUUUCUAUGCGUUUUAUAUAUUUUUUGGGACUAACUUAUUAACUCAGUGCCAAGUGCCAGUUCCUGUUUUUCUGUGUUUUUCACCCUUUUCAGAGGAGGAUUUUAAACGGAGUCCAAACGGAACGAAACUUCCAAAAAUAUUUUUUUCAAAACAGAAGAAGAUCGGGGAACUUGAGAACCAAGGCAGGGGGUCACCAGGGACCCCACAAGCCCCCUAGCCGCGGCCAGGGGGUCGCGCCUCCCAGGCUUGUGGGCUCCCUGGGCCACCUCUACCCUAGGUCUUUCGCCUAUAUAUUCCCAAAAAUUCCAGAAAAAAUCAGGAGAUCAUCGAAAGUACUUUUCCGCCGCCGCAAGCUUCUGUCUCCGCAAGAUCCCAUCUGGGGCACGUUCUGGUGCCCUGCCGGAGGGGGGAUUCAGAUAUGGAGGGCUUCUUCAUCAACACCAUGACCUCUCCGAUGAUGCGUGAGUAGUUCACCGUAAACCUAUGGGUCCAUAGCUAGUAGCCAGAUGGCUUCUUCUCUCUCUUGGAUCUUCAAUACAAAGUUCUCCAUGAUCUUCAUGGAGAUCUAUCCGAUGUAAUCUUCUUUUACGGUGUCUUUGUCGAGAUCCGAUGAAUUGUGGAUUUAUGAUCAGAUUAUCUAUGAAUCUUAUUUGAGUUUCUUCUGAUCUCUUAUAUGCAUGAUUUCAUAUCCUUGUAAUUCUCUUCGAGUUGUGGGUUUUGUUUGGCCAGCUUGAUCUAUGAUUCUUGCAAUGGGAGAAGUGCUUGGUUUUGGGUUCAUAUCGUGUGGUGACCUCACCCAGUGACAGAAGGGGUAGCGAGGCACGCAUUGUGUUGUUGCCAUCAAGGGUAAAAAGAUGGGGUUUUCAUCAUUUGUUUGAGAUUAUACCUCUACAUCAUGUCAUCUUUCUUAAGGCGUUACUCUGUUCGUCAUGAACUCAAUACACUAGAUGCAUGCUGGAUAGUAGAUGCAGAAAGUAUCGGUCUACUUGUCUCGGACGUGAUGCCUAUAUGUAUGAUCAUUGCCUUAGACAUCGUCAUGACUUUGCGCAGUUCUAUCAAUUGCUCGACAAUAAUUUGUUCACCCACCGUAAUAUUUGCUAUUUUGAGAGAAGCUGUAGCGACCCGACUCAAGACGAGUCAAGCCUCUGUGUUUCUGUGCCAUCCCUGGAUCAGUAUGCUGGCACACACAGUACAUCAAUGUAUAUAUCAAAGUGCAAUCACAUGUAAAUAGCGUAAAACUGAUAUAUACCUUAAUUAUCUCAGCGGAAUCGGUCAAGGGAGUGGAGUCCCAAUAAACACCAACGGCAAGUUGAGUGUAGACCGUAACCCUGAAUCGUACUCUUACUCGUCGAAGAAAAAUAUCUGCAACAUAAGACGUUGCAGCCGUGUAGGUCAGCAUAUUGAAUAUGCCGGCAAGUCACAUAUGAGAGGGGGUAAAAUAAUCAUCUAUACUAUAUGCAUAUAUGGUAGGUGGAGCUAUAAGUUUUUAGCGAAAAGCAAGUUUUCUCCUACAUCAAGAGAGGGCUAAAAGCAAAAUGUUACUACAUUGUUGGUUGUUAACGAGAUGGUUCCGCCAACCAAUUCUCGUACCCGAGUUGUCAAUAAUUCCCACAUCAAUAUUAUUAUUUGUGUUGAGAAUUUCAGAUAACUUCAGUUCCUUUGGCUCAAAUUUUCCAUGACCGUGGACACGGCUAAUCGAUUAGGUUUGAGUACUCUGUAGAGUUUUGCACACGUUCCCCACAAGAUUUGAUCGCCUCCGAGUAUGUCCUCGCACUUCAGGGUGUUUGAAGACCGGAUGAUCAAAACAUGGUCUUUCAACGGGUCCCUCUGAAUCCCUGUCGGUGCCCAUCCAUUCCUGCCGUUCUUCUACAUCUGCUAGCACCGCCUGUCCAGAGUCGCCGCGUUGUCCAACCAAGCCAGAGCCCAUAAUGACUUGUGGCUGUGCAGGUAAGCCUUGGGUCUUGAAAAUAUCCGUCCGUCUCUUUGAGCCUGGGUGAAGCUUUCCGCAGGAUGUCUUGGCCUCUCCAGCAUCCCGGGUCAUCCACUAGGUUCUCCAGGGAGCUGAUCAACCGUCCUUCACCCAGAGUUGCAUUGCGCCCGAGGUCUUGAAAAUCUUGUCUUAACCGGUCUUGAUUUUUUAAUCAACCUUGCAUCACUCGUGUUAUGCACUCAACCGAAAUCCCGUCUACUCAAGCAUAGCAAUAUGAAAUUUUUCGUCCCGGGGCCAAGUAUCGGGGUUGUUGUGUGCCUACCACAUGAUACUACAAUCUAUACUAAAAUUUCCAUGUACCUACUCAGCAUGCAAUUGGGCAUAGGAUGGUAGAACUACGAUGCAUAAAACAUAGGUGAUAGUAUGAUCAAAGUGACUUGCCUGGUGAUGUUGACGAAGAAGAAUUUCUCAAGAAAUAACUUGAUAGACUACUCGUCACUCUCCGAUGAAAUCUAUAUAACAAACAUAUCAUUCACAUAAGCACUCAUACUAGCAAUCAUUCUAGCAAUCAGAACAAAAGAGAGAGCGAAUAAGAAUCCGAAAGAAACUUCACUGAAGUUAGGAGUCUUCUACUACAUCAAACACUAAAUGGUUUUUGUCCAAUAGAAAGUAAUAACAAGGAACUAAGAUAUAAAGGUAACUAAGAUAAAAUAGAGUAUUUUUCACAAAACUUUUUGAAAGUAUUUCCAAACGGGAUUUGAAACAGUGGAGAAACCAAUUGCAAGUUAUCAAGGAACUAGAAUUGAUUUCAUGAUAACUUAUACAAAUAAAAAUCAAAACUUGUUGCAACCUACUGUUAACUAACAGAAACAAAACAUAAUCUUUCUGAAAUAAUAAAGAAAAUAAUUUAAAAACAAUUAUAGAAAAGUAAUAGCCAUAAUCCUAAAAAGAGGUGAAACAGAAAUUGUUUCACAAGAAACCAUAAGCUAAAAUACUCAAACAAAUCUGAAAUUUUUACCACUCUUAAAUAAGAUCACUAGUGAUCAGUAGCAAAAGGAAUCAAAUUAAAAGCUAUCUUUAAACUCCUGGAAUAGUCAAAACAAGGUUUAAACUAAAUCUGAUCUAAUUAAAAUUUGAAAAUUUCAAACAUAGACAAAUUAUAUGUCUUUACAAACUAAAGAAAAAUUGUGAUCUGCUGGAAAAAGAAUCAACUCCAUUGGAGUUGUGGAUCAAAAGUUAUGGGCUAAACAAAAUUGGAACUAAUUCUGUCACAGAUUUAAAACAGAAAACAAAAUCUGAUGACGUGGCACUAUCUGAUUGGCCGUAUCCGUGCGCUCCUAAAACUAACUAACGAACGGCCCCUAUGUAGGAAAAACGAUUCGGUUCGCUUAACUGGUGGACCGGUUCUUUAAAAGAAACCGAAAGGGUAUGCCCCUUGUAAUCUACACCGUAGAUUUUGACUUAAUAGGCAAACCAAAAAGAAAAAAAACAGGAUGAGGAGAAGGAGCCUUACCGUGACUGGCAGGGGCUGGAGGCCUUCUCCGGCGAGGGGGUGCAACUCCGGCGGGGUGGGGUCACCGGCGGGGGGGUGCGGGCGGAGUAGGGGAGUGGCGGCGAGGCUCCAGGGGGGNGGAGGGCUCUGCAGGGAGGGGAGGGGUUGCAGGGGCGAUGGGGAAGGUCGCCGGCGAGUUCAUGUGGCCGACUCCGGCGAGGUCCACAGGGGGAGGAGGAGGUGGGGAGAGGCGGCGGUUCCAACGGGAAUGGAACGAGGAGGACUGGGGCCUUCUUAUAGGGGCGACGGGAGAGGCUAGGAGGGAAGGAACUUCGUGAAUCCCGGAGGUGAGGAUUUCUCUGUCCAUGGCUAAGGAAGGUCCAGUGCACGUGAGGAAGGAGAUAGAGGAAGAAGAAGAUCCUCUGUUGGGCCACAAUAGGAAACCUCCUAAUGGGCCAGCCAGAGUUUCCAUUUAAACACGAUUUCUUUCCUUUUUUCAAAACUAGGAAACUAAAACGAUAAAAGGGAAAUCAAAUCAAUUCGGAAUAUAGAGUUUCUAUAUACUAAAAUUAUCAGAAAAAUAAAAUCUAAAUGAUGGGCAUUUUUCCACGGCCAAAAUAAAAACUUAGAAAAAUGUUUUUCCAAAAAAAUCCCUAAAAGCAUUAUUUCUUGUUGCAAUUAUUUUCUCAAAUUAAAUUUUGUUUCCUUGGCUCAAAAUACUUCAACAAAUGCCCCUGGCUUUGGAGGGUCAUGUUCCUCCUCUCUUUUCUGUUUGACAGAAUAUUAUUCCCCGGCAUUUCUUGAGUGGAGGGAAAAUAGAAUUUGCAAAUUAAAAUCGAAGGAAAUUCAAAUGCCAGCUCCAUUCAAAUUCUUUAUAGUUGAAGAAGUCAUGUCAUCUUCUCUCAUUUCUUUUAAAAGAUUGAAUUUGAAUUCAUCGGAGAUGGGGAAAGUCAUUUUAUUCCCUCUCAUUCAAAAGUUUUUUGAAAAGUUUCAAAUUUCACACAAGUUUCAAUCACUCAAGCAAACAAACAAACAAUCUAAUAAUUAUUUUAACAUUCCAAAAUUUGGGAUGUUACAAACCUACCACACUUAAAAUGAAUCUCGUCCUCGAGAUUCGAAGAAGCUAGAAAGAAAGUUUAGGGUUUGGGUGUCUUCUAGCAAUCCAAUCUCCUGCAAAGUGGGAUGCUACCACACUUAAAAUGAGAGAUACUGGUCCCUCAAAAUGUUUUAACGAUCCUCUGGGGUUUUGGCAACUGACAUCGCAUAGUCUUCAUAUAUUCCGUUAUAUUCAUAACGUCUCCAUCAAAAACGAGGGCUCUUCCAUUGAUAUAAGCUUCUUCCAUUACUGGGUCUUCUUAACUGGCAGUCUCGUGGUCAAUUCUAAAUAACAUAUCGAUGGUUCUCAUGGUGGUCUACCAUUUUUGGUUAUCCGGCAGAGAGAGGGGUCUUGGUUUCAUUCUCACCGUAAAAUUUCCUACUCGUGACAACAAAUGCCAUGUACUUGGGGCUUUCCUUGUACCAUUCUAAGGCUUAAACAAAAGCUUCAAAGAACGUCAUCUCUUACUAUGGGUAAGUCUCUCAGAUUUACCAUUCCGAAUAGCAAGAUAAAUGAUAAGAGUAAGUCGUCAUGGUGAUCAAUCCAUUCCGCACCCAAAUCAUUACCUUGUAUAAGGCUUAGUGAAUCUCGUAUUCUAACACUUGGGCGUCCUCACAAGCGUUGCAGAAUUUCUUUUGUCCACGAACGGAGUUCGGAUAAUCCAUUGGUUCUGCAAGCUGAACAAAACAUCUAUCGUAUCUUCACAACUCUGUGGCUUUCGUAUAUUCCUAAGAAAACGUUUGCUGAUCCAUCAUAGCUUCUUCCAUAGAUCAUAUUCAUUUCAUAAUCAAUCCUUUAUUACAUCCUUGCUUUCUUCAAAAUUCCAACUCAAAAGUACUCUAUUACAGAUGUUGCCAUCCACAUUGUUCGGUAUGGUCGAGCAUUUCUGCCAACUUUACUCAUCUGCCUCUCUUGGAGGUACUUAGUUCCACUCGAACUUUCCGAGGUGCUCCUUGAAAUCAUCCAUCUUUUGCUUCAUAAUGGUGGUCAUGAGCUUCAUCUCCAUCAUCUCCGCGCGUACUUCACUCAGGUAUUCCUGGGUACGACGGAGUCUUGAUUCAAGUAUUUCUCCAAUCUGACGUAUGGCUUCCAUGGCAGGUUCACGAACAGCAUCAAAGAAAGUUGCUCGUGGUACACGUGAAAUGAAAAAGUAUUGCCCCAUAGUCUUUGGACAAACUCCUUCACCUGGUGGAGGUGUACUUCCACAUACCAAAGUUCUACUCCACUUUCAAUGAACGGGUAACCUUUGUAGACUGCAUCUCCUUCAAGAUGAAUGUGCUUCAUCAUGUCCUUCAGGAUUUUUGGGUAAUCAUGGUCACUGGUCAGGCUCAUGAUCGUUUCUGGGCCCUUGAGGAAUGACUCGUAGAGAGUUGUCAUCUGCAAGUGUCGGUAAAUAGGUACUCAGAGGAAUGUAUAUGUCUCCUUGGUAGUUUGGCACAUUCCUACUCAGUGGAUCCUCUGGGUUUACCGAUUACUACCACACUUAAAUGAAUUAUACUCAUGCCUGCAUAGACCAUAUUUUCUCAUAUCCUCAUAAUUGUUCAGAGAUCUUUGAUCGUAGAGAAACAACGCAUACAUUUUCAACAUAGGCAAUCAUGAGACAAUGAAUUCCAUUUAUUCAUGAUGUUAUUACAAUUUCAGGGACUUCUGUUACAAAAAUUUCACUCCAUGAUCUCAAUGAAAAACAAGAGUGCCUCGGAUCACACUUAUUGCCCUGGUCAAAACUUAACUACUCCAUUCUAGCUUUCUUCCUUUGCGUACAAUCGCUAGCAAAAUGUCCAGCUUCCUUGCAACGAAAGCAAAUGAGUUCUGACAAGUCUCGAGGCUUCUUAGCUUUUGCUUUUGCUCCUUGGAUUUCCGGCUUCCUUCCUGAGCGCAUGUAUUUGUGGUGGCCAAAUUCCAUACACUUGUAACAUUCGACAUGACUCAGGUCUAUGUCUGCAGAGAUUUGGCUCUUCCGAGGGUACUUUUUCUUCUUUCUGGACUCCUUCAUUUUGGCCAGUUCUUCUAUUUCAAGUGGAUCAAACUCCACUUCUUCCGUCGGGAAGUUUCCCAGAUACUCUUGGCUUCUCUUUGUGCAAUCCUGUGAAUAAUGUCCUUCUUCUCCACAUGAGUAGCAUGCAUUGGAGAAAAAUCUGGUAAGACCUUGUCCAUCAGGGUCUUCAAUAUUUUCGUUCAUCACCGGUUCUUCUAGAAUCAUCUUCUUGAGGGUUUCCUUCACUGCAUCUUUCUGCUGCUUGACAACUUGUUGCACCUUGGGGUAAAUGUGACAUUGAGCUGGGUAGUGGGUGGUUCCUUCACAACGGAAACAAGUCACCUGACUGCUUGGGCACUCCUCAGCUGGGUGAUUUUCUUCACAAUGAGUGCAUCCAUCCUUGUGUUCUUCCUGGGUGUGUCCUAUUUCUCCAUAGAUCUUGCAUGCACAAGUCUUCUCCUUCGGAUUAUCAUAGCACUUUUGAAUGAGAAGGGAUCUUCACAGAGUCUUCUUGAAUUCGUCCCAAGUUUCUGCUCCACUAAAUCCUUGUAUGGCAUGGUGCAUUUUCCACCACAUAGAAGCACUUUGGGUAAAGUACUGGAGAGCAUGUACCACUUCAUACUUCCUUGUGGUCAGGUUGCUCCCGAAGUGGUUCUCCAUGUUCUGAAUCCAUAUUUCAGCCUCCAGCUAGGUCAUUGGUCCACAGACUACAAGUCUAGCUUCAUACUCCAUCUGGUAGGGUUGAGGUUUUGGGGAUGAGACGGGUAAGAGAGGGAGGGAGAUACACACAAUACAAACAAUAUUUUUGAGAAUAGGUUUUAUUUGUGGCUGUCGAAAAACACACACCAAUGACGGCUCACAAAUCAUCGUAUCUAACGUGGGUAUAUAACAGGGGUUUGGACUUCUAAUGGUCAUAUAAAUAUUCAAACACUUCAGGGUCUUCGAAUUCUUCGGGUCUUGAGAGUCUUCAAUUGGCGCAGCUUCAAUGCUUCAAUUGCAUGAUGAAAUCCUCUUUACUUUGAAGUAGAACUCCAUUGAUUCUUCAUGAGGUCAAAGCGGUAAGGGGAUUGUAUAACUAUUUGAGGUGAGAGGGAACAUUUGAUGAAAUCAGAAGGGAUGAGAAGUAAAGGAUGUUCUUGAAAAUAAAUUUUUUUGAGAGAUUCUUCCCUAAGGGAUUUCCAGUUUCUAGGGUCACGUCCUACAGUCAACAUGUGCUCUGAUACCAUUUCUGUAGCGACCCGACUAAAGACGAGUCAAGCCUUUGUGUUUCUGUGCCAUCCCUGGAUCAGUAUGCUGACACACACAGUACAUCAAUGUAUAUAUCAAAGUGCAAUCACAUGUAAAUAGCGUAAAACUGAUAUAUACCUUAAUUAUCUCAGCGGAAGCGGUCAAGGGAGUGGAGUCCCAAUAAACACCAACGGCAAGUUGAGUGUAGACCGUAACCUUGAAUCGUACUCUUACUCGUCGAAGAAAAAUAUCUACAACAUAAGAUGUUGCAACCGUGUAGGUCAGCAUAUUGAAUAUGCCGGCAAGUCACAUAUGAGAGGGGGUAAAAUAAUCAUCUAUACUAUAUGCAUAUAUGGUAGGUGGGGCUAUAAGUUUUUAGCGAAAAGCAAGUUUUCUCCUACAUCAAGAGAGGGCUAAAAGCAAAAUGUUACUACAUUGUUGGUUGUUAACGAGAUGGUUCCGCCAACCAAUUCUCGUACCCGAGUUGUCAAUAAUUCCCACAUCAAUAUUAUUAUUUGUGUUGAGAAUUUCAGAUAACUUUAGUUCCUUUGGCUCAAAUUGUCCAUGACCGUGGACACGGCUAAUCGAUUAGGUUUGAGUACUCUGCAGAGUUUUGCACACGUUCCCCACAAGAUUUGAUCACCUCUGAGUAUGUCCUCGCACUUCAGGGUGUUUGAAGACCGGAUGAUCAAAACAUGGUCUUUCAACGGGUCCCUCUGAAUCCCUGUCGGUGCCCAUCCAUUCCUACUGUUCUUCUACAUCUGCUAGCACCGCCUGUCCAGAGUCGCCGCGUUGUCCAACCAAGCCAGAGCCCAUAAUGACUUGUGGCUGUGCAGGUAAGCCUUGGGUCUUGAAAAUAUCCGUCCGUCUCUUUGAGCCUGGGUGAAGCUUUCCGCAGGAUGGCAUGGCCUCUCCAGCAUCCCGGGUCAUCCACUGGCUUCUCCAGGGAGCCGAUCAACCGUCCUUCACCCAGAGUUGCAUUGCGUCCGAGGUCUUGAAAAUCUUGUCUUAACCGGUCGUGAUUAUUUAAUCAACCUUGCAUCACUCGUGUUAUGCACUCAACCGAAAUCCUGUCUACUCAAGCAUAGCAAUAUGAAAUUUGUCGUCCCGGGGCCAUGUAUCGGGGUUGUUGUGUGCCUACCACAUGAUACUACAAUCUAUACUAAAAUUUCCAAGUACCUACUCAGCAUGCCAUUGGGCAUAGGAUGGUAGAACUACGAUGCAUAAAACAUAGGUGAUAGUAUGAUCAAAGUGACUUGCCUGGUGAUGUUGACGAAGAAGAAUUUCUCGAGAAAUAACUUGAUAGACUACUCGUCACUCUCCGAUGAAAUCUAUAUAACAAACAUAUCAUUCACAUAAGCACUCAUACUAGCAAUCAUUCUAGCAAUCAGAACAAAAGAGAGAGCGAAUAAGAAUCCGAAAGAAACUUCACUAAUGUUAGGAGUCUUCUACUACAUCAAAGACUAAAUGGUUUUUGUCCGAUAGGAAGUAAUAACAAGGAACUAACAUAUAAAGGUAACUAAGAUAAAAUAGAGUAUUUUUCACAAAACUUUUGGAAGUAUUUCCAAACGGGAUUUGAAACAGUGGAGAAACCAAUUGCAAGUUAUCAGGGAACUAGAAUUGAUUUCAUGAUAACAUAUACAAAUGAAAAUCAAAACUUGUUGCAACCUACUGUUAACUAACAGAAACAAAACAUAAUCUUUCUGAAAUAAUAAAGAAAAUAAUUUAAAAACAAUUAUAGAAAAGUAAUAGCCAUAAUCCUAAAAAGAGGUGAAACAGAAAUUGUUUCACAAGAAACCAUAAGCUAAAAUACUCAAACAAAUCUGAAAUUUUUACCACUCUUAAAUAAGAUCACUAGUGAUCAGUAGCAAAAGGAAUCAAAUUAAAAGCUAUCUUUAAACUCCUGGAAUAGUCAAAACAAGGUUUAAACUAAAUCUGAUCUAAUUAAAAUUUGAAAAUUUCAAACAUAGACAAAUUAUAUGUCUUUACAAACUAAAGAAAAAUUGUGAUCUGCUGGAAAAAGAAUCAACUCCAUUGGAGUUGUGGAUCAAAAGUUAUGGGCUAAACAAAAUUGGAACUAAUUCUGUCACAGAUUUAAAACAGAAAACAAAAUCUGAUGACGUGGCACUAUCUGAUUGGCCGUAUCCGUGCGCUCCUAAAACUAACUAACGAACGGCCCCUAUGUAGGAAAAACGAUUCGGUUCACUUAACUGGUGGACCGGUUCUUUAAAAGAAUCCGAAAGGGUAUGCCCCUUGUAAUCUACACCGUAGAUUUUGAUCUAAUAGGCAAACCAAAAAAAACUUGAUGAGGAGAAGGAGCCUUACCGUGACUGGCAGGGGCUGGAGGCCUUCUCCGACGAGGGGGUGCAACUCCGGCGGGGUGGGUCGCCGGCGGGGGGGUGUGGGUGGCGUAGGGGAGUGGCGGCGAGGCUCCAGGGGGGAGGCGAGGGGGAGAUGGAGAGGGGUGCAGGGGGGCGACGGGAGGAGCAGGGGCUUCCUGGUCGGGGCGAUGUGGAGGAGGCCGCAGCUCCAGCGAGGUUGCAGGGCGAGGGGGUGCGGUGGAGCGGUGGUGGGGAGGUGGCGGCGAGGUAGGGAGGGCUCUGCAGGGAGGGGAGGGGUUGCAGGGGCGAUGGGGAAGGUCGCCGGCGAGUUCAUGUGGCCGACUCCGGCGAGGUCCACAGGGGGAGGAGGAGGUGGGGAGAGGCGGCGGUUCCAACGGGAAUGGAACGAGGAGGACUGGGGCCUUCUUAUAGGGGCGACGGGAGAGGCUAGGAGGGAAGGAACUUCGUGAAUCCCGGAGGUGAGGAUUUCUCUGUCCAUGGCUAAGGAAGGUCCAGUGCACGUGAGGAAGGAGAUAGAGGAAGAAGAAGAUCCUCUGUUGGGCCACAAUAGGAAACCUCCUAAUGGGCCAGCCAGAGUUUCCAUUUAAACACGAUUUCUUUCCUUUUUUCAAAACUAGGAAACUAAAACGAUAAAAGGGAAAUCAAAUCAAUUCGGAAUAUAGAGUUUCUAUAUACUAAAAUUAUCAGAAAAAUAAAAUCUAAAUGAUGGGCAUUUUUCCACGGCCAAAAUAAAAACUUAGAAAAAUGUUUUUCCAAAAAAAUCCCUAAAAGCAUUAUUUCUUGUUGCAAUUAUUUUCUCAAAUUAAAUUUUGUUUCCUUGGCUCAAAAUACUUCAACAAAUGCCCCUGGCUUUGGAGGGUCAUGUUCCUCCUCUCUUUUCUGUUUGACAGAAUAUUAUUCCCCGGCAUUUCUUGAGUGGAGGGAAAAUAGAAUUUGCAAAUUAAAAUCGAAGGAAAUUCAAAUGCCAGCUCCAUUCAAAUUCUUUAUAGUUGAAGAAGUCAUGUCAUCUUCUCUCAUUGCUUUUAAAAGGGGAAAGUCUUUUUAUUCCCUCUCAUUCAAAAGUUUUUUGAAAAGUUUCAAAUUUCACACAAGUUUCAAUCACUCAGGCAAACAAACAAACAAUCUAAUAAUUAUUUUAACAUUCCAAAAUUUGGGAUGUUACAGAAGCCUCUAGUGAACACUAUGGCCCCGGGGUCUACUUCUCACCAUAUUUUCAUCCUUACACUUUUACUUCAUUGCACUUUCCGCCUUCAGAUCUCACUUUGCAAGCAAUCUUGAAGGGAUUGACAUCCCCUUUAUAGUGUUGGGUGCAAGCUCUUUGUGUAUGUGAAGGUACUCUGGACUUGACGAGAUUCUCCUACUGGAUUGAUACCUUGGUUCUCAAACUGAGGGAAAUACUUACUGCUCCUGUGCUGCAUCACCAUUUCCUCUUCAAGGGAAAAACCAACGCAAGCUCAAGAGACGACAGAAGGUUUCUGUUGACGUAGCAGAAGGAUUUCUGGCGCCGUUGCCGGGGAAGGAUUUUUGUUGCCGUAGCAGAAGAAUUUCUGGCGCCGUUGCCGAGGGGGAGGAUCAAGUCAAGAACUCAUCCAAGUAAGUGUCACAAACUCAUCUCUUGCAUUUACUUUUUUGCCUCUCGUUUUCCUCUCCCCCACUUCUGAAAAACAAAAAUUUACAAAAAAAUAUUUGCCUCUUUUUCAUUUGCCUUUUUCGUUCGCCCUUUUCUAUCGCUUGCUCUUUGUUCGCUUGUGUGCUUGCUUUCUUGUUGAACUCACCAUGACUUGAAACACCAAACUUUGUUACUUCUCGAAUACUAAUAAUAAUGAUUCUAUUAGUACUCCGAUUGCUCCCGCCACUAGUGCGGAGUCAUAUGAAAGAGCAAUUCUCCAGCCUUCCUAGUGAAGAUGUCGCAUCCCAUCUUAAUACCUUCCUUGAGCUUUGCGAUAUGCAAAAGAAGAAAUAUGUGGAUAAUGAUGUGAUUAAAUUGAAGCUUUUUCCUUUCUCGUUGCGAGAUCGAGCAAAAACUUGGUUUUCGUCUUUGCCCAAAAAUAGUAUUGAUUCUUGGGAUAAGUUCGAAGAUACUUAUAUAUCCAAGUAUUUUACGCCGGCUAAGAUUAUCUCUCUCCGUAAUGAUAUCAUGAAUUUUAAGCAACUUGAUCAUGAACAUGUUGCACAAUCUUGGGAGAGAAUGAAAUUGAUGAUUAGAAAUCGUCCAGCUCAUGGCUUGAGUCUUUGGAUGAUUAUACAAAUCUUCUACGUUGGCUUGAAUUUCGCUUCUAGAAAUAUCUUGGACUCCACCUUAGGUGGAACGUUCAUGGAAAUCACGUUAGGAGAAGCCACAAAACUCCUAGACAAUAUCAUGAUGAACUACUCUGAGUGGCACACUGAAAGGUCACCUACUAGUAAGAAGGUACACGCUAUAGAAGAAAUUAACUCGUUAAGUGCUAAGAUGGAUGAGUUAAUGAAUUUGGUUGCUAGUAGAAAUGAUCCUUUAGAUCCUAAUGAUAUGCCCUUGUCUUCCUUGAUUGAGAGUAGCAACGCAAGCUUGGACGUUAAUUUUGUUGGUAGGAAUAAUUUUGGCAACAACAAUGCUUUCAGAGAAACUAUGUUCCUAGGCCUUUUCCUAGUGACCCCUCUAAUAACUUUGGCAACUCCUACAACAAUACUCAUGGAAAUUACAAUAGAUUACCCUCUGAUCUAGAGAGUAAUAUCAAAGAGUUUAUCAACUCGCAAAAAAAUUCAAUGCGUCCAUAGAGGAAACAUUACUCAAAAUUGACGAUUUGGCUAAGAGCGUUGAUAGAAUGUCUAGUGAUACUCAUGCUUUGAAAGUUAUAUGUGCUCCUCCCAAGAUAAAUAUGGAUGAAACUUUGAAAGCUAUGCGUGCUUCCAUGAGUGAGAGCAAAGAAAGAACCGCCCAAAUUCGUGCUAGACAUGAAUGGCUUAAAAAGGCGUGUUCUCGUGAUAUAAAUCACGAAGAUCUUAAAGUGCUUGGUGUGACUCCCAUUGAAUCAUUGUUUUAUCGUGUCAAACCUAAUGAUGAUGGGGCUGGAUAUGAAUCCACUUUGGUUGAAAAACGCCCCAAUGAUUCGGAGUCCAUCUAUCUUGAUGCUAAAAGCAUUGAAAGUGGAGUAGAAGAUAAUAAAACCUUGAGUAGUAACGAAAUUACUACUUUGGAUUUCAAAGAAUUCAAUUAUGAUAGUUGCUCCUUGGUUGAAUGCAUUUCCUUGAUGCAAUCCAUGCUAAACUCUCCACACGCUUAUAGCCAAAACAAGGCCUUUACAGAUCAUAUCGUCGAAGCUAUGAUAAAAUCCCUUGAAGAGAAACUUGAAUUGGAAGUCUCUAUCCCUAGAAAGCUUCAUGAUGAGUGGGAACCUACUAUCAAAAUCAAAAUCAAAAACUAUGAAUGCAAUGCUUUAUGUGAUUUGGGUGCUAGUGUUUCCGCGAUUCCAAAGUCUUUAUGUGAUGUUCUGGGUUUUAAUGAGAUUGAAGAAUGUUCUCUUAAUUUGCAUCUUGUGGAUUCUACUAUCAAGAAACCCAUGGGAAGGAUAAAUGAUGUUCUUAUUAUUGCAAAUAGGAACUAUGUACCCGUGGAUGUCAUUGUGCUUGACAUUGAUUGCAAUCCUACAUGCCCUAUCAUUCUUGGUAGACCUUUCCUAAGGACUAUCGGUGCUAUCAUAGAUAUGAAGGAAGGGAAUAUUAGAUUUAAAUUUCCAUUUAAGAAGGGCAUGGAGCAUUUUCCUAGAAAUAAAAUAAGAUUGCCUUAUGAAUCCAUGAUGAGGGCUACUUAUGGUUUGAGCACCAAAGACGACGAUACGUGAUUCUAUCGCCUUAUGCCUAGCUAAGGGCGUUAAACAAUAGCGCUUGUUGGGAGGCAACCCAAUGAAUUUAUCUUUUUCUUUCUGUUUUGUCGCGUCCACACCAUCAUAAUUCUGUUAUGAUAGUGUCUUUUGUGUUUCUUUUUGUGUUUGAGCCAAGCAAAACCUUUAUGACUAGUCUUGGUGAUGGUUGUUUGAUCCUGCUGGAAAAAGACAGAAACUUUUUGAUCACGAGAUUAUUUUUCAUUUUUAUUCAGAAAGAUAUUUUGCGUUGCUCUUUUUUGCUUCUGGUUGAUAUGCCUUUUUCCCAGGCAUUUAUAAUUUUUCAGAAUUUUUGAGAUACCAGAAGUAUACGAAGUAUACAGAUUGCUACAGACUGGUCUGUUUUUGACAGAUUCUAUUUUUGUUGAGUUGGUUGCUUGUUUUGAUGAAACUAUGGAUAGUAUCGGGGGGGGUACUAGCCAUGGAAAAGUGAGAAUACAAUAAUAUAACACCAAUAUAAAUAGAAAUCAAGAUUUCUACAGUACCUAAAGAGGUGGUAGUUUGUUUUCUUGUGCUAAUGUUAUCACGAGUUUCAUUUUAAGUUUUGUCUUGUGAAGUUUUCAAGUUUUGGGUGAUGUUCUCAUGGACAAAGAGAUAAGGAGUGGAAAGAGCUCAAGCUUGGGGCUGCCAAAGGCAUCACAAGCCAAAUUCAAGGACACCAAAAAGCCUAAGCUUGGGGAUGCCCCGGGAAGGCAUCCCCUCUUUCGUCUUCAAUCCAUCGGUAACAUUACUUGGAGCUAUAUUUUUAUUCACCACAUGAUAUGUGUUUUGCUUGGAGCGCCUUGUAUCAUAGGAGUCUUUUAUUUUUGUUGUGUCACAAUCAUCCUUGCUGCACACCUUUUGAGAGAGACAUGCACUCAUCGUGAAUUUGCUAGAAUGCUCAUCGUGCUUCACUUAUAUCUUUGAGCUAGAUAAUUUUGCUCUAUGUGCUUCACUUAGAUCUUUUAGAGCACGGCGGUGCGUGACUUAGUAGUUGGCUUAUGCUACGAAAGUAGUCCCAAAGGUGAUAGGUACCCAAAGAGGAUACAAAAACCUCCAUCUUCAUGUGCAUUGAGUAGAAAGAGAAGUCUUGAUUCCUCUCAAUUAGUUUUGAGACAUGGAUUUGGUAAUAUUAAGAGUUAUGUUAGUAGGGUGUUGUGAAUCUAAAAAUACUUGUGUUGAAGUUAGUGAUUCCCGUAGCAUGCACGUAUGGUGAACCGCUAUGUUAGGAAGUCGGAGCAUAAUUGAUCUACUGAUUGUCAUCCUUUGUGAUGAGGUCGGGAUCGCGCGAUGGUUAACACCUACCAACCCUUCCCCUAGGAGUAUGCAUUUAGCACUUUGUUUUGAUUACUAAUAAAAACUUCUGCAACAAGUAUGUGAGUUCUUCAUGACUAAUGUGAGUCCAUGGUAUAGAUGCACUUUCCCCUUCCACCAUUGCUAUCCUCUCUAGUUCCGCGCAACUUUCGCCGGUACACAAACCCACCAUAUGCCUUCCUCAAAACAGCCACCAUACCUACCUACUAUGGCAUUUUCGUAGCCAUUCUGAGAUAUAUUGCCAUGCAACUCCCACCUUUUCGUCUCAUGACUUGUGCCGUCACUCUCAUAUUGCCAUUGCAUGAUCAUAAGAUAGCUAGCAAGAUGUUUCAACGUCCUACGCCAAGCUAGAUCGUUGCACAUCCCGGUACACUACCGGAGGCAUUUCCUAUAGAGUCAUCACCGUUCUAAGCUUUGAGCUGUGAGUAAGUAAAAGUGUGAUGAUCAUCAUUAUUAGAGCAUUGUCCAUUGUGAGGAAAUAAAAAAAAUACCAAAGAGCCCAAAUAAAAAAGAAUAGAAAAAAUAGGCCCAAGUGCCCAAAUAAAAAAAGAGAAAAAGAGAGAAGGGACAAUGCUACUAUCUUUUUCCACACUUGUGCUUCAUAAUAGCACCAUGUUCUUCAUGAUCCAAAAGCCUCUCGUUUUGUCACCACCAUAUACUAGUGGGAAUUUUUAUUAUAUAACUUGGCUUGUAUAUUCCAAUGAUGGGCUUCCUCAAAUUGCCCUAGGUCUUCGUGAGCAAGCAAGUUGGAUGCACACCCACUAGUUCUCCCUUUUGAGCUUUCACAUACUUAUAGCUCUAGUGCAUCAUUUGUAUGGCAAUCCCUACUCAUUCACAUUGAUAUCUAUUAAUGGGCAUCUCCAUAGCCCUUUGAUACGCCGAGUCAAUGUGACCAUCUCCUCCUUUUUGUCUCACAACCACCACCACACUCUAUUCCACCUAUAGUGCUAUAUCCACGGCUCACGCUCAUGUAUUGCGUGAUAGUUACAAAAAGUUUGAGAAAGUAAGAGUGCGAAAACAAUUACUUGGCCAAUACAGGGGUUGUGCAUGAUUUAAAUUAGUUGUGUGAGGAUGAUGGGGCAUAGCCAGACUAUAUGAUUUUGUAGGGAUAACUUUCCUUGGCCUUGUUAUUUUUAAAGUUCAUGAUUACCUUGCUAGAUUGCUUGAAGUAUUAUUGUUCUCAUGUCAAUAGCAAACUACUGUUUUGAAUCUUACGGAUCUGAACAUUCAUGUCACUCGAAAGAAGUUAAAAAGGACAACUAUGCUAGGUAGCAUUCCACAUCAAAAAUUCAGUCUUUAUCACUUCCCUACUCGAGGACGAGUAGGAGUUAAGAUUGGGGAUGCUUGAUACGUCUAUAACGUAUCUAUAAUUUUUGAUGGUUUCAUGUUGUUAUCUUGUCAAACUUUGGAUGUUUUGUAUGCCUUUUAUAUCUUUUUUGGCACUAACUUAUUAACUCAGUGCCAAGUGCCAGUUCCUGUUUUUUCCGUGUUUUUCACCCUUUUCAGAGAAGGAUUUUAAACGGAGUCCAAACGGAAUGAAACUUCCAAAAAUAUUUUUUCCGAAACAGAAGAAGAUCGGGGAACUUGAGAACCAAGGCAUGGGGUCACCAGGGACCCCACAAGCCCCCUAGCCGUGGCCAGGGGGCGCGCCUCCCAGGCUUGUGGGCUCCCUGGGCCACCUCUGCUCUAGGUCUUUCGCCUAUAUAUUCCCAAAAAUUCCAGAAAAAAUCAGGAGAUCAUCGAAAGUACUUUUCCGCCACCGCAAGCUUCUGUCUCCGCAAGAUCCCAUCUGGGGCACGUUCUGGUGCCCUGCCGGAGGGGGAUUCGGAUAUGGAGGGCUUCUUCAUCAACACCAUGAUCUCUUCGAUGGUGCGUGAGUAGUUCACCAUAGACCUACAGGUCCAUAGCUAGUAGCUAGAUGACUUCUUCUCUCUCUUGGAUCUUCAAUACAAAGUUCUCCAUGAUCUUCGUGGAGAUCUAUCCGAUGUAAUCUUCUUUUGCGGUGUGUUUGUCGAGAUCCGAUGAAUUGUGGAUUUAUGGUGAGAUUAUCUCAGAAUCUUAUUUGAGUUUCUUCUGAUCUCUUAUAUGCAUGAUUUCAUAUCCUUGUAAUUCUCUUCGAGUUGUGGGUUUUGUUUGGCCAGCUUGAUCUAUGAUUCUUGCAAUGGGAUAAGUGCUUGGUUUUUGGUUCAUACCGUGCGGUGACCUCACCGUGUGAUAGAAGGGGUAGCGAGGGACACAUCAUGUUGUUCACAUCAAGGGUAAAAGAUGGGGUUUUCAUCAUUGGUUUGAGAUUAUCCCUCUACAUCAUGUCAUCUUGCUUAAGGCGUUACUCUGUUCGUCAUGAAAUCAAUACACUAGAUGCAUGUUGGAUAGCGGUCGAUGUGUGGAGUAAUAGUAGUAGAUGCAGAAAGUAUCGGUCUAGUUGUCUCGGACGUGAUGCCUAUAUGUAUGAUCAUUGCCUUAGAUAUCAUCAUGACUUUGCGCGGUUCUAUCAAUUGCUCGACAAUAAUUUGUUCACCCACCGUAAUAUUUGCUAUUUUGAGAGAAGCCUCUAGUGAACACUAUGGCCCCCGGGUCUACUUCACACCGUAUUUUCAGCCUUACACUUUUACUUCGUUGCACUUUCCGCCUUCAGAUCUCACUUUAUAAUCAAUCUUGAAGGGAUUGACAACCCCUUUAUAGCGUUGGGUGCAAGCUCUUUGUGUUUGUGCAGGUACUCUGGAUUUGACGAGAUUCUCCUACUGGAUUGAUACCUUGGUUCUCAAACUGAGGGAAAUACUUACUGCUCUUGUGCUGUAUCACCCUUUCCGCUUCAAGGGAAAAACCAACGCAAGCUCAAGAGGCGACAGAAGGUUUCUGUCGACGUAGUAGAAGGAUUUCUGGCGCCGUUGCCGGGGAAGGAUUUUUGUUACCGUCGCAGACCCCUGUUUGUAAUACCAUACUAUGUUGACUCUUAUGAGUCCUUAAUAAAUUCUUGAGUCAUAGAGUUAAGUUGUGAUGCCAUGUUAUAUCUACACAUAUCAUGCAUAUUGUGUGUAUGUUUUGAAAUGCAUUGUAUGUGUGGAAUUCGACACCUAGUUGUGUGCCUUUAGUAGUACUCUUUACAGGGAAAUGCCUCUUUGUGAUUCCACCGAGCCUUGGUAGCUUGCUACUGCUCCGGACACAUCGAUUGACCGGCAUGUAUCCUUAUUUGCUGAUGUGUUUGUCCCCUCGGGAAAAUGUCAUGUGGUGUAAUGGAGUCCUUGUAGCUUGCUACGACUCGGCUACACAUGUUGUUGACUGACACCUGCUUUGUUGGGUUACGGCUUGUCCCUGUAUGGAUGUGGCACUUGGAUUUAUAACUAGUCAUGUCGACCCGGGUUCUUUGUCGUUCGAAUGCUAGCGACACAUUCAUAUAUGUGAGCCAAAAGACACAAACGAUCCCGGCCAAGGUAAGGUGGUAACCGUGGAGUUUACCGUGCGUGAGGCCGCAAAGUGAUGUGAUGUGUUACAUGAUGGGUUCUUAUGACUUAGGAUCGGGGUCCCUACAUUUGAAUAAAAUACUCAGAUCUGAAAAUCUUUAUUGAGAAAGAGAGUCCUCACAUAGCUACUUUAUUGUUUGACUACUCAUUGAUCUUCACUUAUAUCUUUUGAGAGUAGUUUGAUUGUUUACUCUUGUGUUUCGCUUAUAUCCUAUGAGUAAAUUGUGAAUCAAUGAAAUAUCAUAAAUAUGAAAUUGUCAAUGUGCUUUAUGCUUAGUAGUAGCUUAACAACUUGUUUGGAUAGUAAAAUUUAUUGAAGUUUGACAAUCACAAUAUUGGUGAUACAAGAAAUACAUGAAUGAUUAGUAUAAGGAAGAGAACUUUCACAUACAAAUAUAUUAUCUUGGACAUCUUCUAUGAUUGUGAAUACCCAUUAAUUAUUUUCAAACUUGAGCAAAUUAGUUGAAGUUGGACAAGGAAGACAACAUAAUGUAUGGUUGUGUGUAUUUCCAUAGAAGCUAUAUUGUUAUGGAUCCUGCAACACAUGGUGCUUGUUUAGAACCUUUUGCUAGACAAAAAUCCGUACUAAGUAGAGAUACUACUUGUGCAUCCAAAAACCCUUAUACCCAGUUUCGUGCCAUGAGAGUCCACUAUAUCUACCUAUAUGCGGUAUUACCAUGCCGUUCCAAGUAAAUUUGCAUGUGCCAUCUCUAAAAUCUCAAAUGAACAUCUGUUUUGUGUGCCUCGACAGCUCAUGGACCGACAAAGGGGCGGUCAGUAUCUUCCAUCUUAAGCGAGUUAUUCUCAUGCUGAGAGUUUAUUCACUCGUCCUUGCACUAGAGGGGUGGUAAUAGGGAUUCCCAGUCCCGAAAUAAAUAAAAAUGCAAAUAAUUACACAAAAUCCCCUAGGAAUGUUGUUGGUAUGGAUGGUACCCGUGGAUUUACCGCUUGGGAACCGUCGCUAUUGUGUUUAACAUGGAAGAUAUUGACAACUCUUGGUCAUAACGUUGACAGGAAUGGUGCACCUCCAAAAAUUAUUUUAUCACUGUUUUAAACAAUAAGCUCUAGCACAUAUGCAAAUCCCUACUUCCCUCUACGAAUGGACAAUCUAUUUACUUUCAUGUUAUUUACUUUUCAUGUUGUGUCAACUUAUUAUUCCAACCUACUUAUAUUAGUUGGCAAGCAUCAUGUGGUGGGGAAAGAUCUAGGAACAUAUGGCUAGUCAAAUAUAUUUGAUCAUGACUUAUUUUUGUUGACAAUUAUCUCUAUGAUAAAUAAGUUGGGAGGCAAAACAUUAAGCCCCUAUCUUUCUUUGUGUUCGAUGGAUGCCAUUUGUUCUAAAAAUAUGCUUUGAGUAUUAGCAAUCAUAGGAGACAAAAUGCUUAUUGACUAUGUGGAGGUCUUACUUAGACUUUGUUGAGAAUAAGUUGAAUUGCAACUGUUUGGUGGCUAAGAACAUAGGUUUUUAAGUUUCAAGCGAAUUCAUUGUUUGAACCGUAACAUGUGAAUUGGUUGCUACGUUAUCAUGAUGAAUUUUGUGAGAAAGAGUUGUUGUUGUGAUUCUAGGAAAAGUUAUUGAAAUUAUCAUUGAUCAAACUUAUGCACUAUGCUAGCAUUCACACUUCAUAAAUUAUUUCUUUUAUCAUUUACCUACUCGAGGACGGGUAGGAAUUAAGCUUGGGGAUGAUGAUACGUCUCCAACGUAUCCAUAAUUUACGAAGUAUUCAUGCCAUAUUCACCUAUGUUUACAAUAAUUUUAUAUGGUUUUGAUGCACUUUAUAUGGGGGUGAUUUAUUUAGAACUAACCCGGACUGACAUUGUUUUCAGCAGAACUACCGUGGUGUUGUUUUUUUGUGCAGAAAAUGGAAGUUCUUGGAAUCGCUUAAAACUUUUUGAUGAUUUUUUGGAACAAAAGAGGCAUUAGAUGCUUCGUGGAAUGGCCAGAAGAGCCACAAGGUGGGAACCAUCCCACUAGGGCAUGCCAAACACCCAGGUGUGCCCUGGUGGGUGUUCCUCACCUCGUGGCCCACCUUCGCAUGAAACCAACGCCAAAAAUUCCUAUAAAUAUAGAAACCAUUAGAAAUAUCCCUAGACUCCUCGUUUCGCCACUGCAACUCUGUAUUGAUGAAAAACCAAUCUGGAGGCAUUCUAUUACCCUGCCGGAGAGGGUAGAUCAUCUCCGGGGGCCAUCUUCAUCAUGUCGGCGAAGUCCAUGAUGAGGAGGGAGUAGUCCACCCCCGGGCUGACGGUUUAUACCAGUAGCUAUGUGUUCAAUCUCUCUCUCUCUCUUGUUCCUGAGAUGGCAUGAUCUUGAUGUAUCAGAGGCUUUGUUAAUAUAGUUGUAUCAUAUGGUGUUUUCCCCUCUCUAUCUUGUUGUGAUGAAUUGAGUUUUCCCUUUGAAAUUUUGUUAUUAUCGAAUUUAAUACUUUAUGGAUUUGAGAGCACUUGAUAUAUGUCUUGCAUGUGGAUACCCGUAGUGACAUUGGGGUAUUCAAGUGAUUCACUUGAUAUAUGUUAUGGCGUCAACUUGCGGAUUCCGAUGACCUUGGGGAUCUAUGGAUAGGGAUUGAUUGCACAUUUUCCUACCUUGUUCUCCGAUAGAAAUCUUGGGGCACUCUUUCAGGUUCUGUGUGUUAGAUUGAGUAUUAUGAAUCUAAUUUUUUUUAUGUGUAUAAUAUAAUUAACUCAUGGAUACUUGUGGUAACAUUGGAGUAUAUAGGUCACCUUAGAGUUGGUUGAUGUGUAUCAUAUGGUGUUAUUUUAGUACGAACUCUUGGAUGGAACAAUAAAAAAGGAGGUACAACAAGAGAAGCAAGACCAAUAAUAUCAUCCUUACUAGGCAAAUAUUUCUUAUGCGAUUUUCUACUAAACUUGGAAAAGUUAAAUUCAUGAGAUUCAUCACCAAAGCUAACACCGACAGUUUGUUUCUUAUAGUCUAUUUGGCAUUGACGGUGUUCAAGAAAGGUCUACCAAAGAUAAUGGGAAAAAAGUCAUCUUGUGGGGAGCCAAGAACAAGAAAAUCAGUAGGGUAUUUUAUCUUCCCACACAAGACUUCAACAUCUCUGAGAAUCCCAAUUGGUGAUAUAGUAUCUCUAUUGGCAAGUUUAAUAGUAACAUCUAUGUCUUCUAUUUCAGCAUGUGCUAUUUCAUUCGUAAUUUCUUCAUAUAAGGAAAAAGGAAUAGAACUCACACUAGCACCUAGGUCACAUAACCCAUGAUAACAGUGAUCUCCUAUAUUAACUGAGACAACGGGCAUGCCAACAACUGGUCUAUGUUUAUCUUUUGUAUCCGGUUUGGCAAUUCUAGAAGCUUCAUCACAGAAGUAAAUAACAUGCCCAUCGAUAUUAUCGACAAAGAUAUAUUUAAUCAUUGCAACACUAGGUUAAACUCUGAUUUGUUCAACUGGUUUGGGUGUUCUAACAUAACUUUUGUUAACCAUCGUUGAAGCUUUAGUAUGUUCCUUCAUCCUAACACGAAAAGGUGGUUUUUCAAUAUAAGCAGUGGGAACAACUGGAUGAACAUUGUAAAUCUUCUUUAGCUUUUGCCGGUUCUUUAAUUUCUUCUUUAAUAGGUGGGUGAUAUUUAAACUACUUAUCCUUAGGGAGAUCAGCAUGAGUAGCAAAAGAUUCACAAAAGGAAGCUACUAUCUCAGAGUCAAGUCCAUAUUUAGUGCUAAACUUUUGAAAAGUAUCGAUAUUCAUAAAAGAUUUAACACAAUCAAACUUAGGUUCAAUACCUCACUAUUUACCUUCAUCGAAUUCCCGAUAUUUAGAGUUGCGUUUAAUUCUUUCUAAAAGAACCCACCGGAACUCAAUAGUCUUCUUCAUAAAAGAACCAGUACAAGAAGUAUCGAGCAUGGAUUGAUCAUUACGAGAAAGCCGAGCAUAAAAAUUAUAAAUAAUAAUUUCUCUUGAGAGCUCAUGAUUGGGGCAUGAAUAUAACAUUGACUGAAGCCUCCCCCAAGCUAGAGCGAUACUUUCUCCUUCACGAGGCCAUAAAUUAUACAUAUAAUUCCGACCACGAUGAACUAGAUGCAUAGGAUAUUUUUUUUUAUGGAAUUCCAAUUUCAACCAAUUCCAGUUCCAAGAUCCAAUAUCAUCGCAUAGCCUAUACCAUGUCAAUGCUUUUCCCUUCAAAAUAAAAGGAAAACCUUCUUCUUAGCUUCAUCUCCGGGUAAACCUGCAAGCUUAAACAAUCCACAAAUUUCAUCCACAUAUAUCAAGUGCAUAUCAGGAUGUUCGGUUCCAUCUCCUGCAUAAGGAUUAGCUAGCAGUUGUUCUACCAUACCCGAAGGAAUUUCAUAUUCGCUAUUUUCAUUAGGUACAGUAGGUUGAGGGGCAACUAAUUUUGGUUCCGGUCGAGGUGAAGAUACCCCGAACAAACCCCUCAAAGGAUAGUUUUCCAUAGUAACAAGUGACAAUAAAUUUCAGCAUGUAGUAAUAAUGUUUCCUUACCAAUUUCCACUUACCAACAGCGCUUCACUCCCCGACAACGGUGCCAGAAAAUAGCCUUGAUGACACACAAGUAUAUGGGGUCAAUUGCAGCCUUUUCGACAAGAGUGUUGAACCCAACGAGGAGCAGAAGGAAAUGACAAGUGGUUUUCAGCAAGGUAAUGUCUGCAAGUGCUAAAAUUGUAAGUAGCGAGUACUUUGAUAGCAAGAUAAUUUAUAACAAGCAAGUAACGAUAGUAGUAACAAAAGUGCAGGAAGGUAGCCCAAUCCUUUUGAGGCAAAAGACAGGCCAAAACGGUCUCUUAUGAUAAGCAAAGUGUUCUUGAGGGUACACGGGAAUUUCAUCUAGUCACUUUCAUCAUCUUGGCUUAAUUCGUGUUCGCUACUUUGAUAAUUUGGUAUGUGGGUGGACCGGUGAUUAGGUGUUGUUCUUACUUGAACAAACCUCCAACUUAUGAUUAACCCUCCCACAAGCAUCCGCAACUAUGGGAAAAGUAUAAAGAAUAAAUUCUAACCAUAGCAUUAAACUUUUGGAUGCAAUCGGUCCCUUAUGGAAUAGCGCAUAAACUAGGGUUUAAGCUUCUAUCACUCUCGCAACCCAUCAUCUAAUACCUACUCCACAAUGCAUUACCUUAGGCCCAAAUAUGGUGAAGUGUCAUGUAGUCGAUGUUCACAUGACACCACUAAGGGAAUCACAACAUACAUAUCAUCAAAAUAUCGAACACAUAUCAAGUUCACAUGAUUACUUGCAACAUGAUUUCUCCCAUGACCUCAAGAACAAAAGUAACUACUCACAAAUGAUAAUCAUGCUCAAGAUCAAAGGGGUAUUCAAUAGCAUAAUGGAUCUGAACAGAUAAUCUUCCAUUAAAAUAAACCAUAUAGUAAUCAACUACAAGAUGUAAUCAACACUACUAGUCACCCACAAGCACCAAUCUAUAGUUCCGGUACGAAGAUUGAACACAAGAGAUGAACUAGGGUUUGAGAGGAGUUAGUGUUGUUGAAGAUGUUGAUGAAGAUAGCCCUCCCCAAGAUGGGAGAGUUGUUGGUGAUGAUGAUGACGAUGAUUUCCCCCUCCGGGAGGGAAGUUCCCCCGACAGAAUCGCUCCGUAGGAGGGAACAAGAGCUCCUGCCCAAGUUCCCCCUCGAGACGGCGGCUCUUCGUCCCGAAAUUCCUCGUCUCCUAUUUUCUAGGUCAAAAUGACUUAUAUACCAGAAGAGGGGCACCGAACGUGGGCCUGUGUGAGCACAACCCACCGGGGCGUGCCUGGGCUACCUAACUCGCACAGGUGGGUUGUGCCGCCUAGUGGGAUCCCUAUGGUACUUAUUUGCUCCAAUAUUCCUCAAAUAUUCCAUAAAAAGUCCUAGUAAAGUUUCAUCUCAUUUGGAGUUGUGCAGAAUAGGUAGCUUGACGUAGCUUUUUCACGUCCAGAUUUCGAGCUGCCAGAAUUCUCCCCCGUUGUGUAUACCCUGCAUAUUAUGAGAGAAAAGGCAUUAGAAUUACUCCAAAAAGCAUUUUUAUAAAAUAAAACAACAUAAAUAAAAGUAGGAAAGCAUGAUGCAAAAUGGACGUAUCAAGUAUCACCCAGCUGUAACAUGAAUCCGACAUGGUCAAACCACCCCAUCUCACUUCCGAUCAAAGGUGGACUAUGGCACAUGCGCCUCGCAACACGAACAUCCUGACCAAAGAAUCAACAUUGGUCAAACCUCAGUCGCUGUCGGUCGAACUAAUGGAUGUCCACCGAGGCCCAUGAAUGGGCGUGACGCCGAUAACCACGCGGUGGAGUGUCUGAAGACACCCAUCAUGUGCCUAUGGCACAAACAUAUAUAUGGAAAUUUUGUGUCAAUUAAUAUACCUCAUGUGCAACUUUGAUGUGGAACAUGCUUUGGAACCAACCCCCCCCCCAACCAAGUGUUCAUGACGCGUACAACGAGUAUGCCGAGCACCGAUGGAAACGAUUCACACGUACGUACACAUGCACUCAGGCUUUGGUAAAGAAACUCAAUGACUUAUAAUAUAUAGCAUAACCCAAACCAAGAAGAUUCCACCAUGGUAACCUCUCUCUUGUUAUCAGUCAACGUGAUGGACAUCCAUGCGGGCCCAUGAAUGGGCUUUCCAUCGACAACCACACGAAGGAGUGUCCGAAGAAAACCACCGUCUAAGAAUGAAUCAAACAUUUGUAUGGCAGUUUCGUGUGAUGUUUAAAUACCCAACACACAAACUUUGAUAUGGCACCUUCCUCGGUAAUCUUAAAGUCCACACAUGGAGGGAGGUUCAUGACAUGUAGUAUAUAUAUAUAUGCCCCCACCAUUCGAGCAUGUGGGAGGCAUUCAUGCGUACAUAUGCACUCAAAUUAUACCAUAUAAUCUCAUGACAUGACCCUACAAACACAAACCAAAAAUGAAUCAACGGUAAUUAACCAGUCUCAUUGCGAUCAAAGUACACGAGGCCACGGAUGCGAGCGAUAGUGAUGACUGCGAGAGGGGGCCGGUGUCUGAGGACAACCACCGCCUCCAUGCUGCCCUAACAUAUGUAUGGAGGUGUUGUGUGAUGUUUUGAAUACCCAAUGCACACCUUUUAUGUGGCACCUUCGCAACCGGAAAAUACCAUGCGGGUCCACAACGUGUACACUUACUUAUAGCCGGUCGGAGCACGCGCGUGUACACAUGUGCUCAAACUUUCAUUUGGAAUCUCACCAUGAUCUACACCGAAAAACGGACUAAUAUGUCCUGAGGAGGCCCCCUACGGGUCUUGAUGAUAUUCCUUCUCACGAGGAUUGGCCCAUCGCAAGGGUCUUGCCUUGAGUAGUGUCGGGCCUGUUGGGUUUUAGUCGAUGAAGUGGGCCGACCCUGGGCCGCAAGCAGGCAGGUCUGGGUAGCCCCAUUCCCAGAACGCCGACAGUGGCCACCGGGCCCAAGGCGCGCAUGGGCUGGCUUCUUGGCGAAGCCUUGAGGGCAGCCCGAAGCGUCGGGGGCCCUAAUUGCCUGUGGACCAGGCAGCACAUGUGUCUAGCAGCCAUGCGGUGACGCUCUCGCUCCUCGAGGCGUCUGGGGCGCACCAGACCAUGAUAGCACGAUCUCCAAGAACCGCGUCAGCCAUCAUUGUUACAUUGAAUGGCAUCGGUGCGGCCUGCCCACGCCCAACGGCCCUCACGGACGUGACCGCUCGGUUGACAGGUGAGGCGACGUGGGCGGCAAUGCCCUUGUCGGCCCACCUCGCGGCACCCGAGGGGCGCGCAAUGAUUGUGCUGCCAUGAUGCUUGGUGGCCGCAACUCGCCUAUAAAUCUGCCCCGCCCCUCGCAAGGGGGAGGCAUUGCAAUCUUCAGCUUCCUCUUUGCUUCCUUUACUCCGCCGAGAAAAACCUAUUCUCCCCUUCGCUUCUUCGUCUUCCAUUGCGACCCCAGGGGGCGAUCCUGGCAGGGAGAAACACGUGGCUCCGUCCGCGCCCUCGUCCGCCCCCGGGAGCAGCGGCGGAGGGCCCUCAGGGUCGUCGUGCAUCCGCCACCAUUGGGCUCUGUCCGAUGAGCGAGUCCCUCGUUUGCACCCCUUUCCUUGUUGUCACGUCCGUUGUUUGGUGGUUCAUCUCCCCUUUUCUACAGAGCGCCGGAAGCCAAGAAGCUCAAGCUUGGCAAGCUUCAGGAGGAGGCAGAGCGGCUGCGGGCUCAGCUCGAGAGUGCCAAGGCCGCCCUCCUAGCCGCCCUCCAGGGCAAAGCGGAGGUCAAGGCGGAGUUGACGCCGCUGCAGAGGCAGGUCGAGGUGGCGCCUAACGUCAUUCAAGACGCCCAGGACAAGGCGGCAUACGCCCGGAUGAUGGAGUCCCAACAAGUCAAGUAGUUUGAGAGCAUCGCCGGCCGGGCGGCGCGUGCGAUGCGUCGAUUCGUGGGGGAUGCCCCAGCACUACCAAGGGUGAGCAGCAACGGGGGCUACCUCACCUUCUUCCAGAAGGUGGUGGAGACGCUGGAGGCCGGCGUCUCCCGCAUGGAGGAGGACAACGCGUCCGACGCGCGCGAGCUUCUGCGCCUUGCCUUGACGCUCGUCUUCUCCAACCUGCGACGCCUCAUCCCGGAGCUUGAUCUCCAGCGCGUCGUAGAGCUGGUGCCCGCUGAGUCCCGGUGCCUUCUCCGGGACGAAGUGCACCCACGCGUGGACGCUCUGGUGGAGCGGUACGUCCGGGUGCCCGUCUCGUGAGGAGGACUCCGACGCCGAGCCUGCUGGCGCCAAGGGUGGUGUCGGCGGCCUCUCCCCCUAGGCGUCCCCCAGCUUCUGUUUCCAUGUCCCUGUAAUAUUUGAUCAUGAACUUUGCCCUGUCAGGUGUUAGUCCUUUGUAUGUUACCUUCGCCAUUCUCCCAUUUUCCUUUCGCCCUCGAAUCGAUGGCUUGCUUCCUGGUAGUCAUUGCGUCUUGGCUUCCUUGCAUAGGGCCCGUCGAUGACCCAGUCGUUGCUCGGGGGCAACGAUGGUCGGGGCCCUCAGGAGGUCCCAUCCUCCUGAGGCAUCGUUUGUGCCGCUGCACGCUUGGUCGAUGGCCUCGUUCUUUGUCACAACUUAGUCCUUAGUCCCUGCAUCCUCUCGUUAGUACGCAUGCUUUUAAUUCGUUCUUGAUUCGACGCGAAACCAUAUGGCCCCUGUGUAAGAUAGCGGGCUAGUUAGCUCGUGGGUUUGUGUUGGUCCCUUCCACAACUCCUCGUGAGUAGAUCAUGUGUUGUUGCUAGGACGGGGUGGAGACCCUUUUGGCACUCUAUGUCUGCAGGUCCCGAUCCUGCACAUUUCCCUGCCGCCGUGAGGCGCAACACGUUACCAGGGUUGUUCCUCACGGGGCAAAGCCCCACCGCCCUAGGUGCCGACAUGGGCGACACCUGGGUGGCCGAGUGGCUUUGCGACCAGUAAGGCCCCUGAGGCAUGUUGCUCAGGAGCCCCCCUUGACACUCAAGCCAUUCUACGUCGACAGGCCCCCAUCCCGCACAUUUCCCCACCGCCGUUAGGUUUGAUGCACUUCACGGGGUGGGGCCCCGCUGCCCCCGAGACCGACCUGAGCUCCAGGACGGCGCCAGGGGUGGCGAGUAGCAUUAUGACCGGUAAGGCUCCUGAAGGAGUGCCAGGAGCCCCCUUUGGCGCUCGAGCGAUUCCCCAUUCCGUCCCUUUGGUCAUCUCCCCAGGGCACCCUGAGGCUUCCCGAGACUCUUUGUGGUGGUAUCUUUCUCCGAUCCGAGCCCCCGAGCGGGGGUUGACCGCUGAAAAUGUUUGCCCCUGGGACGGCAAGUCCUUGCUUUCAUGCUCCUUAGCGCCUAGGGGCAGUGAGGAGCGUUCAUCUCCUCAGAAAAUGGCAUCCAAAAAAGGAGGCUUAAAAGCCGGCGAAACGAGAAAGUGCAAGAGAAAGUCCCCCCCCUUUUUUGUUUUUCAAACAUCAACUCUGAAAUCGGCAAAUUUAAGUUCAGCAGAGGAUAACUCAAGCUCCAGGAAGAAGCAAGCAAACGCGGCGUCUGGCACCUAGGCUAAUCUCCGCCGCCAUCUCCCCCCAGCUACGGGCAUAGUUAUUGGCGAAUAAAGUUGAUUGCCUCUGUCUUCUCCCUAGCGCGGAGCGUAGGGCUACCACUAGGCGUGGGAUGGACCCCUUCCGCAUCCUCGAGGGGGCCUGGGCGUAUACAACCUCGGCUUGUUAUUACGUGAGAGUGUCAUGGUGGAGGUGUAUCUGGGAGGUUGUGAGGAUGCUUCUGCCUCGCGAGUGUUCCUACCCCCGAGGCAUAGGCGUAUGAUUCCUUUGGGUCAUUGGUGGACCGUGUUGAUUGCCUCCAUCUUCUCCCCAGCGCGGAGCGUAGGGCUUCCACUAGGUGUGGGAUGGACCCCUUCCGCGUCCUUAGGGGGCCCUGGGCAUAUACAGCCUUGGCUCAUUAUUAUGUGAGAGUUUCACGGGAUGAAGUAGGUUCCGAAAGGAUUGAAGGAUGAUGUGCAGGUGCCAUGGGUUGAUGCAGGUCCUGCGGGGACUGUAGGGCGAACUUGAGGGUGCUCCGGCCUCGCAAUGUUUCCUCCUUGGGGGCGGUUUGCCCCUGAUCCCUUUUGUAGAUUGGGCCCUUCGAGACCCCGCCCGCUCCUUCUCCUGAGACUGAUUGAGGGCUUUUCUAUUUCUCCACAUUAGUAGGUCCCAGUCCCUCACAUUUCCCUUCCGUCGUGAGGCACCUCAUGGGGCAAGGCCCCGACACCCCUGAUACCGACCGAAUGUGCCUGGACGGCACCAGGGUGGCCAAGUGGCUUUGUGACCGGUAAGGCUCCUGAGGCGCGAUGCUCAGGAGCCCUGUCGUGGUUUUGUCACAGCAGAUGUCCUCGUGAAAGGACUUAGUACUGGAGCCAUCGCACCUUGGUGGCGACUCAAAGGGGUUAAACGGGAGAGACACGGCGAUUUACCCAGGUUCGGCCCCUCGAAUAGAGGUAAUAGCCUACGUCCUGCUUCGUGUGUAUUGAUGUGGAUUCGAUUAGAAGGAAGGCGUAACUCGCCCUAACCUAGCACUCGAUGAUUUCUAACUUCCCUCUCCCCCUCCAGACUCGCCUUUAUAUAUAGGUCGAAGCCUUAGAGUUUACAAGAGUCCCAGCCGGUUUACAAAUCGUGACCACCGCGGUCUCUAAGUCGCCGUCUUGCGAACCCAGAGUCCUUCCACAAAUCACAACCAUCCUGUGACUUCGAACCGCCCGGACAGAGGCCCAACUAGCCUUAAAGGAUGAAUCGCCUUAACAGUGACCCGGCCCAUAUUUGGCGGGUCAUAACUGCAGGCAAUAUCCCCAACAUUAGCCCCCGAAUUGACUUGAAUCUUCAUGCCAAUACCUUCAUUUUAGUCGAAGGCGAUUCACUCUUCUGUGUUCCUUCUUGCACCAGAAAUCUUAACUCGCCAAUUGGUGUCGGAAAAAGUCUCUGAGCCGCCAACGCAUUUCCCAUCAGUAUUCUCCUUAGCCCUCGAUUUUCGGGAAUCCCAACACAAUCUCAACGGAUCUUUUGGGCGCAUCAUUAUCCCAAAAAUUUCGGAUGUCAUCAUGGCGAAUCUUGUCUUUCUCAACGGUUCCCGCUCACGGCGCCUCGAUCCCCGCGCCCAUCCUUAUAAAUAGGCAGAAGGGACAGGGCUGACACCGUCCACCUACCUGUCCCGUCGAUCUCUCCACCAUCAUCACAGCGAGGAAAAGGCGCUCCGCAUCCCGAAAGCUCCGCCGCCGGCCACAAUCUCUGCCUCCGUCCGAAGAACUCCGGAGCCACCCGCAAGCCGUCGCCGUCCGAGAAGCUCCGACGCCGCCCGCAAACCUUCGCCGUUCGAAGAGUUCCGGCACCACCCGCAAGCCGCUGCCGUCCGAAGAGCUCCGGUGCCGCCUACAAGUUGCUGUCGUUCGAAGAGCUCCGGCGCCGUUCGUGGGACUCCAGCGCCGCCCGUACGUCGUCGCCGUCGCCAGGCUCCAUCGUCACCAAACUUCUUCGGCCAAGAUCUUCAGGUUAGACCACUGCUUCCUUCUGUAGAGGUAGAUUUAGUUCUUGUUCUCGCCGCCGCCAUUGCCAUAGCUUCGAAGUUCUAUGUUCGCCGCCAUUUUAGCUGUUGAACCGAUUAGUUCGAGCGCCAUUAGGGCACCCAGUGUUUCGGACAAUGCUAUCCAUCUGUGCCCUUGCGGAUUUUCGCAACAGAAUAGUCUUUUUGAACAUGAGGCACCAUCCUGAUCACACACCGCUCAUGUUUUAGCCACGUCCGCAAGCUGUUAUAUCUGUUGGAUAGAUCCAUUCCUCUUUCACUGUUUGCAAAAAGCUGUUUGGAAACCUCGUUCUUCCCUUAGCGUUUCGGAAAGAAUAAAUGUUACCACCCAUAGUAGCGUUGCUUCUGAAAAUAGCCCUGCUCCGAUAAGUCGCCACAUCAAUCCAACCUGGCCUCCCAAUUCGGCGGGUUAAACAGACGCUAGUUCCGACUUACAUAAUAAAUCCUCGAGACACGUAAUACCAUUUUCUUGCCUAUUUGUAGCAUGGGUGCCGUUUUCAAGAGUGAUUGGCUCCCCACCAAAGUUGACGAUGUUGUUUUGGCGAAUUACGUGAAAACGGGCUGCUUGGAUCCUCAAGACGUCAUUGGAUGGCGCACCGGGUUGGGAGAAGACCUACCCAACCCUAAGGAAGGAGAGAUAGUAGUGUUUGUGGAACACUUAGAACGGGGUUUUAAACCGCCCGGAUCUAAAUUCCUUAGAGACGCCCUGACUUUUAUGAACGUACGACUCCAAGAUUUGGGACCCAAUUCCAUAAGCAACCUGAGUCAAUUCCAAGUCCUUUGCGAAGCUUAUUUGCGGAUUGAACCUUCCGUCCCUCUGUUCUGGUACUUCUUCCACCUGAAUCGCCAGACGGAAUUCCACAACGGCCCCAGUUAGGAACUCGGCGGGGUCAAUGUCCAGCGUCGCCGGGACAGUCCGUUCCCUGCGCUCAUUAUGCCUAGCCAUCCCAAGGGCUGGGGUGAAUCUUGGUUCUACUGCAAGGAAACAUCCCCCGCCAGCGAAAACAAACUUCAGGGUUACAGGCCAAGCCGCCUCCCAGUCAACUUCAAGCUCCCUGACAAGCUCACCGAGGAGGAAGAGUCGGAAUUCGUCCCAAUUCUGUCCGAACUGAGAUCUUUGACGAAUAACGGUCUCACCGGGGUUGACUUGAUUCGCUGCUGGGUCGAAUGGCGGAUCCUUCCUCUGAGCCGCCGAGACGGCCUGAUGUGCGAUUUUGACGGUACCCUGGAUCAUCCCCAAUGCUACUUCCACACAGCGUUGACGGAAAAAGACAUAGUCACCAUCAUCAGGAAGCUGACCGGCGAACCUGCAGCGAAAUGCGGCCAAAUCGGCCUUAAGCCCUUCUGCAAGAUCAACCCGGCACCCAAGGUAUCCAAAGCUAACUCGCCCUCAAUUUUUACUUCAUCUGGUUUACGGUCAUCAUGACUUCGUGCCAUAUCCCCUUCCAGAAAGGUGACAAGUUCUGGUCUAGAAGACCUAAGAAACAAGCCAUGAAGAGUGCUAAGCCGCCUUCCAAGAAAAACAAAGGCAAAGGCAAAUCGGCCGCGGCCGAGCCAUCCGAAGUCGACGAAUCUCAAGCCGGCGACGCACUCUCAGAGGUACCAAUCCGUCCUCAUCUUCACUCGCCAUUCAUCACCUUUUUAUCUUUUACUUAUCUCUCGCUUCUUUUAUAAUAGAAUGAAGAUAACGAGAGCCAGGAAGACUCUGUCGAGGUAAUUUCCGUCUCUUCCGAUUCAUUUCCUUCUCCACCUAAGCCGGCCCGGCGAAUAUGUGGAGAAGUACCUCUCUCACAUCCAAAUGCCCAUUUGGACCCAAAUUUCUUACUGAAGAAAACGCAGCACGCCUCAAAACGGAAAACGCGAAGUCAUUCUGGCGACCUGACACCUGGCUUGCCAACAAGGAACAAAAGAAAACCAAGCGAGGUACCUCCUUUUCUUAUGUGAGCAACCAUUGUUCGUGCUGCUUUGGGUCACAGUCCUAACCCGCCAGUAUUAUAAAUGUACCAAUUCUGCAGGAUUCUCCCCCCACUUCUGGCGACUCAGUGAUGUCGACCCUUCCUCCAAUGAUCCGAGUCCCGGGGUAAAUUCCUUGUCCUGAUCCUUGAGAAUGAUACUCUUUUAUGUAUAUUUUUUAACACGCCUAUUUCUUUCAUUAGGGCGCAAGCAAAGAAGAGGAAGACCAGUGGAUCAAACCCUGACGCCACUCCUGAACCUCCAAAGAAAGCUAUUCCGACUCAAGAGGAUCCGGGUCAAAACGAGCCGACAACUCAAGCAAACCCUCCUGAGUCGCCCAAAGGAUCAACGGAUGUCCCUAAAUCACCGGUCGUAAUGGCGACAGCUGAUGACCCAGAUGUUGUGGUCAUUACUGGUUUUGGUUUCUCCAAGCCGGCAGAGACAAUCCUCUCCAAACACACAGCAUCCCCUUCUCCAUCAAUUCUCGAGUCUGGGCCUUCCAAGGAGAAACUUUCUGACUAUGCAGGUCUAGAGUUUAAAGAACUCUGUUCUGGCUUCGCAAGUCGCCUGGAAGCGAGUUACGAGAUGGAAAAGAAUCUGCUGAAGAUGUUAAACAACAAGCAUGAGGUAAAAAUUUAUAUUCUAUAUUAUCCUCAGUAACCCCCAAGGGCCGGGUCAUCAGUAAAAUGAUGAGCCGGGUCUUUUAAAAGCUUCGCAACCAAUAACCCCCAAGGGCCGGGUCAUCAGUAAAAUGAUGAGCUGGGUCUUUUUAAAAGCUUCGCAACCAAUAACCCCCAAGGGCCGGGUCAUCAGUAAAACGAUGAGCCGGGUCUUGAUUUCUGUAUAAUUUUCCUCGAAAAAUUAUACAUUAGCCCCCAAGUGUCAGGGGUAUUGCCUUGCAAUAAUUCUGAGACUUGUCUCUGUUUUUAAAUUUUAAACAGGAAAGCCUUGCCCAGACCGAACUGGCCCUGGGCGACUUAAAGAGAAACUUGGUUGACCAACAAGAUGCCCGAGCUCAGUCGGAAGACAAAUAUAAGCUGGCUCUGGUUGAACUGGAGAAACUCAAGGCCGAGUUAGAAAGAACCCAGGCUGACCACAGUGCGAUUUUGACGAGAGCCGAAAAAGCAGAAGCAAAACUGGCAACUGUGCAGCAGGAGCUAUCCGGCUUAAAGCGUCAUAUUUCCAACAUGACUCAAGCCAUCUUUGGUAAGCUUUACCUAACUCGCCAAUCUUAUCCUCUUCCUUGGGCAAAAUUCCUCAAUGUUUAACUUACCGAUUUUUUAAUCACAGGCUCGAGAGUCGCCAAUCUGCAAGACGACAGCGUGUUGAUGCUGAAGGCGAUCUAUACGCUGACGGAACAGCUGUACACAGGCAGUGUGCUGACCGUCAAAGCUGUGAUCGGUGCGAAGGAGCCCAUAACUUCUAUCAAGAAGGUGCUUGGAUAUCUAUCCACGCUGCCUCCCCAGAUCGGCGAGUUAACCCGAUCAGCCGCCCGGAAGGGUGUCCUGACGGCCCUGAGUCGCUGCCUGGCGUAUGCUCCAGAAAUCAAUUUGGAAGAAGUAGCUGCCGGUUUCCCUCAGCUUAAAGAUGACGGCUCGGAAUUUGUGGAGGAAGACUACCAGAAGGUUGUCAAGGACUCUCGACUGGCCGCGACUCAACUCGCCGCCAGCCUCGACUUGACAAAAUAUCAGGCGGCUUAUGAUGACAAGAAUAAGAAAAUCAACCCGCCAACCUUCGUGGUGACCAACCUUAUCCCUCGGCGACCCAAGAACCCCUUUGACUGGGAAACGGACCUGGCAUCAAUCUUGACUGAUGAAGACGAUUUCGCCUCUUUGUCCAGAUGCAAUUGGGUCUUGGGUGAUUUACAAAUCGAAGCUGGUCAGAGCUCACGCCAGAACUUAGCGGAAUAGGUUUUCCUUGAAUCUGGCCCGAGAGCCAUGUAAUAGUCAGUACUAUCUUUUGAUGACAUCUUCUGCAAAAAAACCCUUAUACCGUUUUUUGAGGCGGUUUAAAAUAUUUGGUUAACCUUUAUUAGAAUCGCCUGAAAUGCUUAACCCGCCAAGGAUGAAAACCUUGAGCACAUUAUCUGUGAAAAUAAAAGAAUCACAAACAGUUUCAAUGAGUAAGCAGUACGGGAAAAAAUUUCCAAAGUCAAAUCAUAACACGAGCAAUUUUGUUGGCUCAUAUGAUCGCGACAGGGAGGGGGCGAGUCAACAAGCUCGCGCACCCACCCUUAAUGCAGGUUUCGUCGGCUCAUAAGGUCGCGACAGGGGGAGGCGAGUCAGAAAGCUCGUGCACCCACCCAUUAUGCAGGUUUCGUCGGCUCAUAAGGUCGCGACAGGGGGAGGCGAGUUAGAAAGCUCAUGCACCCACCCUUAAUGCAGGUUUCGUCGGCUCAUAAGGUCGCGACAGGGGGAGGCGAGUCAGAAAGCUCGUGCACCCACCCAUUAUGCAGGUUUCGUCGGCUCAUAAGGUCGCGACAGGGGGAGGCGAGUCAGAAAGCUCGUGCACCCACCCUUAAUGCAGGUUUCGUCGGCUCAUAAGGUCGCGACAAGAUAUCAUGAAAUUGCUCUUUCUUUAAAGAAGAAGCCCCCCAAGUCAGGGAAACAUUAUAUUAUUCCAUAAGGAAAACUGAAAAACUUACAAAGCAUGGAGUUUUAAGAACUCAAGUGUAAUAAGGCCGCAAAUGGGCAAUAUUCCAAGGGCGAGUUGACUCAGCCCCCGUAGUUGGUCGAUCAGACCGAAGAUCCAUCAAGUAGUAAGAACCGUUGCGGAGGUUCUUGCUGACAACGAAAGGUCCCUCCCAAGGGGGAGAAAGUUUGUGCAUGCCUGUCCGAUCUUGUAUUAGUCGAAGCACCAAAUCGCCUUCCUGGAAGGUACGACUCUUCACCCGGCGGCUAUGAUAACGCCGCAGAUCUUGCUGAUAGAUCGCCGAACGAGCCGCUGCUAAGUCGCGUGCUUCUUCCAAGGCGUCCAAAGAGUCUUGACGCGCCAGCUCGUUGUCCUGCUCCACAUAUGCGGCGACUCUAAGAGAAUCAUGCCUUAUGUCAGUAGGGAGAACGGCCUCUGCCCCAUAGACCAAGAAGAAAGGGGUGAACCCCGUGGACCGAUUCGGGGUGGUUCGGAUGCUCCAUAAUACCGAAGGUAACUCCUCCACCCAACAUCCUGGAGUUCUUUCCAGGGGAACUAUGAGCCGAGGUUUGAUCCCUCGCAAAACUUCCUGAUUCGCCCGCUCGGCCUGUCCGUUUGACUGCGGGUGAGCAACUGCAGAGAUAUCAAGCCGGAUAUGUUCACGGUGAAAAAAAUCCAGCAUCGCUCCUUGGGACAGGUUAGUACCAUUGUCUGUGAUGAUACUGUGCGGAUAUCCAAAUCGGAAAAUCAGCUUUUUCAGAAAUUUUACCGCAGUCUCCGUGUCGCAAGCCCCAACUGGCUCCGCCUCAAUCCACUUAGUGAAUUUAUCAACCGCCACUAAUAAGUGAGUUUUCUUGUUGGAGGACAUCUUAAAGGGACCGACCAUGUCCAACCCCCAAACCGUGAAAGGCCAAGUAAUAGGGAUCAUCCUCAAUUCUUGAGCCGGCACAUGAGCCUGUCUCCCGUAGCGUUGGCACCCCUCACACCGCCGUACUAUAUCUUCUGCGUCUGCGUGAGCCGUCAACCAAAAGAAACUGUGUCGAAAAGCUUUUGACACCAAAGAACGUGACCCGGCGUGAUGUCCGCAGUCUCUAGAAUGGAUGUCAUUAAGGAUCGUGCAUCCUUCCUCGGAGGAGACGCACCGCUGAAAGACCCCUGAAGCACUUCGUUUAUAUAGCUCGCCAUUAAUGAUGACCAUGGACUUGCUACGCCGAACAAUCUGGCGAGCCAAGACUUCGUCAAUGGGUAACUCGCCAUGGGCAAGGUAAGCUAGAUAAGGAAGAGCCCAAUCCGGAGCGAUAUGGAGAGCCGCCACAAGCUGAGACUCGGGAUCUGGGAUCGCCAAUUCCUCCUCCGUGGGUACAGUAACGGAUGGUUUAUGCAAGAUAUCCAAGAAGACAUUAGGGGGGACCGGUUUUCUCUGUGAGCCGAGUCGCGAGAGGGCAUCAGCUGCUUCAUUGAGUCGCCGAUCAACAUGAUCAACCUGGUAUCCAUGAAAGUAGCCCGCCACGUCAGAUACGGCUCGUGUGUAAGCCGCCAUCAUAGGAUCUCGAGAAUCCCAGGUGCCCGAAACCUGUUGCGCCACCAGAUCUGAGUCCCCAAAACAUCUGACUCGGGUUAGGUUCAUCUCUUUUGCUAGUCGCAAACCGUGGAGCAGAGCUUCAUACUCUGCCGCAUUAUUUGUGCAAGGGAACAUGAGCCGGAGGACGUAGCAGAACUUAUCUCCUUGAGGGGAUAUCAACACCACACCAGCCCCCGAGCCCUCCAACUGCCUGGAUCCAUCAAAAUAAAUAGUCCAAUAGGUAAGGUCAGGGCGAUCUUCCGGAGCCUGAAGCUCCGUCCAAUCAUUGACGAAAUCAACCAGCGCCUGGGACUUGAUGGCCGUGCGGGGGGUAUACUGUAUGUGAUGUGAUCCAAGUUCUAUCGCCCACUUGGCGAUUCGCCCUGUUGCCUCGCGGUUUUGGAUGACGUCGCCGAGGGGCGCGGAACUGACCACGGUGAUUGGGUGUUCUUGGAAAUAAUGUUUAAGCUUCCGACUCGCCAUGAACACUACGUAGACCAGUUUUUGCCAAUGGGGGUACCGUUGUUUGGAGAGAGUUAACACCUCACUGAUAAAGUACACUGGGCGUUGUACCGGGUAUUCCUUUCCUUCCUCUUUUCUUUCGACGACCACGGCCACGCUGACCGCUUUGGAAUUCGCGGUGAUAUAGAGGAGCAUGGGCUCCUUUUCAGUCGGGGCCGCCAGGACCGGCGGGUUAACCAGCUGACGUUUCAAGGCCUGAAGUGCCUCGUCGGCUUCUUCUGUCCACACGAAUCGGUCAGACUUCCUCAACACUUGAUAGAGCGGAAUCACCUUUUCUCCGAGGCGGCUCACGAAACGACUGAGAGCCGCGAUGCGACCCGCCAAUCGCUGGACUUGGUUAACGUUCGUCGGCUUGCCGAGGGAGGCAACCGCUUCAAUUUUGUCCGGGUUAGCCUCGAUGCCGCGCUCCGAUACCAAGAAACCCAGUAGUUUUCCCGUAGGUACGCCGAAAACGCACUUGGUAGGAUUUAGCUUCAUCUGAUAUACCCGUAAAUUAUCAAAGGUUUCCUUAAGGUCUUCCAGAAGUGUCUCCUCCCGGCGGGUCUUGAUAACAAUGUCGUCAACAUAAGCAUGGACGUUGCGGCCAAUUUGGCUGUGGAGACAAUUCUGGAUGCAACGUUGGUAAGUCGCCCCUGCGCUCUUGAGCCCGAACGGCAUGGACACAUAGCAAAAGGCCCCGAAGGGAGUUAUAAAAGCAGUCUUUUCUUGAUCUUCCACAGCCAUUUUGAUCUGAUGAUAACCUGAGUAAGCGUCCAAAAAGCACAAUCGUUCGCAUCCCGCCACCGAGUCAAUGAUUUGGUCGAUGCGGGGAAGAGCGAAAGGAUCCUUGGGGCAAGCUCUGUUGAGGUCCAUAUAGUCAAUGCACAUACGGAAGGUGCCAUUCUUCUUGAGUACUAACACCGGGUUAGCUAGCCAUUUGGGGUGAAAGACUUCCACGAUGAACCCGGCGGCUAAAAGACGGGCGACUUCCUCUCCAAUCGCCUUCCGUCGCUCCUCGUUAAACCGGCGGACGUACUGUUGAACAGGUUUGUCUUUUGGGUCAAUAUUAAGAUGGUGCUCAGCGAAUUCUCUCGGUACACCCGGCAUGUCAGAGGGUUUCCAUGCGAAGAUGUCCCGAUUCUCACGGAUGAAUUCGAUGAGCGUGCUUUCCUAUUUGGGGUCCAGACCUGUCCCAAUGGUAAACUACUUGGAUGAAUCGCCAGGGACGAAGUCGACUGUCUUCGUGUCAUCCGUUGGUUUGAACUUGAGGGGCGACUCGGAGUCUGUAGUUGGUUUUUUGAGUGGUGUCAUGUCCGCCGGGUCAACAUUGGCCCGGUGGUUCUUGAGUUCUUCCGUCGCGCAGGCGACUUCCGCGUAGGCUGCGUCUCCUUCCUCACACUCUUUUGCAAUCCUUCUAUCUCCGUCGACCGUGAUAGGCCCUUUAGGGCCAGGCAUUUUGAGUUUGAGGUAGACGUAGCAUCGGCGGGCCAUGAAGCAAGCGUAAGCCGGUCGUCCAAACAGCGCAUGGUACGGGCUUUUUAAUUUGACCACCUCGAAGACCAGAGACUCCGACCUGUAGUUUUGUGCAGUUCCAAACGCUACUGAGAGUCUGACUCGGCCAAUCGGAUAAGCGGAUUUUCCCGGGACGAUGCCGUGGAAAACUGUGGUUGAAGGCAUCAAGUCUUUCUCUAAUAGAUUCAUCCUCCGGAAGGUGUCGAAGUAUAGGAUAUUAAUGCUGCUGCCGCCAUCCAUCAGUACUUUCGAUAGAGUGUAACCCGCCACUUGGGGUGCCACGACCAAGGCCAGGUCGCCCGGGUUAUCUAUUCUCGGCGGGUGAUCCUCUCUGCUCCAUGUUAUGGUCUGUUCGGACCAGUGGAGAUAUCUGGGAACUGCCGGCUCAAUUACGCUGUACGCCCGGUGAUUUACCUUUUUAUCACGCCUGCAAGCAUUAGUGGUGAAAACAUGAUAUUGCCCAUUACUUAGCUGUUUAGGAUUGUUGCGGAAGCCCCCAUGGUCAUCCUGGUCCUGCGGAGCCCCCUGCGGGGGUUGCUGCUGGAAGACUCCCGGCGGGUUGUACCGCCGGUGGUGGUGCACCGGGUACUGGCCGCCGCCUGGCUGCGGCCCCCCCUGAGCCUCCUGUUCGGGAAAACCGCCGAAGGGGUUGUGCCUUUGGUUGGGCGCGGCGAGUUGGUCUUGGCGACGGUUCGGGUCUUCGUUCUGGCUCUUCUUGAUUGCCUCGGCCCGAAACUCCCGCAUCACGAAGCAGUUCUCCCAGGAGUGACUCGCCAGGCCAUCGGCCGUGGCGUGGCGUGGUGGGGGCAAGGGCCUUUGAGCAGUUCUUCGUAGUUGCGCGGUCUUUUCCCACUGAAGCCUCGAUUCUUCUUUUUGCCGUCGUUGGCGUUAGUGUUGGCAACCAGAUCCGAGGGCUCCUCAUGCGGUCUACGUUUGCCGUUGGUCCCCUGGUUAUGGCGGUUGCGGCCCUGGAGGCGGGCAUGCUUAUUCGUUGAAUCGCCCUUCUUGGGCGAGCUACCCUUGCCAUCCUCGCCGAGAUCCUUGGUAUCGUCGGCUUCGGCGUACCUAGUGAGGGUAUCCAUCAGCUCGCCCAUAUCCUGAACUUUCCGUUUAAGUCGCCCCAGCUUCUGGACCAGCGGUUCGUAGUGGCAGUUGUGCUCGAGGAUAAGCACGGCUUGCGUUGCCGUGAUGCCAUCCGAUGAAUGGAUAAUUUCCGCGACUCGCCGCGACCAAUGAUGCGCCGACUCAUCCGGGCGUUGAACGCAGUAGUGCAAGUCGACGAUUGUCAUCGGUCGUUUACAGGUUCCCCGGAAGUUCUUGAUAAAACGCUCCUUUAACUCGGCCCAGGACUGGAUAGAGUUUGGGGGUAAAUUUUUCAACCAAGUGCGUGCCGAUCCCUCGAGCAUCAUGGUGAAAUAUCUGGCGCAAACCGCCUCGUUUACGUCGAGCAUGUCCAUGGCGAUCUCAUAGCCCUCGAUCCAAGAUGUCGGUUCGAGAUCUGGUGUGUAAUUUGGCACCUUUCUUGGUCCUUUGAAAUCCUUGGGCAUUCUUUCGUUUCGAAGGGCCAGGGACAAGCAGGGCACCCCGACUCGCCCUCCGGUCCCCACGGGAGGAGUCUGAGCCUCCUGAGUGUUGGGUGGACCUCUGUCCGGCGGGUCCCGCUCGGGCGGGUUGUCCUGCGGGGGGUGUCGUGGGGCGAUGUUUACGGCCGGCUGAUCCUCCGGCCAACCCCUGGUAUAGCUCGCCUGGGGGGUGGAGUGCAGUCGCUCGGGGCUGUGUGAGAAUUGGGCGUUUUGUACCACCGCUGUUUUCAACAUCUCGAUGGCGUUCAUUGCUUCGAUCUCAGCUGGGGUGUUGCCAUGGAUCGGGAGAGACUCCGGAUGGCGAGUUGCAGCGAGCACGUUAUCCACCGGGUUAGAGAAGUGGCCUCGGGGGGUGCGGAACCGAGGGAUUUGAUCCUCAGUUGGCUGAAUCGGCGGGUUAGGAGGGCGGCCCAUCCCUCCUGCUGGAGUGGCUCCCAUCCCGGGCGUCUGGGGAGUGUCGAACAGGCGAGUCGGAUUGAGAUCGUGGGGUAGGCGUCCUUGGUGCCUCCGCUGAUGGACAGCGUCGGAUGCGCGCUGCUGUCUUUCGAGCCGCCAAUUGUCGGUGUUCAGCCGCAUCCUUUCGGCCGUAAUCUGGGCCUGUCGAGUUUCCAUCCUGGCGGACUCCGUCUCAGCAUCCUGAUGGGCCUUUGCCACCGCCUCCCUCAGUUUCGCUAUCUCCGCAUUUACCUCUCCUUGGUUCUCCGGCGUGAGGGGGGUCGACAUUAGCCUUGUGAUUUCUGCCGCUAGGUCCACUAGGACUGCUGACGCACUUCCGGACGUCCCGCCGGUUCCAUCGCCUCCGGCGGGGUUCGGUGCGGGUUGAGUCGCCCCAGCCAUGUAGAUGGCGAUCUGGCAGCAGGUUCGAUCGAGGAUUUCCGGAUCCAUGGCCAGUGACAAGCCCCCAAGACCGUCUCCGUGGAGGGACUGGAUGGAAUUGGACUCGCCCAUGGAUGACUCGUCGUCAGAGUUGACGGGGGUGACCUCCUGAGCCGCUGCGCGCUCUGGUUCCUCCGAUCCCUGUGUGAAGCCCACAAAGACCGGGCGGGUCAGAUUCCGGGUUAUGACUGGGUGAACGUACCUGGCCGGCUCGAUGAUGUCGGAGGAGGUGUCCGGCUCAGGAGCGGGUGACCCGAUCAUGCCGACGAAGACGUUGAUCUUGCCGAAGGGGACCCUGUAGCCUGAUUCGAGAGAAUUUGCUUCAGGUCCCCAUCGCCUGUUGUCGAUGUAGGCUAUGCCGCGUCGGCUCCAAGUCAUGAGCGCCGCCGCAUAACUCCCAGACCCUGGUAGGGCUCCCUUUGAGAACUCAACUCCACCGUGCGCAGGCCCCACGGUGGGCGCCAACUGUCGUGGUUUUGUCAUGGCAGAUGUCCUCGUGAAAGGACUUAGUACUGGAGCCAUCGCACCUUGGUGGCGACUCAAAGGGGUUAAACGGGAGAGACACGGCGAUUUACCCAGGUUCGGCCCCUCGAAUAGAGGUAAUAGCCUACGUCCUGCUUCGUGUGUAUUGAUGUGGAUUCGAUUACAAGGAAGGCGUAACUCGCCCUAACCUAGCACUCGAUGAUUUCUAACUUCCCUCUCCCCCUCCAGACUCGCCUUUAUAUAUAGGUCGAAGCCUUAGGGUUUAUAAGAGUCCCAGCCGGUUUACAAACCGUGACCACCGCGGUCUCUAAGUCGCCGUCUUGCGAACCCAGAGUCCUUCCACAAAUCACAACCAUCCUGUGACUUCGAACCGCCCGGACAGAGGCCCAACUAGCCUUAAAGGAUGAAUCGCCUUCACAGUGACCCGGCCCAUAUUUGGCGGGUCAUAACUGCAGGCAAUAUCCCCAACAAGCCCCCUUUGACGUUCGAGCGGCUCUGCGUCGCCAAGACCGGGCCCCACACAUUUCCCAACCGCCGUUGCUUGCGACCGAAUGGACGAACGCAGCUACGGGGUCAAGACGUGCCACCCCUGAUAACGACCAAAUGUCCGUGGACGGCAUCAAAGGUGGUAGGUGGCCUUAUGACCGGUAAGGCCCCUGAGGCUCGAUGCUCAUGAGCCCCCUUUUGAUGCUCAAGUGGCCCCCAUUUCAUCAUGUUGAUUGUGGACCUAGGGAACCGUGGUGCCUCCCCAGGUCCAUCGACGGGGCGACGCGCUCCAGCCGGAGCCCCCGAUCGAGGGGGAUAGAUCGCGCAAAGAUGCAACCAAGGCAAGAUGUCAGAUCGCCGAUUGAAUGUAGCAGAAGUUACGGAAGCAUGCGUAAAUAAUACGAUGGGCAGAGGUGUGCCCUGAACACUUGAAUUUCAUGAGGCCAGCAUACACCCCCUAGAGCAGUGAACCAAAAAAUUACCUCGCAUAGCAUCUUCGCGCCUGAGGGGCGCCUCAUGAGGCCCGUCCCUCGGUGCCCACACCAACACCAUAGUCGCCUCGGGUGACCCGUGCCACUUGUGUCUUGAUGCUUUCUUUGACUCGUCCUCCUAAGUCUGGGAACCCGGUUCUUCGCAGUUCCUCCGUGGGGGCGGCGGCUGGCAUCAUGUCCUGUGGCUUGGGGCGCCUCCCUGCCCACACCUCUUGGUCCCAAUGCUCCUCCAUUGGGAGCCCUAGGGUGCGGCUCAUGGGGGACCCCCAGAGUGUUCCCUACUCCUGAGGAGGACUGGCGCCUGGGGUGGACACGUGAGGCUCUUCCUCGAUGGGAUGGUCAAGUGGUGUUACAUAACACGGUACGUAAGGCUCCACGUAGGUGUUCGAUCAACCUCGAAAGUCGUUCAGUAGCGCGAUGGUGGCGGUCCCUCUCUGCAGCGAGGGGAGGUCCCCCCCCCCCGGGGUCGUGUUGCUUGGACUUCUUCUUGUGAUGUGCCUCUGCACGAAGUCGCUUGUUCCUGUUGCCGCCGUUAGGUGGUCUCGGCAUUGCUCGGUGCAGACUCCCCCCUUGGUACCCUGGCAUGUCUACAUUGCCGUGGUUCACCUGCGCUGACGCCUUUGCCGCCCGCUGCUGGCUGUGCCUGAGGGAGCGCUCCUGCCUGGCCGCCCCGGGUUGUCGGGGGCCGACCUAGUCUUGGUGAUGCGCGUUGGUGUAUGCAUCGAACGUCAUGCCGUUCUGUUCACGCCCCUCGUGGUUACCGGCAUGCUGUGCCUCGAGGCUGGCCACCGGAAUCUAGAGGAGGAGAAGGGCAGCAUGCGAUGCAUCUCUCUCGGCCCCGUCCAGCACCGGAGGGGCCCUGCUGCUUGCAUGCCUGAGGGCCGGCAGGAGGUACGAGCCCCUGGUGCCUGGCACCUAUGGCUCUGAGGAAGAGUGGGGUCAGAUGGCCUUCUGAGCGAUGGCGAUCAGCUCUGUGAUGUGGUCCGCCCAGGCAUCGAAGCCCCCUUGCAUCGGUCGUUGGCGGAGCAUCUCGCUCGCCAUCUACAGUGCGUCGUGCCCGCUGAGGUCCCCCAAGUUGAUGCAGUGCGUCGUGCCCGCUGAGGUCCCCCAAGUUGAUGCAGCGCGUCGUGCCCGCUGAGGUCCCCCAAGUUGAUGCAGCGCGUCAUGGAUGUCGGGGGUGCCGCCCAGCCGCCGUGCGCCUGAGUGGCGCAGGUGAUUGCAAUGGUGGAGAUGAUGUUGACGAUCUGGUACGAGCCUCCUGGUACCACAACACCGGUACACGUACUUCUGGUCGUUGUGGUAUGAUGGUUGGAAGCCAGCUCGACCAUGCUUGAAUAAGCUUGUUGGGCGCCGGUCAUCGGAGUAGCAGGGCUUAGGGAAGACGAAGCUUGGAGAAGACCUUGACAUGCCCCCUACCUGGCGCGCCAAAUGUUGGAUUUCGGGCUCCGCAAAAUCCUAAAGAUUCAAACUCAGGGGCGUGUACGAAGAUCUCUCGCGGGCUCGCCUCACCCAACUCGCUACUCGUUUGGGAUGGGAGAGAACUCACUCGAUGGUGAGGAAGACACAUAACAUAGCAGUUUAGCCAGGCUCGGGCCGCUGAGAAGCAUAAUACCCUACUCCUACUUUGGUGGAUUGCCUCUCAUGGAAGUUGGUGGAUGAACUAGUAGAGUGUUCGAGGGCCUCCGGAGGCUGGGUGGCCUUUGUGUGGUGCCGGUGGGUGAAUGAAUGAAUCUCCCCCCUCUACGAAGUAAUCCAUCCUCUAUAUAUAGUGGUGGCCUGGGUCUUCUUCCCUUAUCGCAAGGUCAGGAAGGGAUCCCACAACGGCCAAUUUUGAAGGGGAAUAGGGGGACAUCCUCCCCCUGUCCAAAGGUGGUCUUCGCCUGCAAAGUGGCCGCCAGCGCUCUAGGGAUGGGUCCAGGCAUGACGUCUGUCCUGCUGGCGGGCGGCGACGGCCUUGUUGCACCAGAAAGAAAACCUUUGGAAGAUGCCUUGGGAACCCGCGAACGUCCUUCCCUCCUUUCCACGAAAGGGGAAGCCGCACCAUCCUGCAAUCUACUGCUCACCUGUCAUUUCCCCGCGUCAUCUUGCGUGAGGUCGGUUCUCACCUUGGAAUAUCCGCCGCUCCGGAGGGGUCCUGAGGAGGCCCCCUGCGAGUCUUUAUGUUGUUCCUCCUUGCAAGGCUUGGCCCCUCGCGAGGGCCUUGCCUUGAGUGGUGUAGGGCCUGUUGGGUUUUGGUCGAUGAAGUGGGCCAACCCUGGGCCGCAGGAAGGCAGGUCUGGGUACCCCCAUGCCAAGGAUGCCGACAAAAACAACAAUGUACAUGUCGUACCUUCGGUUAAGAUAAUAAAGCGGUAGAAUUAAUCCUCGAAAAGAAAAACAAUACACGCCCCCGUGAUCUGUGCGAGCAGAUAUGAUUUGACAGGAUGCAUGCAAGCAGGUUACCAUGCAGGCUGACGGGGAUGCAUACAGGAAGGUCUGUGAAUUGUUGGUAGGCAUGUUCUCCAUGCAGUCUCACACGGAGAUGUGUCAUCACGCGUAUGAAUUGAUGGUACGCAUGCCAGCAGUCCGCCACGCAGGAUCACCGGGAGGCGAGCCAUCCCUAACCGCCACCCGCCUCUCUCCUAACUGCUCUAUAGUAAUAGCGUUCGAGCCGCUGGUUUUAAUAGGUGCCCGCACUCACCAUUCUCGUUACACAUACACACACAAUCCUCUCUUCCCCUGCAUCCUCUUCGCCACUCUCAGUCGUCAUUAGCAGCCUCGCCUAAGUGCACCAUGGGAGGGAGUGACCACGUCGGGGCCAGCAAAGCACGUGAGCACAUCGUGAAGGUGGGCACAGAUACUGUUGUCGCCACAGAUGAUGUGUCGUGCGAACAACAUCGUGGCCUUCACGUCGUCGCCGCCAUCGUUCUUCCCCAGCCGGAGCCGGUGGUCCCUAGCAAAUCUGAUGACCACUCGGGUGAUGACAACGACUCCGACAGAGAACCGAUUGGUCGUCUAUACCCAUUUUUUGGUAAGUAUAUCAUAGGUAGAUUUUUCUUGUUACACACUCUCUAUAGAAAUGAUUUUGCAAAUAAUCUGACUAGAUUAAGUGAUUGUGCUAAUAAUUCAUAGACGGAUCUUACAAUCCAUUUGAAUGUCCUUCAUAGAUGACUGCCAUUUUUCUGACUUGUAGUAGUAUUUACUUGAAUGUUCUUAUAUUUUUCUCAGAAUUAUCAGUUUGUGCAUUUAAGGCAUGCAUGAAUUAAAUAUGUUGCACUAAGUUCUGUGCUCUCAGUUUAUGCAUUUAUUUCAUCAAUAUCACCUCAGGAUUUAGGUCACGUUGCCACAUGAUAUAUUAUGUUUCAUAAACUCUGCCUUGCUGAAUUCACAUUAUAAAAUAUACCAUCGUCACAUUUUUUACUAUAUUUAUAGGUGCUAUCUCACGAUGUCGACAACGAGGAUGAAGACGUCCAGGAGAGGUUCAAGAGGCAAACGCUUAGGGAGCUUAAGGCUGGAAAGCAUAACAGGCAUGUCUGGAAGAAUGGGGCUAUGGAUGCCUGUUUUGCAACCAUAAUAUUAACAAUGCACAUUCUAGUGUUCUCAUGCAUGCAAGAGGACGAGCCAUUUGCUCCUUCAAGUAGAAGUAUUCUCACGGGAUGGUGCACGCCGCGUAUGCCCAGUUCCUAGAGAAUCUUAAUGAUCAAGCAUGAAGAUGAGAUGUUUGAUUCAAUUUAUCUAGUUUGUGUGUAUUAUAUCUAUGCUUGAGUAUAUAUGUUUAUCGGUUGAACUACAUUUUGAUUAGACUAUGUGUAAUCAACUAAUAGUACAAUGUAAUUGCAGUCUUGAGCUACAAUGAGUCUGGUUUAUUCGAUGUUAUGCCUCUCUUAGUUAGACUAACCUAUGAUUGCCCACAUCACACACAGCUUAUUAGCGUGAAUCAUUUGUGUUACUUUUAGUCUUUCCACACAAUUUUAUAAUAGAAACAUUUUCACACAACACGCACAACUUCGGAUUAAAGUUGGCAAAAAAAUUGAACAUGACAAUGCAUAUUUGGGUGAAUGUUUAGCAUUGUAUUUUUUUCCCAGAUUGGAACUCUGUUCGUUGACUUUCAUUGUGUCGUGUCACAUGUGUUCUAAUUGGCCAGAACGCAUCCCCACGGACUGCACGCGUGAACCGUAGGAUGUACACAGAUCGAACGGUUGUUCGUAUCUCCAUCAAACCGGAGUGCUAGUUUUUUAGAGUGAUAUUUAUGAUUUAUCACACACGGUUGGCUCUAGUAAAUCGUUGCCUCUGAAGCACAUUAUUCUGGAGUAGUAUUAUUUAUGCUUUAUCACACAUUGUUGGGUCUACGACGCGUUCCCUCAUAAGCACAUUAUUCUAGAACAAAAAACCCUCAACACUCACACGUCACAAAACCCACACCCUCGCCCGCCCCUCCCCCUCCCCCUCCCCGUCCCCAGUAGCACCUACACUCCUUCGCGACUCUUCAUGUCACCACCUAUCCCCGCGUCAACCACUUAGCUCGAUGCCUGUCGUCGCCGCUAGAUGCCACCAAACGCCACCUACUUUCUCGACGCUGCUCGUCAUUGACUUAGCUCGCGUGAUUGGGGGAUCUAUGGCACAUGGUUUUUCCCCAUGGAGAACCAGGUAACUAAUCUACUAAAAUACUUCCACUCAUCUCUUAUCCCAGUCUGUCUGCCCCUUUUAAUCACCCGGCCGAAAUCGUCAUUGAUUCAUGUUUCUUCUAGCUGAUUCGAGGAUUUUCAUUCAUAGUGUGUAUAGUUCAAGGACACAUCAGAGCUAUGCGGUCUCGGCCAUACAGCCGAGGAAUUCCAUCUCACCGUACUAUAUGACUUUAUGAAGCACACGAUAUAAAUGUUCAAGCUCACACUACCUGGGUUGACAUGGCCUAUAAUUUUUUUGAACCUAUAUUGUAUACUGCUACAUAUGGAUAAAAGGUGACACAUGCAAAAUAUACGUCAAAUGUGAUUUCUUAUUAUUCUUCUUAUUCUAUAUUAGGAAAACUAAUGUUGUAUUGUUCUUUCAUUUACUCUCAUAUAUAUUUGCAUGACAUCAUGGUUACAUUAUGUGUUUACCUAUAAUGUUUUGUCCUUUCAUAUCAACUAUUGUGUUGUUCUUUUAACUACUCCCAUACUAGCAUGUUACAUUGUUCUUUAACAAUCUUAUCAAUUCCUGCAGUACAUCCAUUGCCUUGCAACAACUAUAGUGCUAAAUCUUGGCCUUUACAUAACUAAAGACUCCAGGGAUGUCAUAUUGAGCACAAACCAUGGAUUUACAAUCACUGCUUCUGUAAAACUUGAUGAAGAUUGUCACUCCUAUUUUGAAGCAGUCCUUUGGGCAGAAAUUUCUAAGUUUUAUGUACUGAAAUCUGAAACUAAAAUUACACUCCACCUAAAAGAGCCUGGUCAUAUGAUAAAUGCUAACUGGCCUGAUAAUAUCAUCCGUCCUUACUUUGUUGGAAGUAAGUGUUCUUUCUUGUAUCUGCAUGUUGACUUCGUACCAAUAUCAAAGUAAUUAUGUAGUAUUUCAGCAGCCAAUUGGAUUUCAUUUUAUGAAUCUGUUAAAUCUAUUCCUACCUAGUAACUUCUAAUUAUCAAUGCAUUACUCUUCUACCCUGAUCCAACUACAUAAUCAUUAUCCUCCCACUGCUCUACUCAUGACAGAAAGUGCCACCGUCGCCGAUACUCCACAGGUGGAGGACGAGGUUGUGAACAAGAGGAGACGAAACGAGCCAGAACCGCAAGCGCCUCUGGCAAGCCUAGACUUCAUCAGCAGCCUCCUCGAUGAAAUGUUGACAGUCAUCAACUCCCUCCUCCCAAUCGAAGUUGGCGUGCACACAACCGUACUCUCCUAGCGGUGACGCCCCCUAUGGUGUUGUGCCCCUCUCGGCCUCAUCAACGAGCACAUGCAUUGCAAUGGCUAUCACAAACACUUGUAUGCAUUGUCCCAAAUCCUCAGCAUGCAUUAUGGCCCUAUCGGAGGCCUUACUAUGGGCAAGCUCCAUUCCAACGGCAAGGACCGAGCCAAGAUUGAUGAGUGGUUCUUAUCGACUUCCCUAGAUCAUCUUGAGGAUCUCACUUUUAAUGAUGGACAUAUGCGCUCGCUGCCACCUCGCGCCAACGCUGCACAUCACCAGGUUCAUGAACUGCCAUUUCCCCAGAUUAACGCCGAUCCCGUUGUUUUUCUACCUCAACUGAAGCACCUCGAGCUCAUCGCCAUCUGCAUCCCUAAUGAAGACAUGGAGCGCAUGCUCCACAACUGUAUUGCACUUGAAUACCUUCAUCUUCAGGCGAUGAAUGGGUUGAGUAGCCUCCACAUCGCCUCCAUGAGUCUUCAUACAAUUUGUGUGUAUUACUGGUGCCGCGAAAGGAGAUCACACAAGGUGAAUUAGCAAAUGGUCAUUGAGGACAUGCAUUUACUUCAGAUAUUACUUGUAGUUGAUCAACAAGGUCCAACAAGAAUCAGGGUCAUUUAUGCGCCAAGACAAUGUUUGGCUACUCGUGCGUCAACUUUUCUGAACUUGUUAUUGGAUCCAGAACCGUCUAGGUACAACUUUCACCUUCUUCUCCUUCUUGAAAUUAACAUUUUUUUUCUAUAUUCAAGAUGUAUGUUCAUUUAUCCUCCAGAAAAUGAUUCUGACAAGCUCGACCCCACAUCUGCGCACAAUGAAGGUCUCGACACUAGAAUCUAUCGGCCCUGGCCUGGACCAAGUUGUCAGACUCCUGAGAUGCUUUCCGUGCCUAGAGACGUUAUAUAUCGAGGUGAUGCUCCUUUCAUGUUAAAUGUUAACCACAAGGGAGUUCAAUUUUUGAAACCCUGUAAACCAAAGAGGUCCCUUGUGCGUCCGCACUAAUGCAUUCUCUUCUAUUGCACAUAUGAUUAGGCCCGAUAGUGGAUAAUGUGAUACAAUAUAACAAUCCCAUCGAAUGCCUCGAUCUCCAUCUCUCCAAAAAUAUUUUGGACUCCUACCAAGGGACCUCACCAAAUAUUAUAUUCACUAGGUUCUUUGUUGUGAGAGCAAGUGUGCUAAAGAUAAUGAGAUUUUCCCUACAUUUACUCCGCAAAAAACAAUGGUUUGCUCAUCAGCGCCAACGACUAUGACAGAACGGAAAAGGCUUUGCAGAAGCUCAAUUUCAUUUCAUAACUUCAGUUGACAAAAUAUUCGAAAGUCCUUAUGUCAAGCUAAUUCAUGAGAUGUUAGUGGCGCAUCCCUUUGCAAAAAUAUUGAAGUUGCAAAAACUAGUUGUAAUAUCAGUAUGAACCUCCCAUAUGUUCAUGUUCAACUGAUCAAUGCGGGCGUCUAGAGAUGCAUUACAAAGUUUCUACAUAAGUUGUAUUUCAUUUCUAUUAUCAGUUUGAACCUUGUAUUGUUCGAAUUUGAACCUUGUAAUGCUGGAAUUUGAACCUUCAUAAUAUUUAUGUCAUUUGUGAUACAAUCAUUCAAAUGGGAUCGUAUGAGACUCGUAUUUUGGUAGUACUAUUUCUUCCUUAGUAUGCAAUGGACGAUUUAUAAAUGGAUCUUAAUAUGCAACUGACAAUUAAUAUCUAGACCUUAAGAAGAAGAACCACGACCGAGGGCAUCUUGCGCGGCUCCAAUGGCGCUCCCAGGGCUGUCAAUGACGAGCGCCAGUUCACCAUACUUGUCGAAGUGGACACACACAAAAGGUUCAUGGGACUCUCGAUGGUGUACACCAACCAUCUGAUCUGGGUGGAGAACUCCAUCAAUGUUAUGUACAUAUUGCUAGACGAGGACGAGUACAAAGUGGCCUCGUUCGACCUCGCGUUCCUCAUGGUGCUCUAAUUUUGCGCCCAUCUGUGUGCUCUACUCUCGCACCCCUCUGCGCGCACUCUACCAGUAGUUGGGGCCAGCCCACGAUCAUGUUCGGGGCUCCAUAUGGAUGUGCUUGCACAUGCAGUUACGUGCCCCAUGACUGAAUCAUGCGCUACAAAAACUGCCAUCCGAACGUGUCGGUUUUCCACGACGUCUGGCCCCCAUUUAUACCCACGGCCAUUAACCACAGUCUCUUCACACUUUCGAUCGCGCCCCACAACACAAUAAGCACACCCUCGACGAUGCAUAGAGAGAGGAUAUCUAGUGGUGCUCCAAUGGAGUUCGACGUGCAUCAUGUGGAGACCCACAUGAGGAAGACGGAUCUCAUGGUGGUGUACACCGAUGACCCGACCAUGGUGGAGAACUCCAUUAACACUACGGAGUGGUUGCUUGCUAUGGAUGACAAGUACAAAGUGGUCGGCUUCCACCUCGUGUACACUAGCGGUCGUGUCGGGCAUGAUUAGAAGGUUACCAUCUCCCAGUUGUGCAUGUGCCAUAAGAUCCUCCUCUACCACUACUGCCUGACCACAAAGCCUUGUGAGAAUUUCACCAUGUUUUCAAUAGCCCCGACUACAGGUUCACUACGGUGUACACCACCAACGAUCCAAAGGUGCUUAAGACUUUGAGCUUGGCCCGCCAAAAGCUUGUCAACACCCGCAACCACUACAAGGUAUGGGCAGCAAGAAGGACAAGGAUUCCUAUUUUGACCUCGUCGUGGCCAUUAUCGAUCACUACUACACAGACAUGAAGGUUGAGUGGAGAAGAACAAGCAUGUCUAGCACAUGGCUUGAGUGAAGAGACUGGAUGAAUAUUACAUCCAGACCAUAGCCAAGGAAGCGUACACAUGCUACGAGAUGUUCAGGCAGAUCGUUGACAUUAGGAAGUGCCUCCUACCUGAAGACGGUGAGGGAUCGAGUCGCAAGUAGAGUUGUGGUGGCAAGUGUCAUAAGAAGUAGAUGAUUUGAUGAUCGUUUCUCAUAGUUUAUUAUGCAUGUAAUAGUUUAGGAGGUGUGCGCCAAUGUUAUGUGUGUAGUCCCUUAUGUAUUUGGAUGCUUCAUUAGGUUAUGCAAUCAUGUUAUUAUGUGGGUGAUUGUUUAUUGAGGUGUGCCAAUGUUAUGUGUGUAGUAACUUAUGUAUUUGGAUGUUUAAGUUGGUUAUGUAAUCAUGUUCUUCGUCUGUGUUAUUUUGGAUCAUUGCACAUAAUUCAUCUGAGUUAUCCGUAUGCUUCUUAUCACACACAUCUUCAUCUGUGCAACCUUUGUGUCAAAAUUGGCUCAUCGCAAACAGUUCAUCCGGGCAAUGUAUUUGUCUUCUAUCGCAUACAUCUUAAUAAGGGUAAUCAUUUGUGUUAUUAUAUGUCAUUGCAAAAGUUCAUCGGGUUGACCUGUAUGCCAUCUAUCACACACAUAAUUGUGUGUAUAAUCCUUGGUGUUCCGUUGGAUCAGAGAAAACAGUUUAUCCGGGUGAACUGUAUGUCAUACAUCACACACAUCUGUAUUUAGUUUACUGUGUGCGUUAUUUUGGGUCAUUGCAAACAGUUGGUUUGGUUCAACUGUCUGCCAUAGAUCGCACAUGCAACUCUAUUCUAAAUCAUAUUUGGUGGAUCUGCCAUCGCACACAGUUCGUGCUAUUGGCGAUGGACCUUAAACUAUACCAUUUGCGAUCUAUGCAUCACAAACAGUUUGGUCAAAGGGUUUCUGAUUAAUAUGUCCUCUUCGGACCUUCCUCCAGCAAUGCUACUUACAUGUGCAUGCCUUUACUUUCCACUCCUAUACUAAUAGCACUACUGUAGGAAGGUCCAAACACGACACAUCAGUCAGAGACCCUUCGUCCAAACUGUGUGCGAUCGAUCCAUCGCAAACGGUAUAGUUCAAGCUCCAUCGCCAAUAACUAAAACUGUGUGCAAUGGCGGAUCCAUCAAAUACGAUUCGGAAAGAAGUUACGUGUGCGAGUUCUGGCAUAUAGUUCUUACAUAUGAACUGUUUGUGAUUAGCUAAAAUAACACAGAUGAUUACAAAGAUCUAGAUGUGUGCGAUAUAGGGCACAGAGUUCACUACCAUAAAUUGUGUGCGAUGCUAUAGUAGAACACCAACGCUUUGGCAUAACAAGAUGUGUGUGAUAUACAACAAACAGAUGAGUAAUCAGAAUCGUGUGCAAACACCAGAAAUAACACAAACGAUUGGUGCUAAUAAUCCGUGUGAGUUGUGGGGAAACGCUUGCUGGUAUAUAAUUGUCAGCGAUUAACGAAAUCAUCACCGACGGUUUUCAUAGUUUAGUCCAUGUGUACUGUGAUUUGAUCUGUCUGCACAACACCUAUACUACAUACAGGUCACUCGGGUGAACUAUUUAUGAUGAGCUGAAAUAACAUAAACAAUUUGGCGUAAACACAUGUGUGUGAUGCCCAGCAAACAGGUCAGUAAUCUAAAUUCUAUGGAAAGACUAAAAAUAUCACAGACGGAUAAUAACACAGACGAGUCUCGGUAAUAAGCACCUCAUUCAUAAAAUGAUAGCAUCGUACUCCUACAUAAUCAAAUAAACAACAUAAUAGCGACAUUACAUAUCAGCAAGGUCCAGAAAGCAGCAAAAUGGAAACAGCUACUCAUCAGUGUUGUUGCGGGGCUGGCCUGUUGGUUUGACGAUGUCAAAAUAUUAACUACACUCACGAAACAUCCUCCCUAUGAAAGAAGGAUCCACAUCUGGAUCGACGAGGACCAUGUUCUUGAAUGCUUCAUAGGCCCGGCCAUUCCUCUGCUCCUGCUCCAUCACAGUAGCUUCGGUCUCAUGGAAAAUCCCGUCCACAACCAAAGGCGUGCGUACGGCCCUCUCAGGAUGGAUAUUUUCAAAUUGGUCGUAAUCCAUAAUUAAGUUGCAUGCUCUACUAGAGCUGUAGCAUACUCUAAGGAGACCGUUGCCCUUACUCUAGCCAAAUCCGCGCGAGCCGCCAAGGCAACGACGAACUAAUUGGCGCAUGCUGCCCUUUCGAAGGCCACGUCCGCAAAGAAUUAUUUUACAUAAAAACAUUAUAAAUAACAGUAGGAAAAUAUGAUGCAAAAUGGAUGUAUCAACUCCCCCAAGCUUAGACCUCGCUUGUCCUCAAGCAAAAGAUGAUAACGAAGAACAUGUCCACAUGGUUUGAGAGAGAGGCGUCAAUAAAAACAAAAUAUAGACAUAGUAGCAGCAUGCUUCUUAUUAUAAAAGCAACAAACUUUAACAUAUAACUCUUUCAUAAAGCUUUUAUUUCAUAACAUCAUCAUAUAAAUUCUUAUGAGCAAGUGACAAUUCAUCACAACAUGGAAGUAUAAAGGAUAAACCUUAUUGGAAACCAACAAACUGUGUUUUCAGUCAAGUUUGCAACUACAAUUCAUCGUAUUUCCAGGAAGGGUCUUGUGUCGGAGCCUUUUGGCAAGUCCACAUACUCAACCAUCAUUUAGUCUUCUAUGAUUGCUAACACUCACAUCAUACCCAUGAGCAAAAAAAUUCAACCAGACACAUAGGAAGAUAGAGGCUUACAGUUUCGCCUCCCAAUGUAUUCACCUCAAGGGUGAUGUCAACAAUAAUAACUCAUGCUCACCCAUAUCCAACUGGGUAUAUAUGCCCAUAUCUUUCCUCGCCACAUGUUGCUUGCCGAAAGAAAAAAGGUAAAAGGGAAUAGGAUGUGAUACUUUGACGCUUGCAUAAAAGUAAAUACUUAGAAGUAAAAGAUAGACCCUUCGCAGAGGGAAGCAGAGGUUGUCAUGCACUUUUUAGUUCGUAUGUAAAAUCCCUUAGCGCAAGAGAACGUCACGUUAUAUUGCCUCUUGUGAUAGAAAACUUUAUGAUGCAGUCUGUCGCUUUUAUUACUUUGCCAUCACAAGUUCGUACAACGCUUGAUUUUCUCUUACACUAAUUGAUCAAACACUUUUAGAAGCAAUUUUUAUUGCCUUGAUGCACCGAUGACAACUUACUUGAAGGAUCUUAUUUAAUCCAUAGGUAGGUAUGGUGGAAUCUAAAAUAUGAUUUUGGGUUUUGGGUUUUUGGAUGCACGAGUAGUGUCUCUACUUAGUGCGGAAUUUUUGGCUAGAAAAGAUAUUGGGCAACCACCACAUGUUGAAGGAUCUAUGACAAUAUAACUUCUAUGUGAAUAUGAAAAAACAUAAAUCAUUAUAUUGUCUUCCUUGUCCAACGUCAACAAUUUUGGCAUAUAAUAAUUAAUGGGGGCUCAUGAUCAUAAAAGAUAUCCAAGAUAGUGUAUUUGCAUGUGAAACUUCUCUUCCCGUAUUAGUUCUUUCAUGAAUUGCAUCAUUGACUAAUGAUAUGUUUGUCAAUCUCCAACAAAUUUUACUACCUAUACUUUUCUUUAUGUGAUGUCAUUACUCACCAUAAGAUUAGCAUAUGAUCUUUUUCAUUUAUUAUUUAUUUUAUUUUCUUUGCAUCAAGAAAAUAAAGAAGCAAAAUCUCAAACUAACUUUAUUAUAUAACUUUCACUCGAUUACAUAGAUAGAUAGAUCAUGAAACUAGCACUCGAAAAUAGAUCAUACUAAACUUGUACUCAACUAAACCACAAAGAAAGCUAACGAAAAAAGUAAAAAUUAAUAGUAAAAAGUGAUGGUGAUACGAUACUGGGGCACCUCCCCCAAGCUUGGUUCAAGCCAAGGUGAGUGCCCAUACCCGAGUACUCAAGUCUCCUUUGGUGGUGAAUAUGAUGAAGGUGGUGGUGAGGAGGAUGAGGCAGCCUUCUUUUUCAACUUAUACUUGAGCAUAAAAUUUUCCUCUCUUAGAUCUUCAUUUUCUAACUCAAGUUUUAAUAUCUUCUUGCAUGAUGCCUCCUUGUUUUCCUGCAGAAAACAAGACGGGACAGAUUGAACCUCGGGUUUGUAUUUUUUAGGGAGGCUUGACUUCUUGAAUUCCACAUGCAUAUCUCCGGGUUGAGGUAGUGGUGCAUCCUCUUCCUCAGAGCUAUCAUCUGGACCGGCAUCCUUCAUCUCUUCAGGAUCAGUAUCUUCCUCUUCUUCCUCUGAAGUCCACAAGUAGGGGUAAAUUUCCCCCAAAGAUCUUGGGAUCAGCAACGUAGUUGGACACAUAGCUCUCCCCCUCCGAAUCUUGAGAUGACAUAUUUUUAGAUAUGUCGGGAAUACAGCAGGAAACAAGAACAGAGGAUUUUCUCGCGAUAUGGUGGUCAAAAUAGUCAGGGGUAUAUAUAGGGAACUUUUAUUCUCGAAAAUCAAGCCAACGGAAAGAAAAAGAGUCCGGAAGGUUCCCGAGGUGGGCACCCUCCACCUGGGCACGCUAGGGAUGGCAGUCGCGCCCUGGUGGGGUGUGCCCCCUCGGUUGCCCUCCGGUUUAAUUCUUAUUUCCUAAAAUACUAAAAUAUUCCAAAACUGAUAAAAAUAUUUGUGCGGAUUUUUCGGAGUUCCUUUACUUACCGUAGCACGUACCUCUUCCUUUUUCAAGAUUUUGGAGUGUUCUGGAAGGUUUCUCUUACGUGUUCCUACGAUGUCAUGGUUUGGAUAACAUUGCUUUCAACAUUAAUAGGCGUACCUAAUAUGUUUAAUUCUCUGUCCAUUGACCACCUUCGGAUUCUUUUGUCAUGACAUCUUUUAACUUUUUCUUUAAAUAACUUGGCCUUUUCAUAAGCUUGGGUUUUCCAUUCAUCUAAUGAGCUAAUAUCAAACAACCUCUUUUCACCAGCAGGUUUGAAAUCAUAGUUGAGUUCCCUGAUUGCCCAAAAUGAUUUAUGUUCUAGCUGUACAGGUAGAUGACAAGCAUCCCCAUAUACCAUUUUGUAUGGAGACAUACCCAUAGGAUUUUUAUAAGCUGUUCUAUAAGCCCAGUGCAUCAUCUAAUUUCUUAGACCAAUUCUUUCGGGACCUAUUGACAGUCUUUUGUAAGAUCAGUUUUAUUUCUCUAUUGCCAAGUUCAACUUGAUCACUAGAUUGAGGAUGAUAGGGUGAUGCAAUUCUAUGGUUAACAUGAUAUUUAGCAAGCAUUUGACGGAAAGCACCAUGGAUAAAGUGUGAACCACCAUCAGUCAUGAGAUAUCUAGGGACUCCAAACCUCGGGAAAAUAACUUCGUUAAGCAUUUCAAUGGAAGUGUUGUGAUCAACACUACUAAUUGGAAUAGCUUCUACCCACUUAGUAACAUAAUCAAUAACAACCAAAAUAUGAGUAUACCCAUUAGAGGAAGGAAAAGGUCCCAUAUAGUCAAAACCCCAAACAUCAAAAGGUUCGACAACAAGUGAAUAAUUCAUAGGCAUUUCCUAACGCUUACCAAUAUUACCAAUUCUUUGACACUCAUCACAAGAUAAAACAAACUUAUGGGCAUCCUUGAAGAGAGCAUGCCAAUAAAAGCCAGAUUGUAAUACCUUGUGAGCAGUUCUAUCUCCAGCAUGAUGUCCUCCAUAAGCUUUAGAAUGACAUUUCUAUAGGAUUUGUUCCUAUUCAUGCUCAGGUACACAACGUCUAAUAAUACCAUCUACUCUUUCUUUAUAAACAUGUGGGUCAUCCCAAAAGUAAUGUCUUAAAUCAUAGACGAAUUUUUUUAUUUUGUUGGUAUGUGAAGCUAGGUGGUAUAUAUUUAGUAACAAUGUAAUUAGCAUAAUAGCAUACCAUGAAGUGUUUUGAGAGACAUUUAUUGCAGCUAGUUGUUCAUCGGGGAAACUAUCUUCAAUAGGUAGUGGGUCAGCAAGAAUAUUUUCUAACCUAGAAAAGUUAUCAGCUACGGGGUUCUCAGCUCCUUUCCUAUUAUUAAUAUGUGAAUCAAAUUCUUGAAGCAAGAGAACCUACCUAAUGAGUCUAGGUUUAGCAUCUUUAUUUUCCAUAAGAUAUUUUAUAGUAGCAUGAUCAGUGUGAACUAUAACUUUGGAAUCAAUAAUGUAAGAUCUGAAUUUAUCACAAGCAAACACAACUGCUAAAAAUUCCUUUUUAGUAGUAGCAUAGUUUAUUUGAGCAUUGUCUAGAGAUUUUCUAGCAUAAUGGAUAACAUUUAAUUUCUUAUCAGCUCUUUGUCCUAGAACAACACCAACAACAUAAUCACUAGCAUUACACAUAAUUUCAAAAGGCAAGUUCCAAUCAGGUGGUUGAACAAUAGGUGCAGUGGUUAAGUAUUCUUUAAUAUUUCAAAGGCUUCUACACAAUCAUCAUCAAAAACAAAGGGGACAUCCUUUUGUAAAAGAUUAGUGAGAGGCCUAGAAAUUUUUUAGAAGUCUUUAAUAAACCUCCUAUAGAAACCAGAAUGACCAAGGAAAGUACGAAUACCUUUGAUAUCUUUAGGACAUGGAAUUUUCUCAAUUGCGUCAACUUUAGCUUGAUCCACCUCAAUACCUCGUUCAAAGAUCUUACGCCCCAAGAUAAUACCUUCAUUAACCAUAAAGUGAAACUUUUCCCAAUUCAAGACAAGAUUAGUUUGUUCACAUCUCUGCCAAACUCGAUCAAGGUUGAUUAAGCAAUCAUCAAAAGAAGUUCUGUAAAUGGAAAAGUCAUCCAUGAAUACCACAAUAAUGCUUACACAAAAAUCAGAGAAUAUAGGAGUCAUACAUCUUUGAAAGGUAGCAUGUGCAUUGCAUAAACCACAAGGCAUACGUCUAUAAGCAUAAGUGCCAAAAGGACAAGUAAAGGUGGUUUUCUCUUGAUCAGGUUGUGACACAGGUAUUUGAGAAAAAACGGAAUAUCCAUCCAGGAAAUAAAAGUGUGUGUGCUUAGACAACCUUUCUAGCAUUUGAUCAAUAAAAGGUAGAGGGUAAUGAUUUUUCUAGUAGCUUUAUUUAGUUUCCUAAAAUGAAUUACCAUCCUAUAGCCAGUAACAACUCUCUGUGGGAUAAGCUCAUUUUUAUCAUUAGGAACAACAGUAAUACCUCCUUUCUUAGGGACACAAUGAACGGGACUUACCCAUCUACUAUAAACUAGGGGAUAGAUUAUACCUGCUUCUAGAAGCUUUAAUAUCUAUGUUCUUACCACUUAUUUCAUCUUAGGAUCCAGUCGUCAUUGGUGAUCAACAACGGGUUUAGCAUCAGGUUCCAUAUUAAUCUUGUGCUGACAUAGAGUGGGACUAAUGCCCUUAAUAUCAUCAACAGUAUAUCCAAUAGCAGCCCGGUGCUUCCUCGGAAUUUUUAAUAAUCUUUCUUCUUCAUGUUCUAAAAGGUCAGCACUGAUAAUAAUAGGAUAUAUCUUCUUCUCAUCAAGAUAAGCAUACUUCAAAGUGUCAGGGAAUUGUUCUAAUUCAAACACAGGAUCACCUUUAGGUGGUGGGGGGCCUCCUAGAAUUUAAAUAGGCAAAUUGUGUUUCACGAGUGGUCUUGUUCAAAGAAAAUCUUAUCUAUUUCAUUUCUUUCAUGUAAGUGCAUAUCAUUUUCAUGGUCUAGCAAAUAUUAUUCUAGUGGAUCAGUAGGUGGAGCGGCAAUAGAAGAAAGAUCAAUUAUUUCAUCCUUACUAGGUAAUUAUUUAUUACGAGGUUGCCUACUAAACUUGGAAAAGUUAAAUUCAUGAGACACAUCACUAAAACUAACACUGACAGUUUGUUUUUCACAAUCUAUCUUAGCAUUAGCAGUGUUCAAGUAAGGUCUACCAAAGAUAAUGGGACAAAAGUCAUCUUGUGGGGAACCAAUAACUAGAAAAUUGGUAGGGUAUUUUAUUUUCCCACACAAUACUUCAACAUCUCUAACAAUCCCAAGUGGUGUGAUGGUGUCUCUAUUAUCAAGUUUAAUAGUAACAUCAAUGUCUUCUAUUUCAGCACGUGCUACGUCAUUCAUAAUUUCUUGGAAUAAGGUAAAAGGAAUAGCACUCACACUAGAACCUAAAUCACAUAAGCCAUGAUAGCGAUGAUCUCCUAUUUUAACUAAGACAACAUGCAUGCCAAUUACGGGUCUAUGUUUAUCUUUUUCAUCGGGUUUGGCAAUUCUAGCAGCUUCAUCACGGAAGUAAAUAACAUGCCCAUCAAUAUUUUCUACCAAGAGAUCUUUAACCAUAGAAACACUAGGUUUCACUUUGAUUUGUUUAGAGGGCUUAGGUAUUUUAAUAUUACUUUUGCAAACCACAGUUGAUACCUCAGCAUGUUCCUUUAUCCUAACAAGGAAAGGUAGUUUUUCAAUAUAAGCAGUAGGCAUAACUGGAUCAACAUUGUAAAUGAUGGUUUCAUCUUUAGCUUUUACCGGUUCUUUAAUUUCUUCUUCAAUUGGGGGAUGAUAUUUAAAUCACUUCUCCUUAGGGAGAUCAACAUGAGCAGCAAAUGAUUCACAGAAAGAGGCUACUAUCUCAGAGUUAAGUCCAUAUUUAGUGCUAAACUUAUGAAAAGCAUCGGUAUUCAUAAAAGAUUUAGCACAAUCAAGCUCAAGCUUAAUACCUGAUUCAUUACCUUCGUCGAGUUCCCAAUCUUCAGAGUUGCGUUUAAUUAAUUCUAAGAGAUCCCACUUGAAUUCAAUAGUCUUUUUCAUAAAAGAACUAGUACAAGAAGUAUCGAGCAUGGUUUGAUCUUUAUGAGAAAUCCGAGCAUAAAAUUCUCAAUGAUAAGUUCUCUCGAGAGCUCAUGAUGGGGGCAUGAAUAUAAUAUUGAUUUAAGCCUCCCCCAAGCUAGAUCGAUACUUUCGCCUUCAUGAGGCCAAAAAUUAAAAAUAAAAUUCCAAUCACGAUGUAGUAGAUGCAUAGGAUAAAACUUUUGGUGGAAUUCUAAUUGUAAUCGAUUCCAGUUCCAUGAUCCAGUAUCAUCACAUAGCAUCUACCAUGUCAAUGCUUUUCCCUUCAAAGCUAAAGGGAAAACAUUCUUCUUAACUUCAUCUUUGGAUAAAACCUGCAAGCUUAAAUAAUCCAAAAAUUUCAUCUAUGCGUAUUAGAUGCAUAUCGGGAUGUUUAGUUUCAUCUCCUGCAUACGGAUUAGCUAGCAGUUGUUCUAUCAUACCGAAGGAAUUUCCUAAACAUUAUUUUCAGUAGGUGCAGUAGGUUGAGGAGCAACUAAUUGUGGCUCCGGUCGAGGUGAAGAUACCCCGAACAAACUCCUCAAAGGAUUGGUUUCCAUGGUAGCAAGUGACAAUAAAUUUCAGCAUGUAGUAUAAUUUUUCCUUUACCGAUUUCCACUUACCAAGAGCGCUUCACUCCCCGGCAACGGCGCCAGAAAAGAGUCUUGAUGACCCAAAAGUAUAGGGGAUUGCUACUUCUUGAGCUUGCGUUGAUUUUUUCCUUGAAGAGGAAAUGAUGAUGCAGCAAAGUAGAUAAGUAUUUCCCUCAGUUUGUUGAGAACCAAGGUAUCAAUCCACUAGGAGGAACAAGAAAGGCCCCAAUCUUCUCACCUUCACAAAUAAUCAAACACUUGCACCCAACGCUAAAAAGGGGUUGUCAAUCCCUUCACAGUUAUUUGCAAGGUUGAGAUCUGAUAGAGAUAGAUAUAAAAGAUUCCUAGAACUAAAAUUAAACAAAAGUAAAUAAAUGGCAUCAAUAUAUUUUUGGUAUUUUUGGCUUAUAGAUCCGAAAGUAUAAUAUGGAAAAUAGACCCGGAGGCCAUAGGUUUCACUAGAGGCUUCUCUCAUGAAGAAAAAUAAUACGAUGGGUGAACAAAUAACUGUCGAGCAAAUGAUAGAAAAGCGAAUAAUUAUGAAGAUACUUAAGGCAAUGAUUAUGCAUAUAGGCAUCACGUCCGUGUCAAGUACACCAAAACGAUUCUGCAUCUACUACUAUUACUCCACACAUCGAUCGACUCCUGCAUGCAUCUAGAGUAUUAAGUUCAUGAAGAACAGAGUAACGCAUUAAGUAAGAUGACAUGAUGUAGAAGGAUAAACUCAAGCAUAAUGAUAAAAACCCCCAUCUUUUUAUCCUCGAUGGCAACAAUGUAAUACGUGCCUCGCUACCCCUACUUUGUCACUCGGUGAGGACACCUCAAGAUUGAACCCAAAACUAAGCACUUCUCCCGUUGCCAGAAUUACCAAUCUAGUUGGCCAAACCAAACCAAUAACUCGAAGACACUUGCUAAGAUAUGAAAUCAUGCACAUAAGAAUUCGGAGAAGAUUCAAAUAAUAUUCAUAAAUAAUUUGAAAAUAAACCCACAAUUAAUCGGAUCUCAACAAACACACCGCAAAAGAGUAUUACAUUGGAUAGAUCUCCAUGAAGAUCAUGAAGAACAUAGUACUGAAGAACAAAGAGAGAGAAGAAACCAUCUAGCUACUAGCUAUGGACCCGUAGGUCUAUGGUAAACUACUCAUGCAUCAUCGGAGAGGCAAUGGAGUUGAUGUAGAUGUUCUCCGUGAUCGAUUCCCCCUCUGACAGAUUACCACAAAAGGCUACCAGAUUGGAUCUCACGGGAACGGAGGCUCCCAAGGGUGGAAAAAUAUUUUUUGGUGUUCGUGUGGUAUUGGGGGAAUAUUUCAGAAUUUAUAGGACGAAGAUUAGGGUUAGGAGACCUACAUGGGGCCCACAAACCAGGGGCGCCCCCCCCCUAGGGCACGCCCUCCAGGCUUGUCGUCUCCCGGCAGGUCUCCUGCCCCCUUCUCCAAGUCUGGCAUGUUUCUUCUGGUCCAAGAAAAAUCAUUUCGGAGAUUUUAUUCCGUUUGGACUCCCUUUAAUAUUUCUGAUAUGCAAUAAUCAAAAACAAGAAAAAAACAGAAACUCGCACUAGGCACUAGAUUAAUAGAUUAGUCCCAAAAUAAUAUAAAAUAGCAUAUUAAUGCAUAUAAAACAUCCAAAACAGAUAAUAUAAUAGCGUGGAACAAUCGAAAAUUAUAGAUACGAUGGAGGCGUAUCAAGCAUCCCCAAGCUUAAUUCCUGCUCGUCCUCAAGUAGGUAAAUGACAAAAACAUAAUUUUUGAUGUGGAAUGCUACCUAUCAUAUUCUUUAUUGUGGCAUGAAUAUUCAGAUCCAUAAUAUUCAAAACAAAAGUCUAAUAUUGACAUAAAAACAAUAAUACUUCAAGCAUACUAACAAGGAAAUUGCAUUCUUUAGAAAUAGCAUGGCCUUACAAAGUUAUCCCUACAAAAUCAUAUGGUCUGGCUAUGCUCCAUCUUCCCCACACAAAGUAUCUAAAUCAUGCACAACCCCGAUGAAAGUCAAAAAAUUGUUUCAUACUUUUUAUGUUCUCAAACCUUUUCAACUCUCACGCAAUACAUGAGCGUGAGCCAUGGAUAUAGCACUAUAGGUGAAAUAGAAUAUGGUGGAGGUUGCAUGGAAAAAGGAGAAGAUAGUCUCACAUCAACUAGGCGUAUCAACGGGCUACGGAGAUGCCCAUCAAUAGAUAUCAAUGUGAGUGAGUAGGGAUUUCCAUGCAACAAAUGCACUAGAGCUAUAAGUGUAUGAAAGCUCAAAAAGAAAACUAAGUGGUUGUGCAAAAGAUGAAAAAAUCCACUAGUUAUAUGAAAGUGACAAAAUAGGAGACUCUCUAUGAAGAACAUGUUUCUACUUUGAAGCACAAGUGUGGAAAAGAUAGUAGCAUUGUCCCUUCUCUCUUUCUCUCAUUUUUCUCUUUUUUUAUUUGGGCACUUGGGCCUAUUUUUUCUNUCUUUUAUAUUUUUGUAAAGUCCAGAGACUCAUCCCAACUUGUGAUCAUCCUUUUCUCACAUGGGACAAUGCUCUAAUUAUUCAAAUCAUCACACUUUUAUUUACAUACAACUCAAAGAUUACAACUCGAUCUCUAGAACAAAAUAUGACUCUAUAUGCAAUAUGGAAGUGAUGGUGCAUGUCAUAAAAAACGGAACGGUGGUGUUGCAUGGCAAUAUAUCUCGGAAUGGCUAUGGAAAUGCCAUAAUAGGUAGAUAUGGUGGCUGUUUUGAGGAAAGUAUAUGGUGGCUGUUUUGGGGAAGGUGGGUUUAAUGUAUCGGCGAAAGUUGCGCGGUACUAGACAGGCUAGCAAAUGUGGAAGGGUGAGAGUGCGUAUAACCCAUGAACUCAACAUUAGUCAUAAAGAACUCACAUACUUAUUGCAAAAUCCUAUUAGUUAUCGAAGCAAAGUAUUAGAUGCAUGCUCCUAGGGGAAGGGUUGGCAGGAGUUAACCAUCACGCGAUCCCGACCUCCACACAAAGGUUGACAAUCAUUAAACAAAUCAUGCUCCGACUUCAUUACAUAACAGUUCAUCAUAGGUGCAUGCUACGGGAAUCACAAACUUUAACACAAGUAUUUCUUCCAAUUCACAAUUACUUACUACAAUGACUCUCAUAUUACCAUCUUCAUAUCUGAAAACUAUAUGCAAGGAAUCAAACUUCUCAUCAUAUUCAAUGCACUUAAUAUGAAGGUUUUUAUUAUAUCCCUCUUGGAUGCCCAUUAUAUUAGAACUAAAUUCUUAACCUAAACCAAUUACCAUGAUGUUUAAAAGAGUCUAAAAAUAAUAUAAGUGAGGUACGAGAGUUUAAUAAUUUCUAUGAAAUAAAACACCACCGUGCUCUAAAAGAUAUAAGUGAAGCACUAGAGCAACAUCGCCUAGCUCAAAAGAUAUAAGUGAAGCACAUAAAGUAUUCUAAUGAAUUUAUGAUUCAGCGUGUCUCUCUCAAAAGAUGUGUGCAGCAAGGAUGAUUGUGCCAAACUAAAAAGUAAAGACUCAUAUCAUACAAGAUGCUCCAAGCAAAACACAUAUCAUGUGGUGAAUAAAAAUAUAGCCUCAAGUAAAUUUACCGAUGGAUUGAAGACGAAAGAGGGGAUGCCCCAGCUUAGGCUCUUUGGUAUCCUUUAAUAUGGCCACGAUGCCUUGGGCAUCCCCAAGCUUAGGCUCUUUCCACUCCUUAUUCCAUAGUCCAUCAAAUCUUUACCCAAAACUUGAAAACUUCACAACACAAAACUCAACAGAAAACUCAUGAGAUUCGUUAGUAUAAGAAAAAUAAAUCACCACUUUAGGUACUGUUGUGAACUCAUUCUUUAUUUAUAUUGGUGUAAUAUUUACUAUAAUCCAACUUCUACAUGGUUCAUACACCCCGAUACAACCCAUAGAUUCGUCAAAAUAAGCAAGCAACACAAAGAAAAUGGAAUCUGUCAAAAACAGAACAGUCUGUAGCAAUCUAUAAACUUAGAAUACUUAUCUAACUCCAAAAAUUCUGAUAAAUUAGUAAAAUCAGGGAAAUUUUUAUAUAAAUAUUGUGUAAAAAUUUCAGAUCAAAAUAGCAUUCUAAUGAAUUUACAAAAUUCCUAGUCUGAGAGCAAAAGUUUUUGUUUUUUAGUAAAAUCAAGUUGCAACAACUGUAGACCAUCCCAAAGGUCUUACUUGGCUCAACCACUAAUUAAAACAAGAAAACACAAUUAUUAAAGAGGUAAUAAUGUGUGUAGAACUCAAAAACAUAAUCAAAAACAAAAGCAUAAAAAGAAAAUUGGGCCGCCUCUCAACAAGCGCUAUUGUUUAACACACCUAGCUAGGCAUAAUGAUUUCAAUGAUGCUCACAUAAAAAAGUAGUAAUUGAGAUAUGCAAAAGAGCAUCAUGAAUAGCACGAAAAACACAUUUAAUUCUAACCCACUUACUACGCAUAGGUAUUUUUUGAGCAAAAAAUUUAUGGGAACAAGAACCAACUAGCAUAGGAAGGCAAAACAAGCAUAACUUCAAAACUUUGAACACAUUGAGAGGAAACUUGAUAUUAUUGCAAUUCCUACAAGCAUACGUUCCUCCCUCAUAAUAAAUUUCAGCAGCAGCAUGAAGGAAUUCGACAAUAUAACUAUCUUAUAAAAUUUUCUCUUCAUGAUCCACAUGCAUGCAAAGUUGAUACUCUUCCAAAAUAGUGGGAUUAUCAUUAACUAAAGUCAUGGCCUCUCCAAACCCACUUUUAUCAAAAAUUUAAUAAGACUGAACACUCUCCAAACUAGUGGUAUGAGUAAUACCUAAAGUUGACACUCUUACAAACCCACUUUCAAUAUCAUAUUCAUCAUGAGUAUUAAAUAAAUUAUCAAGAUCAUAAGAAGCAUUAUCACCCCAAUCAUGAUCAUUGCAAUAAGUAGUGGUCAUGUCAAACUCAUCAAAUAUAGCAUCCCCAAGCUUGUGGGUUUGCAUAUCAUUAGCGCAGUUGAUAUUAAUAGAAUUUAUAACAAUAUCAUUGCACUCAUGCUUUUCAUUCAACGAAACAUCGUUAAUCACUUCAUCACAAUUUUCAGAUUCACAAAUAUCAAGGAAAGCUUCAUAGAUAUAAUCAAGUACACUCAACUCACUAACAAUUGGUUCAUCAUAAUUGGAUCUCUUGAAAAUAUUAGCAAGUGGAUGAGGAUCCAUAUCAAUAGAUUUUUAGAAGUCACAUGGUAACACAAGUAGACAAAAAGAGAUCCGACGAGAAAAAAGGCGAAUAAAACGACAAAUCUUUUUGGGGUAUUUUGAAAAUUGUUUUAGAAGUGGGGGAGAUAAAAAACGAGAGGCAAAUGGAAAAUAAUAUAAAUGCAAGAGAUGAGUUUGUGAUGGGUACUUGGUAGGCUUGAUCUUGCUAUGUAUCCUCCCCGGCAACGUCGCUAGAAAUCCUUCUUGCCACUUCUUGACCUUGCGUUGGUUUUUCCCUUGAAGAGGAAAGGGUGAUGCAGCAAAGUAGAUAAGUAGUUCCCUCAGUUUGUUGAGAACCAAGGUAUCAAUCCAGUAGGAGGAACAAGCAAGGCCCCAAUCUUCGCACCUACACAAACAAUCAAACACUUGCACCCAACGCUAAAAAAGGGGUUGUCAAUCCCUUCACACUUAUUUGCAAGGAUGAGAUCUGAUAGAGAUAGAUAUAAAAGAUUGCUAGAAUAAAAGUAAAACAAAAGUAAAUGAAUGGCAGAAAUAUAUUUUUGGUAUUUUUGGUUUGUAGAUCUGAAAGUAUAAUAUGGAAAAUAGACCCGGGGGCCAUAGGUUUCACUAGGGGGCUUCUCUCAUAAAGGAAAAUAAUACGGUGGGUGAACAAAUUACUGUCGAGCAAUUGAUAGAAAGGCGAACAAUUAUGAACAUAUCUAAGGCAAUGAUUAUGCAUAUAGGCAUCACGCCCGUGUCAAGUAGACUGAAACGAUUCUGCAUCUACUACUAUUACUCCACACAUCGAUCGACUCCUGCCUGCAUCUAGAGUAUUAAGUUCAUGAAGAACAGAGUAACGCAUUAUGUAAGAUGACAUGUUGUAGAGGGAUAAACUCAAGAAAUAUGAUGAGAAACCCAUUUUUUAUCAUCGAUGGCAACAAUGCAAUACGUGCCUCGCUACCCCUACUUUGUCACUUGGUGAGGACAUAGCAAGAUUGAACCCAAAACUAAGCACUUCUCCCACUGCAAGAAUUACCAAUCUAGUUGGCCAAACCAAACCAAUAACUCGAAUACACUUGCUAAGAUAUGAAAUCAUGCAUAUAAGAAUUCAGAGAAGAUUCAAAUAAUAUUCAUAGAUAAUCUGAACAUAAACCCAUAAUUCAUCGGAUCUCGACAAACACACCGCAAAAGAGUAUUACAUCGGAUAGAUCUCCACGAAGAUCAUGAAGAACAUGGUAUUGAAGAACAAAGAGAGAGAAGAAGCCAUCUAGCUACUAGCUAUGGACCCGUAGGUGUGUGGUAAAAUACUCACGCAUCAUCUGAGAGGCAAUGGAGUUGACCUAGAUGCUCUCCGUGAUCGAUUCCCCCUCCGACGGAUUACCGGAAAAGGCUCCCAGAUUGGGUCUCAUGGGAACAAAGGCUCUCGACGGCGGAAAAGUAUUUUUUUUAGGUGUUCGUCUGGUAUUGGGGGGAUAUUUAGGAAUUUACAGGACGAAUAUUAGGGCUAGGAGACCUGCAGGGGGCCCACAAGCCAGGGGCGCGCCUUCUAGGCUUGUCGUCUCCCGGCAGAUCUCCUGCCCCCUUCUCCAUGUCUCGCAGGUUUCUUCUGGUCCAAGAAAAACCAUUCCAGAGAUUUUAUUCUGUUUGGACUCCGAUUAAUAUUCCUUAUGUGCAAUCCUCAAAAACAAGGAAAAAACAGAAACUGGCACUAGGCUCUAGAUUGAUAGGUUAGUCCCAAAAAUAAUAUAAAAUACCAUAUUAAUGCAUAUAAAACAUCUAAAAUAGAUAAUAUAAUAGCAUGUAACAAUCAAAAAUUAUAGAUACGUUGGAGACGUAUCAGGGGUCAAUCAUAGUCCUUUCGAUAAGUAAGAGUGUUGAACCCAACGAGGAGUAGAAGGAAAUGACAAGUGGUUUUCAGCAAGGUAAUUUCUGCAAGCACUGAAACAAUAGGUAAAAGGUAGUUUGAUAGCAAGAUAACUGGUAACGAGAAAGUAACAGUAACGGUAAAUAAAGUGUAGCAAGGUAGCCCAAUCCUUUUGUGGCAAAGGACAUGCCAAAACAAUAGCUUAUAAUAAGCAAAGCGUUCUUGAGGGUACACAGGAAUUUCAUAUAGUCAUUUUCAUCAUGUUGGUUUGAUUCGUGUUCGCUACUUUGAUAAUUUGAUAUGUGGGUGGACCGGUGCUUGGGUGUUGUUAUUACUUAAACAAACCUCCCACUUAUGAUUAACCCCCUCACAAGCAUCCGCAACUACGAGAAAAGUAUUAAGAUAAAAUCUAACCAUAGCAUUAAACGUUUAGAUCCAAAUCAGCCCCUUACGAAAUAGCGCAUAAACUAGGGUUUAAGCUUCUAUCACUCUAGCAACCCAUCAUCUAAUAACUACUCCACAAAGCAUUCUCAUAGGCACAAAUAUGGUGAAGUGUCAUGUAGUCGACGUUCACAUGACACCACUAAGGGGAUCACAACAUACACAUUAUCAAAAUAUCGACCACAUAUCAACUUCACAUGAUUACUUGCAACAUGACUUCUCCCAUGACCUCAAGAACAAAAGUAACUACUCACAAAUAAUAAUCAUGCUCAAGAUCACAGAGGUAUUAAAUAGCAUAAUGGAUCUGAACAUAUAAACUUCCACCAAAUGAACCAUGUAGUAAUCAACUACUAGAUGUAAUCAACACUACUACUCACCCACAAGUACCAAUCUAAGGUUCUGGUACAAAGAUUGAACACAAGAGAUGAACUAGGGUUUGAGAGGAGAUGGUGAUGUUGAAUAUGUUGAUGAAGAUUGGCCUCCCCAAGAUGAGAGGGUUGUUGGUGUUGACGAUGGCUUCGAUUUCCCCCUCCGAAAGGGAAUUUCCCCAAGUGGAAUCGCUCCGUCGGAGGGCAAAAGUGCUCCUGCCCAAGUUCCGCCUCGAGUCGGCGGCGUACUGUCCCGAAAGUCUUCCCUUUAUUUUUUUCUAGGUUAAAUGACCUCAUAUACCAGAAGAUGGGCAUCGAAGGUGGGUCGUGCUGAGCACAACCCACCUUGGGGGGGAGGGCUGGCGCGCCCUGGUGUCUUCUACUCAGCAGGUGGCCCCCUCCGGUAGUUAUUUGCUCCGGUAUUUUUUAUAUAUUCCAAAAAAAUUCUCCGUAAAAUUUUAGCUCAGUUGAAUAUGUGCAGAAUAGGUAUCUCUGAUAUGCUUUUUUAGGGCCAGAAUUCCAGCUACCGAUAUUCUCCCUCUUUGUGUAAACCUUGCAUAUUAUGAAAGAAAAGGCAUUAUAAUUACUCCAUAAAGCAUUAUUAUGCAUAAAAGCAUUAUAAAUAACAGCAGGAAAUCAUGAUGCAAAAUGGACGUAUCACCAUUCCAUUGGGAGUGGCGGACCAGAUCAAAAAAUAUUUGAGGUAUUGUUUAUGGAGGAAAUUUGGACAUGAAGAAGCUGGAGCAUCACUGAUUUCCUAGGAGAUUGUAUGCAAGCCUAAAAGUCAUGGGGCCUUAGGAUUUUUGGACAUUGCCAAACAAAACAAAGAUCUAGUCCUUAAAAAAUUUCACAAGUUUUAUAACAAAGAGAAUCUUCCUCGAGUCAGUCUAACCCACGAAUCAUAUUAUUCUUCAACCCCUCUUCAUGGAAAAAUCAAGGGUUCAUUUUGGUGGAAAUCCCAUCUAAAUCGUAUUCCUCUAUACAAGGAAGUGGCACGUUGCAUUGUUAGCACAAGAGAAUUAGUGUUAUUUUGUGGGAGAUAGAUGAAAUGGUCCUCCCUUGGCUCAACAAUUCGCACAACUUCACUCUUUUGCCAUCAAUAACAAAGACUCUCUUACAACAGUGCUAGUUGAUCAGAAUCUCACUGAGAAGUUUACAUGCUUAUUUCAAAUCAAAGUUUUCUAUAGUUUAAUGAACUUGAGUAGACACUCUUCCGAGCCAAUCUCUCUGCAACUUAUGAUAUUUGUCCAUACAACUGGAAACACAAAUGAAUACUCCUCUAGAAAGGUGUACUAGCAUAUCAUAGGUCAAUCAUGUACCUACUUUCUCUUUAAUUUUCUCUAGAAGUGUGCAAGCAGACCAAAAACAAAAAUUUCUUCUGGCUCACAAAUGAAUAUUGUAUGUUAGAGCCAACAACAACAUACUACUUAAAAGGAAAUCCUUUCACAUGGAUUCUUUUGAAUGUGUGCUUUGCAAUGAAAACAUAGAGGAAUACAUUCAUCAUCGUAUUUGGGACUAUAUCUUUGCUCGGUCUUGUCGGAAUUCAAUCUUUCCAAAUAGACACACGGGAAUCUCAUUCUUUGAUGAAGUGAUUUUACUACGUCAUACUUUCCCCAAGCAAAUUCCCUUGGAUAUAAUCGUCAUAGGAUGUUGGGAUAUUUCGUUGCAAUGGAAUGGAAAGAUUUUAAAAACGUAGUGUCAGAAACUCUGCCUUGGAAGCAUAAACUCAAACAAGAUCUUGUGGUGGUGAAGCACAAGACAAAGGCAAAGGAUGAAUAUUGUCUUAGUUGGUGGAUUGUAUCCCUAAUUUGAUUAACUAUUGUUUCUAAUUUAUAUUUCUCAUGUUAGAGAAAAUUGGAGUUGGAUAGUUGUAGAUCAAUUUCUGCAUGCAUGUUUGGACACAACGUUAUACUUUUAUUGGAAAAUACACCAUAAAACUAUUAUUCUAUGAUUUCAGGGUUAAAAAAACAGGAAUUUAUACCUCUAUUGCACGUCGGCCAUAAGCCCCAAAAGAACUGACCCUAAAAAGUGUGAGUUUCAGAUAUCCGACAAAUGUCACUCGUUCAAAUGCAUCUAUCCAAUGUUCUAUGUUGCUUCGAUGUUUAGCGCUAAACAUGUUUAGUAUGCAAUUAAUAUCAUACCUAAUAUCAACUUUAAUGCUAACAACGUAAUUAUAUCCUACCUAAUACUACCAACGUGCAACCAAUAUAUUUUCUAAUAUUAACGUGCAAUGCAAUUGAUAUGUUCUGUAAUAUAAUGUGAAAAUUACAUUCUACCUAAUAUCAUUGUGCAAUCAAUAUAUUUCUUAAUAUUAAUAUGAAAAAAAAAUCAUUUUUGGUACACAUCUCUAAACGGUUUUAUAUUAGUUUACAAAGGAAAUAAUAUGUAUUACAUGUACACGGUUACUAGUUAUAGAAAGUUCAUAGCGCCCAUGUGUAACCAGAGUAAGCAUCCAGACAAAGUACUAUCUCCGUCUCAAAUUAUAAGAUGUUUCGUUAACCUAUUUUAGCAUAUGAAAAUAUCUUAUAAUUUAGGACAGAGGAAGUACUUAUACACUAUGCUUGAUUUUGAAAUGUUGCACGCAUUAGUGAGAAUCCUUGCAAACCUGGACAAGUGAAACACUCCUGUGUGAACCUUGCCGUCUUCAAGUCAUGGUCAAAACUCAAAAGCCAUGUUGUAAGUCAGAGCUCCGCUACCAUGCACUUGUAAAGAACCAGUCUCACCUAAUCAUGCAAGAAUUGGACAUGGACACACCUAAUAACUGAAAUAAAUCAAAAGGUGGUCGCUGAAUGGUUAAUCAGCGACUUGAAAACGGCAGACGAAAACCAUCACCAUCAGCUAGCAACCGCGUGCAGGGGCGUCGACUCGUGCGUUCCCCUCGCACAGCACGUUUGCACUGCAUAUUAUAAUUACAAUUUAUAAAUGGUACCCAUUGUCACAGCAGCUGCCUAUUCUUCGUCUUCUUCCUAGUCUGCGCGCACGAGGCCACCAACCCCACCUUCGUGCUCACCCGCGGCCAAGUCCAGCGGUCAACACUACCAUCCCGGUCACAGUCCACACCAAUCCCCACCCACCGUGGUUGCGCUACCUAUUUAAAUCCUUCCGUCUCCUCCAUUUCCAUCCAAGAAGACCACCCCUCACCUCCCCUGCUGCAUCCAGCUCUUCUCUCUCACGGCCGCUCCACAGAAUCGCCACAUAGAUAACCAGCCUCUAGUCUCCACUCGAGCUCUUCUCUCCCACAAGGCCAGAACUGCUCCAUCCAGACUUCAAGAUCCAUUGUUAAUCAAGCCAAUGGCGGCCAACGGCAACGACGGUUUGUGCGUGGCCGAGCCGCGGAGUGCUGACCCGCUCAACUGGGGGAAAGCCGCGGCGGAGCUGUCGGGGAGCCAUCUGGACGCCGUCAAGCGGAUGGUGGAGGAGUACCGCAGGCCGGUGGUGGUCAUGGAGGGCGCAAGCCUGACCAUCGCCCAGGUCGCGGCGGUGGCCGCCGCCGACGGGGCCAGGGUGGAGCUCNCCAAGGAGGGCGGCGCUCUGCAGAGGGAGCUCAUCCGGUUCCUUAACGCCGGUGCGUUCGGCACCGGCACGGACGGCCACGUGCUGCCCGCAGCCACCACGCGUGCGGCGAUGCUUGUCCGCGUCAACACCCUGCUCCAAGGCUACUCUGGCAUCCGCUUCGAGAUCCUCGAAACCAUCGCCACGCUCCUCAACGCCAACGUGACACCGUGUCUGCCUCUUCGAGGCACCAUCACGGCUUCCGGCGAUCUUGUCCCGCUCUCCUACAUCGCCGGACUUGUCACCGGCCACCCGAAUGCCGUGGCCGUGGCUCCCGAUGGCACCAAGGUUAAUGCCGCCGAGGCAUUUAAGAUUGCGGGCAUCCAACACGGCUUCUUCGAGCUGCAACCGAAGGAAGGCCUUGCUAUGGUUAAUGGUACGGCGGUGGGCUCUGGACUCGCGUCCAUUGUUCUCUUUGAAGCCAAUGUCCUUGGUGUGCUUGCUGAAGUUUUGUCGGCCGUGUUCUGCGAAGUGAUGAACGGCAAGCCAGAAUACACCGACCACCUGACACACAAGUUGAAGCAUCACCCGGGGCAGAUCGAGGCCGCGGCCAUCAUGGAGCACAUCCUAGAGGGCAGCUCCUACAUGAUGCUCGCGAAGAAGCUUGGUGAGCUCGACCCAUUGAUGAAGCCGAAGCAAGACAGAUAUGCUCUUCGCACAUCGCCGCAAUGGCUUGGGCCACAAAUUGAGGUCAUCCGUGCAGCGACGAAGUCGAUCGAGCGCGAGAUCAACUCUGUCAAUGACAACCCACUCAUUGACGUGUCUCGUGGGAAGGCAAUCCAUGGUGGCAACUUCCAGGGCACGCCCAUCGGUGUGUCCAUGGACAACACGAGGCUUGCCAUUGCUGCGAUCGGCAAGCUCAUGUUUGCCCAAUUCUCGGAGCUAGUGAACGACUUCUACAACAAUGGCUUGCCCUCCAACCUCUCUGGUGGUCGCAACCCAAGCCUGGACUAUGGCUUCAAGGGUGCCGAGAUCGCCAUGGCAUCAUACUGCUCGGAGCUUCAAUUCUUGGGCAACCCUGUGACCAACCACGUCCAGAGUGCGGAGCAACACAACCAAGACGUUAACUCCCUUGGAUUAAUCUCGGCCCGGAAGACCGCUGAGGCCAUCGACAUUCUAAAGCUCAUGUCCUCUACGUUUUUGGUUGCGCUCUGCCAAGCCAUCGACCUGCGCCACCUCGAGGAGAAUGUCAAGAACGCAGUCAAAAGUUGUGUCACAAGAGUGGCUAGGAAGACCCUAAUCACAAAUGACAUGGGUGGCCUCCACAACGCUCGUUUUUGUGAGAAGGACCUGCUCCAGACAAUCGACCGCGAGGCAGUGUUUGCGUAUGCAGACGACCCUUGCAGCGCCAACUACCCUCUCAUGAAGAAGAUGCGUGCGGUGCUGGUGGAGCACGCCUUGGCCAACGGCGAGGCUGAGCGCAAUGUGGAAACCUCGGUGUUUGCCAAGGUUGCCAAAUUCGAGCAGGAGCUAUGUGCUACACUACCUCAGGAGGUUGAGGCUGCUAGAGGUGCAGUGGAGAAUGGCACCGCCGCAGAACCAAACCGUAUCGUAGACUGCCG
rnacentral:lncRNA from 1 species